CUCUUCACUUUCUCACCACCCGCACUAAAGCCAAAGAACCCCAAAUUUGAAACCAUAAACCCUCCCUGAUCUUCCUCUAAAUCCAAAUAACCUAAAUGUUGUGAAAUCCUACCUGUGAUUUUCUCAUAUAUCCCCAAAAUCCCUAUAAUCCCAAGAAACAAACCCUAAUCCUUAUUUGCACAAGUCGAUGUCAUAGAUUUAAGAGUGUGGGCAUCAGUCGAUGUCGUAGAUUUGAGAGCGUGGGGAAACCCUAACCUCUUUGUCUAAAGAUCUAGUUCCGAAUCUCUAUCUUCAUCAUCAUCAUCAGGUGAUAUAUUUUUAUGUUGGUAUAUUUAUGGUGGUUUAUUUGUGUUAAAUUUUUUUUUCACAUCGAGAAAGGAGGGUGUGCCGAAGUAUGACUAUGAAAUUUACAUAUUCUUUUUUUCUUUAUGUACAAAACUUCACCUUUCUCUCUAAAUUCCUCUCAAUUAAGGGCUUCUUUCGGAGAUUUGAUGUAGCUGCUAAUCUUUUGUACUAUUUCUCGAAAACCCUUUUUUUUUUUUUUGUUGGAAAAUGUUCUCAGAUUUUGAAGGUAAGAAAUUUGUUUAUUUUUAAUAUUGAAAUAGAAACUCAAUUGCAGUAAUGAAUUGAAGAUGUUUAUUAUUAUCAUUAUUAUUAUUUGUUAUUUGUUUGGUUAAUUUAGAGGUUUGUGGGUUGGUUGAUUAUUUCUCAUAAAUCAUUGAUCUCAAUUUUUUUUUUUGUAUUAAUAAAUUGAAGAUUUUAUUUUGUUUUUUUUUUCUUUUUCUUUUUUAAUGCUUUGUGGUACUAGGUUUAAAUUUUUUACGGAUGUUUGGGUGGGCAUUAUUGAAAUUAGUGGGUUUAUUUUGAGAAAUUUAGUUUUCCGACUGAGGAAUUUAUGCUUCUGAAACAACAAGCAUUCAGUUGAGGAAUUGUUUUAGGGUUAAAGCCAUACUAGAUUUUAAUUUUGUUGUUUCUACAUCUUUUAAAGAAUGAUGUUAGGCGGUUAGAGUGUGUUCUUUUGUUGUUUUAGGGUUUUUAGGUUGAAAAUUGAUAUGGAUUUAUGUUUAUUAGAUUGAGUUAGAAUUUUUUCCCACGAAUUUAUUUGAGAAGCCAUGAUAUGUAAUUGUGUUUUGAGAUGGUUUUAUACUAAUUAGUUUUAUUUGUGUCUAUUUUUGUGCAUUUAUCUGAGUUUUUUUUUUUUGGUUUUAUAUUUUUCAAAAUGGUUUUUGGUUCAUGACUCUUAGAAUUGGAAAGGUUUAAGCCAAGUAGGAUGAGUUAGCUCUUUUACUUUGGAUUUAUUUAAUAUUCAUUUUUUCGGGUUCUGCUUUUAGGAUCGGAUUACAUUUGUGAGUCUUUAAAUUUGAGAUGACUCUUAUUUUAUUUUAUUUUUUGUCAAAUGGUACUGUGGUUUUCAAACUACAUAACAGAUGUAGACAUAGGCAUUAUUGAGGCUUGGAGACCAUUGAUGCAGUUCUUUUAAUUACAUUACUUUUUACCAUAAUUCAGGAUUGACUUUUACUAAAAAAUAUUGAUUCUUCAUUUUGGUCUCCUUCAUAGUUAAUGUAAGCAUCACUAUUUCUACAUCUUUGUUAUCUUUGUAAAUAAUUUUUUGCCUUGAAUUGUAUAACAUACUCAUAUAAUUCAAAGUUGCAAAAGUCUUGACCCACAAAUUACCAUCUCAUGUGGAUUUGGGAGAUAAGAAAUUUACAAGUUGAAAUACAUUGAGCUUUGAUAAUUCUUACAUAUUGAAAACUUUUUUAUUUAUACAAUAUAUUCUGAUGGCAUUUCAAUAUUUAUGUUUACAUUUUGUUUUCUUUUAAAUUUUUAAGCAGAUUCAUGGGUCAUAAAGGCUACCAUAGGCUUCAGAAUUAGACUUUAAUAUCUAAGAAGCAUUUCCUUAUUAUAAUACGAAAUGCUUUUGGAAGCUGGUUAUAGAAUUCCCAGGGAAAUGCUUAAAUUUUUCAAAACAACAUCAUAUUAUUUUUCAACCUAAAAUACACUUAUAUAAAUUUUCAUAACCACAUUACACCAUCCUUGAAGUUUCUCCAUAAUAAUACUAUUGAAAAAAAAAUUAUGGAGACAUGAUAUUUUAUUUUGUAAGUUUGAAUUAAUGAAAUAAAGUAUUUGACUCUAACUUAUAUGGUCCUAAUCAACGAAUUAUAAUAGUUAACCUUGUGACCUUAGUUAACGGGUUAUAAUUGUUGACUUUUAGUUUUAUUCAACUUAAAAGGAACAAAUUUAAGGCUAACCACUCAUUUGUAAAGUCCCACCUAAUUGGGCAUCAUUUGUUAUUUGAUAACCAAAAUAAAUAUAUUUUGAAUGUAUUUGAUUUGGUUUUGAUGUGAAAUUGAUUUGAAAUGGAUAUGAGAGAGUUUUGUAGAAAAGUUUUGAAUGUAUUACCUUGUUUGAACUCAAAAGUUUUUAUGAGAAAAAGAUUAUACAUUGUAUCUUUUGUUUGCAAUCAUAAUUGAAAAUGUUUGAUCCAUGAAGCUAUAUUGAUAUUCCUUAUUAGACUUUGUGCUCACUCCCCUUCAUUAAUAAUUUUUCAGGUACUCUCAAUUCGGGUGAGAAGUGAUGGCUAGGCUGAUUUGGUUGAGUGUUGGGUUAGAGCUGCUAAGACUAAUGUUCAGGGACAAUCGUCAUCUUCUAAGGGUAGCUCCUUUGAUGACUUUAAGAAGUUGGGUCAUCCUUAUUUUUUUGGCACGUCAAAUCCAACGGAGGCAAAGGUUUGGAUUCUUAAGAUGGAGAAAUUCAUUGAUGUCAUAGAUUGCUUUAAGGAGCAAAAAACCUCUUAUGCAACAUUUCUGUUAGACAAACAGGCAGCUCAUUGGUGGCGUAUGACUAAGAGACUUUUAGAGGAUCAGGAACCUAUAACAUGGAAACAGUUUAGAGAGGCUUUCUACAAGAAGUACUUCCAUGAUAAUGUUAGACAACACAAGGUGGAAGAGUUUGUCAUUUAGAACAAGGGGAUAUGACAAUGGCCCAAUAUGAAGCCAAAUUUACAAAGUUGAUUGCUACAGAUGAGGAAAAGACAUUAAUUUUCCAGGAUGGAUUGAAACCUUAUCUAAAGAGCAAGAUAUCUAUUUUGAAGCUUAGUGUCUAUUGAAAGAUUGUAAACAGAGCCCUUAUAGGGGAGAAGGAUAAUAAGGAGCUUCAACAAUAUAAAGAACAACAAAGAAAGAGGAGUAGGAGUGAUGGUACCCAUGAUAACUAAGAAUAGAAAAGGUUUGUUUCAAUUGAGGGUCAGAAUAAAGAGGAAAUAGUGCAAAAUUCAGAUGUGAUUUGUUCUAUUUGUGGUAAGAAACAUUGGGGUAAGUCAUGCUAUAAAGAGACUAGAGUUUGCUUUGGUUGUGGGAAGCAUGGACAUAUGAUUCUAGAUUGUUGAAAAGUUUUGAACGUAUUAGCAUGUUUGAAUUCAAAAAAAUUUUAUGAGAAAAAAAGUAUACAUUGUAUCUCUUAUUUGCAAUUAUAGUUGAAAAUGUUUUAUCCAUGAAAUUGUAUUGAUAUUUAUUAUUAGGUUUUGAGUUUAUUCUUCUUCGUUGAUAAUUUUUCAGGUACUCUCAACUCGGGCAAGAAGUGGUGACUAGGUUGGCGAAUUUUUAUUUAUUAGGAUUUUUGUUCAAACUUUAUUUUGGACAUUGUUUAGAUAUUAAAAUUUAAUUCUCGUUUAGAUUAUUUGAGUAUGAAAUUAUUUAAAAAAUAACAAUUUAGUUAAUAUGUUAGUUUUAAAGUUGAGAAUUAAGGAUUAUAAACUCUAUUUAUUUUAUUAUCCUGAAUAGGAAUUUGGUAAUUGAAAAUUAUCUAAUUACAACUUACAAGAGAUAGAUCGUUUACAUUUUAUACCUUUGGACUAGGGGUGUGAAAUGAAUUCCACGUUCGGUUAUGGGUAAGGGUCUCCAAAAAGCUCGCGGCCCACGGCCCGGCCUGAGCCCAUUUUUGGAUGGGUCGGGCCAUGGGCUCCAAUUUACAUACGCUUUAUUUUCCAUGCACACAUUUCCAUGCACACACCACCACCACCACCUUUUUACAUACGCUUUAUUUUCCAUGCACACACUUCCACAUGUUUUUUUUUUUCUUCUUCUUCUUUUUUUUUCCAACUCUCAGCCUCCACACAUGCAUGACGUGUUUGUUUGUUUGGUUUUUUCACGUCCAACAUCUAUGAUUUAUUUUCUUUUGGUUAUUUUUAUUGUUUACAUCUACUCAUUUAAAUUUUGAGUCUUUUUAUUAUCUCCAUUAAUAAAUUUACAUAUGUUCAUAUAUUUCUAAUAAUUGAAUUUUUUUUUUAUAAAUCAAAGUAUAAUCUAAAUUUCAAAUAUUCCAAAAAUAUAUUUAAAUUAUUUAAAAUUAAUUAAUGAAUAUAAAAUAUUAAUUUAAAGCCUAAAAUUUUAUUGGAAUAACAAAACCUUACACUUCCAAUAUUGCACUACCAUUUCUGAUCUCAUCUAAAAGGAUUUCUGCAUAGAAAAGUUAUAAAAUUUACUUUAUACCUAAGAUUUAUGAUGUGAAAAUAACUUUUUACAUUCUUUUAGUUUAUUUAAAUUAUUUCUUUAUUUCCAAUUUAUAAUCUUACCCCUAAAAUUUCUAUGGUUAAGGAUAUAAAAAUAAAAAAAUUAUCUUAUUUUGGGUCAUAUAAGAAGAGUAAUUAUGAUAAAAAUGUUUUAAACGGUAUUUGUUUUUUUUAGUUUUUUAUUGAAAGUAAAUAACAUAUUAAUUUUUCCUUACUUUUUAAUAUUUAAUAGAUAUAAAAUAUUACAAAAAUAAUUAAUCUAAUACUUAAUAUUAUUAAACCAUAUUUAGUUUUAAUUUCUAUUUAAAAUUAAGUUUUAAAAAAUAAACAUUACGUACAUUAAUCUAUAACACUUUUAUAAAUAAAACAUUUCUAUCAUACACGCUUUGACAUUCAGUGCAUCACUUUAAGUAGUGUUUUUUGAACUUUCUAAAAGUGUUUGAAAAAAAUUAAAUAUUUGAUAAAAUUUAGGAAACACUUUUUAUGUUAGAAAAGCUUCUUAUAGUCAUUGAAAAACAAGCUCUAAAUUGAGAUAAAGAUGAUUUCUAAAAUUAAUAUUUAUUUUUUAUGGGAUAAAAUAAGAAGUAAAAUAUAUGGGUCUCUUACAUUUUGGAAAAUAGUUUGGAAAACCAGUUUUUGAUAAUAGUCAUAAAAAAAUAGGGAUUCAUAUCCUUCAAAAACAAAAUUAUGUUUGUGUGGACCCCACAUUUUGCUCGAUGUGUUUCCACUCAAUGGCGAAACUCGCUUUUUUGUUUUAUUUGGUGAAAUUUUGAUUUUGAGAAAAAGACUUGGAGUCACCACUUAUUUUUGUUUUAUUUUUUAAGGGAAAAACAAAAUAAGAAAGAAAAGCUCUAAGUAUAACUCCUAAAGGAAAAAAAACAGGUCUGUGAAAAACCGAAGUCGGGUUCGGAGGUCAGGUUACUUAUUGGGAAGGUACGGUGGUGAGCCGUAGCACCCCUCUGAGCCCGUAUACGUACGGCCUCUACUAAACGAAUUGAGGAAAUUGUGGUAAUUAAUUAAUUAAUUAUGGAUACCAAGAAAAAUAAUCAAUGUACAAGUCAUGGUGAAAAUUAAUAUACACAAAAAUGAUGAUGAAAUCUAAUUGCAAGAAUAUACAAAAUAAAUGAUAAGAGAAUUAUGCAAAAUGAUUUAUUGAAUUAAAUAAAUAGAAGAUAUUAAAAAAAGUUUUAAAGAAAUUUCAAAGGAUUUUAUUAAAAAUGAUUUUGAAUUAAUGAUUUCAAUUUAUUUACUUACAAAAAAAAGAAUCAACUUAUUUUCUCAAUUUCAUUUGUAUUCAAUUUUCAAAAAAACUAUUUACACUUAUUGUAUCAAAAGAAUUUAUUACAAAAUUUCAAUUUGGGCACAAAAAUUAUUUUUACUUGCUUUUACUAGAAAAUAAUGAAUUUUUACAAUUUUAUUUACAAAAAUAUUUAGAUUCAUUUUCAUUUAAAAAAAUUAUUUUUACAAAUUAUUUAAAAUGACAUAACUUUAUUUGCAAAAGAAAUUUUAAUUAAAAAAGAAAAACAAAGAUUUAAAUUCUCUAUUUCUGAAAAACACUUUUGAUCCCAUUUUAAUUAAGGAAAAAGAAUUCAUUUGAAAAAAAAUAUUUUUAGACAAUUUUGUUAAAAAUCAAAUUUUGGGACAACUUUAUUUACAAAACAAUAUUUGGACAAUUUUUAUUAAACAAAGAAAUUUAUGGACAAAUAUUAUUUAAAAAACAAAUUUUCAAAUUCCAUUAAAAACAUUUCUUUUGGAUUUUUCUAAAUGCAUUUUUCUGAAUUUUUAUAUAUAAAAAAAACUUUCUUUUAUUAAAAAUAAUAUUUUAAAAUUGUUGUUUUAUUAAAACACAUUUACUGACUUCAUCCUCUUAUUAAAAAAAAAAUUCUAAUUUGUUCGAUGUUCAAUUCUGCGCACACUCAAUAAAUAUAUACGAACAAAUAUUUACAAGAACUAAUAAAAAUAAAACCAAAUAAAAGUGAGAAAUAAAAUAUGUACUCAAAUAAACUUACAACAAGCUCUACGUGUCAUCAAUUCGUACUCAGCCAACAAGAUUGCAGAGUGGGUCCAUGCAAAAACAAGAAUAGCACAAAUGUAAAUAUCCAGAGACGUACAAAAUCCUAAACAAAUAUUCAAAUUUCAAAUUAGUCCAAUAAAUUUCAGCAAUUAAAAAUGGGCCUCAAUUAACAAAUAUUGCCCAACAAAAAUAUCUCACAUAUCUUAGAUCAUAACCUAAAGUUUUCAAAUUAAUAGCCAAAAUAUAAGCUCAAUUAAUCAAACCUAAAACAUGAUAAAUUAAAAUAAAUCUCAUUAAACCUAAAUUUAAUAUCUCACAUAUCUUAAAUCAUAACCUAAAGUUUUCAAAUUAAUAGCCAAAAUAUAAGCUCAAUUAAUCAAACCUAAAACAUGAUAAAUUAAAAUAAAUCUCAUUAAACCUAAAUUUAAUAUCUCAUCAUUAAUAUUAAGCCCAAUUUAACAUACAAACCUAGAUCCACAACCAAAAUCAACCCAAUUUAAUAUUCAAACCCACAUCCAAAAUAUACUACAAUAUUAUAUUAUAUCCAAAUUAAAUAAUUCAAAUGAAUACAACCAUACAAAUUAUCAAUUAAUUUAGCCCAAAUUAACAAAUUUCAAAUUAAUAAAUUCCAAAUUAAUUCACCAAUAAUAAAUUAGCCCAAAUUUCAUAUGAAUUCUCUAACAACAAAUUAACCCAAAAUUUCAUAUUAAUUUACCAACAACAAAUUAACAUAAAUCUCAUACUAAUUAAUAAAGCUCAAAUGUAAGGCCCACAAAUAAACACAAAUACACAAGCCCAAUUUCAACAACAAUUAAUAUUGAAAUAAAAGAAAAUAACAACCAUAACAAUAAUAAUGAUAAUAAUAAUAAUAACAAUAAUAAUAAUAAUAAUGUUAGGAAUUUGAGGCUAAUACAAACUAUGAUAAUCACCCUAGAGGGGGGGUAAAUAGGGUGAUGGUCUCUUUUUCACAAAUUUAAACUAUACAAAAAUAAGAGACAAUUAUAUGCAAGUAUGUAAUAAACAAAAUAAAGAUAAUUGCAUAUAAUUUAAAAGAGUUAGGGAAGAGAGAGUGCAAACACGAGAGUUUAUAGUGGUUCGGCACUUCUUUGCCUACGUCCACUCUCCUCAACCUCCUAACCGAGUGAGGGUUCCACUAUCUUGAACCUUCAACCAAGCUUCCAAUCUCUUUACAAUUGGAUUAUGGUUCCAAUUCACCCUCUUGGACUUUUGGCUCCAAACACCCUUUACACUUUUUCAAGAGAUAUCCCUCUCUUGAACAACCUCUCAAGUGAUACCCCUCACUUGAGAAAAUUCCUCACAAAGAUAUACAAAUAAUGAUCUCACAAAAAUCCUAGUAAUAGAACUUUAGGCUCAAAGAUACAAGAAAAACUAGGAUUGAAUGGUGCACUAAAGAUAUGCAAGUUAUGAAACAAUGGUGCAUUCAAAAAACACUCUCCCAAGUCUCAAAUAUAAUCAAUAAACAAUGGUGCAUUCAAAAAACACUCUCCCAAGUCUCAAAUAUAAUCAAGAAUGAUUUGGGAAGGUUAAGCUUAUGAAACAAUGAAGAUUGAAGCCUUUUUAUAGAAGAAAAAAGUCAAACUAGCCGUUGGGGGUUCGAUCGGUCGAGCUAGGGGUCGACCGGUUGACUAGUCGUUAGGAAAAGUGACCCUUGGACCUCAACUGGACCUCAACCGGUCCUCGACCGGACCUCAAUUGGUUGAGGUUCAACCUUGACCGGGAAGAGAAGGCCACUGGGAGAGAGAGAAACUUUUUGGCCUCCCUCAACCGGUCAUUGAUUGGAUGAGCACAACCGGUCAUCGACUGGAUGAGCACAACCGGUCGACCGGUUGAGCCAUUUUUUUGGCUAUACACUCAACCUUUUUCAACUUAAAACCUUGUUGAAAAACUCAUUAGUUCUAAACCUUCUCUUUGAGGUGGUCUUCUUCUUCAUGAUUUCUCCUUGGCUUGAUUUGUCUUUGGAUUGCCACUUUGGAAGUCGUCUUGCCUAAUCACACUUGAAAUAUGAUCAUUAGUUCUAAACCUUGUUUUGUUAUCAUCAAAAUCAAGAUUAACCAAACCUUGAUUUCACAAAUAAUAAUAAUAAUAAUAAUAAUAAUAAUAAUAAUAAGAAAAAAAACAAGAGGGAUGCAAGGGUACGGAAAUGACGGGCAGUGGCUGUUCGGGGAAGAUGUGGGUGUGUUGGAAUGGAGGAAGAAAAUAAAAAUAAAAAAUGGGUUGUAAGAGCGGUCUCGUGAGUGGCAGUGUGUGGGUAGGAAGAAGAGAAAAGAAAGAAAAAAAAAAAAAGAAAGAGGGGAGAUAGGGAAAUGAGCAGUCAGCUGGGUGUGGGAGUUGGCUGUGAGUGAAGUGUGGUAUUGGGGAAAGAAAAAGAUGAAGAAGAAUGGGGGAAAAUGGGGGAGUCGGCCAUUGUUGGGAAUGGGUAAGGAGAGAGAGAUGAGAAAAAAAGAAAAAAAAUUGGGGGAUCAAAAUCAGUAGCCGACCACCUUGUGGAGAAAAAAAUGGAGAAAAUGGGGGGAUGAAAAUCAGAAGAAGUGAAUGGGGGCCGACUGUGGAGAAUGGAGUGGAGUUGAAUGAGUGGAGGGGGAAAAAAAGAAAAAGAAAAAGGGGAGGGGGGGGACCUGCCGUUUUUCCAAGCUGGGGGCGAGAGGAAAGAGGAGAAAAAAACAGGGGGAAAGUCUUUGGAAUUGGGAGGAAAAAAUGGGGGGUCAAAGGCAAUUUUGGGCGAGAGAAAGAAGAGUGGGAAGGAAAAAAAAUUGAGGGAAAAAUGAAAAGUGGCUGGUGGCGACAAGUAUGGGAGGAGAGAGAAGAAGUGGGUGGGUGAGGGUAGGUGGAAGAGAAAAAGGAAGAGAUAAGGGAGAGAAAAAUGAAAAAAUAAAAUAAAAUAAUAAAUAAAUAAAAUAAAAAUAUAAAAAUAUAAUAUAAUAUAUUAUAAUAUAAUAUAAUAAUAAUAAUAACAAAUAAAACUAAUAAGUAAAAAUAAAAAAUAAAAAAAGUAAUUUACAAAAUAAUGAAAACUAAAAAUAAAGGGUGAGUGGACCUAAAAUAACACAUGUAAUCGAGAUUUAAAAUUGGACUCAAAAUUAAUACAAAAAUAAAAUUGGGACAAAAUUUAGGGUCUACAAUUUGAUAGCUCAAAUAUAAAAAUGUCUAUAUAUAUUCCCAAGUUUCUUAAUUUCCAGUGCUUCUUGUGGCUGAUCUUCCUCGUUUAAAUGAUAUCCCACCUACCAAGUACUGCCGAUGGAAUUAAUUUCCCCAUAGACGACAAAAUUCAAGCAAUGCCAGUACUAUAGCUGAUGCUGAGGUCGCUGUAAUUUCCUUUUCUUUUAUCCCCUUCAAUUCCUUGGUAAAUACAUGUUACCAGCGAUCAGUGAUUCUUGUAUGGAUUCAACCGUAAAUAGAGCUCAAACUGAAAGCAAUUCAGCAAUUCAUUUGGAACUGCAAUGGCUUUAACAGGCUAUGACUGUGAGAUCCUUUUAGUGUUUAUUUGCCUUCUGCUCCUUCUUCGCUUUUUUAAAGGCAAAAAUAUAAUCCCAUGGAAUUGGCCUCUCAUCGGAAUGUUGCCAACGAUUCUUUUCCAAUAUGAUCAGGUUUUAGAUCUGGGUGCUGAAAUUUUGGAAAGAUGCGGAGGCACCUUUCUGGUAAAAGGCCUGUGGUUGGCUCACUCGGAUAUGCUAGUCACUUGCAUUCCUGCGGACGCGCACCAUGUGAUGAGCACAAACUUCUGGAAUUUUCCCAAAGGGCCUGAGUUUAGGAUGAUGCUUGAUGCUUUUGGGAAUGGGCUAUUCAUUUCUGACUUAGAAGACUGGAGUUUCCACCGAAGAAUUGGUCGAGCGUUGUUCAAUCACCAGAGGUUCCAACAGUUAUCAGUGGAUAUUACCCUGGAUAAAGUGGAGAAUGGCCUAGUCCCAGUUCUGGAGCAUGCUUCCCAACAACGCUUAGCGGUGGACUUUCAAGAUUUGUUCCAAAGGUUUGGACUAGAUGCAACAUGUGCGUUGAUCACAGGGUGCGACCCCAAGAGCCUCUGCCUCGAGCUCCCAGAUGUUCCAUUCGCAUCCGCUAUGGAAGAGGCUGGAAAAGUGAUAUUUCUACGCCAUGUUUACCCAAAAUGCAUUUGGAAGUUACAAAGGUGGCUCGGUAUUGGGUCAGAGAGAAUUUUGAUUGCAGCCAAGAAAACCCUCUAUGAUUUUGCAGCGGAACAUGUAUCCUUCAUGCGAGAAUGUCGAACAUGGNNNNNNNNNNNNNNNNNNNNNNNNNNNNNNNNNNNNNNNNNNNNNNNNNNNNNNNNNNNNNNNNNNNNNNNNNNNNNNNNNNNNNNNNNNNNNNNNNNNNCAGUUGAAACCAAGAUCAUUGAAGAACUCAAAGCAGCUGUACCAGCAAAAGAAGCUGAAAAAUGGCAUCUAUUUGAUGCAAAAGAGCUAAGCAAGCUGGUUUAUCUGCAUGGGGCAUUGUGUGAAUCUCUAAGGCUAUUCCCCCCAGUUCCCCUACAGAUCAGAACUCCUCUUCAACCAGAUAUCCUUCCAAGUGGCCACCGGGUUGAUCCUUCCACAAAGGUAAUUUUUCAUGCGUAUGCCAUGGGCAGGAUGGCUUGCGCAUGGGGAAAAGACUGCCUAGAAUUCAAGCCCGAGAGAUGGCUGACGGGAAAAGGAAGGACUAAACAUGAGCCAGCAUACAAGUUCCUUGCGUUUAGCGCAGGACCCAGAAUUUGUUUGGGGAAAGAGGUGGCUUUUUUUAAAAUGAAGGCCGUUGCUGCUGCUAUCAUGCAUAACUACCAUUUCCAAAUGGUGAAAGGGCAUCGGGUGGUUCCUACCGUUUCCAUUGUUCUUCAUAUGAAGCAUGGUUUAAGGGUUAACGUUAAAAACAAAUGGGCCUGAAUUGAAUUAUUCCACUGGUUUGGUUCUAUAUAUAUAUAUAUAUAUAUAUAUGCAGUUUUAGGUUUUUCCAGUUCUCGUCCCACCUCUUAAAUGGAGAUUACUACAUAUUGUGCUUGUAUUAUGGAUUAUGUGUCAGGAAAUCAGUACGGUAGAUAAAGUCUUUGGUAUAAUAAAAGCCAUGCAUAGAUGGCUCAUAAAGAUUAAUGUACAUUUUCUUAGUAGUAUAAGCUAGACUUAAUCUAGAUUGUCUUAUAAGUGUUACGAUGUAUAUCUUAAGAUUGUGUUGAGGGAAAGUUCCCAUAAAUUUCAAUUAUUCAUGUUAGUGGGAAGAUACAUCUUGGUUGGUAAGCCUUAAAUAAUGUAAAAGGUCUUUUAUAAUUGGGAAACUUGUAUUUUGGGAGGGCCAUUUGGAAAUAAUAUGGAUUUCAAAACCCUAGAAUAGGAAAUAUGAUAUUCAACUAAUAAUAUAAAAAAUAAUAUGAUUCUUGUGCACUUUGUGCUGAGUGGACUUUUGAUACCCACUUUGCCCUUACCCAAUCUCCAUGUUAGCAUCCAUGUUGAGAUAGGAGGCAAAAGGGUUAAAAAAAAAUAAUUACAUAAAUUUCCCAAACAUCUCUCUCUUCACUUUCUCACCACCCGCACUAAAGCCAAAGAACCCCAAAUUUGAAACCAUAAACCCUCCCUGAUCUUCCUCUAAAUCCAAAUAACCUAAAUGUUGUGAAAUCCUACCUGUGAUUUCUCAUAUAUCCCCAAAAUCCCUAUAAUCCCAAGAAACAAACCCUAAUCCUUAUUUGCACAAGUCGAUGUCAUAGAUUUAAGAGUGUGGGCAUCAAUCGAUGUCGUAGAUUUGAGAGCGUGGGGAAACCCUAACCUCUUUGUCUAAAGAUCCAGCUCCGAAUCUCUAUCUUCAUCAUCGUCAUCAGGUGAUAUAUUUUUAUGUUGGUACAUUUAUGGUGGUUUAUUUGUGUUAAAUUUUUUUUUCACAUUGAGAAAGGAGGGUGUGUCGAAGCAUGACUAUGAAAUUUACAAAUUCUCUUUUUCUUUCUGUACAAAACUUCACCUUUCUCUCUAAAUUCCUCUCAAUUAAGGACUUCUUUCGGAGAUUUGAUGUAGCUGCUAAUCUUUUGUACUGUUUCUCGAAAACCCCCCCUUUUUUUUUUGUUGGAAAAUGUUCUCAGAUUUUGAAAGUAAGAAAUUUGUUUAUUUUUAAUAUUGAAAUAGAAACCCAAUUGCAGUAAUGAAUGAAGAUGUUUAUUAUUAUUAUUAUUAUUAUUAUUAUUAUUAUUAUUGUUAUUGUUAUUUGUUAUUUGUUUGGUUAAUUUAGAGGUUUGCGGGUUGGUUGAUUAUCUCCAGAAAUCAUUGAUCUCAAAAUUUGUUUUUUUUUUUUUUUGUAUUAAUAAAUUGAAGAUUUUUUUUUAUUAGUUUUUUGUUUGGCUAAUACAGAGGUUUGUGGUUUGGUUGAUUAUCUCUUAGAAAUUGUUGAUCUUAAUUUUUAAAAUUUUUUUUUUGCAAAUUCUAGGAAUAUCUACGAUUGAUGUGAUUUUGUUUCUUUUUCUUUUUUAAUGCUCUGUGGUGCUAGGUUUAAGUUUUUUACAAAUGUUUGGGUGGGCAUUAUUGAAAUUAGUGGGUUUAUUUUGAGAAAUUUAGUUUUCUGGCUGAGGAAUUUAUGCUUCUGAAACAACAAGCAUUCAGUUGAGGAAUUGUUUUAGGGUUAAAACCAUACUAGAUUUUAAUUUUGUUGUUUCUACAUCUUUUAAAGAAUGAUUUUAGGCGGUUAGAGUGUGUUCUUUUGUUGUUUUAAGGUUUUUAGGUUGAAAAUUGAUAUGGAUUUAUGUUUAUUAGAUUGAGUUAGAAUUUUUCCCACGAAUUUAUUUGAGAAGCCAUGAUAUGUAAUUGUGUUUUGAGAUGGUUUUAUACUAAUUAGUUUUAUUUGUGUCUAUUUUUGUGCAUUUAUCUGAGAAUUUUGUUUUUGGUUUUAUAUUUUUCAAAAUGGUUUUUGGUUCAUGACUCUUAGAAUUGGAAAGGUUUAAGCUAAGUAGGAUGAGUUAGCUCUUUUACUUUGGAUUUAUUUAAUAUUCAUUUUUUUUAGGGUUCUGCUUUUAGGAUCGGAUUACAUUUGUGAGUCUUUAAAUUUGAGAUGACUCUUAUUUUAUUUUAUUUUUUUUCAAAUGGUAUUGUGGUUUUCAAACUACAUAACAGAUGUAGACAUAGGCAUUAUCGAGGCUUGGAGACCAUUGAUGCAGUUCUUUUGAUUACAUUACUUUUUACCUUAAUUCAGGAUUGACUUUUGCUCAAAAAUAUUGAUUCUUCAUUUUGGUCUCCUUCAUAGUUAAUGUAAGCAUCACUAUUUCUACAUCUUUGUUAUCUUUGUAAAUAAUUUUUUGCCUUGAAUUGUAUAGCAUACUCAUAUAAUUCAAAGUUGCAAAAGUCUUGACCCACAAAUUACCAUCUCAUGUGGAUUUGGGAGAUAAGAAAUUUACAAGUUGAAAUACAUUGAGCUUUGAUAAUUCUUACAUAUUGAAAACCUUUUUAUUUAUACAAUAUAUUCUGAUGGCAUUUCAAUAUUUAUGUUUACAUUUUGUUUUCUUUUAAAUUUUUAAGCAGAUUCAUGGGUCACAAAGGCUACCAUAGGCUUCAGAAUUAGACUUUAAUAUCUAAGAAGCAUUCCCUUAUUAUAAUACGAAAUGCUUUUGGAAGCUGGUUAUAGAAUUCCCGGGGAAAUGCUUUUAAAUAGAACCUUUUUUUCCCUUCAAUUUGUUACUUUUAGGAAGAUUUUAACUCAAGUCAUAAAAUUUCAUAUGAAAAAAAUUGACAAAUCCUCUUUUAUGUGAAAUUAUGGAUUUUAAUUAGUGUUUUUGACAACCCUAAUAUUAGGAAUAUUAUUGUUUGUGUUGGAAUACUCAAUUUUCUCUUCAAAUCCUUGAACCCAAUGUACCAUCUCAAACAUUUCUUUUUGUUUUACAAAUGAAUGUUGGAAAUAGGAUAGACUGAUGAAGGCCAAAGAACCAAGAACCAAUUUGGGGUAGAUUUGGAGAUCAAUCACUGAAUUGUUAAGAUGAUUUCUUUUUCUAGUUUCAUUUGAUUUUGAGUAGAUUUAGUGGCUAUACUUAUAGUAAUAAAUACACAGUACCCUGCUUUUCAUGGUGAUCAUGUUAGACUAAGAUUUUUUUAUCAAUCUCUACAUGUGGCUUAUGCUAAGAAGUGAAACCAACUCACGACAGACUCCAUUUUAGGACUUUAUUGAAUGAUGGAUGGACCUGAACUUAAGCAUUUUUCAUGUCUCGAAGUUAAAAGAUUCUUUUAUAUGUUUGUUUUAUAAGUUUGUAGGAAAUUUGAGUACUAGUUAUUGAGUAUAAAUUUUAUGCUCAAAUGGCCUUGCAAGAAAGUUUAGCUAAAUUCAAGAAGCAACAAGAGAAGUGUCGAUUGACUCUCACUAGCAUUGCAACCGAAGCAAGAUCCCCUGAGCCUAGAGUACCUUGAGAUGCAUGUUGGAGCAGUUGAGCCUAGUGAUCAUGCUUUGGUAGCGAUGAUGUAAUUACUAUUGGUGGUGGUCUUUAUGUAGCUAUGAAUUUACUUGUUAAUCAUUUUGUAAAAGUUUGAACGUUAGCCAUGUAUUCAAAUACUUUGAUCCACUAGUUCUUUUAGAAAUGUUGGUGUUUUUCUCUGUUAUUUUAAGGUGUAUAUUAGUUACUGCUAUUAGUGGAAAGAAUAGACACACUUGAUUCCUACAUCUUCAUCAUGGUUGAAAAAAUUAUAUGAUAUUACAUGAUUUAUUAUAAAUUUUACUCUCAAAUAUCAAAGAUGUGUAAUUUAAUUCAGUUGGUUAUUUUAUUUUAUGAGAUCAAGGUUUUGAUUUCUUUAUGAUAGUGCUACUGCUUGACCAGAUCAGAUUUAUCAAAGAUCUUUAUCCAAUUAAGAUUUAUGUGGAAAAUUAAGAUAAUAUUUUAGAAUUAGAUGCUACUACUUUUGGUUUGGACUAGUGAUCUUGUAGCCAACUCUUGAUGGAUUUCUAAGAACUAUUGUAACUUGGGACUAUUGUUCUUGGUAAUAUCUUUGACCUCAUUUGGAGUGAUGUUUUUGCCCUUCAAAAAACUAGAAUAGCAAUGUUUAGAGAUGUUAUAAACUCAAACACUUUAUAAUUAUUUAAUCUUUAUAUAUACAUACAUACAUACAUACAUACAUACAUACAUACAUACAUAUAUAUAUAUAUUAUGAAAUUAAAAUGAGUUCAAAUAAGUAUAAAAUUAAUUUAUUGACUUUAAUUCUAUUGUAUUUAUUUCCAGUUGUUAUUUUCUUAUACUUCUCACCUUUAAAUUCUUCUCUUCAGUUUAAGGCAACCCUAAAGCCACAAAUGACAUAUGUCAAAUUUCAUUUUAGUAAAAUAGGAAUGGUAAUAUUAUAUUACAAUCACAAAUUUAUAUAUUUUUUUUUAUAAAAGUUAUACCAUUUUACUCUUUAUUAUGGAAAUAUGGAUAUAAUUGAUUUUUUAUUAAAAAAGAAUAACAAUGUUUUAAAAAUAAUAAUUAUUAAUAAUAUUAUUUAAAAUGAAUUUAUUAUACUAUUUUCCUCUUUAUUAUAGAAAUAUGGAUAUUGACAUCUUUGUAAAAUAACAAUUGAUUUUUUUAUUAAAAAUUAAUAAUAAUAUUUUAAAAAUAAGAAUCAUUAAUAGUAUUAUUUAAAAUAAAUAAAUUCAACAAAAAAUAUUGUUUGAUUUCAAGUCUAUUUUUCUUGUUAAAGAAAUUAUAAUAAUAUAACUAUGUUCAUAAAUAAAUAAUAGAAUAGAUCAAUUUUUUUUCAAAAACUUUAUGGUAUUAAUUGGUUAACUAUUUGAUUUCAAAAUUAUUUUUUACUACUACUUAGACUUGGUAACAAAUCAACCAGCAUUAAAUUUUAUUNNNNNNNNNNNNNNNNNNNNNNNNNNNNNNNNNNNNNNNNNNNNNNNNNNNNNNNNNNNNNNNNNNNNNNNNNNNNNNNNNNNNNNNNNNNNNNNNNNNNUAGGUACUACCUUAAUGUACCUUAGGUACUACCUUAAGGGACUUUAGGCACUACCUUAGUUAAAGUUGGGUUCUAUCUUUCCCAAGCCUCGGACCUUCCUUUGUGACCCUUAGACCAUGUCAUUAUGUAAUUCUCUUGUGUGGGAAAGUGAUUCACCUUUGUUUUUUGCCGGACUUUACCUUAGGUACUACCUUAAUAGCCUUUAGGUACUACCUUAAUCUACCUUAGGUACUACCUUAAGGGACCUUAGGUACUACCUUAGUUAAAGUUGAGGUCUACCUUUCCNNNNNNNNNNNNNNNNNNNNNNNNNNNNNNNNNNNNNNNNNNNNNNNNNNNNNNNNNNNNNNNNNNNNNNNNNNNNNNNNNNNNNNNNNNNNNNNNNNNNNNNNNNNNNNNNNNNNNNNNNNNNNNNNNNNNNNNNNNNNNNNNNNNNNNNNNNNNNNNNNNNNNNNNNNNNNNNNNNNNNNNNNNNNNNNNNNNNNNNNNNNNNNNNNNNNNNNNNNNNNNNNNNNNNNNNNNNNNNNNNNNNNNNNNNNNNNNNNNNNNNNNNNNNNNNNNNNNNNNNNNNNNNNNNNNNNNNNNNNNNNNNNNNNNNNNNNNNNNNNNNNNNNNNNNNNNNNNNNNNNNNNNNNNNNNNNNNNNNNNNNNNNNNNNNNNNNNNNNNNNNNNNNNNNNNNNNNNNNNNNNNNNNNNNNNNNNNNNNNNNNNNNNNNNNNNNNNNNNNNNNNNNNNNNNNNNNNNNNNNNNNNNNNNNNNNNNNNNNNNNNNNNNNNNNNNNNNNNNNNNNNNNNNNNNNNNNNNNNNNNNNNNNNNNNNNNNNNNNNNNNNNNNNNNNNNNNNNNNNNNNNNNNNNNNNNNNNNNNNNNNNNNNNNNNNNNNNNNNNNNNNNNNNNNNNNNNNNNNNNNNNNNNNNNNNNNNNNNNNNNNNNNNNNNNNNNNNNNNNNNNNNNNNNNNNNNNNACCUUUGGUUUUUUGGGACUGUACCUUAGGUACUACCUUAAUAGCCCUUAAGUACUACCUUAAUUUACCUUAGGUACUACCUUAAGGGACCUUAAAUACUACCUUAGUUAAAGUUAGGGUCUACCUUUCCCAAGCCUCGGACCUUCCUUUGUGACCCUUAGAUCAUGUCAUUAUGUGAUUCUUUUGUGUAAUCAAGUGGUUAACCUUUGGUUUUUUGGGACUAUACCUUAGGUACUGCCUUAAUAGCCCUUAGGUACUACCUUAAGGGACCUUAGGUACCACCUUAAUCUACCUUAUGUACUACCUUAACUGACCUUAGGUACUACCUUAGUUAAAGUUGGGCACUACCUAUCCCAAGCCUCAGACUUUCCUUUGUGACCCUUAGAGCAUAUCAUUAUGUGAUUAUUUUGUGUGUUCAAUUGGUUCACCUUUGGUUUUUUGCGGAUUGUACCUUAGGUACUACUUUAAUAGCCCUUAGGUACCACCUUAAUCUACCUUAGGUACUACCUUAAUUAAAUUUAUGUACUUCAUAUCCGAAGCCUCGAACCUUCCUUUGUGACCCUUAAAGCAUGCCAUUAUGUGAUUAUUUUGUGUGUUCAAUUGGUUCACCUUUAAUUUUUUGCGGACUGUACCUUAGGUACUAACUUAAUAGCCCUUAUGUACCACUUUAAUUUGCCUUUGGUACUCUCAUUGGUAUAUAUGUGCAAGAGUCAAACCUGUGACUUCCAAAUCUUACAAAAAAAGUACAUGUUAAGUUAUCAAAGUUCAUUUAUUUUUUUUCUUCUUUUAUAUAUCUUUGGAACAAAAAGAAGUGUUUGUGCAACAUGGUGUGCCUUUAUGGAAAAUUUACUCAUUUUAAUCUAGUUACAUUUUUCUUUAAAAUUUGGAAAUGUUUCUGCCCAUUGGAAAUUUUCCAAUUUUUGUUUGCAAACUCUUAUGAAUGCUCUUCUCAUUGUAGUUAAACUGAACUCAGUGGAGGCGGUUUGUUCAGAACCAGGUUGUUUUAAACACUUCACUAAUGAACAAUGCCUCAAGGCUCAUCUCUAAUCUUGCCACCAACACAUUAUCUAUGAGAUAUGUGGCACCAAGCAAUUGAAGAAGAACAUCAAGAGGCACCUCAGGACACAUGAAUGGAGAUGUUCCUUUAAGAGAGUCAAAUUCACUUCAAGGGUUGUCUCCAUGUAUUUUCAACUAUAAGAUUCAAACGGUGUUGCAAUAAAUUUGUUUUUUUCUUCAUUUUUUUUAAAAAAAUUUAAUAACUUUUUUUGUUUGAAUUGGUUUCCUUAGAAAUAAAUCUUGAUCAGCAUGUGAAGGUUGUGCAUCUUAAGCUCAAACCAUUUGUUAGUGGAAUUCUGGGGUGUGCCAUGAGAUUCCCAUUCAAGCAUAUGACAGAUAACCACGAGGAAACUGGAUGCCACGUCUAUACCCAUGUAAGUUUUGUUUUACCUUCUUUCAAGGUCAUUGUAGAGGAUGAAUAUGUGUUUUUAUUUGGUGAAGCUCUUUAAACCACUAUAGGAAAAAUAAGUGAUUUUGUAAUUACAUUGGUUCAUGGGGAUUUUGAGGAGUUUGAUGAGCAAUUCAGGCUAAGGCCAAAGGGUGGCAAGAAGAGGAAGUCCCCACCUAUAGAAGCAUUGUUACGGAAAAGGGUGACUCCACCAAGUCAAUUAGAUUUUAUUUUGUGUCAAGAGCUUGAGUACCUUUCUUGGUUGCUCUUUUUAGAUGUUGAGGAUCAAUAGUGAGAAACACUCACAAUAUUACCUUUAUCGGUUUAGUAUGUUAAGUUAUAGAAGUGUAGCAAAAGAAAUAUAUACAAUCCUCUAAUGGGUCGUUGUUUAUAGUUCAUAUAACUCAUUGAAAAAAUGCUUUGUAUAAACGGUUUCCAAUAAGCAGAGAGAAUUUGACUUGAUCAGACUUAUUAUAGUAAUUGAAUUGAGCCUUGAACCUUAUAGUUUGCCACUAUAGGGCAAUAAUGUUUUGAAACCUAAAAAGACAGAAGACCUUUUGGUUUCUAUCUAGUUGGUAUAAUAGUUGUAAAGUUUUAAGUGUUCUUUCUAAGUUUAAAGAGAUCAGAGAGAGAAUAUACCCUACAAUAAUCCAACAAGAACAUGAACUUUGCGGAAAAAAAAAAUACAUAUAUUAUCUAAUUCAGCAAAUUAAGUUUCCACCACUUAUUUUUGUAAAAAAAAAUAACAAAUCAUAAUUUUUAUUUUUUCCUUUUUCUCCUAAAAAAGAAUUAAAAAUAAAAAAAGCUACAAUCUUCUAAUCCCACCUCGGUGAACCCACACAAGCUUGGCCAGCACUCUACAUUUUCUAUAUUUUCCACCGAUUCCCAGUAUGAUUUAUGAUACCACCCGAGAAAACUACACAUGAAUCACUUCAUGUACAAAGCAAUCAAGGAAUUUGCAACACAAUUUCACAAUAUAGGAAGUUGGUUUCCUAUUCUUUCCUCCCCUUCCUUUUUCUCGAUUUUGUUUUUUGCUUAGAUAUUAAGGUGACAAACACAUGAAUUCCUUCUAUUGGCAUAAAAUUGUUGUCGUUGCGUGAAGGCUAUCAUAAUUUAUUUGUUGCAGAAUUCGUUCUUGAAUUUGGCCAAAUUCUAUUGAACUUGUCCCUGUUUUUUAGUCUAAACUUUGAUUUAUGUUCGUCAUAAGUUUGUCAAAGCACAUAGAAAGAUGUUGCCUUUGAUCCACAAGCUGCAUAAUGAGAAACAAAAUGAGGGUCAUCACUACAAACAUUGACAUGUUUUGCAAAUAUUCAAUCUAGAUGAUUACUAAACACUUAAAAAAAUUAAUUAGCCUCUAGGAAGAAAUUCCUAAAUCCAUAUUUAGAGCUUCUUAAAAGUGGGAAAAAUGAAGAAAUUUUUAAAAGAGUGAUCGUCGUAAACAUCUUCUGCAUGUUCCAAAAAACAAAAACAAGCAUCUCAUAAAAAUAAUAAACAAAUAAAGUUACAGAUGUAAACAUUUUACAAGUGUCCAUGCUGGUGGGGAAACAAGUUUCUGACAUGCUAGCCAAGAAUGGAAAUACCAACUUAAGUUAUGCUUUUCAUAAUUAUAAUAUAUUGUUCUAUGAAAAGUAAUCUGUCCAAGAUUGUUGAUUGAAUUGUGAUAAACAAGGUAAAUGAAUAGCAUAUGAGCAAUGAUUAUGAUGGAGCAUACUAGCUCAUCAUGUAAGCACUUUAAGCAACAAAAUAUUGUCAUCAGGUCUGAAAAUACACACUUAAUGGCAACUUAGUCUUACUUAAAUAUUAUGCUGUGAGCAAAGUAUCUUCAUCAAUAAAGUCAUCUACAUCCUCAAUACAUGAUUGUAAUGUGUUGACAACAACAAAUGUUGAAUUUUCAACUCUAAGAAUAUUUUUAUGUUGGAGAGAAAAUGACUUUACAUUGCAUGUUUUUCUUGCUUUGACCUAUACUGCAAAAGUGCAUGACAAUAACCAGAAAUUUCUAUUAUCAUAAGACAAAGUAGCACAAUUCUCAGAACAAACAAGAAAUUUCAAAUUAAAAAAUAGACAAAAUAUAACACUUUAACCAUUUAGUGAAGUUGUAGCACCUAGAUCCCAUAGAAUAGAAUGGACAAUGUUGCUUGAAACAUGGAUCUCUCGUAUGCAAUACAAGGACAGGUACUUAUGCUACUAAUUUUCUAAUAUGGUAUAAUUGGGAUAGGCUUAUUUACGUAACUUAACAUGUAGAACAUAAUGGGUUAGGAUCAAAUGAAAUAUUAGUGCUUGUAUUAGAAAAUGAUUAAUAAUAAUCAUAUUUAAAGUGCUCGGAUUUCUUUUUAUUUUUGAAAAUCUACAAAACACGAAUGAACAAUACAUCACAACACUAACUUGCUUCCUAUGUGUUUUUCGGGGCAUGGGCUUUUUUUUUUUUUUUUUGUAAACACUCUUGUAUUGGAGUCAAUUCAUUUUUUUUCCAUUAUACUUUGCCUUGUAGAAAAUUGAUGGAAUAAUUAAAAAUCUUUUUGGCCACUUGUUUUGGUCAUUUUAGUAUUUGUAUGUGGAUUCAUCAACAUUAGGAUAAUUUUGCACUAUAAAUUAGAUGAUUACCGCAAUAAGUUCAAACUCUUGAUUUGAACAUCUAAUUUCACUAGUAUGAUCGAGGCAUUCAAAACCUUCCAUUGAAUAGAAACCCACAAAUAAAAUGUUGCGCUCUAAACAAGUUCUUGACUCACCAACAACCUAAAAAUGAGAUAUCUUAGUUAAGACCAACACUACACACACAUGAAAAGUGAUAACAAUUGAAAAGAAACAUUCAAAUGUAUAAAACUUACAAAAUCCUUGUUCCCAUUGAUGAACUACGAUAAUUCUUGUAAGAACACAAAACUGUUAGGUUUAAGCACUUUCACCAAUUUUAACAGCCAAAGUUGGUUGUGAAACCCAUGUUUCUCUGAGAUUGAGAUAACAGUUGACAAUGAAGAUGACUUAAAAUAAAGCCUUUCUUUUACAUUAAAACCAAGUACAUCCUCAUGGACAGUGCAUAAACAUUUCAUCAAGAAAACUAAGAAUCAACCUAAACUUCCAUUCAGUGGUAGAAAAAUGAAGAAAAAUAAUAGAAAUUGUGGUUUUGAGUCAUUUAUCUUCUGUGUGUGCGUGUCUGUGUCUCUCUCUUUUGGGUUUACUGAACCACUUUUCCAAAUACAAUAGUGUCAUUACACUCAGUUGAGUGGGGAUUCUUCAAGAGACAAAGUCUGGAUCCCUUUGUUUUUCUAAAUUUUUUGGGCCACCAAACGGAACCAAUGAAAGAACAUAAGCAACUUAUUCAAAAACCAUAAAUUUUAAGACAAAAACAAGGAAGAAACAAAAUUAAAUAAUUGAGAUGGAAAUACAGGAUCAACACAAAUCAAAACCCUAAUAUAGUAAUGAUAGAGGAAUCGUUUAGGGAAUAUGUAAGUGCACACAUAAAGAGGGAAUGAAGGAAGGAAAUAGAGAUAGAGUCGGACCAAGCAGUGAGGCUUGAGUGAUGAUCCUCAAAUCCUUUAGAGGAAUAAAGAAAUGUUGAAAAGCCCAAACCACAAUUCUUGCGUUUAUAGAGAUUGAAUGCAUUAUUAUCAACACUCCAUCUCCAUUUCCACAUCAAAUUCCAUUUUCUUUUUUUCUUUUCCCUUUCUUUCUUUCUCUCUUUUCUUCCUUACUUUCACACUUGGAAAGUGUAGCAUGAGGAAAAACCUAAUUCUAACCAUUCAAGUAGUUACAUACACUUCCAAAAUCUCGAAAAAACAACACACAACAUAGGCAUGGUUUGAAAUUAUCGUUAAAAUCAACCAUUUUUUUUCCAAUUAGUUUGAAAAUGCAUUUAAAAAUAGGGAAACUUAGGUUUAACAAAAACCUUUAAGAAAAUUUUCACUUUUAUUUUCUAGGUAACCAAACAGAGAACCCAAGAAAGAGAAAAUUUGCAUACCUUGCCUUCUCUCUAUGUAACCAAAUAGAAAACCCAAGAGAAAGAGAGAGAAGGCAUACCUUGGGUUCCGACUUUUCAUAUAGUGAGGUCGGAGUCGUUGGCAAACCAAAUUAGAAAGGGCGAAGAUUGCCUCUUUUAUUUGUUAGGGUAACCGGUAACGUGAGAUAAUGAGAUUAAAAUUAGGGAUUUUCUUUUUUUGUUUAAUUUUUUUUGGGUUUCCAGGUCGAUGUGGACGCUGAAGUGGCCGAAGAGAGAGGGCAAUUAUGGUAUGAAAUAACACCUCAUAGCAAAGUGCAUGAAAUCCCAAAUUUUUUUGUCAUCAGUGUAGGUAUCUUUUUUUGUGCAAAAUUGCGUCUAAAAAAUGUUAUUAUUUUGGGAUAGGAAGCCCAAAGCAUAACUUUCUCUUUGUAAUUUGAUUAGUUCAAAGAGAAUAACUAAUCUUGUCUCAAGUUAUUUCAAGCCUUUUUUUACUAGUUUAAAUUAAAUUGUUUCAUAGAUAUCAAAUAAAACAAUAUUCCAAGAAUAAAUAAUAUAUUUUCAAAGCCUAACUCAAUAUGAUUUAUAACUCAAGUUGCCCAACUCAAACAAAAUCCAAACAUUUUUCCUAAGCUCAGUUUGAAAUAGAAUUGAGCUCAAAUUUGAGAAAAAUGUAUGGGUUAGCCUCAAGUCGAUAGAGUUGGGUAGAUUAUGCGUGUUAGUGAUGAAGUCAAAACUUAGGUUAAGUCAUGGGUUUGGAAGGACUGGAUUGAACUACAAAAAAAGUGUAUAAAAUAUUAAUAAGCCAAAAAGAGAACGAGAGCUAAGUGUCACGGACUUAGUCUUUUCCUAAGCUCGUGCCACACUUAGACAAUUUAAGACCCUUGACCUUGCUAAGUCAGCCUUACUCCUAAUGUUUGGCUUGCUAGGCUAAGAUGCACACGACUUAGGAGCUAGUAGGCACACAUAGGCAACACUUGAAGAAUAUGAAGUUUUAUUGCUCUCAAAGGAUGCUUUACAAGUGCUUUGGAACUCACUUGUUUGGUGCGUUGGCCAAAUAAGGCCCUCACCUAUUUAUAGGCACCAAUGGAACUCUCUAGAAUCUUGGAGGGUUCCUUACAAUUCAUGAAUAUUCUAGAACAUCCUACACAAUUCUAUGUACAAGCCUAUGUACAAGAAUAUACAAGAGACUUUUGGAAUUCUCUAGAAAGCUUUAGACUCCUCUCAUGCCUUCCACCAUAGUGUAGAAAUGUGUGAACAUCUUUAGGCUUCUUUAGAAGCUUUCCCACUCUUCCCACCUAUGGCUUAGUGUAGAUGGCUCCAAAAGUCUCUAGAAGUUUCUCACUUCCUAUAUAAACCCAUGGGGAGGGUCAUUUGUGCAUUAUGUGGCACUCUCCCCCACCUAAGCCGCAAACGUCCUCGUCGCACCUUCUGUUUGAAACUGCUCAAUUUGCUUCUAGAACUGCCAUAGUGCAUCCACUGGCUCCUAGCUAGCCUCGCUCUCUGGUAAUCUCUUCCAUUUCACCAAGUACUCUGUAGCCGAAGGCACACCUCGUCUCCUUAUGACUCGGUCUACAAUGAUGUACUCUACCUCCUUAUCAUAGAAGGUUACGACCACUAUAGGUGUCCUCUUAAACAACCAUCGGCUUGGAUCAUUCUUGUCUUUGUGAUAUGGUUUUAAGCAUGAAAGAAAAUAUCGAGAUAUAUCGGCAAUACAUCGCCGAUAUAUCGUGUAUCAGAGGUUAUGGAAAUGAUAUUUGGUGGAGAAAUAUCGUUUUGGCGAAAUUUCAGGGAAAAAUUCUAAAUAUCGGCGAUAUGGCGAUAAAUCAUCGAUUUUUCUCGAUAUAUCGAAAUAGUCAACGCGGUCAAACCCGCUACAGUGCGGUCAAACAAGCUACAAUGCGGUCAAAAGCGCUAUAGUGCCCCUUGUACAGUAUCUGUUAUCCUCAAAAUUCCACUCUCUAUUGCUAAGGGGAUUCGAGCCACUUUACCACCAGGGUAAGUUUGCCCCUUGUUAAAUAAAAGGCACUAAAGAUAUAUAUUCAAAGUUCUCAUAUAAAGAAAAUAUUAAAAAAAUAUUUUAGAGAGCCAAUUAAUUAUAAUUAUUUUAUAAUUAAAUGCAAAAAUUUCUUUUAAUUGAUUACCAAAAAUAUAAACAUUAUUAUGAUAAUUUUCUUCACAAUGUUUUUAAUAUCAUUAAUAGAUCAAUUAAAUAUUAAAAAACUGUGCAUAUAUCACAAUUUAUUUUAUAUCAUCUAACACAAUUGAAUUGAAUGGAUCAUAAUUAUAAUAUUAAUAUAUAUUUUAAAAUUAAACAUAUUAUAAUCAAAUAUCAUAAUAUUUGAUGUAAUUUAAUAAUAAAUGUACACUUAUAAAAUUCAUAUUUUUAUUGAUGCAUACAAUAUUAUUAUCAAAUAUGAUAAAUCAUAUUAUACAUAUAUCAAAUUCUUUAAUAAAACAAUUUUAAAAUAUCUAUUAUACUUUUAAUUACAUUUUUAUGAAGUUUUUCUUAUAUUUUUAUAAAUUUUGAUCAAUUUUAGGCCUAUUGAUAUUUUUUUUUCAAAAUAUCUGCCAAUAUAUCUGAUAUAUCCGUAAAAUCCAAGUACCGAUAUAUCCGUGAUUACCGAUAUUUUUAUCCUUGGUUUUAAGUAACUCACAUGAGAUGAAUCUUCAACCUUGGUGGCAACUCAACUUUAUAGGACACCUUGCUAACCUUCCCAAGUAUGGGGAAGGGUUCCUUAUACCUCCUCACAAAGCCCUUAUACAUCGACCUCAGCAAUUUGAAUUGUUAAGGAAGGAGCUUGACAAGCACCAUGUCCCCAACCUUAUACUCCGUGUGACAUCGCUUCUUGUUAGCCCACUUCUUUAUUUUCUUAGUGGCCUUGACCAAGUAUGAGCGAGUUAUAUCGGCUUACUCGUGCCACCCCUUAGCAAACUUAAAAGCCACCAGAAUUCUCCCCGUAUAGCCCAUCACUAGUGUGUGAGGAGUCAAUGGCUGCUGCCUCAUGGCUAGCUCAAACGGGCUCUUAUUGGUCGCCUCACUUCUUUACAAGUUGUAUGAGAACUGGGCCACAUCUAGAAACUUAGCUCAAUCCUUUUGGUUAGAACUCACGAAGUGCCUCAAGUAUAGUUCAAGUAAAGCAUUCACCCUCUCAGUUUGUCAAUCCGUCUGUGAGUGAAAGCUUGUAGAGAAGUGAAACUCUGAACUCAUAAGCUUGAAAAGCUCUAUCCAAAACUUCCUAGUGAAGUGCAGGUCGCGAUCACUGAUGAUGUACUUAGGUAACCCCCAAUACUUGACCACAUGCUUAAAUAAUAGCCUUGGCAACUCUUCUGUAAUGCAGUCCGUAGGGGCUACUAUGAAGGUAGCAUACUUAGAGAACAUGUCUACUACUACUAUGAUCGAGUCAUAGUCCUCCAACUUAGGUAGCCCAAUGAUGAAGUCCAUAGUGACGCUCUCCUAUGGAUGCUCCUCUAUAGGUAAUGGCUCCAAUAGGCCUCUAAGUUGUCGUUGCUCUACCUUGUCUUGUUGGCACACAAGACAAGUCCUCACAUAGGCCUCAACUUCAUCCCGUAUCUGAGGUCAGUAGUAAGUGGACUUAAGUGGUGCCCUUGUGCGUUGUUACCUAAGGUGCCCAACCCACUUGGUGUCAUGACACUCCUUGAUAAAAUCUCUUCUUAUAUUCCCCUACUUAGGCAUGUAGAGUCGUUUGUGCUUGGUGUAUAGUAAGUUAUUCUCCACCUAGAACAACUUAGUCUUUCUUUCAUGAGCUAAGGCAAUGAGACUCUUAGCCAGUGGAUUGUGCUGCAACCCUUCCUUUAAAAUAUCCACCAUGUCUCCUUGGGGUUGGCUCAUCAUGGAAGCUAGCUCUACCUUGCGGCUUAGGGCAUUGGCCACAUGAUUAGCACUUCUUACCUUAUACUCCAACGUGUAGUCGAACUCGACCAGGAAGUCUUGCCACCUAGUUUGCUUAAGAGUUAGCUUCAUUUGCGUUUAGAAGUAACCGAUGGCAACAUUGUCGGUCUUUACUACAAAGUGGACCCUAGUAGAUAAUGCCUCCAUGUGUGCAAGCAGUAAAAGAUGGCGGUCAUUUUUUUUUUUUUUUUUUUGCACCAUGUAGCACCUCUCUGUGUCAUUUAGUUUGCGACUCUCGAAGGCUAUCGGAUGCCUAUCUUGCAUAAGACUCUCCCUAUAGCAAAGUUUGAGGCAUCCGUGUGUACCUCAAAUACCUUGGUGUGGUCAAGUAAUGCCAACACCGGCUCCUCAGUCACAACCUUCUUUAAAUCUUCAAAGGCUUGUUAGCACUUUUCGUCCCACUCUCAUGUCUUGUUUUUCUUGAGAAGAUCGGUUAGUGGAGCUGCCCAUAUAAAAUAUCCCUUAAUAAAUUGUCGAUAGUAAUUAACCAGACCAAGAAAAUAUCUUAGUUGAGGUACCUUGGUUGGUGGAUCCCAAUCUUGGAUGGCCUUUACUUUGUCAUCAUCCAUCAUCAACUUGCCAUCCUUGAUGCGAUGCCCUAGGAAGCUCACCUUUUCCCUAGCAAAUGAACACUUUUCCUUCUUUACAUAUAGCUCGUCCUACCUUAGGAUCUUGAAGACCUUCCUUAGAUGCUCUACAUGUUCCUCCAGGGUGUUACUAUAAAUGACUAUGUCAUCCAAGUAUACCACCAUGAACUUGUUUAGAUAUGAAUGGAAGAUCUUGUUCAUAAGUGUGCAGAAUGUUGUUGGUGCAUUGGUGAGACCAAAUGGCAUCACUAAGAACUCAUAUGAGUCAUACCGAGUCAUGCAUAUAGUCUUCGGCUUGUCCCCUUCCGCAAUCCUCACUUGGUAGUUUCCUGAUCUCAAGUCCAACUUAGUGAAGUACUUUUCCCUACUAAGUUGAUCAAAUAGAUCAAUAAUGAGUGGAAUGGGGUACUUGUUCUUUAUCGUUACCUUAUUGAGUGCCCGGUAGUCAAUGCAUAUCCUCAGGGACCCAUUAUACUUCAUCUGAAACAAGAUCAGGGCGCCAUAGGGAGUCUUAGAUGGUUGGAUGAACCCCGUAUCUAGUAACUCCUUGAGUUGUCUCCUUACUUCCUCCAGCUCAGGCGGUGCCAUCCUAUAUGGUCCCAUAGUAAGGGGCUUAGCUCCUAGCUCUAACUCAAUCUUAUGGUCUUCCUUUCUUCUAAGUGGGAGACUCUUGGGCAACUCGGGUGGCAUCACGUCCUUGAACUCAUCAAGAACUCCCUUGAUUUCCUUAGGCAGGGGCUCUUCAACCCAUCACCAUUUUCCUCUUUAAGGAUAGCCAGGGUCACCUCUUUCCUCUUUAACCCCUUCUAUAUUUGCAUAGCUAAUAACAUAGGGGUCUUGGGAGAAUCCUCGGUGACCGUAGGGACCAUGUAUGGAUUCUCCUCCUCUACAAUAGCCAUUGAGCAUAGGAAGGGUAGUGGAACGCCUUGACCUUCCGUAGGAAGUCCAUCUCCAAUACCAUCUUGAAGUUAUCCAUGGGUACCCCUAUGAAGUUGACCAUUUCUUACCAUGAACCAAUGCAUAGCCACCUUGUGUGCUACACCAUGUGAUGGCUUGGUAGCUAAAUUAACUUCCUUGAGCUAACGUCCCUCCUUGGAUGCUUAGAGCUCCAGUCUCUUUGCCUCAUCCUUCGAGACAAAGUUAUGCGUGGCAUUAGUGUCCACCAAGGCCUUGGUGGCUUUUCUAUUUACAUGGGCCUCCACGUACAUUAGCCAUUUGUUUUGAGGUGUCUUAGGGUGUUUAGGAGUUGUAAUGAUCCUACAUGAGCAUUUAUCUCCUCCUCAUUCUCCUCCAUCAUGGCAUUUAAGGCUUUUCUCUUAGGGUAGUUCCUCACCCAAUGUGGACCGUCACAUAGGAAGCGGUUGGUCCUGGGUGUGAACUUUUUUUGUUUGUCCUUGCCCUUGCCAUCCUUGUUACUAGGGACCUUGCUUGAUUCUUUCUUAGGAAUGUAGCCCCUUGACCCCUUGUCUUCCCCACUUUUAGCAUGAUUACCCUUGGAUUGUGGCUUAAGCUUGGAGAAGUUUUCCCUUUUGUAUUCUACCAAGGACUCUACUACCGCCAUGGUCAUGGCUAGGUCUUGGACACCACAACUCCUCAACUCUUGCUCGACCUAGAUUUAUAGGUUGUCCAUGAAUUUGAGUAGUAGUUCUGUCUCGGACAUGUUGGGAAUCUCAAGCAUUAGUGUAUAGAAUUCCUUAACAUACUAAUGGAUCGAGCUCGUGUGCUUGAGAUGUUUCAUGUUUUUCCUUACUAGGUAAGCCACGUCCUCAAGGCAGAAUUGCCUUUUGAUAUUCCACUCAAAAGCGUCCCAUUUUCUAUAUUGGAAAACCUCCAACACCACCAUAGAGUAGCAUUAUCAGUGAGGUAAAGGGUCGCGAUGCAUACCUUGGUAGCUUCAUCUGUUAGUGCGAUAACCUUAAAGUACCUCUCCAUGUGCCACAAGAAGUUGUCCAGUUCUUAACAUCCCUCUUGCCACUAAACAUGUGUGGCUUAAGCACCUCCAUCCUUAGUGGUGCCUCAUGAGUGGCCAUGACCCAUGCUGACACUAUGGUCUUGUAGAUGGCCAGCUUUUGUUGAACCUUCUAGUCUCGGGCCUCCAUGUGUGCAGCAAAGGUCUCCACUUGACUCCAUGCUAACAAACAUGCUCAUGACCUUGUCUUGGAAGGAUAUGAACUCCUCGUGUGACAUCGACUGAACUUGUGAGACGAGCAUCCCCUCACUAAGGUCCUAGAUUUGCUUCCUUAGAUCUUUUAAGCCUUUCUCCAUGCCUUGCUCAAUCAAGUCCAUCCCUUCCCGAGUGUCUGCCAUGGCUAGCUUUACCUUGGCUAACCUUGCCUCCAUGUUGGCUAAGGCAUCAUGAGACUUAUCCUUCCUGCCCUUGCCUUGUGUAAUAGGCUCGGUCUCCCUCAUAGGGUUUGCUCACUAGUCUCAUCCACGUUGGAACCUGACAUGCUUCCUUCUCUAUGCUUGCUUCGUAGUUGCGCUCUAAUACCAAUUGUCAUGGACUUAGUCUUUUCCUAAGCUCGUGCAACACUUAGACAAGUCAAGACCCUUGACCUUGCUAAGUCAGCCUUACUAUUGAUGUUUGGCUUGCUAGGCUAAGAUGCACACAACUUGAGAGCUAGUAGGCACACGUAGGCAACACUUGAAGAGUAGGAAGCUUUAUUUCUAUCAAAGGAUGCUUUACAAGUGCUUUGAACUCACUUUCUUGGUGUCUUGGCCAAAUAAGGCCCUUAACUAUUUAUAGGCACUAAUGGAACUCUCUAAAACCUUAGAGGGUUCCUUACAAUUCAUGAAUAUUCUAGAGCAUCCUACAAUUCUAUGUACAAGCCUAUGUACAAGAAUAUACAAGAGACUUUUGGAAUUCUCUAGAAAGCCUUAGACUCCUCUCAUGCCUUCCACCAUAGUGUAGAGAUGUGUGGACAUCUUUAGGCUCUUCUAGAAGCUUCCACACUCUUUCCACCAAUGGCUUAGUGUAAAUGGCUCCAAGAGUCUCCAAAAACUUCCCACCUCCUAUAUAAGCCCAUGAGGAGGGUCAUUGGUGCAUCCUGUGACAUAAGGCUCACAUUGCCACAAACAUAAUAAAACCUACAAACACAAAAUAUAAAUUAGUUAUAGAAAUAGCUGAAAACCAAUGAAGAUCAUACAUUUGUUAAAAAAACAAAUAUAAAUAUCAUUCUUCAACUCACAAGAAUAUUGCUAAUUGAAUAGAGGUCAAGAUUGAAUAUUUUCAAACACACACACACACACACACACACAUAUAUAUAUUCACAACAUGGUGACCUUGUGUACAAGUAGAAAUUUAAUAACAUACAAUAAAGAAAACGCGCUCACACACACACACACUUGUGUACAAUUAUAAAUUUAAUAACAUACAAUAAAGAAAACAUGCACGCACACACACACACAUACACACAUAUAUAUAAAAGCAACAUAUUUGUCUUAGUCAAGUCCGAUAGUAUUCACAACAUGGUGACCCUAUGUACAAGUAGAAAUUUAAUAACAUACAAUAGAGAAAACACUAUAAUCAACUACUCAAUAUAAGUUUGACAUUGAUAUAUGAAACUUACAUUUGUAAAGUAGCAAAGAAGAAACACCAAAACAAUUUUAAAAGGUUCCAAGAGAAAAAGAAUUGAAUAUUGGCAAGAUAUUUACUCAUUUUGAUACAACCCACAACAAGAAGUAAGAACUUUGAAAGUUGCAGCACCAAAUUAAAUUUCACAUGAUACCAAAAUUGUAUCCCAAAAGUUAAUCCAAGGAAGAAAAAAUGUUAAUUGCUCAUGACACAUAUUAAUAUCUCAAUGACCAAGUCUUUAAAGUUGCACCUAAUCCUCAAAUUCAUUAUCAUUCCCUAGAUUUUGAAAAUGAGGAUGUGUUAUUUAAAUAAAAUAGAUAAAAAAACAAUAAAACAAGUUAUUUUUAUUAUAAGUAAAAAAAUACCUUGAGCAUGAAAGUUUUUAUAAGUGCCAUAAGCUAAUAUUUCCUAAGGAGAAAAUUCAUUUUUGAUACCUACAAAAUAUAGACAUAUAUUGAUAUAAAAACUCACCAAAUUUAAAGAAUGAAAAUAAAAUAGAAAAACCUAAAUAUAAAUUACCUAUCUCAGUUCCAUCGAGCAUAAUUUUUUCUAGUAUCAAUUGGAUUGGUUGAAGUACAUUAAAGUCAAUUUUGUGCACAAAUCAAGAACUAAACAAUUUUUGGAAUCAAAGAGGUAAAAAAUUGAUCUACUACUUGAUCCCACAUAUGAAAAACAUUUUCAAAAGUAAAUGUUGACAUAAGAAUUAUCAAAAUAUCUUGAGCCGUAAGAGAGGUACAUUAUUUCACUACAAAAAAAAUUAUCAUAUAGACAUAAUUUUAAUAGAGGUUAAUAAAUUCUACAACUAAACGUAACAUAUAGCCUCACUUCUAUUUAAUCCUAGUCUAGAAUGUGGAGUUUCCUACCAAAUUAAUAAAAUCGUGCAAAUAUAGGAAUGGGUUGACUGCUUCUACAAUUGUUCUAUAUCUAUAAGAAUGAUUUGAUAGCUACUAUAUAUGGUUAAAUAGAGUCGCUACCAUAUGAAUUUUAAAAGCCAUGUAGCUUGACCACUUGACCACUACUGUAGGACCCAUGUAUAAUUAGCUUAAGACCUUCCCCACUCAUCCUCUUACCCGUAAAGACUGAAACUUGAUAAGACCCUUACUUGAAAAACAUAGAUAGGCAGAAACUAGUGUCAUCACUACUAUCAUGUCACCGACAACCACCGCUUCAUUGCCAUCAUAACUCUUUUUGUUCUAUAUUUUUUGCACCAACACCACAAUUGCAUUCAUUAAGUACAAACAUUAUUUCAAGUUCAUAUAAUUCUCUCGUUUCAUUCAUAUUUCUCAUCAUGGCUCUUUGGUUUUUCUAUUACUUUUGAUAUGGCUUUCACUCUUUAAUUUUUUGCCUAUUAUCUAUUUAUUAUUGUUAUUGUUUUAUAUCUAAUUUUCACUCUAUGAUUUUUUAUGAUUUUCUCCCUCUGAUUUCUAGUCUAUCAUUUGUUUUUGUUUUUUUUUUUUUUUCUCAUUUCUUGUCUAUUAUCUAGUUUUUUAGGGCAUUUGUCAGAGAAAUUAGAGGCAAAUUUUAGGUUCCUAAUUUCCAAGUAUAACUUCUCUAUUUUUUGCUCUUUACAACACCUAUUUUAGUGUCUUGUUCUAAUUGAUUGAGUUUUAGGCCUUCUGGAUUCUAUUGAUUUCCUUGUGAAUGCAAGAAUUUGAAUUUCUCAAGGCUUUAUUCAACCAAAUUCACAAGAUUUGGUUCAAACAUUUGUCUAGUCUAUGAAUGAUAGUAGUUUGGAGGUUUCAAUUUAGUUUGAUUUUUUAUUUUAUUUUAUUUUAUUUUUUGUCAUUGUUUUGAUUAUAUGAUUAAUGAAAUUAAGGUUGAUUUUGUACUAUGAUUGGUGGAGAAAGGGCCGAUGUAUACUCCAAUAUUAUGAAAGUUAAUUUUCUUUAUUUUCUUGACAACCAAAUAGACAUGAUGCUACUAGAACUAGGUAAAUUCUUAAUUUGAAGAAAUCUAUAAGAAAAUUAGUAAACAAGCAUGUUGGGGAAUCACAAAUCAUACAGAAUGAUUAUGAAAUCUUAUCACCUAAACAUACGCUAGAAUCUCAUGUUAAAUCUAUAGGAUAAUAAUAUUGGAGGACAUACUUGAAUCCAUUGAGAUUAUGUACUUGGUUCUUAUCUUCCACGUCUGAAAUGAGUAUUACAGCCUUAAAAUCACUCUGUGGACCCCGUAUUUCGAUCGCUCGAAUGCGUUUCCCACUCGAUGGUGAAACUCGAUUUUUAUUUGAAAAAUUGAUUUUUAUUGAUUAUUUGAAAAUGACUUGGAGUCGCCACUUAUUUUUGUUUUAUUUUUAAAGGGUAAACAAAAUAAGAAAGAAAAACCCUAAGUGUGACUCCUUAUUUUGGAAAAGGUGGUCUGUGAAAAACCGGAUUGGGUUCGGGGGUCAGGUUACUUAUCGGGAAGGUACGGUAAAGACCGUAGCACCCCUCUAAGUCCCUAAAGUCGGGUCUCUACUAAUAAAAUGAAGCUGACAUGGCAAUGGAUGAAUAAAUCAAUGAAUACUCAGAGCGAAACAUGCACAUACGGGAGUCAGAAAAUGCACAUAGACUAAAUAGAGUAGGAAUGAGUGUGUACCUGAGCAGCGAACCACUAUGCGCUAUCAAGAGAAAUGAGAUUAGUACAAAACAAUGAUCACAAGAUAUAGCAACAUGUCACUAAACUGAAUACAAAAUCAUCAAAAGCACGCAUGACACUCCACUCAAAAUUCAUUUUUAUUUUAAAGCAAAUUUUAUUUGAUGUUGGGCCCCCACCAAAGCCCAUUUAUUUUGCAUGAAUCAAUUCCAUAAAUUCCAUCACUUGAAAUUACGGAAUUUAAUUCGUGCUUAUUUUUAAAACAUUUUUAAAAACAAAGAAAAUGCAAAAGUGGCUUGCCGAAAGAAAAAUGGCAACCAAAUUUUUAUUGAAAAUGGGAUUUUGGUAUCCAAAAAAACUCUAAGGAUGGAAAAUUUGAUGAUUUGAAACCGUUUAAAGAAAACCCGAAGUUAGAAAAUCAUUUGAAAACGGGGUUAGGGAAUUAUUUUUGAAAUCAAAAGGAAAGAAUUUUGGGAUGGGGCACGCGGCCCUAAGUUGGCCAUGCAAAAGGUGGCCAUGCACGCGGACUCGAGGUGCAAAUGGUACCCUGCUUUGAAAGUUGGUGAUCUGCAGCUUCAAGAAGGGUCCCCUUCUCAACAUGGUCCCACCACUUGAAGAGGAAGUUGUUGUCCACCAGUUUGAACCAAGGAGACAUCUGCGGACUUUCUUCGCUAGCAUCCGCUUUCCUCAACGGCUCUUUCAGAUAAUUCAGGGACACAUACUUGACAUCAGCAGUUUCAUCAGGGUUUGGGAUUCACAUUAAAAUCUCGGAUAAUGAAGAAUAGAUGAUCAAGUUCAUGCUCUCCCCACUUGCCAUCUGACGAUGCCUUGUAAAGCAUGUGGCCCAAUGAAGUGAACUGACCAACAGGUGCAUCUUCAACAGGAGGGCCGAGUUCAUCCAACAACUUUCUUUAUGCAGCAUGCCGCGCUCCAAGCGCAUUCUCAUCAACAAGUUCUGAUUCCUGGUAAAGAGGAUGGCUGCAGCAGGUGUUUAUCCACAACAAAGGAACUAUCACCUUUAUGGCAGACUCUUGCUGAAGGAGUAAUUCAUACUCCGAGUUAGACAGAAAUACACCGAAGACGCCAUGUAGCGGAUUCUCAGAUUCAUUCUUUUCCAUCUAAUGACAAUGGUAUUUGGUAUCGUGACCAACAAUACGAUCGUUCUCAUCCACCCAAACACAUUCGUCCCCGAACAUGAGACGGCGCUGAAUGGCCUCCAUGCCGACAUCAACGAAGGCACCCAUGGCGAUCAAUUCUCUAAUUCGGUCAGGUCCCCAGUCCCGACAUUGGCAUCUUUGGACGUUCUCAUUCAAUGAAAUUCUGAUGGAUGAUCCUUGCCAUGCAUGCAAUCAGACCCUCUAUCUGCGGUGUGGAAACUCACCACAAUGCAUUUUAGAAGAUUUCCUUCCUAAAUCCCCAUGCAAUAACUAAUGCGGAGCCCAUGAUAACCUGUAGGGUGAUAGGAUUUGUUUGAGUGAGAGCGGAUCCCAAUGCUCUCAAAAUCAAGCCACCGGCCCCACACUGAAGAGGCACCGACAGAGGAUGACGAACUGUCAAAAUCUGAAGCAAAAGUUUCUCCGAAAACCGUCCUGAAGCUUCUUGAGAGCUGGUGAUGAAGGAGCAUUCGGUGCGACUAUAGGAGACUUCUCAAACAUCAAGUAAGUUGAAUAGAAUCCCACACCAAACUGUACAAUCGUGCCCACAUCAGUGCCAGUAGCUGAAGCUUCCAUGAGUUCCUCAUGAAGGUUACAUGGUGUGAAAAAUAUAGGCAUGAUGGGUUUCAAAGAUAUGGGCAUCUUUAGUGGACCGGGUAAUAGGAGAGAUAAAUUAGUGACCCUUGGAAUAUGGUAAUGAAAUUAUGAGGGAUGAAUGGUGGGUGACGGGUAUGCGGAAUGGAGAGAUGAGUUGGAUAGAUGAGUGAUAGGUAGGGUGGAGUGUGAGGAUGCAGGGAAAGAAGAGGUUAUAGCGGUGGGAUUAGAUGGGUAUGUGCAUGGGGAUAGGCUAUGUGCAGGAUUAUGGGUAUGUGCAUGGAGUUAAUGGAAUGGGUAAUGGGGACGGGUGUGAAGAGCAAUAGGAAUAAUGGGAAUGCAUGAGGAUAAAUGGGUAUUAUGGAGAAUAGGUUCUGUAAAGAUGAUGGAAUGGUUUGGCUUGUGGCAGAGCUUGGUUAUGGCCUUGAGGAUUAUCACCAGCUAACUUCAGGUCAUCGGCAUCAGUUACAGGUUGAGAGAGAAAACAGUCAACUGACAAUGGCUAAUGGGUCCCCUCUGGUACCUGAAAAUUCUCGUUAUCUAGAACAUGAGUGGCAGCCUUUGCAGGCCUUUCUUGAACUUCUUGCAUUUCCAGCACUUGAGCAGUUGCAUCUCCACAACUCCCAAAUGAGUGUCUCCAUUUGUAGCAAGAACCUCAAAAACACCAUUGUCAAUAGUCAAGACGCUAACAUCGAAGAUUCCACCACCAAGGUCAAAAACAAGGAUGUUCUUCUCACCACCCUUCUUGUCCAAACCCUAUGCAAUAGCUGCAGCAGUUGGCGCCACGAAGACGAGUAAUAAGCGUAGCUCCUGCAUGAAGCCCAGGAUUUUUACCAUCCUUGUCAUCUACUGCCACUUGGAACUUUGACCUCUGAUUUUGAGCCUUGGUUAUCGGUUCUGUUUCUUUAUCAACCCCAACUUCAGAAUCAGGUCCAGAGAUUUCACAAUUCUCUUCGCGUGAGUGCAUGGCUACACAAUCUCUGAGAAGCAUAGAUCUAAAAAAUGCAUCAGCGGAUUAUUCGGGUCCAGAGGGAUUCAAUGGCGACGAAAAGGAUAGAUUCUCAGAGGUAAUGAUUGUGUCUGCCAUAGUGAACCUUCAUUGCAUAGCAUUGAAUUAGAGAGGAAAUAUUCAUGGCUGCAAGGAUGAGUUAUCACCAUGCUUCCCCUUUAGUGGUGGGGUCCAGUAAGGAUAUUCAAUGAGAAACGAAUCAGCACUACAGUCCUUUAUUUCAGCAUGAGAUGCCUCUUCCUGUCUGUUCUUAGAAAUGGAAAUCCCUGUUUCAAGGAGAGAAACCAAUGAACUAAGCCGCUGAUCCCAAACAUGUGGACCAAUGAGGAGAGAACGCCUCGAGCAGUUGAGUUCCAGAAUGUCUACUGCCACUUGACCCACCAUAAUCGCCAAGCUUAGUCAAUGCCUCCAAGUGCUUUGUAAGAAACAGGUCCAAAACACUAAGAUAUGUCACAGUGUUAGAAAAGACGUUGAAGAGAUCCUUGAUCAAGCCACUCCACCAGAUUCUAUGGCGAUAGAUUUCACCGAAGACAUGAAGAGCGACGACGAAGCCAAUAAAGCAAAGGCUCGUCACAAGAACCACCAUCGGAGUAAUCUUCAAGCCCGGAGCGUCAUCGGUGUAGAACCGGAGCAAGUUGCUCCAGCUGUUGCCACUGCUGAACCUUUGUGCUCUCCUUAGUGCCGCGGAUGGUAUCCAUCAGACCCAAGAUCCUCCUACAGCAAUGAACAAGGCGUCCAAACACUUGUAUCCUUCUCAAAUAUUCAUUCGGAAUGGUCAAGGUCAGCUAGACUGGAGCAGUUCGAUGAAGACAGCAGCAAGAUUGCACUCUCGGCAAGGUGCAAUGGCAUCUGGUUCGUCAACCAAAAUCAAUCAUAUAUGAAAUAAAACCCACAACUCAGAGCACAUGAUUUUCGGGUGUCAAAGAAAUCCCAACAGGAUAAACCCCGUGUAUUCUUGUUUUCACAGUCGACAUCUUUUGGCAGGACCAUCCUUGAGAUUAACUUCCUUGCUACUUAUACCAGAUUUCUUUAUAGCGCCUGACUCAUUCGUAUCAACAAUGAACUGGAGCCCCCCUUGAGUGAGUUCUCCUCAUACGUCACUGCUGAAUGGUGUCAUUAAGCCAAACGGGGCCUCUCUUGAACCUCACACAACCCCAAGUAAGGACUUCUUGAAUCCCCAAAAGUUGUUGGUACCUUACGCGGACAUUUUCUGGUUCAAAUUCUGUAGCUGCCAAUACCUUCUGAAGAUCUCUUUCCCAGUCUUAAGGCCUAGCGGUCUCUUUCAGGGAAAACAGAGGGCAAGAGAAUAGAAAGAGGGAACAGAGUAUGGAAGAAAAAGAAAAACAAGUAAAAAGGUCCUCAAAGAAGGCUUCACAUCAUGAGUUUUCCGAGAACCUUCUCGGGUUAGGGUGAGGGAUAUAGUAUCAAAUGCAAAUAAAUGACAGGACUCUUGGGUAUUUCACAUCAGAGACAAUGCAUACCAAAGCUAACAAUAUGAAUCCAGGACUAUAUCUCAACAAGGAAUAGGUGGCCUUCAUUAUCCCCCUCAAGCAAGCAAACUAAAACUCAAAUAUCAAUAGAAAACGGGUAGCAAUAAUAAGAAUCUGAAUCAAACCAUAUAUCAGUUGCAUCCAUACCUGAAAAUGCCCUUUUGCAGUAAGGUCUUGUUAGCUUUCCCAGCUCCAGAAAAGGCUCCUCCUCCCUCUCGAAAAUCUCCAGGAAUACCCUCUACCUCCAACUGAACCCUCCUCCUCUCUAGUUGCUCCCCAGAAAUCCUCCUGUUUCUCUCAGCUCCCUCUCUCUAAAAUCCCAGCUCUCCUCCUUCCUCUCCAGCAUCCUUCCUCUGGACCCGUUAGCCUCUCUCUCUUUUUCUCCCUCCAGCUCUCUGUUCUCUCUCACUCUCUCCAACGGCCGAGCCUCUCUGUUCUCUCUCACUCUCUCUGUAGCUUUCCAGCUAAAAAUAUCUCCUUCUCAGCAACCUAGAAAACCCGACUGCCCCUUCCCCGGGCUCACCUCUCACCUUUUUCUGGUUCCCUCUCUACAGCUUUUUCUUAAAAAAAUCUCUCCCUCUACCCAAAGUAACCAAACAAAAGCUGCUCUCCCCGGUAAAGCUCCCUGCCACCUUCCUCUUCUAGGCCCAUAUCCAUUUUCUCUCCCGGAUUUGCCCCUCCGACCAUCCCUGCAGCCACCUCCAGCACCCCUACACUCUGCACCACUACCUUGCUAAUAACAGAAGACGCUCCUCAAGACAACGACCUGCAGAUCCUCAUGCCACCUGUCAACCUUCCAUUGGCACUUCAAAAGCAAUAUAUGAUUCUGCAUUGUCCUCUCAAAAGAAGACACGUGGUUGAGCAAGGCUCUUCCACGCGGCCAAAACGAGCAGCUGCAUGAAAGGCCCCAAAUGGGGGUCUACACACUCACUUAUGGGAUGUGAAUAAUAAACAAUUUUUUUUAUCUCCUUUCAUUUAGAUUGGGGACCAUAACCCUAUUUAUACUCAUUAUUUUUAUUUCAUUUAUUGGCUCAUCAUUAAUAAAUAAGAUAAAAUUGAUCUCUACACAUUGCAAAGCUCAUAUAGUACAUAUAUAUAGAAAUGUUUUAAAGGCCCAUUACUAACUUAAUUGAUCACAGUUCAAAUAUAAGAUAGCUUAAUGUAUAAUGUGUUAAUAUGUAGGUCCAUAAUUACCAAAAUAUCCAACAAUCUCCCACUUGGGCCACAUUAUGUCAUUAAACAAUUGAACAUUACAGAAAUGAGCUCAAUAUUUGUUCUCUUAACUAUAAGCAUCUCAAAACAAUUUGGUUCAUCAAAUAUACCAAUAUAGAACCAAAGUGAUCUUCAUUAUAUAUUUUGUAACUAGACCCAACAAUGAUCACCAUAUUAAUACAAUCAACAACAUAGAUCAAGUAUGGAUAUGUAGCAAGGAAAUUUCAUGUAAUGUGAUCUCAUAUCAUGCCUAUUUCCAACUUGUCCAACUUUAUAACUUAAAAGAGUUCAACACACUUUCAAACUUUGUGCAAAACUGCAAUUGAAAGAAUAUAACUUUAUUUUAGAGUUUUCAAUAAGCAAAACAAGAAUAAUACUUAAGUCUGAUCAGAAAAACAUGUUAUUAACUAGUGAACAUCAAUUAACAAACUCCCACUACAAAAGCAUAUCACCAAGAUAAACCACACCCAUACGAGCCACAUGCUCAUGAAACACUUUAGGUGGUACACAUUUGGUAAGUGGAUCUACAAUCAUGAAGUUUGCACUAAUAUGUUCAAUAGACACCUAAAAACUCAGAAUUCUCUCCUUAACAACCAUAAACUUUAAGUCAAUAUGCUUUGAUUUUGACGAGUUUCUAUUGUUCUUUGAAUAUAAUUCUGCAAAUUUGUUGUCACAGUUUAUUUUUAAUGGUCUCUCAAUGUCAUCAACAAUAUGCAAUCUAGUGAUAAAAUUUUGCAGUCAUAUUGCUUGGUUCAAUGCUUCAUAACAAGUUAUAAUUUAUGCUUCCAUGGUGGAAGCAGCUAUGAGUGAUUAUUUAACACUCUUCCAUGAGACAACUCUUUUAGCUAACAUAAAAACACGGCCAGAAAUGGAUCUUCUACUAUCAAUGCAGCCAGCAAAGUUGGAGUUGGAAUACCCUAUGAUCUCUAAAUAAUCAGAUCUCCAAUAUAUGAGCAUGAAAUUUUUUGUUCUCUAUAGAUACCGAAUGACCCAUUUUGUUGUCUUCCAAUGGAUCAUUUCUUGGUUACUUAAAUAUCUAUCAAGCAUACCAACUACAUAGGUAGUAUUUGGACGGAUAUAAACUUGAGCAUGCAUGAGACUCCCUACUGUUGAUGCAUAAAGGAUGUCUUCCAUCUCUUUCUUCUCAAUUUCAUUCUUUGGGCAUUGAAGCAAAUUGAAUUUAUCACCCUUAGCAAUGGGGGUAUUUCCUGGUGCACAAUCCUUCUUACCAAAUCUACUAAGCACUUGAUUAAUAUAUGUCUUUUGUGAUAAGCCAAAAUACCACGAGAAUGAUCUCGAUAAAUCUGUAUGCCUAACACAAAUGAUGCAUUACCAAGAUCUUUCAUUUCAAAAUUAUUUGAAAGAAAUCUCUUAGUUUCAUACAACGGGCCUAUAUCGCUGCUUGCUAGCAUAAUAUCAUCAACAUUUAACACCAUAAGAAUAAAUUUACUCCUACUUAUCUUUUGAUAAAUACAUUGAUCAAUAGUGUUUUCCUUAAAACCAAAAGAAGUAAUCACUUUAUCAAACUUUUGAUUCCAUUGACAUGAUGCUUGUUUUAAACUAUAGAUGGAUUUCUUUAAUUUAUAUACCAGAUGUUUUGACUCUUUGGAUUCAAAAUUCUCUGGUUGCACCAUGUAUAUGGUUUCUUCAAUGUCACCAUUGAGAAAUGCAAUCUUCACAUCCAUUUGAUGUAACUCCAAAGCAUAAUGAGCUACAAGUGUCAUAAUGAUUCUAAAAGAGUCUUUCAUUGAAACUAGAGAGAAAGUCUCUUUAUAAUCAAUGUCUUCAUUUUAAGUGAAACCUUUGGCAACUAGACAUGUCUUAUAUCUUUCGACAUUGCCUUUUGAAUCCUGCUUGGUUUUAUAAAUCCAUUUACAACCAAUCGAUUUUGCUUAUUUAGGCAAUUCGACAAAAUCCCAAACAUCAUUAUCUUCCAUUGAUUUCAUCUCAUCUUUCAUAGCUUUUAUCCAUUUCUAGGAGUUUACACUUUGUUUGGCUUGACUAAAAGAUAUUGGAUCAUCUUCUAGUCCCAUACCAAACUCAUGUUCUUGGAGAUACACGAUAUAAUAAUCUAGAAUCGUUGUUCUCCUCUCCUUAGUGGAUCCCCUUAAUGGCACUUCCAAUUGAGGUUGUUGUUGUUCCUUCUCAUGAAUAGGAAAAGGUUCUUCAUUAUGAGUAAGAGGUAACUCAAGAGUGUCUAGAUUUUCUAGAUUUGCAUCCUAAAUAAUGCCAGAAAUAGUUACCUGAUUAUUUUCAAUUGCAACUGUAAGAAUAAUAACAUAUUCUUCUUCAAAGACAAAGCUCUUGAGUCUAGUAUUCCCACCAUAUCCAACAUCCUCAAUGAAUUUAACAUUUUCCAUCUUCAAAAAAAGAUUUGCUCAAGGGAUCAUAAAACUUAAAACCCCUUGACCUUUUUAAGUACCGAACAAAAUAGCAGUUUACUGUUCUUGAGUCUAAUUUUUUUUCGUUAAGCCUAUAUGGCCUUGCCUUAACUGGAUAACCCCAAACAUGAGGAUGUCUAAUACUAGGCUUCUUUCCAUUCCAUAGCUCAUAUGGGAUUUUAGCUACUGAUUUUCUUGGAACUCGAUUAAGGAUAUAAAAUGCAAUUUUUAUGGUUUCUCUCCAAAGUGAUUUUGGCAAAGAAGAAUGAUUUAUUAUGCUUCUUACCAUAUCCUUCAGGGUCUGGUUUUAUCUCUCAGAUACACCAUUUUGACUUGGAGUCUCUAUCAUGGUGCACUGAGGAACAAUGCCACAUUCCUAUAAGUAUCUCACAAAAGGGCCUAGACGUUGUACACCUCAUCCAUCAUAUCUACCAUAGUACUCACCACCAUGGUCAAAUUUAAUGGUUUUAAUUUUCUUUCCAAGUUGAUUUUCAACUUCAACUCUAUAGGAUUGGAAAACGCCCAACGAUUAAGACUUCUCAUGAAUCAAGUAUAGGUACCCAUAAUGAGAAUAACUGUCUAUGAAAGUAAUAAAAUACUAUUGACCAUUCUAAGAAGCCGUAGAGAAUAGACCACAAAUAUUAGUAUGAAUUAAUUCCAAGACAUUUGAACUCCUGUUGGGACCAAUUUUUUUUUUAUGUUUAUCUACUUUUCCUUAAUGCAUUCAAUGCAUAUUUUCAAAUUCGAAAAGUUAAGAGAAUCAAGAAUUCCUUUUGACACAAGUCUUUGAAUCCUUUGUUUAAAAAUAUGUCCUAAAUGUUUGUGCCAUAACAUGGAAGAAUUCUCAUAAGUUAAUUUAUGAUUUCUACCACUAUUACUUGCAUGCAAGGAUUCAUUAAUAUGUGAGACAUUAAUAUCAAAUUUAUAUAGAUUAUCAACCAAAGAACCUAUACCAAUCAUAUUUGAAUGUUGAAAAAGACUCACUUUUCCAAUUCCAAAUAAACAAGAAUGGCCACAUUUGUCCAAAUGAGAAACAAAUACCAAAUUCCAUCUAAAUGACGAUACAUAAAAAAUCUCAUCCAAAUUCAAAUAACAACCAGAUUCUAAUUGCAAUAUAAAUAAACCAAUCACCUCAACAAGAUCUUUGUUGUCAUUUCCCAUAUAAAUGAAUCUCUCAACAUCAAUUGGCACUCGACUCCUUAAACAACCCCUUUUUGACGAGCCAAUUUGCAUACUUAGGACAAUCCUACUUUACGUGUCCACAUUUCUUACAAAAUAAACAAGUGAUGACCUUAUCAUAUUUCUAUUACACCUUAGGCUAUGAGGUCCCACUGUUUCCAGCUCAUUUUCCUUUACUAUUACUGUUCCUUUUCAUUUUCUUGCUGGCAACAUUGUCAUGAGAAGUAGUAACUAAGUGAGCACUUUCUAUAUUUUCUUGUUUCAAUCUCUCUUCCUCUUGCACACAUUGAGCAAUGAGCUCAUUAAGAGUCCAUUUUUCCUUUUGAGUAUUAUAACUUAUCUUAAAAUGACUAAAUUGUGCAAGGAGAUAGAUUAAGACCAGGUGCACAAGGAUGUCAUCAAACAAGUCCAAAUUUAGUGCACUCAGUUGAAUAACAAGAUUAGACAUUUACAUAAUGUACUCUCUUAUGUUUCUUUUUUCCUUUGUACUGUAUUGAAACAAGUUUAGACAAAAUGGUGCUUGUUUCGACCCUUUUAGAUCCAAUGAAUCAGUCUACUAUUUGGCUUAGGAAACUCUUAGCAUUUUCCUCCUCAAGCAUAGCAUCCCUGAUGGUGUUUGGAAUAGAGUGCUUCAUGAUCAUAAGACUCAUAUAGUUAGAAUGCUCCCACUUUUCAAAGUUAGCCCUUUGUUUCAUAGUACUAUUAUAAAUAAGGGCAGAAAGUCAUUCAGUCUAGAUCGCAUAGUCUAGAACCACACACCCAAGUAAAAUAGUAAUAUGUUCUUUCCAUUUUCCAAAGUUAGUGUCAUUAAGCACUAGAAUGUUGUUUAUGUUAGUAGAUAUAAUGGAAACAUUAACUGUAUGCAGAAUAAAAUAAUAAGCUCACAAUAAACAACAAUGUCAUUUACUUUAAGCAUGUAAGAAUUAACUACAUGUAUACAUAUGACAUAAAAGCAAUAAGAUGGGCUCUUAUAAUAUACCUAACACAACAUUAAUAUUUAGUCUUUGGACAAAAAUAACAAUUUGUAAAUGGUACUAUUAUAAAAAGUAGCUAAUAAAUACUGAUAACAAAUCCUACCAACAAUAUGCCUAUCUUUAGAUUGACUUAUUGCAUGCAUGAACAUCACCAAAAUAUCACAUAUUUACUACCACAAGUGUCUAAAAUCUGGAUAAAAAUAACAUUCCUUUGGGUCAAUUAUUUUAUGCAUAGAUUUAGAUACUAUUCAUAGAAUUCCAUAAUAAAAUCCACAUACUUCAAAAUAAAUAAAUUUACAUAAUAGAGGUCACUUUGGUGACAUAUAAUUUCAAUUUAAUUUAUAUUGAAAUAUUUGAUUUAAACAUGCAAAGUUUUUUUUUUUUUUUCAAUAGUCAAAGUCAAUGGUCCACUGGAUCGGUCAAACAAGUCAGUCAAAGGUCUAACUCUACCCAUUACUUGACCCAACUUAAAUGGACUUGGGUCCAACAAUCCAAAUGGCCCAAUAUAAUGACUUAGGCCCAAUGUCCAAAUGACCUUAUUAAAAGACUCAAGCCCAAUGUCCAAAUUACCCUAUUAAAAGACUUAGGUUCAAUGUCCAAAUGACGUUAUGGAUUAAAAGACUUAAGCCCAAUGUUUAAGUGACCUUAUUAAAGACUUAUAAAAAAAAAGUAACAAGAUAAUGACGAAAAAAUAGGUCAUUAUCACCCAACCACUUCAUCUUUAUCCCCAAAAUUCUUAAAGAAAAAAAAAAAACACUUGUAUUUUAUCUCGAAAAAUAUGCAAACAAUCCUAGAGAAGAUAUCUUCUACUAAAAAUAUUGAUAUUUAUUGGAAAAAUUAUUUAUAAAAAUUAUUUUCAACAAAAAAUAUGGGAAUCUGAAUUAAGGAAAAAUUUCCUUGCAACCAAACACAUAAAAAAUGGUGGAUGAAUGAAUGGAAAUUAGAUUCAAAAAACUUCAUCCACCAUGAAACAUCUUUAAUUAAAACCUAAUAGAUUUAACAAGAGUGGCUCUAAUACCACUUGUUAGAGAAUCACAAAUCAUAUAGAAUGAUUAUAAAAUCUUAUCAUCUAAACAUACGCCAGAAUCUCAUGUUAAAUCUAUAGGAUAAUAAUAUCGAAAGACAUACCUAAAUCCAUUGAGAUUAUGUAUUUGGGACUUGUCUUCCACGUCUGAAAUGAGUAUUGUAGCCUUAAAAUCACUCACUAAUGGGAUGUGAAUAAUAAGCAAUUUUUCUAUCUUUUCUCAUUUAGAACUGGGACCAUAACCCUAUUUAUACCCCUUAUUAUUUUUAUAUUAUUUAUUGGCCCAUCAUUAAUAAAUAAGAUAAAAUUAGUCUCUACGCAUUGCAAAGCCUAUAAAGUCCAUAUAUAUAGAGAUGCUUUAAAGGCUCGUCACUAACUUAAUUGAUCACAUUUAAUUAGACCCAAAUAUAAGAUAACUUCAUGUACAAUAUACUAAUAUGUAAACCUAUAAUUACCAAAAUACCCAACAAAACAAAAACUUGCUAGCACAAAGUUAUUAUAGAUUUUGUUGUUGCCUUUAUCUUUCUUUUUAUCUUUAAUUGUGAAUACAUAUGCAUAUUUUUGUUAUAUUUUUUUCACUUUUCUAUAUAACUGUGAAUUUUAGCAUUAGAGUUUUAAUCUUGGAAAAUUAGAGAGAGAAAUGCUAAAAAUAACUUGAGAUUUGAGUCUAAUCUCAAGCAAUUUUUUUUUCUUUUUCUUUUUUGUUCUUUUCAAGAUCCAAAUGGAGCCCAAGUGAUUUUAGGAAAAUAAAAAAUUAAUUUUCUUGUUAUUCCAAUACAAUUGUUUCAGUUAUGGCAUAGUAGUUUCAAUUAGGUUUUGAUGGAGUAGCCAUUUUGGGAGAAAUUUAAUUAUACUGCAAGCUUUCAAAAAUAACCUUUACUAUGAACUAGACAAAAAAAUUGGGUUCUUACUUUACCAUGUGUUGCUUUCUUAUCUUCUACUGCAUCAAUUGUGUUGUUAAAGUGCCUAAACAUGACAUGCUUUCUUAGUUUUCCUUCUACUCUAUUGAUUGAUGAAUGAUUUUAUCUUGUGAAUUGUUCUUUUUGUUUUUUAUUUUCCAUAGUUUUUGAAUUAUGUCAUUUGGGUGCUUUGUUGUCAAAUUAAUUAGGAUGUUUUGAGGUAGUGAAGAAAUGGAAAUUUGCAUGAAUCCUAAGUGCAGUGAUAAUAUAAGAGAAAUUUUAAUUAACUGUUUCAUGGGUCCCAAAUUUAUUGUGCAGUCCCAAAUUUUUAUUUUUAUUUUUAUUUUUAUUUUUAUUUUUUAUUAUUUGAAUAUCUAGGGAAGUAAUUCUAUAUGCAAUAACCUGCUAGUGAUGAUAACACCCUUCUUAGAGAAUAUACAUAGAUUAAUGGAAAUUUACAUCUCCCAUAACCUCUUUUGUUGUAAUCCUCUAUAACUUCUAUAUUGUAACUGGGUAUGGUAAUGGCCAACAAAUCAGACCAUGAUCUUGAUCUCAUAGGGAAUGCUUCAAGUGUUUGAUAUAUUAAGUUUAUUGAAGAUUGGACAAUGGAUUAUCUAAUGACCUAUGGAUGAUGUGUAACUGUAACUUCUAAACACCCAUCUUACAUAAUAGUAAACCCAUUAAAAUAAAUUCUUUCCUCAAGAUAGCUGUGAAUAUUAUUUAACUCUUUUUAAGAACUUGCCUUUUGGCAUAACAUCUCUAAAAUGGAAUCUAGAGAAGUUAAUAGGUAUGACAAGAUAUUGUUCUAGAUCCAACCAACGAUAUUGUGAUUUGUACUUUUUUUUGUGCACUAUUUUGGUAGAUUCUCAAUAUCUACUUUAUUUUGCUCCUAGUGAAAUAAAAAACCCUUUACCCUCAUUCAUUAUGCUAUCUAAAUUCUCUUAUUUAUCCUAUUAAUAGUUUAUUCGUUUUUCUCUACCAUAUAUUUGUUUUUAGGAUUUUUUUAUCUUAAAUUUUGUAGUUUGGAGUUGCAAUGCCAUACUUUUGUCCACUAUCCUUUAUGAUUAUUUGCACUCUUCUCCUAAAAAAUCAUCCAAUAAAAAGUAACAUUUUCCAAUAAAAAAAAAAACUUAUUCUUAUCAUCUUAUCCCCUCAUUCCAUGAUUUCUAACAGUUGUUCUUGUUAGUUUGCAGGUUUGGUCAACCAAUCGAAGUUAAUUGGGCAUAUCCUAAUAGUCAUAGAGAGGAUACAUCAGAUUUAUAUAUUUGUUUAUUUUUGUUACAUUUUUUUGCUGCAAAUUGGUCUAAUAAUUUCCUUGUUCCUUUAAUCUGUAACUAGCAAUCAAAGCAAAACGGGUUUAACACUACUUGUUUCAAAGCAUAUUUGAAGAAGCUGGAUGGUGGAGAUCCUGAAAAGGACAGCUCAACCGAGGAUAAACUGGACCGUCUAUGGAGAGAAGCUUUCCUCAAGUCAUACAAAGUCAUGGACAAAUAACUAAGGUCCCAUCCUAACUUAGAGUGCUUCUGCAGUGGUAGUGCACCACUAUUACUAUAAUGAGAUAGGUAUGGAAGGAACCCAUACUCCUCUGCUUCUUCUACUUUUUUUUUUUCUUAUUUUUGAUAUUUAUAGUUGGAUCACUACAAGAAAAAUGGGAAACAAUGACGUUUUUUAAGCAUCAAGAAAGGUAACAGAUGACGUUUCUCUAAAGCGUCCUCUUCGCCUCUGUCAUUGUAUGUCUUAGGCAACAAUGACACUUUCAGGAAGCGCCAUCUUUGAUAAAUACUUUCAAUGACGUUUAAAGAAGCAUCAUAUUUGGAUAAUGUUAACAACGACACUCAUAAGAAGCGUCAUCUUUAAACAUUUUCUAGUGAUAUCAUUUUUAUGAAAUAAGCAAUCUUGACAUUUAUAGAAGUGUCAUCUUUAAUAGAUUUUAUCAAUGACACAUCAAACUAUUAAUGUAACUUCAUACUUACAUACAAAUUUAUUAAUUAUAUCAAAAUAUUUCAAUAACAAUUUCUAAUUCUACAAAAGAACAAAUAUUAGUGCAACAACUAUUAAGAUCUAUAUUCUAUAAAAAAUAAGAUCAUCCUCCAAAUGACUUUGAUGUAAUCUUCAUGAUUUUCGGCAUCACUACCUCCUUCAACAUUAUGACUUCUUGUCUUUUGGCCAAUCAAUUUCCUUUGAAACCUAUAAACAAAUACAAGGAGAAUAAAAAAUCUCUCAAUUAUAAAUGUAAAAACCAAAAAGUGCAAUUCAAACUAAAACUCUUACAAAAAUCUUAAAGAAAAAAAAAACACAAGAACCAAUAUAAAAUGAAAAGUAGAAAAAUUUGAGAAAAUUAAACAAUAGAAAAAACACUAGUUCUUUCUUAUUUUAUUUUAUUUUUUUAUUUUAGUUUAGGUGAUUCAAGAGCAAUAGAAAAAUAAAUUUCUAAAUGGGGUUUUGAGUUAUUUACCAAGAACUAAACUGUAAAGAGCAUUAUUAGUUGAUUUUCUCCAAUAAAAUAUAUUUUAUUCAUCAUUCUUCUACCUAAAAACAAAAAAUCAAAUAUACAAUCCAAAGAACAAAACAUAAAUAAAGUUUCAAAGGGAAAUUUUAUAUAUUAUGGGAAAAUGUAAGAAAAAAAUGUUAAGGAAAAAGGUAGAAAAAAUGUCUAAAGAUUUUCCUCUUAAUUUUCAUUGAAUAGAGGUAGGAAAUAUGCAUUCAUCUUAAAUUUAAUAAUUUUCCCAUGGACAACCAAGCAAUCUUACAUUUUCUUUCCUUCUCUUUUUCCUCUUUCUCCCAUUUUCCUCAAGCUUUCCAUGAACAACCAAACAAUCUUAUAUUUUCUUUCCUUCUUUUUUUCCUCUUUCAAUCCUUCUCUCAAUCUUUCCAUGAACAAAUUAACAUAGUCUUCAUAUGUCUUCCUCUCUAUCUUUCUUUCUCUCACAACUCCUUCUCUCAUUUUCUUCACUCUUUCUAUCAAAGAUAUUUAACCGAACAGUUCUCACUUCUUGCCUUUUGCUAGCACCCAAAACAAUUCUCCUACUCUCACAGCUCCUUCCCUCAAUUUUCUUCCCUCCCUCUAUCAAAAAUCUUUAAUUGAACAACCCUUGUUCUCUUGUUUCCUCUUACCUAGAAAAUUCCCACCCUUUCUUCACACUUCUACUCUCCUAAAAGAAAAAUCCCAGCCUCUCUUCUCUUCAACGAAUCACCAUUUUUCACUCCCAAAACUAGCUCCAAAAUAACAAGGUAUAACUUGAACCAAAUGAAAUCAAACCACAAAAACUCAAACCAACUUGUGAAAUCAAUAAAACAUGAGGUAAUUCAUGCAUAGGUUAUGCAAAAUAUUAAAAUAUAAAAUAUUAAUCGAAUUACUAUUUUUACUUAUCAUAUAAUUGAGAAUAUAUGAUUAAAAAGUGUCAAAAGGAAGUUUUCUACCGUUCAAAUCCGAUCUUCACCGUUCAAAUUUAAGAUUAAUGACUUAUGAACCUCUCCUCCAAAUUUCAGCUCAAUCAGACCAUGAACAAAGCGGCAUCGGACCUUUGAUGAAAUCUGGGCAUGAUGUAAAAAACCACUGUUUUUCUCUCUUCUCCUCUUUCUCUCUAAUGACUGUCCAAAACUCCAAAUCCGAUCUCCACCGUUAUAUUGAAGAUACAUGAGCCACGAACCGCUCCUUCAAAUUUCAACUCGAUCGGACCACGGAUGAAGCAGGAUCGGACAUUUGAUGAAAUCUGGGCAUGAUGAGAAAAACCUGCGUUUUUCUCUCUUCUCCUCUCUCUUUAUAAUGACUUUCCGAAACUCCAAAUCAGAUCUUCACCGUUCAGAUUGAAGAUAAAUGAGUCACGAAACUCUCCUCCAAAUUUCAGCUCAAUCGGACCAUGGACGAAGUGGGAUCGGACCUUUGAUGAAAUCUGGGCAUGAUGAGAAAAACUUGUGUUUUUCUCUCUUCUCUUCUUUCUCACUAAAAACCGUGGCUCUCUCCCUUCUUUCUUGUCUUCCAAAAGUUAGGGUUUUCAAUGGAGACUUUAUAACAAAUUCUAAAAUACCAUGCAUGUCCUUUUUCAAUAAAUUAAAAAUAGUAUUCUUUAUUUCAUCUUCCAAUAAUAAUUUUUAUAUAUUGAACUCAUAAUGAAUUUAUAUUGUUUAAUUAUUUGAUAUUUUAGGUUGAUGUUGGUUUAAUUUGAAUAUUGAUAUUUUAAAAAAAAACUAAUUUAAUAGAAUGAGCUUAAUUCUCAUAAAUAUUAGAAAAUUUUUAUAAAUAUUCUUAUUGCAUUUAGUUUUAUUGUGAGUCUAAUCAUCAUUAAAUUAAUUUAAAUAUUAAUUUAUUUCAUUUUAGUUAAAUAAUUUCAAAUUAUAUUCAUUAACUAUAAAACCUUCUCAAAUAAAAGGGUUAAACCCAAUAAAUGUGGCCCAAGGCCCGAACAAGUGCUCAAAAUAGGCCACUUUUUUGUGGUCCACAAAUAAAUUAACAAAUUAUUUUUAAAUGAAAUAUAAGAUAAUUUCUAAUUUAAUAAAAAUGAAAAAUAGUUUAUGAAAAUAGAUUGUAUUGAUACAAACUAUAAAAAAAUUAAUAUCAAAUAAUAAAAAAAAUAAUUUAUUAGGAUUUUAUUUUAUUUAUAUCCAAUUUUUAAAAAAAAACCUUAAUGUAGCAACUUUAUGUCAUUAAUAUUAAUGUCAAUUUACCAUAAUUAAUUUAUAGAAUAAAAUUCUAAUAUCAAAAUUUGUAUAAGUUAACUUAAAAACAAAAAUUUUAAAAGUCAAUACAACUAUGACACUUAUCAGGAACAUCAUUACAUACCCAUCAAAUAAUGAUGCUUAUAAUAAGUAUCAAGGUAAAUAAUAAAACUAUGAUACUUCUUAUAAGCGUCAUUAUAUACACAGUUAUAAGGAAAAAGAUGACAUCAAAUAAUGACACUUAUAAUAAGUAUCAAGAUAAAUAAUACAACUAUGACACUUCUUAUAAGCGUCAUUGUAUACCCUCAAUAAUGACACUUUUAGAAAGCGUCAUAAAAUAAAGCGUCAUUAAUUUCAAUUUUUGUAGUAGUGGAUAUUACUUUUAACCAUGGAAAAGUUUCAAAAUUGUAAGAAAAGUUAAUUCUAAGACAAUGUUGAUGAUGUAGCAAAAUUCCCAAUACAAAGAGAUCUAUGGAACGCUUCUUGUUCUGAGUCAAGGCUUUUCUUCACACUACCUCAAGUUGGACUUGGAUGCUCUAUCUAGCCUUAUAGAGAUAAGCUUGGAAACAAAUCAAGUAUCUAGAUAUAAGCAUGACACAAAGUUGGGGGUGUCUUUGGGACCAUCUUUGAGUAAAGUGGCUUUUCCAUCACAAAUAGUAUCUUUGGUUCCACAGUAUGUAGUAGUUAAUGAAUCAGAGGAAGUUAUCAUGGUCUGUCAAUGUCAUUUUGGGGUUUUUUUCUCAAUUUAUCAAAUGUGAAGUUUUUUUUUUUUUUAUGUUUGAAUAAUAUUUUGACUCAUCUUCUAACCAAUUUUGCUUGAAAAUGAUGACAUGGAACACAUGAUCUAUAUCAACAUUGGACAUGCAGAAAACAUCAGGGAUGGGAUCAAGCAAGAAGAGCGAAUAUAGCCUCUUUGACACCUUUAUCAAAAAACAUAGAAAUGUUAAUGAUGAUUCAUUAAUAUUUGUCCAGUUUCAGCUGAAAGACAUUGGAUUGGGUUGGUCAAGGCCAAUAUGUAUUACUUCAAGGAAUCCUUAGAUGUUCCAAUAUUGCUCUCAAAUCUAACACCAUAAGACAACUUUGAAAGAGUUUGCGAUUGUUCAUGUGGUAGAGAGAGGUUCUAAUCUUGUUUUGUAUUUCCAAAAAUUAAUUUUCCAUAUCGGAUUGAGAAUUGCUUGCAUGAAGCAUCAAUCACUUACUAUCAAAACGUUGUGUUGUUAUUCCUACACACUUAAUAUUCAAUUACUAAUUUAUUGGAUGAAAAUUUGAGAAAUAUUUAUGUGUUUAUGUAUUAUAAUCACAAUUUUUCUAUUAUUUUUCGGAAUUUUUAGGAUUUAGAGGAGCCUAAGAUCAUUGGGUUUGGAAGUAGUGUUGAUUAUGUUUGGGAUGUUUGACUAUUCCACAUAAAUUAGUUGUCAAAAUUGAUGGUAAUUACCCUCUUGUUGUUUUGUUUUGUUUAUUCAUGGCAAUUUAUACAUUUACUACCACCAAUCAGAUAGCAGAUUCAAUAGGCUUAUGGUUUUGUAGAUAUUCAUGUAUUACGUGAAAUUAACUUGGACAAGGUGCGAGCAUGGAAGCCUUUCUUUAAAAGCUAGCAACAUAGAAGGUUUCCAUUUCAUUUACCAUUGGAUAAUAGGCUAAGAGACUAGAGAAGAACUAAUUUUAGUGGAUUAAAUGGUAUUGAGAUUAUAAAGGUGGGGUAUGAAGUAUAUGCAGAUGGUUCCAUGUGGGUUUUGCGAAUCCAUGAAUUUCCUAACAAUUACAAGGGAGAUGAAGAGUUCCAUUCAUGUGCAAAGAUUUAACUAAGAGUUCCCUAUUUUGCAAUGCACUUACUUGAACAUGGAAAGCUGGUCAGUUUCAAGUUAUAUCAAUUUGGUUGUCACUGAACACUAGCUCUUAUUCAUUUACUGUUUUGACAUUUUCUCAUUCAUGCUCUCACCAAUCUUUAAAAGAUUUGAAAUCUAGCUCUAUAGAUGUUGUAAACUAACUUCUAUAUCUUUUUUCCUGCAAUGAAGUUGGUUAUAACCAUUAAACUUCUUCAUUUUUUUUCUCUAAUAGAUAAUGCGUUUUUUUUAUCUUCUUUCAUUUUUUUCUUCUUUUUUCUUUGGUCUUUGUUUGUUUUUUUUCCAUUACUUGGAAUGGAACUUAAAACUUCCCUUUACCCAUUCCAAUCCAUUUCCACUUAAGUCGGAUUUCAAGGGCACAACUAUUGUUGAACUUUUUGCUUACUCAAAACUUGGUAUACAUACCAUUGCAUUCGGUGUUCCUUUUUUUUUUUUCAAUAAGUAGGAUAUAUAUGCACUAACAUUGCUUUGGAAUAUCCCUACGAAGCCAUCGAAUUAUGCUAUUUACAUCAAUCUUAAGAUGAUAUGACAUUUGGGUAUGUUAAUUAUGCUAAUCUUCCCUACUCUAUAUGUGUUGAAUUUGACUCUCCAAAUAACAGUUUGCUAGGAUUCUUUCCUCCCCCCCAUCUUCCCUCUUGGACUGUCAAUCUUUGAACUUGCGACUUUUGAUAUCCAACGUUGACCAUUUCUGAUUUGUGCAUGUUGGUAUUUAUGUUAAUUGAAAGGGCAAAAUAAAACCCUUUUUAUUCUUGACUAAUUGUUUCCAAUUCAUUGAUUCUUAUCAUUUUUUAAUUUGAAGGAACCUAUGAAAAAAAAAUCAGGACAUACAAAAUUUAAUGUCUAAUUUUGGGUUAAAUGGUGCAUCCUGAUUCUUUUCUAGUACUUUGGAUUUAUAUGUUUUAAAGUUGGAGAAUUUUAUAUUUCUAAGCAAUGAUAAUAUUCAGUUUUCUUAAACGAGAACAUCGUACACUACAUAUACAACAAGCCAUAAAAAGUAACAAUAUUGUUAAAAUUUACAUAUUUAUGUGUAUAAGUUGUGCAUACAUGUUUGUGUAUGCAUGUCUUAAUAUUUUGGUAGACAUGUCACAGUAACCAAAAAUUGAUAAAUUUAUUGUUCACACAUUUAUUUCAUUUUUCUUGAAAUCUAAUAUUUUAGUAAAUUUGGUUAAAAUGAUUGUAAAACUGGUGCCCAACAAUUUAUUGAAAUAAAAAUAAUAAUAAUAGUAAAACUAGUGGAAAGAUAUAUAAUACCUUAUGACCCCAUAAGCACUAGUUUCUAUCAUUUCAAUUUUUUUUUUAAAUAGUUAACAAUCAUGCCCCUUCAUUUUUUUACCUUGUGAUCAGUUGGCAAGGACAUUGGUGUAGACAAAUAUUCAAUGUUUGUACACAUGCUUCAAGCACUUGUGAUUCCUUUUAUUGGAAAUGUUUGUUGUGUAUUUAUGCAUGGCCUUAAUCGUGUCUAAGUAUGUGGAAGUGUGUUUGGUAUUGAACUCAUAAUUAUAUUCGUUUCAUCAACUUCUCUCCUUCCCUGUUUAGUUAGUUUUGAGAUUUAAAAGGAUGGAUUUGUAUUGGUUGGCAUCAUAGGUAUAUGGUGAAGAAAAGUUGCAAGAAGCAUUGCUGCAUAUAUAGACCAAAAAAUAAGCCUCUUAUAACGGUAUGAAGGAAAAUAAUUGAGAGGAUUUAAGAGAAAGCAUUCAUAGUUACUUUGUUUCUCAUGUCCACCAUAUCAUUAUUUUUACCCUAUUAGACCUAAAACCAUUCAUUCCUAUUCUAGGUGGUGUUGAUUGUUUUUUUUUUAUUAUUAUAGCUAAGCAAUCAUGUUGCUUCCAUGGAUGAUCCACUUGUUAUUGCUUCAUUACUUCCACCAAGUGCUCUAUUGAAUGCUCAAAGCUUGAGAUGGACAAUGUGUGCAACUGAUCGAUGUUUUAAGAAUCCAAUGACUCAUGCCUUUUUUCGAUGUGUCAAAGUUUUGCCAGUUUCUCUUGGUGAUGGGAUUUACCAAACGGUACCUCUUUCUGUAUGUCCUUUUGUCUGUCUAGUAAUUAUAUAAUUUUCAAAAGUUGAUUAAGAGCUACAUAAUGGAUGACUUAAAUAUGAAAGCAGAUAUUACCCUUUAGAAGUUUUCUAUUAUAAAAAGUCCAUGUUUGGUGUGCUAUUUACAAGUAGUUAGUAGUUGUUUCGUUAAUGUACUUAUUGAAUACAAAAGGAAUAUCGAAAGAAAAUGCUUAAAUAAUUUACUGGUUAAAAAGAUUGUAUAUCUAAUUUUCUUUAUUCUAUUUUUUUUUAAUAUGGUUUGAACCUUUAUUGUUGUGUACCUGAGGUCAAUAAAGGUUGUGUGAAACCAAGGUUGGUUAAUCUCAGUUUUGAUGAUAACAAAACAAAGUUUGUAACUAAUGAUUAUAUUUCAAGUGUGAUUAGGCAAGAAGAUUUCUAAAGUGGCAAUCAAAAAGACAAAAUCAAGUCAAAGGGAAAUCAAUAAGCAGAAGUAAAAUUUUUAAAAAAAGUGUUUUUCAAUACCUAAGCUUCAUAGAAUCUCUUUGUAAGGUUGUUGGUGCACUAGGUUUUUUCAUGUAUUACAUUCUUUAUUUAAGCACCAAAAUAUCCAAGAAUUAUUUUGUUUUAAAUUUUUUAAAAUUGAAUGAUUUUAUGUUUUCAAUUAAAACCUUGUGUCAAAUGAAUUCUAAUCUUGUUUAAAAGGUUUUAAGUUGAAAAUGAUGGUUGUAGAGCCAAACAUGGCUCAACCGGUUGAACAAGAUGAGGAAUCGAUCGACCUGUUCAGCUCAACCGAUUGAACGCUGCAAAAACCUUAUCUAUUUUUUAGAAUGUUUGUUCAAUCGGUUGGGGUUGAACCUCAACUAAUCGAGGUUUGAUCGAGGUUCGAUCAAGGGGCGGUCGAGGUCUAACGGUCACCUGUCAAGCAUUAAAUGCUAACGACUAGUCAACCGAUCAAACCAAAGCUCCACCAGACGAACCCCCAACAGGCUAGUUUGGCUUCUUCUUCUUUUCUUUAUAAAAGGCUCUAAUCUUCAUUGUUUCAACAAUUUAACCUUCCAAAACAUUUCUUGAAUAUAUUUGAGUCUUAGGAGAGUGUUUUUUAGUGCACCAUUGUUCUAAAACUUGCAUAUCAUUAGUGCACUUUUCAAUCCUAGUUUUUCUUGAACAUUUGGGCCUAAAGUUUUAUACUAGAAUUUUAUGAAAUUAUUUGUAAAUCUUUGAGAGGAAAAAUCUAAGUGUGAGAUAUCAUUUAGGGAUCCUCGAGCGUGGAGUAUCAGUUGAUGGGUUGUUCAAGAGUGGGGUAUCUCUUAAGAAUUGUAAAGGGUGCUUAGAGCCAAAAGUCCAAAAUGGUGGAUUGGAACCAUAAUUCAAUUGUAUUGCUUGAAGGUUUGGUCUGGAAGCCUUGAAAUAGUGAAACCUCAAGCUUGGGAUUGACGAUAGAGGAGAGUGAACGUAGGUCGGGUUGCAUCGAACCACUAUAAAAAUCUUGUGUUUGCAUUCUCUUUUCCCUACUCAUUUACUUUAUACACAAUUUUCUUUAUAUUGUUUUAUAAUAUAUUUGCAUAUAAUUGUCUUUUGCAUUCAUAUAAUUUAAAUUUACAAAAAGAGACCAUCACUCUAUUCACUCCACCUCUAGGGUGAUUACCUUAGGUUGUAUUAGCCUAAUUUUUUCCAACAAUUGGUAUUAGAGCUAGGCCUCUUGUUUAAGACUUAACCAUUUAGGAGGUAAUGACUAAUCCAUCAAGCUCAUCUCACAUUGAAAGUUUUCCAACCACCCGACCUCCAUUUUUUACGGGAACCAAUUAUUUCUAUUGGAAAACAAAAAUGACUUGGUUUUUAAAAUCUACUAAUCUUGAUCUAUGGGAUGUCAUUGAAGAUGGUCCUCGUAUUCCUUUUAAAUUGGAAAAUGGAUUGAUGGUUCCAAAACUUAAGCAAGAAUGGAAUGAACUUGAUAAAAAGAAAGUUCAAUUAAAUGUCAAAGAGGUUUAUAUCUUACAUUGUGCUAUUGAUAUAAAUGAAUUUAAUCGUGUUUGGUAGUGUCAGUCGGCUAGAGAAAUUUGGAGACUAUUAGAAAUCACUCAUGAGGGAACCAACCAAGUUAAAGAGUCUAGAAUCAACAUCCUUGCGCAUGAUUAUGAAUUAUUUUCUAUGAAGGAUUUUGAAUCUAUUGUAGAGAUGUUUUCUAGGUUCAUGGUGAUUGUGAAUGAACUUGAAGCCUUGGAAAAUACCUACACUGAAGUAGAGAAAGUCAUAAAGAUCUUGAGGUCUCUACCAAAAAAAUGGGAAACAAAAGUGAUGGUUAUUCAAGAAGCAAAGGAUGUCACCAAACUCCCACUUGAAAAACUCAUUGGGCCACUCAUGACUCAUGAGAUAAAUUGAACAAUCAUCAAAGAGUUGAAGAAAAUAAGAAAAAUAUAGCAUAUAAGGUCUCAACAAAUGAUGAUGAAGAGGAAGAGUGUGAAAAUGAAAACUUUGAUCUCAUCACCAAGAAAUUCAUGAAGUCCAUCAAGCUUGAGAAGAUCAAGGAAAAAAGAAAAUCUCAUUCAAAAGAAGAAUCUUCAAGUUCCAAAAAGAAUAAGAAAGGCAUGGUGGCAACAUGGAGUGAAAGUGAAAGUGAUGAAGAUUCCAUGGAAGAAGAAUGUACAAAUGAGGAUGUCAACAUGUGCUUCAUGACUUUGAAGGAACAUGAAGAUGAGGUAAAUUCCAACUCUAACUAUAAUGAGUUUCAAGAUAUACUUCAAGAAUUAUAUUUUGAUCUUGAAAAACUUGGGUUCAAAAAGGUCUCUCUUAAGAAAAAGAUUUCUUCUCUUCAAAAUGAGCUCAAUGAGUUUAAAGAAAAAUUUGAAAAUAUUGAGAAGGCAAAAAUCUCUUUUGAAAAGGAAAAUGAGGAGUUGAAAAAGAAAAACUAAUCGUUAAUAUCCUCUCUACAAAAGUUCUCAAACAAUUAAAAGACUUUUGAUAUGAUUUUGGCAAGUCAAAAAUACAUUUUUUAUAAAAAGAGGCUAGGUUACAAGCCUUUUAAAAAUAAAAUAAAAUAAAUAUUUUAAGAAUUAUUUUAUAAAGGAAACCUCUAGUUUUUCACUUUCAACCAUUUGCAAUCUUUGUGAAGGAUGAGGUCACAUUAGUGAUAUUUGUCCCUUAAGAAAUCCUUUCAUAUUCUUCAAAACUUUAAAUUAUUUUGGAUUCUAAAUGGAGGAAAGACUAACCCUUAAGGACCCAAAAAGAUAUGGGUACCAAAGGUUACUUAAUUUGUUUUGUAGGAAUCCAUGCAAGAAGAAGAAUGAUAUGUUUACCUUGGAAAGAAUACAUUGAUAAUAUUGGUAAUGGUAUUCCCUCUAAAGCUUAAUUUGCAAUAUCCUUUUAUCAUUUUGCUAACACUUGGUAUGAUUUUUGUUAAUAAUAUAACUUUUCGUUUCACAUUAAUAAAAUUGAUAUAAUGUGAAACUGAAUUGAAUGAUCAUAUGCUUGUAUGCUCUAAUAGUGUUAUUCAAUGCUUGCAUGUAUGCUUGUAUCUUUUUAAAUGCAUAUGUUCUCCCAUAUAUCUUUCCAAAUCAUGCUUUAAAUUGGGAAUGCUCCAAGGUUGAGCAAUCUUUUAUUUGGAAAAUGUUCUUAAAUGAAAAAAUGGGAGAUUCAUUUCCAUGAGAAAUUACAUUAUGCUUAUUGUUUAUUUUUAACUUUUGAUAUUAUGUGAUUCUCCUUAUAUGAUUUAUUGAGACUUUUUGUGGAUGACAAAAAAUGGGGAGAAGUAAUGACAGGUUGCCAACUUGGGAAGAAAUGUUAAUAUUGUUUUAGAAAUCCUAUCCAUAUUAAUGUUAUGUACUUUAUUGGUUAUAAUUGCAUGCAUCAUUUUUAAUAAUAAUAUCUUGCCAAUUGCUAAAUUGCUUUUUAUGCUAUUUAUGUUUGAUUAUAUCAUUUUGAGCACAUUUAAUAUACUACUUGAAGUUUCUAAACUUGAAUAUUUUUUUAAAAUUUAAAUGAGCAUAUAUUGAGGGGGAACUUUUUAGAAACCUUGGUUUGUCAUCAUCAAAAAACGGGAAAUUAUGAAACCAAGGUUUAGUUCAUCUCGGUUUUGAUGAUAACAAAACAAGGUUUGAAACUAAUGAUUAUAUUUCAAGUGUGAUUAGAUAAGAAGAUUUCCAAAGUGGCAAUUGAAAAGACAAAAUCAAGUUAAAGGGAAAUCAACAAGAAGAAAAAGACCUCAAAGAUAAGUGUUUUUGUUUUAAAUAUUUUAAAAUUGGAUGAUUUCAUGUCUUUCAUUAAAACUUUGUGUCAAAUGUUUUAUAAUCUUGUUUAAAAGGUUUUAAGUUGAAAAUGAUGAUUGUUAAGCCAAAAACGGCUCAACCGAUUGAAUUGAAUGAGGAAUAAGUCAACCUAUUCAACUCAAUCGGUUGAGGGGUGCAAAAACCUUCUCUUUUUACCAGUUAAGGUCCGAUCGAGGGGCGGUCAAGGUCCAACAGUCACCUGCCAAGUAUUAAAUGUUAAUGACUAUCAACCGAUUGAACCGAUGUUCAACUGGACAAACCCCCAAUGGCUAGUUUGACUUCUUUUUUCUCUAUAAAAAGGCUCAAAUCUUCAUUGUUUCAACAACUUAACCUUCCAAAACAUUUAUUGAAUAUAUUUGAGUCUUAGGAGAGUGUUUUUUAGUGCACUGUUGUUCUAAAACUUACAUAUCAUUAGUACACCUUUCAAUCCUAGUUUUUCUUAUAAAUUUGAGCCUAAAGUUUUGUACUAGGAUUUUGUGAAAUUAUUUGUAAAUCUUUGAAAGGAAAAAAUCUAAAUAUGAGAUAUCACUUAGGGAUUCUCAAGCAUAGGGUAUUACUUAAGGGGUUGUUCAAGAGUGGGGUAUCUCUUGAGGAUUGUAAAGGGUGUUUGGAGCCAAAAGUAUAAGAUGGUGGAUUGGAACCAUAAUCCAAUUGUAUUGCUUAAAGGCUUGGUUUGGAAGCCUUGAAAUAGUGGAACCUCAAACUUAGGAUUGAAGCUAGAGGAGAGUGGAUGUAGGUCGGGUUGCACCAAACCACUAUAAAAAUCUUGUGUUUGCAUUCUCUCUUCUCUACUCUUUCAUUUUAUAUGUAAUUGUCUUUAUAUUCUUUAUUAUAUAUAUUUGCAUAUAAUUUUCUCUUGCAUUCAUAUAAUUUAAAUUUACAAAAAAAAAAAAAUCAUUACUCUAUUCACCUCCUUUUAGGGUGAUUACCUUAGGUUGGAUUAACCUAAUUUUUACCAACAAGUUGUGUAAUAGAUACUAACUUGUGCUUAAUAUUGAAAUAAUCUUAUGUCUAUAUGUUACUAAUUGAAUGAAUUUUGUUUCUAAUUAUGGAUAGUGAUUUAGGAGGAAAACAUCUACAAUCUAUAACAAUGUGUAUUAAGUUUUAGUUUUGUAGUUAGUAUUAUAUCUAUUUGGUUGUUGUUUAUACUUUAUAUCAUUAUUCUUCUUAAUGUUAUUUUAUAUCGUAUGGUGUUCUCAUGUUAUCUUUUUAGCAUGCUGCAGGGUAUAGACAUGGUCGUUUCAAAAUUGAAUAGUGGAGGUUGGGUUCACAUCUUUCAAGAAAGUAGUCAUUCUUAGGAUGGUGGGAAAACUGUAGGGUUUGCCAAGAGAGGUGUAGGAAGGUAGUAGUUUAAUGAGUUUACAUUUGAUAUUAUUAUUAAGUUUUGAAAUGUUGAGUUUAAUGUCAAAAAGAUAUAGUGAUAUCACUAAUAGAUUACACAGGGUGCAUUUUCUUCUUUUAUGAUCACCUCAAAUAGUCUUUAAAAAAUGUAUGGCUUUGCUUUUUACUAAAAAUAAGAUGAUUUCAUAACUUUAAUAUGCUAGAAUAUGCUAGAAUCACAAAAUUUAGACUUGAAACUAUCAUAUAGACCUGUAGUUGUGGACGAUAUAGGAAAUAUAGACUUGAAACUAUCACAAACAUUCAUAUUUGUGAUUAGCUUUUGCCUUCCUUUUUCCAUCUUAGGGUUUUUUCUAUUUAUAUCAUAUCAAUGAUGAUAUAUAUUCAUUGAGACAUGGCCUAAUCAAUAUUUGAGUUGGGUGUGAUAGAAUAUCCCCAAAGAAUUUUGGAAAUCAAACAAUAUCAUAACUAAGGAAGGCAUCAUAGCCCUCAAAGAUCCACUGAAUAGGUAAUGGCCAAUGAAACUUAGAUUACUAAGCGAGGUCAUAGGUUAUAAGCUUGGGAUGUGGUUGGCAUGAGUUCUAUGAAUCCAACAAGCUCAAGGUAGGAGACGUCUGCUUCUUUGAGCUAAAUCCUGUCUUACUAGAAUCUCUAAAUCAUGUUUUGGAUGUUCGAACCCUUCUUCCACAAAAGUAAAUAUUACUUAUAUCUUGGUUGGUUGAUUCUCCAUGAUUUUUUGUUUUUGGUUAUGAAUGUUUUUGAAUUAAGAAAAACAUGUGGUGUUAGCUUGAGCAGAUUCUCUUAUCUGCCUUAAUAAUUUCCUAGUUGGAAUUUAGUUGGCUUGUCUACCACCUUAUUAAUAAUUUCCCAAUUGGAAUUUGGUUGGUUUGUUUACUUGUACAUUUGUUAUUUUAGAAUUAUAUAUGUACAUUAGUUAUUUUAGUUUUUUGCAUUUAAUUAUUUAACAUAUAAUUAUUAUAAUAUUUAUUUAAAUAUUUAAUUAUAUAUAUUAAAAAAUGGAAAUAUAUUAAACAAUCUAUUAAAUGGAAGAGAAAACUAAAUAAUAAUAUAUUAAACAAAUCAAAUGUCAAUGCACAAUUAACAUGGCUAACAUUGCAUCCAUUAUUAGGCUAUAAACCCCACAUCACCACCUAUAGCAGCGCGCAAUGUCAACUUGAAAUAAUAUGGAGGCUUAUAAUUGUGACUGACACUAUGCCCUCACAAUGUGAUCUUUAUGGUUAUAGGCAUAAGUUGUCAUAGUCGAAGAAAUUUUAGUUGCAGAAAAAAGUGGUUGUAACUAGAGAUUCACAGUACAAUACACAAUCACAUUUGGUCACAGCUACAUGAUUUAUUUACGCCCACUAUGGCCAUGCAAUGUCACGGCCUAUGUUGCACGCCCUUGUAUCAUAUGGUUACAAUUCAAUUUACUUUAAUUUGCAAACCUUGGUUGUAGCUAAACACUUAGCUUCUUGUAGUGUUUGUGGAAACUUUCCCUUUCCACCAACUUACGAUGUCAAGAUUAGGUUCAUCAUCUUCUACGUUAUUAUCUAAGUAAUGAUUUAAAUUAUUUUUAAUUAUGAAAGAUGAUUCACUUUUCAAGAAUUUGUGUUAAUCUUUCUUGUUCUUCCAACCAAUAAAAUGUUUUUUUUUUUUACUCAAUUGCAAAGACAAUUAUAAGAUACUGGAAUCCCAUGUUAUUAGUUCAUCCAAGACAGGGUAAUUCUUUCUUUUUUAAUGCAAUAUUUAUUGAAUAAUUGCAAUCUUGAAGGAAAAUUUUUCACAUAUUUCACAUAUUCAUAAAGUCAAACUAAGGUUCAAAAUGUACACAAAUACAUGAAGCAAUUCUCCAUCAAAAAAUAAUUUAAUCCUCUUAUUCAAUUGCUUUGUCAAACUCGAAAUUGUUGUAUCAUUGGAGCUUGCAUUAUCCACUAUGAUUAUACAUAUUUUUUCAAGACCCAACCUAACAAACAAGUCUCCACCGCUUGUGCAAUCAUUUCCCUAUAAUGUAGAAUUGGCAAAACAUAAAAAAUAAUUACUCUCUUUUACAACUUCCAAUCCUUAUCAGUAAAAUGUAUUUUGGAUGGAAGUUCACAUAUUAGUAGUAAAACACAUUGAUAAAGCACAAGUUUUAAAAUUUUCCCUUAAAUUCUAUUCACUCAAAUGUAUUUCUGCAUAAUCUUUUUUCUUGGUUGUUCAUGAAACCAAUUGAAACCUUAGUUGCAUAAAGUACAAAAUCUUUUAAAUCCCUUUUUCCUCACAAAACUAAUUGGCAACUCAUCAAUGAUAAUCAUUCUAGCGAGCUCUUUACAACAACUUAGUUAAAUUUUCAAUUUGCAAUAGUAUUUUGACUCUAUGGCAACAAUAUGAAACAAAUUUUUUUUUUCUCAUGAUCUCUGUUAUAUGGAUAUUUAGCAUAUAUUUCAAAAUACCUCCAAAGUGUGGUAGUUCCCUAAGAAUGAUUAAGCUUAAGGAUAGAACUACAGUAAUCGCAUGUGACUUGCUCAAUUUAGUAUCAUCAUCUUUUUUAAGUUUCAUGAAAUGGUCUCAAACAUUAGAUUUAGACUUAUAUAGGUUUUUUUGUGUUUGUGGUUCCUUAAUCUUCUCAAUGGCACUAUAACCUUAUUUCUUGAUCUUUUUUUUUUUUUUAUCUCUUAGUAUAUGUGUUUUUCUCGCCAAAUCAAAGACAUGGACUGCUUGUUUGUCACUUACAUUGUUGAAGGAAAAAGUUUAAGAGAAUAUGUUAAAUGUUUUAGUGAUGCAUUUACAAGUGGAGGGCUUUACAUCUAUUCAACUGCUCAUAUUGCAUUAAAAAAAAAACUUCUCAUUAACUUAGAUUUAUACAAAUCAUUUCACAAGAAAAAGCCUUUUAUAUUGUAUUAGUUUUUUUACAAGCACUUAUUAGUAUGCAAGACUAUAGGAAGGUAUAACAAUAAACACCUUAAAGGUAGUGGCUACAAUAAAUUCAAAAUGUAGAUAACCACUUUAUGGAUAAGAUACUUAUCAACCUAGUAAAUGAUCUUAAUAUAAUAAGUUUUCUAAAAGUUAUAGAGAUAAAAGGGGUUUAAGGUGUAAAGUAGAGAUGCUACAAUUGUUUUUUCCAAGUUAAGUGCACCUACUCUCAAGUCCAAGAGCUAAUAAAGUUAUAGGACUCAAAGUGGCCUCCGUAGCCCAAGGGAGAUCAAACCAAGAAGGAUACUAGUAGAUAUUGUGCUUAUUAUCAUACUCAUGUCCAUAAAACAAAGGAGUAUAAGAGCUUUAAGCAUGUGAUCAAGAUGCAUCUUCAUAGGGGACAACUUCAACAUUCUAGUUGUUAAUUAUAAAAUUUAAAAGGACUAAAAUUUUUAAUAAAGCUUAGGGACAUAUAGUAGUGCAGCUUUGUCCAAACAAGAUAGAAAGACUCAACAUAUCAAUGCAUCAUUGUUGUUUAGUAGGGCCAUUAGUUAGCAAAAAUGCAUCAUACAUCAAGUAGGUCUCUAGUGUCAUUAUAAACCUAAAAUUUUGGAAGCACUAAUCCAAAAAGAGCCCUCAUGUCUAAGAUGUAUGAAGAAAAUGUUGGGAUAAAGCCUUUAAAAGCAAGACAUGAUAUAACAAAAUUAGAUUUGACCUUCCACUUUUCACUUUUACAUGGAUAUUGAUUUUAGCAUUCACACCUAUAUCACAUGCAUUGUAUAUGACUUAGGUGUAUUAGGAGUUGCACAUAGAAUACAAUAUUAUGAACCUUGGAUUAAUUCGUUUCUUAGCCCAAGAUUUUGUAAGGUGCAUGCUAUGUAUCCUUAGGCACUCUAGAUUUAACAUAACAAAAAACAAUGGCUAUAAAAGCCAUAUUAAAACCUAGAUUUAGAGAUAUAGUUAUAUAACGUGAUCUAAAUGUUCCUAGAUUAAUUCAAAUCUAGAAAAAAUGUCGAUGAAGAUUCUAAAAUUGUAAAAAAAAACAUCGUAAAGUGCAUCUACCUGGUGUUCUUCCAUUGAUAUCUCCUCACAUGGACCUACACAUAAGAAAAAUGUGAUUUUUUUUCUCUAAAGGAUGACUAGGGUUUCUAUUUGGAAGAUGACAAACAAAAAGUCUAAAACCUAAACUCCCUAAGGAGGUUUAUAUAAGGCUUCAAUGGGCUUAAGUGACUUGAUCCCAAAUUGAGCUUAGGUCACAUAAUCCAUCUCACUUGGGUCCUAAUUAAUUAAUUAUCCAUAUUAGGAUCCAAUUAAUUAAUUAACUCGAUCUAGAAAGACCAUUCCUAAAAUCUAGUGUAAGUUAACACUUUUACCAAAAUGCCCUUAGGCACACGUAUGAACAAAAAACCUAAAUUCCUCAAAACAAAUGUGCCACCAUGAAUUAGAAGUUCAAGUGGAGAAUCUGUAGGGAAUAUAUGACCACUUUAGAGCCCACCCAUAGGUUAAAGCCUUAUGUUGAUUUCAGAAGAGGCUAAAUAUCCUCUUAAGGUUGAGAGUUUAUGCAAUAUAGUAUGUUGGUGAAUCAUGACAACCUAAUAGCCUUGCAUCAUGAUUUACCAUACAACUUAUUCAAUUAGAAAUCAUACACACUAUUAUACUCACCAUGUGAACCCCAUCCUGACAGGUAAGAUAAGUCAUCAUUCCAAUUUAGGAGAUAGUGCACUACAAUGUUUAUUGGAUUGCCUAAAUCCAUGAACCAACUAUGAACAACUUAUUAUCUUAUAAGGAACCUAUGACUUGUAUAUUCUGUAUAACUCCUAAUGCACCUAAGUCAUGUACAAUGCAAGUAAUAUGGGUUUGAAUGCUAAAAUAAAUAUCAAUGCAAAAGUAGAUAGCAAGUAGAAGGUCUAGUUUAACUUUAUCACACACCAUGUCUUGCUUUUAAGGAAUCUAUCUUAACAUACAAGUUAUGGGUACCUUGCAAGAUGAUAAGUUAUUUAUAGUCCGUUCAUAGAUUUGGGCAAUCCAAUAAAGAUUGUUAGUGCACUACCUCCUAAUUGAAUGGAUGACUUGUCUUGACCGUUAAGAUGAGUUCCCUAUGGUGAGUGCAUAGUGUGUACGAUUUCACAUUAGACAAGACCUAUGAUGGAUCAUGGCAUAAGCCUAUCAGUUGUCAUAAUUCAGCAAGCUACUAUAUUGCAUAGACUCUCAACUUUGAGAGAAUAUCAUGGCUUUAACCUAUGGGUGAGGCCUUAAAGUGGUUAUAUAUUCUAUAUGGAUAGAGUGACUAUUUGAUGGAGGUCGGUGGUAAGCAUUCUCAAUAGAGGCAUCAUAAUAUCUCAUUGGAUUAAGACAGUGUGCCCCAUUAGGUGAUCCAAAGGACAUGUGAUCAUUAAAAUCUAUGACCAUAGUAAUUCUUUAAGUAGAAUUUGACAUAUGCUAUUUAUGAGCUAAAAUAUGUCAAUUAAUCACAUAAUAGGAGGAUAUGUAACUCAAGAAUUGAAGAGGUAAUCAUGAUGAGUUGAUAGCACUAUCCUGUUAGAUUACAAACACAGUUCAUGAAAAGUCUACAUUCAAUGUAUAGUAGGUCACGAAAUCGAGCUUUGUCUUGUUGUAAUUUCAUAAGAUAUUGGAGUGCAUUUGAUUCUUUUUAGUAGAUUGUUGAGUCAAAUUCAAAUUUGGAUUUUAAGGAAGCCAAUAUUUUCCUAUAUGUCAUAGUGGUCCCCAUUCGAGCUUCUAGUUCAUCGUAACAUGUGUUGUUAAGGGAUUUGGGUUUAUAGUUCAUAAGAGUGUAUAAGGGCAUUUAGUAAAAAUGUAAAGUUGCACUAGAUCUUAUGAAUGAUCCUUUUGGAUUGGUGGAUUGGGUUGAUUAAUUAAUUAGGACCCAAAUGGGCUAGAUUAGGUGACCUAAGCCUAAUUGGGGUUCAAGUCACUUAAGAUAAUAAAGAACCCUAUAUAUACCCCCUUAGGGGUUUAGGUUUCAAGCUUUUAAAACUUUGUUCAUUAUCUUCCACACACACACACACAAAGAAAAUCUUAGCCACCCUUGAGAAAGGAAGAGAAGUUCACCAUUCUCUUAUACCAACAUCCAUGAAAGAAGAGAUCAAGUUAAAGAUUGUUGGGUGAAUGAGAUUCAAUAUAAGAAUAUCCAAAUCGCAUGUAUGUUUUUUUUAUCUCCAGAUCUAGUCUCUAUUAUGGUUUUUAUUGCCAUUUUAUUUGGUUGAGUUAGAUCUAGAAAGUCUAAGGAUAGAUAACAUGCACCCUAUAAUAUCAAGGACUAGGGGGUUCCUAAUAGAAAAUGGAAUAAUAGUCGAUUUAUCACCAUAAGAAGAUAAAUUUAUAGCUACAACCAAUCAACUAUAGUUAAAUGUUAAAAUUGCGUGACCAUAUUAAUAUUUGUAUAAUGAUUCUGGUUUUUCUUUCACUAUCUUAUGUUUAUGUAUUAUAUAUGUUGAGAUUUAAGACUAUCUCUUGCAUUAUACAUUACUUGGAUGCAUUAAGAGUUUCAUAGGCAAUCCAAGUCAUGGGGUCUUUACAAAUAGAUCAUUUGUUCACAAUCGAUUCAUGGAAUUAGACAAUCCAUUUGAGGUUGUUGUGCAUUACCUCCUAAUUGGAGGGAUGAUUGGUGUCUCUCAUCAAGAUGAGGUUAUUAUGAAGAGUGUAUUAGUGUGUAUAGUUACACAUUAAAUAAGACUUACAAUGAGUCAUGACAUUAGCUCUUGGGGAGUCAUGAUCUCACUAAGCUACUAUAUUGUAUGGUUUCUUAAGCUUGAGAGGAUACUAAACUUAUGUCAAGGUUUGCAAUGGCUUUGACCUAUGGGGUGGGAACCUAAGAUGAUCAUAUGUUCCCUAUGAAUUUGGUCACUAUUGAUGGAAGUCAAUGACAGUAAGUACUCUUAAUAGAGGCACCAUAAUAUCCUAUGGGAUUGACAUAGUGUGUUCCCUUGGGUAAUCUUAAAGACAUAUUAUCAUGAAAUUUGUGGCCCUAGUAUUCCUUAAGUGGAAUUUGACAUCUGCUCAUAUGAGCUAAAGAAUGUCAAUUGAUAAUAUUAUAGAAGGAUUUGUAACAUGAGGAUUGAAAAGGUAAUCUUAAAAGGUUGAUAACACUUACCUCAUUAGAUUAUAUAGACCGAUUCAUAGGAAAUUUGCAUGUAGUGGAUAGUAAGUCACAUACUCGAGUUCUUGUAUCUCAUUGCAAUAUACAUAGGAUACUAGAGUGUAAUUAACUCUCUAUAGUGGGAUAUUCAGUCAACUUUAAAAUUGGAUUAUGAGGUUACUAGUAUUUUUUCCAUGGAUCCCAAUGCUCCUUGCUCAAGCUCGUAUUCCAUGAUAUUAUGGUUUAAUAGGGUUAGUUGAACUCUCUAUUCACAUAUUUGCAUAAGUGCAUUCUAGUAAAAAUGUGAGGUUGCACAAGAACUUAUGAAUGAUGUCUUUAAACUAAGCUAAUUGAUUAACUAGAACCUACUAAGGUUAAUUAAUCAAUUGGGACCGAAGUGGACUAGAUUAAGUAACUCAACCCUAAGAUGAACUCAAGUCACUUAAGCUCACAAGAAGGCUAUAUAAACCCCCUUAGGUGUUAGGGCUUAGUUUAGUCUUCUUAUUCACUUUAUAUAAAAGAAAGAUUUAGCUACCAACUCUAGAGCGGAUUCCCACCCCUUUAGUGCUAGGAUUCAAGAAAGAGUCAUUAUGAUAGAGGAUCAUUAGGUUUGUGAGAUUUACGACGAUUAUCGCACCUUCAACACAUCUCUUAAUCGAUAGGAUCUGAUAUAGGAACAUCUAGAGCUUAGUUAUGAUCUUUAUUCUUUUUAGAUCUAUUUUAUUUAUGGUUUUUAUUGCCAUGAUAUUCUCUGCGAUUAGAUCUAGAGAGACUUAAGUCUAAUAGCAUGUACCCUAAGCAAUCUAGGGCUAGGAAUGGAGUAAUCCAAGGAUUCCCAACAAAACCCUUUUAAGAGUUUAGUUUAGAUCCUCCUAGCCAUUAUCUUCUAGAGAGGCUCCAUGUCUUUCUCUUUCUCUUUCUCUCUCUCAUAAAGGUUGUGUAGUCAUUCAACCCUAGUGCCAAAGCUCAAAGAAUGAGUGACUACGUGGAAGAUAACUAGAUGUGAUUAGAUAUAAUGUUCUUAGAUUGUUAGAGAACAUGCACCCAUGAUCUAAGGGUAUCCCAACAUUGUCACCAUUGUUUUUUAGCCCAUACAAAAUCCUAUAACAAAUUAGAAAAGUGGCUUAUAAAUUGGAGUUACCUUUAGGAACUCUAAUGCAUCCAAUUUUCCAUGUUUCUUGCUUAAAGAAAUGAAUAGAUGAAUCCGUCAUUCCUCAAUCAGAACUACCACCCUCUCAAGAAGAUGGAUGUAUAAAGUUGAAGCUAACUACAAUCUUGGAUCAUCGAGUAGUCAAAAGAAAUAACUGGGUUGUGACAUAAGUGCUAGUCUAAUGGUCAAACUUAGUCUUGAAAGAUGCCACUUGGGAGGUCUUAUAUGAGUUACAAAAAUUUUAUCCUUGGUUUCAACCUUGAGGGCAAGACCAUUUUGGAGAGGGAAGAAAUGUAAAAAUUAGGAAAUCAGGCCACUAUCAGAGCAUAAUUGAGAAGGCUAUUAUGAGUGAAUCACUGAUCAUGUCAUCCUUAAUUUUAUUCUAAUUAUUGUUAAGAACAAGGUUAAUAGAACAAGGUUGGACAAAACUUCUCUUCUAACACCUUUGAACAUGACAAAAAAUUAUCAUUGUGAAAAACAAUUGAGAAUCUAGUGUGAUGAGGGGGCAUCAUCAAGAUCGUUAAACUUGUCUAGAUAAGAGAAACUUAGGGUUUUUAAAUUCAAAUUUCAGACUCAAAACAAAAUUGUAGAGCAGUAGAUACAAAACAACAAGAAUCAAAACAAAAAUUACCACAAAAACCUUAGAAAACUAGAGCCAAGGGAGGGAAGAUGACUUAUGAUUAAACUUCGAUGCUUUCAUGUCAAACUGUAUGAGUAUGGGAGUUGGAGAAGAGGGGGGCACAAAAGAUGUGUUCGACUAUAAUUUAUAUGGGACAUAUUGCAACGGUCAAGCCCAUAAAUCCAUAUGGUAGCGCUACUGAAUAAAGGCCGAGACUAUAGGACCAUCUAUGGCAGUGGCCCAAAAAAUCAAUGCAGCUAUGGAAAAAGUUAUAAUUAUUAGACAUGGGUUUAACAAUGGCCAUGACUACAUAUUUUUUUGAGUAAUUUUCCUGCCAAUACCUAUUCCUUUAGAUACAGUUGGAAUAUUUAUGAAGCUAAUAUAUACCUAUGCCGCUACAUCCUAUUUUUCUUGUACAAUAUGCAAUAUUCUACUUGCAAGUUGGUAGCCAUUUCUUCAUCUUUUGGAGUCGGCGUGAGCCUUUAAUUACUUAUUUAAUUACAUUUCCAAAACGCCUUUAUUCUUGAAAGAUCAUAUUGUCGCAUAUCUAAUAGACUUGCUUUCCUCUAAAGAAUGAGGCGUGUCUACAAGAUGAGAUCUCACCACAUCACAAGAAAUUUAACUGGUUAGGGGUGAUGGGGAAUGCCUUGAUAUCAAUCUAGCCCUAUUUAUUAUCUAUUUGCCAAGAAUUCAUUUUGUUGCACGAGAGCAAGCAUCUGGUAGGUGUGCUACAUUCAUUUAUUGUUGCCUCAUGUUCAUGAAAUUAGUAGGAAGAGUGCUCUUCCUUCAUCAUAUACUCUUCUUCCAUUGAUUUUUCUAUCUAUUCCAACAUUGGGACAGUUUUUAACAAGCGUCCACAAGACAAUGCUCAAGUGUACGAGUACAAAAAUUUUGCCUACUGAAAAUAUCUUUUUCUUUUGUAGCUUCAAUAAAAAUUCUCUCAAAAAAUGACACGAAGAAUUGCCAGUUAUAACCAAUGAUGAAAAUAUCGAUAAUCAUGGAUAUAUCGGUACUUUGAUUUUACGGAUAUAUCGGACAUAUAUCGGCGAAUAUUUUGGAAAAAAAUAUCGAUAAGCCUAAAAUUGAUUAAAAUUUAUAAAAAUAUAAGAAAAACUUCAUAAAAAUGUAAUUAGAAGUAUAAUAUAUAUUUUAAAGUUGUUUUAUUAAAGAAUUUGAUAUAUGUAUAAUAUAAUUUAUUAUAUUUGAUAAUAAUAUCGUAUGCAUUGAUAAUAAUAUCGUAUGCAUUGAUAAAAAUAUGAAUUUUAUAAGUAUACAUUUAUUAUUAAAUUAUAUCAAAUAUUAUUUUAUAAUAAUAUUAUGAUAUUUGAUUAUAAUAUGUCUAACUAAAAAAUAUAUAUUAAUAUUAAAAUUAUGAUCCAUUUAAUUCAAUUGUAUUAAAUGAUAUAAAAUAAAUUAUGAUAUAUGUACAAUUUUUUAAUAUUUAAUUAAUUUAUUAAUGAUAUUAAAAACACUAUGAAGAAAAUUAUUAUGAUAAUUUUUAUAUUUUUGGUAAUCAAUUAAAAGAAAUUUUUUGUAUUUAAUUAUAAAAUAAUUAUAAUUAAUUUGCUCUCUAAAAUUUUCUUUACAUGAUGACUUUGAAUAUAUAUUUUUAGUAUAAUAUAUUUAACAAAGGGCAAACUUGCCUUAAUGGUCUGAUGAGUUGAACUCCAAACCUUUUGUUUUGAGUUCGAAUCCUUUCAACGGCACAAAAAAUAAGCAUUUUUGAGAGCUUGCUGUAGCGGGGGGAUCACCAAAAUAUCGUUGAUUUUUUUCUUUUAAGCCGUUUUUUUCCCAUUAAAUUGGCGAUUUAUUGCCUGAUGCCGAUAUAUCAAUGAUAUAUUGAUGAUUUUUUUUGCCAAUUUUCAACCAUUUUUUUCCUCUCUGAUUUUUCUUCAUAAAAUAUCGUGUUGAUGUCUCCUGAUACACGAUAUAUCGUCAAUAUAUCCCAACAUUUUCCUCCUUGGUUAUAACCAGACCAUGUCUAGCAAAAUAAUCAGAUAAUCACAUGUCCAAGUACUUUGUGAUUGAAUGCCAGUCAACAUUGAAGACAAUAUUCGUCAAGUUGGAUGCUCCUUUCCACCAUUAUGGGCACUAUCAGAGGCUGGUGUAGGAUGGUAAGGUGAGUAUCACAUAGGGACUAUUUUUUUAUUAUGAUCAAUCAUCAUUUCCUAUAUCAUAAGGAAAUCAUUUCUUUAAGAAAAUGAUUUUUUUUUCUUUGACAUAAUUUAUAUUUAGGACAUGAUUUCUUUUUUCGAAACGUAAUGUUUAUUUUAAAAUCAUUUUCUUUCAAAAAUAUAAUUUUCAUUUUGAAUGUCUUUAAAUAAAAGUUUCCUAAAAUAUGGCUUCGAUCCCGCUUGGUUUUAGGCUUACUCACUUUUAGGCCUUAUUUUAUAACUAUUUCAAAAAACAAUUUUAGAAAAUAGUUUUUAAAAACAAUUUUUGAAACUAUUCUUUAAUGUUUUGUAAAAAAAAAAAAUAUGUUUGAGAACUUGAGAUGUUUUAAUAUGUUUUUAAUAUUUUUAAAUAUAUUUUAAGAAUAAUGUUUAUAUUUAGUGUUUUAUUUGUAAUAAUUUUAUAUGUUUGUAUAAUUAUUUUUUAAAACAAUUAUAAAAGAAUAAGUAUAAAUAAUUGAAAAUAAAAUAAAUAUGUUCUUUAAAAACACUAAACUUUGUUUUCCUUUUUUUUUUUUUAAACAAAAAGAUAGAAAAUAUAUAUAUAUAUAUAUAUAUAUAUAUAUUUUUGUCACAUGUGUUUUUUCAAUUUUUUUAUUCCUAAAAGAAAAGAAAAUAUAAUGUUUUUAGUUCUUAAAAAUAUAUAAUAGAAAACAGUUUUUUGAUUGUUAAAUACGUUUUUUAUUUUAUUUUUUAUUUCUAAAGAAUAUAAAUUAUGCUUAAAAAUAGUUCCAAACAAAACCUGGUUACUUGGUGACAUUGUGAGUAUUUUAAAAAAUAUUUUCUUGUGUACAUUUUUGCAAAAUUUUAAGGCAACUGUAUAAAAAAAAAAAAAAAAAAAAGUUUUGAAGGCUUCACAGCUCCUUUAUGGGCUUCUUCCGGCCCAUUCCAGCCCGGCCCUUUUUCAACCCCAGAAGAAGCUCCUAGUAACGCGGCACCGCCGGCCUUCCCACCGCUCGAAUAAAAUCCAGAGAAUUCGAAACGAAGAGUAAGCGAAACGAGAAAUGGAACCAGAAACAGCGCUAGGGCUUGUACGGAAUGGUGCUACCCUUCUGCUUCUCGACGUGCCUCAGUUCACCCUUAUUGGCAUUGAUACACUGGUAAUUUCAAAACGUAUCAUUUCACUACUCAGAAAAUUUGGGAAAAUAAAAAUUUUCAUCGUACCAGUGGACCAGUCGUUGUGUUAAUUCAGUUUCAUUUUAAAUGAAACCAGAGGGGAAAUUUUGUGUGACGCUCGAUUUGGUUUAUUUAUUUAUUUUUUAAUUUAUUUUAACCUUAGUUUUCUAGGCAACCAAACUGCGGCUAGUGUGUUUUCUUACUCUCAAUUUUUUAAUAUUUGAAUUAAGUCUUGCAUUGAUACUUAAGGGAAAUUCAUCUCUUUGUUUGUCUUCUGAGAAAAUGUUUUGGUGGUGUGGCUGUUUAGUUCUUUCGUAGAUGCCUAACUUACCUUCGUUUGGUAUCUUUCCUAAUGCGGUGUAGCUUUGAAGGUGUUAAAAUUUGGAAAUGACAUAUCUUAAAGUGAUCAGUCCAGAUACAUUUACUAUUGACUUAUAUCAAGCCACAUACCAGCGGUUCAACAUUUUUCUGUUUUUGAGUACCAAAUUUCAAUUAAUAAAGUCACUCUUCAGCAUCAUGUGGUGCUGGGCUUAAUUUCUAGUUAGGUUGGUUCUGUUUCAAAACUGAUUCCAACGGCUUCUUUCUUCCUUUCUUUUUUCUUCUUACUAUUAUGUUUGAUGUGCGCAGGUGAAGUUCUGUUUAAUACCUAAUUUAUAUUCUGUAUUCAUAAAAAAAAGUAUUUGGGUCUUAAUGGUUACUCAUAAGAUUGAUGUUAAAUCUCUUGCUGCACUUUGGACAGUUGCAUGACUAAAUUUGCAUUUUGCAGAAAUUUUGCAGAAAUCCAGCUUUUCUUUUAUUUAUACUUGUAAUCAUGUCAAGGCUUACGAUUUUAUGUUUUUAACUUGUUAAUAGUAGCUGCUGGAUUAAAUCUAUUUUGCAGAUGUUCUCUGUGGGGCCAGUUUUUAAGGGUAUUAAGAUGAUUCCUCCUGGCCCUCAUUUUGUAUAUUACAGUUCAUCGAACAGGUGAGUUUAUAUUUUACUUUCAUAUUUAUUCAACUGUUUCUUGACUUGUUUGUUGGUAGGUAUUUCUUUUCAUAUUAAUAUUUCUCUUUUCUUUCUGUCUAUCAAUAUGUUCUUAUAUUACUUGUUGAGAAUGAUUAGCAGGUUGAUCAAUUUUUAUCUUUUCUUAUGCGUCUAUCUUCUCCAAAACUAGAAUCCUCAACAGUGCUCCUUCCAGCACACACCUAUACAUGCUUUUUCACAUUUUUUUGACAUGUUUAGUUGGGAGUUGACUUUAAGCAAACAUACAUGUUCUUGUUUCUUAACUUUUUGUAUGAGACAAAUUCUUGCUUCUAAAUUUUCAAUUCAAAUUUAGUUAUGCUUUUGUGUUCAUUUGUGCUAAGCUGUUCUAGUAUCUUGGUAUGCAUUGUUUUUCCUAGAGACACCAUGGAGAUUUCACCAAUAAGUUGAUGGUUUUGUGCUAUAUGAUCUUGCAAUAUUCUUUAAUAAAUCUUGUUCUAACAGCAAUAGUAAAGAACUUUAUGCUUGGAGUCAAUGGCAAAGUGGAGGACACUCUUAUGUGUAUUAAUUCCAAGGUUCAAAAGCUCGGUGGAGAUCAAUAUGUCUCGGCUGAUUCGCAUCCGCCUCGUCCAAGACCAAUAUGAUACCAAUAAGCGAGUUCUAUAUUUUGUUAAAUCACCAAGUGGAUCAGCCAACUGGAAGAUGAAUCUAUAGUUUCGGGAUGAUUCAUGACCUCGGAAUGUUGCAGAGGCUAGUGCUUAAGUGAGUGAUGGUAAUGAUGCCUGUGAACCCUCUCUUUGCCUUUAGGGAUUUAUGCUAAGAAUGAGAGAAAAGAAAUGGAGUGGAGAAGAAAGGGUAAGAAUAUGGAGAAGAUUGGAAAGACAGAGAGGAGUAGCAUGCCUUCGGGAUCUUCUCUGCUACUGCAACUUCAUCCAUGGCAACUCAUGAUAUGGGAAAUGGGUAUUCAUGGGGUAAUGGGUAAUUGCAAUUUGAAGGGUUGGCUGAGCUUAAAUGAGCAAAUCGGUAGUUUAUGGGAACCAUGGGAAUUUUGGUCAUUGGGAAUUAGGGUUAAAUUGGCAGUGGGUAUGGGUAUUUGAUAGAAAUUUUGGUAUCUGGUGGAAAUUUGUGUUUUCAUGAAGAUUUGGGUUUUUUUGAAAUAAAUAAACCAUGGAUAUUGAUAUAAGGAAAAUAUAAAAUCAGUUAUAGGUUAAAAAAUUGGAUAUUGAAAUAAUAUAAGAAUUUAUCAAUUAGUUAAUACUAAUGUUAAUUAAUUUUAAAAAUUAUAAUUAACUAAAUUUAGUAUAGAGUGAUUAAAUAAAAAAAUAAUUUUAGAUAAUAUUAUGAACUAAUCCAAAUGUCUAUUUUUAUACUUAAAUAAUAUUACAUUAGUAAAUGUUAUUUUAUUAUUUUUUGAUGUAUGUAAGUUUAUUUAUUUUUCUGAUAAUCUUCAUAAUUAUUUUAAAAUUUUUUGAUUUUUAAAUUAUGAUAUUUUUCGUAUUGCUUGAUAUUGAUCCGAGACACCAAGACUGAUACACCUCAAGACCUCCCGAUUCAAUGAUUGAUACCACAACUUUGAACCAUGAUUGAUACUCAUUUGCUUGUAGUCAUGUGUUGUAAUGGUUUGGUGGAUUGUCAUUUUUAACUUGUUAGACCAAAGUUUGAGGAAUCUCUUUAUCCGAUCACUAUUAGAGUGGUCUCAACAGUUUUUGGAGUUAGACAGUCCCUCUUUACUGAAUUUUUUGGAUGCUCUUCAUUGUGGAUAGCCUUCUCUCUCUCUAGGUCUUUUUUUUUUCUUUUUCUUUCUUUUCUACAGCCUAGUUGGGCUCUUGUUGUAUACUGCUUGUAUACGUAUGGUGUUUUUGGCGUUUCUUAUUUCAAUUUGCCUUUGUCUAUCAAAAAAAAAAAAAAACUGCAAUGAGAAUAAUGUCAACUAAAAAAUGUUUUAGUGCUUGCAUAUUAGACAAUAAAGUAUGAACAACAUCCAAUAAGUGACAAUGCUUUCACUUAGCAACACCAUUGUAUUGGGAGGUGUGAGGACAACUAAUUUGGUGAAUGAUACUAUCAUCCAAUGCAUAUAAAAUUGAAAUUUUUUAAUACAUUAACAAAAUUGAACAAGAGCUUCAUUGUAGAAUUUAGGAAUGAUAAAAGUAGUUUAUAUAUGAUCCAUAGUUUUAAAAGGUGAGCUUUAAGGCCUAAGGCACAACCACUCCCUUGUUGUAGCACCUUGCUUGUCAAUUCAUGCGCUUUGUUGAAGAGGCACACCUUGUCUAUUUUACUUUUCCUUUUUAAACACUUUUAUUCUUGAAAUUUCUAGUUGUAUAUUAGAAUUUAUAUAAUUUCAUUACUUUUUUGUUGAAUACUUCUUUCAAAUGUUUGAAUUCUUUAAUGUUUUAUUGGUUGAAUUAGAUUUUGAAUCAUACUUUAUAAGAUGAAUAUGAAUCUUAGGUUAUGUUUUACUUCAUUCAGGCGCACACUUUGAGUUGCGUCUUGGGCCUAAGCUGUAGGAAACUUUUGAGCCUUAGUUGCACCUUGCACCCUUUAAGACUAUGAUAUGAUCAUCAACAAAUAGAACAAUAUAAAGAAAUCCAUUCAAACUUGUAAUUUGAGAAGGAUCCCAAAUAUCAAUUUGGGUUACAUUAAAGGACUGAAAUUGAUGACUAUGACUGUGACUUGGAAAGGAGCUUCAUUGAUUCAUGCCUAAUUGACAAUUUUCACAUUCAAAACAGGAUAUACACUCAACAUAGGUUUAAUUAAAUGCAACUUUGCCAAAGAUAGAUGACCUAAAUGGAAAUCCCACUAAAGAGAUGAGACUGGCACUUGAUAAAAGAAGGUUUACCAAAGUUCAUCUUUCUCUUGCCCUGAACCAAUCAUUCUCUGUACUGAGGUCUUGAACAAUUUAUGAAGUGGGAGUCAAAGUUACGGAACAAUUUAAGACUUCAGUAAGUUUACUUACAGAAAGCAAAUUGAAUAAAAAGUUUUGAACAUAGAGACUAGAAGGUAAUAACAACUUAGUGCAGUGUAGGACACCUGGUUCAAGAAUAGACCUACAAGAGUCAUCAACUAAAACAAUACAAUGUUUCAUAGGUUUUAGAUAAGAAAGGAUAAAAUAAUUUAUCAAAUAUGUUGGAAUUAGCUCUAGAGUCAAUGCCUAGCAUGGAGAGGAUAGGCUACAAUGUAGGAAUACUUGAAUUGGCUAAAAUAAUAGUCUAAGAUGAUGGAAAAGCAACUUGUAAUGUCUAGAUGAGCUUGUUAAGUUGAGUGGUGCAUCUAUCAGGAGAAUUGAAGUCAAGAAUUGCAUAUCCAGGUGCAUUUGAAGGUUGUGGUGCUUGUGUAGUGCCAUCAGUGAUUUGAUGCAUGCAAUCUGAUGUACUAUAUUUUACCUAACAGUAAGGAUCCCUAUGAUUGGUGCUAAUAGUCUGAUAACACUUCCUAUCAACAUGUCCACCGGUACAACCAACCCCACGAGAACUAUCAUGGAAGCCCACAACCACCAUGACCAUCAAGGACCAUUAUGACCUUUAGUGUUGGAGAUCAAGGCAAAAGAUUUUAGAGGAGCCACAGCAGAGCCUUCUGCUAAUGAGGGCCUCAAUAAUUGUGAAUAUGCAAAAAUGGUAUGGUUUUGCUGACAAGAGAAUGAUCUUUAAAACCAUAAAGAUUUGAGUGUAAGCCAGAUAACUAUGAAGCAGUCAUAAACUCCUCCCAAUGAUACUUCCAUUGUGCUAGGUCAGCAAUGAAAGACAGACAUUGCAAUACUUGAUCACACAAGUUUUUAAGAAUGCUAUAGUAUUUGGAGAAUGGUUUUCCCAACUGCUUAAUGGAGAAGAUUUUCUUAGGCAACUAAUUAUUCUUUGAAACAGUAUUCUGUUGCAAAAACAACUCAACAAGUGAAUCCAAAUCUUCUUAUGCCUUAGCCAUUCCAUGACAAUGGAGUUGUUAUGCAAUCUUCAGUCCCUAUCCUUUAUAUUUGAAGGAGGAUUUUUUGUCUAAGUAUUUCAAGUUCUUGUGCCUAUGUAGAAAGUUCUGGAAGCAUGGCCAUAUGCAAGGUAAUUAACCCAUUUAAAAAUUUUCGAUACAGUUUUUUGACAAUCGGUAUCUCAUUGUCCUUGAGGCUUGUAAUUUAUCAUACACCUUGAGAAAUCUGGAAACUGCAUUUGCAAGAAAAGAAUAAGCUUGAAUCUUGAGAACCAAUGGCUCCAAAGCUUCAACACUUGAAUCACCCUUGAAAAUUUUCAAAAAUCAAAUAAAUGAUCUUCAAAACAUCAAAAUCAACCUGUCUGAAUUUCACAUAACACAAAAAAUCAUAGCAUGCCUUCUUGUAAAUAGAAAAAUGAAUCUGUCCAAACUUUCAGUAACAAAUGUACCUCCAAAAACAAGCUGUCAAAUCCAUCCAAAGCCAUAAAAACACUUUCAGAUUCAACAAAUUAGCAAAUCAGACAAUACUUAAAUCAUUUCCUAGCUUGGGUGCACCAUAUAGUGACAAUCUAAGCUAACAAGAACCACAAAACAGCCCCAAAUUCCAGAGAGAAACCAUGAGGACUGAAAUUCUUAAGAUCAUAGAAAAGAUAGAAAAUUUCAAUCAAAUGGCCACAAGUAAAUUGGAAAGUAACACCAUAAUUAUUAGAAAAAUCAAUUUGUGCAACCAUAGAAAUUACCUAAUUCUGGGAUUUUUUUUUAAAAAAAAAAAUUUAUUUUACUUUUAUUUUGGGGUGAUCUAUCUAAUGUUCAAUAAACUCUAGGAUUGAUCAAUAUUUUAAUGUAAAGUUAAAAGUAAACUUGUGAGAUUAGGGUUAAGGUUUGGAAAAAGAAGAAGAAAAGGGAAAAAGAAAGUGUAGAAAGGUUUGGGUUUGUCUAAGUUGACUUUCUUUUGCCUUGUAACAUAUUUAUAUUAUUAAAUAACAAUGUUUUUUAAAGGCUAAAGGCCUUCUUGAGGUGUUUUGCCCAAAUGAGGCGAGGUGUAAGCCUUGAGGCAAAAAGAGGCAUAAGCCUCAACUUAAACAAAUAAAUAACAAAAUAUUAUCAAAAGGUCAUAAAAAUACUCAUAAAGUCAUAAGAAAAUUGAAUAAUAAAUAAGGCAUAAACUUUGGAGUGAUAAAAUCAAUUAUUUGUUAUCGUUAAUAGAUUCUAAUUACUUUUUUUUUCUUUGUUUUAAAAUUUUGCUCUCUGUCAUGAUUUUAUCAAAUAAUUUUCAACAUUACUAUCACUGUAACUAGUAGGAUCCUCCAAGGAAUAUAAUAAUAUCCAAUGUCUACAUUAUCCUCCCAAUUAGUGUUAAUAUCCACCAAUUCUUCUUCUUGAUUCAUCAAUUCCAGUGGUACUUUUUCUUAUCUAUCAAUAAUAAGAUAAUGAUUACAUAUAAAAUCAGCCAAUAAGAAGACAAACGAUUCCCUAAUCCUACCUUUUCAAUCACUUUUUCCCCUUUCAUUAAAGAUUAAUUAGAAGAAAACUAUGCUCUCAUUUCCUAAAAGGUUCAACUAAGUUGGGACCCAAUACAUAACUCAUGAAAUUUAUAUCAAAAGCCCACAAAAGCAUAGAUUCUAAUAAAAUCCAAGAUAUACCAAAUGCUUAUAAAGGUCGAAGACCCUUUAUCACCAUAACUGGUAGGAUCUUCAGGGGAAUAUAAUAAUAUCUAAUGUCUACAUUAUCCCCCCUAUUAGUGUUAAUAUCCACCAAUUCUUCUUCUUGAUCCAUCAAUUCCAGUGGUACUUUUUCUUAUCUAUCAAUGAUAAGAUAAUGAUUACAUAUGAAAUCAACCACUAAGACAACUAACAAUUCCCCUAUCCUUCCUUUUCAAUCACUUUUUCCCCUUCCAUUAAAGAUUAAAUAGAAGUCAACUAUGCCCUGAUUUCCUAAAAGGUUCAACUAAGUCGGGACCCAAUACAUAACUCAUGAAAUUUAUAUCAAAAGCCCACAAAAUCAUAGAUUUUAAUAAAAUCCAAUAUAUACCAAAUGCUCAUAAAGGUCGAAGACCCUUUGGAUAUUUGAGACUUAGGCCUCAAUAGCCUUGAAGCUAUAACCUCAAAGCUAUAAGCCUUGAUAGGGUGAGACGUAAGCCUCAAUUACCCUAACUGAGGCUAUAACCUCAAGGCAUAAGCCUCAAUAGCCUUUUAAAACAUUGUUAAAUAAGAUUAGAAAAAAAAAAAAACCUAAGUAACCAAUACAUAAAAACUAAUGUAUAAAUCUAAACAUUAGUAUAGCGUUAGCCCUAACAUAUGUAAGUUGUGUAUGGAACAAGGAGAAUCAGCAGAUCAUCUCUUCCUUCAUUGCUCAGUUACGUUGGGGUUGUGGCACAGACUUUUUCAGCUAGCCAAGAUGGAUUGGGUUCCUCCGAAAAGCAUUUCAGACAUGAUGUUCAUCAAUUACAAAGGUUUUGGCAAGUCCAAGAGAGGGGUAAUUCUAUGGCAAAACGCAAGUAUAGCGUUAAUCUGGGUUGUGUGGCGUGAAAGAAACGCUAGGAUAUUUGAGGAUAAGGCUAGGAAUGCAGGGAAUCUUUGGGAUUCCAUCCAUUUCCUUGCGUCUCUUUGGGCGUUUUGUUCAGCGGGUUUUAAGGGCACCCCCCUUAACGUACUACAACUUGAUUGGUUAUCAGUGUGUAGUUCAAAUAGUUCUAUUGGGACGGUCUAGUGCUUUGUUAUUUUUUCUUGUUGUCUAGUUUCCAUUUGGAGGGAGGAUUUCUCAUCCUCCUUUUGUACUUCUUUUCUAUCAAUAUAUUCUAGUGUGGUUUCCUAUCAAAAAAAAAAAAUGUAUAAAUCUAAACAAAACAUAACAAAUUAUAGUAGACUCUUGACAACAUUUUCACUACUUAAUGAGAUUGGAAGGCCAUGUCUCUAAAUGAAAAUUUGGGUUGUAACAAUCAAAUGCUUUGAUUGGUAAACUUUAUGAUGUGCAAAGCUUUAUGAUAUUUGAAAUGUGCACUUUCUUUUUCUUAAAUUUUUUAAGACAUUUAUCCCAAUUAUUGACAAAGCAAUCCCGAUUGAUACCCAUUAUCCUACAACACUUAAAUACUAAUGAGGGUUGAACUUGAGAUCCGUUGAGCUAUACCUUAGGGGGCUUGAUUAAUGGGCACGCUUAUUUGCUUUUCCCGAUUAUUGAAUUACUAAAACAUUAUCACAAUUUGGAUUCUUCAUUUCUUGUUGGUUUGCAACAUUUUAAUGAUUUUUUUUUUUUUUUUUUACACCUUUCAUGGUAAGAAAAAAAAAUUUCAAAUUCAAAGAUCCACAUGGAUUUGAACCUAAACCCACUAUAAGGAAACAAAUUAAGUGGAUAAACAUUCGGGGAGUCAUGAAACUAUUUCAUUAACUCUUCUCUUUGUUAUUUCCUUUAUGGAUGGUUAUUUUCUUCUUAUCAUCAAUAUUAGACUCUAUAAAUCUAUGUGUUUUAAAAGGCUAUUGAGGCUUACCUUAUGAUGAGGCUAUGCAAAUUCUGUUUUGUUAUUCCGUUAUAUAUAUAAUCUUCUUGUUGCUUAUUAAAAAAUAAAUAAAUAAAAUAAAAAUGGUGAGGCUAUGCAAAUUAGCUUUGAGGAUAUAGCCUCAUCCAAUUGAGGUUUAAGGCUCAAGUAUUCAAAGGGUUUUAAUACAUAUAGGGAUUUUUAUACAUAUUUUAUAAGAUGUUUAAGCCUUAAUAUUCAAUGGUUUUAAGGAAUUGUGCUUUUGUGAGGUUUGGUAUAGAUUUUUAAGUUUUGUCUUGAGUUCAAGGCUAGGGUUAGAGUGUGUAUAUAUGAUCAUUUGAUGACCAUGAUAGGAUUUUGUACUUGCCUUCUAGUGCGUAUUCUAUACAUUGUGUGUGCCUUUUUCUUAAGUGUUGUUAAUAUAAAUAUAUAUAUAUAUAUAUAUAUAUAUAUAUAUAUAUAUGUAUGUAUGUAUGUAUAGGGUUAAACCUUUUAUAAAGUGAGGACUUGGUUAGCUACCAAUUAAUCCUUUAAAUGGAGAGGGAAUGAAGAGAUUGGGAUGAUGAAAUAAGGGAGUUGUUUUUUAUUUAUUUAUUUAUCAGAAACGAAGAAAUACGUAAUAAUAGUAGUAAAUAUACAAAAGAAGCCUCUAUAGUAGUAAGAAAAGGAUGAGAGGUCCUUCCUUCAAAACACAGAAUCUGAUCAAAGAAGAAUGCACCCUUCUACAGAAAACAAUAUACAAAGAAAUCCUCAACUAUCUCAAACUUUUGAAUCACAAACUACAGUCCAAUUGAGUUGUAAAACACUAAGAGGAACUCCUCUAAAAGCUGCAGUGCAAGAGGCCUAAAGAGAGGAAUAGAAUAGAAGUAAAUCCCAUAACAUUCCUUCCGAUCUUCCUUUAUCCUAAAAAAUCUUAGCAUUUUUCUCUUGCCACACAAUCCGCAACAAAGUAAGGCAAGUGGUUCGCCAAAGUGUCUUGCCUCUAAGUGAAUUCCCCAAACAUCUAAAUGCAAUAAUCAUCAUGUCCUCAAUACUCCUUGGUGGAACCCAAUCCAACCCUACUAGAUUGAAGAGUUUGUGCCAAGGCCUAAUAGUUAAAGGGCAAUGAAGAAAAAGGCGGUCAAUCAAUUCCCCAUUUCCUUUGCAUAGAAUGCACCAUUGAGAACAAAGGGAUUUGUAAGGUCUUCUCAACUGCAGCUUGUCAUUGGUGUUUAGCUUCCCAUGUACUACUAACCAAGCAAGGGCCUUAACCUUUGAAGGGGCUUUUGAUUUCCAUAGAAACUUGGCUAGAAAGAGCAAGACAGGAUUUCAGAAAUUUAACUAGGCCAAAAAAAAAAAAGAUUUAACAGUAAACAAGCCUAAUGACGACAAAGACCAAACUCUUGAAUUUGCCAUAGAAGGAGAAAAAUGCACUGAACUAAGGGAGGACAUGAGUUUCUGAAGGUGUUCAAUUUCUGUAUCAGUGAGAUUACAACGAAAAUUAAAAUUCCAAGAAAGUGGAUAGGAAUUACCAAGGACAAUUGAGACGGUGAGGUUUUUCAUAAAAAUAACUCUAUAAAGAACAUGGAGUUGAAAACAUAAAGGUUGAGUACCCCACCAUAGAUCUUCUCAAAAAGGGAUUCUCUCCCCAUUCCUCACCACUAGACAGAUAAAUGGGGAGAAAUCUUGGAAAACUUGAGCAAUGGCCUUUUAAGGACAUCUGUGUGACCAUCUAACCACCAUGUUGGCAUCCCAUCCAUUAUGAUGUGUCCCAUAAAUACUUGCAAUAACCUUAUGCCAAGGACCACUUAUUUCCCUAGGGAACCUUCAAAGCCAUUUCCCUAAGAGAGCAACAUUUCUCAAGGAAGUCUUCCCAAAACCUAAACCUCCCAACUCAUUUAGCUUACAAACAACAUCCCACCUGAUAAGAUGAUCUUUUUUCCUUUCCCCCACCCUAGACUAAAGGAAAUCCCUUUGCAGCUUCUCUAUUUUUGAGGCUAUUGAUAUUGGGAUUUUGAAAAGAGAGAGGAAGUAGCUUGGGAUGUGAGACAGACUUGAUUGAAUUAAAGUAAUCCUCCCCCCUAAAGACAAAAAAGCCUUUUUCCACCCAUCCAACCUUCUUGAUAUUUUCUCAACCACUGGAUCCUAAAAGCCUAUUGACUUUGGGUUCCUUCCUAAUGGAAGACCUAGAUAAGACAAAUGCCACUUUGACACUCUGCAAUCAAGGAUCAAAGCCAAACUAGACAACCACUCUUGGCUUGUAUUAAUACCUGAUAGGGUGCUUUUUUUUUUUAAAUUGAUUUUCAAUUCUGAUACUUGCUUGAAAACCAAAAGGAUUAGCUUGAGGUUUUGAAGGUGUUCCGGAGAGGCUUUAGAGAAAAAAAUGGUGUCAUCUUCAAACUGUAGUAAAGACACUUUAGUUCCAUCCCUACCCACAGUGAAACCCUAAAUUAACCUAGUUUCCUUUGCUCUAAUCAUCAUCCUACUUAGAACAUUUGCUACUAAGGUAAAAAGAAAGGGAAGAAAGGAGGUCUCCUUGUCUCAAAGCCUUAACCCAACCCUUUGCAUUUCCAUUAACUAGGAUUGCAAAACUUGUUGAAGACAAACAUCCUCUCAUCCAAAAUCUCCAUUUUGGGUUAAACCCCUUCCUUUCUAGCACAUGGUCCAAAAAGCCCCAAUCCACAUGAUCAUAGGCCUUCUCAAAAUCAAUUUUGAAGACCACCCCUUCCUCUCCUGAACUCUUUUUCUCAUCCACCACUUCAUUGGCUAUCAACACAACAUCCAAAAUUUGUCUCCCUUCAACAAAGGUUUCUUUGAGAGCUAAAGAUUGUUUCAUGGAGGACUCGGCGUAAACGCCAUGAUAAGACCUUAGCAAUUAUCUUAUAUAAGCUUGUAAUCUGGCUAAUAGGUCUAAAAUCUGAUAUUUUAAAGGUUUGACUUUUCUUGGGCACCAGAGCAAUGAAAGUAGCAUUUGUACUUUGAUUUAUUAUCCCAUUAGUGUGGAACUCUAGAAACACCCUCAUAAGGUCCUCUUUGAUUACAUCCUAACACUCUUGAUACACUGCAAUAGUAAACCCAUCGGGACCAGGGGCCUUUUUCUUAUUCAGUUGGAAAACUGCAAAGCGUACCUCCUCCUCAAAAAAGGGUUUGUCUAGCCAAGAUGCACUCUCUCUAGAAAUAGGGACCCAAUCUAAACCUUCAACCCUCCAAGAAGCACCUGCGGAUUUGGACUAGAGCUUCCUAAAGAAAUUUACAAUCUCCCUUGAAAUAAUUUCAAUGUUGCUUAGAGUCACUCCCUCCUUAGAAACCAAAGACUUAAUGAACUUCUUGUUUCGCCUUCCAUUGGCCACUCUAUGAAAGAACUUAGAGUUGCAAUCCCCUUCUUUUAUCCACUUGAUCCUAGAUUUUUGCCUCCAGUAAACCUCUUCCUUUAACAACAAUUCCUCUAGCUCCUUUCUUUUUAAAGUCCUUUCUAAUAACAAAUCAUGAUUCAAGUUCCCUUCUUGUUCAAAAAGAUCAAUUCUACCUAAGUCUGAAAGAAUGGAAUUUUUCCUCUCUCUUGAAUCUCCAAAGGCCACUUUAUUCCAAUCUUUUAACUUUGAUUUAACAAACUUUACUUUCCUCAUGAACUUAUGACCUUCCCAACCUUCAACUGAACACUCUUGCUACCAAGCACUAAAAUUUUCCUUAAAACUCAAGAUGGAGCAACUGCAUAUUCUCAAACCUGAAAGGAGUUGGGCCCCACUUUAAAGGAUUAGUUCCAAACAAAUUGGGUUGUGAUCUGAGGUCCAUCUAAGAAGCGCCUCUUGAAGACUUUGAGAGAAAAAAAUGGUCCCAUUCAGAUGAGAACAAGAAUCUAUCCAGCCUCUUGCAAAUAGGAACAUCUUGCAUGUUUGACUAAGUAAAAGCCGCGUUCCUAAGAGGGGGAUCAAACAAACCACUCUCCCUUAUAAAAUCGUCAAAACACCCAUGUUCAAUGUUAACCUAGAAGCACCCAAUUUUUCAAAGAUCCUCCCUCCUACACACCAUAUUGGGAAGGUUAGACCAUAUAGGUCUUGUAGUUCCAUCCAGAAAUCCCUCCUCCACAAAGGCUUAUUUGGACCAUACACUGAAGUUAACCAAAAGGAACUUUCUUCACCAGAAUUCAACUUCACAGUUACAGAGAAAGACCCUAACACCAUCUCUGUACACUUGAACUUAUUUGAAUCCUGCAGGAUCACAAUACCCCCCAAAGCCCCACAAGCAAGAAGAAAAACCCACUCUUUGCUUCUUCCUUUCCAAACACUACCCACAAGCCUCCUAUCCUAAAUUUCUCUCUUUGUUUCCUAAAACAUCACAAUAUCUGGAUUUUGAGAACUUAAAAACUUUCUGACAAUCCUCAUUUUCUUUUUGGAGCCCAACCCUCUUGUAUUCCAACUAAUGAUCUUCAUGUAAAUAGAAAAGGGCCUAGCAAAAACCACAACAGACCUAAGCCUCCCCCUUGGAUUCCACAAACAGUCUUUCUCUUCCUUUUGAAAUAGACCUUUUCUGUAGAAAGAGUACUCUUACUCUCCACCACCACACCUUAACUUUCUUUGACAAUUCUAAUCCUCAAACUCUCCAACACCGAUUGAACCUUUACCAUCUUCCUGGGCGUGAGACCCUCAAUUUGAAAGCCUUCCAAUGGGAUAGUGGGAGGUUCUGGAGCUGGGGAGUUGUUGGCCAUUGUAAUGGUUGAACUUAUAUCUAAUUAAUUUUACAACAUUGAAAAAUAAAGGAAGAAAGACCACUAUUAUUUUUAUUAUGUUUAUCAUGUUUAUGUUGAUUAUUAUUAUUAUUAUUAUUAUUAUUGUUAUUAUGUUUAUGCUUAAUUUUAUUGUGUUUAUUAUUAUUGUUUUUGUUGUUAUUAUUAUUAUUAUGUUUAUAUUUAUAUUUGUUAUGUUCAGCAGAAAUAGGCCCAAAAGGAAGGAAAGAAAUAUGAAUCUACCAGUUUAGAGGGUUCAGAAAGAAUCUUUCAAAGAACAAAACAUUUAUUAGCUUCAAACUGAAAUAUUUGAAGUGAAGAAAGAAACCAAAGAAUUAAAAAGUGUGAUGGUGUCGUUGAAAGAAAAGGUUAUAUAACCUUGAGAUAGGAGAGCCAAAAGAACCCUAUGUAAAAAAAGAUACAUAAAUCCCCAUAUUAGCAUCUCCAAUAAAAUGUUUUAUGAUGGAAUAAAUCAGAAUAUUUAUUGUACCUUCCUCAAUUUGAGGAUUUUGCUCUAUUUGACCAUUCAUAUCUGCCAUAAGGGAACCAAAUAAACAUAUGAAUAUUUGGGGAGGUGUGGAAGUAUUUCAGUAAUUCUUCGCUUUGUUGUUUCCUUAAAUGGGUGUUAUUCUUUUUCUUCUUCUUAUCACCAGUAAUAGACUCUGUAAAUUAUUUCUUUUUCACACACAGAGAUGGCAGCAAGUUCUCACCAAUUGUCGGUUUCUUUAUUGAUACCUGUCCCUCAGAGGUUUGAGCAAUAAUAUUUUUCAAUUCUGUUCUAAUUUACUAUGCUAUUCAUUGCCUUGUAUUUUGCAUUGCUAUGGAAUUAUGUAAUAUUUUUUUUUCCUCUAUCUCAAUGUGGAAUUUAAACAAUGACUGAUCACUGUCUUACACUCUUUCUUGUUGAUGCAAUCUGAGUGGUUAAUGACUGAAUGACAUAGAGAACUGCUCAAUCAUGAGAUGGGAAGUCACUCACCCCUCUAAAAUGGGAGUAUCUCUCAUCAUCCAAGCCUUGUUCUUAGUUUUUUGGGGUAUUGCUCUUCCCAUAUUCCAGUGUAAACAAACAUGGAAGAAAAUUCUGUAUAAGCAUAUUAAGUGAAAUGAAAAAAUAAAAAUAAAUAUAAAACAAUCACAUAAAAAGGAAGAAAAUAAAUAAUUUCAAACUUUCAAACUUAGAACUCUCCUUGCAUCUCAUAACUCCCUUAGGACUUGUUAAUGACUAAAUUCUCUAACUAGAGAACACUAAAUACUAGAUGAAUUAGUUUGAAGACGUCACGACUAGAUAAUUGAAUACUCACUUGAAAAUGUUGUCAAAUAGAUGGUGCUUUGCAUGAAACUUGGAUAACCAAAGUGGAUGGGAGAACACACGGAUGUGGGUCUAUUGAACUAGAUCUUACUAGUAAUGUUUUGAUUUAUUUGGCAAUUUUUUGGUAUGUGACAUUUGAAUUAAUGUCUUUGUUAUUACAUGAUAGACAUAGGUAAGUAGUGGAUAAUCUUUUUUUUGUUUUUUGUCUCAUCGACACAACAAUGAUCAUUUUGUCUUCAAAUAAAUAUCUAAAUUGUUAGGAGGCCCACAUGAUUUUUUGUUCUUUGAUGGAAAAUAAUAUAUAUACAUAUUUUUUAUUUAUAAUUUUUAUCAGGACUUUUCCCCUUCCAUCUAUCUUGUGGUAGGGAAUGGGGAGAGAAUUUGAUUCUAAGAAGAUUUAAGGUGGGGAGAUCAACCUUUGAGCUCACAUUUUGCAAGCCUUUACAAAGUUAUUUCAAUGAGAAAUAUUACCAUCUCUGGGGUCCUUGGAAAUUCCUACCUGUUUUCUUGGAAUCUUAAUUUCUAACACAAUCUCAUUGAUUUAGAAAUUGAACUCCUCGAUAGACUGAUGUCUUCACUUAAUUUAGUGCACUUGUCUUUUUCUACCAUAGAUUCAAGAGUUUGGUCCUUAAUCUCCACUGGGUCAUUUUCGAUAAAAAAAAAUUCAUGGUCUUGUUCGAGCCCUCUAAUCCAAUUCCAUUCCUUCCGACUACUUGUGUUUGGAAGCCCUAUCAAAGGUCAAGGCCUUUGCAUGGUUAGUGGUGCAUAAAAAAGUUAAUACCAAUGAUAUGCUACAAGUGAGACGACCCUACAAAUUUCUUAGUUCUCAUUGGUGCAUUUUAUGCAAAGAAAGUGGAUAAAUUGAUCAUCUUUUUCUAAUUGUCCAAUAACAUUGGGGCUUUGACAUAAGCUCUUCAGUGUAGCUAAUUUGGAUUGGGUUCCACCAAGGAGUAUUGGAGAUUUGAUGAUUAUUUCAUUUAAAUGCUUGGGGAAUUCAAUUAGAGGCAAGACGCUUUGACAUAUUGCAUGUAUCAUUGUAUUGUGGGUGUGUAGUAAGAGAGAAAUGUUAGGAUUUUUGAGGAAAAGUGUAGAAUGGAAGGGAUGUUAUGGGAUCUUAUUCAUUUCCACUCCUCUUUUUGGGUUUCUUGUAUUGUCACCUUUAGAGAAAUUCCCCUUAAUGUUAUUCUACUUAGUUGACUUUUGGUUUGUAAUUAGAAAGGGGUAGAUAACUUUUGAGAGAAUUUGGUUUUGAUUUUUGAGAGAUUUUGUACAUGCUUUUAUCAAUAUUUCUCCUUGUACAAUGAAGGGUACACUCUUACUUUGAUCAGGUUUUUUACCUUGUGGGAAGGACCUCUCAUCCUUCUCUUCAACUUUAUCAUUAUCAAUAUAUAUUUUGUUUAUGAUAUAUAGAUAUUUUAUCAUUUUGUCAAUACAACCAUGAUUUUAUGUGUUGAAAUGAGUAUCUGGAAAAUCAGGGGACCAAGACGAUUGGUGGACAGAUGUUCAUGUGAAUUUAUUAAUUCAACAUCAUUUGUUCAAUACAAUCUGAAAACAUUGUGAACUUGAGCACAUACUCUAAUUUAGAUGUUAUUUAAUGGAUAUUUAUACCAAAAUGAUUAUUGACCAGUUAGGGGUGAGCAAAAAAACUUGUAAGCAAUGACUGCAGAAACCGAACCAAGUCAAAUCAAGUUGUUUUUUCUUUCACUUUUCUCAAAUUUUUUUUAAAUUUUUUUUCAAAUUUUAAAUAUUAUUAGGUUAAUUUGAGGAAGUGUAAAAUUUUAGUUUGCUUUACCAGGUUAUUAACCUUUUUAAAUUAAUAAAAAAAUUGAACCAACUGUACACAUUGUUUGUUUUGAUUUGUUGUUUAUUGUGCAAGCCUUUAAAGGUAGUUGACAUUUAGUAUUUUGUGAUGAGAUUUGCCUUGGACCUUGGUUUCCAUUUGUUUAUUAGAUUGAGUCCGAUUUGUAUUAUCACGUGAUCUUGUGAUGUUUUAGAUUGGAUUUUAUGAAUAUUUAUGAAUUUCUAUGUAAAAGAUUUGUAUUAUCAUUUGAGCAUGUGAUAUUUUAGUUUGGAUUAUUAUGCUUGUAAUGUCCUAAAUUAGAUUAUCAUACUUUUGGAUUUUAUAUCAUACAAUUUAUAUUUGAAAACGAGUUUUUGUCAUGUUAUUUUUCUGAAAAAAUUAUUGGCUCAAUUUUGGUCCAAAUGAAAUGAACCAUAUUGAACCAAACUGAACCGAUGGUAAAUUGGGUUCAUUUUGGUUGAUGAAUAAAUCAGUUCUAAUCAGUUCCAACUUAAUUAAAACUUUGGUUCUCUGGUUGCUUAAAAACUGUUCUAAACCAAACUACAGCCACCCUUGCAACAAGUAUGCAUAUGGUAUAUGUGUGUGUGUGUGGUUUUAUGUAUGUAUGUAUGUAUGUAUGUAAAUUUAUAAACUAGGACCAAAUUGAUGAUCACUAUAUAUGUAUAGUUGUAUUUUAUAUGUGUUUAUGUGCUUGUUCAAUGACAUUCAAAUCAAAGUAUGUACUUAAAUUCAAAUACCAAUUGUUUCCUAAAGUGUAUUAUACAUACAUAUGUAUUCAUAUUUUAUAGUAUGUGAAAGAGUACAGAAAUGAUGAUCACCAUUUGCAUAUGUGUGCAUGUUAGUACUUUCCAAAAUGAUAACCAUGCCAGUUCAAUGGAAUAUAUGUAAGAUAAGACAUUAUUAUUUCACAGCACACUGUCAUAUUAUCCAUCUAUGUUGAGAUAAUAUAUAGCUGAUAGGCAGGCUCCUGCACUGUGUAAGCCAUGAAUAUAUUAUAUGAAAAUAUUAUUUCACAAACUUUGUAGAAGAUGUAUUGUCCCCGCAAAAAAUGGCCAGAUGGAUAUUACCUUUGAAUACUUAGUUGAGUUGAUAAUUAUGUGAAUAUUUAUAGAAAAUGUGAAAAAAAGGUUGUUUGUGCAAUGAUAUCAGUAUGUUUGAGAAAGACUAACAUUCUCAUGUGUGAUGGCUGCAACAGGUAAUUGUUCGUAAAUGGGAUCAACAAGAUGAACGAUUAGUGAAACUUUCAGAGGAAGAGGUUUGUGUUCAUCUUAAAUAUGCAUAUUCUCUCUCUCUCUCUCUCUCUGUCUCUCUCUCUCCCCCCUCUGAUUUUGAAACAUAUGCAUGCUAGUCCAGAAAGAGAAUCAUGCCUGAUGCAUUUUGCAUGCCAUAGAUUGGCAUUUUUGCAUUAAUAGUGAGGACCUGUGCUUGAUAAGAAUGAGGGGGAAGGAUUCAGAAACUGCAAUUGUGAAGUGCUAGCCUGAAUUCUUUUUUCCAUUGGCAAGAAAAAAACUAUAGCUGUUGACCUAUUUUCCUUUGUAAGAAAGCUUGAUUGUUUUCUCUAUUUUCGAAUGUUGUCAAAAGCAAAAGGCGAUAGGACUCUUUUUAGCCUAAGGCGAAAGGCGAAAAACAAGGCGAUAACCUAACUAUAGUAAAGCGAUAAAAAAUAUACAUAUAUUUACCCAUUCGAUAUUCAAUCAACAUAAGUAUUGUCUUCAACAAUCAACACUAUUAAUCUUUCAUCACUCACGAUGUCUUAUAAAAUUAACAAAAUAGUAAUAAUUAUUGAAAGUGUUAAAUAUUAUAUCUCAUAUUUUAAAAAACAUCAUAUUGUUUAAAGAUAUUCAUUCUAUCUAAAUGUAUAUUCUAAUUUUUCAAACAUCCAAAAAGCAAAAUAAAAACCAAAAUAAGAGAUUGAACAUUCUAGAGAAGCUUUAGACAUCAUCAUCAUAGUCAUUAUUAAAAUUAAAAUUGUCAUUACUUCCAUCAAGACUGGAUUGAUAACCCUCCAUCUUAUUAUCUCUAUGAUAGAUAAUAUAAUAUUUUAUCUUUUACUUUGUUUAAUCCAAUGUUAGAUUGAAUGAAAUUAUAAUCUAAGUAUGUUUAAUCUUAAUUCAUGGUCAAAGGCGGGGCCUCUAUGCCUUGUACCAUAUCCCAAGGCAAUAGCCUAGGUGUAGCCUCUUUGAAGUUGCCUUGCCUAGGUCUUCAAAAGGUGAUUUUUAUCUACCCUAUCUGGCCUGAUGGCUUAGGCGACCCAGGUGAUCGCCUUUGAUAACACCGCUAUUUUCCUUUUUUUUCUAUAUAGAAAAUGAAAGUUGUCCAUGUAGAAAGGAAAGGGACAGAUGUAGAUAAAUAGGAAGAGUUUUAGUUGUUGAAAAUCAAUAAGCAAACAUGAAGAAUGUAUAAAUACAAUGUGGUGCUGAUUUCUCAGUCCUGCUCUGGAAUUGAGGAAAGUGCUUGAAAUUUCUGAAGAAGUUGUCUAUGGUCAAUGCUUUUUCUUUUUGGUAAUGAAUCAAACCCAAAUUAGCAAUAUUAGCACAUGCUAAAUGUUGAGAAUCUCAAUUAGAUCAUAGAAAUUUUGAUCUGGUUGUUACUUAUUUUUUUAGGGAUAAUAUGUUGUUUUUUAGGGAUAAGUUGUUUAUUUUAAAUUUAUUUUGUUCCUAGAAAUUUAAGCUAUAAAAGGAAGCAUGUUUCCCUUCCUUAUUCAAUUAAUAUAUGACAUUUUUUUAUCCUAUUCUAGAUGGUAUCAGAGUUGACUUAAUUGGUUAUUCCCUUUUUCUUCUCAUUCUUUCCAGUUUUGUUCUUCUUCCCUCUCCGUUUCUGUUGCUACUCCUUCCAUUAUUAUUGGUUCCAAUUCCUUAAAAUUAUCCACAUCCAAUUCUCAUUCCCACUUUGUCUAGAUCACCACAAUCUGCCUUAAUGAGAACAAUUUUCUCAGAUGGUCACAAUUUUUUUGGAUGUACAUUAAGGGCCGAGACAAAAUUGGUUAUUUGACAAGUGACACUCCCUAGCUAUGCCACUUGGGAUGCAGAAAACUCCAUGAUCAUGGCAUGACUGGUAAAUUCCAUGGCGGAGGAGAUUAGCUUGAAUUAUAUGUGUUAUCCUGCUGCCAAAGCUCUUUAGGGCAACACUAUUUAGAUGCAUUUGGACCUUGGAAAUCAGUCCCAAAUCUGUGAGUUACAACUCAAACUAGGCACCAUUCGAUUACCAAAUAUUUUAAUGUGCUUAGGGGUUUAUGGUAGGAUCUUGACUUAUUCAAUGACUAUAUGAGUGGAAAAAUUCGGAUGAUUGUAACUAUUUUAAGAAGAUGGUAGAAAGUUCAUGGAUAUUCAAAUUUUUAGCUGGGCUUAAUGUUGAGUUUGAUGAAGUUCGGGGUAGAAUCAUUGGUUGGAAACCUCUCACUUCUCUAGGUGAAGUGUUCUCUAAAGUGCGUUGUGAGGAAAGCCAGAGGAAUGUUAUGCUUGGGAAGAAGCUCUCUGGACCUAUGGAAAACUUAGCCUUAUUGGGCACUGCAGUAGCGACUUCUCACAAUCCUAAUAACCAGCAUCGUCCGGAUGACAAGCUAAGAGUUUGGUGUGAUCAUUGUAAUAAACCACGCCACACUCGUGAAACCUGUUGGAAAUUACAUGGGAAGCCAACUUAUUGGAAGCCUGUUGAAUGGAAGACUAAUAAGCAAGGUGACUAAUUGUUUCCCUGCUAAAGCACAUGCUACCAAGACACCCUCAUUGAGCAAAGAACAAUUAGACCAACUGCUACAGCUGCUGAAACCUGCUCCGCUGACUCCUGGUACUCCUAUAGCAUCUCUAGCUUAGUCAGGUAGCCUUUCAUGUGAAUAUUCUCCUUCAUUAUUUGCACCUUGGAUUAUAGAUUUAGGUGCCUCUAACCACAUGACUAAUUUAUCUCAUUUGUUUCUCUUAUACACCUUGUUUUGGAAAUAAAAAAGUACAUAUUGCAGAUCGAAGCUUAUAUUCUAUUGUUGAGCGAUGAUUUAUUCGUUUGUCUGAUAAGAUUGUUUUACAAUCUUUUUUACAUGUCCCAAAACUCUCUUGUAAUCUAUUAUCCGUAAGUCGUUUAUCUAAGGAUUCUAAUUGUUAUGUUGUUUGUUGUACCUCUCUUUGUGAAUUCCAGGAUUUGAACUCGGGGAUGAUGAUUGGUAGUGCUAGAUUAAUCGACAAUCUCUACUAUUUUGAUGACAAUUGGUUUGAGAAUAAACAAGUGUAGGGUUUUAUUGGUAGUAUUUGUUCAAUCCUUGUGCAUGAUCAAAUAAUGCUAUGGCAUAACAGAUUAGGACAUCCUAAUUUUUUCUACUUAAAACAUUUGUUUCUAGGUUUAUUUAAAGGAUUGGAUUGUACUUCUUUUGACUGUGAAACUUUUUUUUUGGCCAAAAGCCAUCGCAAUUCUUAUAAAAUAAAAUCGUAUUGUGUCUCAAAGCUUUUUUAUUUGAUACAUAGUGAUGUUUGGAUCUUCUAGGAUUACUGCUUUAAUUGGGAAAAAAUGGUUUGUGACAUUUAUUGAUGAUCACACAAGCCUAUGUUGACUUUAUCUAAUGAACUCUAAAUUUGAGGUUGCAAAACUCUUUUAGGAUUUUUAUUCUAUGGUUGAAAACCAAUUUCAAACCAAAAUAAGUAUUCUUCGGAGUGACAAUGGAACAAAAUUUUAUAAUGAUUGUUUAGGUGAUUUUUUGCUAGAAAAAGGUAUUUUACAUCAAUCAAUUUGUAGGGACAUUCCUCAACAAAAUGGAAUUGCAGAACGUAAAAACAAACAUUUACUUGAAGUAGGUAGAACUCUUAUGUUUCAUAUGAAUGUUCCUACACACCUUUGGGGGAAUGCAAUUUUAACAAGUUGUUAUUUGAUUAAUAGAAUGCCUACAAGGGUUUCACAUUAUGCAACACCUUUACAAACUCUUAAGAAUACUUUUCCAAACACAUGCCUCACUUAAGAUUUACCUUUAAAAAAUUUUUGUUGUACAGUGUUCGUCCAUGUGCCAAAUCGUCUCCAAUCCAAAUUUGAUCCAAGAACCGACAAAUGUAUUUUUCUAGGUUAUGCUCUUAAUAAAAAAGGGUAUAAGUGUUUUAAUCCUUCCACUAGGAAAAUUCAUGUUAGUAUGAUGUCAACUUUAUUGAAAAUAUUCCUUUUUUAUAACAAAACUACUCUUCAGGGGGAGAGUUAUAAUGAAGAUCAGUUUGGUAACAAGAACAACCAAAACCUAGUAUUUUUCUUCUUGAAAUAAAAAAAAAAUAGAUGUUUUAAUUAGUGAAAAGGGAGGAAAUACUAACUUUUCAAUGCCAAAUAAAAUUGCAUCACAAACAGGGGGAGAAACUUUACAACCUAUGUCCACUAAGCUCCGUGUUUAUACUAGACACAGGUUUAAUUCUAAUACUAAGAAUAAUCAAGUCAAUCUUGAGCAUGGUCAAUCAUCAGCUCCUAGUUCUCAAAAUUUGGGUAAUCUUCCUAUGGACUCCACUCCUUUACCUCUUUCUGAUCUUGAUAUCCCUAUUGCAAUCCGAAAAGGAGUUAGGAAUUGUACCAAAUAUCCCAUUGCCAAAUAUUUGUCUUAUCAAAGACUCUCAAAAAAAUAUAGAGCUUCCACUUCAAAUAUUUCUCACUUAUUCAUUCCUAGAACUAUACAGGAAGCACUAGGACACUCAAAAUGGAGGUUAGUAGAUCAAGAAGAAAUGAAUGCUCUUUUGAAAAAUAGAACAUGGGAAAUUGUUGAUUUACCUAAGGAGAAGAAGACAGUGGAAUGCAAGUGGGUUUUUACAGUCAAGUGUAUAAGCCCGAUGGUAGCAUUGAAAGAUACAAAGCAAGGUUAGUAGUCAAAGGUUUUACACAAACCUAUGGAAUUGACUACCAAGAGACCUUUGCACCUGUUGCAAAGAUCAAUUCCAUUUAGAUUUUACUUUCUCUUGCAAUACAUCUUAAUUAACCUUUACACCAAUUAGAUGUGAAGAACGCUUUCUUAAAUGGUGAUUUAAAGGAAGAAGUGUUUAUGAAUUUACCAUUGGGUUUUGAAAAAAAGCUAGGAAAAGAAAAGGUUUGCAGAUUAAAGAAGUCCUUGUAUUGUUUUAAGCUGUCUCCUGGGGCUUGCUUUGAGAGGUUUGGAAAGGUAAUUAAGCUUCAAGGAUAUAUAUAUAUAUUUUAUCAAUAAUCAAAAGAAUUGUAUUACAAAGAGGUGCUAAAAUAGCGACCCAUAGAAUUGCAGUAAAGAGACACUCACCCCCUUACAAUUGGACCCAAAACAACAAGGAAAAACAAAAAACCUUCUCCCUCAUCGCAAACCCACUCAAUCUACAAAAUCUAUUAAGGUUGAAGGACCAUCUUUUAUCCACAAUUUGGUCUCCGACCAAAGUAAAUAUACACAAGAAGCUUUCAGCCUUUGGAUGGACAACACGCUAUCUUCAAAAGCAAUUUUAUUCCUUGCCUUCCAAAUGACCCAAAACAAGCAUAACGGUCCCACUUGCCACACCGCCUUCCUCUUCUUACUCACAAAAGAGCCCCUCCACCCUAAAAGGGUUUCCUUUACCGAAAAAGGAAACACCCGAAACACUCCAAAUAAAGAAAGGAGCAACAUCCACACUUCUCUUGUUUUUUCACAAUGAAGAAGGAGGUGAUCAAUCGACUCCUCAAACAUUUGGCACAGAAAGCAUCUAUUAGCUAAAACCCAACCCCUCUUUUGCAAACGGUCCAAGAUAAGAACUCUUCCCCACAAAGCCUCCCAAGCAAAGAAACUUAAUUUGGGCUGCACACAAGAGUUCCAUAUAAUCUUCGAAGGGAAAGAAACAAGAGAAACCGGCUGCAAGGCCCUAUACAAAGACUUUACCGAAAAAACCCGAUCCUUUGAUUCCAUCCACCUCACUCUAUCCUCCUCAUCCACACUAACCUUCUUCCCAUCCAAGCAACAAAACAACCUUUCCACCUCUUCCAACUCUCAAUCAUUGAAAGGUUUAUUGAAACAAGGACUCCAACUUCCCCCCCUUUCCCCCGCAGCUGUCCAAACUUCAUUUACCCAAGCCUCUUUGGAAGUUGCUAGAGCAAAUAAAGAGGGGAAAGCCUCGCACAAAGGGGUGGUUCCACACUUGUCUUUCCAAAACCUCACCUUCUUUCCAUCACGCACCACAAAAUCAAAAGAAAGGGUCACUAGAUGUCCCAACUUGUUUAUUGUUUUCCACAACCUGACUCCAUAGGCCUCCCUAGCCUCAUAAGAGCUCCACCCUCCUCUUUCCUCCCCGCAUUUCCUUCUAAUCACUUGGUUUCAAAGGGCCUUUCUUUCAAUUGCAAAGCGCCAAACCCACUUGCCAAGGAGAUCCCUAUUGAAAGUCCCAAGAUUCUUAACCCCCAACCCUUCUUUUCUUUUUUCUACACAAACAAUCGACCACCUUACUAAGUGUGGUUUUUGCUCAAGAGCCCCACCACCCCACAAAAAAUCCCUUUGAAUCUGCUCCAAUCUUAUUCUAACCACCCUAGGCAACUGGAAAAUAGACAUGAAAUAAAUCGGCAAAUUGGACAAGGUACUUUGACUUAAGAUAAUCCUCCCCCCUCCCCCUUUGAAAUGUAUUGACGAUUCCACAUAGCCAAUCUCUUGCGGAAUCUUUCUUCUAUUCCAUUCCAGAUUUAAAAGGAGCACCCAACGGCAUUCCUAAGUAGGUGGAGGGCAAUCUUCCCACCUUAUAACCGAACUCUUCAGCCAGCUCUUCCACAUUCUCAACUCUACCAACCGGUAUCAACUCACUUUUUUCCAGAUCACUCUUAAUCCUAAAAUUGCCUCAAACCACAUUAAUAGCCAGCACAAAUACGUCAACUGCUCCUCCUUCGCCUCACAAAAAAUCAAUGUAUCAUCAACAAACAGCAAAUGAGAGACCUGGACCCCUUCACCCCUUCUUCCCUAAAUCGAGAAAGGCGAUCUUUAGCAAACAGCUGAAAGCCUUCAUCACAAUUAUGAACAAGGCGAAAGGAGGUUUCCUUGCCUUAAACCCCGUGAGCUCUAAAAAAAACUAGUAGGGGUUCCAUUCACCAUAACAGAGAAUCUAGCAGUAGAUAAACACCACUUUAUCCAUCUACGCCACUUUUCUCCAACACCGUUAAAAGAAAAGACCAGUCCACAUAAUCAUAGGCUUUCUCAAGGAUAUAUUCAAAGUUAAGCUGACCAUACAAUGUUUUAUAAAUACUCAAGAGAAGGAAAGAUUGUUGUAUUGAUAGUUUAUGUGAAUGACAUUAUUCUAACUAGUGAUAAUAGUUUAGAACUUGAGAAAUUGAAGAAAGCUUUAACUCAUGAAUUCGAGAUAAAAGAUUUGGGUCCCUUGAAAUACGUUUUUGGUAUGGAGUUUGCUAGAUCCAAGAAAGCUAUUUUCAUUUCUCAAAGAAAAUAUAUACUUGACUCAUUAAGUGAAACAAGUUUACUUGGAUGUAAGGCUGCAAAAACUCCUUUAGAACCAAAUUUGAAACUCCAACCCGCAAGUCCAGUAGAGGUGAUUGACAAAGAGAAAUAUCAACGCCUAGUUGGGAGACUUAUUUAUAUCUCUCAUACUCAUCCCGAUAUUGCAUUUGUGGUAAGUAUGGUAAGUCAAUUCAUGCACUCGCUAAAUUAGGGGCACUUUGAUGUUGUGUACAAAAUUUUAAGGUACUUAAAGGGGAUUCCAGUAAAAGGACUUCUAUAUGAGAACCGAGGACAUCUCCAAGUGGAUAUGUUUACUAAUGCAGAUUAGGCAGGAAGUGUAAUGAUAAGAGAUCAACUUCGGGGUAUUGUACUUUUGUUGGAGGCAAUCUUGUGACUUGGUGGAGUAAAAAGUAGAAUGUUGUGGCUAGAAGUAGUGUUGAAGCUGAGUUUAGAGCUGUAGCCCAUGGCAUUUGUGAAGUUUUGUGGAUUAAACAAUUACUUGAAGAACUUAAGGCUGCUAGCCCUUUACCUAUGAAGGUCUUUUGUGAUAAUAAAGUUGACAUUGCCAUUGUACAUAAUCCAGUACUCCAUGAUAGAACUAAACAUGUCGAGGUUGAUAAAUAUUUUAUCAAGGAGAAACUAGAAAAUGGAUUGAUUGUUAUGCCCUAUAUACCUAUGGUUGAACAAGUUGCAGAUAUACUCACUAAGGGAUUGCCGAAGAAACAGUUUGAUGAUUUAGUAAGCAACCUGGACAUGAAUGACAUCUUCAAGCCAACUUGAGGUGGAGUAUUGAGAAUCUCAAUUAGAUCAGAGAAAUUCUGAUCUGGUUGUUACUUAUUUUUUAGGGAUAAUUUGUUGUUGUAUUUUAGGGAUAAGUUGUUGCUGUUUUUUAGGGAUAAGUUGUAUAUUUUAAAUUUAUUUUGUUCCUAGAAAUCUGGGUGUACAGCUGUAGAUUUAGUUUGAUUUGUUGUAGCUUAUCUAUAAAAGGAAGCAUGUUUCCCUUCCUUAUUCAAUUAAUAUACGACAUUUUUUUAUCCUAUUCUAGAUAAAUAAAACACCCCAUGUUCUAGAUUAGUUCAUCACUUCUUUUAGUGGAAAGUCUCUGAGGACCUUUAUCAAGUUGUUUGACCCAUGUAAUUAAGUGAUGCCUUCCAAUCUCUAGAGGAGGACCCCUCAAAAGGUCUUUGGUAACAACUCCCAAAAGAAAACCAACCUCCAAGUCCUCUUAAUUAUGGCAUGCAGAUGUGGAAACUGUUAUCAAAGAAUUGGAUAUUUCUGUUCUCCAAAUGAACCGCAUUGAAGCAAUCUUGGCAUAUUUCAGAACCAAGAACCUAUAGAAACUCCAGAACUAGAUGAAAUCUGCAUGGGAGUUGGCUAGUCAAUACUGGCCAAAUAUGCAGUAGGCAUAAUCACAAUGGUUUUACAACUGCUCUUAUGGUGGGAAGCAGAUGUUAUAGCUAUUUUGAAUGAUGUGGGCAUUUAUGUUCCUCCAAAUGAACCACAUUGAGGAGGUCAUUUUGUAUAACUAUAAUAUUGGAAACCAGGAACUUGAAAAUCAUUUUCCAAUCGAUAUCCAUUAAGAUGUAGGAGGCAUGAUCACAACUAGCUGCUAUGAUGAAUGAUCACUUGUAGAUUUCCUCCAUGAAAUCUUUUUGUUGUUUUGACCUUCUAAUGAGGUAUCAUCCAUUUAAUGUCUUGAAUGUAUAGUAUAGUGGCUUUGGAAGUCUAUAUUGUCUUGGAGGAAGGGAAUGAAUAUUGAUAAUUUCCACUUUGAGUAGAGCAGGUAGCUUUCUAAAAAACAAAAAGAAAAAAGAAAAAAAAAGGCUUAAUGAGAUAUAUGGUCAUUCAGCUGCCUCUGGAAUGUGGAGUUCUAGAAGCUCUAAAAAAUGACUUGCAGUAGAAAUGGUCAAUAAAUGUGGAACAUGAAAGAAACAUAAAUACUUAUUUUAGAAUUUCAAGAAAGCCAACAGCAUUCAAGGAAGUUGUCUUGCGAGGGGAGCAGAGAUUGGGGGUGUGAGUUGAUCUGGAAGAAGGUGAUCUAAUUGGAGAUACUGAAACAUGAAAGGGUUUUCCUUGCUGCUUGUUCACCUGAAAUUUGACUCUGUCGCCUGAAUGAAUCUAAGCUAAUGUUUGGAAACAGAGAUGUUCAUACAUGAUUAAUUGUUUCCAGGAAGCUUGGUGAGUCUCCCUAUGUGUUGGCUUUGAAUCUUAAAAAUGAAGUUGAUCCAUAUUUUCUUUUGAAUUGCCUUGUGUAACAAGCAAUGAGGAUUCUUUAGGAAUCUCACACAACUUCAAGGUAGAGCAAGGUUCCUAAACGCCACAUUACCAAAACCUAGACUGCCUAAAACUUAAAGCCACUGCAUAGUUUCCCAAUCGGUCAGACAAUUCAUUGUGCGGUUGCCACAUUAUAGAUAGUAACUGAAAAUUGUAAUUGCAUUUAAGAUUAGCAUACAGAGCACGCCCAAUGAUAAGAUGUUUGCCAUAACCUCAGGAGAAUUAUUACCAAGCUAUUGGGUCUGAAAUUUAAGUCCAAGCUGACUAAUUUUUGCUGAAUAAAUGAUAGAAAGGUUUAGUUAGUCAUCAAAGGAAUGAAAAUUAGCAAAUACCUAAUCAGUUUUUCUUCAUCCUGAAUGGCAGUAUUUGACAUAAACUCUUUUCUCAUUGCCACUAAUAAUUCAAUGGAAGAAUUUAUUAUUUUCAUCUCCUUCCUUUAUCCACUCAAAUAUUCUUGCUGCCACUGGUAGUAGGUUGUCUUCAGGUUAAGACCUAGUUAAAGAUGCAUUCCAGAUAUCCACUGAGUUUGAAAUCUUAAAUGAGAAAUUUGAAACUUCCUCUGGCUAAUCAAAUAGUUGAUAUGUUGAGCAAGCAAGGUACCUCCUUAUUUGUCAUCCAUUCCCUUUUUGUUAUUGUAUAUGGCAUUGAGUGGUUGGCAACUAUUUGCCUAUCAUCCAAGAUGUAUCACCAUUCUUGUGUAUAUGGGGCAGCUAUUGAACUUGUUAGGUAUCAGCCAAUUUCCCAACUGGCAGCUGUAGUUGGCUUUCAGCAAUUUAUAUGGUUUCACAAGGUUUAAAUGCACUUUUAGUAAAUUUCAAUCUGUUACAUAUUAGUAAUAACAAAAAUUUAAACCCUCCAAACUUUCUAGUAUCACCAAACAUAUUUUUGUAGAAGCAUGCAUAUAGGAUUAAUGAUGGUUGUAUCUUUCUCACCAACGUUGAGGAAAAUAAAAACAAAAAACAGAUGUAGUUAAAUCAAACUGCUGCCAUUGUUUUUAAGGUAAGACAUUCUUCUUGAACUUGAAACAUUGCUUUUUGAAUGAAAACUAUUGUGGCAUAAGGAUAGAUCCUGUUGAGCUAAAUUUUUGGUAUGGUUGUAUCUUCAUAUGUAUUCUGAUUCUUCUACUUCUUACUUUUAUUAUUUUAAGGAAGAGAGAUAUUGUCAAUCAGUAAAAAGUUUGGAGUUCGACAGAGAACUCGGUCCUUAUACACUAAGUCAGUAUGGAGAUUGGAAGCGGCUAUCUAACUCCAUUACAAAGACUACCAUUGAACGAAUUGGUAUGCACUGUUUAGCUACUUCAAAGGCUCUUCAUAUCACAGUUUGGUUGAGACUGCCUUUAGAAGUUUCUUUGGUAUUGAUUGCUUACAUUUGUGCUUUGAUUCCUUGAAAACUUGUAUUUUCUGGAAUUGUAGUUGCUUCAUUCAUUUUCUUCAUUUGGUAACUCUCUGUCUCUGUCUAUGAAAAACCUGUUUUAUUGGGAAAAGGAAAAGGAAAAGGAAAAGGAAAAGGAUAUGGAAAAAGCCAACACGAUUUCUCAAAAGCAUCAUCUGCAUUGAAUGGUUUGAUAUAAUUAUGUGCAUUUAUUAAGAGGGAUAUAAGGAAGAACAAGGCUAAAUCAAGGAAAAUAUUUGGACUUGGAUGUAUGGAGGCAGCACAGACAGCUUCAAUAUUAAUUAUUUUUUAUACAUUUCAACAUCAUAUUUUAACCUAAGAUCUAUUGAAGUCAGCCCACUCCUCCAUCACCUGAGCUAAGGCCCAGGUGUGGAUUAGGCAGACGGUUGAAACAGACGGGAAGGAAUCAUAAAUAUCUUACAUAUAGGAAGAAUAAGGUUUUAUCUACCUAUUAAAUUAUUCAAUCUGCAUAUUAUGCCAAUUCCUGAGAAGUGUAUUAGACCACAGCCUUUCAUUUUAAAUGAUUCAUUCAAUUUACAGAGCCCAUUGGAGGAGAAAUUACAGUUGCACAUGAAUCGGAGAUGGUCGGAAACACUCCUAAAACAUCAAUGGAAAAAGCUCUAGAUCAGCAGUUAAGGAAUAGUAAAUUUUCUAAGUCUGCCGACAAAUCUCAAAAGAGAGGAUGCUAUUACACAUCAAUUCCCCGUGUUAUAAAGCGCAAAGGAAUCCAUGGACAAGAAUUAACGUCUUUGAAUCUUGACAAGGUAAUCAUUAGUGUACAUGAUUUCUGAAGCAUCAUUACAACAUGACAAUCCUUUUACACUCUGUAGUUUUUGCUGAUAUGGGCAAUUAAUAAACUGGUCUUCCAGACACAGUUAUUAGAAAGCAUACUGAUGAAGGAUUAUGGAGGUUCUGAAGACCUACUUCUUGGAGAGCUACAAUUUGCUUUUAUUGCAUUUUUGGUAUGCACAAUUCAAUAUGAUAUGCUCCUGUGUUGAUUAAUUUUGUUGGAUCUUUACACUAAUCAAAACUUUGGCAGAUGGGGCAAUCGCUUGAAGGAUUUCUUCAGUGGAAAUCUUUAGUUAGCCUUUUAUUUGGCUGCAAUGAAGCUGUAAGUAUUGUUUCAUUUUCUAGUCUUCCCUUGAAUUAGGAACUCUUAUGCAAGAUUGAAUUUUUUUUGUUGCCAUACACAAUUAUUAAUAUAUGUCAAAGCUUCAAACCUGCUCUGUCAAAAUAUGGACAGCCUUUUGCAUGGAACUUUGAGAGGCUAACUAGUAUGCUGGGGUUUAUAUUUUAAGUUUUGUUACAUGUACAAUAAUAGUUCCAUGGACUGAAGUAUGUUGGAGAUUGCUUGAGAAUUUUGUUUUUCACUUAUCUCCUUCAUUAAGGAGUUGACAUCUUCCUCCCCCUUUCUUAUCUUCUUCCUAUUAAUAAUAUCUUGACAUUUACUUUUUUAUAAUAGCUUGUGUUUUAUAUCUUUUCAAAUUUAUUCUAGAUUUUCCUGUGUGUGCCUUUGGAUUUGUAAUUGGGCCUUUUUGGUUAGUUGUUGGCUUUGCUUUCUUCAAUUCCUUCUUUCUUUCUUUUGACUGCUGUUAUCAGCCUUGAAGGAUAAUUCUCAUCUUUUCUGUGCUUUUGAUUUAUGAUUCACUGAUUUGUUAUUUCUUCUUAAAGGGACAUUAUUUUAUAAAUCUUAAAUUGGCUAGUUAACCUUCUCAUUUGGCUACAGUGAAGUUGUAAGUGUAAUUCCAUUGCUAUCUUUCCCUUGAUUUAGGAAGCCCUAUGGAAGAUUGUGAUUUUUUCUUUGUAACCAUACUAAUAUAUGGUUAAAACCUUGCAUCGGCUCUGACAACUAUGGACAGCCUUUUCCAUGGAACUUUCAGAGGCUGACAAGUUGGUUUUAUAUUUUAUGUUUUAUUGGAUAGACAAUAGAAAAUCUUCCGAGUGUUUGGAGACUGAAAAUUUUGUUUUUCACCUUUCUCUUUCAUUAACUCUCUUAAGUGGAUAUUUUCCUCCCCCUUAUAUUAUUUUCUUCAUCCUGAUAAUUUUUUGACAUUUACUUCUUUACAUCAGCGUAUUCUCAAAUUUUAUUAGGAGCUUCUUUGAUAGGGAACUGGAGCUUGUUAGCCUUUUUAUGCAGCAGUUAGAAGUUAGAAGCAGUAUCGGUUUCCAGUGGUGUUGAGGAUAGAUCAGUGUAUCUUAAGAGGGCAUGUUUUCUAUUUGAUCCUCCUAGAAAAUUUUCUUGUUUCAGUUAGGAACUUGUCAUUUUCAGGGAAGCAUAUUUGGGACUCUAAAGUGCCUUCAACAGUUAAUUUCUUUGCUUAUGAGUGUGGAAAAAAUCCUGAUAAUUGAUCAGCUUAAGUGACAUGGUUGGACUAUAUUUAAUGGUCCAGUUGAUGCAAACAAACCGAGAAAUCUGCUCAUAUUCUAAUUCAUUGUGGUUGAGCUUCUAGCUUGUGGUCUUCAGUUUUCUCCCUGUUUGUUAUGGGCUCUUCUCCUGGCUGCUAGGGAUAUUCUACUCGGUUGGCAUGGCAUAUUCCUGAGUAAAAGAUUCAAGGCAGUAUGAAAAUUAGCUCCUGUAUGUUUGUUUUGGAGAUACAAAAAAGAAAGGAAUAGGAGAAGUUUUGAUGGUUUGAAGUAGCCGAUUUUGAUUAUGCAGAAAGCCUCAAGUAAACAAUGUCUUUGUGGGCUAUAGGUGCAGUACUGGAUGUUGAUCUGUCUUUCGUCAACUGUUGGCAAGUGUUGUAUUUAACCAGCUGGGUUGUGCUUUUCUCUUGAGUUAGUAUUUCAUGUGCUAGGACAAAAUCUCUGGUCAUAAAGAAAACAGAUCCAAUAGCUUUGAGCAACAAUGUAAAAAGUAGCUCUGGGCAACCUAACGCAUCUAUGACCUAUCCGGAUGAAGAUAGCUAAGAUAAGGCAACUCUGGGCAGCUAAAUGAAAGGAUAACUCUAAUAAGGCAGCCACAUGGAAAACAUAUUCAGUAGCUUUGAACAACUAUAUAAAAGGUAGCUUUGGACGAACUAAGGCAUCUAUGAGCUAUCCAAAUGAAGAUAGCUAUGACAAGGUAGCUCUGGGCGACAAGAAAACAACUAAAUGAAAGGAUGCUGUGAUAAGGCGGCUUUGGGAAACCAUAGGGAAAAUACAUGCAAUAGCUCUGAUCAACUAUAUAAAAGACUUUGGACAACCUAAGGCAUCUAUAGCCUAUCUGAAUGAUGAUAGUUAAGACAAGGGAUGAUAGAUGUGUUGUAAAGGCCUAAGACUGGUGAAAUGUGGUUGUCGAUACCAAAGUGAUAAGUGAUUUGUGGAGACAUAAGGCUGAUGAAAUAUAAUUGUAGAAACAAAAGAGAUAGGUGGGAGGGAGACCUAAGGUUGACGAAACUGCAGUCAUAGAGACAAAAUAGACAUAAUGGAUGACGUGGUCAUGAGGGACCAAAGUGAGGAGGUCUAAUAAAGAAUAUAUCUUGCCUCAAGAAAGAAUGCCAAUAGAACUAAAUAUCUAUAUACUAAGAUGCAACAAAAAUUCCAAUCAAAGAAAAAAAAAAGAUGCAACAAAAUCGAAUAAUGGCACAGAGAAAAAAUUGACAAAAAUCUGUGAAGUCAAUGAGUACACCAAGCCAUGAUAUGAGAUCAUUAAGAAUAAAGACUUGACAAUCCACAAGGCCUUGUCAUCAUGGAAAUACUGAAUCCAUAAGCCUAGACAUAUAUAAGAGCUCAACUAGUGAAGCAAAUUUGGGCUAUAUCCAUCUAUUGAGUGUGUAGAAAAAGUCAACAAAUAGCAUGUUUAAACUAAUGAGUAGGCCUCGAGGUAAGAAUACAAUGGUUUGGAUAUUCUGAAGUUGAUAUGAGAGUGAAGGCCACGAGAGUUGAAUGCCAGGGUAUGAAGCAAAGGAGAGUAGGUAUUCAAAUCUAAUCAAGCAUGAUGAGGACACUAAACCCAAAAUAUCAUCCAUCCAAGCAUCAUCCAACACCUUAACAGCAAAGCAGUUCGUCUGAAGAAUACACCCAUAAGAAAAUACUAUGAGUUCCAUCAAUAUCUCCCAAACAAACUCUCAUCGCAAAGAGAGGACAUAAUACCAUAAAAAACAUGAACUCUCAAAUACAAAGGUAUGCCCUAGUAUGCAAAAGAAUCAAAGCAACUAUGCUUAAAUCACAAAUGGUGAAGUUUCAAAACAUUUGACGCAAGUCAUUGACAGUCAAAGCUCUCAACAAUAAGGCUAUUCCCCAAUGUGAAAUCAAUCCAUCAAGAUCUAAUGUUGUAAUCAUGUCCUCAAACCACACAUGCCCUUAAAAGGAACUCCAUCACAUGAACUCAAUCUAUGAACCAAAGCAAUCAAACUUUGUAAAUCCACCAAAAGAUUAGAAGAAAGGCUAUGCCUCUAUGCCAGGCUAGUUUAGCCAUCCAACAUGUGGUGUAUCAAUGAACAAACCUCAAAACCAUAAGGUCUUAUUUGUGCAUCAAGAUGACUGAGCUCCAUUAAAUCAACAAACAACUCAUAGAAAAGGCUAUGCCUUAGUGUAAAGCUAACCUAUGCGUCUAACAUGAGGCAUAUGCAUGAACAAACCUGAAAACCAUUAUGUCUCAUGCGUAUAUCAAGAUUAUUGAGCUCCAUGAAACAAACAAACAACUCAUAGAAAAGGCUAUGCCCCAAUAUAGGGCUAACCUAAACAUCCAACACAAAAUGAGUAUUUGAAGAUCCCUCUCACUCCAAGCAAAAACCAAAACAAGAAACAUCCAUAUCUUUGUAGAGACCAAACCCCAAGACUCCCCCAAAAUCUUCCCUAGGGUGAGUAAAACAACCAAGUAGGUGUUGUUGAGUAAGACACGUGAUCCCAUGGCCUUAGGGUGGUCUUAAGACAUUGGGACAAAACCUAGGCUAAGGUAAAAUGGGUAGAAGAAAUGAAGGAAAACUAAGCUCUGAAAACCCCGAUGUAAAAAUGUCAUGAGCCAUGGACUAAGAUAAGAAUCAAAGAACGUACAUAGAGAAUAUCGCUACACAUCAAUAAGAAGGAUGACAUAAGGAUGGGCAAAUAUGAAACCAACAAUGAUUGAUGGAAUGACCUAACGAGCAAAAAGAAGGUUAUCAAGACUCACAAAAAAUGAUGGGAAGGAUAAAAGUUUGAUCAGGAAAGACCAAGCAACCAAAGUAUCUUAAAGAAAGGAGCAUAAUACAUGAUAGGCUCAACAAAUGGAACAAACUCAAAAGAAGACCAAAUCACUCACUAAGACACAAAAGAAACCAUACUAUGAAUAAAUACGAAGGGUAAGGAUCAUGAGACCCUAUGGAUACAAACAUACUAGAUGGACAUAGUUGGAGGUUAUCAUACAAGCUCAUACAUGCAUUUGUUUUUUCUUUUUCCAUUUUUGACACUCAAAAAUGGGUAUCAAACUAUCUCUCAAAAUAUACAUCUCAACCACUAGGUCAAGAUACUCCUUUAGGUCUUAAUCAAACAUUUAUGCUCACAAACAACAUGAAGAUAGAUGGCUCCUCUCAAUGCAAGGGAGGAUGAAUAGUCUCCACUAAAUGAAUAUCAAAUGACUUAAGGCGAUAAUGACAUGGAGUGAUUUAAACAAGAUAUAAGCACAAAGGGAUAAACUAUGACAAAGCCAAUGAAGAGAUAAUAAAGAGAAUUCAUACUGAAGAAGUUGGAAAGAUGUGUCCACUAAACUCAUGGCUCUGAAACCUCUAAACACAACACCAAACCACUAGAGAGGCCCUUAUGUGGGUGAUGAAAGGUAAACUGAGUGAAAAAAGAAAAAGAAAAAUGUCUAAUGUAUGUCAAGCUUGAUGGUCUACUAAGUGAUCAUGUGGAACCAAGGUGUAUAGGGUAUAAAGCUACAAAAAAAUGAAGGCUACCCAUCCUCUUAACCAUGGUCUCAAACAUAAUAUUUCUUCAGUUAGUCUAGAUUGGUUGGCUUUGAGAAUAGGUUUCCAUCUGGAUUCAUCAAUUAUGCAUCUCUCCCUAAGAUCAACCCUUUAAUGAUAUGUGAUCCACUCUAAGCACUCCACAACAAAACAAGGAUGCUCCUCAUAGUCACCCAAAUACUCAACCAUCUCAAAUGAAAUCUGCUCACUCAUUCCAAACUAUCUCAAACCAUAUGAAACUCAGUCUAAAUAUCACGAGGAGAUAAAGACCAAACGCUCAACUAUACUUGAAUAAUAAUCACUCAACUCCUCAUCUUGUGGGAUCCACACUGGGCUCAAUCCCCCCUAGAUUUACCUAAUCAAAUUGGAAUUGGGUAAAGAAUAGGGUAAGGAACAACUUUUGAAGAUAAAAUAAAUGAGCUAAAGGAUAAAUAUGGCGAGGUAUAGGAUAUGAGUAAUGGGAUAAAAUAACGUACAAGGCCAUAAAACAAGCAAGACAAACAUCAAUGAAAAGCAUGAAAUGAAUAGUAUGCAUCUGAAUGAACACACACAAUGUCAUGUGCAUGUGGAUGAAAUAGAGGGUGUACUCCCCCUUUUUUAUAAUCUAUCUAUCCAUCCAUCUAUCUAAUGGUCUAGCUUAUUACAAAAUCUCUCCAAUUCUAAGUGAAAUGUUAUUAUGCAAUGGAAUCCUGCUUCAAAUGGCAAUUUUGAGAGAUGUUAUGGUGAAUAUCAUAUGCUCUAGUACUUAUCAAAAAAUAUCAUAUGCUCUAGUGCUUUACUUUUGAUAUUAUACAUGUCUCCCAAAAAUACUUCACUUGUGUAGAUAGGCCGAUAUUGCUACAUAUUGACUGAGUUGUAUUCAUCUUGGCGAUGACUACGAUGAGUUUGAUACAUGUGUUGAUAUCUAACAAUUUAGCAAUAACUCAAUUUUUGACUCAAAAAUAUAAAUCAUUUGUCUUGACUAACUCAUGAGAUGACUUGAAUUCACAAUACCAUAACUUAAAUCUAAUGAAAAUGGGAAGAAAAAAAAAUUAUCUCUAUAUAUCUCAAAGAUUCCCUUCAUCAAUCAAGAAAAGAUGCCUUAAUCCAUGAGUAGGAACAAGAAAUUCAAAUUGAUUUAUUUUGAAAUCUUUUUUUAUCAAUCACCUUUUUAUUAUUUUCAUCUUUUUAUUUUCAAAAUAUACCAAUUAUCAAAAAGCGGUAUUGGAUGUAAAAAUUAAUAUAGUAAUGUUUUAAAGAAAAUUAAUUCUUAACACUAUUAUAAGCCAAUUUUGUGAUUUUAUAACUAUUAAAAUUAUGUUAAAUGUGAUAUAUGUUUAUUAUUAAUUUGUUGAGUCAUACGAUAUCGAUUCAAGAUAUCGAGCUCAAUGUAUCUUGAAACCUAUAGAGUCAACAACCAAUACCAUGAUCAACUAUGAGUCUUAGAGCAGUUACUACCUUAAAGCAACUCGAACACAUAUUAUAUAUCCUUAAUUUCUUGAAGCAAGGAUCAUUAGCAAGCAAGACAUAACUCUCACCCUCUAUUUUGUCCUUUGGUUCUUCAUUUUCUAGUUGUUAAUCUAAGACUUGAGGAAGUUUGACCUCGAAUGACUUAAGCUUAAUUUGAGCCUUGGCUUUGACUUUUUACUUGACUCCAAGUUUUGUCUUAAUUUAGGUCUUGGUGUGAUUUGGACCUUGGCAUGACUAUGAAUAGGUGUAACUUAGGUCGUGACAUCACUUCAGCUUUGGUGUGAAUUGAGCUUUGACUUGAUUUGAAUAGAUUGAAGAAAUCUUUUGUAGAUUUCGAUCUUAAAGUUUGAAAUUUGAGGCUUUAUAGACCUAGAAAAUUUGAAGACACUUCGAAGAAAUUGAAGAUUCGUUAAAGUCUACUUUGAAGAUUUGAAAAAUGUUUAGAUCUCCCUUGAAGAGCUCCCCUCCAACUCUUGUCUUUUGUCUUGGCUUGAAAGCUUUAGAAUUUGAUUACUUAGAAAUAUUAUUUCUUAAUUUAAGUUAAUAUUUGGGGAGAUUUAAAAGACCAUGUUUGGUAGUCUUAUCUCUUUAAAAUAUUAGUUUAAAUUAGAAAUAAUAUUAAGGAAAUUGGAAAGAUUAUAUUUGGUAGUCUUGAAUUAACUUCUUUAUAAGACUUGAUAAUUACUUCUGCAAUUAUCAAAUUUACAUUUUCUGUUUCUUCUAACAAUUUAUAUUUUAAUUGUCAAAAUAUAUUUUCUCUUUGUUUAAAUGAAAGACACUUUUAUUCUCUUUUUGUGAGACCCAUGUUGUACAUGACAUUAUUUUAUUAGUAGAUAAUUUAUGCCAUGUAGCAACUUUUAACUGGUCACAAUACAGAAACACAACUUAAGUGACACUAAAACCUCAUUUUGUUUGAAACAUAGACUAAACUGACUAGCAUGAAAGUUUUUCUAGGGUUAGUAUAUGCCACAUCUGCAUUCAAUAUCAUCCUCUCCAUAGGUUUUACUACUCAUUUAUAAGGAAAUAUGAUAAUUGUGAAAGGUAGAAUAACCCAGUUUCAAGAUCAUCAUCUUGAUAAACUUUAUUGUAAAUUUUAUUAUUUCAAAAUAUAAUAAUUGUUGAAAGCUAGAUGGCAGAACCUUUAAUAUCAGGGGUUAUAGAAAGCUGUUUCUUGUAGGGAUGAUAAUCUGAUUUGACCAUUGAAAAACUUGGGAAUUUCUGGUACACCACUCCAUUAUAGUUUUCUUAGCAUUUGAAUUCUUCUAUAAAAAAUUCCUUCUUGACUUCUUUUUGAAACUUAAAUUAUCUUUCUUUAUAUGAGUAACUAACUGACUUGUUGGAUCAUGGUCAGAUGGUUUUUUUGUUUCAUUGUUUAAAAAAAUUUUAAGAUCUUCCUGUAAAUUUCUUGAAGUCUGAUGUAUUAUGUGACAAUGCUUUCGUUUAUGUUGAUGCAGCCUUUUCAUACAAGGAGUCUGCUGUUUACAAAGGUAAUAUUCCGAAAUGUACCAUUCUCUAGAAUCGUCCUUGUUACUACAUUGAGAAUGCAAAAUUAUGAUGAAAUCUGAUGAAACCUAAAAAGCAACUAAACUUAUGGUAUAUGCUAACCAUUUAGAAGCAGAUACAUGUUGCUCUGAAAUUCCUCAGUGAAGUCUCAUCUUCUCCGCCAUAUCUUCCCCUAAUCCAUCAGUCUUCAUGUCUACUCCACAGCCUUGUUUCUUAUUGCCCUUCACCUUGUUGUCCAAAUGCCUUCAACUCGAGCCAAGUAACCUUUCAUUGUCACAACCAUCAGGUUCACAUUGCCAAAGUAUCUUAUUGACUUCCUGAUGCGUCCACAUAGCUGGAAAAGAACUCCUUUAAGUAGAAAUUCAGAAGAUAAUUCUAAAGAAAUAUUCGUUUUAAUUGAAUAAAUAAUAAUCCCAUAAGAAAACAUUUUAUGUGUGUGUGUUGGGGGGUGGGAGGACAUCUACAAUGAAAGCAUGUCCAAUGUCCAAAACCUAAGUAACAGCCUGUGCAAAGACUAAAUCAUAGGGAGCGAAGCAGACAGCUCCCCGUCAAACUAAGGAAAAUUUUGAUGAAUUCACGCAUCACAGAAGCAAGAAAGGUUUCAAGAAGUGAUUUUACCCCUCAGCUCUGUGAGAUCUGUCUAUACUUAAAGAAAUCCUGAGGUUCAUUUUGAUCCAGAUUACCGAAAGGACUAUGCUCCUAUAACCCUUAUAGAAAUUCUAAGGUCAUGUUUGGUUAUUUGGAUAAGGUAAGGUAGAAUAUAUAUAUAUAUAUAUAUAUAUAUAUAUAUGUAUAUACCACAGCAUAUUAUUUCUAGUGGGUUAUGAUACCUUAGGAUGUUAUAUCUAGUGAAUGGUAAUAUCUAAGGAUAUUAUAUACAAUGAGAUAUGCUAUAUUCUAUCAAUGCUUGGUUUGUCAAAAGAAUAAAAAUAAAAAGGAAAACAUGUUUCAUGCUAAUAUUUAGUAUUUUCUAAAUAGAAUAUAUUACUUCCCGAUGUUUGAUAUUAAAAAAAUAUAAAAUAUAUUUCAUAUGUAGCAUUGUUUGGAGAUCUCUCAACAAUUUUUUUAAUUGAUAAUUUUAUUUCUUUAUAAAUAAUAUUAAUAAUUAAAAUGUUUAAAAUUUUAUAACUAAAAAAUAUCACAUUUUUGAACCAAAAAUUAUAUCUUUUAAUUAAAAUCUGAUGUUUUGUAAAGUAAUAGAUAAAAAGAACUAUAUGAACCAUGAGAUAUACAUAUUUCAUCCCUUUAAAAAACAUGGAUAAAUUGUCUCAUCACUUAUCUUAUUUGAUUAUCAAUUAAACAUGGGAUAAGAUAAAAAGUUUGGAUAAUAUAUUUAUAUUGGUCAGCCAAACAUAAGAUAAGAUAUUUUAUCUCACCUUUUAUCAUACCCCAUGUAAUAUCUAGUCAACUAAACAUGACCUAAAAAGCUAUAGCCAACUUAUUUGCAAUUCUUCUUGCAGCCAUCCUCUGAGUGUCCAUCAAACUGAAUAUGUGUUGCCAAAAUCUGUAACUGCACUGAAAAUGGAGAAGCAAGUGGUAUACAGAUUCUUUACUCUUUCUGCAAACAUGUUUCAAUGCCUGACAGCUCCUAAGGAUCUCCCCAUAUAAAAUGGAUCAAUAGUAUUCACUUUCUUAUGAGCUGUUAACUAAGUGAAAGCUUUGACCUUUAGUUGGGUUUUAGAAAUUCAAAGCAUUUUAGCUAGCAGAAGUGAAGUUUGGUAUCCUUCUAGGAAAGAAAAGAAGUGCCUGACAUUUUCAAGGAGCAAAUUUCUAUCUGGGAUGGGGGUAAGAAGAUGCAAUCUAAGAAAAAAAGAACUGCCAAUUCUCUGUUCUCCUGCAGUCCUGCUCAUUGAUGUUUUCUAAGAAAGUCUAGGUGUAAAGAUGGAGAGUGAUUGGAAACUAAAUAUGAUGAAGAAAUUGCAUAGUUUCUUCUUGAAAGAGCAUAUAACUGAGGGUAGGUAGAUCUAAACAGAAAAUUACCCUUCCAAAGAUCUUCCCAGAGUCAGAUUUUAGAUAUGUUGCAAACAAAGAACCCAGUUUGAGGAAUAGCUUUCCAUUAAGUAGUUUUGACUCCAAAGAUAGUGUCCAACCAUUAGGCUACAUUUAUAUUUACUUUUGAUAACAUAGUACCAGAGAUCUGCCGGUGUUGAAUCUCCACUACCAUUUAUGCAUCUCUCACCUUAUGAAAUGCUGUCUAGAACCUUCCCAUCACAUACAGAAACACUACAUUACUUGAAGCAAGAAAGUUAUCUACACUAGCUAAAACUCUUAAUUUGACUUGAAAAGAUUAUGUUGUCUCCAGUCAUAGGUAUUAGGGGCGUUAGGGCUAAAUUCAAAAUGUGCUUGAUAUGUAUUAUUGGUCUACUACCUAAAAGCUUAAGCUUUUAGGAAAAUUAGUAGUCUAACAUCAUAUCAAAGCCUUGUUUAGUAGGAGAUCAUGUGUUCGAACCUUACUGCAUGAUUAUUUAUUGGGUUCACGUACAAACCCAAAGAAAGCUAUCCAUGAGGCAGGUUAUUAGGGUCAAAGCCUAAAUGCUUUUAAUAUACAUUAUCGACCUAUAACCUUACAAUCUAAUCUUUUAGGAUAGGCGUUGCCAUCACUCAUCGCACCACCAAAAAUAUUCAUAUGUUGGCCAUGAUAGUUCUUCCCAAUAGUCUUCAAACUAUAUUAUGCUCAUCCAUUGCAGUGGAGAUUUAUAAGUGUUCUUUCUUAACAAACAAAAGGUUGAAUCAGCAAUAUGUUGCAUGGUUUUAGAUGGCUGACAGAAGUAAUGCUCUGCUUUCCAAACCUCAUUAUUACCUUCCUUUUUACCUUCUCAUUUCUUUUGUUGUUUGAUCACUCUGAAAACCCUAAACAGCAUCCUUAUUGCAUUCCAAGCACCCAGCCAUAACACCCACACCAUAACACCCACACCCUUUUCUUCCAUAAGGCAUUUUUUUGGCAUCUUCUAGGUUAUAGAAAGAAGCCAAACCCACUUUUCUCUAUAAUGGAUAGAUUCAAAUCCUUAAAGUAACUAGAUACUAUUGGUUCACUUCUCCUAUAUAAACCAAUCUGAAUGAAAAGAUAAUCAAAUUUGGAGGUGUGUUCCACAUUGAUGUACCUCUUAAGCCUGCUGGUAAGAAUUGCUUCUGCAUACUAAUAUCUAAGUUUUGAUGUGUCUUGCAGUUUAUUAGAGUUAUCUACUAUCAGCUGAAGUUUGGAUUUCAAAAAGACCAGACUGGUUCUAGUAAUGUGGAGAAGGAAUCAUCAUUAUUGUUGGAUGAGUCGUGGUUAUCUGCCGAUAGCUUUUUGCACCACUUAUGCAAGGUAGUUGCCUUGAUAAAAUCAUUAUUUAUGCAAGGUGAAACCAGUAUGCUGGCUUUGUUUGCACAAUGUAGCUUACACUAUCUCCUACUUGCUGACUUUUUAUUGUUCAAUUCAUGCUUUCUCCCAAGAGGGUAAAAAAUCAAUAUCCAGUCAUUUUGAUUCAUUGAAUGAAUUUUGAGUUGAUUGAACUACUUAUUGAUUUUCCAUUUGCCUGGACAUUGGCAACUGACUGGGAAUUGCAGGAUUUCUUUUCAUUGGUGCAAGAAGCCUCAGUUGUUGAUGGAGAUCUACUGUCCUGGGUGUGUAUUAUCAUCCUGGUUCUUGUCCUUAUGCAUUUGCUUGCUCUUCAUACUUUUUCUCCUUCAGUAGAAACAAAUCAUUCUCCUGCAAACCAAAGAAUAUUAAGGGCUUGUUCGGUAACUAUUCUUGAAAAUAGUUUUCUAAUUUAUAAAACACAUUUGACAAACUUGACUGAAAACAGUUUUUUCAGAAUUUGUUCCAAAAACAGGUUUGUCUUCUAGAACCAAUUUGUGUGUUUUCAGUUGUAUUUUGUAAAGUGCUCCGAGCAACCAUUAAAAUGAUAGAGAAUACUUUGAAAACUUUUGCAUUGUACAUAAAUGUACAGUACCUUCAUUGAUAAUAAGCUGAAAAAACUAUUUUUCAUAUUUUAGUUCCCAAAAAAAAUUUUGUUCCUCAAAACAAUUGAGAAUUGUUUCUAAGAUCAGUUCUCAAAAACUGUUUUUUGCGAAUUGUUUUCGAAAGCAUUCCCAAACAAGCUGUAACUUUCUUGCUAUUCUCCAAUGACUUCUAUUAUCAUAUUCUCAUAUUCAAGCUUUAAUAAGAUAUUUGCUCUAGCUAUUGUUGUAACUGGCUUCUAAAAGGACAUGCAUGCUUUUAAGAUACACACAUUUUAGGGGGGGAAAUAACUUACAACAAGGGCAUCUUUGUUCUUAAAUAGAAUCUCUUUCAAUGAGCACUGAAGUACCACUUAUGCUCCAAUUUUUUAUACAAGCAUUGUUCUUUAUAAAUAAAUCUCUAGUAUUUAUCAUGGUAGUGGAUCAGAUGUGUUUUGAGAUUGAGACAUGGAUUAAUGGCCCUUUAACCAUAGGUGUUGAGAAGGCCUUCUCCUUUGGAUUGAGCCUGGUGGUAAAUGAAGUUAAUAUUUAUCAGCUGUCCUGUCAUUCUUAUUGCUGGAUACUUUCAAAGAACAAACAAAAUAUUUUCUUAUUCUCUUAUUUGGUCUCCACGUUUUUUUCCUUUGUCAAUUGACUACUAUCUUCAUUUGAUCAUCCUCCCUCAUCUCACCUCCUUAUUUUUAUGAAACAAAAAUCAAAUCAAGAUUCUUGGAUAUUUUGAAUGUUAACCUUCAAGUUCAGGUAAUAACAUGUGUUGGAUGUUGAUAGUUUUAAUCACCCUCGAGUUUUCAAACAUAUCUGGGCAGAAACAAACGUCACCAAAUGAUAAUUUUCCUAAGUUCACCUUUCUAAUCUAACUUUUGUAUGGCAUAAGCAGUGAGCUGCUUUCCAGAAAUAAGUUUGUAAGCAGCCUAAAACAACAGUAGUCUAUGUUUUAAAUCUCUGGAGUAGAGUGUAAAUAUACCGUCCCUGAUUUAAGUCUCUCGACUCAGAGACAACAUCACAUUGGAUGUUUGAACGUCAAAUGAACUGAACAUUGAAAUGGAAGUUGAAAUUAUAGGUGGUUCCUCCAUGCUAUGAAGUUUUCUGUGUUUUAAAGGACCAACUGGUUUGCUGCUUUUAUUUUAUUAGAACUCAUCAAAGUGAUGUCCCCUUAAAUAAUUUGGAGUUGAGAAUAGAAUGAUGGAGAUUCUAAUUUCAUUCUCCAAAAUUCCAGUCACAUUAUGCUCACUAAAUCAUGACGAUGGGAAAUCCUAAGUUUGAUGUUUAUAAAUUCUGCAGACAAGGAAACUCAGAGACUUGCUUGAGAACACACUGGGAUGGGACUUUCAGCAGACCAGCACAGUGGAUGGACUGUAUUGUGAAGAAGAUGAGGUUAGUAUAACAUUCCACCAUAGUGGAAGUAUGCCCACUUUGUAUCUAUCCUUAUUGAAUGCUCUCUCUAUCCAGUUUGCUCCUGUUGUUGAGAUGUUGGAGGACCCAAGUGAGCAAUGAGGCUACAGCUUCUUAGACAUGGACACACGAAAUCCAUAAAUAAUGAGUUCAACAAAAACCUGAGAAGACAGCAUCUAGGGCAUGCGAAUGAUAUCCUGUUCUAGCGUCUUUGGGAGGUGACUGAUUGAUCAAACAUAACAUGUGACAGCUUUCUCAGUCUAUACAAAAUCCUCACCUCUUUCAUUUUGUAAAGCCAUAGAUUUAUUAGCAGUGCAGAUAAUUUUAAAAUAUGUCUGGAUCAAUAAUGUGGAGUUUAAGGGAAUUGAGACUUUUGCUUGUUUCAUGUUUGUGCAGCAGGGUUGGGGUUGGGGGUUGUUGGCUUAGACUUCUUGCAGAGUUGCUGAUUUGAGACAGCUUCCUGAUAUAUGGUGACUAAUUUCUAAAGAAGAGAUUAUGUUAGAUUGAUAAGAAAAGAAAAAAUUUGUAAAGAAAAAACAUAAUGGGAAGUUUGAAACAUGAUUCUUGGAAAAUUGUUUUCCAAAUGGUUUUUUUUUUUUUUCACUUCGCUACCGUAAUCUACAAUAUAUACGUACACACUAUUAUCAACUGUAAAUUUUAUAAGAACAUAUAAGGAACAUGAUAAAUAGGUCUUUUCAAAUUUAAUCUUUGAAAAAAAUAUUUUCUUUCACCAAAUAUAAAGCAUAUGUAAAAUGAUGAAAAUGCCCACUUCUUUUACAUAUUAUACAUAUUGGGAUAGUGAGUAUUGUAGUUUGUUUAUUAGUAAUUUUAUUCUUUUUCAUUCUAGCUUUUGAAUUUGUUUAGAUAAUAACUUACUCUCCAUUGAAGAUUUGAGGUUGUUAUUUAAUCAAUUGGAUCAUUACAGGUAAGUUUGAAGAGGGUUGAGUAAAAGUUUCUUUGAUGAGGUAGGGUAGAAUUGGAAGUUUUAAUUGAAUUAAAAUGUUUUAAUUAAUUUGAGAAGAAUUUUAAAAGAUUUUUUUUUCAAAGAAUAAAAAUAAUUUGAAAAUGAAUUUUAAAUUAAGGAUUUAAAAUUAAGAAUUUAAAAAAAAAUCAAAUCUUUUUUAAUUUAAAAUAUGAAAUCUUUACAAAUCCUUUUAAAUUUUCAAAUUGUUUUUAACAAAAUAUGAUUUUCAAAUUGAUUCCAAUCUACUAAGUUGUCUCUUAAAUAUAUCCUACCUAAAUGGGUUUUAGGAGACACGGUGAGAGAGAAUCAAUUAACUUCCCUUAUCAUUCUUAAUCUCUCAAGAAAGAUUCAAAAAUUGGAUCUUGGGUUGUUAAAAGAAUUUGAAUCCCUUUAGUGAGAUUGAGAGAAAUCCACUUAAACAUUGGAGGUGUUGCAUCGUGGACAUGGAUCAAAGUAUAGGUGUUGGAGAGUAAGUCUUUAGGGUAAAGCAGUUUGGUAAAUCCAUUUAUUUUGAUAUCAAAUAGAAGAUCAUAGAUUAGAGGCCUUAGACCCCAUAGUUUAUUAUCUCCACAGUUAGUGUGAGGGUUUUUCACAUAAAAACUCUUAUGUCCUUUGUUUAUGUGUUUGAUGUUUGACUAUUUUAUUUACCCCUAAUAUAUCUUAGAAUUAAAUUGAGUUAAUAAUUCAACUCUUUUGUUAUAAUUUUUUAAAAUACACUCAUUCAACCUCCUCUAGGUGUUACCCUACUGGACAACCGUUUUUCAAUAUCCAUUCAUUAAACCUUAAUCCUCCCUCUUUCCUUACUAUUCUCCUUUUGUUCAACUUUCAUGAACUUGCGGCCAAGAAGAUUUGAUCAGCAUAAGGACGUCUAACCUUGGAGUUCCAUAUGCCUUUCAUGUUGUUUGGUAUUGAAGCUCCAUUGAACAACACAUUUGUGACAAUGACCAACUUAAGACCCAAGUAUUUCAUCUGUAUUAAUGCUUCUCAACUAAUUGGAGGGUGACCAUAAAUUGUAGCCAUGAAGUUAAUCAACUAAUCGAGAUGUCUUUCAUGUUAUUUGGUCUCAAAGAAUACAUUAAUUUUUUAUCCUUUUUUUCCCCACAUGCUUUUUUAUCUCUUUAUAUCCUCCAUGUUCUUCUUUUCUUGUAUUAAAUAUAAAACAUAUGUGAAGUGACAAAAAUACCCUCUUCAAAUGUUCUUUAUCACAUCCACCCAUAAAAUCAUAACUUUUCUUCUUUUUUUUAUUUCCUUUCAUUGCAUUGUGUUCCCUUUUCUUUUUUGUUUUUCAACUUUUUUGUAUUUAUUUUUAUUUUUAUUUUUUAGAGGGUGUAUAAAUUUCAUGCUAUAUAACCACAAAAAUUCGAUCAACAUAAAGGGUGUCCAACAUUUUGUUUCUAGAUGUCUUUGGCCUAUGUUAGUCAUCAUGAAGUUCCAAAUGUAAUAAUUUUUUCUUUUUUUUUCUUUUUUUUUCUUACUCUUUUUUUUAAAAAAAAAAAUUAUUAUUAUUUUUUAAAGAAAUUUUUUAAUAUUAUAAAAAUAGGGAAAAUUAUAUAACAACCCACAUUUUUCAUGUAACUUACCUUGUUUUUUCGCCUACUAUAUCCCAAAAAGAUUGAGUCUCUAAAAGCAAGACAUGAUAUAACAAAGUUAAACUUAACUAUCCCUUUGCUAUCCUUUUGGUAUGUUGACAUUUAUUUUAGCAUUCAGUCCAUAUUUCUUACAUUGUAUAUGACUUGGGUGUAUUAAGAGUUGCACAAGAAAUAUAAGUCAUGGGUUCCUUGUAAGUAGAUAAGUUGUCCAUAGUUAGUUCAUAGAUUUGAGCAAUCUAGUAGAGAUUGUAGUGUAUCACCUUCUAAUUGGAAGAAUGACUUGUCUUGGCAGUCGGAAUAGGUUUUCCAUGGUGAGUGCACUAAUACAUGUGAUACACACUGGAUGGGACCUACGGUGAAUUAUGAAGCAAGGCUAUCAAUUUUCAUGAAUCACCAAGCUACUAUACUACAUGAACUCUCAACCUUGAGAGGAUAUUGAGUUUGUGCCAAAAUCAACAAGAGGCUUUGACUUAUGGGUAAGACCCUAAAGUGGUCAUAUAUCCCUAUAGAUUGGGUCGCUAUUGAUGGAGGUCGGUGACAACAAGUAUUCCCAAUAUAGACACCAUGAUAUCUCAUGGGAUUGAAAUAAUAUGUCCCCUUGGGUGAUACAAAGGACAUAUGAUCAUGAAAUCUAUGGCUACAAUAAGUCCUUUAACAUAUGCUCCUUGGAGUUAGAGUAUGUUAGUUGAUCACAUAACAAGUGUGAUCUAUAACUCAAGAAUUUGAGAGGUAAUCUUAAUAGGUGAUAGCACUACCUUGUUAGAUUACAAUACGAGUUCAUGGAGAGUCUGCAUGUAGUGAAUAGUAGGUUACAAACUCAAGCACUUGGUGUCUUAUUGUCAAAUACAUAAGCUACUAGAGUGUAGUUGACUCUCUGUAGUGAAAUGUCAAGUCAAUUUUAGAAUUUGAUUUUAAGAGAGCCAAUACUCUUAUGGGUCCCAAUGGUCCCCGCUCUAAGCUCAUAUUACUUGAUGACACGAUUUAUGAGGGUUGGAUGGGUUUUUAGUUCAUUUUGGUGCAUAAGGGCAUUUUGGUAAUUACGUAAGAUUGCACAGGGAUAACUGAGUGGUAUCUCUAGAUUGGGUUAAUUGAUUAAUUACAGCCUUGUAUGAUUAAUUAAUCAAUUAGCAACCUUUUGGGCUAGAUUAAGUAACAUAAGUCCAUAGUGAGCUUAAGUCACUUAAGCCUAAUAGGAAGCUUAUAAAUAUCCUUUUAAGGGUUAGGGUUUCGAUGUUUUGUCAUUCUCCAUUUUCAAUCCAAAGAGAAAACCCUAGCCUACACCCUUGAAAUCUUCACCAUAUCAGUACCUAGAUACAAGGAAGAGUCAUCGGGUGGAAAACCUUGAGUGUGUGAGAAGCACACUAGAAUUACACAAGCUGCACACACAAGAACCGCACCAGAUGCGCACAGGAAUCACACGAGACGCACACAUGGGUAGUAGCAUGAGAAGAAAUUCUCUAGUUUUUCUAGGCAUGUUCUUCACCACAAUGAAUUGAUUUAAGGACAUCCAAAUCCAAGUAUGAGAACUUUUUCUCUAGAUCUUUAUUUUACAAAGGUUUUUGAAGCCAUUAUUUUCCAUUGUGUUAGAUUUAAAGAGCCUUAAGGAUAGAUGCAUGCACCCUAUGAGAUCCAAGGCAUGGGAAUAGAGUAAUCCAAGGUUCCCAAUAACUGGUAUCAAAGCCUUAGAGUAAGUUUUAGCAUGUUAGAUUUGUUAUAGGGCAUGUUAACUCUGUUUUGCAAGGUUGUUUUAUUCAUCCCAUGGGCCAAAUGGAUGAAUGAAUGUCAUUAUAGUAGUUAUAAUUUUCUUUUUGAUUAUUAUAGUUACUUUUGGGUUAUUAUUAUGUUUGGAUCUGUUGAUGAUCUUUGAUUAUUGUUCUCUACAUUGGGUUGUAUACCCCAUAAGGGAUAUAGAUUUUUAUUUGGUUGUAAAAAUAUUUUAUUUUCAAUUGAUGGGUUGUAAGCUCCUUUAUAGGAGCAUAGGAAUUUUUAUUAUUGUAAUUAUUUCAAUUCUUUUGUAUUCAUCUAUGGUGACCCAAGAAAGAAGAAAGAAUCUUGGAAGUUCUUGUUUUGAGAUCCAUAGUUGUACAAUGAUGUCAAAUUAAACUCAAAAUUGGGACUACAUGGGCAUGCCACAUAUGAAUUUGAAUCUUAGGAAGUCACAAAUCCAAUGGUUCAAGCAGAUUGCAAUUGGGAGUUUAAAUGAUGGAGAUAUGGUUGACUGAAACAAGGUUGUACAAAGUGCAUGGCAACAUAGUGAUGUCAAAUUUGAGACAAAAUCAAGACCACUUAUACUGAGUUUCCUGGGUCAAAUCACCUAUGGUUUUGAAUCUUAGGAAGUCGGGAAUCCCAUGCUUCAAACAGAUCGUAAUUUGGAGUUGAAACAAGGGAGAUAUGACCAAUCAAAGCAAUGUUGUGCAAAAAGCAUACUAUUACGAGAUUGCAUAUGGGAUCAAUUCCUUUUAGUUGUUUGGGUUGAAUUUUGGGUCUCUCCUUUUGGCCUCAUUUUUUGUGGCAAUUGGGGCAUUUUGGGUUUUCCAUUUUCACUAACCCUAUUUUUGGUUGUAGGACUAUUUUUGGUAAUUUUGAUUUUAUCCAAAUUUUAAUUACCAAAUAUGCAACAGGAUCCCUAAAGGUCAUGGGAAAAGUUUCUAUUUAUUUAUUCCCUUGUUUUUAUUAUAUGCUCUUGAUUAAUUGCAUAUAUGGCCUCAAGAUAUUUUGGUAUGCUUAAUUGGUAAUAAAUUUUCAUGCUUUUUCAAAAUUGGAAAACUUAUUUAAAUUAAAAUGUGCAUGAUUAAGAAAUUUUAUUUUAAAGAAAAGAUAAGUUGGAAAAAAGAUUAAGAGUUUUCUUUCCUUUGUAAAAUUAAUUCUUAAAGAUUUUAAUUUUAUUUAAAAUCUUCUCAAAUCUUUGAGAUCUCUAAGAAUAAAAUCUUUCUUUUAAGAAAAAGCUCUUAUUUUUCCAAAUCUUUAUAAAAUAAUAUUUUUCCUAUUUUGCACAGGAUUUUCAAUUUAAAGAAAACAACUUAAUUUUAGAAAUUCAUGAUAGAUAAUUUAUAAAUAAGAAUGGUUACCAAAAUAAGUAUUAUAACCCAAAGAAAUUUUUUUUGGUAUUCUUAGUAAAUUUUCAUGAGAUGAUAUUUUCUAAAAUUAUCUAUUUAAACUUAUUAUUACUAAGAAGAUUGCUAUUUCUUUAAAACUAUUUGUUUAUUAAACUUUAGGAGGUUCUCUUGUUCUUUCUUGGUGAGAGAAGGAAAACUAUAUCUAUAGUUGGUCUUCCAGGCUCCUACCCAAAGAGAAUGAAAAAAUCAUUCUGUUUAGAUAGUUCAAUGAUAAGAAAUAAGAGAGCAAUUUUUUUAGCACAAGAGUCCCGAUUUAAAAGUAAAUAAUGGAUUUGGAAAAUCUGAUGAUAGAGAAUUUAUGAUAAAAAUGGUUACCAAAAUAAAUUUGGAAAGUUUUAGAAAUUUAAUGGAGUUAUAAAAUAUUUUGAAAAUACUUUUCAAAAUGGAUAGUUUAAUUCCUUUUUGGAUUUUUGGGAUUUUUUCAUAGAGAAUACUUUAUCUAUUAAAGAAUUACUAAAAAGUUCUAUUUUUGAUAGUAUUUAAUGUAAUAAAUUAUUAUGAAAUUUUCAUGGAAAUAUUUAUUAAGUUGGAAAAAUGUAAUAAAUAAGGAAAGUAAAUCUUAUGAGGAUUUUUUAAUAUAAGAAGCAAAAGUUCCUUUAUUGGAUAAGGUGCUCUCAAAAUUAUUCAAAAUUUCAUAAAUUGGUAAUUUUCUUAUUACACAAAAGUUUCUAAUUUUAAAAAUAAAUAUUUUGGAAAUUUUCAUUAGAGAUAAUUUAUCAUGAAAGGAUUAUUACCAAAGGCUUAAUAAUUUGAUGGAAAUAAAUUUCUUUGAAACAUUUCCUAGAUAAAAUAUUUAUUAAUUGAAAUUAUGUAUAGAAGGAGAAUUUUAUGAAAAUAGAUUUAAAAAUUUUGAGAGUGGAUAUUUUAUCAAAAUUCUUUUUGAAAAUUACUCUCAUGGAAAUUUAAAUUUUUUAAUGUCGGUAUUCUACCUAUUAUACUAGGUUUCCAAUUAGGAAAUAAAUAUUUUUGAAAAUUUUCAAUGUAGAUAAUUUAUUCAUCAAGGAAAGUACUAAAUUUUUUAAAAUGCUCUUAUUUAUCUCAAAAGACUAAGUGGGAAAGGCCCUUAGGCAAGCCUAUGGCCUCCAUUGUCAAGCCCAUCUUGAUUUGGGUUCAUCACCACCUCCAUGGUGGGUUAGCCAAAAAAUCAGGAGAUAUGGACUCUCCACAUGGACAAGGCUAGAUAUGUCCAUAGUGGGAGCAACCACCCCUACAGUGGGGUUCUUUACUUGGUGACAUUGAUAGUUCAAGGACAAUGGUUAUACACUUAACAUUGGAUAAGAAGUGGUAGAAUCGCCCCACGCAAUCCCACUUGCAUAGUCCAUGGCCAAAUAAAAGGUAUGUUGAUCUUGUUUUUAAAUACUUUUAUGGUUAAGGCAAGGAAAUCAAUCUAAAAGGGUCUCUAACUAGUAAUAAGGUCAUGACCUGCCCCACGUAGGCUUGAUUCUUAUGAUAUUAGGAUACUUUGCAAAAGGACAUGUAGUUUGAGGCGCUACAUUUUUGCUUAAUUAAUUACCAAAUGCCUUGAAUGCUCAAUUAUGUCAUAUGCUUGGUUAUAAUCUUUGUUACAAAUAUCAUGUCGGUCCCAUUACCACUCUCUUUCUCACAAUAGGCCAAGUCCAACUAAUCAAUUGGAUUAAUUUUAUUUUGGAUAUUGUAACUAAUUGCAUAGAAGUUAGUUUAGGUAAAGCUAAUUAUUCCUUAUGAACUAACCUAGCAAAAGGAAAGAGUGGUAUAUCAAGGUGAUAUUAAACAAAUCAGAAGACCAAGUGUCUAAUACUUGGAUCUUUGGAUAAUGUGUUGCAAUAGCAACAUAUAUUUAUUACUAAAGACUUUGAUAUUCUCUUUCUAGUUUGCAAUGGUUAUUUGGUGAUAAGAGUAGGUUAGCUUUGACAAGCAACUCUUAGUACUAUUAUGAACACUAGUAUUCAUAUGAUCUUAGAGACCUUGCCAUUUUCCUUUGGGAUGGCUUAGGGGAUUCUCAUAUUAUAAAGUGUUCAUAUGGAAGUCAAAGGUUUUUCAAGUUCUUAUCUCAAAAAGAAGAAAAAUACCAAAUAAGGAAAGUUCAAGAGAAGGAAUAAGAGAGCAAGCUCAAGGACAAGUAAUUCCUUUGUGACCUUUUAGGACACUAGAAAAUGAAUGCCUAAUUUAGCUAAAGGAAAAAGUAAAGCAUACAUCAUUUUCAAUUGUUGAAUAUUUAGUGGUGGAUUUCACCAUUCAUGAUGGAUAGAUUCCAGGCCCACUAUCUAUAAGUCUAUAUACGAUAUUCAACAAGUGAGAAUGUUAAAUGAUGAGAUUACACUUACCUUAGCUUCAAAUGCAAGGUUAGUUAUGUAGGUUAGUGGAAGGUAAUAUCAUUUUCUUUUAUAUGUAUUCCAUUAUCUCUUUGUCAAGUGAUGAGAAUAGUCAGAUCUCAUGAUUAAACCUAGCACUAAUUAAACAUUUGGUUUAUAGACCUAGGUCAUAUUAAUCUAAAUAAGAUCCAAAGACUGAUAAAGUUUUGAAUCUUUGGUUCUAAAAGAUCUUUUAGUCUACGAAUCUUAUAUAGAUGGUAAAAUGACUAAGAGGACUAGAGCCAAUGAAUGUUUGGAGUUAGUGCAUACCAACAUGUAUAGAACUUUUAUUGUCUAUGCAUGGGAAGGGUAUGAGUAUUUCAUCACUUUUAGUGAUGAUUACUCUAGGUUUGGAUAUGUACAUAGGAGAUCUAAUGUCGUGGAUACAUUCAUCAAAUUUAAGGCGGGAUCGGAUAACCUAUUGGGUAUACAUACCAAGUCACUUCGCUUAAAUCAAGGUGAUGUGUCUAGUAAUUUUGAUUCUUUCCGUUGGAGCGCGAGAUUAUUUCCCGAUUAUGUGCACCAAGGUUUCUAUUACAAAAUGGAGAGAUGGAAAGAAAAUAUCAAACUUGGAUGGAUAUAGUAAGAUCAUGGAUAGGUUUCUCAUCUUCUUCCAGAUUCUUUUGAGGAUAUGUCUUAUAGACUGUGUAAUACAUCUUUUUCUUAAGAGAUAUAUCAGUUUAUAUGAUAUCUAAGAGGAUUUUUGGGUUAUUACCUUUAUAGUCAAGAUCAUAAAAAAAUAUUUGUUGACACAAAUGUCAGAUUUUUUAUGAAUACUAUAUGAUAAGGAAUAAGGCAAAAAAUGAUAUAGAUUGGAGGAUAUAUUAGAAAAUGUCCCACAUUGCAUAAGAUAUUAUGGAUCUAGAGGGUUAAAAGCAUACCAUUCCUAUGAUUUCUAGUACACUAGUGCCUCAUUGUAAUGGGAGGUUUAUAUCCCACAAAUUAUGAUGACGCAAUAAACCAUGUUUCUGCUCAUUUUGUAGUGGGAGGUUUAUAUCCCACAUAUUAUGAUGAAUCAAUGAGCAAUGUUUAUGCUCACUUAAGGUAAGGAGCUAUGAAGAGGUAGUUAGAAUCUUUGUAUUCUAACAUAGUUUGGGUUCCUAUAAAAGCAUCUAAAGGGAUAAAACACAUAUGUGUAAGUUGGUCUACAAGAGGAACACAUGAGUAGAUGGAAAGCUUGAGUUUUAUGUGACUAAGACUAUAGCUAAAGGUUAUAGUUUGAAACUUUGUUUCAGCUAUGAAAAACCCUUUCAACAGUGGUCACAAUCAAAUCCAUCAUGUUACUCCUAUCUAUUGUAGUGUAUCUCGUUUAUAAGAUAUAACAACCAAACAUUUUCAUAGCAAAGGGUAUUGUGUGUACAAGAAGGUAUAGGGAAGCUUGGUGGUGAUUUAAGAUCUUACAGGUAGAUUACAAUCUACUCAUUGGAUAUGUAAGGAUAUUGUCAUUAGUCAAGAUCAGGUAGUCUACUCUAUUCUAGAUGAAAAUUUAGAGGAAGACGCAAUAUAUUCUUGGGGUUAAGGUCUUUUAGGACAACAAAAAUAAGAAAAGUGUGCCCUAUCACCUACAUUGAUGAAUUUUUGGUCAAGUACAUGAUAUAAAACUCCAAGAAAGGUUUGUAACCCUUUAGGUUUAGAGUUGUCCUUUUUAGGAUCAAUGUCCUUGGACAUUUGUGGAAAGAGAUCGCAUUAAGGCGGUAUCCAAUGCUUUUGUAAUUGAUAGCCUUAAGUAUGUGAUGUUAUGUGUUAGACUAGAUAUUUGUUUUGUUAUAGGAAUAAUGAGUGGAUAUUAGUCCAUUUCCUUAUUAGAGCUUUGGGCAGAUGUCAAACAUAUACUCUAGUAUAUUUGGAGAAUGAGAGAUAAUAUGUUUGUGAGUCUUUAUGAUCGAUUGGUACUCCUUUUGUACUGGGAAAUUGGACUUCGGUCUAAUAAGGACUCUCAUAGGUCUACAUCUUGGUAUGUGUACACUCUAAGUGGUUUUUUCUUUUUUCAAUAGCAACAAAAGAAGCCUUUUGGCUUAUAAGUAGUUCAUUUAGCUAUAUCGUCUAAGAUCCUAUUAUGUGAUAAUAGUGGAAUGGUGGCAUGGUUUAAAGAACUAAAGUACUAUUUGAAAAGGAAACAUAUAGAGAGUAAGUGAUACCUUGUUGUGAGAUAGUACAAAAAGAUGAUGUGAUUGUGGAGUAAAUUCUUUUUACAAUACCUAGUCUACUUUUAAGGCUAGUAGGAGUUUGUUGGGAUUGAGCCCCUAAAAGCAAGACAUGAUAUAACAAAGUUAAACUUAACUGUCCUCUUGCUAUCAUUUUGGUGUGUUUACAUUGAUCUGAACAUUCAAUUCAUGUCUCUUACAUUGUAUAUGACUUUGGUGCAUUAAGAGUUGUACAAAAGAUACAAUUCAUGGGUUUCUUGUAAGUAGAUAAGUUGUCCAUAGUUGGUUCAUGGAUUUGGGAAAUCUAGUAGAAAUUGUAAUACACCACCUCCUAAUUGGAGGAAUGGUUUGCCUUGACCAUCGAGAUAAGUUUCCCAUGGUGAGUGCACUAGUGUAUGUGAUGCACACUAGACAGAACCUUCGGUGAAUCAUGAUGCAAGGCUAUCAAUUGUCAUGAUUCACCAAGCUACUAUACUACAUGAACUCUCAAUCUUGAGAGGAUAUUGAGUCUGUGUCAAUAUCAACAAGAGGCUUUGACCUAUGGGUGAGACCCUAAAGUGGUCAUAUAUCCCUAUGGAUUGGGUCACUGUUGAUGGAGGUUGGUGGCAACAUGUAUUCUCAAUAUAGGCACCAUGAUAUCUCAUGGGAUUGAGAUAGUGUGUCCCCUUGGGUGAUCCAAAGGAUAUAUGAUCAUGAAAUAUGUGGCCACAAUAAUUCCUUUAGUGGAAUUUGACAUAUGCUCCUUGGAACUAGAGUAUGUCAAUUGAUCACAUAAUAAUGUGAUCUGUAACUCAAGGAUUUGAGAGGUAAUUUUAUUUGGUAAUAGCACUACCUUAUUAGAUUAUGGAUACCAAUUCAUGGGGGAGUCUACAUGUAGUGACCGGCGAGUGGAUAGUAGGUUACGGAUCUAAGCACUUGGUUUCUCAUUGUAAUAUACAUAAGGUAUUGGAGUGCAAUUGACUCUCUGUAGUGAGAUUUUGAGCCAAUGUCAAAAUUUGAUUUUAAGGAAGCUAGUACUCCUAUGGGUUUCAAUGGUCCUUGCUCUAAGCUCAUAUUCCUUGAUGACAUGAUUUAUGAGGGUCAAAUGGAUUUUUAGUUCACUUUUAUGCAUAAGGGCAUUUUGGUAACUACAUAAGGUUGCACAAGAAUAAGUAAGUGGUAUCUCUAGAUUAGGCUAAUUGAUUAACUAUGACCUUAUAUGGUUAAUUAAUCAAUUAGCAACCUUUUUGGACUAGAUUAAGUGAUCUAGGCCCAUGGUAGGCUUAAGUCACUUAAGCCCAGUAAGAAGCCUAUAAAUAUCCCUUUAGAUGUGAGGGUUUUGAUGUCUUAUCAUUCUUUCUUUUCAGUCCAUAGAGAAAACUUUAGUCUCCACCCUUGAGAUCUCCACCAUCUCAAUGCCUAGAUACAAGAAAGAGUCAUCGAGAGGAAAAUCUUGGGUGUACAAGAAGUGAACUAGAAUCACAUAGGACGCAUGCACAAGAACCUCACCGGAUGAGCAUAAACCACAUGCAUAGGAAUCCCAAGCGAUGUGCAUAGGCCAUGUGCAUGGGAAUAACACGCAAUGUGCACAGGCCAUGCACACAUGAAUCGAAUGAGACUUGAACGUGGGUAGCAACAUGAGGAGAGAUUCUCCAGUUUUUCUAAGCAUGUUCUUCACUGCAAAGAAUUGAUUUGGGAACAUGCAAAUCCUAGUAUGAGCAUUGUUUCUCUAGGUCUUCAUUUUAUAAUGGUUUUUGAAGCUAUUAUUUUUUACUAUGUUAGAUCUAGAGAGUCCUAAGAAUAGAUGCAUGCACCUUAUGAGAUCCAAGGCAUGGGAAUGGAGUUACCCAAGUUUCCUAACAGAAUUCCCUAUGAGUUGUGGCUAGAUUUUCUUCUAUCCAAAACUAAGAGGUAUUUUUAACAAGGAAUGCAUUUUUUUAUGGUAUACAUACGUACAUCCAUACAUACAUACAUACAUCCAUACAUACAUACAUACAUAUAUACAUGUAUAUCAAAACUAGAAAUUCUUGAUGCUCACAUAGUUACAAUGAAUGCUUAUUCUUCUAAUUUGAUUUAUUGAUAAUAUAAUUUGAUCAUUGAUGUGCAAAAUCUUACAUCAAAUCCCGAGAUAAGUUAGAUCUUAAAAGUUGCAAUGAUUUGAAUUAGAAAGAUUGAGAUCACCUUGAGGAAUGAGAUCUUAUUCAUAGUUAGGAUUUGAUUACAUAUGUAUGACUUUCUCUUAUUAGUUUUAUUAUCUUAUUAGUCACUACAAUAUUAUUGUUACAUUUUCUAAAGAAUUUUACAUCAAACUCAUUUCAUCAAUUAGAUUUAGGAAAUUCAACAAUAGUAAUUUUGAUUUCAAUAUGAAUCUCUUAACAAAAAGCUACUUGCAAUUCCUAUAUUUAGAGAGGACAAAACCGUUAUACAACAAAUUAUUUGUUUUUUUUUUUCUACUUUUUUUUUUUUUUUUUUUUUUUGGUUUGAAGGAUAAAUAGUUUAAAGAUAUUUUUGCUAUUUGAAUUGAUAACAAUAGUGAAAUCAUAAUUGAAUAAUUGAGCAAAACUAGAACCAACCAUCUUUCUUAAUCUUUACAUAGUACAAAGUCACAACAAAUUGAUCCACUACUAAUUUAGGGCCUACCAAACUAAUCUUCAAAUUAAUUUGAUGAGUGAAGUGUUAUUGCACUUCAAGUAUUUCCCAAACUUAUAGUUUUUCCAAAAAUUGCAACUUUCUUUCCAAUAUAAUAAGGAUCUUCAUCUAGCAUAACUUAUUUUCCUUUGGAAACCCUAAAAAGUAUCUUAGCUUUGCUUUAAUUCUUUUUUCAAUGAAUUCCAAAAGCUAAGAAAGACUCACAUUUACAAUCAACCAAAUAUGCAUGGUUAAUGAAGUUAGAUUAGAUUAGGAAUCCUUUACUAACUGUUUUCAAUUAAAAACCUUUCAAUCUUGAAAAGUCCAAGUCAAAACAUAAUUCUUUCCUAAAAUAAUUUUCUCAACAUAUCUUGCCAAAAUUGUUGGAAUAGAGCCCUUAAAGGCAUGAUAUUAUAUAACAAUAAAUGGAAUUUGUUAAUAUUUAUAUUAUGAUUUAAGUUCUUGUUUUGCUAUCAUGUAUUUAUGCAUUAUCUAUGUUGAGCAUUCAAACCUACACCAUUUGCAUUGUACAUAACUUGGGUGCAUUAGGAAUUGCAUGGAAGAUUCAAGUCAUGGGUUCCUUACAAGUUGAUGACUUAUUCAUAGUUAUUUUAUGGAUUUAGACAAUCCAUUUGAGAUUGUAGUGCAUUACCUCCUAAUUGGAGAGUGUAGACAUCAAAAUUUUUAGUGAAAUAAACUAUCAUUAAAUUGGUCUUCAAAAUAAAUAUGACUCCCCAAUUCAACAAAAUUUGGAAUCGACAAAUGAUAGGUCUUACACACAUUUAAUACAUUUCAUAUAUUAAAAAGGUUACAUGUGACAAAAUUUGGAAGGCUAUAAAAUUUUGUUUUGGAAAUAAAAUUAAAUCUUUCAAUUGCAAUCAAAAGAGAAUGAAAAGACUAAAUAAAUAUUCUCUUGUUGACAAAUUUCCUUAAUGAAAAAGAUAAGUUUUUAAAAUUAAGGAACCAAAUUCUUUGAAUUAAGUAACUAAAUCUUAAGGAAUUCCAAAAUUUAAUUCCCUAAUUUCACCUAUAAAUAAUGGUGACUUCCUUCAAUGAGGAUACUUAUUCGGAUUGGCAAAAAUGACUCUACAUGGGAAAAAAAAACUUAACAAAGAAGAAAAAACUUCACAAAAUCUCACUACAAGUCUAGGAAAUGACAGAAGUACUACACAUGCGAUCUUUGUCUUUCAACGAGUUCAUUCAAGAACAAACCACUUGUAGCCCUUGAUUGAUCUCUAAAAUCAAGGAAACAUUUUCAUUAUCAUCUUCCAAAUUGUGAUCAAGGUGAAAGAAUUAAAGAGAUCUAUUCUUUUGUAGAAGAAUAUUACCAUAAGGAUUGUACUCCACAAUUUAUCAAUUUUAAUGAAAAAUUUGUUUCGCAUUAUUUUUCCUAUUGUUUUGCUUAUAUUGUAGGACUUUUGCAAAAUUUUUGUGUAUAGAGGGAUAACUUGUUUUGGUCAUUGGGAAGGGUUUCCCAUGGUGAGUACACUAGUAUGUAUGGUUACACAUUAAAUAAGACCCACGGUGAGUCAUGACGUAAAGUUGUUGGGUAGUCAUAAUUCACCAAGCUACUAUGCUACAUAAGCUCUCAACCUUGAGAGAAUAUUCAACUAAUGCUAAGAUCUUUAAUGGCUUUGGCUUACAAGUGAUCCUAAGAUGGUUGUAUAUUCAUUAUGGAUUGGGUCAUUAUUGAUUAACGCAAGUGAUAAUAGGUAUUCUCAAGAUAGACAUCAUGAUAUUUCUUAGGUUUGAAACAGUGUGUCUCCUUAAAUUAUCCUAAGGAUAUGUAAUCAUGAAAUCUAUGGUGUAAUAAUUCCUUUAGUUGAAUUUGAUAUAUGUUCUUAAUGAGUUAGCAUGUGUUAGUUGAUCACAUAACAAGAGAACCUGUAACUCAAGGAUUAAAGAGGCAAUCUUGAAAGGUUGAUUGCAUUCACCUCAUUAGAUUACGGACAACAAUUCACAAGGAGCUUGCAUGGAUUUGGUAAUAGAUCAUAAACACGACUAUUAUAUCUCGAUCUACUAUCAUAAAAUACUGGAGUAUAGUUUACUCUCUAUAAUGGAAAUAUUGAGUCAAAUUUAGAAUUUGAUUAUGAGAAAGUUAAUAUUUUCUUAUGGGUCCUAGUGGUCCCUGCUCAAACUUAUGCUCCAUGGUAACAUGGUUUUUUAGGGUUAGUUAUGUUCUUUAUUCACAUGUGUACAUAAGAGCAUUUUAGUAAAUGCAUAAGGUUGUAGAGAAGCUUGUAAAUGGUCUCUCUAAACUAGUCUAAUUAGGGUCAAAUAGUGCAAAUUAAUUAAUUAGGACCUAAGUGAGAUAGUUUAAGUGAUCUAAGCUUAGAAUGGGCUCAAGUCACUUAAGCCCACAAAAAGCCUAUAUAAAUCCCCUCUUAGGGGUUUAAGGUGAUCUUUGAUAUCUUUAGUCUUCCAUUUUCCAGAGCGAAUGGAGAUUCACGUCACCAUCUUUAUUGAAUGGAAUUGAUCUAACAACAUUGAAAUCACCGGUAUAGUUUUUUUAGCUCUUUGACCAUAGGUUUUAUGUUUUAAAGCUUUUGUGUGCUUAAAUCUAAUAUCCUUAGGAUGGUCUUGCAUGCACCCUAACAAUCGGGAGCUUGGAAUGACUAAUCUAGAUAUUCCAACUAAAUUACUAAGAAAACUUUAUUAAAAGCCUCUAAAUAUGCACCAUGUAACUUAAAAGAUUUGAAAACUUUUCCUAAUCAGAGAUGAAUUCAUGGUCAUUAAACUUGAAGCCUUAAAUGUCAAAUCUUAAAUGUUAAAACCUUUUCCUUAAGAUAUCUCCCGAAAUACAUUUUUAAGAAUUUCUAAGAAUUCUUUGUGAGUUCAAAACCUUUAAAAUGUGGAUUAAAAAAUAGUUAUGAUCUAUUUAGGAACCUUCCUUAGUCAAAACCAAUUUCAACAACCCUUUCUUUGAAGAUUAGAGUCUGUGUGAUACUCAAAUAAGUCAAAAGUGCAUUGUCAACUCUCCAUGGUUGAACCUCUUUUAUGAACAUCCAAACUCCAUUGAAUAACAUGGCAAAAGAGCAUCAUGUCAUAAUAUAGUACAAGCUUCUUUGAAAAAUGCUUAGACCAAUAAGAAAAAAAAAUUCAUAUUUUCUGUAUUGGGAAAAAUCGUUUGUGUAAGUAAAGAUAAAGUUUGAAUCAUAUUUACAAAAGUUUCAACUGCAUUAUUCAAAGCAUGCAAUAAGAUAGAUAUGAUUCAUGAAUGUUUAUAAAUUGAAUAUACCUUGUCGGGACUUUAUUAGUGAAUGUUUAAACCACAAUAAGAUUUGGAGUCUUGUUCCCUUAUGUGCAAAUAUUAUUAUCUGCUUUGGGUUAAUCUUAAAACACAUUUACGUAGUUAAGAAGAGCAUAUAUAAAACCUUUUUACAUAUCUAAUGUGAUAUCACACUGGAGGCACAUACUUUUUUUAUGGCUUCUUAAAUCACUUUUAUUAAAUUUAAUCCUUCAAUAUGAAAAACUCUUUAGGUUAGGUUGGUUAUCAGAAAGUACUAAGGAAAGAAAAAAAAAAGUACUAAGGAAAAUGAUUUUUGUCAUAUUUGGUUGUCCUAUGAAAAAUAUCAAAGAAAAUAAAAUAUAAUCAAAAUUAGUAAAAAAACUUAUGCAUUUUUAAACUAUGUAAUCUUUAUAUCGAUAGGUUAAAAUAAGCAACCGAACUUGAAAUAUAAAAUAAAAAUAACUUAUUGACUUUAAAUUUAUUUUUUUAUUUUCCUUCACUUUUUUUUUUCCUUCUACUUUUCAUCUCUAUUUUCUUUCCCUUACAUUUUCCCUCAAAUUUUCCAACAAACAAACAUAACCUUAAUAUUCAUCUCAAACUCCUGAGCAACUAUCCUUAAUAACUUCAUCAAACAUAAAAUUCUUGAUAAAUGUACAGAUUUUUUAAAAUACCGUAGAUUGGAAAAUAAUUCCAAUUCUACAACACUUUCGAACAUAUAGGAUGCAAAGGUGGAAAUUUUUUUAUUUAUAUUUUAACUUUUUUGAUGCAAAUCCAUUUCCCAUGUCUCUUGAAUUUGAUUUUAUAUUGAAAGUAUCUCUUCAAGAAACACUUUCUACAAUUCAAAAAAAUUAGAUUUAUACUAAAAAUGUCUCUUGAAGAGACGUUGUCCACAAUUCCACAAAAUCUCAACAAAUACUAAAGGUAUCUUUUUAAGAAACGCUUUCCACAAUUUCACAAAUUUUAAUUUAUAUUACAAAUGUCUCUUAAAUUAGAUUUUAUACAGAAGGUGUCUCUUGAAAAGAUAUCAUCUACAAUUAAAAAAAAAAUGGAUUUAUAGUAAAUGUGUCUUUUCGAUAGACACUUUUCAUAAUUCCACAAAAUCCAAUAUAUACUAAAGGUGUCUCUUGAGGAAACACCUUCCACAAUUUCAUAAAUUUUAAUUUAUACUACAAGUGUUUCUUGAAUUUGAUUUUAUAUAGAAAGUGUCUCUUGAAAUAACACUUUCCAUCACAAAUUUUAAUUUAUACUACAAGUGUCUUUUGAAUUUGAUUUUAUAUAUAAAGUGUCAAAUUAAAAUUCAAGAUACCAUUAGUACAUAUUGGAAUUUGUGGAAAAUGUCUCUUCAAAAGACCUUUAGUAUAAUCCAAUUUUUUGGAAUUGUAAAAAGUGUCUCUUGAAGAGACACGUUCAAUAUAAAAUCAAAUUCAAGAAAUAUUUGUGGUAUAAAUUAAAAUUUGUAAAAUUAUGAAAGACACCUUUAGUAUAUAUUCGAUUUUGUGGAAUUAUGGAAAAUGUCUUUUGAAGAGACACCAUAAAUUCAUUUUUUUAAUCAUAGAAAGUGUUGUUUGAAACUACACCUGCAAUAUAAAAUCAAAUUCAAAAAACAUUUGCAAUAUAAAUUAAAAGUUGUGAAAUUGUGAGCAGGUGUAUAUUGAAUUUUGUGGAAUUGUGGAAAAUAUUUUUUGAAAAAGACACCUUUAGUAUAGAUUCCGAUUUUUUGAAAUUAUAGAAGAUGUCUUUUGAAGUGUUAUCAUUAGUUUAAAUUCAAUUUUAUUUAAACGUAAAUCAUUUUGGAAAUAUUUUUUAAAGUUGUUAUAAAAGUAAAAAAAUCCUGAAAACACGGACCUAACUCAGGUUAAGUAAUAGUGUUCUGGUUAGGGAUGACAACGGGGUGAGUUUUUUCGGAUACCCGCCCCGCCCCUAAUGGGACGAUGUUUAAAUUUAAUAAACAUGUUUUAAACGGGUAUGAUAUAUUUUUUUUUAAACCCGGGGCGGGUUCGGGUAUUGCCCCAUCCCGCCCCGCCCCACCCCACCCCACCCCACCCCACCCCACCCUACCCCGUUUACAUAUAAAAUUAAAUUUAAUUUAAAUUUUAAAAUUAAUUUAAUUUAAAAUUUUAUUUUACUAUUUUUAAUAUAUAGAUAAUAAUAAAAAAUUUAAUAAAAUAAGUUAUAAAAAAUAUAAUAAUUUUAUUAUUUAUAAAAUAUAUUUUUUUAAUGUAAUUAAAAAAAUUUAAAAUUAAUUCUUUUAAAAAAAAUUUAAAAAAAAAUAAGCUAAAAUUUUAAAUGGGACGGAGGUGAGAAUUAUUUUUAAUAAACGGGCCGGGUUGGGAUGGGGUGACCCGUCCCGAACCUGCCCCGUUCCCAUUCCUAGUUCUAGUAGGGUUUGUAGGUUUGCCGCCAUCGAGUUUGAAAUUCUACCGCUAUCCAACAAAAUAAACGAGAGGAUGGCACAAAGGCUGUUCUCACGCCUUUCGCUCCUCCAAUCCCUCUGUAGAAUCCCUAAACCCCGUUUGGAGCCAAGGUCUACAUUCUUAACCCUUUUCUCUUCCACUAAUCUCCUUUCGUGAUUUUAUUUUCUGAAAUCCCAUGUUUGGUGUUUCAGAUUAGAGGCUCUUUCUGACUCAAUUACUUCAAGGAAUGGAGUCAAUCUAUGGGUUUCCCACAAUUUACAAGGUCUGCCUUAAUUCUUAGGUGAUUUUCUAUUAUUCAGUCACUGGGUUUUCUUGCAUGUGAAGAUUGUGAUUGGAGUACGUGUUGUGUAGCCCACGUGUUUGUUAAAAGUUCUCAGAGAAGAGGAGACAUCUUUACUGUAUAUUUUAGCUUAUUCUUGCCAGUAUCCCACGUCUGCCUUAAAUUCAUCUCCAGCUUCUUCCACUUGGCUGCCCUAUUUAACCGUCUGGAAGCCACGAUUCUUGUGUGUAGUGCAGGGCUGCUGAACUUUUUCAUGAGAUUUGAGCAGUCAUAUAAUAUGUAUACCUUGAUUUGUUGAUGAACUAAAAUUAUUCGGUGUAAUUUUAAUCAUUGUAGAGUGAUUCUGUGUUAUAUAUUCUAAUUUUUUACUUUUUCAUAACUUUGGGUAAAUAAACAGCAUAAUAGGUUGACUAAUAUUAAGUGUACAAACAAGGUUACAACAGAAGGGGAGAAGGAAGCAAUCCUGAACUGAUGAUAAAGUACUUGUGAGGAAAAAGUGUCAAAAUUUACUUGUGUUGUAGGCUUUAAUGGUGUUAAGUUUAAUUAGACCUUAAUUUAACUUAAGUCUAAAUAGUACUUAAUAGUGUUAAGUAUUAAGUUGUUUGUAUUUUUUUUAAUCACUUUGUCUAAAACAACUUUGUCCUAAUGGAAAAACUAAGAUGUUUUUACUUUUGUCUUAAAUCUUAAAGCAACUUGCUUUAAAACUUAAGUUAAAACAUUUGGAAAGAAAAAGAUCAUAAUUGGGGUAACACAAGCUAAUGUAUUUGUCACUGAUUUACAUCUUAACAACACUCUAAUCUUGACAUAUUUGAUUAGAAAUAGUUCAAAGUCUACAUGAUGAGGAUGAAUAUACAAGAUCUACCCAAAAAGAAAAAGACAAAGAAUGUUCUAAACUUCUUAAAAAAAGUUGGUAUUUCUGAAAAGUUUUAGAAUUCUCCUUAAAAGAAGUUUCUAUAAGGUUUCUACUACUAUAAACAAAUUUUCUGCUUUUAUUUUAUUUUUUAAAUGAUCUAAUAGUUUUAGGAAAAGAAAGAAGAGUCUUAAUAAGUUACUACAUAGGUUCGGUUAUUAUUUUUAUAGUUUUAUUCAGUUUUUAUGGUUUUCUAAAGCAUAAAAAUAAGAUUGAUGUAAAAUAAGAUUAAUGAUUGAUGACAAAUAAUAUUAAGUUUUUUUGCAUCCUUUGGAUUAAAGAGCAUGAUAUACAAUGAAUCCAAAUCCUACAAGCUUAAACUAUUAAGAAAAUUGGUGCUUCAACCUAGUAUCAAAGCCUAUUUUGUAAGGAGGUCAUGUGUUCAAGCCCCACCGCAUAUUUAUUUCCAUUUUUUAUUGUGUAUCAAUAGUAUUUUUUUUAGUUAUUAUGAUAAAAAUAAUAAAAAAUAAAUAAAGUUACAAAAAAAAAGACCAAAAUAUCACCAUUCCAGGAUAACUGUCUUGAGAAGAUAAUUUUAAAAUUUUAUUUUUGAAUUUGUUCAGUUCCAGUAAAUUAUAGAAGCUUUCUACUAGUUGGACCUAAAAUGACUUUUGAUCACUGUUAUCAGCUAGAACCAACUUUUGAAGUUCUCUAUUAAAUUAUGUGCAUGAUAUUACAUUUACUGACAGUCUGACACAACUAAGUUUCAUUAAGGUCUAAAUUAUAUGAAUGGACUUAAGUAAAAUUUUUUGGACAUCAGGAAGUUUUUUUGGGCUUCACUAAGUUUGUUCUCUUGACUAGUGAUACAUGGUUGCACCAAGAUCCAGUUUUAGCAAUGUUAGCAUUCUGUCCCCCAAUUUUUUUUUUUUCCUCUUAUAUUAUUUAUUUUGGGCUAAAUGCAUCUGGAAUAUAUUUGAAUAUUUUGUAGUGUCACGGUCAUAUGCCCGUGGAGAACGUAAAUAUUAUGAUCUCUUUGGCAAUGUAAAACCUGGGGAUGCGGAAUUCAAGAAAGCCUGGGAGAAAGGAAUGGAUGAAGAGUCUUGUAUAUGGACAGGAAGUGAAGAUGAAAGUGAUGAUGAAAAAGGCCAAGGUCCUCUUAAAGAAGAGAUCAGAAGAGUAAAGCAAGAAGCAAAUGAGCAUUCAGACCUCAUUGAUGCUGAUGACAGUGAUGAAUUAAGAAGUGUAUGGUCGGGAAGUGAUGAGGAGAAGACACUUUGGACUGGUAGUGAAGGUGAUGAUGACGAUGAUAUUCCUACAGAAGCCUACCCAAAUGAGAAGAGUGAUGCAUAUCUAGAUAAAUUAUUCGAGUUUGAGGAACCACCUAAGCAUCGAACCAUUUUAGAACUAUUGAAAGCUGAAAAUGAACCAGAGGAGAUGUCCCCAGGAAAGCAAGCUAGGAAAAUUGCAGUUGAGAAUGCUCUGAAAAAAUUGAAGAAAGGACCAGAUGGACGAUACACCAAUGUGUGGGAGGUCAUGAGUGAUCUUGACAUCCUAAUAGGAGCAUUUGAAAAUAUUGCGUCAGGGCCAGAAUAUGCGGAGCUGAGACAGGGUGGGCCUAAGAAAUUAAAUAUUCAAUUCUUCAAGGAUAUACAAGCACGUAUGAGAGAUCCAAAUUACAAGUUUUCACCUGAGUUAAAGUUGAAACCUAAGAGCAAAUUGGUUUCAAGAAAGAAAUGGCAAAAAGCCCAGUCUAGACGGAGGAAAGCGCAGAAGCGCUAGUUGUUACUUUUCAACUCUUUGACUUUCCAAAAACAUACCUGUAUAUUUUCUGACUGGUGGGAUUUUAUAUAUUUCUUGCUAUAUUGUAUAACAUGAUAGAUAAUAUUGGCUUAUAUUGUUUUUUUGAUAGGAAACCACGCAUGAAUAUAUUGAUAGAAAAAAAAUAGUACAUAAGGAGGAUGAGAAAUCCUCCCGCCAAAGGUAAAACUAAACAACACAAAAAAAUAACAUGACACUACACCGUCCCGUUGGAACUACACACUAUUAGCCAAUCUAGUUGUAAAACGUUAAGAGGAAUGCCCUUAAAACCCGCUGAGCAAAAAGCCAAAAACGAAGCGAGGAAAUGAAUGGAGUUCCAAAGAUUCUUUGAAUUCCUAGCUUUGUCCUCAAAUAUCCUAUCAUUUCUUUCCCGCCACACAACCCAAAUUAAAGCUAUGCAUGCGUUUUGCCACAAAACCAACCCUCUCUUGGAUUUGCCAAAACCUUUAUAAUUGAUGAACAUCAUGUCUAAAAUGCUUUUCGGAGGAACCCAAUCCAUCUUGGCUAGCUGAAAUAGUCUGUGCCACAACCCCAACGUCACAGAACGAUGAAGGAAGAGAUGAUUUGUUGAUUCUCCUUGCUCCAUACACAACUUACAAAUGUUAGGGCUAAGAGCUUUGCGGGGUCUCCUCAAUUGUAGCAAGUCAUUGGUAUUUACCUUCUUGUGUGCCACAAGCCAGACAAAGGCCUUAACUUUGAAGGGGACUUGAGAUUUCCAUACAAACUUAGUGGGGGAAAAAAGGAGAUGAAUUAGGCAUUUGGGACAAGGCUGGAAAGAAAGACUUGACUGUAAACAAUCCUGAAGACAAUAAGGACCAAGAUCUCGCAUCUGAAGCGGAAAUGGAUAAAUUCAUACAAUCAAGAGAACACAUGAGGCGUUCUAGAUCUUCUAUCUCAGAAUCGGUUAGAUUACGACGAAAAUUAAAGUUCCAUGAGAAAAGGCGAGCCGAACCAAGAAUUGAAGAUAUAGGAAUAUUUUUAUCCGUUACUAUUCUAAAUAGUCUUGGAUAUUGGUCUUUGAAGAUUUGGUCCCCCCACCACAAAUCUUCCCAAAAGCGAAUUCUUUCCUCAUCUCCUACAACAAACCGAGUAUAUUUGGAAAAAUCCUGAAAGACUUGUGCAAUGGCCUUCCAAGGACAACAAUGUGACCACUUGACUAAAGUGUUGGCAUCCCAACCAUUUGAGUGUCCCAGUAGAUGCUAUGAAUGACCUAAUGCUACAGAGCUGUACUCUCCCUGGGAAAUCUCCACAACCAUUUCCCUAAAAGAGCGCAAUUCCUUAAAGGAAUCUUCCCAAUCCCUAAACCCCCUUUUACCCUCGGCUUACACACUGCAUCCCAACUAACAAAAUGGUCUCUUUUACCUUCCCCAACCCCUGACCAAAGAAAGUCCCUUUGCAUCCUCUCAACUUUUGCAGCCACUGAAGCAGGAAUCUUAAACAGAGAAAGAAAGUAGCUAAGGAUAUGGGAUAGACAUGAGUGUAGAAGAGUUAUCCUACCACCGAAAGAUAAGUAAGCCUUUUGCCACCUGUCUAAUCUCCUAGAGAUUCUCUCAAUCACUGGAUCCCAGAAUCCACAAGCAGUAGGAUUCCCUCCCAAAGGAAGACCCAGAUAGGCCAAUCUGAAGCCUUGCAGUCAAGCAACAAGGCUAACCUAAAGAGAUGAUUCUGAUCAAGGUUGAUGCCAAAAAGAUUACUCUUAUCAAGAUUGACCUUAAGCCCAGAAACUUGACCAAACAAUAACAAUAAACUCUUAAGAGUUUGUAGUUCUUCCUCACUAGAGCUAGCAAAGAGGAUGGUAUCGUCUGCGAAUUGCAGAUGGGAUACCCUACACCUAUUUCUACCUACCCUGAAGCCCUCUAGCAAACUUCUUUCCUCAGCUUUCAACAACAUUCUACUCAACACAUCUGCAACAAUAGUGAACAGGAAAGGGGAUAAAGGGUCACUUUGCCUUAAACCUCUAGAUGCCUUGACCCACCCUUUAGCAUUACCAUUCACUAGAAUAGCAUAAAAGGCCGACGACAGACAUCCUCUCAUCCAUUUCCUCCAUUUAGAACUAAAUCCCUUCUUCUCCAACACAUGAUCCAAAAAAUCCCAUUUAACAUGGUCAUAAGCCUUUUCAAAGUCUAUCUUGAAUACAACUCCUUUCUCUCCUGAUCGUCUUUUCUCGUCUACAAUCUCAUUGGCUAUAAGAACUGCGUCCAGAAUUUGUCUCCCUUUAACAAAAGCACCUUGAGUGGAGUGGAUGGUCUCCUGUAGUACUCCUCUUAGUCGCCCUGACAAGACUUUUGCUAUUACCUUAUAGAGACAAGUGAUCAGGCUGAUAGGUCUAAAAUCUGAAAUCUUCUUUGACUAGCUCUUUUUGGGCAAAAGAACUAUGAAGGAGGCAUUGGUGUUUUGAUUAAUAAUCCUGCUAUUGUGAAACUUUGCAAACACCCUUACUAAGUCAUCCUUGAUCACAUCCCAACAAUCCUGAAACACUGCUAUGGUGAAACCAUCGGGCCCCGGCGCCUUAUUCCUAUCUAACUGAAAGAUGGCAUUAUAGAUCUCUACUUCGAAGAAAGGGGAAUCCAGCUUAGAAGCACUCUUUUCUGAUAUAGGGGACCAAUCAAUACCUUCUACUCUCCAAGACUCACCAGGAUGACUCAAGUAGAGCUUUUUGAAAUAAUGUAAUAUCUCCUUUGUGAUGCUGUCGAAAUUGUCCAACACCAAACCACUUUCAUUCUCCAAGAAUUUGAUGAAAUUCAUGUUUCGUCUCCCGUUAGCCACUUUGUGAAACAACUUUGAGUUGCAAUCCCCGUCCUUAACCCAUUUUACUUUAGCUUUUUGUCUCCAAUGAAUUUCUUCCCUCAUAAUUAUUUCCUCUAGCUCCCCUUUUCUUACAGCUCUUUGAACAGCGAGAUCAAAAGAGAGAGCCCCUUCUUGUUCAUUGGCAUCAAUGUUAGCUAUUUCAUCCAAGAUGGUUUUUUUCCUUUCCUUAAGCAUUCCAAAAGUAUUCUUAUUCCAAUCUUUCAAUUUUGCGUUAACAAAUUGUAACUUCCUCAUGAACUUGUGACCUUCCCAACCAUUUCCUUCAAAUUCUCUCCACCAACUGCUAAAGCACUCUUUGAAACUAUGAUGUUACAACCACAUAUUCUCAAACCUAAAAGGUGUAGGACCCCACUUGAAAGGAUUGGUAUCCAAUACAAUCGGCCAAUGAUCCGAUGUCCAUCUAGGAAGAACUUCUUGAAGGCUUUGAGGGAAUGAAAGCUCCCACUCAUUUGAAUAGAGAAACCGAUCCAAUCUCUUACACACCGGUAACUCUUGCAUAUUUGACUAAGUAAAAGAGGCAUUUCGUAAUGGGGGAUCAUGUAAUUCAUGUUCUCUUAUAAAGCCAUCAAAAUCCCUCAUGCUAGAAGUGAAUCUAGAGCCACCCAGUCUUUCUAAUCUUCUCCUUAUAACAUUGAAGUCACCUCCCACACACCAUGAAGGAAAAGUAAGGCCAAAAAGGUCUAACAACUCCACCCAAAAAUCCUUCCUAGUUAAGGGGCUGUUUAGACCAUAAACUGCAGACAACCACAAAGGUCCACAUCCAUCCAUCAAGAACUUGACUGAGACAGAAAAAGAUCCAAUUACCACGUCCUCACUGCUCAUUUUCUUUGAGUCCCAAAUGAUUAAAAUUCCUCCUGAAGCCCCGCACGCCGGGAGAACAGCCCACUCCUUAUUUCUAACCAACCAGACACUUCCUACAAACCUUCUGUUGCACACCUCUCUUUUUGUUUCCUGAAACAUCACUACAUCCGGAUUCUGAAGUAGCAAAAAAUCCUUAACCACUCUUCUCUUUUUCCUAGAUCCCAACCCCCUGAUAUUCCAGCUUAUGAUCUUCAUAAAAACACCUCACUGACCCUAUACCUCCUAACCAACGCCAACAGAACUCAAAUGUCUAUGGCAAUUCUAUUCUUUCGCCUUGAAUACACCUUAAUAUCCAAGGAACUUAAGACCUCACAAACUUUAGCCAUUUUGCUAGGGGAAAGACCUUCAGUUUGGAACCCACCCAUCUAGGAGAACUCAGUGUCUCCCUGUCUAACUGUACCCAGAAUAGGGGCCCCAUGAGGCGAGCUGGGUUUGGUCUUAUCAUAAUUAAAGCUUUCAGACACAAGAUUCAAUCUAGCCAACCGGGGCACCGCAUCAUCACGGUUAGGAAUGCCAACAAACCCAAGACGAUAAGCCCCAAUAUCAUCUUUUUUUGAAAAAAUUUCAGAGAACACUCAAUUUUUCGUAAGAAUUUGGGAUUGAAAGGCUGGAAUGGAGAGAUCGAUAGCAGAAGAACUCGGGUAUGGAGGAGCCACGCCAGAGAAAGGAGAAUGAAAAGGCAGAGAAGGUUGAGAAAAAUGAUGAGAAGAAACCUCAAAGUUGAGCCCUUUUUCUCUAGUUGCGGGAUAAGAAAGAUGAUCUGUGACUGAAGAUCCACUAUGAGAACAACCCACAAAACAUUUAAAACCUGCUUCGUCUCCUUCUUUAGCAAUAUUGCACAUUUUCUCCUUCCCUUUUGACUGCAAAGGAGCCCUAAGAAGAUUCCUUUGCUUUGCGUUUUCCUUCGUCGGCGUCAUUCCUUCCUCGGAACACCCUUGACCCAACUGUGUUCCCGCUUUGGAGACGUCUUCCAAUGGAAGAGUAUCACUAACUGGCGUCGAUCUCUCAAUCGUGAGUGGCUCGCUUCGGCUUCGAUCUCCUUGUCGGCAUACAGAGCUUGAUGGAAAUAGAGCAUUCCACAGCUUCCUUGAACCACACUUCAUCGUGGAGCCCCUCUGUUGAUUUUUAGGAUCCUCGUGGCCUGUCUUCGCCUUCCCUUUUGCAGAAAGAAUAAAUCUGUGUAAAGGGCCCUUCGAAUAUCUGUCUUGAUUGUCUCCCAUCUCUUGGCUCAACGACUAAAUCGGGCCUUUCCCAUGGACUUCCUUCUUCCAGCCCACAUCAAUUUGAGACCAUGGGCUGGGUUUACUAAAAGGAUGGGCUCUUGUCAUGUAUUUGGAGGCCCAAAACCCAUCCUGGAGAGUUGACUGGGCUUUGACCCUUCUAGCCUGCUUUGGCCCAACAGAUCCAGCUCUCUGCCUUUUUUAAUUCGAAUGCAGUGGAGGUUGGGACCAGCUGUUCCCCAUUGACGUCCUGUUCUUUCCACGUGUCCUCCUAGGAGCGUUCUCAGCCUUUUGACCACCUCUCCACUCCAUUGUUCUGCCAACUGCCCCAACCAAAGACCCUUUUCCAGCCGUUGAUCUAUCUUCCUCUGCCCUUUUUCUGCCAACUGUCCCCGUGUGAGCCUCAGCCAAUUGCCGAGUUGACUCACCCAUCUCUCUAACUUGACUACCGUCUUCCUUCCCGGCCACUGCGACUGAAACUGUGAAGUCCCAACCCCCAUCUAACACCUCAAUCAAAGCUGGGAGAAUCGAUCGUUCUUUCAUUACCACUUUCACCCUCACUUUGCUUAGAUAAAAAAGUUUCAAUGUUCACCAAUCGAUCUCUGUCACCGUCCCCCAUUGCUCCAUAAUUUUCUUCAAGUGAACCUCAGACCAUAAAUGAAAUGGUAAACCCCUUAAAUCUAUCCAACCUUCCUUGAACUUCCCCUCUACUUCUGAAUUUUCCUUUGGCAACCAUCUUCUCAACAAGGCUGUAAUUCCGCCCUUAAUCCUGAUGAACCUUGAAUUGUGUAGUGAUAAAGCUUCCUCUAAUGUUUCUACAAAAACAAUCCUUUUCCUCCGGCGAAUGGGACGAUUGUCACCACGUCUUUGUGCCCCAGCCUUCUCGCCAUAGCCCGGCUGACCUCAGCCCAGUUAAUAGCACCAUCUUGACAUUCGCACACCAUAACCCUCGCCCAUCUCCCAACUGGAACAAGGCCGCCUUUCCUCGGACCUUCGUCUCUGACUACAUUAGCAAAGGACCGUUGCAAGGGACCCACAUUUUUGUGCAAAAUCCUUCCUUCCCUGCUCAGCCUUCCCUUUUCAUUAAAACUCGAGGAGGGGACCACCAACAUUGAAUACAACGCAGACUUUAAAAGUUCCCAUCCCCUGCCAUUCUCUCCCUCAGGUAUUACCAGAAAAGUUGACUUCCUGUUGGAGGCGAACUCUGAUAAUCUUAUAAACCUGCCAUGAAUAUUGAAGCAAACCUCCAGUAGAUGUACUCUGGUCUUUCCUCUAAAUUUUCUGUUGAAACCCAUAAAAAUCUUCAUCUUAAUGGCCUUUGUCAACUGUUCUAUCAACCAACUAACCUCCUCCUUCUCAAAGCCUAAGACGAAAAUAGAGCCUUUACUGUGCUCUGUUAUCGAACACCAUUGCCCUCCGACCUCACCCUCGAACCUAACCCGGAAGGUCUUCCUCUCCACAGAGACCUUCAAGGUCCUUACCAUUCUCUCUAUUUCUGUCACAAAUAUGGUGCUCAAUUAAUAGUAAAGAAGAAUAAUGAACAAGGUAGAGGUAUUCAAUUAUUGGCUUAUAUUGUUAUAGAGACAAUCCUUGACAUAGACAGAUUUUUGGCUUACAACUUUUUGUCCUUGAAUUAUUUUAUUUAUCCUGUUGUUUACUUUUGCAUGUUUGAUUUUCAAGUACUGUUGUCUGUUAGUAACUUUCAUAAACAAUUGCAACUUAAUUAAACAAUUUGGUACAAUGAGUACAUGCUUGGUUCCUUACUGUUCAAAUGCUGAAUUAUUUCCUUUUGGAUUUGGAGUAUACUAUCAUUUCUAUUUAUUCUCUAAGGAUUAGCUCUAUUUUAUGAUUUUCUUUAUUUGGAAAUCACAUGUUUUGCUUGUUUGUCUACUGGUUUAGUGAAAGCAUCAAGUACUUAGACUUUAUGCUCACCUUAAUUAAACAGUUUGACUUAAACCUCAUCAAACUCAAUCGGCCUGUGAUGGCCACAAACUUCAUCUUAGUAACCAAUUUGAUUGUGCUUGAUUAUAUUUAUUGAAAGUUAUAUGAGAUGAUUUGGACUGUUAACCAAAAUGCCUUUUACACAGAACCUUUUCUCUACCAGAAAAGGUGAUUGACAGCUUUGAGGUAUGCUUAUUUUCAGUUCCUGUUGUUGACUGUACAAAAUCUAGGAAGAAACUCGAGCAUUUAAGAAGGAAAGAUUUUCUCAUGAACAACCAUGGGCAUUUAGAAACCAAGUUUUACCAUCUAAAUCAUUACCCUUUAUAAUCAAGGAUAUAUUGGUGCUUGCAGAGGAAGGUAUAUUUGCCUGCCUGGAAAAGUCAUACCUGAGGAUUUUCUGUUCAUUUAGGAAUUCCUACUCCAAGAUUAGUGUAGAAAGGUAUUUGUGUUUGAUAUAACAUGGUUUUAAUUUGAUAAGUUUGUAAUGGUACAGAGGUUGUACUAUAGCAGUGGAUGAUAGGAGGAUAGUAAGUCCUAUGCAGCUCUUAAUUUGAGUUUAUAGGCAACGUUAUAUGAGUUCCUUAGUAAGCUAUAAUUUUUUUUUCUCAUAAAUUUUAAGAAAUCUCCAUAAGACAUUAGUUUCUGGAAAUUUCUACUUCUGAGUUUGGGGAUUUAGUAAAAUGUGCACCAUCUUUUACUGACUAGAAGGUAAAAAGCCACCAAUUUGUUCCUUCCAAUUGUCCUUAUUGAGUAAGAUCUCCAACUUUGGAUUUUCCUGAUAAUGAUUAGCAUUAAUUACACAAGGCCAGACCCAUUCUUCAAAGUAGUUGAGCCAGGGUCUUCCAGUAUUUUGUUCUUUUUUAUCCAUAACUUUUACCUGCCAGCUGCAGUAGUAUUCAUAUGGAAAACUUUUCUUUUAUUCGGUAUGAAAGGGAAACAGAUGAUGUGUUUCAAAGUAAAAAUACACACUUUUUGGUCAAUAUUCUUCCUUGUAAUUUAAUAGUUUUUGAAGAGAAAACUCAUGCUAUCCCUUUUAUGCUAUAUUUCUCACUAUCCAAAUGCCUUUUCAGAACCAUCACAGGAUAGGUUUCUCUGUUUUUUCCUCCCUUAUUUUUGAUACCUCCUCUAAGUUUCCGGCCUUUGAUAGCAAUGUCAGAAUUGCUUAAAUCUUACACAGAAGGAAACUGUACUUUGCAGGAAAUAUAAAACUUUUAAAUGGGAAAAGAUGAUAAGAAUUGUUCUGUUGCAAUAUAGCAUAGGGAAAAAGCAGAGGAUAAGAAAAGGUUGCAUAGAAUAGAAUGGGUUUUGGCUUCUGUAAAAUAGAAAGCCUCUGCAUAAUCUCAUCUGUGAACUUGCAGAAUACUACAAGGGGAUAGAGUGGACCUUAGGAACUCCCAUUUGAGGGGUGAGGGCACGCAGGGGGCAUAAAGCUUGAUCCCUCUAAGCAGUCUUCAUAAAGCUUUUUCAUCUGAAUUUAAACCAACUAGUUUUGUGGACAGUCAGUCCCUCAAACCAUAUGAAUCUCCAUGAGGGGAGGGUUCGUUGAUGGUGCUAUUUCUAGUUAUUAAUACCCUUCAAAAGUUAAAUAUUCUAGUAUGUUAGUGAAUAAGGAGAUCGAGAUGCCUUGGCUACUAGUCAUUAGAUCACAUUAUUUGUUUCCCUUUAUGAAGCAAACCCACAAGGUUUCAGUUGAGACUUGGGUUUUAGAUGCAAUACAUCACAUAACUUUUGCUAUGAAUGGUUUGGCAAUAAUCAUUCAUUUUGUUUGGUUCUUGUGUGAGAUUUGUUUGGUAAUGUAUCAAUCACUCCACUCUUAAGUGAAUAAAUCCCAAAAAGUUUGAAAUCAAAUAAACAAAGAUGAAAGAUUGUAAUCAAUGAACCAUCUGUUUGAGUACCUAUUUGAGUGUCGAUAUCGCUAAAGACAUCUUGUAAUCUGUCUACUUUUUCUCAUGACCGAGCUUGUAUUUUGCAUGACUACUGAAGUGUGGUUUUUCUGGCUACUAGUGAGGGUAUGGUGCAGAACUGAAAGUAUGGUGGUAAUAAUAAUCAUUAAUAGAAGGAAUUAGGGGAUUGAUGCAUAUAGAUGUUGCCAUUUAUUCGUUAGACGGAAACCCUGCAGAAAAAUCUUGAAAUUCGCUCCAUCCAUAACCUCCCAAGCCAACAAAACCAGCAGCAUUGACCUGAAAAUUCUCCAGACCCAUUAGCGUAUUGUCUGCAUCACCACCCAUAUACGCAUAUCUUUCCCCGUCCCGAACCUGCCCUGUUGCCAUUCCUAGUUCUGGUAGGGUUUGUAGGUUUGCCGCCAUCGAGUUUGAAAUUCUACCGCUAUCCAACAAAAUAAACGAGAGGAUGGCACAAAGGCUGUUCUCACGCCUUUCGCUCCUCCAAUCCCUCUGUAGAAUCCCUAAACCCCGUUUGGAACCAAGGUCUACAUUCUUAACCCUUUUCUCUUCCACUAAUCUCCUUUCGUGAUUUUAUUUUCUGAAAUCCCAUGUUUGGUGUUUCAGAUUAGAGGCUCUUUCUGACACAAUUACUUCAAGGAAUGGAGUCAAUCUAUGGGUUUCCCACAAUUUACAAGUUCUGCCUUCAUUCUUAGGUGAUUUUCUAUUAUUCAGUCACUGGGUUUUCUUGCAUGUGAAGAUUGUGAUUGGAGUACGUGUUGUGUAGCCCACGUGUUUGUUAAAAGUUCUCAGAGAAGAGGAGACAUCUUUACUGUAUAUUUUAGCUUAUUCUUGCCAGUAUCCCACGUCUGCCUUAAAUUCAUCUCCAGCUUCUUCCACUUGGCUGCCCUAUUUAACCGUCUGGAAGCCACGAUUCUUGUGUGUAGUGCAGGGCUGCUGAACUUUUUCAUGAGAUUUGAGCAGUCAUAUAAUAUGUAUACCUUGAUUUGUUGAUGAACUAAAAUUAUUCGGUGUAAUUUUAAUCAUUGUAGAGUGAUUCUGUGUUAUAUAUUCUAAUUUUUUACUUUUUCNNNNNNNNNNNNNNNNNNNNNNNNNNNNNNNNNNNNNNNNNNNNNNNNNNNNNNNNNNNNNNNNNNNNNNNNNNNNNNNNNNNNNNNNNNNNNNNNNNNNNNNNNNNNNNNNNNNNNNNNNNNNNNNNNNNNNNNNNNNNNNNNNNNNNNNNNNNNNNNNNNNNNNNNNNNNNNNNNNNNNNNNNNNNNNNNNNNNNNNNNNNNNNNNNNNNNNNNNNNNNNNNNNNNNNNNNNNNNNNNNNNNNNNNNNNNNNNNNNNNNNNNNNNNNNNNNNNNNNNNNNNNNNNNNNNNNNNNNNNNNNNNNNNNNNNNNNNNNNNNNNNNNNNNNNNNNNNNNNNNNNNNNNNNNNNNNNNNNNNNNNNNNNNNNNNNNNNNNNNNNNNNNNNNNNNNNNNNNNNNNNNNNNNNNNNNAACCUAGUAUCAAAGCCUAUUUUGUAAGGAGGUCAUGUGUUCAAGCCCCACCGCAUAUUUAUUUCCAUUUUUUAUUGUGUAUCAAUAGUAUUUUUUUUAGUUAUUAUGAUAAAAAUAAUAAAAAAUAAAUAAAGUUACAAAAAAAAAGACCAAAAUAUCACCAUUCCAGGAUAACUGUCUUGAGAAGAUAAUUUUAAAAUUUUAUUUUUGAAUUUGUUCAGUUCCAGUAAAUUAUAGAAGCUUUCUACUAGUUGGACCUAAAAUGACUUUUGAUCACUGUUAUCAGCUAGAACCAACUUUUGAAGUUCUCUAUUAAAUUAUGUGCAUGAUAUUACAUUUACUGACAGUCUGACACAACUAAGUUUCAUUAAGGUCUAAAUUAUAUGAAUGGACUUCAGUAAAAUUUUUUGGACAUCAGGAAGUUUUUUUGGGCUUCACUAAGUUUGUUCUCUUGACUAGUGAUACAUGGUUGCACCAAGAUCCAGUUUUAGCAAUGUUAGCAUUCUGUCCCCCAAUUUUUUUUUUCCUCUUAUAUUAUUUGUUUUGCGCUAAAUGCAUCUGGAAUAUAUUUGAAUAUUUUGUAGUGUCACGGUCAUAUGCCCGUGGAGAACGUAAAUAUUAUGAUCUCUUUGGCAAUGUAAAACCUGGGGAUGCGGAAUUCAGGAAAGCCUGGGAGAAAGGAAUGGAUGAAGAGUCUUGUAUAUGGACAGGAAGUGAAGAUGAAAGUGAUGAUGAAAAAGGCCAAGGUCCUCUUGAAGAAGAGAUCAGAAGAGUAAAGCAGGAAGCAAAUGAGCAUUCAGACCCCAUUGAUGCUGAUGACAGUGAUGAAUUAAGAAGUGUAUGGUCGGGAAGUGAUGAGGAGAAGACACUUUGGACUGGUAGUGAAGGUGAUGAUGACGAUGAUAUUCCUACAGAAGCCUACCCAAAUGAGAAGAGUGAUGCAUAUCUAGAUAAAUUAUUCGAGUUUGAGGAACCACCUAAGCAUCGAACCAUUUCAGAACUAUUGAAAGCUGAAAAUGAACCAGAGGAGAUGUCCCCAGGAAAGCAAGCUAGGAAAAUUGCAGUUGAGAAUGCUCUGAAACAAUUGAAGAAAGGACCAGAUGGACGGUACACCAAUGUGUGGGAGGUCAUGAGUGAUCUUGACAUCCUAAUAGGAGCAUUUGAAAAUAUUGCGUCAGGGCCAGAAUAUGCGGAGCUGAGACAGGGUGGGCCUAAGAAAUUAAAUAUUCAAUUCUUCAAGGAUAUACAAGCGCGUAUGAGAGAUCCAAAUUACAAGUUUUCACCUGAGUUAAAGUUGAAACCUAAGAGCAAAUUGGUUUCAAGAAAGAAAUGGCAAAAAGCCCAGUCUAGACGGAGGAAAGCGCAGAAGCGCUAGUUGUUACUUUUCAACUUGUUGAGAGAGAGAGAGAGAAAGGAGAAAAACCUAAUUCACAUUCAUUGUAAUCUCUACUUACAAUUGAGAGAUAUAUAUAUACAAGGCUAGGAGUCCUAACUACCAUACAUGUGACCUAUAUUAACAAGGAAAGAUAGUAUACUAUACAUACAUUAUAUUCAACACUCCCCCUCAAGCUGGAGCAUAUACGUCAUAUGCACCAAGCUUGUUACAAAUAUAUUUAAUCCUAGGACCUCUGAGAGAUUUAGUGAAGAUGUCUGCUAGUUGAUCAUUUGAAUUGACAAAACUUGUAGCAACACAUCCUGAUGCAAUCUUCUCUCUAAUGAAAUGACAGUCAACUUCAAUAUGUUUGGUCCUUUCAUGAAAGACUGGAUUGGAUGCAAUAUGUAAUGCGGCCUGGUUAUCACAGAUGAGUUUCAUCUGUUCAUCCUUUCCAAAUCUCAACUCCUGAAGAAGAUGUCUCAACCAUAUGAGUUCACAUGUUGCCAAAGCCAUAGCUCGAUACUCGGCUUCAGCGCUAGAUCUGGCCACUACAUCUUGUUUCUUACUCUUCCAAGAUAUUAGAUUACCUCCAAUAAAAACACAGUACCCUGAAGUGGAACGUCUAUCUGUGGGUGAGCCAGCCCAAUCUGCAUCUGUGUAACCAACAACUUGAGUAUGACCUCUGUUCUCGUACAAUACACCUUGGCCUGGUGUACUUUUGAUAUAUCGAAGAAUACGGAUUACGGCAUCCCAAUGGUUAUCACAUGGUGACUGUAGGAAUUGACUAACAAUACUCACAGGAAAAGAAAUGUCUGGACGAGUAAUGGUGAGAUAGUUCAAUUUACCUACGAGCCGUCGAUAUCUCCCGGGGUCUCCUAAAGGCUCCCCCUGUCCUGGUACAAGUUUGACAUUCGGAUCCAUAGGUGUGUCUACCGGUUUACAGUCUAACAUACCGGUUUCUUCCAGGAUAUCUAAAGCAUACUUCCUUUGGGAAAGGACCACACCAGAACUGGAUUGAGCUAUCUCAAUUCCCAAGAAAUACUUGAGUUUCCCCAAGUCUUUGGUCUGAAAGCGGGUAAAAAGAUGUUGCUUUAGUUUCUGAAUACCAUCCUGAUCACUGCCUGUAAUGACGAUGUCAUCCACAUAAACAACCAGAUAAAUACACUGCCCCAAGGAGUUAUGAUGAUAAAAAACUGAAUGGUCUGCUGUACUGCGAAGCAUGCCAAACUCUUGAACAACAGAACUAAAACGGCUAAACCAUGCUCGAGGAGAUUGUUUCAAGCCAUAUAGAGAGCGGCGUAACCUGCACACUAAACCAGACUCCCCCUGAGCAACAAAACCAGGAGGUUGCUCCAUAUAAACUUCCUCAGCAAGAUCACCAUGAAGGAAGGCAUUUUUAAUAUCCAACUGAUAAAGAGGCCAAGAACACAUAGCAGCCAUGGACAGAAGCAAGCGGACAGAAGCAAUCUUGGCAACAGGGGAGAAUGUGUCACCAUAAUCAGAACCAUAAACUUGAGUAUAGCCUUUAGCAACUAAGCGGGCCUUAAGGCGAUCAACCUGACCAUCAGGACCAACCUUAACUGCAUAGACCCAACGACAACCAACUGUAGAUUUACCAGAGGGUAAAACAACAAGAUCCCAAGUGCCAUUAGAGUGCAGAGCAGCCAUUUCAUCCACCAUUGCCUGUCGCCAGCCUGGAUGGGAAAGAGCUUCAUGGGUGCUCUUUGGAAGAGAAACAGAGGAUAUAGCAGAAACAAAAGCAGAAUAGGGUGAAGAUAAUCGAUGAUAACUCAAAAAAUUGUAAAUAGGAUGAGGAUUACGAGUAGAGCGAGUACCUUUCCGAACAGCAAUGGGUAAGUCAUUAGGAGAAGGCAGAGCCGGGGCAGGUGAAGCCGAAGGGAUAGGAAGUGAGUCAGCAGGUGCCUCAGGAAAAGGGAGAGGAGCAACGACACGAGGGCGACGAUGAUAAACCUGAAGUGGUCGAGGGGGCAUAGCAUCAGGUGGGGAGACAAUGGGAAUGGGCAAGACUUCAGAAACAGGAAGAGACUCAGAAGUGGUGGAAAAGAAUGGUGAGUCCUCAAAGAAGGUGACAUCAGCGGAGAUAAAGUACCGAUGAGUCUCAAGGGAAUAACAACGAUAACCCUUCUGAAGUCUGGAAUAUCCCAAGAAGAGGCACUUCAUGGCUUUGGCGGAAAGCUUGUCCUGUCCAGGAGUGAGAAUAUGAACAAAGCAAGUACAACCAAAGACACGAGGAGGAAGGAAAUAAAGUGGUUGGUCAGGGAAAAGAAGGGAGUGAGGAAUCUGAUCGUGUAAGACAGAGGAGGGCAUACGAUUAAUCAAAUAACAAGCGGUAAGAACAGCGUCCCCCCAAAAACGAAAAGGAACAUGAUUAUGGAGGAGGAGAGUACGAGCUGUCUCAACAAGAUGUCGAUUCUUGCGUUCAGCUACCCCAUUUUGUUGAGGAGUAUGAGCACAAGAAGACUGAUGAAGAAUCCCAUGAUGAGACAUAAACGAAGUAAAUUGGGCUGAAAAAUAUUCCCUGGCAUUGUCACUGCGUAACACACGAAUAGAAAUAUUGAACUGGGUUUGGAUUUCAGUAUAAAAUUUCUGGAAAAUAGAGAAUAACUCAGCUCGAUUUUUCAUUAAGAAUAACCAAGUACAUCGAGAAUAGUCAUCAAUGAAAGUGACAAAAUACUGAAAUCCUAAAGUAGACGCAGUCCGACAAGGACCCCAAACAUCAGUGUGGACAAGCUCAAAAGGAGACUUUGCCCGAUUAUUCAAACGCUUUGGGAACGAGACACGAGUAUGUUUCCCAAGCUGACAUGACUCACACGGAAGCGACGACAAAGUGGAAAAACGAGGAACCAUCUUCUGGAACUUGGAAAGACUAGGGUGGCCCAGACGAUUGUGAAGGAGGAGAGGAGCAUCAGUGGAAAUGCAAACUGCAGGAGAUGAAUCUGAGGUGAGGUGAUAGAGGCCUUGAGACUCACGUCCUAUGCCAAUCGUCUUCCCCGUACUCCGGUCCUGCAAGGUCACAAAUUUAUCAGAAAAGGUAAUAGAGCAAUUAAGAGUACGAGUGAUUUUGCUGAUGGAAAUAAGAUUAAAAGGACAUUCAGGAGUAUAAAGGACAGAAGUGAGAGGUAGAGAAGGCAAAGGAAGGGCCAAACCAAUACCUUUAGCCACAGUUUGAGAACCAUUAGCUAAGGUAACAGUAGGUAAAUCAGAGGUAGUAGUAAUAGAGGAGAAAAGAUCCUUAUUACCAGAUAGGUGAUCAGAUGCUCCAGAAUCUAGAAUCCAGGGUCCAAGAGAAGAUGUGUGGGUAAGGCAGGCAGAGGCAUUACCAGGCUGGGCAACAGAGGCAAUAGAAGCCUGAGAUGUCUGAGAUGCGGAGGAGCUCGGAGGCUGAGGCAGCGGAGAAUCAGAGGACUGGGCCAUAUGGGCAGUGCGAGGAGGUCUUCCAUGUAACUGAUAGCAACGAUCGCGAGUGUGGCCAAGUUUAUUGCAAUAGGUGCAAUGAGGACGUUGGCCUCUACCUCGGGUACCACUGCGUCCUCCUCGAGAGGUAGUUUGAGAAACUAACACAGAAGAAUCUGAAGCGCUAUCAGAUGGCAAAGUCUGAGUGGACGAGAUACGGAGGAGGCGAGCAAACACAUCAUCCAAGGACGGAACUGAUGAACUACCAAGAAUCUGAUCACGAAUAGGCUCAAGAUCUGGAAGGAGGCCGAUAAGAGUAAGGACCAUGAAGAACUUGUCAAGCUGUGUUUGUUGGGCCCCAACAUCAGGAGUAAGAGGCAUCACAGUCAAGAACUGCUCCUUAAGAGAGGCAAUCUGGCCAAUAUAAGUAGAUAGAUCCAAGUCCUGUUGGCUGAGAUGGACAAUAGCAGAAGCCACCUUAUAAAGACGCUGGAUAUCAUUCGUGUAUAAUCCUUUGGCCUGAGUCCAAAAUUUAAAACAAGUUUUAUAGGCCUGAAGAUGAAGAAGAAUUCGGGGAUCAACCGAUUGCCAUAAUACACUACACAACUGUGCAUCUAUCUUCCUCCACUGUACGCGGUCGACCUCAGGGAUAUCUGCCUCCUGUGUAAUCAAGUGAUCCUCAUAUCCUUGACCCAUAAACCAAAGUUCAACAGAGGCAGACCAGGAAAGAUAAUUUUCACUCCCAACUAAUUUCUCCGAAGUAAUCAUAGGAGAUCCAGAUAUGACAGAGGAAAAAAUGGAAGCUUUAGUAGCCAUAUCCACUUAUCUGGAGAAUGAAGUAUGUUUGGAUCGAAGAGAGCCCUAAUACAGCUUCAGAUUGCAGCGUGGCACCACCGAAAAAGGGAGACGGCCUCAGAUCGCGGUGUGGUACCACCAGAAAGGGAGAAGAACACUUCCCAAGGCACGUGCAGGGAUUGGAGUGGAGAAAAAGUGGUCGGAGCUUCGCCGGAAAGACUGUUUGGAGGGCCGACGGAGACAAAAAUCCCCAAAAGAGGUACGUGCAGGGCUCGGAUGGGAGAACCAGGGAGGUGGGAAGGCUGAUCGGCGUCAGGCGAAGCUAGAGGAGGAGGCGCGUCGCCGGAAAAGCUCUCACGCGCCCCCACGCGCCGGCGCGUGAGAUUCAACCGCCGGCCGGAAAAUUGCGCGUGGCCGGCGCGUGGCUGCUCUUUUGGUGCUGGUGCCUUCACAAAAGUUGGAGAUCUCCUCCAGGCGCUCCUUCUGGUAUGGUCGGUGUCGGAAAAAUAGGUCGCCGGGAAAUUUCGCCGGAAAGUUCGCCGGAAAAUUCGCCGGAAAAUUUGCCAGCGGUGAGUGGUUUCUAAUGACGAUCCGACUGACCGGAAAGUAUUGGGAGAUGGGGAAGGUGACCGGAAAGAAACACGGUCACCGGAAGGUUUCCCGGAGUUGAUGACACGGAAAACAGGAAAGAAUUAGGUUUUCUUCCUUGGCUCUGAUACCAUGUUGAGAGAGAGAGAGAGAAAGGAGAAAAACCUAAUUCACAUUCAUUGUAAUCUCUACUUACAAUUGAGAGAUAUAUAUAUACAAGGCUAGGAGUCCUAACUACCAUACAUGUGACCUAUAUUAACAAGGAAAGAUAGUAUACUAUACAUACAUUAUAUUCAACACAACUCUUUGACUUUCCAAAAAUAUACCUGUAUAUUUUCUGACUAGUGGGAUUUUAUAUAUUUCUUGCUAUAUUGUAUAACAUGAUAGAUAAUAUUGGCUUAUAUUGUUAUAGAGACAAUCCUUGACGUAGACAGAUUUUUGGCUUACAACUUUUUGUCCUUGAAUUAUUUCAUUUAUCCUGUUGUUUACUUUUGCAUGUUUGAUUUUCAAGUACUGUUGUCUGUUAGUAACUUUCAUAAACAAUUGCAAACUUAAUUAAACAAUUUGGUACAAUGAGUACAUGUUUGGUUCCUUACUGUUCAAAUGCUGAAUUAUUUCCUUUUGGAUUUGGAGUAUACUAUCAUUUCUAUUUAUUCUCUAAGGAUUAGCUCUAUUUUAUGAUUUUCUCUAUUUGGAAAUCACAUGUUUUGCUUGUUUGUCUACUGGUUUAGUGAAAGCAUCGAGUACUUAGACUUUGUGCUCACCUUAAUUAAACAGUUUGACUUAAACCUCAUCAAACUCAAUUGGCCAGUGAUGGCCACAAACUUCAUCUUUGUAACCAAUUUGAUCGUGCUUGAUUAUAUUUAUUGAAAGUUAUAUGAGAUGAUUUGGACGGUUAACCAAAAUGCCUUUUACACAGAACCUUUUCUCUACCAGAAAAGGUGAUUGACAGCUUUGAGGUAUGCUUAUUUUCAGUUCCUGUUGUCAACUGUACAAAAUCUAGGAAGAAACUCAAGCAUUUAAGAAGGAAAUAUUUUCUCAUGAACAACCAUGGGCAUUUAGAAACCAAGUUUUACCAUCUAAAUCAUUACCCUUUAUAAUCAAGGAUAUAUUGGUGCUUGCAGAGGAAGGUAUGUUUGCCUGCCUGGAAAAGUCAUACCUGAGGAUUUUCUGUUCAUUUAGGAAUUCCUACUCCAAGAUUAGUGUAGAAAGGUAUUUGUGUUCGAUAUAACAUGGUUUUAAUUUGAUAAGUUUGUAAUGGUACAGAGGUUGUACUAUAGCAGUGGAUGAUAGGAGGAUAGUAAGUCCUAUGCAGCUCUUAAUUUGAGUUUAUAGGCAACGUUAUAUGAGUUCCUUAGUAAGCUAUAAUUUUUUUUCUCAUAUAAAUUUUAAGAAAUCUCCAUAAGACAUUAGUUUCUGGAAAUUUCUACUUCUGAGUUUGGGGAUUUAGUAAAAUGUGCACCAUCUUUUACUGACUAGAAGGUAAAAAACCACCUAUUUGUUCCUUCCAAUUGUCCUUAUUGAGUAAGAUCUCCAACUUUGGGUUUUCCUGAUAAUGGUUAGCAUUAAUUACACAAGGCCAGACCCAUUCUUCAAAGUAGUUGAGCCAGGGUCUUCCAGUAUUUUGUUCUUUUGAUCCAUAACUUUUACCUGCCAGCUGCAGUAGUAUUCAUAUGGAAAACUUUUCUUUUAUUCGGUAUGAAACAGAUGAUGUGUUUCAAAGUAAAAAUACACUUUUUGGUCAAUAUUCUUCCUUGUAAUUUAACAGUUUUUGAAGAGAAAACUCAUGCUAUCCCUUUUAUGAUAUAUUUCUCACUAUCCAAAUGCCUUUUCAGAACCAUCACAGGAUAGGUUUCUCUGUUUUUUCCUCCCUUAUUUUUGAUACCUCCUCUAAGUUUUCUGCCUUUGAUAGCAAUGUCAGAAUUGCUUAAAUCUUACACAGAAGGAAACUGUACUUUGCAUGAAAUAUAAAACUUUUCUGUGGGAAAAGAUGAUUAGAAUUGUUGUGUUACAAUAUAGCAUAGGGAAUAAGCAGAGGAUAAGAAAAGGUUGCAUAGAAUAGAAUGGGUUUUGGCUUCUGUAAAAUAGAAAGCCUCAGCAUAAUCUCAUCUGUGAACUUGCAGAAUAAAACAAGGGGGUAGAGUGGUCCUUAGGAACUCCCAUUUGAGGUGUGAGGACGCAGGGAGCAUAAAGCUUGAUCCCUCUAAGCGGUCUUCAUAAAGCAUUUUCAUCUGAAUUUAAACCAACUAGUUUUGUGGACAGUCAGUCCCUCAAACCAUAUGAAUCUCCAUGAGGGGAGGGUUCGUUGAUGGUGCUAUUUCUAGUUAUUAAUACCCUUCAAAAGUUAAAUUUUCUAGUAUGUUAGUGAAUAAGGAGAUCGAGAUGCCUUGGCCACUAGUCAUUAGAUCACAUUAUUUGUUUCCCCUUAUGAAGCAAACCCACAAGGUUUCAGUUGAGACUUGGGUUUUAGAUGCAAUACAUCACAUAACUUUUGCUAUGAAUGGUUUGGCAAUAAUCAUUCAUUUUGUUUGGUUCUUGUGUGAGAUUUGUUUGGUAAUGUAUCAAUCACUCCACUCUUAAGUGAAAAUUAAAUCCCAAAAAGUUUGAAAUCAAAUAAACAAAGAUGAAAGAUUGUAAUCAAUGAACCAUCUGUUUGAGUACCGAUUUGAGUGUCAAUAUCGCUAAAGACAUCUUGUAAUCUGUCUGCUUUUUGCAUGACUACUGAAGUGUGGUUUUUCUGGCUACUAGUGAGGGUAUGGAGCAGAACUGAAAGUAUAGUGGUAAUAAUAAUCAUUAAUAGAAGGAAUUAGGGAUUGAUGCAUAUAGAUGUUGCCAUUUAUUCGUUAGACGGAAACCCUGCAGAAAAAUCUUGAAAUUCGCUCCAUCCAUAACCUCCCAAGCCAACAAAACCAGCAGCAUUGACCUGAAAAUUCUCCAGACCCAUUAGCGUAUUGUCUGCAUCACCACCCAUAUACGCAUAUCCUUCCAUUGUUGGUGUCGCCAUGUUGUGAUCAGUAUAACCUGCCAUAGCCUUUGACCCCAUACUUUGAUUGAGAUACAUCCCCCUCGCCCACCUAUCUUGGUCUUCCAUGGCAUAAAAGGAAGGCAACAUGUGCUGGUUGUCAUUGAUUCGAUAAUGCAUUGGAUGUAUGCUAUGAUCAUCAUCUUUCAUGAAAUUGGAAUGUUGUUGGUUCUGGUUUUGGUGGUUACUUGGGGGCCAAAGUUCUGCAUGUUUCCCACGUCUCACCAACUUGUUGAUUAAAGUGGCAGCAUCCACAUUUCCUGUCACUGUCACCUUCUGUUGUUCUGCAUCUAUGCUUACCGAGUAAACUCCUGAACCAAAAACCCAAAGAAAGGUAAGAAACCCAAGUUCAAACCAAAAAGCUAGGGAAUUAGGCAAAUGGCUCUGAGGAAGAAGUUGUGCAAAACUCUAAAUAAUGGGAGAGUGAGCAGAACCUCCAAACAAAAAGCCUAGAGAAAUAGAAUGGCCUACAAAUAUAUGAGCUUGAAAAAGGAAAUAAUGAGGGUAUUAUCAAAAUCAGGACCUUCAAUUCUGCUAAGGAGUUUCUUCACUUUCUGCUUGCAUCCAUUACAGUUAACGUGUACCUUGAGAACACACGUCUGUGCAAGAAAAAGAAGCAUGCGAAAGAAGGAAAAACACUCGAAAGGUAAAAAUGCAUACAAAUGUUGGGAAAAAUAGAGACAAGAAAGAGAAGAAAAAACAAAAUAAAAAGAAAAGGGAAAGGAGGGAGGAAGCAAUGGAGAGUCGGAGACCUGUAUUUUUAGGAGCUGGAACCCACUUGUUGACAUUUUGAAUUUGGACUGAUGCUUUGUGCUUGUAAGAAGCUACUUCAGUGGCUCCUUGUGUGCAUCUUCAAGACAAAGUGAAGCAAUGGAUAAAUAGUGGAAAGAAUAGUGUGAUUUUGACUGGGUUUCCACAGCCAUAUAAUUAUGUUGAUGCUCCUUAGCCAUACACUACAUCAGUAAGCACACCAUUUUUUCAACCUGACAAUCACCACCACUACUUCCUUGUGAUGGUCCACUAUUUCAGUGAUAUAUUCUUCUUCAUUCGCGGUAUCUCGAUUUUCCAGAAUUGCCCCUCAUUGUUUUAAUAGUUUUUUUUUUUUUUUAAUAUGUGCAUAAAUAUUACUUUUUCUUUGGAUCGAAGCUUACCAUAUUUGUGGAAAUUUUGAUCCCCUCAAUUAGAGAUUUUGAAAGGUGAAUUUCAUUUUUAAUUAAAAAUUUGUUGUAAUUUAGCAAUGGUACAACUUGAAGUGAUUAUAAUAACAACAUUUUUAUACAUGACACUUUGAUCUAAAACAUUUUUACAAAUAAUUUGUCCAAUGUUUUAGUUAUAACCUGAAAUAUACUAUUGGUAGUAUUGUUGAUAGCUUGUUAUACAACAUUCUAUAAUUGUUUUUUAAAAUUAAUUUUUAAUAUAUAUAUAUAUAUAUAAUUUUAAUAACUUUCUCCCUUAUUUAAUAUAUAAAAUAUUAUAAACACUCCUUUAUACAAAUAAACACAUUUUACAGAGUCAAAUGAACUCCUAUACCAAGGUUGAGAAUCAGCUUUGAUACCAUUUUAUAAUGAUUUACAUCUAAUCGUAUAAAUAUUAUUCACUUUAAGUCAACAGGGUCUUUCACGACUUUAAAACGAGUGUACACGGUUAAGAAAAACUUGUACAUAUAGAUAGUCCUAAUAACUUUCUCCCGAUAUGUUGAAUAUCAUAAAAAACCUUCCUCCAAAGCUUCUCUUAUUUUCCCUACAAGAAAUCCAGUUCACAUGAAGUGAAAGAACCCUCCACAAAGCUUCUCUUGUUUUCCGUUAAAAAAAUCUAGCUCUGUAAUACGAGUUAAUGUUCUCCCAUGCUUUUGUCUUUAUUUUUUGAGAUCAACUUUUAUCAUCUUAUUUCAAACAAGGGUAAAGUGAAAUCUAUAUUGAUACCACAUAUUUAUUUUUUGAUUUGUGUAAUUUUUUUUAUUUGGUUUUAUAGAUAGAAGAUAUUUGUCUUAACACAAGAUUUUCCUUUAAAAAAAUUGGUUUAGAACUUGGAAUGAAACUAAAUUGCUCAUGGCUUAAGAUAUUUCUUAUUUCUUUCCUAAUUGUUUGGAUAUGAUAUUUGUGAUUUUGGGUGUAUUAUUAAGACCAGUUUUAAUUUCCAUUAAAAAAUAUUUGUUUUGGGUCUAUUAUUGGAACCAGUUUGGAAUCUCAUUAAAAAAGAUACUUGACUUGGGUAUAUUGGUGAGAUAAAUUUGGAAUCUCAGAAAAAAAAAAUAUUUGUUAUUUUUUUUUCCUAGUUGUUUGGUAUAGUAAACAAAGAUGUGAUAUUAUUGUGGGCUAUGAUGGUGUUCGAUUUUUCAUUGUAGAUAUUGGAAAUCCUCUUAGAGUAUAUUUUCUACAAAAAUCUUAGUCUCUUAAAAGCUAAAAUCAAUUAUAAAAUUUUUUAAAACGUACAAGAAUUAUAAAAACUUAAUGAAAUAUAAUCACGGUUGUAAAUGCUUAAUAAACAAUGUUGAGUGAAUGACUACCACAUGUAUUAUUAAGAGAAUAAAAGCUUUCAUUUACUCAUCUUAAAUAAGGGUAUUAAAUGAAAGCAAUUUAAAGCCGACAUUUUGGAAUGAAAAAGAAUCCAUCCCAAGAAAAGAAGCCUUCGGAAGUUCUUUAUUUCAUUCUUUCUUCCUAUUCUUUCUUUCUUUCUUUCAUUCUCUUAAUUCUCUUUUAUAGCUUAUAUUUUGUUCAUUCACGUUUUAUAACAAUAACUGAAUUAUCUAAUUUUUGUCAUUUAUGAUUUCGUUUUUCCUUUGUAUGGCCUUUCUUUAAAUGUUUUUUUUUUACAUACUUUUUUCUUAUAUAUAUAUAUAUAUAUAUAUAUAUAUAUAUAUAUAUAUAUAUAUAUAUAUAUAUGUUUUUUUCCUCAUUCAAUGCAUUGGGUGGAUAUUGCUAGUAAAUUGGUAUAACAUGUUAGAUGUCAAUAAGGACAAAAAGGUUUCUCUAAAAUUAUUGCUUUUGUUACUGGAUAUAAUUAUGACCAAGAUGAAUCACUUUUAACAUACAAACACACUAAUAUUAAAAUUCAUUACGAUAAGACCCAAUUUAGAAAAUUUUGAAUUUUUUUACAAAAUUAACAACUGUGGAUUAUCUUGCUAUAUCCCUAACUUUACAAAUACUACGAAUAUGCUUAUUUAUGAUAUAUAAUGUUUUCAAUUAAUUAUAAUUAUUAUUAAUUGGUUUAUAUCUUUGUUAUAACAAUUACCUUGGCUGUAAUAUUGUGAAAUAGAGAUAUUUGAAAGUUAUAAAAGGAAGGUUUACUUACUUUCAUUUAUAGUUAUCUUCACAAAGGAGGGGAGAUUAUAACUAGCAAAAAUAAAGUCAAAUACAAUACAAGGAUGGACAAAGAAAAGCCAUGCAUGGUUCAAAGGAUGUCAUAUAAUGAUUUUGUUUCGAAGUAUGUGAAUGGUUAAAGAUUAAUUUAGAUGAAUACACAUUUCAUUACACCGUUAAGUUUGAUCAUCUACAUUUUAAUAGUUGGAUGAUGAUGAUGAUGAUGAGGAUAUGCAUAUAAUGUUAUCCCAUAAUUAUGGUUAUGUUUGCAUUUAUGUACUAUAAUGGAUUCGUUGAGUAGAAGUUCAAUGAGGUACAAUCAAUGUGCAAAUUAGGAAUUAGUAAUUCAUAAAUGCAUUAUUAAUUGUCAUUGAUUCCAUGAUACAAGCAACAUUUUUUAAUAUUUUUAGUGGGUUAAAAAUGUAGUUAUAAGAGUAGAGCCGACACACAUUUCAACAACAUCAUGUGAAGCCAACAAUGACUCCAACAUAGGAAUUUCUCAAGGUUUCAUAUCAAGAUGAGCAAAGAUAGAAGUUGAGCUAUUCGAUUUAAACCAUUAUCCUCAACCUAUUAUUAGGAGUGAACAUAGUUUUUCUAAUACAUAUGGAUUUAUAAAUACAUUAUAUAUGAUCUGAUCAUUAGUUGAGGGAUUUUAGUACAAGUUCAAAAAGAAUUUUCCAAAUCGAAUAUCUAUGAGUUAUUCAAUGAAUGGGUGCCCUUAGAGAAUGAUCGUUCAUUUAGUAAGUGCAAAAAAAAAAAAAAAAUGUAGGUUCUUACCUUAAACAAUGUGCACAAUCAUUAUACUAAUAUUAAAUGUUCAACUUAACCUUUAGUGCAAUCAAGGAAACUGCUCUUGUGAUAAGGUAACUCAUAAAGUCAAUUUCAAAGUAUUUGUCACAUCAAAUUUACAAAGACUUCUUGAAGCGGUAUAAUAUUCCAUUAACUUACAAGCAAACUUGGAAAUAUAAAUAAAUGCUAAACAUGAUGGACAUUUUUUGCAAUUGUACAUUGCUUCUUAUUUUUAGUUCAAGGGCUCUUAAUGGGUUGUUGACCUAUUAUUGUAAUUAACUUAACCUAUUUGAGUGAACCAUACAAAGGUUAUUUUAUUCUCUAUGACAACAUAUGAUACUGAUGAUGACAUGGUCCUACUUACAUUCGGGGUCAUCAAUUUAGAAAACUAUAAGGAUUAACUAUGAUUUUUGUAAAAAUUAAAGAACUUACUUUAUGGAAAAAAAAAAAGGUACUCGUGAUGUCUUAUAAGCAUCAAACAAUUCAUUUGUAGUGUUUAUGAACUUUUUAGAGUUGAAAAAUCAUACAUAUUGUUAUAAUAAUGUAAAGAAAUAUUUUAGGAAAUCCCAGGAUGAUAGAAAGAAACCUCACAAUUGUCAAUUUUAUACAAAAAUUUAAAAUUAUAUGAAUUAAGUGUUGUCAUAAUGUGUUAUUUUUGUGGUAAGUGUAAUCAUUUUCUAUCAUAUCUAUGCUUUUUUAGAAAAUAAAUAGUACUAUACAUGCCUAUAUAUAUCCCAUUUGACCUUUUUGUAUAAACACAUCAAGUCACCAUUUUUGCAAGAGAGAAUUCUAGAGAUUUGUCCUAUUCUAACAUAGUCAAAAAUUGAUUAAAAGGGUAAUGAGAAAAUUGAAUAAAUUUAAUUGAAAGGAGUAACAACCUUAAAGAUGCCUUUUUAGACCACAUUGGCAGCCAAUACAUCAUAAAUGUGUAGUAGCAUCCACAACUCAAUACAUUUAACCAAAUAUUGUGAAUUCAUAAGUAUUUGAUUUAACGUAGUUGACUAUGACAUUGACCAUGCUAAGAACAUAUUAGGAAACCCCAUAACAAGUCUAAAAAUUCAAAACGGUAUAAAUCAGGUAUUAUCAUAAUGUAUCGUAAUGUUAACAUAUUUAUGUUGUUAUCACAGUGCAAUUGUCUCAUAUUUAUUUAUUUAUUUGAGAAAAUAGAUAAUCUUGAAGUAUGUAUAUUUAUAUCCCAUUGAUCUUUUUAUAAAUUAAGUUAGACCUGUUAGUUGGUCAAGAUGAAUACUAGGGAGAGUGGUUCAAUAAGUAGCAUAUGAUCUUGGGUUCUAAUACCCUGAAUUUACCUUAUUAAUUAUUACGAGAUAAUCAAUACCCUGAUAUUUGAGUUAAUGGAAUGUAUGGACCUUUCCUUCAUGGCACAUGGUCCACUUGCUAGUAAGUUUCCUAUUUACAAAAUACAAAACCUUUGGUUGUUUAGAAGAAAAAUAAUAUUAUAAACAUUAGAAAAUUCAUGGAAAAAUAUAAUCUAAAACAACAUCAUUUUAUAUCAAUAUCUUAUGGAGGGUGGGUGAUUCCUUCAAGGCUUUAACAAUAUUUGUCUUCAUGUGGGGUCACAUGCACGCUCUCCAACAAUAUUUGUCUUCACGAUUCAAUUAUUGAUAUUUUCAAAUUAUUUGUCCUAUUAUCAACUCAAUGACCUUUUCUUAGGCAAUUAUAUUAAAUAAUAACUCUUUUCUUUUAAUUUUUUGUGUUUUAUUUUAGAGUUUUCUAUUUUACUUAUUUUUAGGUUUCUUUUGACAGUGAUUUUGAUAAAAUUACUUUUAAUUUAUAAUAUUUUUUUAAUAUUUUGAUAAUUUUUUUAUAAACCCUUAGUUUACCAUUGAAUAUGAAUUUUAAAAAAUAUUUUUUAUAAUGUGUGAUAUAAUAAAAGAUAAUUUAGAAAAACAAUUGUCAAUACAAAUUCAAAAUUAAUUCCAAUCAUUGUUUAAAUUUUAAACAUCACAUUUAAUUUUAUUGGAAACAUACAAAUUUUUAGUAAAUUAAAUUAUUAGUAAAUUGGUUUUCAAAUUCGUGAGUUUCUCAUUUAACAAAAUUUGAGUUUGAUAAAUGAUGAGUCACAUAUAAUUGACAUAUAGCAUAUAUUUAAAAAGUGGCAUGUACUAAAAUUUAAAAGACUAUAAAAUUUGGUUUUACAAAUAAGUCAAAAUUUUUAGUUAAAGUCGAAAGAGAAAUAAAAAUAAAUUAAAUGCAAAUAAGACAAGUUGUAAAAUUUAAGGAACAAAAUUCUUUAAAUUAAACAACUAAAUCUUAUCCAAUUUCAAAAUUUAAUUUUCUAACUUCACCUAUAAAAGAAGGGAUGGUUUCCUUAAGUUCAAAUCAGUAAAAUGACUUCAAAUAAGAAAAAAAGACUUGACUUUAUAAAGAAGAAAAAAAUUCAUAAAAUCUUUUUAUAAGUUUAAAAAAUCAUUCUGAAAUAAAACUAAUUUACCCGACUUUCAAAAUAAAUAUAACACUUCUAUCCUCUAUUUUUAGAUUCCGUAAGAAAAAAUCAUAGAUUUUUUUUUUUGUGUAAAAAUUAUUAACAAAGAUUAUAUCCCUAAAAUUAUUAAUUUUAAUAAAAAAAAUUUUGUUUUGCAUUUUUCCAUUGUUUUGCUUAUUUUGCAAGAUUUACACGAAAUUUAUGCAUAUAUUUAUAAAGAAAAUGCUUGCAAUUUUAUUAAAAUCCUUUACAUCAAGAUAAUGUUUACUUUUGGAUAAAUGAAUGUUUUCCAAAAGACUUUGACUACUUAGAGAAAAAUGGUCUUUAAAUCUUAUCUCUAACAUCUAAUAAACUACCUAUUUAAAAGUUGAGGAAUGUCUUCAAAUAAGAUGAUUUCAAUUGUUUGAUAAGAUAAAAAAUUAUUUGCUAUACUCGUUUAUCAAGAAGAAGAUGAAGGGAUCAACAAUAGAUUAAGAUAUAUUUUAAUUUAAUCUAUUGCUUAGAAAUCAUCUUAUUUCAAAUAAGAUGAUUUCAAUUGUUUGGCAAAAUACAAAGCUUCUUUAUCAAGAAAAAGAUUAAAGGAUUAAGACUUAUUUUAAUUUAAUAGAUUGCAUUGAAUGUUAAGAGAUAAAGUCUUUCCUAAAUGGACUGUUGAUUGAAUAUUAACCGAUAAGACAACUUUAUCCUUUACCCAGUGCGGAAAAAUUUGGAUAUGAAUGUGUGACAAUAAUGUAAUUGGAAAGUUUGAGGACAGAUCCGUCAUUUAAGUAAAAUCAUGACUCCUUUAUGGGGGCGUCUGCGUAUAAAUAUUAAAUAUCUGGGUCUCCGGCCUUGCAGGGUCAGAGACUCGGUGGGAUAUUGGGUUUUGAGGUUGAGGAUGAAGGCAUUGCCAUGGCCGCUGCUCUGCUUCUCUCAUAUGGUCAUUGCGGGGAUACUGUGCCUGGCGGCUGCGUCGGAGCUGGGUCCGGAAGAGUGGGCGGAGGGGUUGGGGCUGGAGACAGGAGGGCUGAGCAGAGAGAGCUUCCCGAAGGGGUUCUUGUUCGGAACGGCGUCGUCGGCGUACCAGGUGGAGGGAAUGACCGAUAAGGCGGGCAGAGGGCCAUGCAUUUGGGACCCUUAUGUCAAAAUACCUGGUCAGAUUCUAUUCUCACUUUGCAUUGGAUCCUUGCCUUUCUUCUUACUUCUUCUAUGUGUCUCUGAUGGAUGAGAGUAAAAAUGGUGGUACAGGGAACAUUGCUGAAAACGGAACCGCUGACGUGGCGGUGGACCAGUACCAUCGGUACAAGGUAUGGUCUAUCUGAUUUGUGAUUGGCCCCUACGCAAGUAGACUAGAUGGGUGACUGACGAUAUCAUAUUCUACUAGUAGUGGUUUGAUACAAGUUUCUCAGUAUAGCGGAAUUGGUAUUACCGACAGUCUGAAUGGCAUUGUUGGUAAUUUUUUUGAAAAUCAGGCGCAAUUAUCUUGACUAUUCAAUCAUCUUAAAUAAGGGAAUAUUGGAAACGUAAAGCUUUCUAGUUUCCAGGAUAAGGGGGUGAAUUAUGCACAUGAAGCUUUCUACUUUAUUCUAGAGUGUGAAGUGUUCUAGGCAUAUGAGGGUGUGACGACAGACAACCACACUCAACUUCCCCCCUUGACCAUUGAAAUUAUAACAAAAUUAAUUGAUUUUUGGAUCAUUUUUUAUUGCCCAAUGAAUUCAGCCGCAUGGCGAUAUAUCUAAUGUAAUGCAGGUAGCUGGAGUAGGUUUGGAUUUAACUUCCACUCUACCCAUUUGUAGACUAUGAUUUACAUGAGUUUUUCUCACAAAAUUCAUCAAAUGGUUGGCCUCUGUAGCUAAUAAUUGUGAUACUAAUCCCCAAGGUUCAUAUUUGAUCUACUCAUCUUCUGGUUAAUGUCCAUUUCUUACUGAAAUGAAACUGGGCAUGGUGAUCCAUGAAAUGGGGUAGAGGUAGUAGCUACUGUCAGAAUUAGGCUCCUUAACAACAAGUCAUAUACUCUGUUCAACCCCCAUGAAUUGGGUUAUGAAUAUGACCAAAUCACAACAUCUUACAGCAAUAAAAUCAUCAUGAUAUUGAGCAUUGGUUGAUAUAUCAUAACAGUACCAUUCACUAGUUGGCCUAUUCCAUUUAGUAUUUUUAUUGUUGUUACCUGUUUGCAGGAAGAUCUGGACAUAAUGAAAAUUUUGAAUUUUGAUGCAUACCGAUUUUCCAUCUCCUGGUCAAGGAUUUUCCCUGGUAUGUACAAUCUUUGCCAGUGGCCUUCUGUAAACAUCAUUGGUCGAUGCUAUUUUUUGAAUGAAGUUAUGAUGUUUUGUAUGAACCCUUGGUUUUCAUGCAGAGGGAACUGGGAAAGUAAACUGGGAGGGAGUUGCCUAUUACAACAGGCUGAUUAACUACAUGCUCAAAAAAGGUAGUCAUAAUAAUGGAAAUAAAGGGCGAGUUUCAUGUUUUCCCCACUAGAAAAACAUGAUAAUGGUUUUAGUACUGGUUUCAAUCUUGAUUCAAGAAAUCAUCUAUCAGGGAAAAAAUUUGGAUGGCUUGGGGUCACAAACCAGCCCUUCAAAUUUUAGCACCUUAUGAUAUUACUACAGACUCUGUCCCUUGACACAUUUUUUAAAUUAAUGAGAACAAAUAUGCCAUUUCUGUUGCUAAUCAGUCAAAAGUAAUGUGAUGCAAUUGUUACUGUAUGACUUGUAGGGAUUAUCCCAUAUGCAAAUUUAUAUCACUAUGAUCUUCCUCUAGUGCUCCAGGAGAAAUACAACGGUUUGCUCAGCCGCAGAAUAGUGUAAGUAAAGCAAUAACGCUAUCUCUUAAAGCAAUUUCUUGUUUGCUUUUGUUCUUUAUUUUUGGCAUAGUCUUGGUCUGACUGCAUUUAGGUGUUGGUAGAGUAUCCCAUAGAACGUGCGGUUGCCCAUCAUUUAGUGGAAAAUUGUUCUUAAAACACUGUUGGGGGAUCACUUUUGUUGUAUUUUCAUAUGAAUUAAAUCGAGUCACAGAGUAGAACCGGGCUGGUCAUAUGUGUGCAGAGAAAUAAUUCUAGUAGUUGUUCAAACAUGAGUUCUAAUACUCCAAUCUUGCAGAGAAGACUUUGCCAAUUAUGCGGAGUUCUGCUUCAAGACAUUUGGUGAUAGGGUUAAGCAUUGGACAACAUUUAAUGAACCAAGAGUGAUAGCAGCUUUAGGAUUUGACAAUGGCAUCAAUCCUCCUUCAAGGUGUUCUAAGGCAUUUGGAAAUUGUACUGCUGGAAACUCAUCAACCGAGCCUUAUAUUGCAGCCCAUAACAUGCUUUUAUCUCAUGCGGCAGCCGCUCAGAGAUACCGUGAGAAAUAUCAAGUACAUUCUACUUCUUUUUAUUUUUUGUUUUUUAACUUUUGGUUUGAGCUUAAACCAUCUGGAUUUCUCAUCUAUGCAAAAUUUUAUGAAUUUUUAGGAAAAACAGAAGGGGAAGAUUGGAAUUCUCUUGGACACCGUCUGGUAUGAACCUCUUACCAGAUCGAAGGAUGACCAGCAAGCAGCUCAGAGAGCCAUAGAUUUUCACCUUGGAUGGUAAAUAGCAGAACAUCUAUUUAAACUAAGACUAUAAAAAUGAAUAGAUUUACUUUUGAGAAUUCAUUUGCUUGCAAUUAUUUUGCAGGUUCCUACAUCCCAUUAUAUGGGGUAAAUAUCCGAAAAAUAUGCAAGAUAUUGUUGGAGAGAGGCUUCCCAAAUUCAGUGAAGAAGAGAUUAAGUUGGUAAAAGGGUCAGUGGAUUUUGUGGGAAUCAACCAGUAUACUUCUUUCUACAUGUUCGAUCCACAUAAGCCUAAGCCUAAGGUUACAGGCUACCAGGAAGAGUGGAAUGCUGGAUUUGCUUGUAAGAUCUUCUCAUGCCUCCUGCAAAUAUUUCCUCUGUUUAUUGCUUCAUCAACUGAUUCACUUCUUCAUUUUGUUCUCAUUUCCAUUUGGUGCCUGAAAUUUGCAGAUGACCGAAACGGGGUGCCAAUUGGUCCAAGGGUAAUGCUUAUAUGAUCUAUAACUAUCUGUUAAUUCCUACUUAUAUCUACAUUCCUUAUGACCAACUGUAUGUUUUCAGGCAAACUCUUUUUGGCUUUACAUUGUACCAUGGGGUAUGUACAAGACUGUGACCUACGUGAAGGAGCAGUAUGGAAACCCACCUAUAAUCAUCUCAGAAAACGGUACAGGCUGAAAGUCCUCCUCCCUUAAUUUCUUCCCCUCCUCUCUUUUCCUGGAUUCAAUCAAAACUCAUAGUCUUAAGUGGGGUGGUGGCAGGCAUGGACGAUCCAGGGAACGUGACACUCCCCAUGGCAUUGCACGACACCACAAGAGUGAAGUACUUCCAAGACUAUUUGAUAGAAUUAAAGAAGGGCAUAGAUGAAGGAGCAAACGUACAUGGGUACUUCGCAUGGUCAAUAGUGGACAACUUCGAAUGGAAGUCAGGAUACACAUCUAGGUUUGGCAUGGUUUUCAUUGACUACAAGAACCAGCUCAAGAGGCACCCCAAGAUGUCUGCAUUUUGGUUCAAGAAAUUACUCCAAAGAAAGAAGCAGCAGUAGGAGCAUGCAUGGUGUGAAGGUCUUGUUUUUGUUAAAGUGUUCCAGUAGUACUAGUAAUUAAGGUCAAUAAUGAGAGGUAGUGAAACUUCAUUUCAGUUCAACCCUGUAUUGUUUGUGCUGAGUGAUUGAUCAUGCACAACCGGUUUCUAUACAGGAAAAUAAAAAGACAAAUCUAAACUUAUUUGAUCAAGACUGCAGUCAGUGACUUAAAUAAAAUUAGGCAUAUUCAGCCCAAUGGUGCCUUUCUUCAAUUUGAACAACUUUUGGAAAGAUCAAAAGUUGGGAUUGGUGAUUCUCUUGUUAAGGCUUUUGUUUAAAGUAGGCCAAAUGGUGGGGAAAAGAGAUUUAAUUUUAUAGUGAUUAGAUGCCCAAAAACGUGGCCCAAGAGGAUUGUAAUUAACAAAAAUUUGCCUAAGGGUAAAUUAUGAGGAGAAAUUUGAUUUAUUAGUUAAAAAUUAUGCACAAAUGUGAGAUAAUGUUGCUAAUAAAUAACAAAGUGGAGGUAUCCUUUAAUGAAUUUUGGAUUAAAUCGUAAAAAAAGGAGUGACUUGGCUUAUGUACUGUGUUGGGCUUGCAUGGGCCGACACGACAUGACACGAUAUUUAGUGGACAGCGUUGGUCCGACACGACCCAUUUGACACCUCUAACUAUAUAUAUAUAUAUAUAUAUUUAAAGAAUUUGACUAUUACUAUCUAGUAACCACACAUAUACAUGUCAUUUGUACAUUCUGUACAAUUUUUUUAGUUACUUUUAUUCUUAUUCUUGAGUAUAAUGUAAUAACAUUGAUCAUUUAUAUUCCAUGAAAAAAUGAGGGAAAUGUAUGGAUCCAACUUUGUCCCAAACCAAAUGAAUGGAACCAAACCAAAUUAACUAAUGUUAAAUCACCUAGUAUGGGUCAAAAAAUAAAUGGACUUUAAUCCAUUGAAACCAACCUAAAUUCUUUAUUUAUAGGAGUAUAACUACAAACAAAGCAACCCUCCAAUUAUUUUAAGACUGUGAUAAAUGAAAAACAAGAAGUGAACAAUUAUAUUUAGUAAUAUUGUUUAUUGCUUAAGAUUUGAAUAAUACUAACUUUUUCAUAUUAAGUUUCAAAAUUUUAAUUUAGGUUUUGAAACAUAUAGAUGCAUCAUAAUGUGUAACAUAUAGAUAGAUUCAACAAAUUAUUUGACUAGUAUCAAUUUUAUGACAUAUUUUAAAAGCUCCAAUGUGGUUUUUCAAUUGGUUGAUGUAUGAAACCAAAUCAAGGACUAUGAGUAUAUAUGUUGUUUGUUAGAGGAAGUUAUCAAAAAGGCUAUAUGCUACAUGUGAGUCAAAUAAAAACAAAUAAACAAUAAGAGUUUUGAUAUGGGGUUAAAUGAAUGCAAUUCUAAGAGUUAAAAUAAAUGAAAAUCCCUAUAAUGUAUGCAAUUCUAUCAAAGAGGUUAGAGGAAGAAAAUGUUAUUCUAACAAAUGAUUAAAAACAAAUAUACAUUAUAGGGAUUUUAUUUAUAAUAAAAUUUAAUUUUUUAAGACAUGUGAGUCAAAUUUUCAUUAUAUGCAUACUUUAUAGGGAUUACCCAGACUACUCAUAAAAAUACCUAAACAUUAUAUCUCAUGUUAUAAUCUAUUCAAGAUUUCGUAUUAGUAGUACAACUACAACAAAAUCAAGUUAUAACCCAAAAUCAAGAUCAUAUUAAAUCAUCAAGAAAAAUAAACCCGAAACAUACGGGGUUCAUUGUGAUGUAGUGGAAUGGGGUUUUAGUCUCCCACAUUUAAACUUUUCUUCUUUAGAGAGAGAAAAAAAAACCCAUAUUUCAUUCAACAAUGACAUAUGAGUAGAAUCUCUAAUUUGUUUAGACUUGGGACCUCAACCUAUUUAUAUUAUUUUAUUAUUUUAUUUUAUUUUUGACCCAUCAUAAAAAAAAAAAAAUCAAAUCAAAUCAAGUGAUCUCUACACAUUAAAACCCACACUCGAUGAGAUGCCAACCCUAAUAAAUAAAUAAAAACUUAUCUUAUCACUUUAAUGGGCUAAUGGGCUAACAGAAAAAUAUAGCUAAUAAUUAACAAUUAGACAAUAUAUGUGGGUUCACUUGAAUAAUUUCCCAACAUACAUUUAUUAUUCAAUUAUGAUGAUGACAUUUUGAAUUAUUUUAUUUAAUUUAUAAUUAAUUAAUCAAUUUUUUGAAUUUUAUAUUAGUCUUAAAAGUUACAAGAUUUAUUAGAGAAUUUAAAACAUUAAUUAUGACUAUUAUUUUUCAUAGUCAUUUUAUAUAUUUUUUUAGUUUUAAUUUUUUUAAAAAGAAGUUAUUAAACUUAUUAAUAAAUUAAAUACAAGGUCUCACUUAAUUUGAAGUUCAUUUUCUCUAAUGACAAAAAUAGUAAAAAUAGUUAUUUACUUCACUUUGUUUUUAAAAAAUUAAUUCUAAAAAACAUCAACCAAAUAGCGGUAUAAAUUUUUAAAAAUAAUUUUGUUUUUAAAUCAUAUGCCUAAAUAGGUUUUUAUUAUUUUUUAAAAAAACUCUCAAGGAUUUUUUUAUAUGAAAAUAAAAAAUUAUUUCAAACUUUGUUUAAUUUACAUAAUUUGCAAGUAUGAAUUUUAACAUAUUUAUAUAUUUUUAGGAAAAUAAGAUAUUAUUUGAAAAAUGUUUUUAAAAACUGUUUUUGAGUAUAAUUUUUAAAAGUUAUUUUAUAAUAUUUUAUAGAAUAAAAAUAUAUUUGAGAAUUUGUUUUUCAUGUUUUCAAAUAUAUUUAAAAAUUAAAUUUUACAUGUACUAUUCUAUUUUUAACCAUUCUUCAUACGUGUAUAAUUAUUUUUUAAAACAAUUCUCGUUAAAAAAGUGAAAAUAACUCAAAAUAACUAAAAGAUGUUAUUUGAAAACACAAUAUUUUCCAUUUUAAAAAUAUAAAUCUAUUUUCUAUUUUUUGGUUAUCAAAUGUGUUUCUCUCUCUUUCUCUAUUUUUUUUUUUAAUUUUAAACAACGAAAAAACUAAUUUUGAAAUUCGUUACCCAAUAGAGAAUAAUACCUUUGAAUGUGGAUAUUGUGAUCUCUUUAUGUAACAAAAGAGCUUCCCUAAUAAUGGAACAUGGAGAUAAAGAACUAUUCUCUUUCGGGGGCAAAACACUAUGCUUAGAAUGAUCCAUAUUUAUUAGUUUUACUCAUAUCAAAUUAUUCGGAGAUAAGUUCUAGAGAAUCAACAACAGGACAUCUUACAUAUGUGCCAUGAGAGAGUUUGUGGAUGUCAUUUUGCUACGAGGAAGACGGAAACAAAAAUUCUAUUGGGUAAAUCAACUUGUGGUUUAACAAUUUAUUUAAAUCAUUAAAUACAUUAAGUAUGCUUAAUAAAAUAAUAAAAAUGACAUAAUAAUCCAUUAAUUAUUUUUUAAAAAAAUCACAAACAUCAUUUGCCUUGAUAACACUUUUUUUUUUCCUCUCAUGACUUUAUUACUUAAUAUCAACAAGGACACACAUAUCAAUUUAAUAGUUUAAAAAAAAAAUUGAUUUAACAAACAAUUAAUCUUAAUAAUUUAAAGUAAAAAAUUUUAAAAUAUUUUUAAGUUACAUACAAGUUUAAUCAAUGUAUUAUUAUAUAUCUUAACCAGCUUUUAGAUUUUCAUAUUUAUAGUAACUUCCACAAAAUUUUUCAUAUCAUGUAUUCCUUCGCCUUCCAAGGAUCAAUUAAUUAUCUUUUAAUAUUUGUAUUAAUACUGACAUUUUUUAUUUAUUUUUUUCAGUGAUAUAUUAUCUCAAGCCUUAAACCCCACUACAAGGAAAUCAACCAGGGGCCAUCCACACACGUAUCUAGACUUCUGGUCAAAGAUUCAGCUCUACCAUACAUAAAUAAACAAAUCAAAUAUAGCACUUAGUUGUUCAGGAUCCCAAUGGCAUAUCUUCAUUUGAUAUGAUCAUGGCAAUAAUGCAAGCGAAAUAUAAGAUUAAAUAUAGGGCAGUCGAUUAGUGGAACCACCUUUUUAGUAUUAUAAAUGUAUAGCUGCACCACUAGAACAGGCAUUGUCAAUUGCCUGCAAAGCAGUCCCCUUUAAUUAGCAGAAGCUUCUCCUCUAAAAGCCAGGCCCCCCCUCCCCACAUCACUUCAAACCCAAGGCCGGUGCUCCCUGUAAUCAUUCCCUUUCCAGUAUAUUAAUAGCUAAUUGUCAUUUUCUCAUCAUUGUCUUUUUGUACUUAGCGGCAAAGCGUGGCAGAAGAGACAUACACAUAAUGGCGAAGUAGAUAGUAUAUAAAUUUCAUCUUAGCGGCGGUGCGGAUUGGUAUAAUUAAGAUUGCAUAAAAUCUUUUAUUAAUGUAAGAAUAGAGAUUUUUGUGGUGCUGCCUGCUUAGAUGGGGGGCACAAUUGACGGGUAAAAAUUCGGAUAUGAUCGUGACAUAUCCAAAAUAUUAAUUAUGAGUGCUAUGUGGUUGGCCUUAUACCACCAUAUAAUAAUGUGGUUAUGACGUUGCUCCAUUGAAAUCAAAGCCAAAAGUUAAGGUAUACGAAGAGGGAAAAGCUCUGGUGUUUACAGCUAUUGGAGUCGAUCUCUAAAUAAUUGUUUAGCAUCAUGAAUUUGUGGAAAAUCGGCGUGAACUCAGGGUUGGGGGAUUUGGCGUGUACUGACAUUAGAGACUAUAAGUUUGGAUGGUUGCGCGAAGGAGGGUAUGGGGAGAAAUAUAAUCAAAUGCCUCUCAAGCUAGCCCAUGGGAGCUGUCUUCUUGGAUCCGUGGGGCCAAGCACUGAUCCAAGUCAAGUCCCGUGGGCUAGCUUUGAGGGUUGGGACUUUGAUGGAUGUUAACUUGAAUAAGACAUGGAAGAUCAAAUUUUAUAUGGGAUCCUGUGUGUGUGUGUGUGUGUGUGUGUGGCGCAAGAGAGAAUUUGAAAGAAAAUAUAAGGAAUUUUUUCUGAGGACGGCAAUGGGUCAAGUUCCAAAACGGCCAAGUUGGAAAAGGGUCACCCGUCCCAACCUCAUCCCAUUUGUUUAAAUCAAUACCUAACUCUGUUGAUAAUAAAUAAAUAAAUGGGAUAAGAUAGGGUGGGGUGAAUAUAAGAAUUCUCAUAGUUAUCUCAUCUCAUAUCUCUUAUUUUUCUUUUUAAAUAUUAAAUCAUAUUAAAAAUAAACAUAAUUUAUGACUAAAUAAAUAUUAUACAUAUUUAUAAUUUAUUUUUAUGAAAAAUAAUAUUAUAUAUAUAUAUAUACUCAAAAAGUUGAAAAUAAAAAAUCAAUUAAAUUAAUUUUUUAUUUAAUAUUAUACUUAAAUUUUUGCGAUGAGUAUUUUAAAAAGCCCACCCCAUUAUCAUCCCUAAUCUUCUCUUUGAUGAACUCAUACUUUAACUAACUUGUAGUAAGUCAAGAUGAUAAUUCUAUCUAUAGAAAUAGGAUUAGAUUAAGUUGAUAGUGAUAUUAUAUUGAAUCAAGUUAAAUCAAAUUUGAACAAUUUUUCUUAAUAUUGGCAAGCAUAUUGAUCAAACUAACCUUUUCAUAUUGGCCUACUCAAAUUACAUCCGGAACCAACACCAUCACCGAUACUAAUCACAACCCUCACCACAAAUCAACAAAGAAAUCGUUUUCAUGACCACUACAUUGUUGGAAAAGUGCUAGAUAGGGAGGAGGAAGGUUAAUAUGUGAGUGAAUCUACUAGAUUUUAUUAACAUACAUUUAGUUGUUUGAAAUAUCUUACAUUAUAUAAAUAAGACCUUCAUUUUUUUAAAAUUAGCGUGUUUGAGUCCAUUGAUUUCCUCCUAGUUUUUCAUGCAUUGUAUAAACACAACCCAUUAAUGCCAUAUAUUUUACUGACUCAAAAUGUAUUAAUGUUGUCUAGAUUUUUUAUGUCCAAAGUAUUUUCAUUUAUAAGGUCUCAAAUGUGUAAAUAGUUAUGAAAUAGCUUGAUUUUAAAUCCCUAUUAAAAUCUCUUAGUUACCAUCUUCGGUCUUUUCAAUACUCUUAAUCAAUUAAACCCCUUACACCGCCUUCAAUACUUCCUUAAUGCAAAAUCUUACUUAUCCUCCACCAACACACUAUGUCACUUAUCACAAUGCAUAUGAUUUGACUAAUUAAUCAUACUUUAAUGUCAAACUAUAAUUGUGAAGCAGGGAGAUGAGGUAAAUAAGAUAGGAGAAAAACAAGGUCUCAUAGCACUCAGUAAACUAGUUGGCCCUACCACUCGAUCACUAUAAAAUUCAAAAGAAACUCAUCCUUAGAGUCUUUCUCAAACCUAAUUGCAUCUCUCUUUUUGACUAAGAUAACUCUCGACACUAGAUACAAACAUAUUCCAUGACAAUUACGUAAUAUGCAUCGUGUUUGGACUUAUCAGCCAUUAAUUAAAUAUACAUUAUUAAAAAUCAGUCAAAUUUAGAAUUUUAAACAUAUAAGAACAUAUCAUGCAACUAGAGAAUUAACACCACACAUAUCACGUAAUUUCAUAAUGUUUUUUAAAACAACUCAAAAUAUUUGAAACCUAAUGACAUUAAGUAAUUUAAAUAUCUACAUCGUGAAGAUUUGCAAUCCAAAUUUGUGUUUUAAUGUUUAACAAAACAAGAAUCUUCCUCCAAAUAAAUGGCUAGGGAAUAAAGCAUGUAUUAUUUGACCAUUCAACUUAUAACCAUUAAAUCGUUAAUCCUUCACAAUCACAUGAUUAAUUUAAUCCAUUCUACUUAUCAGUCAUAUCUCAAUUAAAUCAACCUUUCAGAAAUUUAAAUCCACUAAAUAAUAAUUUAAAUUAUCAUUUAUAAUCAAUUUACUUUUUACAUAAAUUCCCAAAUUCAUAUAGCUUAAAAAUAACUAUCAAUAUAAUUUUGAAUAAAGAAAAUGCCCCAUCUAAUCAUUUUUGAACACGUGGACAUCCACGUUGGUUGAGGUAAAUAUUUAUUAAAAAUAUAUAAACACAGCUCAUAAUCACAGCCACAGUUGCACUUCUUAAGAUAACUAAAAAAAACCCAACAAGAAGCUAAAACUGUUGAAUUAUCUCAAAAACAGACUUGAACCUACCUAUGGCAUUAAAAAAAAAAAAGUAAUUAUUUUGGUCCAAGACUCUAUUAGAGGACCAUAUAAUGCCAUCAAGAGGAUUAGAAGAUAAAAACAAUAAAUAUAAUUGGAAAAUAAAUUUUUAUUUAGAUUAUCAUUGAUUCCCCAAAAAAAAAUUGAGAGAAAAAGCCAAGAAAAGAAAAAAGUAACGAGAAAAGAAUGGUGAAAAAAAGUGAAAGAAAAAUAAAAAAAUAACUAUGUAAGUCAAUAUAUUAUUUCUAGACAUUAUUUUAAACUCAUUUAAAUUUAACUUAACUUGUUUAUAUGAAGAUUAAAUAAUUUAAAAAUAGGAAAGUUUCUAAUUUAUUUUAAGUAUUUAUUUAUUUAUUUUAAUAUUUUUAAUAAUAGAAUCAAAUAUAUAAGAAAUUAAGUUUUGAAUAUUUUUUGCUUUUCCUUCCACAUUUUUCGGAAUCCAACCAUGACAUUGCUGAAAAUGUAUUCAUGGUACCGGAGGGAUAAUUUAUUUUGACUCCGACAAUGUUUCAAAAGCCAUGUCACUCAUUGGGAUGCCUUCUCCAGGUGGCAUACAUUUGAAAACCCAAAAUCCAUAUUAAAAAUCCUUCACAUUCUUAUACAUUUGAAUCAUUUCUAUAUAGCCUAGCAGAAUUCUUUAGUCUCUUAACAAGCAAAAAAAAAAAAAAAAAAAAGCAUAUUAAGAUACAAUAUGAGUUGUCUAGAAGACUGGCAUGGAUCAUUAGAAAAAUGGGAAUCAACCCAGCUGACAUACAUAUAUAUAGCUUUAGGCUGGAAAAAGCAUGGAGCCCCAUAUGAUAUGAUUAUAGCCAUACACUAGAACAUCCUCAUUAACUCAUCAUCUCACUUCAUUUUAUACUUAUUUAUGUAUAGAAGAAGCUAGGUAUUAGGUAGCCUAUUACAUGAUGGAACAUGCAUUGGGGUUGUCGUCGCUGAAGAGAGAGGUGAUUCUGUCCUCUGGGUCAUUAGGCACGGCUACAGCUUGCACAACAUUGCGAACGUAGCCAGCGGGUGCCCUCUUGUCAUAGGCUUGAGUUGCAUAAGGAUAGGAAACCAGAUUGUAUGGGAUGUAAGGCCAGAAUUCAGCUCUCUUUCCUGUACUCUUCACCCUCUUCAACACCUUGUUUGCAUCCACAUACCCUGUCACAGUUACUCGGCUUUGCUUUCUGAUUACCUCCACUGAUUUUACGCCUGAAUGGAUCAAUACAUUCAAACCAUUUGGCCUUCAUUUGUUAGUAUAGUUAAGUUGGUAUUAAAACAGACAAUUAACAGAUGAAAAGAACAUAUUGAUCCUUUAUUUUUAUGGUAGUUAUUAUAGCUAGCUUAAUUCUCUGAUGGAUCAUAUAUAGAAAAAUAUAUGGAUCCAGAAGCUGAGAAUUAGCAGAAAUGGGAGAGGGAGCUUUUGAGUAGGAAGUUAGAACCUCUCAUGGAGGUGACAGCAUUUUUUACUCUUCUUUCACAGCCAUCACAGUCCAUUUUGACUUUGAUCUCAACUGUCUGCAGAUCAAUAAAGGAAUGGCAACCCAUCAUGGAGGGGGAACAAAGGAGCACAUAAGCAAGUAUAACACAGAGAGAACAACAAAAGAUCAAAAGGGUCUACUGGUACAAAUGAUAAGUACCUGCAUUGGUUUGCGUUUGCCCUUUGUGCUGGUAACAGUGCAAAAGUUGGAGAAGUAAUCAAGCGCUCCCAUUUUGCUUCUCUUUAGCAGAAAGGAAAGGAAAGCAAAGCAAAGCGAGAGAGAGAGAGAGAAAGAAGAGGGUAUACGAAUAUGAUGUUCACUGAGAAAUAGUGUAUUUAUAUAAGAAGGUGAAGGGCUGAAAAGAUGUAAAGUGAAGUGUGGGCAAGCUGUGUUCUAGUUAUAAAUAAGAGUAAAAGUGGGGAAACAUGAAAAUGAAGAGCCCACAAACCAUGAAAAUGUGCCUAGAAAUCAUGAGGGUACAACAAUGCAUUUGGGUUUUUGUGUUUACUUAUUUUGAUAUGAUAAUGGGGAAAUGUUGUAAAGUGCUUUUGUGUUUGCUUUCAUUUCUGUCCGAUGGGUGUGGCUUUGCUUUUCAAUUAUUCAUUAAAACAAUACCCUAAUAAUGGCUUAUGUUGAUUGAUUCCAUCCAAACCUUCAACCGAAAGAACCUCCAUCUCUAUUCAUCUUUCAAAAUUUUGUUCCAAAUAUUAUGCCAACUAUAGUUGCCGUCAAUCAUGCCUUUAAACUAGUCAUAAAAUUUUCAAUUAAUGAAAUUAAUUAGACCCAUUUCUCUUGGAAUUAAAAAUAACUUGUUCUUACAAAUAUGGGCUUUCAGAUUUUUUUGCUUUUGCUUGAAUUUUUUUUCACCAAUCAAACAUAAAACCAAAAUAAAUGGUUGUUAAAAUUUGACCAGAAUCCCUAGGCACAAAAGCGAAACAAAAAGAAAGGGAAAGAACAGAUUCAACCACAAUUCAGGAAUCACAUGAAGCCCUUUUGAAUUUUCAAUGAUUCCAUAUGUUCAUUAAGCAAAAUUAGAAUAUAAACACUUUCAUGGACACCCUUAUGAGUGAUUUACAUAGAGAGAAUAUCCACCGUCAGGGAGACUUACUGUCUGUUGACCAUUUAGUGGUACAACCUUUAGUUUUUUUUCUGCCGCCCAUAUGGCAUGUUGUGUAAGUAGCAUUGGUGCUCUAACGUUAUUUGUAAGGGGAGGCACAUUUGUGGAUGCCCCCUAAAGGUCUAAGUAAAUGCCUGCCAUAUGGUCGGUCACUAGGUAACUUUUAAUUUUCCCUUGCACCUUGUUUGCAUCAAAUCCAUGAACAUGAUCAGUUCCCAAGCCAUUUCUAGUACAAAGAAAGUACAGUUUCAUUUGCCCUCUCCCCAAAAAUAGGAUACAGCUUUGAUAUCCUGGUUUCUGUGGCAUUGCCUAAGAGGAGAUCGAGGUCUUCCUUUGCCUUGUCCACUGAGUUUACAUUCAUGACCACAGCAAACAUGUUUGAACAAAUUACGUUAAGAAACCCAGGCAUUAGACAAACAAGCCCCAACAGUUCAUGAGCCUUUUGACAAAAAAAAUUAUGCUGUCUUGUACCUUGUUGGCAGCACUGACAACAGGAAUAAGAAAAUUAAUCAAUUUCUUUUCAUUUUUCUUUGAAGGGAAUUGUGGAAGUCACAGGUUGUAAGUGAAAGCUCUUUACAAAACGCGUGAAGCCCUUAAUGGUGCCAACACAAACAAAGAAUAUAAGACCUCAUUCAUUUGCUUUCUACCAUCCAGAACAUUCUAAUAAUGAAAAUGUUUGCAUGGAUUAAUUGCUGUAUGUAAAUCUGACUACCAGAGCCCCAUAAUCAUUUAUGCGCCACAGAUGCCAGAACUGUUGAAUUUCUAAGAUCAUCAUCAUUCAUUUAGAAUUAGAUCUUAAUCUUCUACCCAACUUCUAGUGCUAACAAGCAUUCUACAAAUGAUUUGAGACCGACCCAUUAACUUUAUAAUCAUCACGCAUAUGCUAUAUAACCAUUGCUGGCAUCACUGGGCCGGCAAGGCAGUAACCAUUGCUAAUUCUCGAAUCAUCAACUCAAGACUUGGUUGAAACCCCAUCCUCAGGCUACAGUCCUUGUAUGCAUCAAGAAUGGCUCUUCACAAAAAUGGGAAAGAUGCUGCACAUUGCAUUAUUUUCUAUUAGAUAUAAGAAUCUAUUGAGAAAAAAAAAUACAAUAAGCAUAAUUGUUAGAACCUACUUCCCCGAAAAGCCCUCAGCUCUUUGGUUUUUCUGAUCUAUUAUCAAAGCUAGGUCCCUUUCCCUUUCCCUUUCCCGCUUCUCUCUCUUCAACCGCUCUUUCCUCAACUCUUCCAAUGUCUUCUUUCCACUACUUUUACUCUGCUUCUUCCCCGAUCUUGCUGUCCCAUCGUUUCCAUUUUCAGCAAACAGAUCAUUACCCAGCCUGGAAAGAUACCAAGGCAAUUUCAUGCCUCUGCCGCCAACCCCAUAACCCAACCUGUACUUAUCAUUCUCCGGGAACACGACCUUCGCCCCUGCCUCUUCCUUCUUCGCCUUCUUCCUCUUUUGCCCAACUCCUUCACCCUCUACGGAGUCGAAAACCCUAAGGCCUUCGAACAGAUUGAUAUGGCUGCUCUUUGAAUCUGAUGCACUGGACUCCACAGCUUGGCUUGGAGAAGCCAAACCCCGGGAAAGCCUGAGUCUCUCCAGACGAAACUCUGUGUCACGCUUUCGAGACUGUUCACGCUUCAUCUGUUCGUUUCUGGCUGCAGCUUCUUCAUCUCGACGGACUCUCUCUCUGUUCUCGUAGCUGUAUACAUUCCAGCUCUUCUGGGGAAGAAUGUUGAGACCUCCAUGACCACCCAUUGCAACUUCAAUCCACAACUCUCCUGCUAAUGUAACAAAACCUUCAGUGAUAAUGUCAAGCUUUUAGAGUCCCUGAUUCUAUAUUUUUCCCAACAACAUAUGAUUUUAUGAAAUUUUAAAUUAUUAAAUCGUAGAAUUAAAAUAAAUUAAAUAAAAUUUAAGCACCAUAUAAAAAUAAUUUAUUGAUUUUAUUUUUAUUUUUUAUUUUUUAAUUUAAUUUAAUUUUCUUUCUCUUAUUUCCUCUUAAAUUCUUUUUGGAACCAUAGCCUAAAAUUUAAUUAGGGUUUAAAAGAGAGACUAAUGGUCCGUACAUACAACUUGAAUUCAAAAUUCUCCUACGGGCUGAUGCAAACUCUUCAUGGGAAUGACAACUUUCUAGCGAACCUAAUGCUUUGGUUCUGGGAGAGAUUUUUUCCAAAUAACAUAAAAAAACGUAGGGUUUAAAGAGAUAUCUCCUACAAUCUAAUAGAAAAUCUUUGGUAGGAGUUCCCGAUGCUCUGUUUGUUUGAGGAGAAAAUUUUUUCCCAAGAAAAUAAAAAAAUUUGGAUUUAACAUGAUAAACUUAUUGCCCAAUAGAACUCGUGCAUGUUCACAAUUCUCCCACAAAUCUAUUACAGAUUUUGAAUUUUUACGGUUCGAUUCCCUGCUUGUUCCGAGAGAAAAUAUUUUCCCAAGAAAAAAAAAAAAAAAAAAAAAAACUGGGGUUCAAAGAGACAGACUAACUAACCAAAGUUCCCAAAGCAUCAUAGCUAAAUAUCAAAGUUUUUUUGCGAUAAUAUUUACCAAGAACACAAACAGUUGAUGAACGAUUCAGGGGUGCAGAGUUUAUUGAUUGAAUGGAAAAGGAAAACAUAAUCCAAGAAAGUAUUUCAGAAUCUUGAAAACAGAGGGAUGGCCUACCUGCUACGAUUAUAGACUCGGAGGCUGGAGUCUCUCGCUUUCUCUCAGACGUAUGGAUGGAACCUUGUUUUAUUUGUUGUCUUUAAUCUUUAUCAUGCAAUGCAUGCGAUAUAUAAAGGCAACGCAGCAUAGUUUCUAAAAUUAGAUACCACCCAAACUCAAAUUUGUUUUUGACUAUGACUCAAGAUUAAAAAAAAAAAAAAAAAAAAAAACCGUCUCUUUUUAUCAUCGGUAUAUUAUAAAUUCAUUAGGUCAUGUUUAAUUGACCGGAUAUAGUAUGAAAUGAAAUUAUAUCCUUUGGUUGAUGAUAAGAUAUGAUAAAUUAUUAUAAUAUGUUGAUUCAAACAUGAGAUAUGAUAAGUAAUGAGAUAUAUUAUUCAUCCUCAUCUUUUUUAUCUAUUCGGAUAUGUUAAUCUUAUGUUAAGAUAUGAGAUAUGCAUAUCCUAUAUAUCAUACAUUUAUUUCUUUCAUCAAUUUUUUAUUUUUUUUUUAUAUACUCAUUUUGUAAAUUAUUUUUUUUAUCAAAUUAAAUUUAUGAUUAAAAAAGAAAAAUAAAAAAAACAUUUAUAAAAUAAUAUUAAUAUAUAUAUAUGACAUAUAAAUUAUUUUUAUAUAUUAAAUAACAUAAUAUAAAAAAAAUUAUCUAUAAAGUUUAAAUAUUUUAAUCAUGAAUAUUGUUAAAAAUAAAAUAAAUUUCAUUUUUUUUAUAUAGAAAAUAUUGGAAUGUGAUGUAAUUUUUAUUUUAAAUAUUAAAAAUAAUAUAUAUUUUAUAUUAUUUUUCUAUUCAUUUUACAAAUUAAAUAUAAACGUAAUAUAAUAUAACAUAUUCAUUUGCUCUACUACCUUAAAAUAUUAAUAAUAAAAAUAAAAAUAAUUAUAUAUAGAAAAUAAAAUUUUUAGAGACCUCUAGAUAAUACAAAAUAUGAGAGAGUAUAUAUAUAUAUAUAUAUAUUAUUCCAAUAAAAAAAAUAUUAAAUAUAAGAUAAUUUGCAUGAAUGAGGUUUCUUUGUAUUUUUAAGUCUCCUUUUUUCUUUCACAUAUUAAUUAUUUGUAGAGUUUUAACCGAUGUGAAGUUCAAUUUUAGAGUUUCAACAGGUGUCAAAGACUUGAAGUUUUCAAAUUCUUUGCCAAAAUUAUUUUUGUGAGAGCUUGAAAAUGAGUUAAAAGAACCUUCCACACUCUAGUGACACAAAUAUACAUAAAAUUUAGCCUUUUCAAAAAUUAAAAUACAUAAACUAAAUAAAUAAAUACUAUAAACUAUAGGGAAAAGUAGAUUUUGACUCACUAAUUUGAAAAAAUAUAGAAAAAAACGCAAACUUUUAUAAAUCAAUUUUAUUUUCAUCAAUUUAAAAAUAUCUUAAAAUACGUGCCCUUUUUUUUGUAAGUUAGAUAAUUGUUGUCUAAUUACCCUUUUACUUCAUAAUACUAAAUAAAAUUAUCAAAAAUUAAUUUAUCAUUUUAAUUUGAUAAAAGUAUCUUAUAAAUAAAUAUGUUAUAAUUUUUUUAUUAUAUAAUAUGAGAUACAAAUCAUUAUGGGAAAUUUCUCUAGGAUCCUCAAGUAAUAAAUAAAAUAUUUCUAAUUUACUAAUUAAUAACAAUUUUAUAUCCUAUAUUAUAUAAAUCCACCCAUCUUCUCAUCUAUUCUUAAUAAAAUUGAAUAAAAAAAUUUCGGUUGACAUCAACAAUAAAAUAAAAAAGUUUAAGAAUUAAAAAUAUAAUUAAAAAUUAAAUACAAUUAAAACCAAAGAAAUUUAAAAAAAAAAUAAAAUAAAAUAUUGACUCUUAUCAUAUUUCCAACUCUUUCUCAAUAUUUAUAUCUUCUAGCGAAAUGAAAGUUAAUAUUUUAUUUUAAAAUUUUUAAUUGUAAUUUUUUUUAGUUUUAUUUGUAUUUUAUAUUUUUAGCUUUAAAGUUUUUUUUUUUUUUUUUAGUCUUCAUUGUAUUUUUAAUUUUUAAAAUUUUUUAUUUCAUUGAUCUCAAAUCAAUUCUCAUGAUAAAAAUAAAAUAAAAUUCAAUUGGUAUUAUUAACUUGAUAAAUAAAAAGGUCAUUUUAAAAAAAUAAUUAUUUGACUUAUGAAAAGGUGCAUGUAUUUUUAAAAAAAAUUAAAUGGAUGAAGAUAAAUCUAAUUUAUAAAAUUUAGGGUCUUUUUUUCUAAUUUUUUUUUAAAAUUAGUUAGUCAAAACUCACUUUUUCCAUAUAUUUAUGUUUUGAAACAUUCUAAUAAUCCUAAGGUUCUUUUUGCUAUUUUUUUUUAAUUAGUUUGAGUCAAAAUCCACUUUUCUCAUAUAUUUAUGUUUUAAAACAUUCUAAUAAUCCUAUAAGCAACGAAAAAAAAAAAAAUCUUUUCAGCACAAAAAUAAUUUGUCCAUACAUAAAGAUGAAUAAUUAUAAAGAAGAAAAUAAAUAGUUAUAUAUAUAAAAACUACCACAUAAACUUUUUUUACUUUAUAAUAUAUAGAGGGGAACAAUUAUAAAAACUAAAUUCUAAUAAAAAUCAAACUCUAAUAAAACUAGGAUUUCAAAUCCUAGGAAAAACCAAAUUCAAAUAUUAAUAAAAUGCAAUACACUCUAACAUUCUCUCCUUUAAAACAAACUUUUCAAAUAUCAUUAUACUUAUUAUCUUUUUCAUUUUAAGCAAUGUUUCCACCUUGAUUGUACUUGUAAAAAUGUUUAAAACUUUUUCAUUUUAAGCAAUGUUUAAAACUCUCCUUUAAAACAAACUUUUUAAAUUUCAUUAUACACGUCAUCUUUUUCCUUUAAAGCAAUGUUUCCACCUUGAUUAUACUUGUAAAAAUGUUUGCAAUUUGAUUUUUAAAAUAACAAAACUCAAAUAUAAUUUCUUUAUCUUUUACCAACUCACGAAUAUAACAAAACUUGAUGAUAAUAUGUUUGUUUCUUCCAUGAAAAACUAGAUUCAUAGUUAAUGCAAUUGUUGAUUUAUUAGCAUAAGAGAAUCUUUGUAGUUACUUCUUGAGUAUGCUUUAAAUAAAAAAAACAUUCAAUGCAACCAUACAUUUGAGUAGUACCGCUAGUACCAAUAAUAUACUUUACUUUUGAUGUUGACAAAGUAUUGCCUACGGUUUCUUUGAUGACCAAGAAAAAAAAUUCUUGAACCAAGAUUAAAUACAUAAGCUAAAGUACUUCUUUGCUUCUCUAUAUCACUUGCUCAAUCACCAUCUAUGUAUCCCAACAAGCUCUAUCUUAUUAGGAUAUAUGUAUAAAAAAUAUCAUCACUUUGUAUAUCUUUGAUGUAUAGUAGAAUACGCUUGCUUCUUGUAAGUGAGACUGACAUGGAGACUCCAUGAAUCUUUUUACAAGUUUAACUUCAUGCAUAAUAUCCGAUAUUAUAGAAAUCAAAUAUAAAAAAAAAUCUCAAUCAUUCUUCUAAAAUUUGUAGGAUCAACCAACUCACAUGAUCUAUCUUUCUCUAAUUUCAAUCUUUCUUCAACUAAAGUUAAAAUAGGAAGGCAUGAUUCCAUCUUGAAUUUUUUUAAAAUAUCACUUUAGGUUUCUUCUGAAAAAUAAAUAUACCAUUAUCCAGUUCAAUUAAUUCAAUCCUAAGAAAAUAGGAAAUUAAUAUCAUAUUUGUUAUCUCAAACUGACCAACCAUCACUUCUUUGAAUUAUGCAAGCAUCUUGAAAUUAUUACCAAUGUUGAUAAUCAAAUCAUCCAUAUAUAAACACAUAAGCAAAAUGUCACCCUAUAAAUUAAAUUUGACAUAUAUAAUUGGUGUUCAUAAGGAGAUGUUUGAAAUCUAUUAUUAAUAAAAUAAGUACCAUGCUCAUGGUACCUAUUUCAAUCCAUAUAAGGUUUUUUUUAACUUAUAAACCCUUUUUUCUUUCCCUUUUUAUCACAUUUCCUUUAAGUUGCUUAAUAAAACUUUUUUUAGUUCUUCAUUCAAGAAAGCUGAUUUUACAUCCAUUUGAAAACAAAAAUUCAAUUAUUUUAUGCGGAAAGAAAGACAACAAGCAUGUAACUAGUGUUAAGUCUAGAAGUGGGUGCAAAUACUUCAAACUAAUCCGUUUUAAACUUUUUCUGGUAACACUAUGCCACUUGAUCUUGCUUUGAAUUAACUCGUACUUGGUUUUAUACACUCAUUUGACGUUGAUUAACUUCUUAAAACUAGGAAAAUUAAUAAGCUCUCAUGUACUAUUUUUGUUAAUUGAAUGAAUUUCUUCAUUUAUAGCUUUAAACCAACAAUUAUCUUGAGCGGCUUCCUUGUAACUCAAUGGAUCACAAUACGCAAAUAAAGCAAAAUCAUCAAUUCUUCACUUCUUGGUCCACUAUCAUCACCAAUCUUAUAAUCUUGUAAGUGUGCAAUUAAAACAUGUUGAUGGUGUGGUUAAUGACUUUGCAAGGUAUGGAGUCGUAAUUGAUGCACUAGUAUGUGUAUACUUUUUCUUCACUUUGGUCUUUAAGAUUUAAGUGCACACUUGAUGAUCCUUUUGCAUUAAAAGAUCAAUCUCAUUAUGGUUUCUCAUUAAAAAUCAUAUCAUGAUUGACUAUAACCUUUUUGGUCUAUGGAUUGUAUAAUUUGUAGUAUUUUGUCACUUGCUAUAACCAAUAAAAAUGGUCAUCAAGUUUGUUUAAAACACAUCAAGCACAUGACCAUAUGUUAUGCAGCCAAACAUCUCUAGAUGAUCAAUACAUAACUAUUCUAUUUUUUUUUUUUUUUUUAUCUUUGGAAUUCCAUUUUAUUGUGCAAUGUACCUUGUAAUUAACUGAUGUUUAAUGUCAUAUUUUUUAUUUUCUAAAAAUUAUCACAAAUAGUAUAUCUAGUACCCAUAUCUAUUCUUGAAAUUUUAAUGGUCUCCCAUUUUUAUUUUUUAUUUUUUUUCUGUAUAAGCUUUCAAAAUUUUGAAAUUGUCAUAUGCAUAUGCUUUUUUGCUUUAGAAAACAAACCAAAGCUUCCAACUAAAAUCAUCUACUCCUUAGCUUUUCAUGAUUUUCUUUUAGGAUAAUGUCCUUUAUACUUCUUGCCCAAAACACAUGGUUACCAAACUUUAUUUGAAUAAUUAAUAAAAGGUAAUCCAAAAACUAUCUUCUUAGCAAUUAGUAAUUUUAGGUUUCUAAAAAUGUGUAUAUCACAACUAAUUCUUAUCAUCAAUGAUAUAACUAAAGCAAAUUAAAUUUCUAUAGUUAAUAUUUAACGAAAAUAAAUGAUCUUUGUGUCAUUUGUUAGCACUUUUUGAACAUUAUUGAUAAUAGAUUUGCAUAUCUUUUUUUUCUAAAAUUUGCUUUAUAGUUAAUAAAUUGUGAUGAAGACUUAGAGUAUAUGAUACAUUGGAGACAAUUUUGGGAUCUAUCUUUCAAUUUGAGAGAAAUCUUACCUCUACCCUUAAUUGGUACUGUUGUGUUAUUCUAAAACUUUACCUUUGAAUCAAAAGUCUCAUCUAAUUUAGAAAACAUAUAUUUCUUACCACACAUAUUGUUGCUACAAUUCAUAUCCAAAAAACAUGUAUUUUUAUUUUCUUCCUUUGCAACAUUGCAUGCUAAUAUUAAGGUUUUUAAGAUUUUACUUUUAUCUUUUAUAUUUUAGAACUUGAAAUAUAGCAUCCCAAUGUUUUAGGCUAGGACUACUAGUAAAUCUACUUAACAUGCUAAUAGCAUAUGCAAAUAUCUAGUCUUGUAUAUUGCAUGACAUAAAUAAGACUUCCGAUAAUCUUGGCAUACUCUAAUUGUGAUUUACAUUUACCAAGAUAUUCCUUGCUAACUUUUUGUUUGAAUCAAAAGAUGUUGAGAGUGGUUUUAGAUCAAAAUGACUAGAUUUCUCUAGCACUUUUUCUAUACAAUGUAAUUAUGGUGGUGCUAGCAUGUUGUUUUUCAUUUCAUUUCAAAGCUAAGCGAAAGAAACUUUUUAGUCUUCAUCACAUGUUCUAGGUUAAUUCCAAGUAUAAGCAUGUCAUCCUAGAAUAAACAUAUGAUAACACCUCCCAUUUCAUCAAAUUUGGCACAUAUACAAUUAUCUGCAUUAUUUAUACAAAAACCAUUCAACAAAAUUACCUUGUCAAAUUUCUCAUGACAUUGUUAAUUAGGAGCUUGUUUAAGACUUAGGUGGUGUUUGUUUUUUUACUUAAUUAUAAAUAGAACCUUAAUGCUUAAUAGUGUUAAAUAUUAUGUUAUUUGUUUUUGUAGUAUUUUAUUUCCAUUAAGUAUUAAAAAGUAAAAAAAACCAAUAUGUUAUUUUUUCUAUUUAGAAAAAGCUACAUAUUUUGGUUUUUUUUAUUUAGUAAAAAGUUUAUAAUAAGUCAUGAAAAAGUAAAAAAACAAACAACCUAAAUUCUAAAACUAAAUUGCUUUCAGCAAAAAGCUAAAAAAACAAAUACCACCUUACAAAUAUUUAACAAGCUUAUAUCCUUUGCUCUCUGCAGGUCUGGCUGUGCAAACUAACCAAGUGCAAUGAAACUUAUUGUCCUGUAAGGAGCUGUUUGCCAUUUCAUCAAUCACACAAUAAACCAACAAUCUCCAUACCCACUUUAGAUACAUCCAGGAAAUAAUCAUCCUUUCCAUACAGUAAACCAACUCUUGAAGUACCUGAGGAUCCAAGCGAGGACACUCUAAUGUUCCCUCUGAAUUUCCCAUAUACCAUUUAACCACGUCGACUGCUUGAGCUAACAUACCAUUCCCUACAUUAGACUUCCAACAGCGCUGACAUAUUAAGUUUACUCAUCAACUCUCUUUUUCACUAGUCGGUGCCUGCAUAAUUGCUAAUCUAUGAUAUGCUGAGCUAAAAGGAGUUGAUUCAGACUUACAGUUUUCCAGGCAAAUUUUCCUUACAACUUUCUCAGUGUAAUCCUUCCAAUAUAAAAAUAGUGUUUUAGCCUGCCUAUCUCUCAUUAUUUCCAUCCCCAAAACCUCCUUCCAACUUUCUCAAUGCUGAGCUGUCUUUUAUUUUAAAUUCCCACUUAUCUUCUCCUUCAACCCAUAAAUUUCCAGUGUCUUUGCUGGUAAUUACCAUGUCAUCCAUGUACUACAACAACAAAUAGAUGUCAUUUUUGUCCAGUUUGUCUCCUGAAGUAUAUAUAGUUGUCAUACCUGCUCCUGGAGAAUCCAUCUUUUAGCAUGAAAACAUCGAAUCUUCUCACUGCCGAGAAGACUGCUUCAACCGUAAAGGAAUUUCCUGAUUGCUCAAACCUGAUUUUCCCUGUAAGCAAGCAAGCAAACCCGUAAAGUUGUCUUGACAUCCAUCUGUUCUAACUCCACGUCAAGUUCAGCUACUAAUGCUAGAAUCAACCUAAAUGAUAUAUGUUUUACUACUGGUGAGAAGAUUUCGUUAAUCUCUCUCUAUAUGAAGCCUUUUGCUCACUCCUCAAUAUUAGGUUUACUUUUCCCUAAAUUCCAAACAAUCAAUGAAAAUUAUUUAAACAAGGCACCACCAACAAGUGCGUACCACAGUGUAAUGAUUGAUAUCCUGGACAGGUGAUAACUUCACCAAAUAACAUGAGAAAAGGUAUGGAACAUAAGGCUUAGUUACAAGUACAUAGAUAUGAAGUUGCUUUUACAAUAUCAACAUUGAAUGACCCAUUCUAUGGUUAAGAGUCCUUGUUCAAAGGUCCAACCAUCACAACACAUUUCCCGCUUUAAUUUAAACCUUCACUCAUAAUUUCAACUCUACGCAGCUCUUUUAAGACACCAAAUUUUUGGGUUUCUUCCUCAUCCAUUUACAGGUCUGCAGUUUACUCAAUGUACUAAAUAAUUCUACUAUGCAAAAUACUUGCCAACAUAUGCUUGCCAUCCAUGCAAUAAAGUUGCUCAUGACUUCGGGAACGUCGGGGCAGGCUGAUCAAAUGGCUUGUUCAAGCUCUCUUGUUCAACUUUCACACUUGGUUCAUCUAUUGGCAUAGGGCACACAUCUGAAGCCUGAAAAUACAAUUUUCAAAAAAGAAACACAAUUAGUUAUCAAGAAUCUGUCUGUUUCCUGUUUAUUUUUUACUUAUAUUAUGUGCAUGCUUAUUUGUUUGGCUGCUUUACCUUUGAGCAUGCAGUCUCCUCCGCAGUUGUAUCAAAGCCUCUUGAGUGCUCAGCAACUCCUUUCUUGUCCUCCUGAGGAGCCAGAAUCAAUGAAAAUAAAAUUAAUAAGGGGAAAACAUGAUAACAAAAUAUUUCAGUCCAAUGCCAUAAAUCACAUAAUCUCAAAGUUAAAAAAUCUUCAAAUAGGAGAAAAGGAAGUGAAUUACAGCUACCAUUCAAGAUAAUCUUUUUCAUAGAGGGUGCAAGGUGUUUGAAAGGGCAAGAACUCUAUUAAUUAAUAUUAAUCAUUGUAGUCCUAUCUACGCCACCCAUUUGAAGGCAGCUUCACGAAUUAAAUGUUGUCAAUAUGAUCACUGAUAAAAUUGGUAGUCGAACCAGAAGUAGUUGAGGCCUUAAUUAUGGUGAUGGAUUGACUGUUGAAUUGGAGGUAGAGGUGAUUUAACAAAAAUGUGUUCAUAUAAUUUUUUUCUAAAGGAAAAAACAUAGAGAAGAUAAUAAGAUUUUGAGACAUGUUCCAGACCCUACUGAACAUGUGGAACAGGACAUACCAAAUCUUUACUCUCUGGUUCGACAAUUUCUCUCUUUACUCUGCCUGGUAGAGACUUACUGCAAAACCAAUAAGCAAGUGAAAUGCAAGUUUGAAGGUAUAGAACAAUGAGAAAAAGAACUGACAGGAGAAACAAAAUACCGCUCAUCAUCAAUUUCCAUGUCAGAAUCUGGAUCCCAUCUCUCAUCUCCAUCGUCGUGGUCUUCAUCAGCCUGUAUAUAUCAACAAGUAUGUCAUUACAAAACAAACAAUAAAGUCACAGAUAUGUCAUUACAUUCCAAAAUACAAAAGGCAUCACAACUUAAAAUUGUAUGAACAUCAACUAGCAAACAGCAUGAAUGAAUCAUGUGGAAUAACUAAAAGUAAUGUUAACAUAAGUUAUAAAAAUGGACACAGAAAUAAUAAUUAAAGCUUCAAUUUAAAAAUGAUACAUUAUCAGAAUCAAGUGGACCAAGGGAUCUGGUUUCCCAAGAUACCCAUUAGUCCCCCGAAUAUUGAACAGAUCCAUUGUCGCUCUACCAACAAUGAAAAGGAAAGUGGUAUAAAUUAUCCCAACUCUGAAAAAUAAAUCUAUAGCUAACUGAAGCUGUGGGAAGUAAUGUUUCCGCACUGAGUACUACGCAUGAUCCUUUAGUUCCAGAGCAUAAAAAUUGUUGCACAUUGCUACAUAUGCACAUAUGUUUAAGAUUGAAUUGGAACCGAGGAGUGGAAAGAAAAAAAUAAUUUUCGUUUUCUACACAAAUUUGAUGGAGGAUUUCAUGAAGUUUGGAUGAGGAUUAUGCAUGAGUGAUAAACCAAUUAAUUGGGGGUGUUUUCAACUGUAUCUCAACAGAAAUUAGUGCUUGCAGCAAAAUUGUACUAACCAUGCACAAGCCAUAUUUGCAAUAACUUAGCAAAUAAAUGGUGAACAAAUAAACAUUGAUCAAGAUCAUUUUUUAACAAUGAUAAAUGAAGAUGCAAAUUUUAUUUUCCCUACCAAUCACUGGUUGAGAAGGUACCAGCUGAAGAGCUUUGUUAAAAGGGCUUUCAUGGAAAAUUCAACCAGAAAAUACAAUAUCCAAGAAAUUUUAAUCUAAUUGGAAAAAUUGAAGGCAUUAAUAAAUUUCUAUAAUUUUCCCAUACGAUCACCAAGAAAUAGAAGAAAAAAGAAAAAGGAAAGAGAAUGAAAUUUGAAAUCUUACCACGGGCACCCUAAAUUCAAUCCACAAUAUACCCAAAUUUCCAGUUUUCUUUCUAUUUUUAUUAGCAAUCAAACGGAGCUUAAAACUAAAUACUCUUCCUUUUGCCAUAAAGCUGUAAUUAGCAUGCAUGAAAUUUUUAUUGAUAAGAAUCUGGAGAGACUCAUCCACUCAUGGGGAAAAAUUUGAGAGGAUAAAUAUUAUAAUGCUAUAGCGAAUCAGAACAAAGUCAUUAUCCCAAAUUCUACAAGGAAAAAAGAGCCCCUUUUUUUCCAUUUGUUGAAACACAAAUGAGGAAUGGAAGAUAUACACAUUCAUAAAAUGAUGGCGGUACAAACGCACCUCAGGGAGCUCUGUAUCAGGGGGUCUUUCCUGAAAUUGGACACUAGGUGCAUGUCUAAGUGUUGAUAGAUUGUCGAGAAGCUUAGCCCUUAUUUCAUCCAGUAACUGGUGUGAAUUUUUAUUUUCCAUGUUACUCGGGGCAACAUGAAGAGUAUAGUCCGGACCAAAAUACUCGUAGUACUCAUGCUGUGGCAUCUUGUCAUCAACUUCUAUUCCAAGCGCAACUCCCGUCUACAGUACAUGUUACCACAAACAAGUGGUCAGUCAUGAGAGAAUCUUACAGAAAAAUUAUACCUUGUGCCAAAAGAAGAUUAUGAAGAUGAUUCUCUGAAUUUUCAGUCCAUGCUGCAAAGCUAUUUAGAUACUGGGAAUAAAACCAUGUGCUCAAAAAUUGCCAUCAAUAUAAUUUCAAUUUAUGGAUCUAUCUUUCAGCAUUCUGGCACAAGGUGGCUGAAUGAAACCCCAUAACCCAUGCUUUCAUACUUGAAGUAUGAAGAAGCCACCAUUGCACCAUUAGCAUCUUAGCAUCUUAGCAGAACAUAAAAGUAUAAGCUGUAAAAGUAAUAAAAUAAAAAAAUACAACAAUUUCCAAGGAAAACAUGUGCCAAUAUUUAACCAACUGUUAAAUAAACUAAAAUGUGGAGGAAAAAGAAAAAGAAAAAGAAAAAAAAAAGAUAGAAAACUUCUGGAGAGAUUAAAUGGUCAAGUCUCUCCAAAAACUUGGUCUUAUCCUUGUUGUCAAUUGUCAAGUGUCAACAAAAACAAACCCUGUUGCAGAAAUAACCUCCAAAAUUCAUACUUUCUUAAGACAUGAGAGUUCAUACAAGUCAGCCGCACUAAUAGUUGGAAUCAAGGUGAGUUACAAGUAUGAGAACACAUAAAGGUAAAGCACCAUAAAUUUUUACAAGUUUUUGCAUUUUGAUACUCUUUCAUCCAAUUCAAUCACUUAGCCAAUCAAGCCAAACCAUCUAGUCUCAUUCUUUUGCAUUUCACAGCAAGAAUAUCAUAAUGACCAAAUGACAUAUUUACUAAACUUCAGAAGAAAAGGAAUGGAAAUAAAGGGAAUCAAAAUAGAGAGGAAGUCAAUAGAAGACUAAUGAGAAUAAGAAUUCACUAGAUUAUUCACAAGAAUAUCAAGAAAUAAAAAGAUAAUGAAGCUAAUUACUAUAAUGCCCUCAUACAAAAAGAUAAAAAAUUAAUAUUAAUCAUUUUUUAAAUAAUCCUAUGUUGGAAAGUCAACAUAACACAAAGUUAGGAAUGAAUUGUAUAUUUUGUAUUUAAUUUAGGCCGGUUUCUAAUAUUGUGAUAUUUUUUCCUUUACUAUAAAUCUAAGAAAUCUAACCCUAAAUUUUAGGAAUUGUACAGCUAGGGAUGGCAAUUCCUUCCUUUUUAGUGUAGAGGAGUCCUAUAUAUAUAUAUAUAUAUAUAUAUAUAUAUCAUGUACUGAUUUAUUAAAAAUUAAGAUGAAUUAUUCUUCUUAGUCAUUAUCCUCAUUUCAAUAUUAUAUUUUGAAAAUGAUUAUAUCUUCAUUUAAAAAAAAAACAAAAAAGGUUGCGUGAGAUUUAGAAUUAGUCACAAAAAAAAAAAAAAAAUGUUAGCUAUAUAUAAUUAAAAUGAAAUUUAAAUAAAGAAUAUUUACAUUUUAUUGAUUAAAAUUAAUUCUUAUUUAAAUGAUAUUCUUAAUCCUUUUUUACAACAAUUUGAUAAAUGAUUGUUAAAAUUUACAUAAAUAAAAUAAAAUAAAUAUAAAAAUAUUGUUUAUUAACUUACCUUUUGUUGGAAGAGUUCAUGCCUGUAGGUAUGUAUGUGUGUUGGAAUGCAUGUGCAUAAAGUUGUCAAUAUCACAUUAGAAAGGGAUUGAAACUUUUUGCAACUUAUAUCGUGUUCCAUUUUCAUACCCUCCUAAGCUUUUUGAGAGGAUAACUUCCCCCCAUAGAUACAAGGGUGCUCCUAAACUUGCCAACAUUGCAUUCAUCAUGUCUUUUAGGGUCCUAUUUUUCCUCUCUACUACUCCAUAUUAUAGGGAAUAAGGAGUAGUCUUGUGUAUGAUUUCAUGAUCUUAAGAAAAGGAGUUAAAGGAGUUGGACUCAUACUCUCCUCCCCUACUAUUUCUAAGUUUCUUUAUUUUCUUGCUUAGUUGAUUUUCUACUUCAUUCUUGUAUUUGAUGAAAGCAUCUCUUACUUCAUCUUUGUUUCUCAAAAGAUAUACCCAUGUAUACCCCGAGUGGUCAUCUAUGAAAGUGAUGUAGAAUUUUUUACCACCUCUUGUCAUUAUAUUUUUAAGAUCUCCUAAGUCACUUUGAUUUAAACUUAGUAGUUCAAAUUCUCUUUCUACAAUUUUGCAUGAUUUCUUUGUGGUUUUAGAUUCUACACUUUUUCGUGGUUUAUUAGGACAAUUUAGGAUUAGACAUAGAUCAACCAUUUUCUUUAUAUAAGAAAAGUUCACAUAUCCUUCCUAGUCUACCAUGCCACAAAUCACAAGAGUAAACUAAAUUAGUAGAAGAAGAUGCAUUGUUCUUAGUAAUAAUCUCAUAAACAUCCAACAUGAAGAGAUUUUGAUUACAAUAUCUCUUCCCAACAAAUACAUCUUAGUGAACACAAUUUUAUCUAAGUCGAACAAGAUCCCCACUCUUGCCUUUCCGGGUAGAGAUACUGACACCAAGUUCCAAUGAAUAUUUGGCACAUGAAGGACAUUGCUUAGGGCAAGCACUUUGCCUGAGGUCAAACUUAAGGAGAACUUUCCCUUUGCUAAUCACCGUGGGCGAUCUAGAAUUGCCCCGUGAAUGCUUGUUCCUCUCCUUCCUUUAUAGAGGUAUACAAAGUAAACACACUUCUAUCACCAUAGAUGUGCCCAAUAGCCCCAAAGUCUACCACUCAAUCCUUCACACCAGUGACCAUGCUCACCUUAGAUGACACUACAACAACUAUCACCUCCGUCUCUAUCAGGUUUGCUCUUGAGGUUGGACUUCUCAAAUCUCUUCUUAUGAUAGCCCUAAGUUGCAUGAUGUCUAAGCUUGUCACACACAAAGCAGUUACCUCUCUUUUUAAUUGUUAAGUUCUAGACCUUGUUUACUAAAUUGGGUUUGGUCUUUGAGUUUUGUUUCCUAGACCUAUUAUUUUUGUGCCUAAGUUUUUUAUCUACCACAUUAGCCUUAGAGGACAAUUCUUUAGCUUUCUCAAUCUUGUCUCUAUUCCUUUUUUAUUCUUCAAUCUGUAUAUAGAUUAUAACAUCUUCUAGAGACAUUUGUUUUCUUUUGUGCUUUAUGUUGGUUUUGAAAUCUUCCAAGAAUCUAGAGAAUUUCUAUCAAAUACCCAACUACAAAAGGUUCAGCCAAUUUUACAUCCUCAUGAGCAAAGUUAGUAAAGCAAGUGAAUCGUGGAUUUCAAGAUGAUACAUCUCUAUCCUUGGUCAUUUUGAAUUUCCUAAAAUUCCUUAGAGAAUAUUUAUGGGUUCAUGUAUCUUUCCUAACAUAUUUCUUAUUCAUGAUAUCCCAAAUAUUCUUAGUUAUCUUGUGUUGGUAGUAUACAUUAAAGCAAUAUAUUAGAAAGUAUGCCAAGGAUGGCAUGCCUAGCUUGUUUAUUUACAAUUUCUCAUGUAGGUAAAUUUUUAGAGUUGUCCUUGGGUUUUGGGUUCAUCAAAAUAUGUUCCAAGUUCAUAAUGUCAAUUACAAAAAAGACUCUUUCCUGCCAUCUCUUGAAGAAGGUCCUAUUGAAAGGAUCAAUCUUCAAGGGUCAAGACAAGUGUGAACUAAGGAAGAAGUCUCCAUUAAUUUAGAUUUACUUUAAGAUUGUUAGUUUAAAAAACUAGAGUUGAAACUAUGUCAAAAUUAACUAAGUCUAAAACACCAACAAACCAGGUAAAGGAAAAAGAAGUUUAGACACUUAUCGGGUUAGGGUGGUCAAGGCAUGACAAAACACUGUCCUUAAAGUAAAUCUACCCUCCUCAGAAAUCCAUCUCAAUGCAGCGAAGAAUCGAUGUCCUACCUCCAACAUUCAAUAGCCAAAAGUCUCGUCUAACAUGUACUCCUUAGGUGAGGUACAAUACAACUUGAACAAUUAGAAAUUCCUUCAGAAGAUGUAAGGAUAGAAGCUCGAUUGUAGGAAGGCUCUACCGAUGGGUAUGGUUGUUGGAAGACAACUACAAUAAGUAUGACUACAAGAAGAUGGUAACAAAGUAAAUAAUAAAGGAGUGCAGGUAGGCAAUGGUAGAUCACUAUAGUUGUCUAUGGUCAGUUACACUUCAGCAAUGAGUUGUACUUGUCAAAAACAAAGAAGUAGGCAAAGCAAUAUGAUGGAAUGCAAUAGUCGUUGAAAAUAGAGCAACAAAGAGAUGUGGAGACGAUGGAAGCAACAGAUCAGGAUUCAAUGAAAAAUCGGGUUUUUUUUUUUUUUUUUUGAGACUUUGAGGGAGGGCUUUCAUAGACAGGAUUCUAACAAGACUCUCCUAUAAAAGCAGAACAACAUAACAUAUUUAAAUGAAAUUAAUUAAAGCAUGGGUUUCAUAGAUCGACAUCACUAAAAGCUCUAACUAGGAAUAACUCAGUCUAACUCUAACCGAGAAUGACUCCAUCAAACUAAGAGUUCAAAAAAUUAAAAAUUAAAUUAAUAAUAUUAAUUAAUGUUGAACUAUGAAAAUUUUGGUUGGAAUCGUGCAUAUGUGAAAAAGGGGGUUCCCUUAUGCUUGAUGCACACAGACAAUACGCAUUAAGGUUUCCAAAUCAAACCACCUGAAAUCCCAUUCAAUAGGCUUAGGUCCCAUGGGCGCAUGAGGCUUCCACUUCUCCCUCCAAAAGCCCAAGAGUCUAUGGAAGUGGCACAUGAUAUAAGAUGUAAAAAUGCAAUCCCUUUCCAAUAUGGGAUUGAAAACUUUAUGCAUAUGCACUCAAACACACACACACACAUGCACUCUUCCAAAAAUUCCCCAUAGAGUGCAUAAGUGAGGAAGAGAAUGAAAAAACACAACUAAAGGAACAAUAGAAUCCAAAGCUACUUAACGCUAUGAAUCAUUUGAAAAAGAAAAGUAUUCGUCAUGUAGCAGAUCUCUUAUAAGAUCAAUUCAGAUUGGCUUGAGUAUUAGUGUCCAUAGGCUAUGAACUAGCCAUAGGAUAAUAAAUAAGUUUUGAGUUACAAAAACUAGGUAAAAAUAAAUUUCCAACUGUUGGAAGAGUGCAUAUAUGUGCAUGUUGAAAUGCAUGUGCAUAAAGUUGUUAAUUCCACCUUGAAAAGGGAUUAAAACUUUUUAUAACUUGUAUCGUGUUUCACUUCCUUAGCCUCUUGGGCUUGUGUAGAGGGAAGUGAAAGCCUUGCACACUCAUAAGGUCCAAGCCCAUCCAAUGGGAUUCCAAGCAACUCAAUCCAAGAAACCUUAAUGCAUGUCGUUCCUGUACAUCACACGCAGGAGGAUCCCCUUGCGUAAGCAAACGAUUCCAACCAAAUUUUUCAUAGUUGAAAUUAAUUCGAUAUUAUUAAUUUAAUUUUUAAUUUUUAAACCUCUGAGUUUGAAGGAAUCAUUUCAGAUUAAAGUUAGACUAAGUCAUUCCCUAUUAAAGCUUUUAACGAUUUAGGUAUGUUAACCCACAUUUUAAUUAAUUUAAUUUAAAUUUGUUGAGUUGUUCAACUUUUAUAGGAGAGUCCCACUAGAACUCUGCCUAUAAAAGCCCUUCCUUUGAGUUAAAAAAUUUAAAAAUGAAGUUUCGUUGAAUUCUAAUCUACUGUUUCCAUUAUCUCCAUAUCUCUCUGUUUUUCUGUUUUCAAAGAUCAAUGUAGUCCAUCAUACUGAUCUCUUUACUUCUCUAUUUCCACUGACUACUGCAAUCCAUCAUAUUGGCCUUUAUGUUUCUCUGUUUCUAAUGAGUACAACUCAUUGUUGUAAUCUAACCGACCAUAGACGACCAUGGUAAUCUACCAUUGAAUGUCUCCAGUCCUUUGCCCUGCAACCAUACCUACUACUACAAUCUUCCUACAACCAUACCCACUAUUACAACCUUCCUACAACCAACCUUCUAUCCUUACCUUGCCCAAAGAGUGCAACUUAUACGACAAUUUUAGCUAUUGAAUCCUGAAGAUAGGAUGUCAGUUCCCUACAACACUGAGAUUGAUCGCUGAGGAGGUCAGAUCUACUUUUAGGACAUUGUUAUAUCAUGCCUCAACCACCCUAAUUUGAUUAGUCUCUAAACACGUUUUUCCUUUUCCUUGUUUGUUGGUGUUUAGAGCUUAGUUUAAUUCCACUUAGUUUCAACCCUCUAGUAUUUUGAACCAACACCUUCCAUGUGCUAAAGCCUCACUAAUUUGAUAUUCUUCAAUGCAUGGAUGCCCUCAAUUUAUAAAAAAAUAUGUGAUAUUGAACCAAAUAAACUAAAAUAUGUAUUGGCUACAUAAAGCCUGUAUUACAAUUUACAAUUUUGAUAAUUAAAAUAUCUUACUAUGUCAUUAAAAAUAAUUACAAUAACUCAUUAUUUUUAAUAUCAUAAUGUUGUUAUUUUUAAUAUUUAAAAAAUAUAUUACUAUUUUUAAUUUCAUUAUAUCAAAAUUUUUAAUAAGUCAUUAUAUCAAAUUAAUAUCUCUAACAACAUUUUUAAUGUUAUUAGCUUUAAUAACACAACUAAACAUUACAUUAAUUUAAAAUAAUUACAUUAGUCUCUAAGAGCAUUUGGCUAACUUUCAUUCAAGAAGGAAAUGAAAUGACUUUCCAUGGGGACCUCAAGGAGGCCUAUUCUUUAUUUUGGGAAAUGAUAUUCCUCAAAAUUACAUGGGCCCCAUACCUAUUGUUACCAAGCUAAAGCAAACAUAAGGAAUGGAAGGAAAGUGAAUGAUUCAUGGCAUGUUUACUUGAUUCUUGAAGAAUAAAAUGAAGGAAGUCAUUCCAUUUCCUUUCAUUUUUAGUGUUUACUUCAACUUGAAAUCAACCAAAGCUAUAAAGCCCACCUAAUUGAGGAACCACAUUCUUCAAAAUGGAGAAUGUGUUUCUUUAGGGCCCCGAGGAAAUACAUUUUGCUUCUUAUAAAAAGGAAAGUUAUGCAAAAAUGUCAUUGAGGAUUAAUGUAAGCAUUUAAAACCGUCAGUUUGUUUAGGGCAUCCCCCUACCGUCAGUUUGUUCAAGGCAUCCCAUUUUCUUCUAAUUUGUUUCAAGCAUUCCUCUUUCCCCAGUUUGUUUAGGACACCCAUUUUUUUCACUUUGUUUAGGGCAUCCCCCUUCUUUCAGUUUUCACUACCAUAGAUCAGACAUCUAUGAGCAUGUUAGAUUCACCAUCAUAGAUUUUCAUCUAUGAGCAUUUGUUUCAAUUGAUUCACCACCAUAGAUCAUACAUCUAUGGACAUUUAAGAUUCACCACCAUAAAUCAGACAUCUAUGGACAUUUCAGUUUCACCACCAUAGAUUAUCAUCUAUGGGCCUCGAUCAAUUUUCACCACCAUAGAUCAGACAUCUAUGGGUAUUUCAAAUUCACCACCAUAGAUCAGACAUCUAUGGGCAUUUUAGUUUCACCACCAUAAAUUAUCAUCUAUGAGCCUCGAUCAGUUUUUACCACCAUAGAUUUUCAUCUAUGGGCCUUGAUCAUUUUUCACCACCAUAGAUCAAACAUCUAUGGGCAUUUCAGUUUUACCACCAUAGAUUGGAUAUCUAUGGGUCUUUUACAUUCACCACCAUAGAUUUUCAUCUAUGGACCUUGAUUAGUUUAUCACCACUAUGGAUCAAACAUCUAUGAGCAUUUCAAAUUCACCACCAUAGAUUGUAUAUCUAUGGGCAUUUGUUACAGUUAUCUCACCAUCAUAGAUUUUCAUCUAUGAGCAUUUAUUUUAGUUAUCUCACCAUCAUAUAUUUUCAUCUAUGAGCAUUUGUUUCAAUUAUUUCACCACCAAGAUCAGACAUUUAUGGGCAUUUCAGAUUCACCACCAUAGAUUUUCAUCUAUGGGCUUUGAUCAGUUUUCACCACCAUAGAUCAAACAUCUAUGGGCAUUUCAGAUUCACCAACAUAGAUCAAACAUCUAUGGGCAUUUCAAUUUCACCACCAUAAAUCAAACAUCUAUGGGCAUUUCAGUCAGGGUUCAAAAUCUCGGUCAAUACCGGUACGACUCGGCCGAGUCGUAUCCGCCUCGACCAUGGCCGAUACCAGACCGAUACCCGAGUUGGAUAUUUUGUCGAACAAACUCAGUUGAAUUGAAAGAGUGAAUCCCAUGGAAACGUUGAGACAACUCCAAGAUCAUGUUGAGACUAAGCUAUUUGGGUUAUUGGUAAUGGAAAAAAAGGUAAUAUUGGAGUAGAUAUGGUGGAGAAGAUGAGAGGAUCAAAACCCACGAAAAUGAAAAAUACAGAUUACAGAGAUGGACUGCAUCUUGUAGUCGCCGGUCGGAUCCCCCAAGUUCUUGCCGGAGAUGGAACUGAGCGACAUGAUGAGGAGGCUGAGUCGUCAGACUCCAGCACCGCUAUUAUCGACGGAGAACAACGGUGAGGUGGCUGAUGGAAGUGGGAGAAGAGAGAAAGUGGCCUGCGGAGGAGCUGGUUGUGGGGAGAAAUGGGUCUUUGACCAGUCAAUGGUGGUUAUGAGUAUUUAACAGAUAUGGAUUUAGGUUUUUUUUUUUUUUUUUUUUAAUAAAUAAGUGAGGAUUUAGGUUUUAAAUAAUAUGUAUUUAUUUUUUAAGUAGAUAAUGAGUAUUUAGUGGGAAUUUGAGUUUUAAAUAAUUUGAUGAAAAUUAUAAUGAUAAAAAAUUAAUAAUGAAUAUUAGACUUAUAUCAAAUAAAUAGGAAAUGAAUAUUUAUAUAAAAAUUAAAAUUAAUGAAUAUAUUUUAUAAGAAAAAUUAUAUUUAUUUUUUUAAAGAUGAAUCAUGGUUUUAUUUUUUUAAUAGUUAAAAAUAUUUUUUUUUAAAUUCAAAAUAUUUAAUUUAAACAAUUUUUUAUAAAAAAAAAUUACUUUUUAUUAUUUUCAUCUUCAACAAGAAACAUUUAUUAUCAAGUGAUUAAAUUAAAAUAUUUUUAGAGAUUUUUAAUAUUAUUUUAAAUCAUCCCAAAAGUAUGCUUUUAUUAUAAUUUGAAUAAUUUUAAUAUAAUAGAAGUUUAUUUUAUUAAUUUUUCACUCUACUUAUUUGUAUUUAAUUUUUUAAAUAAUUUUAACAAUUUUUUAAAAUUAUUUUAAGCUUUUAAAUUAUAAUUUUUUGCGUAUCACCCGAUACCGAUCCGAGAUACCGAGACAGAUGUACCUCAAGACCUCCCAAGUCAAUGACCGAUACCGCGACUUUGAACUAUGAUUUCAGUUGUAUCACCACCGUAAGACUUCAUAUGUAAGCUUUCUGAUUUAGCUUUUAGAGUUAGCUUUUUGGUUUGGCUUCUAAAGUCAUUCUUUUCUUAGUUUAGUGUUUAAGGUUAGUUUUUUCAUUCAGAGCCACUGCUCCUGAUAUGAUCAUUAGCAUUACAUGCUUUGUUCUCACAGUUUCACAUUUCAUUUUACUUCUCUCUUCAUUGCAUGUCUUUCUCACUUCAUUAUGAUAUUCUAAAGUUUCUUCUCAUCUUUUAUGCAAGAUAUAGCUCUAUGAGCUCGUAGCAUGUGUCUUGAUUUUAUUGUUAGAUACUCUACACCUUGUGUCCUCGUAUGGUACACGUAUGGUUUUUCCUUUUGUACUCAUUCCUAUGCUCUUUGGUGGUUCGACUGCUACUCGAAUGAUAUAUUUAGUUAUAUUAAACUUAAAUAUUAAUUUGACAUUACAACACAUUAUAUACAAUGACAUUUUUCAAAAAUUAAUAAUAAUAGCACAAUGACAUUAAAGAUAAUAAGUUUUCCAAGUUGAAGCAAACACUAGGAAUGGAAGGAAAGUGAAUGACUCCUUUCAUUGGAUGUUUACGUGAUUCUCGAGGAAUUCAAUAAAGGGAGUCAUUCCCUUUCCUUUCAUUUUUGGUGUUAACUCCAACUAGGAAUUAAUCAAAGAUAUAAGAUCCACCUAAUUUUAAGGAAUCUCAUUCUUCAAAAUGAAGAAUCGAUUUCCUUAAGCCCCCUAGGAAACCCAUUAUGUUUCUUAGACGAAAGAAAGUUAAAGCAAAAAUGACACUAAGGAUUAAUGUAAUUAUUUUAAAUUAAGGUAAAUAUAUAUUUAAUUAUAUUAAACUUGAACAUUAAUUUGACACAAUGACACAUUAUAAACAAUGAUAUCUUUUAAAAAUUAAAAAUAAUAACAUAAUGACAUUAAAGAUAAUGUGUUAUUGUAAUUAUUUUAAAUUGGCAUAAAGACAUUUAAUUAUUAAAUUUUAAAAUUAAGCGAUUUUAUAUAUGAUAGCGUAGGUUCAUAUUCAUACACCUAAACAUUUUAAUUUAUUUAGUAUAACAUUAAAUAUUUUUCUUUUAUAUAAAUUGAGGGUAUUCAUAUAAUAAACAAUAUAAAAAUGAGACUUUAGCACAUGAAAGGUAAAUUAAUAAAAACUAUUUUAUGUUCAUUUUAUUUCGUUUAUCUAAAUAUUAAUAUUUAUUAAAUUGUUAUAAAGAAGAUUAAGAACAUUUUCUUCUUAAUCAAUAAAAUAUAAAUAUUUAACAAAAUAUAAAUAUUUUUAACCUAAAUUUCAUUGCAAUUAUACAUAUCUAACAUUUUUGUACAAGUAAUUCAAAACUUCUCUACCUUUUUUUAAUAAGAAACAAAAUGUAUUAGAAUAGGGUAAAGCAAGUAUAUAAGAAGGAUAGGGAAUCCUCCCUAGAUUUACAAAAAACUGAUCAAAAAAUGGAAGAUAAAACAUUGUCCAAAAAAACUAAAAAGACCUAUACAUUCAUAUAGAACCAUAUGAUGAUAUACAACAUAAAACCUCUCAUCCAUCCAUGAGGAUUAACACAGCUCCUUCAAAUAGAAAUCGAAACAAAACUCCUCUCUAAACUAACCCUUAUGACUUAUACACCAAAUGUCAGUCAAGUUGGACAACAUUGAGAGGAAUGCCCUUAAACACUAGGCCUAUGAGAUCAAAGGGAAUGGAAAGAAACGAAAUUAGAAUGGGAAGGAAGGGGAAUGAAAGGAAUUAUAAGUCAGGAAUAUUGAAACAUUUACAAGAAUAUCAAGAAAUGGUAGCUCUAAUAAACAUGCCUUCUUUUGAUAUCCUAGGAAUCAAAGUAAACAUGCCAUAAAGUCUUUCAUCUAAUACUAGAAUGGUCAUCCCUCAAGUUAAAAUUAUCCCUCAAUCUUAAUAGAAACCACUUCUCCUACCACAAAUUAUCAACUUUAGAAAGUAGACCUUAGUCUUCCUCCAUGGCAUCAGCAUCUGGCUUAUGCUUAACCUCACUAACUACCAUUUCUGAUUCUUCUCCCACAUUCCCAUAUUUCUUUUAAGUAUGCCCUAGUUAAGAUCACCAAUUUGAUACUUGUGGAUCAAACCGAUGGUCAUAAUACGGUGCCAAAGUCUUGAUUUAUGUACGAUCAUGAGUUUAAACCUCAGAGCUAUUUAUUUUGCCCAUACAUUGAAGGCUGCCCAUUAGGUUGGGUUUUAAGAUUUAAGCCCAAGUCAACUUGAGAUAGAUUGUUGACCUGUUAUCUAACAAUUAAAAGGUCAAACUGACAAUCUUGAUAAUCUCAUCCAAACUUCCUUGAAAAAUAUUACAAAAGAAUCCCUUUUCUUUAUGAUUUUUCAAUCUAUAACUUUCAUCACCCCAUCAAUAUUCUAUAUGAGAAUUUUUUGCUUUCCUAACCAAAUAAUGCCUUUUUCAAUCUGUUACAGCAACUAGUAAUCUCAUAAAGUCAGGCUCUUCCAUAUUUUAUUUUAUCUUAACUAUUUUUUGUAUUUGUCAGACAUGAACUCAUCAGCAAUAAAAUGCACCAUAUUACUAAAUCUCCCUACAACAUGUGUACCCAAAAUUUAACCAAAAAGUUAACGGCAUUAAGUAGUCCAUUCUUUUGCCUUUCAAGUAAUAACAAGCCUUUCUAUAUCAUCAUGUGAACACACUGACUGGAGAUAGAUUAGCAGUCCCAACUUAGAGCCAAAACACAUGUGUAUCCCACAAAACAGUUAUUUUUUAUUCAAUGCUCAAUUUCCCUUUCUCAACAAGUAACAGCUGAAACCCCACCAGAAGCAUGCAUAAUCAAAGGGAAAAAAACCAAUUAAAAAAUGUAGCAUAACUUACAGAUGGUUGAAACACUAUACCUCAUAGCACCAGCAACGAGCAACAUUCCUGAUGGUGUAACCACCACCACCCAGCAGCAAUAGUGGCACAUUGAAUGAUCUCAUAAACCGAACACACUCUGCAUGACCUUUGAUUGAAAGAUUGAAGCAUCCUAACCUGUCCCCAGAUAAGGAGUCAGCACCACACUGGAGAACCACAGCACCAGGUCUAAAAAUUUCCAUCACUUUUCCAAUUAUCGGUUUGAACAAGCAAUGGUAGCUCUCGUCGUCAAUCCCAUCAUCUAAUGGAACAUUAAGGGAGUAAUAUUUCCCUUUCCCAAAUCCAAUAUCACGUAUAUCCCCUGUACCAGGAAAAUAAUCACCAAAUUUGUGAAAUGAAACAGUCAUGACCCUGUCAGUUGUGUAGAAAGCCUCCUCCACACCAUCUCCAUGGUGGAUAUCGAUAUCCACGUAUAAAACACGCUGCAAACAGUCAAUAAUAAAAUUAACAAAAGAAAGGAUAGGAUCUGAAUACAGUAACAGGAAACAAAUAUACUCUUAAAACUAGUAGCCUACUCAUUUGGAUGCAAGACCUAAUUCAAAUUCAAAGACAAGCUUCAUUGCUAAUCAAGUCAGAUCUUCUACCAAUUUAUGGUGCUAAGUUUGAAAGCAUUAUCAUUAUUUCUAAAGUACUAAUGUGGACAUGGACCACAUGGUUUGCCUUGACUACGUGUAUCAUCUGGGAUUAAGAUGACAAUAAAAUGGUGGUCAAACCAACCCAACAACUGAAACUUGUUUGUUGUGACAUAAUUACUGAUGGUUGUAUAGCUGACAUUGAUAACAUAAAUUGCAGUGAGAAUCAGGUUGAAUAAAAAAUAGGCUACAUUAUAAAUCAUAAAAUUUCUUUUUGCUCUCUAAGAAGUUCUAGAAAUGAAAAUUCAAACAACCAACAAGCAAGGAAAUUUGAAAUGCAUUAUUUCUCAGAAUUCAACUCAAAAAUGUCUCAUCCAAGUUACUGGGGUAAGCAAGAAAUAUCUUUUUGUGCCAUUCUUCUACACCUAGUACCACAUCUGCUGCUAUGAAGUGCAUUCACCAUUAGUUUCUGAUAAACAAAAUUUUCAUCUAGCCAUCAUGAAGGACACAUCUAUUCUCUUAAAAUCCAUAGACUAAAGCAUUACUAGUUUCAAAAGACACCAACAAAAUGUCACAACAUACAAUGUAUGGUCAAAGGAAUUCAAACGAAUCAAACCAAAGACAAAAAUCAAUUGGCUGAAGAUUCACAUGAAUUGUGGGAUUCAAAUUGUGAACUCUAAUAUUGAAAAAAAUACUUGUGGUGACAGAAAGUUCAACUGCAACUUUCUAGAUUUCCAAGAAAACAACAUUCUUAAAAUGAACAAUGAAGUAAAAUUGGCUAAAGAUUCAACAGAAACCAUAGGCUAACUCGCAAGCAAUGAGAUUUUCACAAUUACAUUACCAACAUAAAGAUUUGAGGAUGGUAUCCUUAGUUUCCAAACAUAAGAGACUUUCUUUAAAUCUUAAAAGAAAAUUACAGAAGCUGAAUGAAAAUACUAAUCCAAAAUGAGGUUAAAAGAUUACACACUUUAGUAUGUGCAUCUUCAGUAAGAAUGGUAGCAAGACUGCAAAACACCUUUCCAUUUGUUGUGAAAAGGAUUUUUUGUCUGACCCACGUCACUUGGAUUGCUGUCUCAUCUCCUCCAUGACCAAGAUUUCUCAUUUUAGCUUUAUAAUCUUGGAAAAAGGAACACGCUUGGGGCCUCAUACUCUUUUAGCAUUGAUUUAGGUGAUUUUGUUGGACAUAAAUCCAAAAACCUUUUAGGCAAAGUUCCAUUCCUCAUGUUCUAUGUAAUUUAAGUAAUUUCUAAGCCUCUCUUAGGACUCUAGAGACCAAAGAGUUCGAAGAAAAUUUGUCUGCCAAUCCAAUCAGGCUUUUAGUUGUGCCUCUGUUUAUCUAAGGCUCCCAAUGGGAAAGGAGAUUAGAAAUGUGGAUGCUAAGAUGUCAAGAUCUGAGGACAGAGCAAGAGGCAAGAGGUGUUGGAAAUUGUUGGCAAUAAAACCUAUAGGGUUGCAGCUCUAACCAGGAUCAUUGGGAAUAUUUUAGAAAAUUAUAAUGUUAAAGCCUUUUAGCAAUGGGAUUGUCAUGCAAUAAAUAAGGACCCCUAGGGCCUGUUCUGAAGGACACAUUGUGCUUCCUUGGUUGUUUACAUCAACUCUUCUGUUUUUCUCUUUUCUUUUCUUUUUUUAGAAAAUGAAAUAGGGUAAUACUACAGGGAACAUAAAAAAAUAAAAAAAUAAAGUAGGCACACCCUAAUAAAUAGGAAGAAUUCAAAGAACACCAACAAGCAAAAGAAAAAAGACAAUAGAAAAUAAAAACAACAGGCUGCCUGACAUGACUCUUGACACAAAACAUGAACAACCAAAAAGAAUUAAACAUCCCAGGCAAGAAGAUAUUUGAUUCAGCACAUUAUAUGAAGCAUGUGGUCAUCAAUAAUAAGUUGAUAUUUCUAAGGCAAAGCCAAAAAAAGAUGACAAAAGGAGAAGUGGGAAUAAUGCACAAUAACAUUUGACAAACCUCAUGCUGUUUAAGAAGCUCCAAGAUUGCCAGGACAAUGUCAUUCACAUAGCAAAAUCCAGAAGCCUCACACUUCUUAGCAUGAUGCAGCCCACCAGCCCAGUUGAUAGCAAUAUCACAGAAACCAUGAUUUAGCUUGACCGCACCACCAACUGACCCACCAGCAUAAGUUUGACAGAAAGAGUAGAGACCAUCAAAUACAGGGCAGUCUUCACCAACAUUGAAACGCUUUAGUUGCCUCAGCUGAUCCUGUUGUGUUUCAGGGGUGAUACCCCUCAGAAAAGAGACAUAAUCAUCCGCAUGAAACCGGCAAAGAUCUCUAUCUCUGGCAGGACAGGGCUUCAGAACCUGCAUAUGCUGAAGCAAUCCAUAGUGGGCUAGAAGAGCAUGUGUCAUUCUAAUCCUAUGUGGCUUCAUGGGGUGGCCCUGCCCAUAGUAGUAAUUUCCAACCUCUGGAUCAUAGAAAUAUGACACUUUUCUCUUCACCCCAUCAGCUCCAGAUGGAAGGGAAUUGCCUCCCGUAUCCAUUGGCCAAUAAUGCUUUUCACCUUAAAGCAAAACCAAGCAAAUAAAAAAGAGAUUACAUGUGGAAACUUGGGUCUGAUGCUGAAUUGUUCUCUAUUAAACUGAGGAAAAAGCCAAGAAUUCACCAAAUGCCAUAGAAACAAUCAAUUAUAGAAGUCUCAUAUCUAAACAUUUAAAACAAAGGCCAGAUAUUUACAGCUCAAACAAAACAAAUAAACAGAAUAAGGACUUAAGAAACAUUCCUGAGUUUGAACUAUGUUGUAAAUAUUAUAAUUAAAAGAAUAGAAAAGAGAGAGUAGAAAGAACACAAAUAGGUAGACUCCAGUCCUUUAGAUACAACAAUAUAGUACUCUCAAGCUGAGCUAUGUCAGGAUAAGGAUGAAGCUCCCAUGAGACAAGCUCAUGUUGUUGUGUCUAAUAUGCAAUCAAAGAAGAUUCAUUGGAACCGCUAGAAUCAAAACCAUUUCAAACACCCUCUUGGGUGGCUAAUCAGAUAAUUCAGAUCCCACAUUAUGUGGUGACGGUAUCAUAAAGAGCAUGAUACACUUCUUUUCAAUUUUUCUCUGUUAUGUGGGUAGUGGGUGGGGUGAGGGAAGGAUGAGGGGAGGGUUAAGGGUUGUAUUUGCUCUACUUUUUGUUUAUUUUUUGGGAGGAAAUUCAAUAUUUCUGAUUUAGACAUCCAUUGAUCAAAAUGUCAUGCAGGGAAAAAUCAUAUUGUUUCUAUAGUUUCUCCAUGUUAUGAGAGCUGAUAAUGCUUUGUUCUAUGCCAAAAUACUCUUAGCCCAUUUUUUUUAACAAAACAAAUAAAAUAAAAAAAUAAAAAAAAUCAGUUAGUAGAGCAUAAAAAAUGACAUCUACUUGGAUGCAACCCUGAUACACAAAGGUUCAUAUGAAUGUUUAUAAGAAGUUUAUGGGAGCUGCAAUCACAACCAUGUGCCACUGUAUUCUUAAAGGUGAGAUUUAUAAAUCCUCAGUAUCAAAUUAUUUCCAAGUUUUAAGGCCUCACAAAAAUAACUUAAUGGAGUACUAUCGACCACUGCCCCCUACACCCCACCCCCCACAACCCAAUAUCCCACCUCAUCUCUCAUUUAGCAGAAAAUUUUCCAAUCCAACAAUAGUCAGGCUAGACAAAGGGCAAAAGCACUCCCCUCUUCCCCCAAAAUUUAUUUAUUUUUAUAAGAAAAAAAAAAUACUCAGCUCUAAAUAUCUUUCUGAUGAACCUUAAUCAAAUUUUUUGCGAACAAAACCCACCACAAUCCAACAAAAACCACUUCUGGAGGAACUGUUAUGAGAAUAAAUCUUUCAAAUUUAAAGCUUCAAAACAUUGAUAUUGCAUUAAAAGUAAAUAACAUACAUGGUAAAGUCAAAAACAUUUUCAACAAAACCCACCAACAUCAACAGAUUUAACAUAUUAGGUUUGCACAACCAAACAUAGGACCAAUUACAUAACAAAAUGAAUAAUACAAGCUUCAAAAGUUUAAACAAAUUGAUGAGAAAGAGCAUACCUUAGGAUGCACUCCGACCUAUUUUCUUGUUGGACUAGAAAAAAUAUCGCUCCUCAACACUCCAUCAAAGCCCCAAACUGGGCGUAUGCCUCUGUGUGCCUGUGAAUCAAAUAUCAAAUGGUGAUUCUGGUGCCAAAAACAUCUGCCCCUUUUAGUUUAUUUGUAAGUUGGAGCUAAACACCACCAGUUUUAAUUUUUAAUGACUAGGAAGCGGUCCACCUUUACUCCAUCCAUUCAAUAUGUCAAUGUUUUGAGAAAUUUACUUGUUGUUUUUAAGUUAAACAUCAAAAUGUUUUUAAAUAAGUGGCACCGUGACUCAAGAAUCAUUUCAAAAAUAAGUUCACUUAAAAACCAUUCACAAGAUACAAUUAAUGAAGUCGUGAUUAAAUUAUCUAAACCAAAUAUGUUUUAACCUUUAUCUUUUUAAGUUAUAUUUUUACUCUCUAUCAAGUAAUUCAAAAAACAAAAAGCAAAAUUCUAAGGAAAUUAUAUCUCCACCCACCUUAACCUUCAAAAACUAUUAACAAACCCACCUCCCUUAAAUGUAAAUACCCCAAACCCACCCACUUACUUCCCCAUGCACCUUUCAUGUUUGUCAGUAAGUUUAGGUUGGUUGGCAAUUUCAGUCCAAACUUUAUUUUCUCCCAAAUCAAUUGUCUAGAACCCACUCCCGAAUUUCUUGUCUACAAAAGAGUCAAAGUCAACUUCAUUGGCCUGAGGAACAUCAUUUUUGCUUAGGUAACAAUCAUUUUGGGAGUAUAUAUGGGUUGUUUUUUAAAGAUGAGUUAAAAUGUGUAUGGUUUGGAUGCUUAAAGUAUGCCAUACAGCUUGAAAUCAGCCUAUGUAUGAAAUGUUGUUGUUUCCCCUGCCCACCCCACCUCGUUUAAAAUUUUUUUGGGAUGGGGAUAGGAAUAGGUCUAAAUAAUCAAGAAAAUAUUUCAUACUUAGCCAAAUUCAAGUUGUUCAGUAUACAUUGAGCAUCCAAACCAUAAUUUUAAGUCAAUCUUCAAAAACAACUCAUCCAUACACCCAAAACAACUCUUACAUAAGCAAAAGUUAUCCUUCUCAAGUAUGCUUGAAUGAAGAAAAAGAAAGAAGAAAAGGAAACAACCUCAUGGUUCUCAUCAGGAUUGUCGGUAUCCUCUCCUGGAGGUAGGUGCUGGUUCGGUGUCGAGUUGAAGACGUUUGAGAUUAGCAUAGAGGAGCACAAAGGAAAAGUGCAUGGGAAGAUCUGUGAAAGAGGCCCUAAGUUUUCUUCAUGGAUCAAAUUUGGAGGGAAAGGUUUGUCCCUACUGUUAGAAGGGGUUGAGUCAUGCUGUGGGUUAAAGGAAAGAGUUUAUUUCAGGAAGUUUUGGUCGGAAGGAAAUAGAGGCUACAGUUUGGAGCUCCGUAGGAAUAAUGCAGGGAGAUUCUUGUUUUGCGUUGUAAGAGAUGCAGAGAACAAGAGAUUCUCCUUAGCUUUCCCUAAAGGAAGAGGGCUUGUAGGAGGAUGGAAAGUUCUUGCUAGUAAGUUGAGAAGCUGGGGAGUCUCUCCCCUGCAUUGGAAAGGAGCUCUGAUGGAAAGCCGCACUCCUACUCAAGCCCCUAGCAGUAGUAUAAUCAGAGACUCUUCUUCUCUGCGGGAUUGUCCCGCGCCUCGUGACACCGUCUGGAUAGAAGCUGAGAAAGAAGCACUCAAUAGAAACGAGGAGUUGUUGGGUAGGUGCCUUGUGGGCUUUUGAGAGGGAGACUCUAACAGCCUCCCUGACCUUGCUUCCUUCGGGUUGUGGGCAAAGAGCUCCUAGUUUUUGGAAGGGAACCUCUGGCUAUCAAAUGUGAGAGAAAAUCUCCUGCUUUUGGAAUUCAAAUUUGCGGAUGAAGCAGAGAGGGUGUUACAAUCAGGAGCGAGACGCUUCAAAGGAAGAAGCUUCUGCCUAGAAAAAUGGAAGCCUUCUGUGGGUUGUUUUGAGGGAGACAGAGGGGACCCGCGCCUUGUUUGGGUCAGAAUUCUUGGCCUCCCUCUACAUCUUUGGGGAAGAAGUCUCAUUAGAAAGUUUGGAGACUCUUGCAGGAGGUUCAUGGUUGUGGACGAAAACACAGUCGAACGUUGGAACCUUAAGUGGGCCAGAAUCCUCGUUGAAAUCAAAGGGUGGGAGCACCCAAGUUCGCUGCAAGUUGUAGCUAGUCCCUUUUGCUUCGUUUUGCAGCUCUAGUGGGAAAACGAGGCAUGCAUCUCCACUGUGCUCCCCUCCCUUGGAGCCGGUGCUUGGAAGCUCGAGGAAGACGAGGCGGCCCCGUCACGCGCCAAGGGGAGCUUAGGCGCCUAGCCCUCCCCUUCAGUCUUUCCGCAGCCUGAAAAGCAGCUCCCACUAGUCUUGGGAAGUCAUGCCCCUCUCUCGGACAUGACUGGUGCAGCAGCCCCCCCCCACCCGCCCCCCGCCCCCCCCCCCCCCCCCCACAUGUCAAUGAGACGACUAGUAAGUAUCCUUGAUAUGUCAAAUAAAGAUAUNNNNNNNNNNNNNNNNNNNNCCGUCGAAGCUCACAACCUUCAAGGUACGCUCUCUCUGCCUCUGAUCUCCCCGAGAGGGGAGUCCUCUUCUUCUACUCCUUUCUGGGUUUCGGGGCUUGAGAGGGAAAAGGGUUCUUGCCCUAGUCUACUGGAGUCGAUGCUUAGAGAGGCGGAAGCGACACCGAUGAAGGAUGGGUCGACAGAGAUCUUGAACCCUGAUCUGGAAAAAGACGUGGCGAAAUAGAGAGACCUAUUGGCUACUCCUCCGUGUGCAAAAGGAUGGUCAGAAGAGGAGCUUUCCAAACUUUUCCACUUCAGUAAAGUCUUGGGAAUGCCUGUUGAAGGGCAUGAAGUUGAAAUCCUGGCCCUGCUCAAGAAAUUGAAGCUGAGAACUGGAAGUAGCACCCUUAGCAAGAGAAGGAAAAAGAAAAAAUCUUGCAUCACCCACUUCGAAAGAGAGUUAAAAAGAUUGGAAUGCUCUGUUAGCUAAGGAGGGACAUUAGGGAUAACCAAAAAAUCAGGCCAGAGCUCCAGGGUUUUGAUUCCAGUUGAUUAAUGAGAAUCAAAAUUCUCUGCUGGAAUGUCCGUGGGCUUAAUGAUUUUGAGAAAAGAAAGCUAAUCAAGGGAGUGGUGAGGAAUCAAAAACCAUAUUUGGUUUGCCUCUUAGAGACGAAGGUAAAAGAAAUGUCUCUACAAAUGGUAAAAAGCAUGGGUGUAGGAAGAUUUCUUAAUUGGGCGUCAGUGGACGCUAGGGGUGCAGCAGGAGGCCUCCUUCUCUUUUAGGAUAACAAAGUUCUGGAGAAUUUGGAGGUUGAAAGCAGAGGGUACUCCAUCUCUGUUCGAUUUAGAAAUUGUGUUGAUGGCUUCUCUUGGAUUUUCUCUGGAGUGUACGGGCCAGUGAUUGGCAGCGAAAAGCAAGAUUUUUGGGAGGAGCUUGGAGCCAUCUGUGGCCUCUAGGAUAACCCUUGGUGCGUAGGAGGGGACUUUAACUCUGUAAGAUUCCCAGAGGAAAGAAGGAAUGCCCCUAGCCUCACAGCUAAAAUGAGGAGAUUUUCAAAGGUGAUAGGGGAGCUGGGGCUAAGGGAUUCUCCACUAAUUAGAGGUCCCUUCACUUGGAUAGGGGGUUUGAACUCUCAAGCUGCCUCUAGAUUAGACCGUUUCUUGAUUUCGAAUCAAUGGGAGGACCAUUUUUCAGCCAUCACACAAUCAGCUCUACCUCGUAUGGUCUCCAAUCACAGCCCCAUAGUCCUAGAAGCUGAAGGUUUCUCUUCAGGAAAAAGCCCCUUCCGUUUUGAAAAUAUGUGGCUGAAAAUAGAUGGAUUCAAAGACCUAGUAAGAAGCUGGUGGAAUGGGUAUUCUAUAGAAGGCUAUAGCAGUCACUGCAUUGCUAAGAAACUCAAAGCGCUUAAGAAGGACCUGAAAAUAUGGAACAAGGAGGUGGUAGGCAACGUCUCUUCCAAUAGAGCAGAGGCCUUCGCUCACCUGCAGUGUUGGGAAGCCAAGGAGAAGGAGAACCCUCUUAAUCCUAGAGAUAUGGAGGCUAAAAAUUUGGCUCUUAAGGACUAUAAGAUAUGGGCCCUUAUGGAAGAAACUUCUUGGAAGCAGAAGUCAAGAGAAAUUUGGUUAAGAGAAGGCGACAAAAAUAUCAAAUAUUUCCACAAAAUGGCCAAUGCUAGGGCAAGGAAGAACUUCUUGUCUAAAAUUAGAGUGAAUGGGGUGACUCUCUCUUCCAUUGAAGAUAUAAAAGAUAGUGUUUGUAAAACCUACCUGUCCUUCCAUUUAAUUUCAAGGAGCUGGGAGAAGGAGUGGCCAACAGCCUGGAAGUUAUGUUCUCUGAGGAAGAAAUCUUUGCAGCCCUUAGCAGCUGCUGUGGGGACAAAGCCCCAGGCCCAGACGGCUUCACAAUGGCAUUCUGGUUGUUUUGUUGGGACGUUGUUAAACCAGAAAUUUUGGGUCUCUUCAGGGAGUUUUAGCUCCAUGGAACCUUCCAGAGAAGCUUAAACUCCACGUUCCUCUUGCUCAUUCCCAAAAAGAAGGGGGCCGGAGACCUAAGAGAUUUCAGACCAAUCAGCCUGGUAGGGAGUGUGUACAAACUGCUGGCCAAAGUCCUAGCAAAUAGGCUGAAAUCAGUGAUGGGGGAGGUGAUUUCUGAUUCUCAGCAAGCUUUCGUCCAAGGAAGACAGAUUCUGGACGCCGUUCUUAUUGCUAACGAAACCCUUGAUUCUAGAUUGAAAGACAACAAGUCGGGUCUCCUUCUUAAGAUGGACAUCGAGAAAGCUUUUGACCAUGUCAAUUGGGACUUUCUCAUGGAGGUAAUGUUCAAGAUGGGAUUUGGGCAUAGAUGGAUUAAUUGGAUGAGAUGGUGCUGCUCUACGGCAACCUUCUCGAUCCUCAUCAAUGGGAGACCUUCGAGCUUCUUUCGUAGCUCUAGGGGAUUGAGACAGGGGGACCCCCCUUUCCCCAUAUCUGUUCCUUUUCGCCAUGGAAGUCCUUAGCCAACUGUUGCCUUGUGCAAGAAACGGGGGCUUUAUUUCUGGCUUCAGAGUGGGAGGAAGAGGAAGAGAGGGAUUGAUCGUGUCCCAUCUCUUGUUUGCCGAUGACACCUUGAUCUUCUGUGACACCAAAGCAGAUCAGCUACAAUAUCUUAGCUGGACCUUCAUGUGGUUUGAGGCGAUUUCAAGAUUAAAAGUCAAUCUGAGCAAAACUGAGGCCUUUCUAGUGAGGGAAGGCAUUCCUAUGGAGACCCUCGCCUCGGUACUGGGAUGCAAGAUAGGGAGUCUUCCUACCACCUAUUUGGGUCUCCCCCUUGGAUCCCCCUACAAAUCCACCAGGGUAUGGGAUACAGUGGAAGAAAUAUUCAGGAAAAGGCUAUCUCUCUAGAAAAAGGCAAUACCUUUCCAAAGGCGGCCGUCUUACCUUGUUAAAAAGCACCCUCUCUAGCCUCCCAACCUACUUCCUUUCCCUAUUUGUGAUCCCUAAGAGGGUGUGUGCAAGGCUUGAAUCCAAAGGGAUUUCUUAUGGGGCGGUGGUGCCUUAGAGAACAAGCCUCACUUAGUAAGUUGGAAGGUUAUCUGUGCUGCUAAAAAGGAUGGAGGCUUGGGCAUUCGCAAUCUAUCUAUUUUUAACAAGGCCCUUCUUGGGAAGUGGUUGUGGAGAUUUGCUAAUGAGAAUGAGUCCCUAUGGAAGCAAAUUAUCUCUAGUAAGUAUGACCUUCAAGAUGGGGGAUGAUGCUCCAAAGGUGUAAGAGAUCGUUAUGGGGUGGGGGUUUGGAAGGCCAUCAGAAAUGGUUGGGAAAGCUUCCGUUCUCACUCCCGCUUCAUUGUAGAGGAUGGCAUUAGAGUGAAGUUUUGGAAAGACUUGUGGUGUGAAAACCAAUCCUUGGAAGAAGCUUUCCCCACCUUGUUUAAUCUCUCCGUCAACAAAGAUAGCUGGGUUGCUGAGGCUUGGGAGGAAGACGGAGUUGGGGGAAGCUAGGGGCCUCACUCUAAUAGACACCUUAAUGAUUGGGAGGUGGGAGAAGUUGAAAGCUUGUUAGGCAAGCUCCUCCCUAUGACCAUUAGAAGAGGUGUGGAUGAUUCGCUCCGGUGGAAAGAGAACAAGAAUGGAACCUUUUCAAUUAAAUCAUUUUAUAGCUCUCUCUCAAGGGGCAUCAAAACCCCCUUCCCGGCCAGAACUAUUUGGACGCCUUGGGUCCCAAUUAGAGCUAGCUUCUUUGGUUGGGAGGCGGCUUGGAGUAAGCUGCUCACCACUCACCGUCUGAAGAGAUUUGGUUGGAGCAUUCCCAACAAGUGCUUUUUGUGUAAAAAUGAGGAGGAAACCAUAGAUCACCUUCUUUUAUUUUGUGAAAAGACCAGAAUGUUAUGGCUUUUGAUUUUUUUCCUAUUUGGGGUGCAAUGGGUGAUGCACUCCUCUGUGAAAAGGAACAUCCUGGGUUGGCAUGGUUCUUUUGUGGGCAAAAAAAGAGAGAAAGCUUGGAGAGCGGCCCCCCUCUACCUGAUGUGGACCAUUUGGAAAGAAAGGAAUAGGAGGGCUUUCGAUGAUAUUGAGAGGAACGACCAAGAUAUUAAGUCCAUUUUUUUGUACACUUUUGUGAAUUGGGCUAGGGUGUAUAUAAAGGAACACACUUUCUCUUUAAUAGAUUUUGUAGAUUGGCUAGCCACCAAUUAAGGGUGAGGCUUGUUUGCCCUUUGGUGUUUUACUUCUUUGUAUCUUGGUAUACUCCGUGUAUACUCUUUCCUUUGCCUUUUGGCCUUUAAUGAAAUUACUUUACCUAUCAAAAAAAAAAUGUUAUCCUUCUCAAGCCAAUGUAGGUUAAUUUGACUCUCCUAUAGGAAAAAAGUUCAAUAGUGGAUUCAAAAUAACCAAGUUGGAAGAUAAUCAAAUCACAAGGAAAUUUCAUUAGGAUCAAUUAGAAGAUGUUCAGAGCUAAGAAUUUUAUUCUUUUAAAAAUCAACAUAGGUUGUGGAAGAGGGGAAUGCUUUUGCCCUUUUUCUAGCCCAACUAUUGUUGGAUUGGAAAAUUUUCCAAAAGACAAAAGAUGAGGAUCUUCUUGAUGGGAUGUUGGGGUUGGAUGAUAUUCUGUUAAGUUAUUGCAGUGAGGACUUAAAACUUGGAAAUAAUAGCCUUUCAUCAGGAUAGCCAUGUCAUAUUUUCCUUCCCUAGAAGUUACGAAAUAGAAAAAGGAAAAAAAAAAUGUUGACUUAUCCUUCUAUGCCUAGCAGAUUAGAAGAACCCCAAAUGCUCAUCUAAUUUAACAAAGAAAUAAUAGAAACAAUCUGAUCUUUCCGUGCAUAGCAUUUUGAUCAAUGGAUUUUUUUUUUCUUUUUUUGUUAGGUAAAAGAAGUUGUAUUAAACUAAUGAAGGAUGCAUAAAAGAAAUAUUAAAUUCUCUCUCAAAAUUAAGAAAAAAAAAAAUUAAAGGACAACCCCACUUCCCCACCCCCAGCGUGCAAAAAUAAAUAAAUAAAUAAAACAGAAUGUAUGAUGCUCUUUAUUAUACCCCCACCACAUAAUGUGGGAUCUAAACAUCUGAUAAACCAUCCAAGAUGUUUGAGCUGAUUUUCGUUUCCAACAAUUCUAAUAAAUCUUCUCUUUUGCUUGCAUACUAGACACAACAACAAGGGCUAAUACUAUGGGAGCUCACGUAGCUCAGUCGGGAAUGUUGCUUAAGCACUUGUUUUGCUUUUUCUUUUCUUUUCUUCUCCUUUCCUUUUUUUUUUUUUCUUUUCUUUUCUUUAUUUGUUUUCCCUGUUUGAGCUGUAAAUGAGACGGUCUUGGUUUUAAACAUUAGAUAUGGGGCCUCUAUAAUUGAUCUGGUGUCUAAAGAAUUUUGUAAACUCUUACACUUUUGCCUAGUUUAAUGUAGGUUAAAAUUUUCAGCAAUAGCAUUAAAGAGAAACUCUAGCCCUCUUUUUGGUUAACAAGAAAAUGGAGCAAUAAAUUAAAACAACAUUUUCAUUCCUAUGUUAUCUCCCAUCUCUUUCUUCCAAACAAAAAAAACCUCAGGUCAAGUAAGCCAAAGUCCAAACAGUCCUAGAGUGGCAUUUUUCUGUAUUCCCGCAUCCAUAGUUAGUGAAAAUUUUACAAUUCAAAAUUUUAUUUCCUUUUGUCAUAUUUCCUCUGCAUCUAAAUUAAAUGUAGUUUUAUAUAAGAAAAGAUUCCCGAAAGCAAAGACCAAAACUCCUAAAAUAUUUUAUUACGAACGACAAUCCAAACUUGCAAUAGUUUCACGCUGCUCAAAGAGAAAACCUAGAUUUCAAAACUUCCAGCAAUAGCAUUCCCAAGUUAUAAAGCACUCAGAGUGACAACCCAAACCUCUGUUCGGUUAGCAAGAAAAACGAAGAAAAAUAAAAGAAAAACACAUUCUGAUUCCUAGGUUAUCUCUCUCACUUCCAUUGCUGCCAAAAAAUCCAAAAAAAAAAAAAGAUCAACUAAGCCAAGGAGUUGUAUGAGUUUUAGGUAAAGUGCCAAUUGAAGCCAUCUCGAGCCCCGGAUGGUGAAAAUUUUAUUUCUUUGCAUUCUCUCAUUAUUUUAUCAGCAUCCAAACGAAUUUACCUAACCUAGAAAUUGAUUGAUUAACAGAGAUUGGAGAAGUACCUUGAACUCAGAGAUCGCUCGAAAGGCAGCGUUUGGAGAAGAAAUGAUCGAAUGCUGAGAGCGAUGUUCGUGCUGCAAGCAAUCCUCGAAAAUAAGCUUUUAGCGUAAAGUCAGGUGAUGAUGGGCUAAAGGGCCUCCACAAUUUUUACUUUCUUUAAAUAAAAAAAACUUUAAAAAAACUUCUACAAAAUUGGAUGAGACGCUUUUAGUAUAUUUUAAAUUAUUUCAUCUUUAUAUAAAUAAAUAAAAAAAAGGGAAAAAAAUGAGUGAAUGAUAUGAUGAAAUAAAUAAAAAUAAUUUAUUCGCUUUUUUUUCUAAUUUUUCUUCAUUUUUUUUCUUUUUAUUUUUUCUCCUAUUUUCUUUUUCUAACAUUUUACUUACAAUUUUUUUAAAGACCCAAAUAUGUGUUAGGAUAGAAAAGUAUAACAUGAUAUAAUAGAUUUGAAAUUCAUUGUUUAUUUAAUAAUAUUCAAAUUUCACUUUUAUUCAUCUUUAUUCCAUACAUUGUACUUUAUGACAUUAUCGCUUACCAUCUAUUACAUUAUACAUGACUUGGGUACAUUAAGAAUUGUAUAGAAGAUCCAAGUCAUAAGUUCUUUUCAAGUAGAUGAUUUGUUCAUAGUUAAUUCAUAGACUUAAAAUAAUCCAUUAGAUGUUGUAGUGCAUUACCUCUAAAUUGGAGGGAUGAUUGGUCUUGGCCUCAAUAUGUGUUUUCCAUAGUAAGUACAUUAGUGUGUAUGGUUACACAUUGAACAUGACUUAUAGUGAGUCAUGACAUAAAACUGUUAACUAUGGAAAACACAUUUUGAGGCUAGGACCAAUCAACCCUCCAAUUUAGAGGAAAUGCACUUCGACAUCGAAUGGAAUGAUUUUAGUUAAUGAAUUGNNNNNNNNNNNNNNNNNNNNNNNNNNNNNNNNNNNNNNNNNNNNNNNNNNNNNNNNNNNNNNNNNNNNNNNNNNNNNNNNNNNNNNNNNNNNNNNNNNNNAUUAGUGUGUAUGGUUACACAUUGAACAUGACUUAUAGUGAGUCAUGACAUAAAACUGUUAACUAUGGAAAACACAUUUUGAGGCUAGGACCAAUCAUCCCUCCAAUUUAGAGGUAAUGCACUACAACAUCUAAUAGAUUGUUUUAAGUUUAUGAAUUGAUUAUGAACAAGUCAUCUACUUGAAAGGAUUCCAUGACUUGGAUCUUCUAUACAAUUCUUAAUGUACUCAAAUCAUGUAUAAUGCAAUAGAUGUUAAGCGAGAAUGUCAUAAAGUACAAUGCAUGGAAUAAAGAUGAAUAAAAGUGAAACUUUUAAGGACUCUAUCCUAACACAUAUUUGAGUCUUCAAAAAAUUUGUAAGUAAACAUGUAAGAAAAAGAAAAUGGGAGAAAAAAAAGAAAGAAAAAAAAAUAGGAAAAUUAGAAAAAAAAGCUAAUAAAUUAUUUUUAUAUACUUUGUCAUAUCAUUCACUCAUUUUUCCCUUUUUUUUUUUAUUUAUAUAAAUAUGAAAUAAUUUAAAAUAUAUGAAUUUCUUAUUAAUUAUAAUUAUAUUUGAUUUUUUUUUUUCAUUAUAAACUAAAUAUGAUAAAAUUAUUAUUUUUAGUAUAUUUUUCCUUUCCUUGAUAUUUUUCGAAAAUGAAAGAUAGCAGAAAUUUCUACUUUAAAGAAAGCUUAAAACUUGGCUUUGGAGUCACCCCAAAGAUCUUCAUCCAAAUAAAAGCAUAAAGCAUGAGGGCUCCUUUUUGUAUAUAAAUGAUAUUUUAUUGUAUAAAUUAUUACACCAAUUAGAAUCAAUAUUUUGAAGGGGAUGAAGGGUGUCAAAUAUAAAUUUGAAGGAUGUUUCCCAUCAAUAAUAGACAAGUUGUAACUAAUAUUCAAUAUCAUGCACUCAUCAAUGCAAUUAUUAUUGUUUCUUCAUGAUUAUUUAAUAGAUAAAAAAUAAUUAGAUAAAUUUCAUAUAUAUUAAAGAGCCACACUAAAAUAGCUUCCUCUGUUUGUUUGUUUGUUUGUUUGUUUUUUUUUUUUAAAGUUGAAAGCUGAAAUCAAAGUCAUUAUCUAAUAGAAUAGUAUAGGCAUAAGCAUAAAAGAACUUCCCUAAACCAAAACAGAACUAGUAACAAUAUUUUGAGUUUUAGGCCAAAUCGAUCAUUUUAUGAAAAAAUAAAUAAAUAAAUAAAUAAAUUUAACUAUUUUGUCAAACUUUUAUUCAAAAUAACCCAUAGAGUUAUACCAUUAAUAUAUAUAUAUAUAAAUUUAAAUUAAAAAAAUAGGAUUUCAAUUAAAAAAUAAAGCCUCAAUUACAAAUUAUGAUUUUAUUUUUUUAACUGAAGUUUUAAAAGGCCCAAAGGAAAUAUUUGUGAUCAUAGGGGCCAUUUUGACCCAAAAAUCCAACAUUUUCAUGACUUUUAUAUUAAGUUUUUUGUUAAAUCAUAAGUUCUUCAAAUAAAAUAAAUUAAAUAGACAUAGAAUAUUUUAUUAAGCUUAAAAAGGUGUUUUUAACCCUUAUAAGUUAAUCAAACAAGACCUGAGAAGUGAGUGUUAUCUGGCACAAGGGAUUCGAUUUUGUAUUUGGAAUGAAAUGAAAAAUUCCAAAACUUUGAAAUGAAUUGCAGACUCAAUGAAUGAGCCUCCGCCUCCAAACAAUAAUAAGAGGUGAGACCAGGUGGAAAAACUCCCUCAUCCUAAUAUCUUCAGCCUUUGGCCUCUUAAGCCAUUCCAGAAGGCUGCCGCGUUUACUACUUUUUUACCCGGCAGCUGAACUUCCAGUACCUGAUUCACAUGCAAAAGUCGAUACUAAACUACUCAUUUGCAUCCAACUUAACACUUUUAACAGAAAACAACAGAUUUUACCUCAAGGGCGCUGCUUCCACUGCAUGGAAAUACCAAUGCAUCCUUAAUGAACCUCACGUCAUCUGCUUCGUUCACCUGAAUGUUGCUCUGCCCACAAACUCUCGUAGUGAUAAUUUUAAGGUCCAGAACAUUGUGCUCUCCAUUUUUGUCGUCAAUGACUACCACUUUAGCUCGGGUUCCUGGCCAUCCUGCAAAUGCACGAACCUGGAAGGGUUGUGUGUCUUGACUAGAUGGUCAAAUUGAGAGAGAAAGAGCUAACCUUAUUAUGCAGUACUGAAGCUUCUUGAUCAAAGGAUAGCCAUGAUUCUUCAGGUGUUAUCUGUAUAAAGUAGCCAACUUAAAUUGGAGUGAGGCCAGUUUAUUUGAUUCAUGCAGGCUAAUAGAGCAGCAUGAGUUAUUCAGGAAAACACUCAGCAUAGUUUCUUUCAACCUAGUUCAGUUGAUUUAUUCAAAAUAUUGGGAUAAUAUUUGCAGCCACAUGCCCAUCAAGCUAUUAAGGCUCAUCAUAUAAAUGUGAAUUUGAAAACCAAAAAAUUGGGAUGAAAUUUACCGAAAGAUCCAUCCUUUCACCUGUUAUCCUAGCUCAACUCCAUAACUUGAUUGUUAUACAAGAAAUCGCCCAAACCAGUUUUUCCUUUUCAACUGAUACAUUUUGUUAUCCAUUUUAUCUUUUGGAUCCUUAGGUUCACUUUCCCUUAAAUCCAGCCAAAAAGACAAAAGAAAAAAAAAAAAAAAAACAGUGGCAAAACCUUCAUUGUUAAAAUUACUUUCAUGAUAGACCAUUAAAACAUAAAGAAAAUCUACUUCCAGUUAGGAAAAGAAAAGACAAAAGAAAAAAAGAUGAUCCAUUUGCCCCAUGGAACCAGAUUUCCAAGAUCAUAUCUUACUAGAUAUCAACUUCAGCUACUAUGUUGUGGAUGAUGAGGACUUCCGUUUCAAGAAAAAUGUAAAUCAAGAUAAAAUAAUAAAGAGAAUGCAACAGAAGUUUAUUCCUAAGGUUAGCACUGGAAGAAUCCCACCAAUAGCAUCGGAAGCAAGAAGAAGAAAAUGGGUGAAAUCAAGUGUGAUCCUCCCAGAGCGCUAGAAGCAAUAAAUAACUUCCUCAAAAUCCUCUAUCAUUUUUUUUUCACAAACAGCCUGAAAAAGAAACCACCCUACGAGUUGUGUAUUAGGUCUUUAGCUCAAGUCAGCUUCAUAUUAUUGGACCAUUACUUAAUAGUUUAAGAUUUAGUAAUAAUAGACCCUUGGUCCAAAGGAGGUCACAAAUUCAAAUCUCACUGCUUGUUUAUUUCUCACAUUCAUUAAAGCCCACAUGGAACCCCAUAGAAGGCUUCCCAUGAGGCAUGGUGUUAGAGCAUUUAGCCCAAGUCAACUUGAAACACAUUAUUGGCUCAUUACAUAAUAGCUAAGCUUUGGGUCAAAUUCAUCACACACGGUGAAGAUAUUUCAAGAUGUUUGGAAACCAUAAAGAAAUAAAGGGUUUGUUUGUUAACUAUUCUAAAAAAUAGAUUCCUAUAUUUUAAAAUAUAAAAUAGGAAAAUAUAUUUGACAACCAGAAAACAGUUUUUUGAGAACAUAUUUUAAUUGUUUUCAUUUGUUUUAUGAGUGUUGCUUUAAAAAAUAAUGGAACAAAUAUGAAGAAUAACUGAAAAUAAAACAUUACAUAUAAAAUUUAUUUUUAAAAAAUAUUUGGAAACAUAGAAAAAAGAAGUUAGAAGACAUUCCAAGUUCCCAAAUAAACUUUUGUUCUAAAAAACAUCAAAGAACUGUUCUCAAAAACCAUUUUUUGAGAAUAGUUUUCUAAAAUGUUUCCAAAUAGACCCAAAUUAUUCAACUCAGUUUUUCAUAAGAUUUGAAUAAAUAGAUGUUUGUCACAUAAAGUGAUACAACAUUACAACCUACUAUGCUACAUCAAGACAAAAAUAAAGAAAAACAUAUGGUGUCAUAUUUUUAAAUUGUGAAAUGUUGUUAUUCCAAGAUAAUAGAACACAGUUCAAAUUCCAUACAAAACAAAACAAGUUCAUUUCAAAUGCUACUAAAACCAAAAUAAAUUAAUUGCAAUGUUCAAUUUCCCUUGGUGUUCUUAAUCUAUGUGCGAUGAAGUCACAUCCUAAUACACAAAAGUAUGAUGCAUAAGACCACAGCCUAAUAAUAAGUGAUUCUUUGUGAGUGUCAUAUAUCCUACUAAAUGAGAUACCAGUUCCAUUUCUGUUGCUAAGUGAAAAGAGGGAAUACCUUUGGAGCCAAAGUUGCUUUGGAGUCAUCUUGGGGUUGUGCUUUCAGGUUUGCUGAUCCAUCAAAUAUAGAGGGAAGUUCAUGGAUCAGAAGCUUAGAUCCUGCAUGGGUUAAUAGAGAUCAUUCAUCAACAAGAACAAGACAAGGGCAUAUGUUCAGCUGGCCAAUAUUUUUACACAACAGAUAUUCAACUCAAACUGAGAAGUACAUACUAUGCUAUACUCAUUGAUAAAUUUAAGCUAGACAAACAUACCUAAGAAGAAAGCCUAUCAAAACAAACAUAAAUGAGAAGAAAAAUAAAUGAUAUAAAAAAUAAUCACCAAGAGCUGAUCAGAUAAACAAGAUUUCAUGGCUUCCCCUCUCUAAAUCUUUGGGCUUGCAUGUUAUCAACAAACCUUUAUAGUUCAAUCAUGCAAACCUCUUAACAUGUUCCUUAAAUUAUUAAAUGCUCCCAAAUACACACACACACAAAACUUCUUGGUAUAGACCUACGAUAACUUCCUGUAAAACCCUAUUGUGAAGUUUACAAUUGGAUUAGACACCACUACUGUAACACAAUGGUCUCUCUCUCUCUCUCUCAUACACACACACACACGACAAAUUACAUUACAUGUGGUGUAAAACUUCUUGUUAUACACCCACAGUAACUUUUUAUAGAAUCAAUGUGUUGUCACUUGGACACCAUCACCACUCUCUCUCUCUCUCUUUCUCUCUCUUAUUUUUUAUGACAAAGUUAAAAGGGAAAUCUAAUUUGGAGUACUCUAUAAAAGGAAAAUUUCAACUUAUCAAUACCUCUUGAGCAUGACCAAAUAUUCUUCUAGUUCACCAAAAGCUCACAAUUUGCAUUACCUGAUUUAGUGAACUCCUCUAAUGCAAAAUCCUCACAUUUAUCCAUGUCAUGGUUAAAAAUGAAGGAAAAAAAAUGAUUUGGGAGCAUUGCAAUUUCUCUAAUGUUGAAGGAGAACAAUCCUACCAUCAUAUCAGCACUGUGAUAGCUCCAAAGAACAUUCUCCCAUACAAGAACCCUUUAUUGAGACAGGUGCUAAUAUUAUAAUUAGAGGCAAAUGCAAAAAUGUUUAUGUUAUGUGGGGACCAGCACAUGCCAUGUGGUCCUUUUGGCACAAAACAAUAGGCCCACAUGUGAACAAGGAUUUGCCAUCAACAACUCAACAUAUAUAUUGACAAUGUAAAUUCUAAGGACGCAUCUUAUGUAUUGAAAUCGUUAGGGUUUUGUGUCCACAGUUGUUCUUUCCAAUUGUGAGGAGAAGGCACUUCGACCUAUGGAAUCCCUCAAUCACAAAUUUCUUUUACAUAAUAUGAUUCUCAAUUUUAUAAUGUAUAAAUGACCCACACCUUCAUUAUCUUAGAAGAUGCCUACCUUUCAUCUUGAAUAAUAUCUUUCAAACCUCCAUCUCCCCACCCCUAAAUAUCAGGCCUCAUCUCAUGCAUAUCCAGAUCACAUCUGAUUUUUUCAAAAAGCAUUAUUAGAUUUUGGACACAUACAAAGUGACUCAUCUAUAUCCAACAAGAAUAGGAAGUGUCCUCGCUGCAGAGAAAUUUUGUUUAUUUAAUAUACAACAAGGCCCAAUCAUAUUCAGCUCACAACAGAUACUGUUUAAAUCCAUCUGGACAAUCAUUAAUUGUCCCAAGGUGUAGUCCAGAUCAUCAGGACUCAUCCAUGCAUAUCCAGACCAUGUCUGGUUUUUCCAAAAUGAAAUUUUAAAUUUAUGACACAUAAAAUGAAUCAUCCAUAUCCAACUAGAAUAGCACACUUUUUCUUUGAAGAAUAUCUGUGCUUUAGAGACAAUUUGCAUAUUAAUAUUUUUUUUUUGAUAGGCUACAAUUUGCAUAUUAAUAUAUGACAAGGUGCUAUCAUAUUUGUUAAGCUACCAAGUUUUCUAAAAGCUUAAACUCCUCACAUGUGCCCCUACCCGUACAUGAAGAGACAAUUAGUAGUUAUAAAUUUCAGAUAAAUAGAUAGGGGAAUGAAUAGGAGAGACUCGAAUUUGAGAUCUCUAGAUGACCAUAGAUCUCAAACCAUGUUAAACUACCAACUUUUCUAAAAAACUUAAACUCCUCAUGUGUGACUAUAUCCAGACAUGGAGAGAUAAACUAGCAGUUAUGGAUUACAAACAAAUAGAUGGGGUAAUAAACAAUAGGAGACACUUGAACUUGAGACAUCUAGUUAACCAUAGCUCUAAUACCAUAAUAAGCAAUCAAAUUUCCUAAAAACUUAAGUUGUUAGGACAUGGACUCAUAAUAUAUACCAAGCAAACAAUAUUCUGCUCACAAUGGAUAUUGUCAAAGUCCAUCCAGACCCUAACCAAAUCAUCAAUCACACAAGGCGGAAUCUCAAACCUUACUUUUGUUAGGCAAUUGAAAAUUGCUCAUUAGAUUUCAGUGAUAAUCUAAAUUAUGAAAAGUUGGCUUUAGCUUUGCUAUUCUUUGGUUGGGUGACUUUUGGUGUCACUUGUAUACCUUAUAUGUACAUAAGGUGGCUCCAUCUUUUGCUGGUGCCUAUUAAUUUACAUUCUGUUUGCCAAUCAAAAAAUACUCUAAGACCCUAGUAAUUGGCUGCUUAUGGCAUUCAAACAUUAAGUUCUCGUUAUCUCUAUAUUAAGUGCUAAUGUGAUCUAGGAGGUAAGUUUGCUGCUGAUGGCUUUCUACCUCACCAAACUUUUGUUUCCUUUAUUCUGUCUCUUGCAUAUGCCAUACUCCGAGUAAAUGGGUUACAGCUCCUUCCAGCGUCUUUAAUGGAUUUUUCUAGCUUACUUUUACUAAAAAAGAGACUUAUCCCAAAAUUAAGUGCCAUAUCUCAUAAUUUAACAAUAUAUAAGUUCCUCUAUUUUCGUGCCCGUGCAUUGCAAUAAAGCACAGCUAGAAUAUACCAAAAAAAAAAAAAAGGGGUAGAACAAACACACCUUGAGAAAAUAGCAAUGCAAGUAAAUCAGUUGCCUGCACGCAGAUCAGUAGAAACAUUAGUCAGAAUAUUCUCAGGAAGUAAUUAAUGCCUAGUAAGAGUGCAAAUGGAGAAAAAGUGAUUACUUCAUUUGAUCACUUAAUUCUUAACUAAAUGAAUCAUGCAUAACCUAAAAUUACAGGCCAUAUUUUUAAUAAAAAAGAAGUGAAAAAAAUAAAAAAAUAAAAAAGAAAGAAAAAGAAAAAAAGACAGUAGAAAUUCUGCUGAGAGCGAAAGAGAGAGAGAGAAUAUCUUCUCUUUUACACAAUCCCCCUACGUUUUCCCUAAGCAGAUAAAAAUGCCUUCUAUAAGUGGUUCUCACAUGAAGGUCAGCCUCUUCGAGAUUUAGGGGUCCAAUCAAGCAUAAGCUCAGACAAAUUAGCUAUAUCAAUAAUCUGUCUGGCAAUUGCAGUGAAGGAAGGAUACAGAUAGCAGACUUAAACAAGUACCUUUUAGAAAGGAAACUGGAGUCCAUCAAUCUACACAAGUCUUGGCCUCAAAUAUAAAUUGGACUAACCAAAUCUUAAUCAUUCAGCCUCUAUCAAUUUCAGAUAAUAUCAAUUUAGCAGUUCAAGAGAAGCACUAUGCACACCUUAAUUUGGUCAUCAACUUCAAAUCUUUCACAGGCAAUGACAGGUCCAGCAUCCAGAGCACGGACUGUGAAUGCCAGUGAUACUCCUGUUUCUUUAACGCCAUCCUAGUACAGAAAUUUAUGAGUGUGAUGGUACAACUUAUAUAAGGAAGCAAGCAUUCAAAAAAUAUAAAUGUUGAAAGCCCAAAAGGACAAGAAACCUGCAAUGCUCUUUGAACAGGAGCAGCACCACGGUACAGAGGCAGCAGACUUGGGUGUAUAUUGACUGUUCCUGAGAAAUUACAUUUGGACAUGCAAAAAUUUAGUAUCAGAUUUUUUGGGCCCCGAUGAAAAGAACUCUUAGCUUGAGCACCCCUGUUUUUUUAUUUACUUUAGAAAGUUGAUAAUUUAACUAAAAAAAGUACCCCAGAUGAUAGAAGUCACCAUAUCAGACCAAAUACAAGCAUUGGUAGGUGCCAGUAUUCUUGUCAUCCAUACCCAACAACCAAAACAUCUAUUCAUUAUAAGAUAUCCUUAAAUCAAUCGGCCAAAAAUUGUAAACUUGGUGAAAAGAAAAGAGGGAGUGGAAAAAUUGUAAAGAUCAUUUCAUAAAUUAAUAGCUUGUUCAUAAAAAUCCUAGAAUCAACUGUAAACAUGUCUAGACUAGGAUGAGAACAAUGCAACAAUUGUUUAAGAAAAUAAAUUAAUUGCAAGCAUUUAGAUGGGACAUACAUAUGCCCAAAAAGCAAUUCCCGAGUCUGGGAGAGAUGAAAUUUAGAACAAUGCAUAAAUUGAUUGAGAAAAUAAAUUAAUUGCAAAGCAUUUAGAUGGGGCAGACAUAAGCCUAAAAAACCUAUUCUCAAACAUUGACAAAGCUUUUCUCAUAAGAAUUAUAAAAUUAAAAUUUUCAUUAACAGCAAUAACCCAACCUUUAAAUUUUGAUUUCCCACAUGGCUACUCUGGUAUUUCAUCUCUUUGUGAGUGCGUACAGGCCUGUGUGGUUGUUAUUUGUGUUGAGCGAGAGAGAAAAUAAUGUCUUAUUCAUCAAGGAAAGAGUAUAGCGCAUAUAUAUGAACUUUUACAAAAUAAAACAAAAUGACUAAACUACCCCUUACCAAAUAACUCUUUAAUACUCCUCAAGCUGGGGCAUAUAGAUUACUAAGACCCAGCUUAGAAAACAUAACAGAAAAAACAUCUCCCCAAAGCUUUCGUAAACACAUCACCCAACAUCUUCAGACUUGAUGCCACACGUUCCCUAAUAAAAUGAUAGCCCACUUUGAUAUGCUUGGUUCUUUCAUGAAACAUUGGGUUACUAGCAAUAUGAAUAGCAACCUGAUUAUCACAAUAUAUAGUCAUGGGCUUUUCAAGACAAAAUCCAAGCUCCUGUAACAAGUUCUAAAUCUACAUUAAUUCACACAAUGUAUGUGUCAUAGCCCUGUAUUCUGCUUUAGCACUAGACCUAGAUACUACAUUCUACUUUUUACUCCUCCAAGUAACUAGAUUACCACAAACAUAGGGACAAUACCCACUAAUGGAUCUUUUGUUAGUUGAGGAUCUUGCCUAGUCCACAUCUAAAAAACUCACAACAUCAAGGCUGGAGUUGGAGUAGGAUCUUCUUCUGUAGAGUAAUCCCAUACCUAUAGUACCUUUGAGAUAUUUUAGGAUUCUACACAUUGCUUUCCAAUGAAUCUGCUCGGGUGCUUCCAUGAACUGACUUACUGCACUAACAAGAAAAUUAAUGUCAAGUUUGGUGAUUGUCAAAUAAACGAACUUGCCCACUAGACUCCAAUAUCUUCUUUUAUUUGAAAAUAUAAUGCUAUCAUCUCCAUUAAGAUCCACAUUUUGCUCCAUAGGAGUCUCAGCUAGCUUUACUGCUAACAUGUCAGUUUCAUUAAGCAAAUCCAAAACAUACUUCCCUUAGGAUAAAAUAAUCCCACCUCUACUAUGUGCAACCUCAAUGCACAGGAAGUAACCUGGUAACCCAAGAUUCUUUGUCUGAAAGAUAUUUUUUUCAAGUAAUCUUUCACUUGUUUAAUAUCUUAACAUCACUGCUCAAAACAAUAAUAUAAUCCAUAUAUACUAAGUACUAUUAUGCUAAUUUCCCUCUUGAAAACAAAUAGUGAGUAGUCAGAAUUACAUCUUCUAAAACCAAAUGACAGAAGAAAAGAACUCAAUUAUCAAACCAAGCUAGGGGAGAUUGCAUUAAUCCAUAAAUAACCUAAUUUAAUUUGUAAACUUUAACUCUUGACCCCCACCCUCAAUUAACAAACCCAAGUGGUUACUCCAUCUAGAGCUCUUCACUCAAACCCGCAUACAAGAAUGCAUUCUUCACAUCUAAUUGAUGUGAACUCCAAUCAAAAUUAACAACUAAGGAAAUAAAAAAGUGUAGUAAAUUAAGACGAGCAACAAGAGAGAAAGUCCCAAAAUAGUCUACAUCUUAAGUUUGAUUACACCCCUUAGGAACUAAGCCUUCAAUCGUUCUAUAGUCCCAUCUGAAUAAUACUUAAUAGACAAAACCCAAUGGUGGCCUAUGUCCCCUUUCCUUGAGGCAAAUCAACGAGCUCUAUGUAGCUUUGUUUAGGAAAGCAUACAUCUCUUCUUCCAUAGCCUCCUUCCACACAAUAUGAUUUGAAGCUUCCUGAUAAGACUUAAGGAUGGAAAUAGAAGACAAGGUGAGAACAAAACAUUAAAAAGUGGGGAAAAGGUUAUCAAAAGAUGCAUACUAAAUAAGAGGAUAGUGAGUACAAUUGUGUUUACCUUUCCUAACGUGCAAUAGGGAGGUUUAACUCAUUAGGAAUUGAGGGGAACAAAAAUGGAUAGUGGUAUAGGAUCAUCCACUAACAAGUCUGGAGGAGGUAGAGAUUGAGUUUGAUCUUCUUCACUGUUUCUAGCCAGUCUUUUCCAUUGAUACAAUUGUAAUGGUUGUCAAUCUUAGAUAGAAAAUUAUCAACAACAAUAGGAAGAGGAAUAGAUUUAGACCGAAACAAGCCAUUUUCUAACUAUAAAUCAUGAUUAAAAAAAAUAAGUAGUCUCAAAGAAUGUUACAUCGACACUAAUAAAAUAUUUUCAAGACACAGGAUCAAAACAUUUGUAUUCUUUUUUAGUUCUAGAAUAUCCAAAAAAUACACAUUUGAUAGAUUGAUGAUCAAACUUGUCUUUAUUUAGAGAAAAAUUAUGAACAAAGAAACACAUCCAAAAACUCUAGGAUGGAGAGAAAAUAAGUGACCAAUAGGAAAUAACACAAAAUAUGGAGUCUUCUAAUGAAAAACAAAGGGUAACUGAUUUAUCAAAUAACAUGCAAUUAGAAUAGCAUCCCCCCAAUAAGAUUGUAGGACUUUCAUAUGAAACAUAAUAAAACAAGUAAUAUCCAGUAUGUGAUGAUUUUUCCUUUUAACAACUACAUUUUGUUGUGGUGUAUAAAAACACAAAAAUUGGUGAAAAAUUCCAUUUUUAGUAGAAAAAUAUGAAAGAGAACUAUAAUUAUAUUGAAAGGUAUCAUCAGAUCAAAGAAUACCAAUUAAAUUACCAAAUUGAUUUUUCAUUUCUUGAUAAAAAAGUUUAAAUAUGUGAAAUACUUCAUACCUUUCUUUAAGCAAAAAUAACCAAGUGACUUGAGAAUAAUAAAAAUAACAACAUAUCUUAACCCCUAAACAUUAGGGAUAUGACAUGGACACCCAACAUCUAAAUGAAUUAAAGCAAAAGGACUUGGAUUCUUAUUAUUAACCCUAGACGGAAAAAACAACCAAUGAUGUUUGCCAACUCACACUUAGGCUUAUUGGACAACAUUGGAAACAAUCCCAAGGACUGUAAUUUCUCAAAAGAAGCAUGAUCCAAUUUGUAAUGCCACUAGAGAGGAGUAAUAGACAAAGAGAGAGCAAUAGCAUCUAAUAUUUUUCUACCAGGAGACUAGAAUAUAAAUUGACCAUCGAGAUAAUAAAUCCCAUCUCACUCAAGCCAUCCACCAAUCAUCCUCUUCGUGUGGAGAUCUUGAAAAACACAAUGAGAAGGAAAAAGAUAGCAUCACAAUUAAAUUGUUUAGCUAGUUGACUAACAAAUAAUAAACUAAUAGGAAAUUUAGGUACAUAUAGAACCAAUUUAAGUUUAAAAGGAGACAAAAGGAAGAAGAUUGACCAAGAGUAAGAAGAGUAUGUGUAUCCAAAUGUGCCAAGGUAGCAAUAGGAGCACUAAUGUUGGAUCAAAAGGAAAUAUCUAAGGAUUGUUGCAUCAAUUAGUUAUAGUCAUCUAAAGAUAAGGUAUUAGACUCCCUGCUACCACCUAGAAGUUUAACAAGAGUAGGAACAUCAACUCCAUCAUUGAAAGAGGAGACAACCUGAUUAGCCCAUAUAGAACGACCAACUUAUCCCAACAUUUAUUAAAGGUAUGAUUAGUCCUACCACAAUGUGAGCAUUGCCUGUCAAUUCUACCUCUACCUCUACCUCUACCCUCCUAAACCUCGGGCUCAAAUGGGAGGACCACCUCUACCUUGUCCUAUGGAUACAAGAGUGGAAGUAUCCUUAAUAUCAUUUCUAGGUGAAAAGAAUUGUAGAUCAAUGAGUUGAAGACAAGCAUAAACAUUGCUAAGAGAUGGUAACUUCUCACUAGCAAGUAUACUAUGUUUGACCUUAGUAUAUUCAAAAUUAAGACUAGAAAGAAAUUUAGCAACCUAAAACUCUUCCCUUUUCCUUCUUGGUACCUCAUAUCAACAUACAAUGGUUGAUACACAUUCAAUUCCUCCCACAUCCCUUUGAGGGAUACAAAGUGCUCAUUCAGAGGUUUCCCAUUCUACUUUACUCCAAAAAUAUCUUCAUACGAUACGAUUGAUAGAUUCUCAAAAUAUUUUUUUCUUGAGAGUAUGCAUUUUUAACUACAUCUCAACUUUGCUUUGUAGUUUCUAAAAACAUGAAAUAAGAACUAACAUAGGGUUCCAUACUUUUCCACAACCAAGUUAGUAUCAUAAAGUGAUCUUGUUGCCACUCAUCAAAUUAUUAGAUUCCUAGGGAGAAUGAUCCUCCACAACAUGUUUUGGUUUUUCCUUUGUUGUAAUAUACACCCUCACGACUUUAGCCCAUAAUAAAUAAUUAGGUCCCUUUAGCUUUACCAAAGUAAUCUAAAUACCAACACUAUCUUUAGUUUUAUAAUCAUUACUAGACAUCAUACUUGGAACUUAAAAUAAGGACUGUUGCACUUAAAAUUGAAACAAAAAGAUGUUAGGAUACCUUUAGCACUAAAACAUACUUGCAUGACGGUUGCAUCACAAAAAUACAACCAAUUACAUAGGCACUAGUACUGGUGAUCACUAUAGUGCAGCACUAUAGCAAUUUUUUUUCUUGUUCAUUUUUUUUUUUUUUUUUUUUUUUUUCAGGUUAGGGUUCCAAAUCAAAACGCUCGAAUACCAGGUUGAGUGAGAGAAAGAAAACGGUGUCUUAUUCCUCAAGGAAAGAGUAUAGAGCAUAUAUAUAGACUUUUACAAAAUAAAACAAAAUGACUAAACUACUCUUUACCAAAUAACUACUAAUAACUCUUUAAUAACUUGUAAUCCUUUUCUUAGAAGAUGGUUUAUAAAUAAACUUUUCUUUAACAGCUAUAGCCCAAAGUUCAUAUUUUGGUUUCCCACAUGACUAUUCCAGUAUUUUAUAUUCAUUUAUAGAAAUUCAUCCAAGUUUUACCAUAGAAUUCUAUUUGUAAGUAAGAGCCGAAAAUACAAAAUAUGAACAGUUAAGUGAUUUGUAAUGCACAAUUAGUUUCCAGUUAAAAUAAAUGUCAUUAGAAAAAGAUCUGAAAUUUUCAAUAAGAUAUCCAACAGAAAGCAGAACACACUCAUUAGUUGGCAUUCAGAAUUUUAUAUUUCAAUUAUAUAUUUGCCCUUAGUCUUUCAAUUCUGUGUAGUUAGUAACGUGAAGUUCAGUACUAAAGCACAAAAAUUUUCAGCACCAAAUUUCCAGUUCUGAUUAGAUGACAAAUUGUUUUUCCACUUUACAUUCCCAUAUAUUCUCCAGAUAGCAUUCCUGCUUCAGCAUUUCACUUCUUGAAUCCAGCAUCUGCAUCCCAUUAUGUUAACUAUAGAGUAUGGAAAGGUUGAAAAAGUGGCUGAUGACUUGGAAAAGACAAGUUUUGUCAAUGGCAGAAUCACCUUGUUGAAAACCACUCUCUCUAGUCUCCCAAUAUAUUACUUAUCAGCUUCAGUUAUUCCAAGAGAGGUGCAAUGUAGCCUGGAAUCAGACAGAUUUUCUUUGGGGAGGAAGCAAAACAGGUAAGAAGAUCCAUUUGGUCGGGUGGGAGAUUAUUUGCUCAAGUUUUAAGGUCCUAAACAAGGCCUUAUUACAAAAAUAGCUUUGCAAAUUCAAAGUGAAUGAGGGUUGGAAGCAGAAUGUUGGAAGUAGGGUGGUGUUCUAAGAGAGUUUUGGCAUAAACUUUUGGAAAGCCACUAGGAAAGGUUGGGAUGAUUUUUGCUUGAGGACAAGCAUUAGGGUGGGGCAUGGUUGUUGGACCAAAUUUUGGACAGGUUCUUGGUGUGGGACGGGCCCUCUAAAGGACUGUUUUCCAAAGUUUUUUAGCUUAGUGGUCCACAAGGAUGCUUGGGUAGUAGACCGUUGGGAAGGGGCAAGGGGGCAUCAAAGCAGCUAGAGUCCCAGUUUUAGUAGGCAUUUCAUGGAUUGGAGUUGGCUUUGGUGGUGGCCUUGUUUCAAUGUCUAAACCCUGUUUUCCCAGACCUUGAAGUUGUGGAUAACUAGGUUUUGAAGAUCUCAAUCAAGCAUUAUUACAAGUCUUUGUCACCUCUCAUGGUGUCAUCCUUUCCGACCAAGAAGAUUUGGAUUCUGAGUACUUCACCUGAGGUUAGACUUUGUGUAGAAGGCGACAUGGGAAAAAAUUCUUACAAGGGACCAACUCAUGCAGAGAGGUUGGAGUAUGGUUAAUCAGCGUUGUCUAUCUAAACAAGACCAAGAAUUAGAGAACAUCCUCAUCCACUAUAAUUCAGUUUCUAGUCACUGGUCUUCAGUAUUCUCCCUAUUCGGCAUGCUAUGGGUUCUCCCCUGUUCAGUAAUAAAAGUGUUGCUUGCAUGGCAUGGAAAAUUUGUUGGAAAUGAUCAUAAGCUAAUUUGGAGUUUAACCCCUUCUUGUUUAUUUUGGACCAUUUGGAGAGAGCAUAAUAGAAGAGCUUUUGAAGGAGUGAAGCGGUCAAUCUUGGUUGUAAAAGAUUUUUUUAAGUCAUUAUUUAUAUGGUCUAGAGGGGAGGUAAAAGUUACUAACCUAACUAUACUUGAGUUUGUAAAUAGCUUAGAAUAAGCUAGUUAAGUGUGCUCAGAUCUUUUGUCUUUUGGCCCUCCCUACGCAUCAUCUGUUCUCCUUGAAUAGGAACUCUUACAUUAUAUUUUAUCUAAUUUGCUUAUCAAAAAAAGAAACAGAGUAUGGACUUGGUUCUUUGUAAGAGGAAGGAUGCUUUAUGGAGUGAUGAAAAGGUUAAGAAGCCUUGGCUUGAGAGAAGCAACCUGGCAAAAUGGAAUGCGAAAGGAAGGAUGUAGAAGAGUAUGGCAACAAGCAGAGACAUGGAUCUCAAGAAUUGAGAUAAAUAUGCUUAAAUGAUGUCUAUUGGGCCUUAUAUAGAAGGAUUGCCACACAUCAGGUCUUGCUGAUGACUGAAUCAUGGGCCUAAGUGUUUAAUGGCAUAGCCUGGGGUGUCUGCCAAUUCUGAAGCUCAACUAAGUUAAUUAGUUCUUUCUAUGAAUUCUUCUGUUGAAUUAAUUUUUAACAGAGGAAUGGAUAAGUAAGCAAAAAACAGAGAACCAUGGACCUUUACACCUAAUGCUCAGGGUUUUGAGACAAGAACAGGCAAUCCUAUUGGUAUGGCAUGGUAUGUUCAAUCAGGAAGUAGUACAGAAACCUACUUCCAAUUUUGUCAAAAACCACUCCGACAGAGAAAUAACAAGGAUCUCUGAACUAACCCAUUGGUGGAAUCUCGAGAAAUUUUCUAGGUAGAAUAUUUCCAUAUGCUGCUGUAAUGCAAAGUUCAGGUUGUAAAGCUCUUAAACUGGACAAGAAUAUUUCCUGCAUAACAGUUGAAAGAAUGAAUAAUUUUAGGUAGCUCGUCACUGAUUCAUGAAUAGUAUGUAACCAUUUACAAAUGUUGACAUGAAAAAAAUACGGAGUAGACAAAUAAGAAGCAAUAAUUGCACAUGAACCUCCAGUAAAUGAAAUGAAAAUUAAUGAGUUGGUCAACUGCAAAAUCUUCAGAUUUUCCCAUAGGUGUUAAAACAUGAAAAUAGGAAAGAAAAAAUGACAUGCUGUCUAGGUCUCAAAAUUAAUUCAUAAAAAUCAUAACAGAAUUUCGACCAAAUCCCUCUACCAUGCAAGUUUUGCUCCCUCACAUAAUAUUUGGCUGCAUUCCCAGUCUAUUUGGUUAGGUAUAAUUCAGAAUCUUUAAUGCUCACCUCAACUUGGCAAGUACCAAAAAUACUUUGCUGAGGAAUAUCUUGGAAAGAAUAGUUUAUCUGUGCUGGAUUUAAACGACAAAGCAGGGGCUAGCAAUUUCACAACUUAGCCAGUGAAGUGAGGCAUAUGUGGUGGCACUUUGCACCCAAGUGGCCCUAGGCAUGAGGUAAGUCAAGUCAAGAUGGAUCAGAGGGACAUGUGGUGGCACCUUGCAGCCAUGAGGAGGCCUGUUGGCAUGAAGAGUGAAAUUCCAUGAUACAUAUCAGUUUUGAAGAGGAGCUUGUUUAGAUCAUGGAUGGAUUUUGAGGAUGGAGAUUGGUGGUGCUGCUGCAGCAACAUGGCAUGUUGCAUGGCAUGUGGCCUGGCAGCAGCAUGGUGCAACUUGGCACACAAUGCCUACAUGGUGAGUGGCUCAAUUAGGUGAAAAUUGAAAUAUGGGAUUUUGUGGUUUGGUAUUUGCCCUAUGAAGGUGGCACAAUCAGAAGAAUUUUCCAAGUCAUUGCAUCUUAAAAGGAGAUUUCAAGAAUUAGUUAUAAUUUUUGAAAAAUCAUUAUGUCUGCUCAAAAACCUAUGAUUGUCUCCUCCUACCAUAGCUAAAAUGACUUUAAAUGCUCUUUGGGAGUGAUGAUAUCCAAGAUGUCAAUUUCAGGUAUGGUUUUGUGAAUUUCCUAAGGCAUUGCAAUACACCUAGGUCACUUCCAAAGUAUAAGCAAGGCUCAGUCAGACAUGAGGCCCAAUGCUGCCUUUUACAUCGAAAUUAGAUGUUAUGGGUGCAAUGGCAUGGCAUGGUGCAGCUUGACAUGGUACUACAUCAAUGUGGUGACAAGGACAUAGGCAACACAUGGAAAGCCUUGGCAAGGGGUGCAAUGUCAUGGAUAACAACUCAAAUAACCAUGAGCACAAUGUCAUUGUGAAGACAAGAAAGUCAUGAAGCUAAGCAUAAAUUGGAUGGCACAAGGCAUGGGCAAGGGAAUAUCUUUGACACAUGAUGAUUGGAAUCAGUAGCUGAAACAUGUGGGCUAAGAAGAGAGCUUGACAUAUGUGGGAUCAACUUGGUGUAGCACUUGGCAUUGGUGGAGGCCAAGCAAGACUUGCUGGCACAACAUGAGCAUGACACUUGGAAGACAUGUUGGUAAAGCAAGUUGGCAUUGGGAGAGACCAAGAACAGGGGUUUUGGUGCAUUGUAGGAAUGAUCCCUGGCACAAAGGAGUUGCAAGGCAUCUAAUGCAGGCCAUGUUGUGGUUGUUAAGCAAGCUUAUAAGACAUGUGACACAAGCCAAGCAGGCCACUGAAGUGCCAUGGCAGGUAACAUUCAAAGAUGCAACAAGGCUAACAAGUGGCACAAUUAAAGGAGUGCAGUUGAGCAAGACUAACAGGUGGGAUCAACAAAGAUUAUGGGGGAAACUGCUGGGACACAUGGCAAUUUCAAAGGCCAUGCACUAAUAAACUACCUAGGGCACGAGUAGAGAUAGUGGGGCUAGUUCUCCCAAACAUGGGAGAACCCACUUAGCCACACAACUCCUUUAGGGAGUGGCUAGAAGUAGUGGGAUGAUGGGCAUAGAGUGGAAUGUUGGAGGAACAUCAUAGGUUGCUUAUAAAUAUUUAGCUAGGCCAUUGUCUAGAGAACAUUAGGGCUUGUUUGGUUGUUGUUUUUGAAAACUGUUCUAGAAAAUAGUUUUUUAGAAUAGUUUUUUGUGUUUUCAGGAAAAAAAAAAAAAAAAGUGUUUGGGAAAUGAAUUUUGGAAAACAAUUUUUGUUUUCAAAAACAAAAAAAAAAAAAAUCAUGUUUGGUUGGGUUAAUAAAAAAGUUUUUUAGAACAAAUAAAACAAAAAAUAUGUUUGAAAGUUGUUUUUUUUUAAUUAAUAAAGUGUUUUCUUCAAUUAACUUGAUAUUAUAAAUAUAUAAAUAAUUUUUAUAUGCACAAUUCAUUUAAAUUAAAAAAAAAAUUAUUCCCUUUUGAAAUUUUUACAUUAAUUUUCUUGAACAAAGGAUGACUUUAUAACCAUAUGUAAGUAUAUUAAUUUCAAUAAUUUAAGGAAGAAGAAAAUGCUUGGGGGUGGGGUGUGAUGGUUGGAUGGAGUUCACCUUCGUGGAAACACAAAAAGAAGGAAGAGAAAACAUGAAAAACAAUUUGUUCUUUGAAUAGUGAAAAAACAAUGAAAACGUUUUUUUAUUGUUCUCAAAAAAGUGGUUUUUGAGAACACGGGAAACACAAAAAACGAAAACGCACCCCCUUCUCCAAACAUGUUUGUAAUGUUUUUUGUUUUCAAGAACAAAAAACAGUUCUUGAAAAUAGCAACCAAAUAGGCCCCUUAGUUUCCCAAGACUUAGUGUCCUAAUCUUGCUAUGUAAAGCUUAGAUAUUCAAGAAAUCAGUAGUAGCCUCUACUCUUUAAGGAUGCUCUCAUGGACUCAAGUCAAAUUUGAAUCACUUAAAGUUUAUACAAAACUUACAAUGAAAUUGUCAAUCACAAUCAAAUUUUUUGAUAGACAACAAGAACAUGCAUUAAUAAGUGCCAAAAAAGGAGGGGGUGUGCCCUACGUACACAGGUUGUAUACACAAAAACAUGCCAAACACACCUCAAACAAAGAAAGACCACACAAACAAAACAAAGCAAAGUUAACCACAAAAAAGAGUAUCUGGGAAAAUCAACAUAGAGGGGAAUCCAGCUCCAAAGAAUCCCUAGUCUACUCGAAAAGAGUCCAAAAGAAGAGAGCCUUUAAACCUUGGUCGAAGAGUUCUUCAUCUUUGAAGAUUCUUCGAUUACGUUCUUUCCAAACACACCAAAAUAUGCAAAUGGGAGCCAAGCCCCAAACUGCUCUAUUCUUCCUUUGAAAGCCCUUAACUUUCCAUUGAAGGAGGAGAUUUCUUACUGAAUCUAGAAAUACCCAAGUCACUCCAAAGAGGGCUAAUAAAAAAAUCCAAAGCUCUCUUGUUUUGGCGCAAUGAAUCAAAAUGUGAUCGAUUGAUUCUUCACUCUCUUUACAAAGAUCACAUCUAUUAACCAUUUGUCAUCCCCUCUUCAUUAAAGUGUCUACAGUUAGGAUCUUCCCCCAAACAGCUUCCCAAGCAAAAAAGCAAGUUUUGAGAAGAGCACAGGAUCCCCAAGCCUCCUUCCCCGAGAAAAACAAAACUAUUCUCCUCACUUAGAGAACAAUAAUAAGACUCGACACUAAAAAAUCCUCUCCUAUCUUCUUUCCAACAUAAAGUGUCCUCACCUUCUUGCACUUUUAACAGAUCAAGAAAACCCAAAAAGCAAGUCACCUCCUCUUCCUCCCAAUCUUGGAAGGGUCUUCUAAAAUGAACCUCCCAACACCCCCCUUCAUCCCCUUCUCUUUUCCAAGAUUCUGCAACUAUAGCAUUUUUAUGGGAUGUUAUCCUAAAAAUAGUAGGGUAAACAUCUUUUAGCUUGAAGUUCCCCGCCCAAAUGUCCCACCAAAAUCUUGUACGACUACCAUUUCUUAUACGGAUAGAAGUUUUAGCAUUAAACUCUUCCCACCCUUUUCUAAUGUCCUUACAAAGGCCCAUCCCAAAGGACUCCCUCCACACUUUAGUAGUCCAACCCCCCUCCACUUUCCCGAACUUUCCACAAAUGAUCUUCCUCCAUAAACUUUCAUGCUCAACGGAGAAUCUCCAUAGCCAAUUGCCUAGCAAGGCUUGAUUGAGACUGUGCAGUCUUCUUAUCCUCAAACCUCCAAAACUAAUACACUUACAGAAGACAAUAGCAGCCUCAAUAGUUUAAGCGAUGGCUAGCAAUCUAGUAAUAGCAAUGCAUCAUUAAAGACAAGGUGGACUUAUGUGGAAGAUGUGGGUGGGUUCUUGCCAUCUCCACUUGACUGGAAGGAAGAAAGUCAUGGAGUUUGCAUUUGCUACACAACAAACUCAUCCCAUGAGUUUCAAAUGUGGCCAUAAGGCAACAAGAGCUGGUUGCAUACAAGUUUAUUGAGAGUGGUUUGUUAGCACCUUCACAACUCAAUCAGCACUCAUGCUGCCUGAGGCAUGAAACAUGCCAAGGUGAGCAUAUCAAAGCCACAUAUGGUGGCAUCUUGCACCCAUGAGGCCUAUUGCCAUGCAAAAUGAAAUGCCAUGACUAGAUCAAUUUGGAAGAGGAGGAGGUUUAGAGCUGGAUGGCUUCUAAGGAAUGGGGAGAUGCUAUCACAACAACAUGGGACUGCACAAGAAACGACAUGACAUGACUUGGCAUGUGGAAUGGCACAUGGUGCCUACUUGGUGGGUGGCCUGGCUUGAUGAAAAUUGAAAGUAUAGGUUCAAUGAUUUGGAAUUUUUCCUUUGAAGGAAUCAAACUCAAAGGAAUUUUCUGAGGCAUGGCAUCUUCAAAGGAUUCUUCUAAAAUUAUUUAUGAUUUUUGGAAAAUAUUAUAUCUGCUCAAGCACCUACAUAAAAUUGCUUAAAAUGCUCAUUGGAGAGGCAGGGGCAAGGGGAUUGUUGUGUUUGAGAUGGCAAUUUAGGAACUACUAUAUGGCUUCCUAACAAGGGCGUAAUGCCAUGGAUGGAAUGUCAUGGUAUAGUGCAACAUAACAUCAUGUUGUUCAGUGUUAGGUGACAAUUAUGCAUUGGUGCAUGGCACAAGGACCCACUUACACAAGCCAAGGCUUGGAAAACAUAACUAUACCUGUGAUCUUAGCUUGAUUGGUUGAAAAGAAAAAGCCAACACAUCUUCGAGGUGAGAAGAUAUUUGAUCAUUCAGCUUUUCUGUCAGUGAGCUCAGGGUUGGGAGAACUCUAGUGUCGUUUCGACGUCAGAUGGUGAAGAAGUAGAAUGAAACCCUCCCUCGAAGGCCUUUAUAAGGUUUAAGCAUGGUGCCAAGUUAAGAACAAGCAAGUCGUGGAGCCGAAAUGUUUUGAGUGACACAAGGUAUGGGCUUGGGCAUGCUUUGAGACAUGAUGGUUCGAAUACAACAUGUGGGCUAAGAAGAGAGCUUGGCAUAAAUGGGUUUAACUUAAUCUAGCACCUAACAUUGAUGGAGACCAAGCAAGGCAUGACACUUGGAAGACACGUUGUUGUGCCACCUUGGCGUUGGGAGAGACCAAAAGGGGUUGCUAGAGCAUCAUGGGAAUGACACUAAACAUGAAGGAGUUGUAAGGCAUCUGAUGUGGGGCAUGCGGUGGUUAUUGAAGAUGCUUGAAAGACAUGUGGCACAAACCAAGCAAGCCUAUGAAGUGCCAUGGCAGGUGGUGUGCACAAAUGCAACAAGGCUAACAAGUGCCAUUAUCUAAGAAGUACAAUUGAGCAAAGCUAAUAAGCGGCAUUAGUAGAGGCCAUGGGAGCAACUAUUGGGACAUGUUGCAAUGUCAAAGCCCAUGGACAAUAAACUACCUACAACAUGGGUAGAAAUACUUAGCCUAGUUCUUUUGAACAUAAGAGAACCCACCUAACCACACAAUUGCCUAAGAAGUGGGCAAAAGUAGUGGGCUAUGCACAUAAUGGGCGAAGAUGGAGUAACCUCCUAGGUUACUUAUAAAUAGUUAUCAGCCCAUUGUGCAAAGAACAUUAAGCUGCCCAAGACUUCCUAUAGGAGUGUUAUUCUACUAAGGCUAGGCUGUUCUUGUAAUAUUUCACUGAGGAAAUAUAUACAAGUGGGGGUUUUUGUGUUUUACAAUGAUUGUUCUCCUGUACAUAUACAGGUUUUUAUGAGGAGGGGCUACUUCUUGUGGUUCUAGAUCUGGGUUACUUUCUACCAUAUUUUGUACACCUUUGAAGGAUUCCUUAUUCUUCUUAUAUUUAUCAAUUGAUUGUUGAAUGAAAAUGUUUGUUUGUGAUAAAAAAAUAAAAUAAAACAAAAAUAAAAACUUGGGGCAUGUUGUAGUAGUCCUAAGGCCAUUUAGUCCAGCCUCAAGUUUAGUUAUUUUGCUUCUCUUCUUUUUGUUUCUCCUCUAAGGUGAACCUUGUAAGUCCCCAUGUCCUAGGGUUUGCCCCCUUUCUGGUAUCUUUUAUAUAGAACUUUUUAUUAAAAAAACAUUACAGGUUAUUUUAUUAUGUCAUUAUGUACUGCAUGAAUUCCCUCUUAUAUUUACUUCAGCAACCUAAAGUCAGGCCAAAGUCGCAUCUUCCUAGCCAAAAAGGAAGGAAAUGGUUAUAAGCUGCUAUUGCCAGAGCAAAUUCAUAAGCUACCUGCUGCUAUUGUAGCUGCUAUUCAAAGUCUCCCCUGGGGCCUGAUUAGUCCACAAUCUGCAGAUACCAGAUUUCGAUGGUGGUCUUAGGAAAGCACAAACAAAAAAUUCUCAUCUAAUGUUCUAGAUUCAAAGGAAUCGAGCAUUAAAUAAUACAAAUCCAAAACCCUUAGUUUUUUAAUAUAUUCAUCUACAGUGUGUUACUACAUUAUACUGAGAGCCAAGAAAAAUUUCAUACAACAAUUAAUCAUGACAAGCAAGCUAAUUAUAUUACAAUUUUAUAAUUAAUGGAAAUUAGUAGCACAUGUGUGCUAUUGAUGCAUGAGUUAAAAACAUUAUUAACAAAGCUGCCUUAGCUCAGUCAGUGGGUAGAUGACUUUAACCAUGUGACCUUGUUUUAGUUUCACAUAGAUGGCAGAUCUUUGACAUUUUAAGCCUGCAGGGAAAAAAAAAAAAAAAAAAAGAUCGCAUUUUCUUACAAGUAGGCACCAUUGAAAGCAUAAAAUCUUAUGAUAAUUUCUUAAAAAAAUAGAUGGUACCAUUACAGAAGUGACCACAAACUUGAUAACUAAAGCCACAAGUCAAUAAAGAGUAAAGGGAAACAAUUUUAUACAGUAAGCAUUUCUUUUUUUAAAAAGGCUGCCUCACGGUGUUGAUGCAACAGUGCAUAUUGGGCUUGAGUUUAUGGAGCAAAACAACCAAGCAUUUUCGGAAUAAGAUCAAGCAUAUACAAGUAUUUACCUCUCCAGCCUUUUCAGGUGUGAAAAUGAGGUCAGAGGGGAAGCCUCUGUCAAGAGCAUGCUGUGCAACUGGGGAAGGCAUCACCUUUCUCCCUCUAUUUCUUCCAGAAGGUGGCUGAGUAACAAUUGCUGCAACCUAAAAUCAUACUAAAUUAGCAAUCCACUUCAUGACCUCCUUACUCCUCUAAACCAUCUAAUUCAUAAGCCAAUCUAAGUACCACAACAAUCCAUAGAGCCCUCUCUCUGUACUCAGUACAACAUUUGAUAACUGAGUUUCCUAACAUUCUGUAAAUGCCAUUCCUUAAAAACAGGUUACAAAAGCAUCACUAAGGAGUAAGGACAAGAAAAAGAACAUAAGCAUGAUUGUAACUUCUAUACAAAAUGCCUAAAAAUUAAAAAGAAUUUUUAAUCUAGAGUUGACCCAAAUAAAUUCCAAUUAUGCAAUUAGUCGGUUCACAUGUCAUGUCACCAAAAAAGCAUUGGUACCAACUUCAUUGAUCUUGCCGGGGGAUGGAGAGAGGGACAAUCCAGUUACCAGUUAAGAAAUGCCAAAUUACCAACACCCAAACUCAAUAACCGUUAUUCCGUAUGCUUCCAUAGACUUCUCAACCCCCUUUGCUGAGAUAAAAAGUUCCAGAUAUUUGAUAAGUUUUCCCAUUAGAGAAGGAAAAAACAAAAGGACUAGUAUAAAAAUGGAAUGUCCAAUGCUAGUUUGGAUACACUUAAUGAAGAAGACAAGUUGCUAAAAUCAAACAACCAAAUCUUGGGGAAUUCCCUAAUUUCACCUAUAAAUAGGGGUGAUUUCCUUCAAUGCGGGGACUUAAGGGGUUCAACAAAAACAACAAAAACAACUUCAUUGCUCCUUGACGAUUGGGUUAUGGCACAGGUUAUUUCAGUUAGCUAAGAUGGAUUGGGUUCCCCCGAGGAGCAUCCUUCACAUGAUGUACAUCAAAUUCAAUGGAUUUGGUUCGUCUAAGAGGGGGAUAGCCUUGUGGCAAGCUGCAAACAUCGCUCUUAUUCGGAUUGUGUGGAGGGAAAGAAAUGCGAGGAUUUUUGAGGAUAAAGCAAGGAAUUCAGAGUCUCUAUGGGACUCUAUUGUUUUCCUUGCUUCUCUUUGGGCUUAUUGUUCCAAGGUUUUUAAGGGGACUCCUCUUAAUGCGAUACAUCUUGAUUGGAUAGCUGUGUGUACUCCAUAAGGAGUGGUCUUUUUAAAGUGUUUGCUUGUUUUUCAGUGUAUUUUUCUAUAGUUUAGCUUUCUUUGGCAGGAGGAUUCCUCAUCCUUCUUUUGUACUUUUUUAUCUAUCAAUAAAUCUUUGUGUCGUUUCCAAUCAAAAAAAAAAAAAAACAAAAAAAACAAAAACAACUCCACAUGGGAAACGAGGCUUCACAAAGAAGAAAAGGCUUCAUAAAAUCUUCCUACAAGUUCAAGAAAUUGUAGAACUACACAUGUUCACAUUUCAACAAAAUCAUUUGGGAAUAAACCAUUCUAGGCCCUCGAUUGACUUUGAAAACAAAGAAAACAUGUUCAUCAUCUAAACACACGAUCUUCGCCAUUCAACAAGUUCAUUAGGGAACAAGCCACUUGUGACCCUUGAUUGAUCUUUGAAAUCAAGAAAACGUUUUCAUCAUCAUCUUCCAAAUUGUAAUCAAGGUGAAAGAAUCAGAGGAAUAUAUUCUUUUGUAAAAGAAUAUUACCACAAAGACCACAAUUUUAAAUUUUAAUAAAAAUAUUUUGUUCGCAUUAUUUUUCCUAUUGUUUUUAUUAUGUUGCAAGACAUUAGCGAAAUUUGUGCUUACAAACUCUUAUAUAAAAAGUAUGGAUCGACCUUGUGUCCUUAAAAAUUACUUUUAAAAUUUUUAAAAUUUGAGGUCAUAAAUUUUUUUUCAUACCUCACUUUUUUAACUAGUUUUUAGAAACUAUUAUCCUUUUAAGGUAAUUUUCAAAGAGUUUUUGCAUUUUGUAUAGAGUUUACUAUCAUUUUUUGUUUUUGAAAAUAGAAAAAAAGAAGUGUAUUCAAACAAUACACUUUCCCUUUCUGAAUAUUCCUAUCCAAAAAUCAAGGUAUUAACCAUAAUUGGGAUCCCAUAAAAGCAGAAUUAAUCUAACUAUCUGCUGGAUUUUUUGUGCAUUUGGCUGGCUAUAGAUACAACAAAUAUUCUCCUCGAGUAACAGUAUUCACAGUUUUUUUUUUUUUUUUGAUAAACAACAAUAUUAAAAAGCGCCCAGGAAACAACACAACAAAGUACAUAUGAGUAUACAAGUCAUGCCAUAAAGCGCAAAGAACCAAAGAGACCACAAAAACCAACACUCUCUUUUAACAAGGACCCAACCACUCGACAAAAUUGAAUAAAGACAUGCAACCUGUCUCUAUGUGCAUCUUCACCCAAGAAAACAAAAUACCAAGGAAAGAAGACUUCAAAUAAUGGUCCAAAUGCUCUUCAUUAUCAAAUGAUCUUUGAUUCCUUUCCUUCCAAACAAUCCAAAAGAUACACAAAUGAACCAAGUCUUCAAACCUUCUUGCUUCUUUUACCCACAAAAGGGCCACUCCACCCUAGAGGAGUCUCCUUAAUUGUAGCAUGUUGUACUCAUUGGAUUCCAAAAAGAGCAAACAGCAAUUCCCAAAGAACCCUAGCCUUGGAACAAUAGAGGAGAAUAUGAUUUAUGAAUUCUUCCUCUUCUUUACAAAGAAAACAAUUAUUUAUCAUAGUCCACCCUUUUCUCUAAAGCUCACCAACAGUCAAGACCUUUCCUAAGCUAGCCUCCCACACAAAGAAACUUACUUUAGAAGGCAUCCAAGAGUUCCAAACCACACUCUUUGGGAAGUUAAACAUUCCCCCUGAUUCCAACAUCUUAUAUAAAAAAUCAAUGGAGAACUUGUUAUUGCUCAAGUUCAUCCACGCCACCUUAUCUUCCUCCUCACUAACAACCGUCUCCCCUUAUAGCCAUGAAAAAAGAUCCUCUAUGGUGUCCACCUCCCAAUCAUUUAAAGGUAUAGAGAAAUAAGGGUUCCAUUGGCCUUUUUCCCUUUCAUGAACCCAUAAAGCAGCAAUCCAUGUCUCUUUUGAAACAGCUAAGGCAUAUAAACAAGGAAAAGAACGUCUCAAUGGUUCAUCCCCACACCAUUUAUCCUUCCAAAACUUCACUCUCCUCUUAUUGCCCAGCAAAAAAGAAGAAUGACAAUGGAAAUUAUUCCACUCCUUCCUAAUAGACUUCCAAAGCCCAACACCAUACCCAACUCUUGCUUCGCAGGAUUGCCAACCACCCUCUUCCUUCCCAUAUUUACCACUAAUGACAUGAUUCCAAAAGGCGUCUCUUUCUAUUGGAAACAACUAAUUUAAAUUGCAUAAAAGUGCAUUUUACAAUAAAGAAAGAGGGUUUGAUACCUACCCCCCCUUUCCCCCCCUCUUUUUUCUCUUCUCUAAACACACUAUCGACCAUUUCACAAGAUGAAUCUUUUUCUCCAAAGUUCUCCCUCCCUAGAGGAAAUCUCUUUGAAUUUUCUCCAACCUCAACCAAACUUUCCUCUGAAUACCGAACAAAAACAAAAAAUAAAUGGGAAGGCAAGAUAAAGUACUCUUGAUUAACAUAAGUCCCCCUCCUUUAGAAAUGUAUUGUCCUUUCCACAUUGAAAGUCUUUUACGAAACCUCUCUUCCAUCCUAUCCUAAACUGUCAUUGAUCUAAAGGGAGCACCCAAAGUAGGUAGUUACGAGUUUGCCUUCUUUGCACCCUAAUUCUCCCACCAACUCCUCAACAUGAUCCAGUCUACUAAUAGGAAUCAGCUUACUUUUAUCCAGUUUAAUUUUCAGCCCUAAUAAAGCUUCAAAUCACAUGAGCAACCAACUUAGAUGAACCAUUUGAUUUUUUUUUUUGAUAGGAAACCACGCAUGAAUAUAUAUGAACCACUUGAUUUUGGGAAGCCUAAAAACCAAAACAAGAGUGUUAUUUGCAAACAACAAAUGUGACACCUCCUCCCUUACACCACCUAUGGUAAGAUAACCACCCUCCUUAGCUCUCUUAAGGAGACAACUAAGGGUCUCCAUAACAAUAACAAAUAAAUAGGGAGACAGGGUCCCCUUGCCUCAAAUAAAUAGCUCUAUACACAAUUUUUCCUAGGUACAGAAUCCAAGUUUCACAAUACAGCUAACUUGAUUGUUAAAAUUCUAAGGUUGCACCACACCAGUGCCUUUUCAGGUGAAAGCUUUGAGCCAACUGGCACAUGUCUAGGACAUAGGUAAGGAUGGUAAUGGGACAUUUUUAGCAUCAAUGAACCUAACUGCAUAUUUUAGUAUAUUACAAUUAUUAGAGAUCCACUUCAUUUGAUAAGUUUUAACUCUCCAAUUGGACCAUUCUUUCCCAAAAUAUUCUAAGAAUUUCUGCCUAUCUCCAGAACUUGAUAAAAUUUUAUUAAACUAAGAAAACAUCAAGAAGGGACUCUCAUAUGUAGUUACUAAUCAACAACGUUAUCGCACAAAUUUCAGGAUAUGUGCCACAUCAUCAUGUCAUAAAGCAAAAGUCAGUUUCAUAGUAAAAAUUUUGACCUGCAAGCCUGCACAGGUUGAUCAUGAAUUCUGUUCAAAUUUGAUGGAGUAACAUGCACCGCUCAACUAAAUCAUUCAGAUAGAAAUAUGGAAUUUCUAAAAGCCCGUAUGCAAAACUACCCUUUGGUUUCUACCUGAUUUCUUUUCUUUUCUUUUCUUUUUUUUUUUCUUUUCUGGUGGGGGCAGAGCGGCACAUAAUGAUGUGACAAUAAACUAAAGGAAAGUCCUCACGCUUGAUUUCAUUCAUACCUGAGAGACACGGCUGGGUUCUCUUGAAGGCCUACUCCCUCUUCCAAAUUUGCUCACUUUUAGCAUAAAUGAUCGAUCAUGUGGGUUUUUCCCUUUCUUUGCACUAACAUAGGAUGAUUUUAUCAGAAACCCAAAUCCCCUUACCAGUGGAGCAGCAUUUAGACCAAAUCCCAUUUACAAAAUAUCAAAACGAGUAGGAACCGAACAAAGACCUUAAAAUUCCUCACCCCAAAAGAAUGAACUAGAAAAACCCUGACCAAAGAAAUAAAAUGAAAAACAAUCCGACUACAGACACUAGUAAAAAUGAAAAGAGAAAUAUAAACUGAAACCCAUGAAUUUCCUAGAGUACCUCAAACAUCGAGUCUGGAGCAGUGGAGGCAUUGAAAAGAUCAUCAAGCACGGCUGCAGAAACCUACAGGACAGCCACACUACAUUAGCUAAAUAAAGAAAUGUAGAAAACAAACAAACAAAUGUUUGUAGAGAAACCUGAGGGGAGCCCAGGAAGACGAGUUGCUUCCUCUUGGAGGGGGGUUUGAGAGAAGCAGAACAAGAAGAUGAAGAAGAAGAAGUUGCAUUGAGAGUAAAAAAGCGUCGAAGCAUCAACGAAGAGUUCAUUUGCUUUCUGUUUUGUUCAACGGCUAUGAGGGUUUUGGAGGGUGUUGGUGUUCCGAUGUUUUCAUCUAUUUCAUUCUUCAUCCAUAUAAGCCUAUCCGCUGCCUUUUGUGGGGUUUUUUUUUAACAUGUAAGGCAUUUAAUAAUAAUAAUAAUAAAAUAAAAUAAAAUAAUCUAAGUGUCAGAUAAAAAAUAAAAAAAAUGCCCCAUUAGAAAAUUGUCCAUUGAAGAAAAAACUUCAAUUCAAGUUGAAUUUUUAAAUAAAAAAUUACAAUGAAUUUAUCUGCGGAAUAGACAACUUCGGUGUGUGAAUGUAAUUAUCUUCCACUUGAAUAUAAGUUAAAUUUCUAAAUGAAAAUAAUUUGCACUAAAAUCCUCUUUUUAAAAGAUAAUUUCCAUGUCAAAUGGUUGUACAAAAAAAAUGAGUAAGAAAAAAUAGACAACUUCGACAUAGGUUAUAUUUCACAACUACUUGUGCACCCUUGUCCGCUUCAUUCCAUGUUCAAUGACAUCGCUAGUGUUGUCAUCCUCUAUCUCUUUGAUUAUUGAACAAGGUGAUACUUUUGCUACUCAUUCUUCUAUCUCUAAACCUAUCAUACCUAGCACUACUCCAUCCCACUUCAAACCUUUCCAUAGAACCUAUCUGCCACCCCCCACAUCAAGCCAGAUGGUAACUUGGUCCAAAAAUGAUAUCUUCAAACAUAAAGCUCUCAUCACCAUAGAAAACCUGGUUGUCUAAUCCAUUAAACCUACUUGCAUAGCUUAAGCCCUUGAGUCUCCUUAUUAGCAUCAAGCAAUGAUCGAAAACCUCAAUAGCCCCCUUCACAAUGGCAUGUGAGAGUUGGUUGUUCCAAGUCCCACUUAGAAUGUUGUUAGUUGUAAGUGGGUCUCCAACAUCAAAUAAAAUCCUAAUAUGGAUUUAUUUCCUAAUAUAAGGCUCACCUAAUAACAAUUUGUUUAUUUUAUCAAUGUUUAAGUUUGGACAAUCAUGAUUAAGGAUGACAACGAGGUGAAUUUAGGAACGAUCACCCUCAUCUCAACCUUAUCCUAACCUUUCAAGCGUAUUAUCAUCCUUGUCCCAAAAAUAAAUAAAUAAACAGUGUAAAGUGGAGCAAGGUAAGGCAAGGCAUGUAUGAGAAAUUUUCAUACUCGCCCCAUCUUAUUAUAUUUUUUUUAUUGUUUUCAUAUAAAAAAUAAAUAAAUUACAUUUAAAAUGAAUAUACUUUAUAAAUAAUAAAUUUUACAAUUUAUUUUAUGAGAAAUAACUUUUAUUUUAUAUGUGCUUAAAAGGAAAAAAAAAAAAAGGUAUUUAAUUAUAUAUAAGGUGGGUGAGGUGGGUCAAGGCAAGGCAAAACCUACCUUGAAUGAUUGAACCUAACCCAAGUUUUGAGAGGAAAAAAAAAUCUCAAAUUCAUCUCCAAUUCAUUUAUCUUUACCUUAAACUCAUUCUAUUAGGGGAAGUAUGGACUCCAAAUUGUCACCCUUAAUCAUGACACAUUUAGUUUAACUAUUAAAUCAACAACAACACAUCUAACGGUUAGCCUAUUCAUCAAUUAAACAUCAAUAAUGCUUUUCUACAUGGUACUUUGUCAAAAGAAGUUUUAUGGAGUAACGUCAUAAUUUUUUGAAUUCCACCUGUCCAACACAUGUUUGGAUUCCCUACUAUGACAUGCCCUCACAUCUCCAAUAUAAUAAAUAAACUUGCUUAUUUCAUGUACUCACCGACUAAAUCUCUCUAGGCUAUAAUAAAACAUCUUCUAUGAUAUUUGGAACAUAUUAUCCACUGCAACUUGUUUCUCAAAAGAAAUCAUGAUUGCACCUCCACAAUUACAUGAAUUGUUACCUUAAUGGCAAUGCCAUUCAUGGUGUUCAAUGAAGCAAAAAUCAAUUGCUCAAUCUUCUAUAGAAGUAGAAUAUCAAGCACUCACCUUAUGUGUCAUUGAAGUUCACUAGCAUUGCAAUCUCCUUAGUGAAUUUUAUGUGUCUCUUACUCAAAAACCUAUCAUCCAUUAUGACAACAUUAAUGCUACUUAUCAAUUAGUAAACUUGAAGCAUAUAUUAAUUGACUAUCAUUUUAUCUAAGAUGAUGCUACUCAUAACUCCAUUGGCAUGUUGUGUAUCUCUUCCUAACACCAACUGAUAGAUUCUUUUACAAAGCCUCUCUAUUCUCUUUCCAAUUUUUAUGCACUAAGAUCAAUAUCUUUAAUGAGAAUAUCAUCUUGUCAAGGCAGAUGGGAACCUUGGAUCUUUCCGCUCCCAAACCUUAUAUCAAAUAGGUAUUUGCAAUCUACACUAAGCUUUUAGAACCUAUGCAAUAGAAGUGAAAAAUAAUAUUUUUCUUAUUCUAGGAUCUAGAUUAAAAGCAUUAGAAAAUUUUUCUUUUGAUUUUGACAUUCCCAAAUCAACCUCUUAUGGUGAAGAAGAAGCCUGAAGAGUUUGGAGGGUCGUACACCUAAAAUAUAUCGCCCAAUGAUUCAAACCAUAAUUUUGACACUCUAAAAUAUGGGAUUUGGAAGGAUAAAUGCUUUUACUCUCCCUAUAUUUCUUUGAAGAUGGAAGACGACGGUUAAAAGCUUUGGAAACCCUAACUCCUAAGGGGUAUUUAUAAGGUUCCCCUAUCAAGCUUAAAUCAAGCCCACUAAGGUUUGGAUCACUUAAUUUAAUCCAAAAUGGGUACUAAUUGAUUAAUUAAUCACAAAGCUAUCUAUUUAAUCAAUUAGUACAAUCCAAAAACCUUGUUCACUAUCCCCUAAGCAAUCCUACGUAAUUAUCAAAAUACCUUUAUGCAUAAAAGUGAACCUAGAACUAAUUCAAUUAUCAUAAACUAUGUCAUCAUGGUAUAUAAGUUAAAGACGGAGACCAUUAGGAUCCAUAAGAGUAUUGACUACCUCAUAAUCCAAUUCUAAAGUUGUUUCAAUAUUCCACUAAAGAGAAUCAAUUGCAUUCCAAUACCCCAUGUAAAUAAUAAUAAGACGAACCUCGUGUUUGUGACCUACUAUCCAUUAUAUGCAAACUUGUCAUGAACUAGUGUCUGUAAUCUAGCAAGGUAGUGUUAACCUAUCAAGAUUACAUCUUCAAUCAUUGAGUUACAAAUCUCACUUAUUAUGUGAUCAGUUAACAUACUCUAGUUCCAAAGAGCAUAUGUUAAAUUUUUAAUAAAGGAAAUGUUAUGGUCAUAGUUUUUUAGAUCACAUAUUUUUUUCGAUCACCUAAGGGGACACAUUAUCUCAAUCCAUCAACAAUGACCCAAUCCAUAGGGAUAUAUAACCAUCUUAGGGUCUUGCCCAUAAAACAAAGCCUCAUGUUCACUUUGGCAUAAGCUCAAUAUUUUCUUAAGAUUGAGAGUCUAUGUAGUAUAAUAGCUUGGUGAAUCAUGACAACCAAUAACCUUAUGUCAUGAUUCACCGUAGGUCUUAUCCAAUGUGCAUCACAUACACUAGUGCACUUACUAUGGGAAAGUCAUCUAGACGACUAAGGUAAGUUCUUCCUCAAAUUGGGAGACAGUGCACUACACUCUCAUAUGGAUUGUCUAAAUCCAUGAACAGAUUGUGGUAGUCAUCACUCUACCAACAACUCAUGACUUGGAUCUUUUGUGCAAGUCUUAAUGCACCUUAAGUCAUGUACAAUGCAAGUGAUAUAGGAUGUAUGUGCUCAAAUAACUAAUUAAUGCAAAAGAGAUAAUAAAUGAGAAACCAAGAAAUAUAAAUAAAUCUAUAUUUAUUACAUCAUGUCAUGCUUUCUAAUGCUCAAUCCCAACAAAUUCAUGUUAAAGACUCUUAUUCUGGUUCCUCAAGUCAAGAGAUUUCAUUUAAUUUAAUUUAAUCUCAUUUUGGUUCUUUAAGUCAAGGGAUUUGCUGUGAUUUUAAUUCAUUAUUUAUUACAUUUAAUUUAAAUAAGUUAAUGUGAUAUUUCUUAUAAUAUAAUUUCCUAAUAUUCAAGUUUUUUUGUACAAUUUGUACAUAAACAUUUAUGUAUCACCAAAUGAAUUUAUUAUAGAACACUUUGUAAAUUUUCUGGUUAUUGUCAAUAAUCAUGUUCAAAGCUUAGUAAUUAACAUACAAAACAAGAUCCAUCAAGUUUAUGCAUUAAUAGGAUAGGCGAUGAAAAAGGGGAGUGUUUAGAUUAAUAAUUACAUAAAUAGGUCAUGGACUGAAGGAAUUGGUUAAAUUGGAUUUAAUUAAUUUUUUAUUUUGAUGUAAUGACAUGAGAUACUGGACUCCAGUUGAAUCUUUAGUGGAAUUUUUAGUCAACUUCAAAAUUGGAUUAUAAGGAAGCUGAUAUUUUCCUAUGAGUCUCAAUUGUUUUGGCUCAAGCUCACAUUCUUUGGUGGUACAUCAUUUGAGGGAUAAAUGAAUUUUUUUUAUAUUCAAAGUGUGUAUAAGGGUGUUUUGGUAAAAAUGUAAAGUUAUAUAGGAGCUUAUGAUUUGUAUUUUUGGAUUGAGCUAAUUAAUUAAUUAGAGUCUAAUAAGGCUAGUUAAUUAAUUAGAAGUUGGUAGAUUAAACUAAGUGACUUAAGCCUAAGAUGAGCUCAAGUAACUUAAGCCCAUUGACAAACCUAUAUAAACCCCCUUUAGGGUUUAGGGCUUGAAACUUCAACCAUUUUAUUUUCUAGAAAGAAAGAACUUUACCCUCCAUCCUUAUGGAAAGGAUUCCACAAUCCUCACUUGUCAAGGUCUAAGAAAGAGCCAUCAAGUAGAAGAACAUGAGGUUUCAAAAUCUCUAUUAUGAAAAAAUUUGAGUUUGGGAACAUUCAAACCCUAGGUAUGAUUUCUAACACACCUUGUGAGGGCAAAGAUAUAUUUUUUAUUGGUUUUGUUAUGCUUAGGAUCUUAAAUGCAUGUACCCCAAAACCCAAACAACACCAUCAUCAACAACCAUGAAAUUAAUAAUAAUAUUUUGAAGGAGAUAAUCCAUGAAUUUGCUUAACCAUUCACCAAUCUAUAAAAUUGUUUGUACUUCUUAAGUCAAGCAAAAUAGAAAUGAAGUUUUCUUUAAAGAUGCACACAAAGGGUUUGCGGAUUAAAAGACCCACCUAAUGCAUGUAGGGAAAAUUUUAGUUAAUGAACUUUAUCAACCAUUUAAACAUCUUUAUCAAUUAUAUUAUCAUGAUCAUCAAUCUUAGUUGGCCAUUUACUUUCAAUGAGAAAAAGUUGUUUGAUCAUGCAUUGAAGACCACAUUGGAAUUAUUGAUAACAAUUAAAGAAUAAGGCUUGUUAUGAUGUUUAGCCAAUUUACAUGGCAAUAAUUAGUUAAACAAGAAUUUUGGAAUGUAGAUUUAUUGUUGAUUAAAGUAGCUAUAGAUGGUGAAGCAAGUGUAGGUACAUACCUACCAUUAGAUGCCUAUGGUUGGCAAACUAAGAAACUAUAAUUUUUCCCCAAACAAGUUUCAAAUAACCUAAACAAGUGACUGUGGACAAGAAGCUUCACAUGCACCAACAUAGAUAUCUUUUUCUUUUUCUUUUUCUUUUUUAGUAUAUCGAUGAAAUAAUUAAUCAUAAAUGACCCUAAAACUUGGAUAAUGAGAUUGGUGUGGGCACCCAGGUAGUGAGGUAGCUGAGUUGGCAACCUGUCUCAAGUAAUGUUAACCUGAAUGGUCUCAUUUGACCAAAUACCAUCCAGGUAGUAAGUAGUUAUAAAUAGAUGGCCAUUACGUGUCAUCAGCGAGGCAACAUUAUGAGAUUAAAUGCAAAUAUAAAGAAAGGUCAUAAUUGUAAAAAAAAAAAAGUUAUAAAAUUCAUCUUAUAUAAAUGAUAGAGGGACAAGAGUUGAAAAGACAUAGAAUUCUCCCCCAGAAAUUCACUUCUUAAUUCUCAAAGGUGACUUAAGCAUUAGAGAGGUCUACCUAGAGCAUACCUAGGCUUACCUUUUCGUAGGAUCAUUGAAUACAGGAGACACUUAAGAAGUUACCCAGAGGGUGAUCACAAUCCAAAACCAACAAUUAGCGUCGUUUAUGGGAAUCUGAAACAAAACCUACUAUAAAAAAGAUUGAAAAUGAUGACCACUCCAUCUAGAAUUGGUGCCAACACUUAAUCUGCUACACAACCUUUCAGUUUUGAUAAAAGAUUCAACACAUUUUAGGUGAAAUAUGGAAAAAAGGUAGAAAGAAUAUGAGCAAUGUAUAUAGUCCCUUCUUCAACACAUAAAUCAAUUGAGGCAAGAAAAUGAAGAAUUAUAAGUGCUUAUGUUUGGAAAAUAAUGCUUUAGUAGGAAAAGUCAUUACUCAACCAAUUAGAGCCUCCUAUAAUAAUCUCGGAGUAAAAUGACGAAAGUAUCACCUUUAAGUAGACAACAUUCAUUCCAAGCAGAUUAUGAACUAUCCACAAGUGACCCACCUAUCUUGCCUACACUUCAAAAGUUUCAAAAAAAAAAGAAAAAAAAAACAUACUAGGGAGAAUUUCUCUUAUGAAGCCAUUAGCAUGACUACGAAAAGGUGCCAUUGAGGCUUAACUUAAGGCCCCAACACUGCUAUUACACUCAGAAUGUGGUUGAACAUCCCAUACAAUAAAGAAACUCAAAACCCCGAGCAAAACAACCAAUCCAAGUAGAUCUCUAAAGAAAUCGGACUUACAACAUUUGUAGGUUCUGUCAGUAGACGCCUAGAUAACAUGGUAUUCACAUCAUCGCUCAUAUAAUGAACUAUGAAUCUUCGAGAGAAUUCAUGGUCCUGAAGUUUACUAUGUACGAUGGGACAAGUGAUUCAUUCAAUCAUAUUCUACAUUAUAGAUAGGAGAUAACUUUAGACAUAGGGUAUGAUAUCCAAGUAUUAUCUUUUUUGAAUCCAUCACUAAGAAGCCAUUGGUGUCAAGGGAAAAUUUAUUUUAGUGGGAUGAUAAGUAUGCAAUGUUGGAGGACGAUAUCCAAGCAGCUUUACAAAAAUUUUUGGUUGCAAUGCGGUGUACCCAAGAAAAUAAAGUAGGAAACUCAAGUCUUCAAGGAGCAUAUUAAGAUAAAACAACUAAAAGCCUGUUCAACACCAUCAAAGCAAGAAUAAGCCAUUGCAAUGAACUCAUCUAACUAUCUCUUAUAAAUGACUUAUCGUGUUGGUUCACGAUCUUCCUAGGUCUAGGAGAUCGAACCCUAUGAGAACAAACUCGACAAAGAGAGACCAAUGACAACACUGAUCUUAUCAUAGAGAACAUGGUCAUACCAUAGAGGAAUGCCAUCAUUUCUACUUUUUAAUAGGAAAGUUAAUAAAAGUCAAUACCUUCACCAAUAUAUUAGCAAACCUAGGAGUAACAAUGAAGCUUCACUGACUAAGAGGAAUAGGGGCACAUACUCUACUUUUUGAACAAUGUCUAAUCAUCCAUUACAUUCAUGAAUGGUCAGUUGAUAAUUAGUACAAAUCCCAAAGGCAUAAAAGAUCGGUGAUUAGAGUCAUUAUCAUGGUGAAAUGAGUGAAUGUUGUUCAAUAUUCCUUCAUGUUGGGUAGCACACAGUCAAUUGAUAGGCCCAUAACCUUUUCACCUAUCCAAGUAGGAUAAAGAUGCCCUCGUUUUAACUUCGAAUAUUAAUGGGUUUAAUCUACAUAAGAUACUGGUUGAUCUAGGUAGUUCCGUUGAUUUCUUGCAAAUGACAACAUAUAAGUAGAUAGGUCACUCACUCAUAACCCUAGAAAGCCUAGGACAUAUCCUAAUCAAAUUUAAUGGAGCUACAACAAUGUCAAUGAUGAUGUAAUACUUCUAGUGGAAUUUGUGACUAUUCAACUAAAUGCGAAUUACUUAGUUAUAAGGAAUCUAUCACCAUAUAUUGCCAUAAUGGGGGCACGCAUGGAUCCAUAAAAUGAAAGUCAUACUAUUUACCUAUCAUCAAAUGGUCAGUUUCCUCACCAAAUAGAGAUAGGUAGAUUUGCACAAGAGUUAACUAGUGUCUUGAAAAUGCUAUCAAAUAAACACAAACUGAGUAAGAGAAGUAGCCUAAUGUGCCUAGUCCUUAAGCAAUCAUUCCAAAUAGCAAUUACUAUUUGAGGAAAAGAAUAAGGCUAAGGAGCGUGAAUAUCCAAUUGUAGACACAUUGGUGGGAGUUGAUUUUUUGAAGAUAGUAGCAAGAAAAUAGUGUAUGUUAGUGUGUUAUUGUCUGAUGAAGAGCAUGAUUGGCUAACACUAGUUUUGAAAAUAAAUAAUGAUGUGUUCACCUAGAGGUAUUUGGAUAUGACAAGCAUCAAUUACAAGGUGGCAUCUCAUAAGCCAAAUAUUGACUCAACAAUAUGACCACUCAAGCAAAAGGUUCGACAUUUUCACCCAGAUAGAUAAAGGAUUAUUCAAGAUGAGGUAGCUAAUUUGUUGGAAGUAAGUGCAUUCAUGAAGUGCACUACCUUAAUUGGUUAGCAAAUGUUAUUGUGGUGCCUAAGAAAGAAGAAAAGUGGAAGGUUUGCAUUAUCUUCAUUGAUCUAAACAAAGCUUGUCCAAAAGAUAGCUUUUCGCUACUAAGGAUUUACUACAUAAUAUAUGCCACCCUUGGACAUGGUAUAUUGUCAUUCAUGAAGGCAUUUUUUUACUAUAACCAAAUCUCUAUGUAUUUGCCAGAUUUAGAUAAGAUCGCGAUAAUAAUUCCUCAAGGCUUGUACUAUUACAAUGUAAUGUCGUUUGGACUUAAAAGUGUUAAAGCAACAUAUCAAUGAAUAGUGAUUAAGAUUUUCUAACCAAUAUUAGGAAAGACAAUCGAGGUUUAUAUUGAUGAUAUGCUUAUUAAGAGCUUCGUCCAAACAAACCAUUUACAAGAUUUGGAGAAAGCUUUUGUUCUUCUUCGAAAGCAUGUAUGAAGCUAAAUCCAUUAGAAAGUGUGUUCAAUGUAAGUGUAAGGAAAUUUCUAGGGUCUAUGGUUGCCAUAAUGGGAAUAGGGGCAAAUCCAGUGAUUACUACUCAAAAAGUGCUAUUUGAUAGCUUAUAAUUAAUCCUUUUAAACACUUUUGAGUAGUAGUUUUGGCCUUUUAACUCAAUUGGCAUGUUAAGGACCCUUGAAAGCAAUUUUAAUCACUUUGUGUAAGUUUUGGUGUUUUUGUUAGUAAUUUGAUCAUCAAAACAAGUCAAGACUGAGGAGAGUUAUGUGGAAUCUAGGACAAAGCUUGGAAGUCAUUUGCCAAGAGUAAAUCCGGAAUGCAAGGAGAAAAAGUAAAGAGAAUCUGCCAUGAAGCAUAUUCUUGAUGACAGUCGUGGCAGCCACUUUUGGAGCACUUUCAGAAGUCCAAUUGAUGCAUACUAUAUACCAUUUCAAAGCUCAGGAAGUCAACAAUCCAAUGCAUCAAACAGUAUGCAAUUCGGAGUUGAAACGAAGAAGUUGCAACCAUUGCAAGCCAAUCACUCCAAGCUGAAGGAAGCAUUUUACAAAGUGUUGCGAAAUCACCCUUUUGUUGCGAAGUGAUUUCGCAGCCUUUUUGUAUAGUAGGGUGUAUUUCCUUCUGAAUUUGCCCGAUAUAUGCCGCAAGCUGGGAGCUGAGAACCUCAAGAUGGAAGCCAACUUCGCAGCCCUGCGAGAAUAGCUUUUUGUUGCGAAGUGAUUUCGCAGUCCUUCUUGAGUGUCUGCGAAAUCUCGCAGACACCAUUUUCUAUUGCGAAAUGGUUCCUGGAGCAUCCCGAUAUUUGCUACCGACAUUUGGAGAUAUUUUCUAUUAGAUUUUUGUUGUCUAAAUCCCAAAAUACUCCUUGUAAGCCACCAAUUACAAGAUUCCUUAGCUUUUAAGUUAGUAAAAAGAGAAAAUAUCUAUGUAAUCAUUAGUUUUAUAUUAUGUUCAUAUAAGUACCUCUCGGGAGCCUGUUCUCAGAGAGGAGAUCCUUUUGUAAAAGUUUUGGGUAAGCAAGUAAAGUUCAGUUCUUUGUUUUGCCUUACCUUCUCACUUUGUAUUAUUUAUUUCUUACUAAGUUAUGCACUCCCUGAGGAAUUUUCCCCAGAGAAUGAGUAACUAAACCUCUAGUUCCUUGGAGCUAAGGUUGCCGGGGAAGAUUCCAAGUGCAAGAAUGCAAAGCUUUGUGGUUUCAGCCAGUAAUGAAGAGGAAGUGAAAUCCUUUAGUGAUUUCUAUGUUUUUAGUUAACUUAAAACACCUUAGAGUCACCUGGGCCAACACUUGGUAAGGCAAGUGAUUUCCAACCAUGGAAAUGCACUAGUUUACCCCUUGCGAGCCUCUAGGAGGUGACUUUAAGGUAGGAUUUUCUGGAAUUGUCAACACUUUGUAAGCUUUUGGACUCCAAGGAGACAUCCAUUAGUUAUCUCUUGCGAGCUUGAGAAGGGAAGUCCAAGGUUAAAGAUCACCUUGAAUGGUUAAGGCUUAGUGAGAGGCUGGAACCAUUGCAAGUUGCAUCAGUGAGAGAAUUAAAGUUGAAAUCUAAUUAAAGGAUGUAUCUGUACAAAACUGGUUAGAGAAUUGACUAUAUGUUGAAUCUCUAACGCGAGGAAAUGAACCAUCUGAUCGGAGUUAUGUCUUUUGCAUGAGGAACCACCCCAGUGAACCUAACUCUCCAAGGAAUGUUUUUCUUCCUAAGUUAUUCCCAUUACUUGUUGUGUUAGUUAGUUUAAGUCUAAAUCUUUACCAAUCAAAGUUUGUGUUUUACUUCUUAAGCUAACCUUGAAAUGAAACAAGACCAAUUCACUUUGAAUUGGUAUCAUUGAUAGCUUGUUAAUCCUUCCCAGUGAACGAUCCUAGAGCCACUAUACUAUAGUAGCUUUUUCUUUGCUACCCUAGUAUAUGGUGUUAUAGGUUAUAAAUUUUGUUGAUUACUCCCUCAAUCAAGGAGCACCAGCUGGACACGAAUCAACUGAGACACCAAUUAGGCAUGAAUCAAAUGGCGCCGUUGCCAGGGAAGGUGUCAAGUUUAUAGUGAUACCAUUUUUGAGCACUUAUGAUUUUCAUCACAAGUUGGUAACGUUUCUUUCACUUUACUAAUUCUCAUUCUUUCUUUAUUUAUUCAUAAUCCAAGUUUAUCUUUUAAAAUUUAGCCUAGUUUAAUUUUGUUGUUGUAGCCCUGUUUCUGUUGUUGUCCUUUAUUUUCAUUUAAGUUGCAGAUAGAUACUAGUUGUGUAUGCCAAAGUGGAUACGAGACAGUGGAUGAAGGCUUGUUAAGUGUGAUACACCUCAGAACAAAGAAUUCGAAUUAAGCUUCAAUAUCAUGGAAGCUACACCUGAAGAUCAGCAUAGUCACCAAGGUCGUCAAGACAACCUUAAUGAAUUUAGAUCAAUGAGGGACCGCAUGCAUCCACCUCAUAUGAGUGCACCAUCAUGUAUAGUGCCCCCUACAGAGCAGCUAGUGAUCAGACCGUAUCUUGUUCCACUUCUACCAACUUUCCAUGGGAUGGAAAGUGAGAAUCCGUAUGCACACAUCAAGGAAUUUGAAGAUGUUUGUAAUACAUUCCAAGAUGGAGGAGCUUCAAUUGAUCUGAUGAGGCUUAAGUUAUUUCCUUUUACUUUAAAGGAUAAGGCCAAAAUUUGGCUUAAUUCUUUAAGGCCAAGGAGUAUCCGUUCUUGGACUGACUUACAAGCUGAAUUCCUCAAGAAAUUUUUCCCACUCAUAGAACAAAUGGCUUGAAAAGGCAAAUUUCAAACUUUUCAGCUAAAGAGAAUGAAAAAUUUUAUGAGUGUUGGGAAAGAUAUAUGGAAGCUAUAAAUGCUUGCCCUCACCAUGGCUUUGAUACUUGGCUAUUGGUGAGCUAUUUUUAUGAUGGUAUGUCCUCCUCAAUAAAGCAACUCCUCGAGACAAUGUGUGGAGGAGAUUUCAUGAGCAAAAAUCCAGAGGAAGCUAUGGAUUUCUUGAGCUAUGUGGCUGAAGUUUCAAGGGGAUGGGAUGAACCAACCAAAGGAGAAGUGGGUAAGAUGAAAUCUCAACUGAAUGCUUUCAAUGUAAAGGCUGGGAUGUAUACCUUGAAAGAAGAUGAUGAUAUGAAAGCAAAGUUGGCAGCUAUGACAAGAAGAUUGGAGGAGUUGGAGCUGAAAAGAAUUCAUGAAGUGCAAGCUGUUGCUGAAGCACCAGUGCAAGUGAAGUUGUGUCCUAAUUGUCAAUCAUAUGAACAUUUGGUGGAGGAAUGCCCUGCAAUUUCAGCUGAAAGGGAAAUGUUUAGAGAUCAAGCAAAUGUUGUUGGACAAUUCAAGCCCAAUAACAAUGCGCCUUAUGGAAAUACCUACAACUCAAGUUGGAGGAAUCAUCCAAAUUUCUCAUGGAAGGCCAGAGCAACUCAAUACCAACAGCCGGAUCCACCAUCUCAACAAUCUUCAAGUCUUAAACAAGCAAUGACUAAUCUCAGCAAGGUAGUGGGAGAUUUUGUUGGAAACCAAGAAACCACCAACGCUCAAAUCAAUCAAAGAAUUGACAGAGUGGAGAGUAUUUUGAAUAAAAGGAUGGAUGGAAUGCAAAAUGGUAUGAACCAAAAGUUUGAUAACAUCCAAUAUUCAAUUUCAAGGCUUACAAAUUUGAAUACACUACAAGAAAAGGGAAGAUUUCCUUCUCAACCCCACCAGAACCCCAAAGGUGUCCAUGAAGUGGAAAGCCAAGAGGGAGAAUCAUCGCAGACGAAAGAUGUCAAAGCCUUGAUCACUCUAAGGAGUGGUAAAAAAAUUGAGCAGCCAACACCCGAGCCAUAUGUGGAGAAAGAAGAGAUAAAGAAAGGGAAGGAAAUGGAAGAUAAAGAGAGUGAGAUCAGUGAAGAAAAGAAGGACUCUGAUUCAACAAUGAAUGCAAUUCCAGAGAAGGAACUUAUGAAGGAAAAAAUGCUGAAGAAAUCAACUUCUCCACCUUUUCCUCAAGCAUUACAUGGGAAAAAGGGAAUUAGAAAUGCAGCUAAAAUCCUUGAAGUAUUGAGACAAGUGAAAGUCAAUAUUCCACUGCUGGAUAUGAUUAAACAAGUUCCAACGUAUGCAAAAUUCCUUAAGGAUUUAUGUACUAUCAAAAGAGGGUUGACUGUAAACAAGAAAGCCUUCUUGACUGAGCAAGUAAGUGCAAUCUUACAAUGUAAGUCUCCUUUGAAGUACAAAGACCCGGGAAGUCCUACCAUUUCAGUCAUGAUUGGAGGAAAGAUAGUGGAAAAAGCCUUGUUAGAUUUGGGGGCAAGUGUGAAUUUGCUUCCAUAUUCCGUCUACAAGCAAUUGGGACUUGGGGAAUUGAAGCCAACAACAAUCACUCUAUCUCUAACAGAUAGAUCUGUAAAAAUCCCAAGGAGGGUAAUUGAGGAUGUCUUAGUUCAAGUGGAUAAUUUCUACUAUUCAGUAGAUUUUAUUGUUCUUGAUACAGAUCCUACUGUAAAGGAAGCUAAUUUAGUUCCUAUCAUCCUUGGAAGGCCAUUUCUUGCUACCUCAAAUGCAAUCAUCAAUUGCAGGAAUGGGCUGAUGCAACUCACUUUUGGCAACAUGACACUGGAUCUCAAUAUUUUCUAUAUGUCUAAAAAGCAAACCACUCCAGAAGAAGAAGAGGGUCCAGAAGAGUUGUGCAUUAUUGAUACUUUGGUGGAGGAGCACUGUAAUCAAAAUAUGCAAGACAAGUUGAAUGAAAGUCUUGUGGAUUUUGAGGAAGGUUUGUCUAAAUCUCCUACUGUGCUUGCUACUCUACAAAGUUGGAGAAAGAUAGAAGAAAUUCUACAUUUGUUCAAUAAAGAAUAAGAGGCAGCUGCUGAAAAAGAAACUCCAAAACUCAAUUUGAAGCCUUUACCUAUGGAGCUGAAAUAUACAUAUCUUGAAGAAAAUAAUCAAUGUCCUGUUGUGAUAUCUUCAUCGCUGACCAGUCAUCAAGAGAAUUGUUUAAUGGAAGUUCUCAAGAGGUGUAAGAAGGCAAUAGGAUGGCCAUUCCCAUUUCUGAAUACAGAGAGUUGUGCCGUUCAUUGGAGACCCUCACAGCAUCUCAGAGCAGUCUUGCUCAAGACAUGGCAGCCAUUAGAGCAUGCCAAGAGCAGAUGUUGGCCACUCAGGCUCAACACACUGCCAUCUUAAGGCAGCUCCAGCUUCAUUUCGACCUGCCACCAGCUGUUGAGCCCUCCACUUCUACCACAGCAGUGCCACACUCUCAUCCAGCAGAGCCUCAGGCCCCAUCUGAAGCACCAGCUGAAGAGGCAGACCCAUCUGCCUAGUCCCAGCACCACCCACUCAUCAGAAUAUAUAUAUUGCUUUUCUUUUAUGUAUUUCGUUUUUUUUAGUUGGAAAGAAAUCCCAUUAUUUUGGUACUAUAUUUGGGAUUGCUUGUAUUGCUUUUCUUUUACAUUGUACUCAAAUGGAUUCAAAGUAAUACAAGUUUAAUAUUUCUUGUUAACCUUUAGCAUUAAGUUAUCCUUAUUUCUUUUUCUCACAUAUUCUAUUCUUUUUGAAACAUGUGGUUUCUCUAAUCAGUAUUUGAAUUUGAUAUCACUCAGGAGGUACCACUUCCUCCCUUUAAUUACAAUCACUCAUAUCACAUUGAGGACAAUGCUCAGUUCAGUUGGGGGGGGGGGGGGGGGAAUGAGGAAGGAAGUUAUGCUAAAUUAAAGGAAGUAUGCUAAGCCUUUUUAGUAAUGCAAUUAUUUUGGUAAAUUAGUUGUAGUUUUUGCUUUUUACUCUAUUCUCCAUGAAUCUUGAGGAAAAAUUUUCAAAUUAAAACAGGAGAAAUUGAACUGUUGUUUUUCACUUGACUUAGAGUAUGGAUUAUGCUCACUAAAGUGGUUCAAUUGUUGAAACUUCUAUUGAAAUUGAAUUGAGUUCUUCUACUUUAAGCUAUUCACACACUAUGCACAUUAGAUUCCGUUUAUAAGAUGAAAAGCUAUUUUCCUCUUGACUUAGGAUAAUUUUGGGAAUUGGUACAUUUGACCUCAUUUGAUAAAGUUGAAACACCCUACAAAAGGCCAAUGAGCCUUUGAAAUAAAGAAAGUUGUUUGCUUGCCUUAAAACCCGAGCAAGGUUUGAGGGGUAUAUGGUGAAAAUCUUUGAAGCCUGGUGCCCUAAGCCUUAAUUGGUUAGGAGUCACCGACCUCAAUGCUCGUUACAAGGGUGGAUAGGCGGAGUUAGCAUGUGGUAGGUGCUUGGGUAUUAGAAAUUCAUUCUCAAAAGUCCGGGGAAAAAUCCGAGGAGUUAGUGGUUAAAAGAUCCUUAAAACUUGAUGCCUUAAUUGGUUGGGAGUCAUCGAUGGACCCCCAUUACAUGGACAAUUCAGAAAGAGUACCCCAUAAAGCCUCAUUAAAAAAAAAAAAAAGAAAAAAAAAAGAGAGAAAGUGUGUUCUUUCUUUAUUGAUUUUGGUCAGUUUGCUAAGUGUUGAAAAGAGAUAGGUUGGGGGGAGAGAUUAGUUUAGCAUAUUAUUUUCGAAAGCUAAGGAACUUAUACACAUAGAUUUUUGAGGAAGAAUAAAGUUUGGUUCUUUGAAAGUGGAAAUGAUUUUAAAACUUCAGUUUGCAUAAUGCAUUCCCUUGAUUGACAGUGUUUAGCAUAGUUUGUUAUAACUCUUGUUGAAAUUUGUUUUUAUAUUUCUUUAAUGUUUCAUGAGAAAAUUAGAUCAUCAUGCCAUUUGAAAAUUGUUUUUCAGCAUGAUGUUGUAAAUUAUAGGUUAGUUUGCUUUUUAUUUUCAAUUUUUCUCUCCUAUAUUGCUAAGGGACUAGCAAUAUGUCGGUUGGAGGGAGUGAUUACUACUCAAAAAGUGUUAUUUGAUAGCUUAUAAUUAAUCCUUUUAAACACUUUUGAGUAGUAGUUUUGGCCUUUUAACUCAAUUGGCAUGUUAAGGACCCUUGAAAGCAAUUUUAAUCACUUUGUGUAAGUUUUGGUGGUUUUGUUAGUAAUUUGAUCAUCAAAACAAGUCAAGACUGAGGAGAGUUAUGUGGAAUCUAGGACAAAGCUUGGAAGUCAUUUGCCAAGAGUAAAUCCGGAAUGCAAGGAGAAAAAGUAAAGAGAAUUUGCCAUGAAGCAUAUUCUUGAUAACAGUCGUGGCAGCCACUUUUGGAGCACUUUCUGAAGUUCAAUUGAUGCAUGCUAUAUACCAUUUCAAAGCUCAGGAAGUCAACAAUCUAAUACUUCAAACGGUAUGCAAUUCGGAGUUGAAACGAAGAAGUUGCAGCCAUUGCAAGCCAAUCACUCCAAGCUGAAGGAAGCAUUUUACAAAGUGUUGCGAAAUCACCCUUUUGUUGCGAAGUGAUUUCGCAGCCUUUUUGUAUAGUAGGGUGUAUUUCCUUUUGAAGUUGCCCGAUAUAUGCCGCAAGCUGGGAGCUGAGAACCUCAAGAUGGAAGCCAACUUCGCAGCCCUGCGAGAAUAGCUUUUUGUUGCGAAGUGAUUUCGCAGCCCUUAUUGAGUGUCUGCGAAAUCUCGCAGACACCAUUUUCUCUUGCGAAAUGGUUCCUGGAGCAUCCCGAUAUUUGCUACCGACAUUUGGAGAUAUUUUCUAUUAGAUUUUUGUUGUCUAAAUCCCAAAAUACUCCUUGUAAGCCACCAAUUACAAGAUUCCUUAGCUUUUAAGUUAGUAAAAAGAGAAAAUAUCUAUGUAAUAAUUAGUUUUAUAUUAUGUUCAUAUAAGUACCUCUCGGGAGCCUGUUCUCAGAGAGGAGAUCCUUUUGUAAAAGUUUUGGGUAAGCAAGUAAAGUUCAGUUCUUUGUUUUGCCUUACCUUCUCACUUUGUAUUAUUUAUUUCUUACUAAGUUAUGCACUCCCUGAGGAAUUUUCCCCAGAGAAUGAGUAAUUAAACCUCUAGUUCCUUGGAGCUAAGGUUGCCGGGGAAGGUUCCAAGUGCAAGAAUGCAAAGUUUUGUGGUUUCAGCCAGUAAUGAAGAGGAAGUGAAAUCCUUUAGUGAUUUCUAUGUUUUUAGUUAACUUAAAACACCUUAGAGUCACCUGGGCCAACACUUGGUAAGGCAAGUGAUUUCCAACCAUGGAAAUGCACUAGUUUACCCCUUGCGAGCCUCUAGGAGGUGACUUUAAGGUAGGAUUUUCUGGAAUUGUCAACACUUUGUAAGCUUUUGGACUCCAAGGAGACAUCCAUUAGUUAUCUCUUGCGAGCUUGAGAAGGGAAGUCCAAGGUUAAAGAUCACCUUGAAUGGUUAAGGCUUAGUGAGAGGCUUGAACCAUUGCAAGUUGCAUCAGUGAGAGAAUUAAAGUUGAAAUCUAAUUAAAGGAUGUAUCUGUACAAAACUGGUUAGAGAAUUGACUAUAUGUUGAAUCUCUAACGCGAGGAAAUGAACCAUCUGAUCGGAGUUAUGUCUUUUGCAUGAGGAACCACCCCAGUGAACCUAACUCUCCAAGGAAUGUUUUUCUUCCUAAGUUAUUCCCAUUACUUGUUGUGUUAGUUAGUUUAAGUCUAAAUCUUUACCAAUCAAAGUUUGUGUUUUACUUCUUAAGCUAACCUUGAAAUGAAACAAGACCAAUUCACUUUGAAUUGGUAUCAUUGAUAGCUUGUUAAUCCUUCCCAGUGAACGAUCCUAGAGCCACUAUACUAUAGUAGCUUUUUCUUUGCUACCCUAGUAUAUGGUGUUAUAGGUUAUAAAUUUUGUUGAUUACUCCCUCAAUCAAGGAACACCAGCUGGACACGAAUCAACUGAGACACCAAUUAGGCAUGAAUCAUCCAGCUCAAAUUAAGGCACUACUCGAAUUCAAGUCCCCAACUAGUCGUAAAGAGGUGCAAAAGUUUUUUAGAGCAUUAUCAAUUUUAGGAAGGUUUAUCUUUCAAUAUACCGAUCACCUUUGACCACUUUUUAAUAUUGUUUGAAAAGCAAAGUCAAUUGAAUUUACUAAAAUAGUGUGAACGAGUCUUUCACUGGAUAAAGCAAUAUUUAACUAAGCCCUUGAUCCUCAAUAGUCUGGUUGCAUAUGAGGGUUAUAUAUGUACCUGGCUAUCUUAAAAAUUGUCAUUAAUGGGUAUCAUUGCGGGUAGAUGGGGAAAAACGACAAAAAACAUGUAUAUUAUGUGAGUAAAGCCUUGAUUAGAGCUGAGAUAAAGAACACUCACAUCAAGAAAGCAACAUUUUCCUCAAGAUUAACAACUAAGAAACUUUAUCAUUAUUUCCAAGCACAAUUGAUUGUCAUCUUGACAACUCUUCCUUUGCGAGCCAUGUUGCAUAAGCUAAUCCAAGAUAAUGAUUAAAUAAGCACUGGAAUUGAGUGAGUAUAGAAUUCAAUAUAGGCCUAGGCUAUCUCUCAAAGGGUAGGUCCUAACUAACUUUAUUAUUGAAUUACCUUAGAUGGAUGUGGCAAAAAAAAAAGAACUAUUUGGACAAUGGUGGCUCUUAAACUUAAAUAGAUCAUCAAAAAGCAUUUGGAUCAGGAGUGAGAAUCCUUCUAUAGUCCCUAAAAGAUGAGCAUAUUAAGUAAGCUAUCAGGCUAUGCUUUACAGUUUCCAAUAAUAAGUCCAAGUAUGAAGCUAUAAUAGUUAGCUUCGAUUUCUCUUUUUCACUCUUUGCAUCAAAAAUGGAAAUUAGAAGUGACUCACAACUAGUAGUCAGGAUAUUCAGGGGGACUAUGAGGGAAAUCAUGAGCACAUGUUGCAUUACUUAGUGUUAGUAGUGCAUUCCCUAAGAAGAAGACAAGAAAGUGGAUGCUUUAACUGAGGUGGCGACCACAGUUCUUGUAAAGUAAACAACACUUCUGUUAAUUUAUUUUCAUUCAACUCCUUUAAGAGUAAUGCACGAAAAGAGUGGAUGACAUAAAGAAUGCAAAAUCCUACAAGAUGAGCAAAAUUGUCAAAUAUCCUGAAAUAUGAGAAGUCCUUGAUGACUCGAAAGAAGUUCACAAACUUUGAGAACAAGUAGCCCGAUAUUCGGUAAUCAAUGAUCAAUUAUAUAAGCAAUUGUUUGAAGGGGACCCUAUUUAAGAUGUUUAAGCGAGACGGAGGCUCAAUAUGAUCUAGCUUAAUCACAUGAAGGAGUGUGUGAUAAUCAUUUGGAGGACAAAUAGUAGCACAUUGUGCACAUACUCAAGGGUAUUAAUGGCCUAUAAUGAAAAAAUAUAUAUACUGAAGCCUAUACUAGGAAGUGCGACAAGUGUCAUAGGUAUGCUCCUAAAUCCUAUUUACCAUCUUAGUACUUAAUUUUAGUUAUCGGCCCUUGGUUGUUCGCAUAAUGGGGAAUGGACAUUGUUAUGUCGUUUCAUACAAGAGCUAUUAAAAAAAAGUUAUUGCUCAUUGCCACAAACUAUUUCAACAAAUAAGUGAAACUUGAAGCAUAUGCCACCAUUAAGGAUAAUGAUGUCAUAAAGUUCACUUGGAAAAAUAUAGUUUGCUAGUUUGGUAUAAUCCAAGUGAUAAUAACCGAUAACAUGCCAUAAUUUGAUAGUCUAACAUUUCAUAACUUCUACUUGGAGCUAGGAAUUAAGAACUACUACUCUACACCAAGGUUCCCAUAAAGUAAUGGGCAUGCGUAAGUUACUAACAAAGCCCUCUUAGUCGCAAUCAAGAAAAUAUUCUCUAACACUAAAAGAAAAUAUGUCAAUAAACUACCUAGAGUAUUAUUGGCUCAUAGAACUAUUGAUUGUUUGUCCAUGGGUGUAUCUCUAUUAUCUUUAAGGUACAAAAUAGAGGUUGUGAUCUCAACCGAAAUUAGCAAACCCACUUUGAGAAUCACCUUCCCUAUAAUGGAAAAUAGUUUGGAAGACUUGGGAAGUUAUUUGAAUUAGGUAGAUGAAACAAGGAAAAUAACUUGUCCAACUAACCACCUAUCAGCAAAGAGUCAUUGCCCAAUACAACAAACAAGCAAAACAAGUUUUUUCGAAUAAAAUACUUGGUCCUUAGAAGAGUAUUCCAUAAUACCAUUGAAGUUGGUGCAAAAAAGCUCCAAGCCAAUUGGGAAGGACCUUACAUUAUUAUAAAAGAAGGUCUGAUCAGCGUGUACCACCUAGAAGAUAUGAAUGGAAUUUCAAUACAACAACCAUGGAAUGUAGCCAACUUAAAGAAGAUUAACAAUAAAAAUGUGAGUUUGAUUAUAUAAAUGUUGAUUAUUAAAAAAGCAUAGGGGCCAAACAUACUGUAUAGGAAGAUGAUAAUCUCUCGACUUUCAUUAAACUAAGCUAAAAACCUAAAGGCUUAACACCUAAUUAAGUUUUAAACCUUUAGUUACUUCUUAGCUUUAAAUGCUCAAAUAUGUCGAGUAGAAAGGCAAUACAUCUCUCGGCUAUGACUUAAUUGAGUGCCUUAAGGCUUAAUGCCCCAAGUCAUGAACUACCUGACUACAACCAAGGCUUUAAAGGCCUAGUCAUGUUGAAUAGGAAGAUAGUAAGCCUUCUAGAUAUAACAAGGCUCUAGUACCUUGAAAGAGAAAACAAAUCUUUGAAUUAUAAAGGCUAAAGGCCACAAUAUCAAAAAUAGAUAUAAAAGCAACAAAACAAAUCAAAUUCAAAUGUUAGUAGACAAAAAACUUAUAUAAGCAUAUAUGAACAUAUGAAAGUAUCAAAAUAUGAAAGUAUUAAUGUAGUAAUUAUUAUGAGAAAAACAUUAAAAAUGUUGAUACAAAAAAAUUUGACCUAUAGCCUACUUGGCCAUAUAAUUGGGUUGGUUUUUUUUUUUUUUUUUUUUAACUAUCUGUGGAUAUGCUUGGAUUCUCAUUAACCUCGACUGGCUCUGCUUCAUUAGAUGGCUCUGCCACAUUAUUUGAACACACAUUUUUCAAGAUCUUAUGUUUUUGCAUACAACAUUGAUAGUCAUAGAAGUGCAUGUCAUCUAUUUCUUGGUGUACUCGUCUUCCAAUUGAUGUUUUUGAUUCACAAGAUCUGAUUUGGUUUGGUUAAGCUUAACCUUUAGCUUCCCGUAUUCCUUUACAAUCUUUGUUUGAUCAAAGGUUAACAUUUCUUUUUCUUAUUUCAAGAAAUAGUGCUCCACCUACAAAGCCUCAUUUUCUUGUGUUGUCUUCCAAAGGGAUUCGACCUUUUUUUAGAACUUCACAACCAAUUCUCAAGUAGCCUUCAACUCUAACUCAAGCUUCUUUUGUCGGUCGGUGGUCUGGGCAGGAAAAACCCUUAAUUUCCCAACCGUUUUUGACUUGUUGAGGAAACACAAGUAUCACCGGGUAAGAUCUAUUACCCCAACCAUAAUAUGUGAAGUUUAGCCACAAAAUUAGUCGAAAAAAGACUCUAGAAAAUUAUAUGAAACAAAAGGAAAAAAAACGUUACUAUUUUAGUUGUUUGCUCAACAUUAAACCCCUAGACGACUACCAUAGCUUGAAUCAUGUGAUGUGGAGUGUCAAAAGGGACGCGAGUAGUAAAGUUAAGCCUAAAGUGAUUCUUAACCUCAAUCGUCACUCUUUGAAGUGGGGGAAAAGAUCACUCAAGUUAGCUAUUGAAAGUUUUUCUCUUACAAAGUUAGGGAUUUGCUUUAGAAUGACUUUAAGCUCCUUAAUGUUCAAAGCUUAUACUAUAGGCAUUGUACAAGUCUGAUAGGGCCUUAAACCCAACACAUAUAUAGGGUCUAGAGUUAUGCGAGGAGGAAUUGAAGUUGUGGCAUCCAAUUCUUUCACAAUUAGAUCAACCACUUAGGGCGCAAGGGUUGUAAUGCUGACGGGAGACUUAACUCUUAAUGUCCCCUCUCCUUUCAUAAGAAGUAGAAGAUUUGCUUUUCUUUGGUGGCAAUGGCGUGAGGGUAAACAUCAUACAUUCGACUAGUCUUUUUUUUCUACCUUUCCCUAAAGUCGAUACACAAGUCAAACACCAUAUCUUCAUCUCAUUCCUCUUCAAUGAUUAGAAGAAGUAAACAGAUGACUUUGUUAGUGCACCUACUUGCCAUUUUUCUUUAGACUCAAAUGUGCAAGUGGUUUGAGAUCGGAUGCGUUUCACCACUCGACCUUGGGCAAUCCACGUAGAAGGGGCUUGGUAAAGAGUGUCUUCUUGACACUUCUUUUCUUAGGUGAAGAGAAGGGCUUGGCGUGCUUCAUUGUCUACCACUCGAGCAACUUCGUAAAACUCCAAGUCCUUAAGGAAAAAAAAAAUGCUCCCCAAGAACUAGAUAAUCUUGAGUAAUUCAAGGAAUGAUUUGAAGCACGAAAAGAGUCAGAUGGCUUAGGACUCCCUUAAAAUUCUUUUUAGUCAAAAGUAUGGUAUACUUCCGUUCAGCAACGUCAAUAGCAAAUAAAUGGUUGAGACACACCAAUGAAGCAUUUUCUAUCCACUCUACCAAGUAGUCUUAUUAUUUCUUACCUGCAAAAUCCAAACAAUAUCAUUCACAUGCAUAGGUGAAGAAUGAUAUAGUAAAAUAUUAUCAUAUUUGGAAUAUCUAAGGUAUGGUUUAGAUGAAAAUCACAAUUUGACUCAUUUGUCAAACCACGUCAUGGUUCAAAUACCAUGAUGUUAUAUUUUCCCUAUCCCUUGCUUAAGUCAAGCAGACCAAUGACCAUUUAUAGGGAAAGUUUGUGUGCAAACAAUAAGAAUCUCUCUCCUUAAUUUAUCAUGAUGGUGUAUAUAAGAAAAACCUUUAGAAUGGAUAGAUCAAACCGAUAAAGCAUGUUUAGCAUGUUACACCCCAUGCAAAUCAUAAUUAUGUUAGGUAAACGUACAUAUGAUGAAUCUCCGAGUAGUGUAAGACUUGUUUCACCAAUGACAUAAUAGGUAGUUGGAGGUUGGCCUCGAACUGUUCUUUGGUAAAUAAUAUGGUGUUAUAAGAGAAUUUGACCAUUAGUUGUACAUUGCCAUUUGAAGUAAGCUAAAUGUGGAUUGAGUCUAGAAUUUGGAGGUUUGGCUGGAACUUUUCUUCAGACCAUCUGUCCAUGAGCUAGUACUUCAGGUAAGAAACUCUCAUCCCAUGCUAUUAGGUUCUCCUACUCGUUAAAAUUGUACCUUGUCUCUCAAUAUGCUCAAAAGCAAAAUGAAAGGUUUUGAUUGAACGAGUGAAGUCUUGGCUAAAGAAAGCAUAGAAAAGUAAAAAAAAAAAAAAAGAUAGAUUGUUGUACAAAGGUUAAAAGUCCAAGGGUACCAACAAUAAGAUUACCUUACAAAAAAAAAAAAAAAAAAAAAAAAACCUAAAAUGCUAAAACAUUGUCCUACUUUUCUAGGUGAAAACCCAUAAUAACCCAUCUUGGGAAAGAAGUUUCCCCCUUAUGAAUGCAUUGUAUCUCGACUUCAUGUGAACAAAAACCCUAAUAGAGCCUUAGCUCAUAAACGAAAAAAAAAACAGAAAAAGACAAAAGAAAAAAGGGAGAAUUACCCUUAAGGGUAGGUUGGGGAAAAAAAUUACCGAGAAGGGUGGGUAAAUUUGAUAAUUCUUCUGAAGGCCUAACAUUUUUAUUAGACCAAUUUACCCUCAAUUAAAUUCUAAAAUUAUAAUUUAUAACGAAUAAAAGAAUUGAAAAAAAAAAAGACUGUCAUUCCAAUGCUUUCCCUUUCGCAUCUUCUCGUCAAAGCUUCCCUUUCACAUGAUCUGGGUGGCUUCAUUUCCUACUCCUUCAGAAAAGCCUUGUCCUCAAGGCUAAAAUAGAGGAAACUUUUGUUGCAACUUAAAUGCAUGCUCCCACGUUGCAACUUACGGAAAGGAAUUUAACCAUUGAACCAGCCAUUGUCACCAGACGAUUGUUCCAUUUGGAUCUGCCUCUGGAAGUCCGCGAGGGACACCACUGGAUCUCCGACAACAUGACAAUCCUUCAAUCCUGGAUCCGAUCUCACUGAAUAAUCCUUGGGAAGCACAUCUGGAAUAGUGGGUGGAGGUGUUGGAUCCUGUAAUUUCACGGGGGGAGGCGGAGCGAGCCCUUUAUCCAACCCAAACAAAAAAUCCGGAUUGGUCUCGGAGGCCGCCGCUUGAGGUGAAGAACCUUCCAGAGGUUGGAUCUGCACAAAAGCCCCACUAGUCCAAGGUAAAGUCCUCACAAAGCCUUCCAAAUAUAUCCCAAUCCAAGUACGAUUCUCAACCCAACGCCUGACCCUAGCCCACCCAUCCUUGUAGCUUUCUGCAACAGGCAUCCUCAACCCUCACCUCAUCCCCAAAGCGAUAAUUUCUUCAUUCUCCUCCUCCAUUACUCUCCAUCCGAGACUAUACAAUUGGAAAGACGCUCCACUUUCAUUCGACAUUGUUGAUCUGAUCAAAGGUAACCCUCAAUCCAAAUUUAUUUUAGGUUUUAGAAUUUUAAUAGAGCAAUUGAGUCUCAUUUCCCAGUACUUCUAUAUCUAAAACUCUCAUUCUUUAUUUUGGUUCACAUAUGCAAGUGCUCUAUUUAGGGUUUUCGAGUUCACGUGUUGCAGGUCCUAAAAUAAUUUUAAGAUUUCUAGGCUCUGUUAGAGGAGUUGUUUGGGUGUUUUUUUGUUUGAGUUCAUUUUUAAGAAAAGAUUUCUAGGCUACUGAUUUUGUUUGAGAUUACAAAGAAUGUGGGUAUCGGGUAUUUGGGUUUUUGUUUGAGUUCACAUUUUCUCUUUAAUUUUUAUUUUCUACUUUCUCAACAUCCAAACGGACCCGCAAUUGUUAUUACUGUUGUUGUAUUUGCUUGUGUUUGUGAUUAGCUAGAAGAUUUGAUGAUGAAUCAACAUGGUUUUGUUUAGAUGCAAUUGGUCUAAUUCUGAAACCCAUUUGGAAUUGGGCAGUGCCAAUUUAUUUAGUAUUAUGAUUGUUGAUAGAGGUUGAUUUAGGUAAUUGUAGACCCUCAAUUUUGUCCCUUUAGCACAUGUCUUUUAAAUUCACUUCCAGUGCUCCACGGUAGUUCCUUGGUGGCCCAUUACUACUCGUACGACUUAUCUUUUUCUGAAUCACCUCGGAGACUUUUUGAGGGAUUAUUUGAUCCCUUAUUGUGACCCUUGGCAGCCCUAAUUUAGACUUAGGCUUUUCUUGUUUUCUUAGGAUAGCUUUUAGAUACACUUGACCCUUUCGGCACCACCUUAGACCCACUUGGUCUCACCUUAGGCUCGUUUAGGUAUACUGGGUCUAUUAAGAUUUUUUUUAGCGUGACUUAUAUGACUUGUGCGUUUGCAUGGCUCGUAGGGCCCAUUUUUUUUGUUAAUUUGUUUAUUUUUAUUUUAUUUUAUUUUAUUUUCCUCUUUAUAUUAUUUUCCUUAACUUAUUUAUUUAUUUAUUAUUUUUUACCAUUUUCUAAUUUAUUUACUUAUUUAUCUAUUCAUGCAAUUAUUUAACUUCUAAAAUUUCAUAUUUUUGCAAGGAAACUUACCAUUGGAGUUUAAGGAAAGUGGGACUCUCCUUGGAAGGUUUUGGAGGAGAAUUUGAAGUUGGGAAGAUUGUUUUGAAUUGGAAGAUUUUGUUUUAAAAAAAAAAGGAUAAGGAGAAAAGAAGAGAGAAAAUUGGAGAUUGGACCUUUUUUUUAGGGAGAUUUAGGUUUUAGGGAAAGGCGUAUAUAUACGUGAGAGAGAAAAAGAAAGAAGGGGUGGAGUUUUUUUGAUUGAGGGAGGAGAUUCUAUGAUCGUUUGGAGGAAAAGCACAAAAGAAGGAGAAAGGAGGAGCUUUUUUUUUUAUUUUUAUUUAUUAAGGGAGGAGAUUCUUUUUGGGGCAGCAGGCAUUGGAGGAAAAUUUGUCGGGGAAAAGAACAGAGGAAACGAAAAGAGCAAUUGCAACCAAGGCUGUCCAGGUAUGCACCUCGUUGCUUUUGGAAUUCUGACCUAUAUUUGAUUUUUUCCACGUGAAUAUUUAAUGGUAUUGUUGAUUUUGUGUGGACGAAAGGGGCCACAAUUUGUUUUGUUGAGAUUGGUUGCUUGCUUAUUUACCUUGUUUUGGUUUUGGAUGUCAUUGAUGUCUUCGGAAGCAUUUAACUCCAUGCCUGAAUGUGAUCAUAUUCUGUUCUUCAUUUAAAUCAUAUUCUGCAUUUGUCCCUCUGUUUUUAGCCCAUGGAUUAAUAUCUGAAGUGGGGGCUAUCCAUGUUUACUGAUCAACACCUUCUGCCAUUUCCUUCUCCAAGUUUUACUUCAAUUUUUUUUUAUCUUUUAUCUAUAUUCUUUUCCUCGCAUGGUGUUCGAGCCUUGCCCUUGUAUUUGGGUUACAUUGGAAUAUGACGGAAGAGUCAAUAUAAGGGAUGAGUUUAAUGGUGCCGAGUCUUCCGACGAAUUUGGGAAUGAUAGUAAGUAUGGUGGAUUAGUUUUGCACCCGUUUAUCACAGAAUCAUGAGGACCUCUACUUACUAUCUCCGAGUGAAUCAAGGGUUGAAUUUGAGAAGAAAAAACAGAGCAGGAUGAUUGGAGGCAGGGACCAGUGGCGAGCGAUGAAUCCAGCUUCGUAUUGUCCGCGUGAAGGUUUCAAUUCGUCUGUACAUGGUGCUGUUCUUAAAUACGGGUUCGAGCAUGACCCACUUGGUCAAAGUGGCUUGAUUUAUACAUACGCAGGAUUGGGUGGUUUGGGCUGCUCGCCAUUGGAUGUUUUCAUCAAUUGGUGAGCCAGAUUCGGUGUAUCAAACUGCAAUGGUCAGUGCAUGUGCCAAGACGGGAGAUUUUGCUUUUGCUCGGUAGCUGUUUGAUGAAAUGCCCCACAAAGACCCUGUUGUGUGGAAUGCAAUGAUUUCGAGAUAUGCGUAUUGUGGGCGGUCAAGAAAGGUAUCGAGUUAUAUUCAGCUCCUGCAAGGAGAUGGUGUCAAAAGGAUACUUGAUUUCAUUAAAGAAAUGCCCAAACCUGAAAUUCCACUCAAGCCGGAUUCGUCUUCUCUUCUUGGUACACUCUUCUUUAUGCAGGUCAUUUUGCAAAUGUUUCUUAUCUUCGUGGCUUGGAUGAAAAUCUGGGUAGUUAAAAAAUUCAAUGGAAAAUCUAAAAGAAUUCAGUGGCUAUUUAAGACGACUUUUAUGGAUGAAUUCAGUAGAGGAUUGAAAGGAGUUCAAGUGGUUGCAUACGUGGGUGGGAUUCAAUGGUAUUAAUGGAUACUCUUGAUGGCAAAAAUUUAAAGGGAAUGGCGAUGCGAGUCAGAAUGGGGAGCAGGUCAGCCAGAUUACUUCAUUGCAGCAGUUCAUCCCGCAGGAUCUUGAUGUUGGUGAUCAUGUUACUUCUAGUUUCACAGUUUCUGCUGCACAUAGGAUUGGGACUUUAGAAAUUCAUUUUUCAAAGUACAGAAGCCUAUCUUCACAACUUUUAGAGCAGCUGCCCACAGGAUGAGAAUGUCUCAAGGAUUGUUGUGCUUCCAGUGACAUCAUUCAAGGAUUCGAUAUGAGACUCAAUUGGAGAUGAACUUUGGUCUAUCAUUGCUAAAUCACUCACGCUUGUCACCUUGCUCGCCAAGGUCGAACUGUACCAUCUGGGGAAAAGGACAGUACUUUUGAGAUUCUUAUGGGGAGCAACAAAACUAAAGACUGCUGAGGAACAGUGAGUUCAGUGGAGACAUCAAAUCGAUCUCAUACUAUCGAAUAUCAGCUUCUUGGUAAGGAUAACAUAUUGGUCUGUCAACGUGUAGAAGGAAUCUGAAAUUUGGCAUCAGAAAUGAAGCAGCACGCUUGGAUAAACCCGAAACCGGCAGUGGCUACAUGCAGAAAUUCAGGCUUUAUGAGACUUGCUCAAACUUCUGUAUAAUAGAAAGAGACAUGGUUUAAUCGGGGACCAAGAGAUACCUGGUUUUCAAAAUGGCUUGGUUCAGAUUCUGCAGCUGUCAGUAGAGACAUUCUAACCAGAAUUAUGCAUUCCAAACAUUUGGGCACGCGGAUAUGGCCUUCGGAAAAUGAGAAGCACAGUUUUAAAUGGAAUGAGAGACUUUAAACUGUCUAAAUUGGAACGUCAAGAUGCAGUGUUGAUGUCAUAACUGAAGUUUACUGGGAACUUGCUAUAGAAGUUAUUCUUAAAAACAUGAGCUUGAAGGGAAAUCCUACAUAUGGUUGAGUUGAGAGAAUAAUGAUGAUUAUGCUUGGAAAGAAAUUAGAAGAUUAACUAGAUUUGGGGUUUUUGACAUUUCAUCCAGUUAACUUUUAAUUACCAAAAUGCCCCUCAUUCAAUUAACCCAUGAGUAUAACUAGUUGGGGACACAAUUGGAAAUUUUCACACAAAACAAAGAAAAAAUGUUUAGGGAUUUUGAGGUUUUUUUUUUAAUUAUAUAAAAAAUUACGAAAAUACCCCUGAUUCAUUAAACCAAAGGAGUUGAACCAGAUGAGGGCAAAAAUGGAAUUUAACACAAAUGCAUAAGUGGUAUCGAUCUUGGUGGGUCGAUCCACAUAUCGUUCAAGAGCCCUCGGUGAAGGAACAAAAUUGUGCAACUACAGGAAACUUUUCACAAAAAAAAUUUCUAAGUGUUGGAGUCAAGUGGUAUCGAUCUUGGUGGAUCGAUCCACACAUCGUUCAAGGGCUCUUGGUCACAAGACUAUGCACACAGUGGAUCAAUCCACAAAUUCAGCAGAUCGAUCGACACCCUACUGAAAAAUGACGUAGGCAAAAAAUUUACAAUAAAAACACAAGAAAACCAACAAGCUUUUCAAACAUUGAAAAUUUGAUUCACCAUAGCUAAGAUUCAAUAGGAUGACAUACUUAUCUUUCAAUCAAUGAGUUAGAAUUGAUUCAUAUUGUACAAGAAUGCUACUAAGAGCUUAACUUUAGACAAAAUUAAUAAACAUAAAGAUUGAAGAACCUUCCAAAUUUAUUAAAUGAAUAGGUAAAAAACAAAUGAUUAUCAACAUUCUAACAAGUAUGUUUAAGCUCAAAGAAGACUUACUCAUGACACCAUAAAAUAGUGAGUAUGUUAAUUUCUUUCCACUUAUAAACCUAUAUCCACCCAUAAAGCAAAAAAUCAUUUUCAAGACACACUUCCUUCCUAGAGAAAUUCAAGAUAAUAUUCCAAGAAGUCAAUUUGCACCUCUCUUGGCCGGAUUUCUGUUUAACACGGGUUAUUCACAUCCCAAAAAAAAUUCAUACAACCUUUGUUUUUCACAUUGAGCAUUGAAAUGAUUUCACAAACAUGAGCUUCACUUUUAGGAUCAUUUUUAUUUUUUUUUAAUUUGAGGAUCACUAAGGUGGCCUUUACAACAUAACAACAUAAGGGAUGUCACACUUUUGCAAUGGAGGCUUUUUAACUCUUGAAACAUUGCCAAGGAGCCAUAACCAUUCUGGGAAACUUAAUAUUUUUCUUUUCUUCCUUUUUUUUUUUUUUUUUUUAAAUUUUAAAGAGAGGGCAAACAAUCAAGGAAGAAUAAUCUUAAACACUCAAGGAUAUUCUGGAUGACUUUACUCACUUUUUAAUGCUCAUUAGAUAAACAUAAGUUUGCAUUUAGACUAUAAAGAACAUUACUCACAAUUUAUGUAAUCACAAGGUUCAACCAUGAGCUGUUACUCACUUAAAAGAAAUGAAGCUAACUCUUUGAGGUUUAUCUAAUCAAAUCAAAAUAGCAAGGAUUCAAUAUCAUGUUUAUCAAUCAAGCCAUGGAGAUAAAAACAUCUUGAAGCUUUUAAGAUCAUUAAGAGUCAAUUUAACUCUUAAACAAAAGUGUAAGCAUGUCACUCUCAUGAACUCAAAAAAUGUUGAAAAUUUAUGAAAAAUGAAGAAAGGAUUGAACCAAAACAAAAAGACAUCAACUUUAUUAAAGUUAGGAACAUAGGAAGACAACUAGGACUCAAAGAUAUGCAAGAAGGUGUCCUAGACAAGUUCUAGAGAAAUUCAAUUGACUGUGCAUAAACCUAUGGACUUUCUAAGUGAUUCAAACCUAGACAUAUCCAAAGGUUUAGUAAGAAUAUCAGCAAUUUGACCCUCAAUUGGAACAUAUUCCAAUGACACGACUUUGUCUUCAACUAAGUCACGAAUGAAGUGAUGUCUAAUGUUAAUGUGUUUUGUUCUAGAGUGAAGAACAGGGUUCUUGGAGAUGUUGAUUGCACUAGUAUUGUCACAAAACACUACCAUGGUUCCUUGAUCUAUUCCAUAGUCUCUCAACAUUUGCUUGAUCCACAAAAGCUGAGAACAACAACUACCGGCAACAAUGUAUUCCGCUUUAGCUGUGGAAAGCGAAACAAAGUUUUGCUUCUUACUCAUCCAAGCAACCAAACAAUUUCCAAUAUAGAAACAACCACCUGAAGUGUUUUUCCUAUCAUCCACAUUUCCAGCCCAAUCGGCAUCAGUGUAGCAAGCUACAUCAGAAUAAGUGUCAAAUGCAUACCAAAGACCCAACUCUAAAGUACCAGCAAUGUACCUAAUGAUAUACUUAAGAGCUAUAAGAUGAGAUUCCUUAGGACAUGCUUGAUACCUAGCACACACUCCAACACUAAAAGCUAUGUCUAGUCUACUAGCAGUGAGGUACAAGAGGCUACCAAUCAUGCUUCUAUACAAUGUUUCAUUUACCUCUUUCCCAGAUUCAUCCUUACUUAGCUUUAGGUUGGUAGGCAUUGGUGUCCUAAAAUGUUUAGUUGACUCAAACCCAAACUUUUUGACAAGUUCCCUUGCGUACUUGGAUUGGGAUAGGAAAAUCCCAUUCUUGAGUUGUUUCACUUGAAAACCAAGAAAAUAGGUCAAUUCUCCUACCAUGCUCAUCUCAAACACACUUUUCAUCUCUUUGGCAAAAUCUAAAGUGCACUCACUAGAGGUAGAGCCAAACACUAUGUCAUCCACAUAGAUUUGUGCUACCAAGAACACUUCAUCAUUUCUUCUAAUGAACAAUGUUCGAUUAGCUCCCCCUCUUAUGAAUCAUUUCUUAAGAAGAUAGGAUGUGAGUCUUUCAUGCCAAGCUCUAGGAGCUUGCUUUAAACCAUAGAGAGCUUUUCUAAGUGUAUAGACAUGAUUUGGAUACCUAGGGUCUUGAACCCCUUUGGGUUGCUCCACAUACACUUCUUCAUUGAGGAUCCCAUUUAGAAAGGCACUCUUGACAUCCAUUUGAAACAAUUUAAAUUUCCAUACACAAGCUACAACUAAGAGUAUUCGAAUGGAUUCAAGUCUUGCAACUGGAGCAAAGGUUUCAUCAAAAUCAAUUCCCUUAAUUUGCUUGAACCCUUGAGCAACUGACCUAGCUUUAUUUCUCACAAUCACACCAUUUUCAUCCAUCUUAUUUUUGAAAAUCCAUUUUGUUCCAAUGACAUUCACAUUUUUUGGUCUAGGCACUAAGAACCAAACAUCAUUUCUAGAAAAUUGAUUUAGCUCUUCAUGAAGAGCCUCUACCCAAGCUUCAUCAUUCAAGGCUUCUUCAACAUUUUUUGAUUUAAUUUGGGAGGCAUUGCAAACAUAGCUUACCUCAUUUAGCUUGGAUUGUCUCCUUGUUACCAUGCUAUCCUCAUAAUUCCCAAUCACAUUGCUCAAAGGAUGGUUCUUAGGUACUCUUGACUUAUUUUUCUUUGAUGGCUCAAUUCUCCCUCUAUCUCCUUUCUUUCCUUCAUCUUCAAUUAACUUUUCAUCUUCAAAUUUUUCUUCAAUCAGUUCAAUAUCUUUUGACACAUCAAUUCUAUCAUCAUCACACUCUCUUGACCUUGAUCUUAUACCAUCUACAAUCACAUUGAUUGAUUCCACCAUACAUUUUGAACUCAAAAUGUAUACUCUAUAUGCCCAACUUUUGGAGGAAUAUCCUAAGAAUAUCCCUUCUUCACUCUUGGAUUCAAACUUUCCAAGAUUUUCAUGAUCUUUCAAGACAUAGCAUCUACUUCCAAACACCCUAAAGUACUUCACACUGGGUUUCUUACCUUUCCAUAGCUCAUAACAAGUCUUCCUAGUAUGAGGACGCAUGUGAGUUCUAUUGGAAGUAUAGCAAGCGGUGUUGAUGGCUUCAGCCUAAAAAUGUGUAGGGAGUUCAUGCUGAUUUAGCAUUGUUCGGGCCAUUUCUUGAAGGACACGAUUUUUUCUCUCAACUACCCCAUUUUGUUGAGGUGUUCUAGGAGUGGAAAACUCAUGUUUGAUUCCUAAAGAAUGACAAAAUUCAAAAAAAUUUGAAUUGUCAAAUUCUCUCCCCCUAUCACUCCUAAUUCUUUCAAUGGGAUGCUAUUUUUCAUUUUGAAUUUUCAAACCAAUGUCCUUGAAAUUUAUGAAUGCCUCACUCUUAUCUCUUAGAAAUGCAACCCAUGCAUACCUAGAAUAGUCAUCAACCAUCACCAAAAUGUAUUUCUUGCCCCCUAAACUCUCAGUUCUCAUUGGUCUCAUGAGGUCCAUAUGUAAGAGUUCUAAAGGUUUAGAGGUCAAAAUUUCAUCAAAUCUCUUAUGUGUACUCCUUGUUUGUUUUCCCUUUUGACAAGGACCACAAAUAGGAUUAGAGGGUUUUCCAAGCUUAGGAAUCCCUUUGAUGACUUCAUUAUUUGCAACCUUCAUCAAGUCAUGGUAGUUUAAAUGACCCAACCUACGAUGCCACAAAUCGAUUGAUUCAAUUUUUGAACUACCACACACAAGAGAAGAAGAAAAAGAGGUAGAAGGAUUUUGACAAACAAGAUAGCAAUUAUCAGAAGUUCUCAAACCAAUCAUCACACAAUUUCCCUUCAAAUCAAACACUUUACAUAAAUUUUGUGAAAAUUGAACAUUGAAAUUCUUGUCACAUAUUUGACUAAUGCUAAUCAAGUUAGCUUUCAAUCCUUCCACAUACAAAACCUCUUCAAGGUUAGGGAUCCCGAGAGCACAAAUUGUGUCUUUCCCUUUCACACUAGCAACAUUGCCAUCACCAAAAGUCACAUUUCCUCCAUCAAAUUCAGUGAAAUUAGUGAAAAUGAUCUAUUACCUGUCAUAUGACGUGAACAACCACUAUCAAAAUACCAUGAGUGUGACUCACUAGCUCUAAGUGCAGUGUGAACAACAAGGCAAUUAAGCUCACUUUUUUUCAUCCAUAUUUGUUUUACAUUUGUGACUUUGGUCAUUCCAUUUGAAGUGCUUCCUUGGAAGCCACUAUAGUGAGGGACAUUUGAAUCUCUCUUAAACACUCUCUUGCCUCCUUGUAACAACCUAUUUCUCAAAGUGAAUGAUUCAUUCAUUAGGUUGGUCAACUUUCUUUGGAAACUCUCAAACAUCCUAGCAUAACAUCUAUCAAUGGUGUGUCCCAUUUUAGUGCAAUGAGUGCAAUGAAGUUUCAGUUUUGGAGGAAUUUUCUUAGGGACCACUUCUUCACAAGACUUGACAAAAAUUGUUUUACCACUACUUGGAGUGGUAGCUUCAUAAAAAAAACCUAAGCCUCUUUUAUCAAAUGAUUUCCUCCCUAAAUUGAUCAAAUCACUAAGUCUUUUAGAGUUAGGAUGUGACUCUUCUUUCCUAAGACUCACAAUGUCCAUCAGUUUUGCAUGAAACUCUCCAAAGUUCUCAUGAUCCUUCAUCCUAAUUGUCUCAAACCUAGAGGUCAACAUUUGAAGUUUAGACACUUUCACAGCAUUAGUGCCUUCAUGAGUCACUUGGAGGAUAUCCCAAGCCUCUUUAGCCGAAUUACAUGUGGCUAUCCUACGGAAUUCAUCCGUGCUAAUGGCAUUAAAGAUAGAAUACAUGGCUCUAGCAUUGUUCUCACUAGCUUCAUUAUCACCUCUAUCCCAUUCCAACUUAGGCUUGAUAACAUUAGUUGGUCUUCCUUCUCUAUCCAACACCUUAGGUAGAGACCAACCAAAUUCAACGACAUUCCAAACUUUUUCACUUUGCAUUUUGAGAAAAUAUUGCAUUCUCACUUUCCAAUAAGAAUAAUUUUCACCGGUUAAAAAUGGUGGUCUCCCAAUGGAAGCUCCCUCUUGAUGAGAUUCCAUGAUUAAGAUUCAAUGACCGAAAAUGAUUUUUCUUUUAAAAACCUGCUCUAAUACCAAUUGAAAAUGUGAAUCUCAAUGAUGGAAUACACCUAGAGGGGGGGUGAAUAGGUGCUUUAUAACAAUUUUGAUUUUCUCCCAACAAAUAUUACCUAACCUUAGACUAUCUUAAUGUCAAGAAACUUUUCUUCCAACAACUUUUCAACAAAUCAUAACAUCCACAAGCAAGACUGUAUGCAUCAACACUCUCCUAACAAUUUAUCAAUACAAAACACAUGCAAAUGCUUCAACACUCCUAAAAAAUAAAUCAAAAUGUAGAGUGAGAGAAAGAGACAAUAAACACUGGAUUUUAACGUGGAAAACCUCCAAAGAGAUAAAAAACCACGGGCUUAUCACCGAUUCAAAAACUUCACUAUGAAGAAUAAAAACUGUGUACAAGGUUUUACUUAACUCAAGCUAACCAAUCCUUCCCGGACUACUUGACUAGUACUUUCAUUUUCAGCUUAUCUCUUAUUCUUUCGGAGCAUACUUGGAGUCCGUACCAAACUCAAUCCCGACCUCUUCUUGAAUCCACACAAGAAGAAAAAUGGGUAUGUACCCAAACCCAAAUAGAAUGAGAGAUUGAGAUGUGAAUGAAAGAAUGAAUCAACCCAUUUAUUGCUCAAGAAAAUCCAUUAAAAACUAGUUUGGAAAACAUUAAGAGAAGUGAAUUUUCUUUGCAAUCAAAAACCCCAAAUUAGGAAAACAAAAAUGAGAAAAUGAAGAACACUAGGAGUGUGGUUGCUCUCCCCACGUUUUCUACAGUCUCUCACACCAGAAAAUGAGAGAAGAUUGGUUUUUAAAGUGUAAAAAGAAGCCCUUAAUCUAAUGGCUGAGAUUUGAUAAAAAAAACAUUAGUUGGAUCGAUCCACCCCUACACCUAGAUCGAUCUAAAGACAAAGGAAUGAAAGCCUUGCACCAAAAACCAUUUUUCCCAACUUUCUAACACAUUUAAAGAUUAAAAACCGGGUUGAUUCACAUCUAAUCACUCCACACUCGACUACAUACCUCGGCCUAUUAGCAAAGUCUUAGUCUUCAAAGUCAAGUAGUACGAAUAGGAAUAGGAAAGCCGAGUUAGGGGACACUUAGGAAUUUUGUCCAGAAUUGCCAACCUAGCUAAACACUCACAAUAUUGAGAUUGCUAAGCUCAUUGCACAAAUAAUAAGAUUAUGAGCACAAUUUCUAGAUUAUUUAAUUAAAAUGACGUGUCUUGAUAAUGUUGGCAUAUUUACUUUUCAAAUACUCAUUGACUAUUCCACGUUAUUAGGAUUGACAUUGAGCAUUUUGUUGCUCAUAUUCAUACCCACAAUGGUUUGACAAAAUCCCUUAUUAAACAUCUCCAAGUAAUUUCUUGAUCCUUACUAAUGAAAAACAAAUUACCUACUUAUGCCUAGGGACAUGCUAUUAUGCAUAUUACAACUUUAGUCUGUAUUCAACUUACAACUUACUAUGAAUACUCCCCUUCACAAUUUGUACUUGAAAAACAACCAAGUGUCUUUAACUUACGAACCUUUGGUUGUAUAGUAUAUGAACCAAUUACACCUACACAACUCACUAAAAUAAUACAAUUGGCCAAAAAUAAUUGGCCAAAAAUGGAAAGAAGUCAUGCAAGCAUAAUUAAACUCGUCAAUAAAAUGAGAAGUAUUUGAAUGUGUAGUCCAAACACCUAAAGACGUAAAUCUUGUUAUGUACAAAUAGGUAUUUGUACGAAUGCGCAAUGAAAAAAUUGAUAUCAUAAGAUUAAAAAUAUGACUAGUAGCAUAAGGUUUCUUGUGGAGAUCUUGUAUCAACUCUCAUAAUGAUUUAACUAUAUGAUCAAUAGUCUAUAAAAGACUUAAUUUACAUUUUACAAUGUAACUAUACUAUAUUUGUCUGAAUCCAUAGAUAUAUUAAAAUGCAUUAAAAAUAAUAAUUUCCUGAAGAAUUAAAAUGCUUGAAGCAAAUAAUACUACGACAAAUAUCAAUUUUUGUUACAAAAGUGUUUGUAUAGAUAAAUAAUAAUUUGUCACUAUUAGUGCAUUAUGAUAAAAAUAAAAAAUAAAAAAUUGUCAUGAGGUUGGUAAACAUGAACCUAUAAUUGAAAGUCAUAAUUUGCAAAUCUUCUAUUUCAUCACGAAAAAUUAAGCGUUGGUGAUGAAAUUGAAAUUGUCAUUGAAUAAUCACAUUUUAUGAUGUAAAAAAUCAUCAUAAGAAAUAACAAAAUUUUGCCAUUAGAUCCUACCAUUUCAUCACUAUAUGUAUAUAUUUGUGAAAAAAUAAUACAAUUUUGUCACAAAAUGCAUAUUUUGUAUGAUGAUAGUUUUCAUCACCAAAAAGGCAUUUUUAGUGAUGAAUCUAGUUUUGUGGUAAAAGAUUUUUUAAUGAUAAUUUCUAAAGUCAAGAUGACACCCUUCAUGCCUAUCCCGAGUCUCUAGGGAAGAUGUUUUAUUUCUUUAAUAAUUAUAAUAUUAACUUACAAUUCUUGUGAUUCGAAUUCAUGACCUUUUACUUUGAAAACACUUCUUUUUAUCAUUUCAUCUAUAAACUAAUUGAAGUUUAAAAACGAAUACUAUACUUUUAAUUAAAUUGAACAUUAUAAUUAUUUUUACAGUAAUUUUGAAUUAAGAUUAUUUUUCAUAAUCAUAUUAAUAAAAUAAUAAAAGGUUGAGAAAAAAAAAUUAAAGAUUUCAAAUCAAACUUCAUAAAAUUAUCAAUUCUUAUUUCCAUACAAAUAUUAUUAUCUUUAACAGAAUGCUAAAGAAAAUAAAAUUUUAAAUUUAAAAAUAAAAUUGUUUAUGUCAAAAAAUGAGAAAUCAAUUUUUAAAUUUUUAUAAGUUUUAUCUUUUAUUAGUGCUAGAUAACAAAUGUUAUUGUUCUAAAAUGUGUCUAGAGAAAUGUAAAAGUAUUACUAUUUUUUUUUAUCAUUAAUCACCGUCGUCACAAAAAAAAUAUAAAUACUUUGAUGACAAAGUAAUUUGUCACAAAAAAUGAGUUUUUAAUUUAAAAUUUUAUUUUUUUAAUACAAUAGUAUUAUCACAUAAUAAUAGUUAUAAAUAGUAAAUUCUAAAAAAUGAUUGAUGAUUUGGUAACGAAAAAUAUUCAUCACUGGAAGUUGAAUAUUAGUGACACAAUUUUCAUAAAAAAUGUGUAUUUCAUCAUUAGUGUAAAAUACAUAUUCAUUAUUAAAAAUUAAAAAUUAGUGAUAAAUAAUUUUAUCACAAAUAUAUGUUUUUCGUCAUAAAAAAAUUUCCCACCAUAUGACACGUCAAUUCUUGCACCAAUUGUGUAAUGUCAAAAAAUAGUUUUGUAAAAAAAACUUCAUAAUAAAAUAUUCUAUAAAAAAAUCCCUCUUUCAUAGCAUAAGAUUCAUAAUUAAUAACGAAAUUGUAGUCACAGACAAAAAAAAAGUGACUAAAUCUUACAUUGUUGUAGUUCUAAAAGGAUUUAAAUUGUUUGAAACAAAUAAUUCCUCGAAGAAUUUAAAAUGCUUGAAGCAAAGAAACAAGGAUAAAAUCUAGGAUGGAAAUGGGAUCAAGUAAUUUUAGUGAUCCAUCUUGUCCUUAAUAAGACAAGUUUGAAAUAAACAUAAAUGAUUUGGAGGUGUAUUUCUAGGAAUUAUAUUCUAAACCUAGGUUGGGUUGCAUGACAGGUUUGGACAUUCCUCUACUUGACUUCCUUUAGGUGACGUGACAAAGAAAUCCAAGAGCCCAAGGCAAAACUUCGAUAUAUAUAUACUCGACCCUAUCUUUCAUAACACAUAUUCCCAUCUGCGUUGCAACUGAUUCGGUAAGCUAUGUGUCUGAUGCAUGGAGAACUGCCCUACCUUCGGUCUCCCAAAAUGACUUGUGGCAACCUUCUAGUCGUUCAACAACCUAUAACACUAGUCACUACUCCCAUUGGGGCUAGGAAGUAAGCCCCACAACUCAAAGUGACAAAGAACAAAUAAAAUUUGCUACAAAAGCCGACUAACUGGGGUAUUCUUGUAUAUGAGAACAUAGUAAUAGAGAAAGUAAUAGCCGAAAUAUGAUUUGUUUUGGUCAGAGUGCCCAAAUUUGCUAUAUAUUUGACACGGGUUUGCCAUAAUGCUAAAACUAUGGCGAAUGCAUCUAUCGUCAUUGAUGCAUCUAUCAUCCUAUAUAUAUAAAUGAUUUAAUUAAUUAUUUCUAUUUUCCUCUUUCUAACACAUAAAAGACUUGAAAAUUAAUUAUGUAAAUUAAAUAGAGUGGGGCAAGUCAAAUAUGGGAAAUUAGCCUACCUGUUUUGACCUACAUUGUUGCCUAUAAAACUUUUUUUUUUUAAAAAAAAAAAAAUUUAGACAAAGAUGUGAAUAGAUUUAAAUAAUUAGAGUGGGUUAGAUGAGAGUGGCAGGAAUUGAUCUCAGUAUGUUGGCAUUCCUAUUCACAUUUUAUGGAGGAGAAUAUGAUAUAUUCUAUUGAAGCAUACAAAAUUAAACACAAAUUAUAAUAAAGAAAACCAACAUGAAGAAGACAAAGACCCUAAUAUUAAGACUUUUAACAAUUCCACUCAAUAUAUAAAGACACAAAAUAACAAAAAUAAAAUAAAUAAAUAUUAAAAUAAGAUAAAACUUUGAAUUUCCUAUGAGUUUGGCACGUAAGAAGUAAUAACACGAAGAAGAUGAAUAUGAAAAAUAAUCCAUACAAAAGAUGAGAAUGAUUGAGAUAUUGGGGCUUAUAAUAAUUACAACUUGUCAAAUUAAUAUUUAAUUUUGUUUCAUUUAUAAAUAAGUUAGGAACUAAUUUAUAAUUAUUUUAAUAUUCUUUCACAUUGACAUGGCUUUCAAUGUUUGAAUGCAAUUAAAAGGGACAACUGCGUUUAAAAUAUUUUGAAAUGAGUGAAGUGUUUAUAAUUAUCAGCUUCACUAGUAUCAUGUUCCAAAAUGGUAAGGGUGACAAUUUGGGUGGGUUGGUUUGAUUCAACCCAUUCAACUCGAAUUCAACCGACAAACAUUUUUAAUACUCAGGUUGAACUUAAAAUUUUUCAAUUAAGUUCAAUUUGGGUUGAGUUUAAGGCAAGUUUCGAAUAACUUGAACCUAAUAUGAAUCUGAUUUAAUAUUUUUUAUAAUAUUUAUAAUGUUUAUUAUGUAUAAUAAAUUUAUCUAUUUAUUUUUUUUAAAAAUAAAAUUAUAAUUAUAUUAUAUAUAUUUUUAUUUUUUAGAAAAAGUAUGUAAAUUUAUUUAUACUUUUUUAUUAUUAUUUAAAUUUUUUAUCUUAUUUACUAUUUUAAUUUUAGUAUAAAUACAAAAAAAAAGGUUUUUUAAAAAUCAUUAUAAAUAAAUUUUGAAUCUUGUAACCUAAUCAAUUUAAUUAACCCUAGUUCAACUAAAAUUUAAUUUAACUAAUUCGAUUACUAGAAUUAAAAAAAAAAUGAAUUGGGCUUUAAUUCAGCACCUCUGAUCAGAAGUCGAGUUUAGUUGAUCUUUCAUUGAUUGUUUCUUAAUUCAGAUUAUAUUGGGAUUAGCCAUUAACCCGAUCAACCUGCAAGUUGAAGACCGACAAAUUAGUAGUGAAAUUCGAACAAUAAGGCUAUUGAGAGUGUAAUUAAAAAACGGCAUUUUUGCGACUCAAAUUUUAAAAUUGGAGGAAAGUACAACACCACAUAACACAAAAAGCUGCGACAGAAGACGACAGACGAGGACGACGAAGACGACAGACGAGGACGACGAAGACGAAACACGUACGCUCAUCGCAGAGCCUCGCAUUCUUCCCCUUCCCUUUUCUGAUUGCUGGGUACCCAUUUUCUAAAAUCCCUCUAAUUGGUUGCUGGAUCUCAAUCUCAAGUUCUACCAUUCCUACACUGUCAUGGUUUGCCUCCCGAACCCUUACCAAUCCGUUCAUUAAUUCAUGUUUUUCCACUUUCUUUGAUUGUUUUUUGUGCUAAUUUGUUUAUCACCCAGAUGGUUUCUGGGAAAAGGGGUGUAUGAACCUAAAAACAUUGUGGGGGACUUCCCAAAAGAGCAUGAUUUGAACCAGCUAAGCCUCUCUUAGGGAGGCUGUGUGCCUGGUUGAAUGAGUUGGUGUCUGAAUUGAGAGGCAGUGGUGUUGCUGUUUUGAAAGACGAGAGAUUUAAACCCAGAAGAGCAUUAGGGGUUUGUGGGAAAAUAAGGAUGUACAAUAUUGAACAGCAGAAGGUACAACCCAGAGAAGCCUGUGGGUAUGCUUGACAAUUGUAUGGCAUCACUUUCAAUAACACCACUCUUUCUCUUGUCAUCGCAAUUAGUGUAACCUUGUAGAUUAGAGUUAGUAGGUUUUGAGCCAAAAUGUGAGGGACAACCUUGAAUAGCAUUAGGUACUACUCAAAAAAGCACGAAUAUUCACUUAAUUAAUCAUUUAGAGAAGUGCUUAGCAUGGUUUCUGACUGUUUAAUAAGCUCAGUAUUAGUAGCAUUGAUAUUAUCUUGACUGCCAGGGGAUUUAACACAAAAGAGCAUUCCUAUGUUGAACACGCCGUCACCGAGGAGGAUUGUUCUUAGGAAAAGACGAGGUCCUAGAGUGGAGUUGGCUUACUGCUUAGACAAAGCUUGCUGUCUAAUCUGUAAAAACUUGGAGCACACUGUGACUAUUUACUUGAAGAUGAUGGGAAUUAAUGCAAAUGAUCAUUUGGUGUUGCUUUGAAGUUCAUGGUGUACCUUGUUGAGCAAUAUAAGAUAGCAAUAUAUGUGUUGCUAAGAUAUGCUGACAUGGGACAUGGUAUGCUUGUACAGACUUACAUGCAUUCAUCAAUUUUAGAGUCAUUUAUUAAUGAUAGAAUUACCAUAUUCCCACAUGUUAGUCAUUUAAUUUGUUAUCCUUCAACCAUCACUCCUUAAUUUACCUGUGUUAAAUACUAAUGAAUUACUGCUGCAGUCAGAGAAUAUUGGACACAUGUUUAAUGAAGUGCUCUUGAGAAAUGCGUGUAUCAACCAAAUCACCAUGAUGUAUAUCUUAGAAAUUAGAAUGAUGGAUGAUAUAGCCUGGAAAAACUACUUUGUUAUACAGACCUCAAUUGGUAACCAAAUAGCACUACUGCUUAGAAUAGCAUCAAGUACAAUGUAUAAUGUAAUGAUUCAAUAUUUAGCAACUGCAUUGAUGUAUCCUCCAUGUUGUAUGUCUACCUCUUAGCCACUACUUCCACUACAUAAUUUUUUAACUUUAACUACUAUAAUUAAACCAUGCUUUUGUUCUUGUUAGUCUUUGUACCUUUUUAUUGGCUUUUUCUGCUUUGAAUUCAAAAUUAACUUGGGACAGUAGUUUUUCUGUAUGUGGAAAUGGUGUGAUUUGGAAUUAUUAAAUUGCUGCCAAUAUCUGCAAAUGGUAUACAUUACAUAUAACGUAAUGCAACCUGGAAGAACAGAAAGUGCAACCUCAAAGAGCAUGGUGUACAGCCUGUAACUGACUUAAGUCAAACCUAGUAUAAGUUUGAGAGUCUUAUAGAAGGCAUUUGGAAACUUAGGAUUAAGUCUUGACAACCAUCUUUAACAUUGUUUAUCAAAGUUAAAUUUUGUGGUUCAAGCUCAUGUGUGUUCCCUAACUUUAAAUUCAUUUCUAACUUGUCCAAGCGGUGAACCUAUUUUCACUAUGAAAGAUGGAUAAUUAGAACUGUACCUGUACCUAUUAUGAAAUGAAUGGCAACUACCUAGAGCAGGAUAAUGCAUAAAGCCUUUUCAUAUCUGGCACUGCAGAAUGUGGUAUAAUCCUCAUGAACAUCAACUGCCACUCAAAAAUGCUUAUAACUGAGAUCAGCAUACAUUGGAACAUUAAAGGAAUGAUGUAAAUCCUAUUGCAAGCACAACUUAUAACAUGCGUAUGGACAUUCUGAGGGCUUCAUUCCAAAGGUUUAAAAUUUAGUCAAUUCAUAUGUGCCUAAAUGUUUCAUUCUUAGGACAAACUAUCUUGUAUUGGUCAUUGUUUCUAUUUGAAGUUUGAUCUUUAAGAAAAUUGGGAAGGAUGAAGUAUUCUUUUGCUUGUAAAUAAGUAACUAUUCGUUCUGAUAGAAAAAGGAAAAAAAUACUAUCUGAAAGAACUGAAACAUAUCUCUUUAAUCUGAAUUUUAAGGUACCAAGUGAAAAUGAUUCCAUGAUGGGAAAAAGAAAGUUAGAAGAACUUAUUGCCUUGGAAGGGAAGAAGAAAAAGAAGAAGAAGAAGCAAGUUGCAACACCUCGUCCUGCAUGUUCUUGGGUGUAUUUUAGGUGAUCAUAGUUUCUUCAAAGUAUGAUCUCUCAUGUGUAAGUAUGUGCCUCUUUGUCUUUUUUGUUUUGCUAAUGUAGGAGUCAAUUUUUGUAGCCGGGAGUUUAUUAGGGAGUAUAGUGCUUCCCAUCCUGAGUCUUCAGGCCUUAAAGCUGUAAGCAUCUUAAUUACCCUUUUUCUUAUAUUAACUUUAAAGCUUUCUUUUUUCCUUUGUAAUGAGUGGUUAAAUACAGUAAUCAAAAUAAUGAGUUUGUCCAUUUCAGGCCACAAAGGCUGCCUCAGAUGCUUGGAAAUCUAUGAGCCUUGAGGAGAAAGCAAAAUACACUAAGCGUUCCCGUGAAGUGUGGGAUAACUACUUGACAACAGCUCCCGCCCGUGCCCCCAAACCUAGAAAACAGGUAGCUUAUAUUUUAAUGAUUGCCAUUUAUUUGUAUGUCAUAUGAAUCUUCCAACCUAAAUGAUGCAGACUAACCUUGUCACAAGGUGCUCUCCUGGACGGCUAUUCAAUGUCUUACAACGCCUCACACCUGAUCAAAAGGCUGCAGUGAGAAGCAUGGGAUUUGGAAGCCUCCUUGGCCUCAGAUGCAGGACCCUUCGCCGCAGUUUGUGCCUUUGGUUAUUGGAGAGGUUCAACACGGCAAGACGCAGCUUGGAGAUUUGUGGUGAGCGCAUUCCUUUAUCCCCAAAGGAUGUGGAGCUGGUGAUGGGGUUAGCAGCUAGUGGGAAGGAUGUGGUUAAUUCAGGCCCUGACGACCUAAUUGUAGAAUUACGUAAUAGUUAUAAUGCUACAAAUCAUGGGAUUUCUGUACGUCUUCUCGAGGAGCGAUUGGCGGCUCCAGAAGCAGGAGAGGAAUUUAAGAGAUCAUUUAUCCUUUAUGCAUUGGGCACUGUGUUGUGCCCUACAGCAAGACUAGAUGUUAGUCCUUCAUUCCUCCAUUUCUUGACAAAUAUGGAUACCAUCCAUCAAUACAACUGGGGAAAAUUUUUGCUUGACCGGCUAGUUCGAGAGGUAUCUCGCUUUCAUCAAGGCAAACAACGUGCAGUUGGUGGCUGUCUUUUGUUUCUCCAGGUAAAUGCACUGCUUUGGGGCAUAUAUUUAUUUAAUAUUUUGGGGAACAUUGUAAAUUGUCUGACCUAUUUAGUUCCUUUACAGCUUUUUUACUAUGAGACUGUUUCUGUGGAACGACCUGGUUCAUUGGUGCCUGGUCUUGGUCCAUGCUUGUCAUCAUGGGGAGAGGAAGAGAUUACUGAGAGAGAAAAACGAGAAAGAGAGCUUGGUGGUUAUGGUUUUGGAGAGGUAUAGUUACAUUUUCAAUGGGUGACACUAUAAAAUAUGCAUGGAUUUGUCAUGCUUCUCCUGUGCAGGUGCUUUACAAGGAGAGUUGCCUAGGGACUGAAUCAUCCAGAUGCAGAGCCCAACUAGAUUGUCUGCCAUCAGGCAGAAUGGGUACUAGCUCUGAGCAUGGUCCUGCCCUUGGACAUGAGGGGAACCAGGUAAUCCCCUCUUUUCCCUAUCCUUCAUAUGGUAAUUGGCAAUUACUUAUAGGCCCUUGAUGCAAAGCUAAUAUAGUUAGGCAGAAGUUUGGGUCUUUGGUGACUUGGUCACUAUUUGCCCCUUGCAAGAAACAGCACCUUAGCACAACAUAUCUUGGAGCCUUCAUCCUCUGCUUUCAUAUGUAUCUCCUCUAGCCUGAACCAACCUUAGAUCCCAUACAGCUGUAGUGAGGAAGAAUGGUGCUUGCACCUUUCCUGUGUAUAAUAUUACAUUGCCGGUUUCAAACCUCAUUUCCUUGUGAUUCCAAACCUGGAAAAAAUCACCAUGGCAUUUAUAACCAACUGCCUCAUGUUGAGGGCUGUGAUUUAUCCUCUUGUUGUUCCAUAAUAUGUCCUUCCAAGAAAUUUUUGUUUGUUUAAAGAAUGAAAAAAGAAUUUUGCUCUUGGUAUAAAUUUCAUGUGCCUUGUUGUAGCGUUACAUUUGAUAUUUUUCUCACUAAAUGUACUGGGUUGGUUGCUACAUCAGUGGGAUGAGUUUUUUGAAUAGGAUUUAACUAUCCAUCAUAUUGGAUUCAGUUUUAUGACACAUUUUUUAAGAUGAAAACACUUGAAUUAAGAAAAAUAGAAAGUGUGAAAGUAAAAAAAUCAUACUAGGGCCAAAAUUGGUGCUUCUUCUCUUGGCUUUCUGUACAUUUGCGUUAGGAGAAUAUUUCCCCAAUUUAGAUCAUUCCUCGUGUAAGGGGUUUCUUUUGCAUGAAAAGGAAAUAUAAAAUUUUGUUCUACACUCUCACAUUUCCUCCAUUUUGGGUCAUGGAAAAGUUUUUCCUUGCUUGAGUCUCCAUUAUAUACUUUAUACAAGUAACUACAUAUUUUUAUAUAAUAAUAGUUUGUUUUUGGUGUAUUGGUUGUAUGUUUUCUCUACUUCAUGCUUAUGCAUAUAUCUUAUAUAUGUAUAAAUUUAAUUGUUUAUUUCUGAAUAUGUAAAGAAGAACACAAUAUGGUACAAUGCACCAUACAAGAAAAAAAUGAAAAAUAUGCAUGCUCAAGUUGAAAGCUAGGGUUUAAUGUGUGCAAGCAUGUGAGGACAAAGAGAAAUGAGUCAACCUCACUAUCUUUAUCUCCGAUUUGCUCUCCUCUCUCUCUCUCACACACACACACACACACACUCACACACAUACACAUACACAUUUGCACACACACACACUUGCACACACACACACACAUUUGCACCAUGCAUACAUAUAAUGUUUUUAUCCCUCCCCUGUUUUUUCCAACCCUUUUUUAAUUUCAACUAAAUAUUCUCCUCUCUCUUAGACCUGGACCCAACUCCUCCCUCUAACCCUUUCCUAUUAUAUCUCCUAAACCUCAAAUAUAAACACCUCUCUAUUUAUGCCAUAUUGGCACUAUGCAACGACCGGGAGCUAUCUGAUUUUAUCAACUAAGAUCAAAUGUACUAAAUUUCAUGUAGACUUGAUGAUCUGCCUUUUAAUCUCAUUCAAAUAUUUCAAUGGUCUAGGAUGUUUUGAAAAAAAGGAGUAUGCAUAUCACACAAAAAACUCACCCAUUUCAGUUAAAAUUAACUGAUGAUUUUCUACUUGGACUCAUUGGAUUAUGGGGUCACUGCUUAAAGGGAACAUUGACUAGUAGAAUUGCACCUGUUGAAAUCUAGCUGCCUGAUGUGAAUGAAAUAGUUAAGCCUGUUGGAAUUUGACUGUGCAUUUGGGUAGGUUGAAAAGUUGCAAACCUAGGCUUAAAUCUCCACAUGAGCUUGAAUUUUUUAACUUAAGAAAAUUUGCAUAUCUACUUUGAUCUUUAAUUGCAACAAAGGUAAUUGCUAAUAGUAAUGAAUACUGCUUUUAUAUCCAUUGAAUGUACUAUACUUACUUUUGGUUGUCUGCUUUAUAGGUUGAGAGAGAUCAAAUGAAUGGAGAAAUCAUUAUGGAUGAGGUAGUAAAUUGUCAUUCUUUUCUUUAUAUAUUAUUGGUAAUUUCGUUUUCCUUCCUUGUAAGUCACCUGAAGGUGUGUUGGGGGUAUCCUAUGAACCACUAUCUUUCUAUUAAACUCAAAUAAUGGGGACAUGAAACCUUUUCCUUGAAGACAUUGCAUGCUUGCAUGAAUCACUCUAUCUGUGAGUCUGAGCAUUUAGAUUUUGAUGAUACAACUUGUUAUUAUCUUAUAUGCUGAUAUGCAAUAUACCAUGGAAAAAAUUCAAAACAAUUAUGAAAGGAAUUGGAGAGUAAUUACAAAUGAACACUGGAAUGAUGAACGAGAUAAAACAUGUAGUUAAUUUGUACUAUUAUAAUAAGCACUAGCUUUAAUCUCUGUUUCUCAAAGAUUUCCACUAAAAUCAGUUGCCCUACAAAUCUAAUGUCUUGAUUAAACUCCAUGUGUCUGCAGAACUUUCACAAAAUUCCUAGAUAUCCAUAUAUCUCUACUCUCCUACAACUCCCUCUUCAUCUCUUCUCACUUUUCAAUGAAGUUGUAUGGUAUUAUGCCCGCAUACAAAUAGUCUGUGCCCCAUGCUCUAAGUAUAUAUAACAUGAUCAAAGAUUCCUCCAUAGGUGCUAUCAUGAUGUCUAUUAUAGAAAAUUGGAUAAGUAACUGAUGCUCUUUAGAAAUGUUUUCAAAAGGCAUUUAGAACUAUAUAUUGUCUCCUUUAUUUAUUUAGUUUUUAUUUUGGUUAGAAGUUAGUUUUUGUCUCUUGAUAAAAAAUGUUACUGGAAGUUGGUUUAUUUUAAUUUUGGGAAAAUAUACUCUUACUUGUAUAAACAAUUCAGUAUAUCACUUUUUCCCUUAUGGAAGGUGUCCCAGAGGACUUGUCUGCCACAGUACUAGCCUAUAUUGGUUUUUAGUGGCUAAAUAAAUUGUUUUGUUGUUAAUAUAUUCUGGACUUGUUUUUGAAUUGCUCUUUUUUCACCUAUUUGGACAUCCUUUUUGUCCUUAGUUCGUCUUAUUGACUAUUUCAUAAAGGUUUUGUCUCAAAACUUGGUAUUCUUUCCAAAAAGGCAUCACUUUAUGAUUUCCUUUGCCCCAUACUUAGAAAAUUGGAUUGCAAUCUCUCUUCACCCCCUCACAGGAUUCUGUUAGUGUCAUGAGUCCUUAUAAAAUGGACAAGUGACAAUACUAGCAGCACUUUGUACUAGAUUUUUAUUAGAGAAACUUUUAGUUUACCAUCGUCCUAAUAAAGGUGUUAAACUUUGUGGGAAAAGAGAAAAUCCAUCCCGAUAUAAUAACUUUUGAUCAAAUAAAAUGAUAAAGCCUAAAAGAUAAGCAUUAAAAAGUAAGACUUGCUGAUAAUCUAUAAAGGUAAGAAAUCCUAUUAUGCUUAGUUGAUUUGGUACUUUCCUUGAUCAACCAGUAGAAUUUGGUGCUUUUACCCCCUACCUGGCAUCUAACAUGUCUUUCCAAGUCAUUCAUGCUAAAUUAUUAGGUUGCUAUGUUAAUGCAGGCAAAUUUGCCAAUUUAUCUUGGGGAUAAGAAUGUAGUAUGUGGAGACAUUGAAGUGGUUGUGGAAUCAGUGAGAAAAGCAUGCCAGAACAAAGAAUAUGGGUGCAAAGAAACAUUGGAUUACAUGAAGAAAAGUGAACAUGAAGAGACUUGCAGCUAUGCACCAUGCACAUGCCCUCUUCUAGAGUGCGACUUUGUUGGCUCAUCUGAACAGUUGUCAUUACACUUCAGCAGUAAACAUUGGGAUUCUGGAAGGCGUUUCAGAUACAAUUGCCCUCAAGCCAUAUCCUUGGGCAUGAAUGAGCCAUUCCUUGUUCUUCAAGCAGAGGAGGAUGGUAUUCUUUUUCUUCUCAACAAGGGGAUUGAAGCAAUUGGAAAUACAAUCAUGAUAACUUGCAUUAAGCCAAGUUCAUCAAAGGAGACGUUCUUGUAUGAUUUAGUAUCAGGAAGAGGAAUCAGCUCUCUUCGACUAAAAUCAUUUACACAGAAUUUCCCGGGUCGAGUGGAGGGCUUUCCUCCAGUGGAUUUCCUUCUAAUUCCAUUUCGGUUCCUCAAUUCUUCACGGCAGCUCAAUGUAGAGGUUUGUAUAUGGAAUUCAACAGAACUUGGUGCCGAUUGCCCUGCCCUUGGCUUGGCCAUUUCAUGAGCAUUUGGGGUACAAUUUGACCAAUAAUGGAAUUCUCUUCCACAUGGAAUUCAAUAGAAGUUGGUGCAUUUCUUACCCAUUUCAUUAAGCAUCUAGUGUACAAUAGUGUUCUCUUGUAUAUGGAAUUCAUGCAUGUUUGUCCUGCUCUCUCUCCCUCUUUCUUGUACAUGAAAUUCAACAAAAUUUCUUGCAUGUUGUCCUUUUCUCUCAUUCUCCAUUUUGGAAAUAAAUGUACAUUAUGAACCAUUGCCUCCUGAUUGUGAAGUCCAUCCCAUUUUAAACUCUGCCCAUCAAAAGCAAUUGAAAAGACCCAAUAGAUAUAUCCAGAUGAUAUGAAGUGCAUGCUCUCUAAUGGAUAAGGGUGCAUGAAACUUGUUGAUUUACUGAGAAAGCGUGCUGCUGUUCAUUCUCAAUGAGUGUGGAUUUGUCUCAGCUUCUCAAGUCCCUAGUUUUCAGGUUCCCAAAAUGGCUUACUGCAUCAUGGUUAGAGGAAGCGGUUGAAUGACAGUUUUGGGUGGCAAUGGCUUGACUCCUGAGGCAAGGAAUGCCCCAAAUUUAUUCAAUCAAAUCGAUUUAACAAUUGUCAUGGUGUCUUGGAUACAGACAUAAAACAUUUACCAUUUAAGUACCACGUUUCAUGUUAGGUUGCAUUGCAUUGAAUAUGGAUAAACCUUACACAUGACUCUUGACAUUGUUAUAUUCAAAAUGAAAAUAUUGGUAAUUAUGAAAAUAUUAGUACUUGAAUUUUGCAGAUAUAUCGAAAAAAUAUUUAUGGAUAUUUUGAUAUAAAUAUUUUUAUUUAAAAAUAUUGAUAAUUUUAUUUAUGAUUUUAUAUUUGUCUUAUAUUUAAUUAGUAUAUGAAAUAUAUUAUAAAAUAAUUAAAAUUAAUUCAUUUAUAAUAAUUUUAUUUUAAUUAAUUUAUAAAAUAGAUUAUAAUAUAUAAAAAUAUAUGUACAAUAAUUAUAUAUAUAAACAAUUUUAAGCAUAUAUAUAUAUAUAUAUAUAUAUAUAUAUAUAUAUAUAUAUAUAUAUAUAUAUAUAUUAUUAAAUAAGUUUAGCUUAAUGGUAGAAGUCAUUUGCUUUAAACCUAAACACUUGAAUUCAAGUCCUUAUCUUGUAUUGGAAUUUUUUUUUUUUUUCAUUUUGUCUUAAUAAGAACAUAAUAUCACAUCAAAAUUUUGAGAGAUUGCAAAGCUUUAUAGUCUCUAUUUAUGGUGCUAUCUCAUACGAUAUCUGGUCACAAUAGAUGGGCGGGUUGGGCCUAAGUUUGCAUUCGUUCCAUUGUAUUAAAGUUAAAAAUUUACAUCUAUUAAGUUGUUAGGCUUCAUCUAUCUUUUAGCCGAUUAAAGAAGAUUUAAAAGUUAUCAUGUAUAAAUUAGUUAAGUUGAUUCAACAUUGGCCCAUUGGACAAAAAUUAAAAGUUUGGGCAUUAGACAUCUUUGAUAUAUUCCCGAUUUUUUGCCAAUACAUCUCUGAAAUCUCAACAAUUUUUUUCAUCAAAGGUUGAUUUUUGUUGUGUCGUCGAUAUAUUGAUGAUAUAUUUUCAUCAGUUGAUAUAUCUUACCUAUAUAUUGUAUUCAUCUUAUCUAAUACACAAUAUAUCAUCGAUAUGUCUCAAUAUUUUCAUUCUUGGUUAUCAUUUAUUAAGGUCAUUUUUUCAAAAGACCAAAAAAUGAGAUAAUAUAUUUUAUCUCAUUUUAAUUGGCAUAAAACAUAAUUUUAGUUGUUUUAAAGCUAUAACUUUUGAACUUUAACCACAUUGUAAAUGGAGAGUUAUUAAGUGCAAAAACUUUUACAUUUAAUGCUUAUUAGUUAUACUUCUUUUCAUUUUCAAUUAUGAGCUAUAUAAGCAUACCCAAGAAACUAUUGGUUGUGCAUAUGGUACCAUCAUGUAUCUCUCAUUAAUUUUGUUUUUCAUAAAAAAAAAAUUAUAAAAUGAAUUUAUUAAAAUUUAAAAAUAUGCAAUGAAAUUGUUGUUUAUGUGAAAUUGACCUACCACCACCAUAUAAGAUGAUAAAAAUUAAAAAUUAAAAAUUUAAAAAAUUAUUAGGGAUGGUGUGUGCAACAUCUUCCUUUUAAAAAAGUGAUUUUAUUAAAAAUUUAGAAUAAUUUUGACUUGUUUAAAAAAAUUAUUUGAAGUGGGAGAGUUCUAAAUUUAUUUAUGUUACUUUUUAUUGUAUUUUUUAAAAAGGGUAUGCAAAAUUACCUUCAUGUCCAUCUUUUUCAACCUCAAGCUGCCCUACCCAAAACCUUGACUUUCCUUUCCUUCCCUUCCCUUCCUUUUUCCCUCUCCUAAGAUUUUUCCUUACCCUACCUUGUUUUGUUGGCCUCAUCCAUUCUUAGAUGAUUCUAUUUAUUGGUUUUAUCUAAAUAAUUCAAUGUUAGGAAGUUGUUUUGAUAAUUAUUUGGGGUUUAAAUUUUUUUCAUUAAAAUUUAAAUGUUAGGAGAUUGUUUUGUUAAUUAUUCCAAGUUUGAUUGGUUUAAGAAAGUUGUUAACUUCUUUGUAGUAGUUGAGUUACAUAAGGUUUUUACCACAAAUAAGUCAUGUAAAUAGAAGAUGAGGUGCUCUUUCUUCUACUUUCACUUUAUUGUCCUAUUUUCUAUUUAUUUAUUUUUAGUAAUUCCUUUCUUCUCUAAUAUUUUAAAAACCAAAUAAGUCAUUGAAUUAAAAAAGUUAUUGAUUCAUGGUUCAAUGGUCGGAUCAAUAGUUGAACUAUGGUUGAACUGGGGAUGUUAUAAAUAUUAAUUAAUUAAAAUUUAAAGUAAUUAUAAAAAAAUAAAAUAUGUAUAAAUAAAUUAAAAAUUAAUAAUAUUUAUUUUUUAUAUUUAUUAUUAUCAAAUUAAAUCAUGCAUAAGUAUAAAAGUAUUAAUAUUUUAAAUUUUAUUAAAUGAAAUAUGAUGAUAUUUAAAUGUGAAUAUAUUGAAAAUGAAAGAAAAAUUAAUUAUUUAAUUUUAAAUAAUUUUAUAAUUAUAAAAAAUAUAUAUUAUUUUUAUUUAAUAUAAUGAUUUUUUUUUUUAAAAUAAUAUAUUUUCUUUUGUUUGUUGUACUUGGCAUUAAAAAGUGUGCAACCGAGUGGUGCCCAUGUCAAAUCCUUGUGGGUGGGAUUUUCUUUAAACUAAUAUCAUCAAUUCCACUUUGGAGGGUGAUAGGAGUAAAGAGGCCUUUAAAUGCUUUUUUCAUCCAAGGUAAAGACAUGUUCGUAGGUUUGAGGUAGAGCCCAACAUAUGGUAAUAUGGGCUUGUUUGGAUGGGCUUUUUGCCUAAAAAAAAACAAUAAAUAGGUGGUGGCAAUUGGGUUUCUACCAAAAAUCUAUUAAAUGGUAAAAAGAGAAUGGGACAUUGAACCUUUAAUUCUUUAAGAAGAAUUGCUCAGUUCAUUGGUUCGAACAUCAGUUCAGGGAGUUCGUGGUCGAUUUGAUAGCUAAGUGGUUCAAUGGAGGGAAUUGGACCAAAAAGAUCAUCGAUCAAUAGUUGAACUAGCCAAUCUAGUCCGAUUUUCAAAAUAUUGUUUUUUUUUUUCAUCUUCAUCAAAUGAUAUUAUAUCAUUAGUAGUUAUAUUAACCUAAUGCCUACUACCACAUGCACACAAGAAGCAAUACUAGGUUGGAAAUUAAUUUAGCAUUCCUAGUUGGUUGGAUAGAUACUUCAACUCAUCAAUUUCAAAUGUCAAUUAAAGAGUCCAUAUAUGAAGUCAAAGACAUGCAAUAAACAUAAUUGGUUGAAGUUCAUACUUGUAGAGUUUUAACAAUCUCAAUGAUAUCAAAGUAAAUUUGCAAACAUUGCUAGCAUUUGCAUCUACUUGAACUAAGGAGCUUACAACUUAACCACUCUUAGUACCAAUAUUUCCAAAUUAAUCUUGCUCUAAUCCUAUCAACUCCAUUUCCCAAUAUUUUGGGUUUUCGUUAACCUAAUCUUCUAUCAACUAUAUUGUGGGUUUAUUACACUUGAAUUGAAUUUUCAAAGUUUAAGGGUAUGAUUCACUUAGUUGGUUCUAACAAACUAAUUUGUUUUUUUAACUAUAUCUAAACACCAAAAUAGGAGAACAUUGAAUUGACUUCUUUCCAUCUCAAAUGAAGGGUUAUCUAGUAGUAUCAUUAGAUGGAGAAAGUUGUUAAAACAUGGUCUUAGGAUGAAUUUGAUGGGAAAAACCUAGAUUCUUCAUUUCCCAAGCCUAGAUCAGGUUAGGAACAUGCUUAACUAUCUUAAGCUUUCCUAAAUCCUAUGCAUAAUGGAGAAAAAAAUGCAGUUUUAAACUUAAAACGAAUUUAGAAAAUACUAGCAAAACACAUACCUUAGAUUCAGAUGUUCCUGAAUUGAAUCCACACGAUGAAGAUGAAGAACGAAGUUGUAAAAGUCUUGUAAACCCAAAGUUUUCCAUCUGAUGACUCGAACCUUGAUCUUGACACACUUCCGAUGAGGAUGGAAAAGAAAGUGAAGGUUAUACCUAUUUCUUUGGAGGUGGAAGAUGAUUUUCUAGAAAAAGUUAUGGAAACCCUAACUCUUAAGGGGUAUUUAUAGGGUUCUUUAAUGGGCUUAAGUGACUUGAGCAUAUUAAGGGCUUUGAUCGCUUGGUUUUUCAUCGUUUAUUGGAUCAAAACAAAAUUUAUAACCUAAUUCACUAUUCUAGAGUAGCUUGUGCCUGAUCAAAAAUGGUUUUAGUACAAACUACCAUAGUAUAGUGGUUUUUAGGUGUCAUCCACUAGGAUGGAUUAUUCUCAGUAAUUAAGGCUUGAGUGAGAGAACAAGAAGUGAUUAUGAUCAAGUGAAAUUGAUUUAAAAAUUCAUAGUGAAAAAUCAAUGUAACAAUGGUCUAAAAUUGAGAAGAAAAAUGAAAUGUAAAAUAGAAGAAAAUUCAUAGGAGAAGAAAUUCUCGGAGUUAGGAUUUUCUAGAAAACAAUUUCCAUGGUGAAUAGAUGUUGAGAUCUAAUUUUCAUCAAGUUAGAUCAAAAACUUAAAUUUUCAUCUAAACCGAUUUUUGAUUUAGCUUAGAUCUAGAUCUAAUUUCUCUUCAAAUUAGGUCAUUUAAUCUAAGAGAUCAAUUCAAAUCAUAUAUUCAAUUCAUCUUAAAUUAUCUUCCAAUGAUUCACACAAUGCAAUUAUUCAAUCUCAUCAAACCUAGCCUUAAAAUUUUAAUUAAUCUACCUAGUUUGCUUUGUAGAAGUCAUCCAAGACAAUUUGAAGAGAAAAAUCCCCAAAAUUCAAUUAAUCAAUCAAUUGGAUCAAAUUACCUUUGCAAUUCAAGCUCAUUUCUCUAAUUCACCAUACAUCUUGCCUCUAGAUCCUCAUUUCUCCGAGACAAACGAGAUUUAGCCACUCAUGAUUGGAGAUUUGGUAUGACAAGGCAUGUUUGGUUAGUGAGAAAAAGAGAGAAAAUAAAGGAAAGUAGAGAAUUCUCUAGAGAGAGAAAAUCUGGAAAAUUCUACAAUUAGAAAUGUCAAAAAGCUUUCAAAUGAGUAAAUCAAGUUUCUAUUUAUAGGCCAAGGUCAAGUGGACACUUGACAUCAUCUAAAAGGUCUUCCGAAGGCUUCUUCACCAAGAAAUCUGGAGUUUAGUAAUAAAAUGCCCAUUUCGCACGAGAUCCAGUAAUUUCGCACGAGCUCCAACAAUUUCGCAUGAUUAUACGAAGUGGAAAAUGCAUCAGCACCAAUUUUGCAUUCCUAGAGCAUUUCGAAUGAUUGUGCGAAAAUUUCGCAUGAUUGUGCGCAAAUUUCGCAUGGUCAUACGAAAUCAGCUUUGAGAUUUCCCUUUGAGUUGCAGCAAAAAAAUGUCUUCUAGUCCAUUUCGCAUGACUGUGCGAAAUUUUCGUAUGAUCAUGCAAAAUGGAAAUAUAUAAUUUUUCAACUCCUUUUUGUCAUUUCUUUCUUUUGAAUCCACUUCAAUCACCUCUAAUUCCCGGUCCAAACCAAUUGCAUUACUUAUUUCAUCAUGCAUUUGGAUCUUCAUCAACUUUAUUUGUUCUCUUCAAUUUGAUUCAUCUCUUUUGUCACCAAUUUAUCAAAAUCAUACUUUGAAAUGACUCCAAAACUUCAUAAAACUUUUUAGUAACUCUUGCAAGGGCAAAAACAUGUUAAUUGAGUGUUUUAGGCAUAAUUACUACUCAAAAGAUGUGAAACUCAUGAGAAUUAUUAUCUAAAAUAUGCUCUUUUUGAGUAGUAAUUAGACUUAGGUCACUUAAUUUAACCUAAAAUGGGUCAUAAUGCAUAAGAGUAUUUUGGUAAUUAUGCAAGGUUGCAUAAAAGUAAGUGAAUAAGGUCUUUGGAUUAGGCUAAUUGAUUAAUUAACCCAAUAGGGUGUAUAAUUAACCAAUUAGCUCAAUUUAGAGACCUUAUUCACUUACCCUUGUGCAACCUUACAUAAUUACCAAAACACACUUAUGCACAAAAGUGAACCUAGAGUCCAUUCAAUCCUCAUAACUCAUGCUGAUAACGGGGACCAUUGGGACAUGUAGGAAUACUAACUCCCUUAUAAUUUAAUUUUGAAAUUGAUUCAAUAUCCCACUAUAAAGAAUAAACUAAACUCUAAUAUUCUAUAUAAAAAACAACAAGACACUAUGUGCUUAGGUUUGUGAUUUGCUAUCUAUUGCAUUUAGUCUCCUCAUGAACUAGUGUUCAUAAUCUAAUAAAAUGAAAGCUAUCAACCUUUUAAGACUACCUCUAUAAUCAUUUAGUUACAGAUGACUGUGUGUUCAACUGAUAUGCCUUACUUCUCAAAUAGUAUAUGUCAAGUUCCACUUGAAGAACUGUUAUGAUCACAGUUUACAUAACACACCUCCUUAAAAUCACUUAAAGGGACACUUUAUCUUAAUCCCAUGAGAUGUCAUGUUGUCUCUAUCAAGAAUACUUAUUACUACCAACUUUAACAGUGAUCUAAUCUAAAAGAAAUAUAUGAUAACUUACGAUCUCACCCAUAGGUCAAAACUAUUACUAACUUUGGCACAAACUCAAUAUUUUCCCAAGGUUGAGAGACAGCAUAAUGAAGUAGCUUGGUGAAUUCAUGACUACUUGAUACCUAUUAACCCAAUGGUUUUUCUAAUCAUGUUUUAAUGGUAACAAACCAUGGUUAAGUUGCUAAUUGUUUUUGAAUUCAAAGAAUUUUAAGUUUUAGUUUGGAAAUUAAAAAAUAUAUCUGAGAAAUUCAUCAAAUGACCCAAUGGAUGCAAAAUCAAGACAUAUAAAAGACCUUUUAAUCUUAGGAAAUCUAUGUAUGAUGAAUGCAUGAGUGCACUUAGGAUUUUUAUAUCUUUUUAUGCAUAUUUUAAAACUUGGUUUAUGCAUUAAAGUUAAAUUUCCAUUAAAACUCGAGUUUUAACAUAUGAAUCUUAGGCAAAUUGUUUCAAAUUUGACAUAUUCAUUGACUUAAAGACCUUUCCCAAGUGUUAAAAGUGAAAGGAAUAGAAAAAAAAAAGGUUUUUAGGCCAAAAUAGGUGAACCGGUGAAGAAACUGGUCAACUGGUUCAACCGGUUAGGGUAUCGGUCAACCGAUUAUGCUUUCUCGGUCAAGGGUUGGUCGAGAAAUGAAAAAAUCUUCUAUCUCUUCCAAUAGUCUUGCAUUCUUAGUCGAUGGGUAGGUUCUCCCAAUCUAGGCUUGGUCAAGGUCUGAUAUAGGCCAAUUCGAGGAAUGGUCACCUAUCAUGCAUUUAUUACCCAACAACUAGUCAACUAGUCAACCCCUAACUCGACUGGUCAAGACUACUUUUUAACAUUUUGGUUCCUGAUGCUGGAAACCUAUAAAUUGAGAGUUCUAUUUUAUUUAUGAGCAUGAGAAUCCUGCAUUUAAUUGUUUAGCUACUUGUUCUUCACCUAAAAUCUCUCAUUUUUUCCUUGGUGCAUUAAAUCUCCACUUGCAUAUUAUUUAGUGCACUCUUGUUAUUCUUUCUAGCAUUUGAGUUGUAUUUGAAAAUUUGUUGAGCUAGGUUAAGAGGUUUCAAUUUGUACUUUGAGUGUUUUUCAGAGAAUUAAUAGCUUUAAAUGAGUAGAGACUUUAAGGGAUUAUGUAAGAGCCCAUUGGAGUAGAAAUCCAAGUAUAAAGGCAUUGAAAGCUUGGUUGAAGCUUCAAGAAUAAUGAAACUCUCACUCGGUUAGGAGUUUGAGGAGAGUGGACGUAGGUAAAGGGUGUUGAACCACUAUAAAAUUUCUAUUUACUCUCUCUAACCCUAUUUCCUUAUAUUUGUGUUUCUUUUGCUUGAAUUUAUUGUGUUUGAAAAAGAUUUUUUAAAACUCAAUUCACUUCUCCACUCUCCUCUUUGGUGUUUUCCUAAUUAAUAUUAGUCUUUAUUUUCUCAAUACCCUUAAGUCUUGACUCACCAUAGGUCUUAUUAAUGUGUAACCAUAUACACUAGUACAAUCACUAUGGGAAAAUCAUCUUAAUAGCUAAGACUAGUUAUCCCUCCAAUUGGGAGGUCACCCAUUACAGUCUCUAAUGGGUUACCUAAGCCUAUUAAUCGACUAUGAACAAGUCAUCUAUUUAAUUGCAAGGAACUUGUGACUUAGAUCUUCUGUAUAACUCCCAAUGUACUCAAGUCACAUACCAAAAGAUAUCGAUAAGAGUGUUUACAAGGUAUAAUGCAUGGAAACAUAAUAGAUAAAAGUAAACUGGAACUUUAUAAAAUAAAUAAUAAGCAUCUACAUGUUUGUUACAUCAUGUCAUGUUUUUAAGGGCCUUAUGCUAACAGAAUUUAGAACAACCUUUGGUAUUCGCUUUAGUGCUACUAAUUAUUCAAAGCCAAGAGAAUUGUUAGCUUGAUUACAACAAAAAGAAAAAGUAUACAAAUAUUUAAGAGAGUUUGAACACUUACCUAAUUGUUGGUCCUAGAUUGUGAUCACUCUCCGAGCAAUAUUUUCAGUGCCUCCUGUAUUUUAUGACCUUAAAAGAAAGUAACCCCGAGUAUGCUUCGGGCAAAUCUCUUUGAUUCUUAAGUCAACUUUGAGAAUUAUGGAGUGAAUUUUUGGGGAGAAUUUUACACCUCUUCAAUUCUUGUCCCUUUUCCACUUAUAUAGGAUGAAUUUUUUUAACUCAUUUUAGACAUUAUGAUCCCUUUUUAUAUUUGCAUUUAAUUUUUUAAUGUCACCUCAUUGAUGACAGGUAACAACCAUCUAUUUAUGACAACUUACUACUUAGAUAGUCUUUGGUCAAAUGGGACCAUUUGGACUAACAUUGUUUAGGGCAAGUUGCCUACUUGGCUACCUUAUUGCUUAGGUACCCAUAAUACCCCUAUUUCUUAGUUAUUUUCUACCAAACUUUUACUCGAGGAAGGGUAGCUAAGAAAAGUUUUGACUUUCAUUCGCCUUGCAUCAUGGAGGAGCAAAUUAAUUGAUUUUUAAAAAAUUUAAAAGGUGAGUUCUUGCGCCUUAGGACAUGUGUCAACAUGGUGUAAGAACUAAGAAUCUUAAUAUAGUCUAUCAACAGCCAGGCAAUGCAACAAUUUGACACCUGACAUUCUUUAUUCAUCUUAUAAAACCCAUUCUUUUACUUUAAUUUUCUCAUUUUUGGCUUGUCUCACAUUUUGUCUCAUGCUCUUUAUUCUCUUUAUGUUCUUCUUUUUGUUUCACUAUGGAGAGCACUAGUCCGUCAUCAUUGGCAUCAAUGCCCUUUUUGCUAUCAAAAUCAUCGUUAGUUGACCAAGUUUGUUCAUUUUUUUCUUGGGAGAAUUACCCUUAAGGGUAGGCUGGGGAAAAAAAUGACCGAUGAGGGUGGGUAAAUUUGAUAAUUAUUGUAAAGGGUAGGGUAAAAUUAUGAUAAUUCCUCCAAAGAUCUUAUUUUGUUUAAAUGCCAAUACUACCCUUAAUAAGUGAAAAACAAGCAAAGUGAAAAGCAACAGAAAAUAAAAAAGAGUUUAUUCUCCCUUUCUUUAACCUACCUGGAGCUUGUCGGUGUUGUAGAAGAAAAAGGGGAAAGGAAAAAGGUCCAGCACUUCAGGUCAUUCUUUGCAACCGUUUACACAAAACUUGUUUUUUUUUUUUUUUUUGUGAAUCUAGCAAGAAAUCCAUUAAAGGUCAGUUUUUUUUUUUUUAAUACAAAAAAAAAGGUCAGUUUAUGGAAAAAUAAAUAAAUAAUUUAAAAAUCAGAUUGAAUGAAGGAAAAGUUAAUAAUUUUAACAAUGUAGUUGUAAGAUAUUAGAUCUGAAAUAUUGAAUGAGGUUUUGAGAAAGAAAUUACAUUUUUUUAAAUGUUAGUUAAAUUUAUUAUUUUGAAUUUUUUUUUAUAUUAUUUAGGUCAUAUUGAAGAUGUGUUUUUAUUUUUAAUUUAUUUUCUGGGUGGGUUGUUUGAUAUGAUUAUUAUUGAUUUCCAUUGAAAAGGUUUGCACUUUAGUUUUGUUGUUAAGACUUUUUGACAUGAUUGAAGAAAAAAUGUUCUCAGUUGUUUCAUGCUUGUUUGGGACCACUUUGUUUGUGUAUUUAUAAACAUAUUUGGAUUGUCAUUGAAAACUGAAAUCCCCUUUGUACGAGACCACUUUGUCUUUUAUUAUGAAUUUGUUAAAGAGUUAAGAUCACUAUAUUUUUGUUAUAAAUUUGUUACCUUUUUGUAUAAGUAUUAUUUUGGUAUGAUGAGUCGAAUGCCUAGUAGUUUGAAGGUUGUGUAAAAGAACCAUUAUUUCAGUUAUAAAGUAUAAGUACAAUACAAAUGCAAUAUAGUUACAAUGAAAAAACAUUAACAUUAUGAUACAUUACAAUAUGCCAAAAUGACAAAAUAUUGAAUUAUUUUUUAUUGAAUUGGCAUUUCUAGGCUAUCAUGUUGUAUUCCUAUCAUAAAGCAUCCUUGCAAGCCAAAAUUAUAAAAAAAAAAAACAACAACAAAAAUACACUAUUGUAAUUUCAAUACAUGAAGUUGUUGAUGAUAAUCCAAUGAUGGAUAAAAAAAAAUUAUAAAAUUAAUUUUUUUUAUAUAAAAAUAUAGAGGUAUAAUAAAAAUACAGUACAAUUACAAUACAAAUACAAUAACAUUACGAUACAUUACGAUAAGGUAAAAUUUUGAAAAUGUCAAAUUUCUUAUGAAAUUGGGCAAUUAUGGGUUCUUUGGCAUAUCCCUAACAUGUAUAAUAUACAACAAAUAUUGUUAUUUAUUAUAUAAAAUAUGUCUCAAUUGAUUAUAAUUUUCAUUUGUUUAUUUUGUAUUCGUUGUAAAAUUUUCAUUGAUUGUAAUAUUGUGAAAUAGAUUGAUUUGAUUGUCGGUGAAAUAAGACGUACUUCUGAAUUGGUAAAUGGACUUGGAAAAUUCCAUUUAUGGCUACCUUCAUGAAGGAGGGGAGAUUGUACCUAAGGAGGAUAAACAAAUACAAUACAAGGUUGGACAACAAAAAGGCAUGUACAUUGGACAAAGGAUGUCAUAUGCUGAAUUUGUUUCAAAGGCAUGUGAACGGUUGGAUAUUAAUUCAAAUGGAUAUACAUUUCAUUACACCCUUGAGUUUGAUCCAUCUGCACUUCAACAGUUGGAUGAUGAUGAGGACAUGCAUAUGAUGUUAUCCCAUAGUUAUGAUUAUGCUCGUAUUUAUGUAUUAAAACAGACUCGAAGAGUAGAAGUUGAAGGAGGUAUAGUCAAUGUGCAAAAUGACUAUUCUUAAGUGAUAUAUCUUGUAUUAGUUGUCAUUAACUCCAUGAUGCAAAGUGCUUUUAAUAUUAAUUAACUGAGUGUGCUAUAAUAUGCAGUCACAAUAGUACGAAGGAAACACACAAUUCAGUUGCAUCAUGUCAAGCAAACAAUGAGUCUAAUUUAGGACUUUCUCAAGGCUUCAUGUCUAGAUUUGCAGAAACUGAAGUUAUGCCACAUGAUUUAAGUCUUUGUCCUCAACCUAUUAUUGGGAGUGGGCAUAGUUUUCCUAAUGCAGAUGAAUUUAGAAAUGCAUUAUAUAUGAUGUCAUUAGUUGGUAGAUUUCAAUACAAAUUCAAAAAGAACUCUCCAAAGCGAAUAUCUGUGUGUUGUUUAGUGGAUGGGUGCCCUUGGAGAAUAACUGCUAAUUCAGUAGGCACAACCAAAAUUUUGAAGGUUAACAUCUUCAUUGAUGUACAUAAUCAUUGUGCAGAUGUUGAGUGUUCAAGCCAACCUUCAAUGCGGGGAAGGAGAGGUGCUCGUGUCAUAGAGCAAGUAAUAAGGGCAACCCCUCAGUAUUUGCCCCGUCAAAUUUGCAAAGACUUCAGGAGUCGGUAUGGUGUUUCAUUGAGUUAUAAGCAAGCUUGGACAUAUAAAGAAAUGGCAAAAGAGAGAAUAUAUGGUCUUCCAGAAAACUCAUAUAUGUUGUUGUCAUGGUUAUGUCAGAGAUUAGUAGACAUUAAUCCAGGGACAAUUGCUGAAUAUAGCAGACAAGAUGGGCAUUUUUGGCAAUUGUUCAUUGCACAUUCUUUUUCAAUUCAAGGUUUUUUAAUGGGUUGUCGACCUGUUAUUGCAAUUGACUCACUCAUUUGAGUGGACUGUAUAGGGGCUCUUUAUUUUCUGCAACAGCUUAUGAUGCUGAUGAUGGCAUGUUUCCAAUUACAUUUGGUGUUGUAAGUUCAGAAAACUAUGAGGAUUGGCUAUGGUUUUUGCAGAAAUUGAAGGGCAUACUUCAAGAUAAAGAGGUAGUCAUAAUAUCAGAUAGGCAUCAAGCAAUCCUUCGUAGUGUUUCUCAACUUUUUGGAGUAGAAAAUCAUGCAUAUUGUUAUCAUCAUGUGAAAGAGAAUUUUAGUAGCUAUGUGACGAAACAUAGUAUGAAGGGAAAAAAAUGUAAAAUGGAUGCAUUGUUGCUACUUGAUAAUGUUGCGUAUGCUAGGUUGGAUGAUGAUUAUGUUGUAGCCAUGGAAAAAUUAAAGACAUAUAACAGUGACCUAGCGAAGUGGGUUGAAGAGAACAGUCCACAACAUAGAGCAAUGUCAAAGUUUGCCAAAAAAUGAUGGGAUAAGAUGACAACUAAUCUUGUUGAAUCAUUCAAUGCUUGGCUGAAGGAGGAACGUCAUUACAUAAUUUUCAACUUAGUAAUGACACAUAUGGAUAAGUUUGCUCAUCUAGCAUGUGAUCAUAUGGGUUUUACAGAAAAUUGGAAAGCUCCAAUUGGCCCAAAGAUUGAGGAAAAGUUGUUGGAAAACAUUAUAAAGAGUGGGUCAGUGCCUGUAUAUCCCUAUGUUGGUGGUGUGUUUAAGUUAUUCAAUAUGAAAGUAUAUGUAGACGUGAAUUUGAGAGAGCGUACAUGUACUUGUAAGGCUUGACAAAUGACCGAAAUACCUUGUGAGCAUGCAUGUGCAGCAAUACGCCAGAUGAAACAAGAUGUUUAUGAAUAUGUUGACUCAUAUUUCAAGCUUCCAAUGCAAGAGUUGAUAUAUUCUGGACACUUCAAUUCAAUUCCAAAUCACAAUAUGCCUAUAGUUGAUGCUGAUGGAUGUGUUCGUGAUGCUCAAGGUCGCUUAUAUCCUUCACUUAAACCUCCAUGCUCAAAACGACCACCUGGAAGGCCUCGACACCGUCGAAUAGAGUCUCAAUUUAGUUCAAAAAGGCUUAUCUUCUGUUCAUGAUGUCAAGUUGCAGGCCAUAAUCGAGCUUCAUGCAAAAAUCCAUUACCCGCUCCAUGAUUCUAGUGUUAUGCUUGUAUGGUGACAUGCUACUUUUUAUUUUAUUUUAAUUGUGAUGAUAUGUGUGGUUUAUGAAAUUAGAAUCUAUAAGAAUUUGUUUUGGAACUUACUUAUUUACUUGAUUGUCAUGACAAAGAUGUUUGUAUUACAUAUGCCACUAUUUUAGACUUAUGAUCUUAUCAUUAUUUAGGGUGGUUUGUAACCAUGUUUUUAAUGUUAUUUUGAAGAUCAUUAUUGACUUUGUACAUGUUCAUUACAUUUGUUUAACUUGUUUUCCAUUGAAAUACAGGUUACAUCAUGGCAUCUUCAAGUGCUUCAUUUAGAAAUAUAAGAGGUAAUACUAGAAAUGGUGAAUAUCUACUUUAUCAUAACUGUAUGUGUAAAUGUUCACCCAGACAGAGGGUGGCUGUUAGAAUUUCUGAAUCAAAGGAUAACCCAAAUAGGUUAUAUUAUUGUUGUCAAUAUGCAAAUACUAGAGAUGACUGUCAUUUAUUUAAAUGGGCAUUCCCGAAAGGAAAUGGUGAUGGCAACACCUACCAAGAACCAGAAGAGGUUGUUCAAAGAAGAAUGUAUGGCGUAGAUGAAGAUUUUAAACAUAUUUUAACAAGAAUUGAGUUCAUGCAGAAAGUAAUUGUAGUAGGACUACUUUUAUUUUUUGUUCUAUGUUUGAAAAUUGCUUAAUCAUACACUUACUUCAUGUCUAUUAAGUUUUGGAUUAUAUAUGUAAUGCUUAAUUGUAUUGUACUUUGAUGUAUUUGUAUUUGGAGUUAUUUGUAAUAAGUUAUUUAUCUCCAUUAUGUGGACUUGUAUUAGAUUUUUAAUUAUAAUAGUUCACAGUUUUGCCUACAUUUUUAAUUACAUUUAUAACAUAAAUUCACUAACAUUACGAUAAAAAAACACUAACUGUAUGAUAAAUUACAACAUAAACUAACAAUGCAAUUUUUUGACUAAAUAAAGUCCAAUUUCUUGGGUUGAUUACCAAUUUCUUAUAUAUAAUGGUUCAAUAAUUUUUUUUUUUUUUUGUAACCUUAAAUUAGAAAUGUCUUCUUAGCUUUGAUAAUGAGUUGUUGUAUUUUAAAAAAAAAAAAAAAAAAAAAUUGCAACGAUCUGAAAACAUUAUAGAAUAGAAUUAUUCAUGAACUUAUUUGCCUGUAAAAAUAAAUUAUAUUAAUUUUUUAAUUUAUUAAAUUAAAAUCUAUUUCUUAUUUUUCUAUUUUUUAAUAAUUUUUUUUUUGUUGAAAUGGACUCAAAAUGGUAGCUUUUACCAUGCAAAACUAGAGUGUAAAACCUUUUGUCAUUUAGUUAUAAAGACUUUGAAAUACUUGAAAUUACUCUCUUAUAGGUUUCUUGAAAAUGUAAUAUGUUUAAUAGGAAUUUUUUAAAAUAAGAUAAAAUAAUAGACCUCAUUGUGUGUUUAUUACUACAGUGAAAAAAAAUUGCUACAAUGAAUUAGUGAUUGUGCAAUUUUAUGUUGUUGGAGUUAUAAUAAUAGACCUCAUUGUGUGUUUAUUUUAUGGGUUAGAUUUCUCAUUGUAUGACAAUAUAAUUAUGAAAUCAAUCUCAGAUUUUGGAGUUUGGGAAAUGAUGAGAGAUUCAAACAGGUUAGCAUAGGCUUAAUGGUUUUUUUGCCAUGCUGAAUAUUUUUUGCACGUUAGUCUGAUCCCAAACUUUGUAACGUACAACAAAUAUGACAAUCUUUUUGUUUUGUUCUUGAUGUUGUUAUUUCAAUUCUGCUUUGGCAGAAAAAAAAAAAAAAUUGAUCACCCAAGUAGUUGAGCUAAGUUAUCCUAGAUUGGCCUAUCAUUGAUGCGUUGGAGUUAUCAAUGUGUGAUAUCAUUUUGAUACCAUGGAGUUUGGGAAAUGAUAAGUUGACAGUGCAAUGCCUACAGCAAUUCAGAGAAAUUUGAAGAUCACACACAAAUGAUGCCAUAACAAUAAUUAUUAAUAAAUAGUAGCAGCUAUGAGUUCCAAACAAAUUAGUUGAUGUAAGCCAAUUUGUAAAAAAAUAUCAGACUAGUAAAUUUGGAAAUGGAACUCCAUCAGACUAUAAAAAAAUAUCAACAACUAUAAACCAAAAAAAUUACAACAUCACUGAUCCAUAGCCUGAUAGACAUUUUCCCUGACUUCAUUUUCUGGAGACAUUUUCAAUUGUGUUAGGAGUUUUUCCCUGUACUUUAUGACCUUGUCCUGUACAAAAGAGUAUAUAAUAUAAUAUUAAGAAAAAUUCACGAUCAUAAAAAAAUAUAUAUAUAUUUUAUUCACCACAAUAUAAUACAUUUGCAAUUGCACGAGAAAUUCCACCGUUACUCCAUAAUUGCAUAAACUUGAUUACAAAUAUGCCACAAUCCAUUCUUCAAAUAGUAAUUAAGGAAAUUAUAAGUCAAUUGGGUAUCAAAUUAGUAAAUUUAUAACUUGAUUUGCUUUCCAUAGUUAAAGAGGAAUACAAAUCUUGCAACUUACGGAUUCAAUUGUUGGACAACUUCUGGAACAACAAAUUCAAAUUCUGUCAUGUCCACUGAUGGUCUUCUUUCUUGAAUCCCAAUGACAGUUGACAAAACGUUCACCUUAACACAAUAUACAAUUAUAAAUAUGGACAUCUUUAAAAAAUAAUGACAACGAUUCACAUAAGUAAUUGGACUAUAACUAUAUUUACCAAUUUCUCUAUGAAGACAUCCAUUCGUUUUUUCCUUCCGUCAAUUAAUGAAUCCAACAACUCGAUUCUUUUCGCAUGAAUAUUCAAAAUGAUUAAAUACCAAUGAUUUUUCCUGCAUAUUGGUAUGAACAACUAAAAGGAACAAAAAAAAAAAAAAAAAAACAAUGAUUUUAUCAAAUUAGUUGUGUUCAUGUAUUUUCUGCACAAUACUUAAAAAUAUCCAACUACAAAGUACUUUUAUUAAACUAAAUGAAACUUGUUCAUAUGUGCACGACCGAGUAUUUUUGAAAUAUUUCCAUAAAUUGUCACAUAUGUAUUUUGGAGAUAAGGAACCCCUCUUGUUUUCCACAUCAAACUGUAAUAAAAAAAUUACAAACCAUACAUUAGAUUAAAACAAUCUACGUAAAACAAGAAAACCAAUCUAUAAUUCUUACAACAUAUCUUACCACAAAGUUUGGAGAUAAGAAAUGUUUCCUAUUUUCUUUAUCCAUACCAUUCAAAAUUCGACAAUGCAUGGUUACAACCUUCAUGUAAAUUAAUGAAAAUUAGAUAUAUAGUUUUAGAGUAAUUUUAUCCUAACUUCACAUAACUAAAUAUGAAUACCUUAUUGUCAACCAAUUUAUCGGGUCCCAAGCAUUUCAAGUCAAACCUUGUCAAGAAGAAAUUGUGCAUGGAACAUAAUAUUUGGCUACACAUAAAUAAUUAUGAUGUUAGAAAUUAAAACUAAUUAUUUCAAUCGCCUAUCUUAAUUGUAUUUGUUUAUACUAAAUUAAGCUCAAGCUUACCUUUCAUCACGUGUAUCGUCCAAUGCAUAUGCCAAAACUUGCUUUGCUACAGAUGAAGACGCUGAAAAUUUGAUUGACGGUUGUACCACGUAUGGUGAUUGUAGGGCAGUAGCAUGUCGAUGUAGCCGAUAUGAACGUAUUGGAGGAUGUCCAGUCUCGUAAGGAAUAAUAGCAUUCAUCUGAACUUCAUCCUCAACUAUAUAUAUAGAAAAUAAAAGAAAAUAAAAUUCACUAAUGAAAAUAACACGCACAAGAAAUACUAGCCAUUAUUAUAUACUCAUUAUUAUUUUGAUAUUAAAACAUAAAGAAGCAGAAAGUAUACUGCUAUGCUGCGCUACUGGCUGUGAGGUCGAUGGGCCUACAUUAUCUUCACCAUCAGCAAAACGAUCAUUCAGUGGUGAUCCAUAAGCUAAUUUCAGAAUGCAUAAUAACCAAAAUUAAUUUUUUCAAAAAAAAAAAUUAUACAACAUUUGCAAUUAAAUUAAAAGCAAUACAAAAUUAUAAUGACUAGUGCUAUAAAAAUCGUACUACCAUGUGGUGGUGAUGGGAAAGAAUCAUUGAUAUCAGGUUGAUUAUGACUUCUGCUUUGAUGAGAAGAUGAUGGGGUUUUAUUUGUAUUCUGCCGCUUUGCUAGUUUAUCAAUUGCUCCUCUCAUUGUUCGAAGCAAUUGGUGAAUUUGUCUAUCCGCUGCAUUAUAUUCUGCCAUAAUUUCCUACAAAAUGGUACAAAGUGUCAAAGAUGUAUAUUAUUAUGCAUAACAUGUUUGGUUUUCUCUUUAAAUAAAAGAAUAGAUGUAGAAGGUUCUCACAUCAAUAGUCUCUUCUUCAACUUCAUUUACUGGAUUACCAGGGUCUUCAUGUGCAUCUUCCUCCCUUUCAUCUUCUUGAACCUACAAUAAUAAAAAGAAGAAUAUAUAAUUUUUAUAAAUUUAUUUUUCAAAUAUGAAAAUAAAAUAAAAUGUUGAAAGAAAAUUGUCCCUUACAUCAGCUAGUCCAAAAUCACCAUAAUCAUGCAAUUCUUCAUGCACCCUUUUCUUCAUCAAGUCAUCAGUCCACGCUGCACAUAUUGGGAUGGUAUGUGGUACCAACAUGGUUGGAAUGUAAAAUUUAUUUACAUAAAAAAGCUGAAACACAAAUAUUCCACACAUCAAUACGUUAUUUAGAAAAGACUUGUUAAAACAUGGAAAAUGAUAUGGAAACCUUCAGCAUUUAAUAAAAAAAGGUAUCUACCUGUAAAAAAAUAAGGCAACCUGUAAACCAUGAGCCUUUACCCAAUCAAAAAUGUCUAAUUCCAGCAACCAAUGUGUCAAGUACAAAUUGACCCCAAUUAACAUUGAUGUCAAAGUCUCCAACAAGCAAAGUACACCACAACUCAUGACUACCAUCCAACUUUGAUGUUGGAGCAAGUAAUGUAGCACAUGAGAAGAAGAUAAACAAUUUUUUGAACCCGGCCAUGUCUUCCAUUAAAAUCAGCCUAUCUCUAAGAUCUGAUAGGUUUUCCAUUCUAUUAUUCCUAUUGGUAGGUGAAAGUAGGAGCCUCCUACCAAUAUAUGGAAUACCCAGAAUUUCACCUACAUCAGAACAAGUUAUUGGAAAUUGCCUUUCUUGUCCUAUGUCUAACCUACAGUGGGCUAUAUUGAAAUGAGUUAUUAUCCAUCUACAUAAGCUAUGCCUUAUCUCUAUAGAAGAGAGUUGAAGUAAUCCACCAAAGCCAAUAUGUUGAAUUAUACUCUUCUUUUCAUCACUUAGCUCAUCAAGUAGAUGUCUAAGUUUUUUGCUGGAGCAUCGACUAUUUAUUUUGACUUCCUGUAAAAGUAAAUAAAUGAUAAUAUAAAAUUAAAAUUAAAACAGUCAAAUUAAACAACAAUGUCAAACAUUAAUAUAGUCAAAAUAAAAUAAUACUAAUUAAAAUAAUGUUCAAACCUGGUUGUAUUGUAUUGUUUUUUUCCUUUUAUCCAUGUAUUAUACUCCACAUUGCACUAUGGAAUUUAUAUCAAAUAAUCAAUUGUCAUAAUUAAAUGUAUAAUGAAUCAAGUAAUGUUGUAAUAUAUUGUACUUCUAGUGCAAUUGUAUUGUAAAUGUAGGGCAUUUGUAUUGUACCCUUAUUUAUUUUGGUUUAACUACUAUUAGUGAUCCCAAAUACAGUUACAUACAUGCUACUAAAAACACACAGAGCCAUUGUAUUAGUGGAUAACAAAUUUAAGUUGUUUGAUGGUAAUCCAAUAUGUACACAUUGUUAAUGCUCAUCAUGGCUAACCUUUUAAAUCAUAUAUAAUUUAUACAAACUAGGUACAACAUAAAUGCAUUAUACUUACAAUACAAAUACACUAACGUUACAAUAUAUUACAAUAUAAUUUAAUAUAUUUAUGUUUAUUUUUUCAUAUGCUAUGUCCCUUGGCCAUCCAAUAUGGUGUUUGACAGCUCCCAAGAAUAUAUAUUAAAUUCGAAAGAAUUGAAAUGCUAAAAAAGAUAUGAUAUUUUGUUUGCAUUAAAAAAUAAUGUCUAAUAUACCCUAAGACAAUAUUGGAAACACAAUCCUAAAGAAAUAACCUUAGCCAUUCACACUACUUAAAAGGUCUAUUGUCAUAUGAAUAUGAGAAUUAAGGACUGUAAUAAUUCCCCCAAAUUAGAAUAAAACAAAAGAAAAGAAUAUGCAAAUAUUAUAAUUAAUUAAAGACCAAAUUUCUGAGUUAACUAGUAAUUGCAUAUUAUGCCCUUCCAUGGCACUAUUUUCCAUUAUCCUUUUCUGCAUGAGGAAAUCAGGAAGCUUUCUCAUUUCUUCCUCUAUAACCAUCAAUGUAUGUUAACUAGCUAGGUUGCUCAACCAUUGCACUAAAAUAGUUAUAUUGGUUGUCUUUUUUAACCUUGGUUUAAUAGUUUCGAUACCAUUCUCCACUAACCUAACUCUCACAUUCAAAACAUUGUUCUUUUUAACUAUUUCAUUUCGAUUGGCAUUCAGUGCCUUAGAGCUAUUGAUUGUGUUUAAAGUUUGGGCCUUAUAAUUUAGGUUUUUUUUCUUUUUAGGACUCCUCUUGUACAACUGUAAAAGGAAGUGCUCUUGUAGGAAGGACAAGGAAAAAACAAAACAUAGCAUUGAUGGUUAUAACAAGAAGGCACCUUGUUUGAAGAGGAAAAGAAAAACAAAUAUUUUGAUAUAUCAUAUACAGCAAAAGGUAUAAGCAAGAAGGAAAACAUGAAAAAAAAAAAAAAACCAAGAAUCAGUCUCUAGCAUGCAUCCCUAAAUAUUUUCACAUGCUCAUGGCUCCUUUAAACAUCUCUAAUAACUCAACAAGGAUUAUAAAAUUUUCAUCAGUCAUGAAUUGGAGAACUUAUAAUGGGAAUCAUUGGGGAAAAGGACCCAAAUAAAGAAGAAUGUAUGAAAAGAAGGUGAGGUGCAGCGAUAUGUUUAAGGGUUUUGCAUGCCCCAGCUAGUACUAAAAUCUCAUUAUGUAAACAAGCUCUCACACCAUAAAUCUUAAACAAGACCAGUAGUCAGAAAACCAAAAAAUAAAUCACAAGAUGCCUUAUUAUGCAUUUUUGUAGAUAAGACAGAAAUGAUGGAUCAGGAUUGUAAUGGUUUUCAUCAUGAGUUUGAUCUGCAUAAGAGCACACUGAUCAACAGCUUCAUGAUUCAAUUGCUCUAGGAAACGAACCAAUUCAAUAUUCCUCAUCAACCAAGACCAUUAUUUUUUAGUAUUUUUUUAAUGCAUUAAUGUUGUGAAUCCAAAUUAGCCAAACAAUAAGAAAAAACUGCAAUCUGAAAUGUAAAUCACAGGCAACACACAAGUUGCUAGAACAAAAUAAGACAAUUAAUGGAAUGAAAAUAUCAGUCUCAUUCCCAAAGCCCUAUUCCAUGAAGUAAACAUGGCUUUUAAGGUUUUUAAAAUGAAACCUUUAAGCCAUUAAAGACAGAGCAUUUUUCUCAAGGACAAGAGCUAGCCAUUAAAGCCAACUUUAUUUAUUGUUAAUUAUAUUUUUGAGAGUAUUGGAGUUUAAUAAAUCAAAUUCUUUAGUUGUAACUACAUUGCUUUUUCCUAUCUGGUGCAUGCCACUACCACAACAGGAGGUCCACUACCAAUUCCCACAUUACAAUCAACAAAAUCAAUUAUAUGUUCAAACUUGUUUUUGAUUUUUAAUAGAAUCAAAACAGCAGAAAAUACAUCUCAGUUGAUUCCAAGUUUAACUAGGGAUCCAGGAACAUAAGAAAGUAGCUCAGAAUAGCAUUUUCUAAGAAAUUUGACCACUGCCAUGAUUAAAUUUAUUAAGGAGUUCAAGGAUUCAAUAUUUUUUCUCAUAUAUUUUCCUCUAGCUUCUCGGCAUCAAGACAGAUUACAGUGGACCCGCAUUUUUCACGUGCGUUCCCACUCGAUCGGCGAGACUCGCUUUUUAUUUAUUUGUGAAAAUUUUGAUUUUUGGAAAAAAAAGUUAGAGUCGCCACUUAUUUUAUUUUAUUUUUAAAAGGGAAAAUAAAACAAGAAAUAAAACCCUAAAAAAAUGACUCCAUAAUUUUUGGAAAAGCGUGUCUUUGAAAAACCCGAGUCUAAGUCCGGGGAUCAGGUUACUUAUUAGGAAGGUACCUCUAGGAGGUAGCACCCCUCUAAGCCCUAUAAAGGUCUCUACUAACAAAGUUAAGGGAAGUAUGGCCAUUAAUCAGUUAAUUAUGGAUACCUAAGUAGGCUAGGUGAUUUCAAAUAUUGCAUGCCUAAAGAGAAAACAAACCAUAAGAGAGAGUCGAAGUGCGUACCUGAAUGGCUUCUCAAGCGCUAUCAUGAAACAUAAGAGAUUAGUUUGGAAAUAUGACACAACAUUUGUUUUAUCUAAGCAAAUCAAGCAUAUAUCAAAACACCCAAAAAUCACAUCAUGUAUGGAUAUAGUCAUCAAUAACACAUGUGUCCAUGGAAUUCUCAAAAAUAGGCGUGAAGGAGCGUACCUGGAUAGCAAGCUAAAACGCCACUAUGGGAAACAAGAUUGCUUAAUAAUAGGUGCAUAAUAAUCUCACGUAUCUCAAAGAGAAGGCACAAUUAAUCAAAUGUCAAACAAACACUAUUGAAGAGGAUAUCAUGAAUGUCGGGCCCCCACCAAAGCCCUAAUUAAUUUUGCAUGAGUUGGUUCUAUGAAUUCCAUUGUUUGGAAUCAUGAAGUUUGUUCAUGCUUGUUGAAAAUUGAGAAAAUCAUGAAAAUAGUUGAAAAUAAAAGAAAAUAGUGAAAAUGCAUGCCUAGAGGAGAGUGGCAGUAAGGAGUUUAUUUAAAUCUGGAUUUUAUGCCUAGGAAGGAUCUAAAUAUGGAUUUUUAAAAAUGGAAUUAUUCAGUUGGAAAUGGAUUUGAAAAAUCAAUUCAAAACUGUAAAUUUUCAAUCCAAGAAACAAAAAGAGGAAGAUGAAGAGGUGUGCACUAAGGUGGCCUUUGCUGGAGUAGGACUUGGGGGUCUGGCUGUGACUGCGUUGCUGGUGGUCGUGUGAAGAGACCUCUGUAUAUUGAUGGCAUGACUAGAAAAGAACUGACCGUAUUCAUUCCAGAGCCCAAACUCAUUGGGUUUGAGUGUAUAAUUUUAUCAGCAAAGACAUUCCAACCCAACUCUGGCUUCCUAGAAUCACAACUUGCAUUGCUAGUAGGAACUUGUGGUGAAGCAAUUGAAAUCUAGCUCCAGAUCUGAUUCCCUUGCUGCCACUCAUUCUCAAGUUUCAAGUCUUUGCUCAGAAGUCCAUCUGAUUUAUCAAUUUUCUCACAGUUCACUUCUGGAAUUUUAUGUAGCUUAGAUUCUGUGUCUUCUUGCUCAUCCUGAGCUUCAUUUCUUACCUCUUCGGUUAUCCUAACCAAUCAUCUAAAGCUUGCAUGCGGGAGCUCACUGAUUGAUGCUCACUUAGCCCACCUCCAUCAUUUUAAGAUGUGACUGUGGCAAUGGCAAUAGUUCUGAUCCGGGAUGCUGCUUUGCUCAAAGAGGGCUCUCAGCUCUGUCUAGUGUCAUUGAUGAUGGGCUAUCUCACCUCCAGUAUUAGGGAUUGGAGAGCCUCUUCAAAUAUCCCAGCAUCUAGGUGGCCCAUUAAUUUUCCAUAGCCAGCUAGAGGACUAUAAACCCGUAAAUGCCCAGCUUCAUCUUUCCACCUUGCUUUGAAUUCCCAUCAUCAGCCUCCAAGAGUGAAACAGGGGCCUUGUCCAGUAGAAAUGCCAUCAAUGAAGUCAACAAUUCUGUCUUCUUGGCAUUCUUAACGUGAGCAAUCUGUAGUAGAUUCUUCUCACAUCUUCCAAAACAUCUUUGCUGUCAUUCCCAAAUUCCGUUGGCAGUAAAGCAGAAUGAAUGCUAAGUGAACUCCCUUGAAGCCACAGUACCGUAUAAAGCAAUAGGUAAUCCUUUGGAAGACUGGACAAUCUUAGGUUGUGGCAAAAGCUUCAGUAGAGUUUCGAUCCCUAACUUUCAUGCAGAUAAUUGGUGAGCUUCUGAAUUUUCCAUUAUUCUGUGGACUAGAGCCAUCACACGAAAGAUGCAAAGUUGGAUGAACCACUCAUUACUGGCACCUGCUGUAGCCGAAAUUGUCGAACUGGCCAGACAGCAAUGGCCAUCAGACAACCCGGGCAACUUUUCCUACAACCUUUCUUGUCAUGAGCAGAAAUGUUCAGUGGCUCACAUCAAUUUUCAAUGGCUUUCAUGUCAGAAGAACUUGUGUUUUUAGGCUCUAUCUUGAACAAAAUAUCACAAACAACUCCCUAUGUCCAAAGUCACCGGAAACUGAAAUCUCGACGAGUAGUGCGCUUUGAACCUUUUGGCAUUUGUUUUAAUUUGCACUUUGGGUACGAGUUCUGCUGAACCACACAUAAAUGACACUUUGGACAAGCCUGCUGCUUGUAGUGGAAGGCGUGCUCUUCUCUCUUGAGUGGUAUACUUAUCAUCCAGCUCCCAUAGCCCAAAUGCAUGCAUGAGGGCCUUCACCUCAGGUACAGAUGAAUUUAUGGGAAUUUAAUACCAACACAUGGGACUUCACUGAUCUACAGCAGCUGACAACUUACCCUGCUGAUGCUAGAAUUGGCUUGGAAUUACUGAUUCAUCGAUACUAAUCUCUUUGCAAGUGGUGUCGAUAGGCAAUUCAAAAAAUUUCAAAAUUAGAUGGCUGGGGAACUUUCUUUGUUUGGACAUGAGUGCUAUGGACUGUUACAGUAGUCAGAACUUCUUGAUGACACACCCCAGCUUGUUCUUGAUUUUAGUCACGUGGAUGGCAUUACAUCCAGGAACUUCACCAGAAUUGGUCGAGCUUUCCUGAGAACAAAAAAGAAUCUGUGUUGUACCCAAUUUCAGUAACCAGUUUACCCCUUGCUCCCGUUUUCUUCCCAGCAGUCCAAGUCUCUUGAAAGUCUAUUUGCUGGCGUAUAGAUGCAGGCUGGUAGCUAAGAGACUAAAAAUGCCUCAUGUGAUGUCCAUUGUCCUGAAUGCAUGAGGGUGAAGAAACGAAACAUCUUUUAGUUCCUUUUCUCAUCAGUUUCUGUAAUCAACAAAUCAGCCAAAACAUUCUUAAUUCUCUCCUGAGCAUCACUUUCAGUUCUGCAAUAUGUCUUGCUCUCUUUUAUUGGUAGAAAUUCUGAAAUGGUCAGAGCCAUUCAAAGAGUCUGAUAUCUGUCAAAGUAUGUUGAGCUAACAGUCCUGGAAACAAGCCAAUUCCCUCCCCCUUCUCUUACUCUGCUUCUGCCACAAAUCAGUCGUAAACAAAGUCUGUUUGGUUUCAUAGAGUACUAAUAACCAGUGUGUCUAGGUGAUGCUGGAUGCUUUUUAUAGACCAGGGUAUCGUAUAGAGCAAUAGGCACCAUUCCGGAAAACUGGGCAAAAUUAGGCCCAAGUAAUAGCUUGAGUAGAAUUUCAGUCCCUGAUUUUUCCGCAAAUAAUCAACAAGUUUCAUGACAUUCUAAUAUUCUGUUAACUAGAGUAGUCACAUGAAAGAUGCAAAGUUGGACGAGCUGUUUAUUAUUGAUGUUUACUGCAACUGAACUUAUCAAAGCACUACAGCAAAGGCCAUCCUCUUUUCCCCCACUUCAAGCUGCAUAGCUAUCCUAUUUGCGAUAUCAAGUCCGAAUUCUUCACCAGUUUGCAUUCUCAUAAGAAGUGUUGACUAGUAUAGAACCUGCUCAGCUAUGGAAUCUUCUGGAGAAUGACCUAGGCUCUGCACAAGCCGAGAGAAUUUCAAUAACACAAGCAUAAUAUCACAAAGAGCGACAGAACUUCUGAUUCCCUAGCAUCAGGUACAUUCCUUGUGUAGUCACCAAGAACAAGAUCCAUCAUUAGAGAAACAAGUUGCUUCCCAAUUUGUGACUGAUCUUCAGCCUUGUUCAUAAAUAUCUCAAUGAGCUUGUGAGUCUCUCCCUUAACUAACGGCAAAAGCUUUAUGUAGGACGUUUUAGAGGCAAAGGGCCUUCCUUCAGCAAUGAUAUUUGAUAUAAGCUCACUGUACAUUCUGCAUACGUUAAGCAUGUCCAAAAAUAUCAGCGUAAUUUGUGAUAAGAAAUAUGUUCCAAGUGAAGUGACAACACUUGCAUUUGUUUGCAAUAUAUUAAGCAUAGUCUGGAUCACAUCUUGAUCCUUCAGGAAAUCAACACUUUGGCGUGCCUGUACAACAAUUUCAGCCCAUUUCUGAUUUGAGAGUUCCAUCAACUUCUGUAGACACUCAUCCUUCUUCUGGGGAUUAGAUUCUACUUGGAUCAUAUGACCAACAGAUCUAUAAAAAGUAUGGAUCUGGUAAGGCUCAAGAUCUGCAAUGGUUAAUGGAAGGCUUGAUAGUAAUUCGGAUACAAAUGGUUCAUUCUCACCAACCUUGAAGCUCCUCAUAUUUCCUUUUCAAAUCAUCACUUGGAUUUGAGCUUGCCUACACAUCAUCUUUCCAGGCAUCCAUAACCACAAAUCCAGCAUCAGAGUAUGGCUCUCCCACUGAACUUUUCUGACCCCAAUCAGUCAUAGGCAAAGAGUUCCCGGUGACUGACCUUGCCAACCAAUCAAUGCAGUCUGGAAUAAGAAUGCUCUGGCAACUCUAGGUCUUCUAAGAUCUCUUCUGUUCUCUGAAGCAUAGAAUCUUUCAGAAGGAAUGAUUCUCUCAAUGCAGUUGUUGUGUUGCGAAUGAAAGCUCAGAUUCCAGGGCUUCCACACGCCCACCCACCUCUGAAUGAGUCUUCUGUUUCAUUUCAACCUCAUGUAGUCUGACAUAUUUAGACUGUAACUCCUGUGAGCAUCUCUCUAAUUCAUUGGACAUCUCUGCAAGGGACUGCUUGAGAGUCUCUCGCUGCACAAUCAGACCUUUCCCUUUGGCAACAGCAAUACUAAGCUUCUCUUUAACAGAAGAUACCCGCUGCUCAGACUACUAAAGUUCAGUUACCUUCUCCUGCAAUUCAGAACGAGCAGCAACAAGUGCCUCCUCUGCCUUUCUCAAGCUUUCCUUGAGAACAAGGAUUUUAUUUUUCUGUUGAAGAUUCAAUAAAUUUAACUCAUUUACAUUAUCCUGCAAGUCACUCACUUCAAUCACCUUGGAUCCAAACUUUUCUUGAGAAAAAGCUCAUCUGCUCAUCAACUCCGGACUGAGUUUGUUGCUUACUGACUCAAGUUGUGAUCUCUCAAUUUCCUGAAGUCUCUUAAUGAAUUCUUUCUAUGGGGAAUCCUUAUUAAAGCUUUCUGCAGAUUCGUCAGUUAACUUACUUAACCCAAGCAUAAUCAUCAUUAUUCUCUCAACUCAACCAUAUGUAGGAUUUCCCUUCAAGCUCAUGUUUUUAAGAAUAACUUCUAUAGCAAGUUCCCAGCAAACUUCAGUUAUGACAUCAACACUGCAUCUUGACGUUCCAAUUUAGACAGUUUAAAGUCUCUCAUUCCAUUUAAAACUGUGCUUCUCAUUUUCCGAAGGCCAUAUCCGCGUGCCCAAAUGUUUGGAAUGCAUAAUUCUGGUUAGAAUGUCUCUACUGACAGCUGCAGAAUCUGAACCAAGCCAUUUCGAAAACCAGGUAUCUCUUGGUCCCCGAUUAAACCAUGUCUCUUUAUAUUAUACAGAAGUUUGAGCAAGUCUCAUAAAGCCUGAAUUUCUGCAUGUAGCCACUGCCGGUUUCGGGUUUAUCCAAGCGUGCUGCUUCAUUUCUGAUGCCAAAUUUCAGAUUCCUUCUACACGUUGACAGACCAAUAUGUUAUCCUUACCAAGAAGCUGAUAUUCGAUAGUAUGAGAUCGAUUUGAUGUCUCCACUGAACUCACUGUUCCUCAGCAGUCUUUAGUUUUGCUGCUCCCCAUAAGAAUCUCAAAAGUACUGUCCUUUGCCCCAGAUGGUACAGUUCGACCUUAGCGAGCAAGGCGACAAGCGUGAGUGAUUUAGCAAUGAUAGACCAAAGUUCAUCUCCAAUUGAGUCUCAUAUCGAAUCCUUGAAUGAUGUCACUGGAAGCACAACAAUCCUUGAGACAUUCUCAUCCUGUGGGCAACUGCUCUAAAAGUUGUGAAGAUAGGCUUCUGUGCUUUGAAAAAUGAAUUUCUAAAGUCCCAAUCCUAUGUGCAGCAGAAACUGUGAAACUAGAAGUAACAUGAUCACCAACAUCAAGAUCCUACGGGAUGAACUGCUGCAAUGAAGUAAUCUGGCUGACCUGCUCCCCAUUCUGACUCGCAUCGCCAUUCCCUUUAAAUUUUUGCCAUCAAGAGUAUCCAUUAAUACCAUUGAAUCCCACCCACGUAUGCAACCACUUGAACUCCUUUCAAUCCUCUACUGAAUUCAUCCAUAAAAGUCGUCUUAAAUAGCCACUGAAUUCUUUUAGAUUUUCCAUUGAAUUUUUUAACUACCCAGAUUUUCAUCCAAGCCACGAAGAUAAGAAACAUUUGCAAAAUGACCUGCAUAAAGAAGAGUGUACCAAGAAGAGAAGACGAAUCCGGCUUGAGUGGAAUUUCAGGUUUGGGCAUUUCUUUAAUGAAAUCAAGUAUCCUUUUGACACCAUCUCCUUGCAGGAGCUGAAUAUAACUCGAUACCUUUCUUGACCGCCCACAAUACGCAUAUCUCGAAAUCAUUGCAUUCCACACAACAGGUUCUUUGUGGGGCAUUUCAUCAAACAGCUUCCGAGCAAAAGCAAAAUCUCCCGUCUUGGCACAUGCACUGACCAUUGCAGUUUGAUACACCUCACCAAUUGAUGAAAACAUCCAAUGGCGAGCAGCCCAAACCACCCAAUCCUGCGUAUGUAUAAAUCAAGCCACUUUGACCAAGUGGGUCAUGCUCGAACCCGUAUUUCAGAACAGCACCAUGUACAGACGAAUUGAAACCUUCACGCGGACAAUACGAAGCUGGAUUCAUUGCUCGCCACUGGUCCCUGCCUCCAAUCAUCCUGCUCUGUUUUUUCUUCUCAAAUUCAACCCUUGAUUCACUCGGAGAUAGUAAGUAGAGGUCCUCAUGAUUCUGUGAUAAACGGGUGCAAAACUAAUCCACCAUACUUACUAUCAUUCCCAAAUUCGUCGGAAGACUCGGCACCAUUAAACUCAUCCCUUAUAUUGACUCUUCCGUCAUAUUCCAAUGUAACCCAAAUACAAGGGCAAGGCUCGAACACCAUGCGAGGAAAAGAAUAUAGAUAAAAGAUAAAAAAAAAUUGAAGUAAAACUUGGAGAAGGAAAUGGCAGAAGGUGUAGAUCAGUAAACAUGGAUAGCCCCCACUUCAGAUAUUAAUCCAUGGGCUAAAAACAGAGGGACAAAUGCAGAAUAUGAUUUAAAUGAAGAACAGAAUAUGAUCACAUUCAGUCAUGGAGUUAAAUGCUUCCGAAGACAUCAAUGACAUCCAAAACCAAAACAAGGUAAACAAGCAAGCAACCAAUCUCAACAAAACAAAUUGUGGCCCCUUUCGUCCACACAAAAUCAACAAUACCAUUAAAUAUUCACGUGGAAAAAAUCAAAUAUAGGUCAGAAUUCCAAAAGCAACGAGGUGCAUACCUGGACAGCCUUGGUUGCAAUUGCUCUUUUCGUUUCCUCUGUUCUUUUCCCCGACAAAUUUUCCUCCAAUGCCUGCUACCCCAAAAAGAAUCUCCUCCCUUAAUAAAUAAAUAAAAAAAAAAAAAAAGCUCAUCCUUUCUCCUUUCUUUUGUGCUUUUCCUCCAAACGAUCAUAGAAUCUCCUCCCUCAAUCAAAAAAGCUCCACCCCUUCUUUCUUUUUCUCUCUCACGUAUAUAUACGCCUUUCCCUAAAACCUAAAUCUCCCUAAAAAAAAGGUCCAAUCUCCAAUUCUCUCUCUUCUUUUCUCUUUAUCCUUUUUUUUUAAAACAAAAUCUUCCAAUUCAAAACAAUCUUCCCAACUUCAAAUUCUCCUCCAAAACCUUCCAAGGAGAGUCCCACUUUCCUUAAACUUCAAUGGUAAGUUUCCUUGCAAAAACAUGAAAUUUUAGAAGUUAAAUAAUUGCAUGAAUAGAUAAAUAAGUAAAUAAAUUAGAAAAUGGUAAAAAAUAAUAAAUAAAUAAAUAAGUUAAGGAAAAUAAUAUAAAGAGGAAAAUAAAAUAAAAUAAAAUAAAAAUAAACAAAUUAACAAAAAAAUGGGCCCUACGAGCCAUGCAAACGCACAAGUCAUAUAAGUCACGCUAAAAAAAAUCUUAAUAGACCCAGUAUACCUAAACGAGCCUAAGGUAAGACCAAAUGGGUCUAAGGUGGUGCCUAAAGGGUCAAGUGUAUCUAAAAGCUAUCCUAAGAAAACAAGAAAAGCCUAAGUCUAAAUUAGGGCUGCCAAGGGUCACAAUAAGGGAUCAAAUAAUCCCUCAACCAAAGUCUUCGAGGUGACUCAGAAAAAGAUAAGUCGUUCGAGUAGUAAUGGGCCACCAAGGAACUACCGUGGAGCACUGGAAGUGAAUUUAAAAGACAUGUGCUAAAGGGACAAAAUUGAGGGUCUACAAAUAUGCCCCUCUUCGGUAUGGAUCAAGAGUGUAGAGAAUGCGAGUAGAAACGCGAGUAAUGAGCGGAAUGAAGUGAACUAUACCGAAGAUCUAAAGAAGGACCAAAGAUUUUGUCUUAGCACAUGGCGAGAGUAAGGUCGCAACAUGAGUCUGCAACGACAAGGAUGGAACAACUCUACGCGAGGGGAAUGACAAUAAAGAGAGAAUAGUAUGUGACGAGUAGCACAAAGAUGGAAAGAGGUGAAAAUGAUGACGCAAAGUCAUGGAUGAGAUGAAUGAAUCUGGGUCAGGGACAAGAUGAACGACUCGGGAUCUAAAAUAGGAUAAAAGACUCUAGGUCAUGAGCUCAGGGCUCUAAUUGGAAAGAAAUAACUCUGGGUCGAGAUGGAAAACAACUCUAGGUCGAGAGCCCUAGGCUCUAACUAGGAAAGAAUGACUCUAGGUCAAAAUGGAAAAAUUACUCUGGGUUGAGAGCCCUAGGCUCUAGAUGGAAAAGAAAUGACUCUGGGCCGUAAUGGAAAAUGACUCUGGGUCGAAAUGGAAAGUGACUCUGGGUCGAGAGCUCCAAGCUCUAAAAUAGGAAAGAGUGACUCUGGGUCGAAAUGGAAAGUGACUCUGGGUCGAGAGCUCCGGGCUCUAAAUGGAAAGGAAUAACUCUGGGUUAAAAUGAAAAAUGACUCUGGGUCGAGAGCUCCAAGCUCUAAAAUAGGAAAGAAUGACUCUGGGUCGAAAUGGAAAGUGACUCUGGGUCGAGAGCUCCAAGCUCUAAAAUAGGAAAUAAUGACUUUGGGUCGAAAUGGAAAGUGACUCUGGGUCGAGAGCUCCGGGCUCUAAAUGGAAAGGAAUAACUCUGGGUUAAAAUGAAAAAUGACUCUGGGUAGAGAGCUCCAAGCUCUAAAAUAGGAAAGAAUGACUCUGGGUCGAAAUGGAAAGUGACUCUAGGUCGAGAGCUCCAAGCUCUAAAAUAGGAAAGAAUGACUCUGGGUCGAAAUGGAAAGUGACUCUGGGUCGAGAGCUCCAAGCUCUGAAAUAGGAAAGAAUGACUCUGGGUCGAAAUGGAAAGUGACUCUGGGUCGAGAGCUCCGGGCUCUAAAAUAGGAAACAAUGACUCUAGGUCGAAAUGGAAAGUGACUCUAGGUCGAGAGCUCCAAGCUCUAAAAUAGGAAAUAAUGACUCUGGGUCGAAAUGGAAAGUGACUCUGGGUCGAGAGCUCCGGGCUCUAAAUGGAAAGGAAUGACUCCGGGUCAUAAUGGAAAAUAACUCUAGGUCGAGAGCUCCGGGCUCGAAAUAGAAAGGAAUGACUCUGGGUCAAAAUGGAAAAUGACUCUGGGUCGAGAGUCGUAGGCUCUAAAUGGAAAGGAAAUGACUCUGGGCCGUAAUGGAAAAUGACUUUAGGUCGAGAGCUCCAGGCUCUAAAAUAGGAGAGAAUGACUCUGGGUCGAAAUGGAAAGUGACUCUGGGUCGAGAGCUCCAAGCUCUGAAAUAGGAAACAAUGACUCUGGGUCGAAAUGGAAAGUGACUCUAGGUCGAGAGCUCCGGGCUCUAAAAUAGGAAACAAUGACUCUGGGUCGAAAUGGAAAGUGACUCUGGGUCGAGAACUCCAGGCUCUAAAAUAGGAAAUAAUGACUCUGGGUCGAAAUGGAAAGUGACUCUGGGUCGAGAGCUCCGGGCUCUAAAUGGAAAGGAAUGACUCCGGGUCAUAAUGGAAAGAGCUCCGGGCUCGAAAUAGAAAGGAAUGACUCUGGGUCAAAAUGGAAAAUGACUCUAGGUCGAGAGCUCCGGGCUCUAAAUAGAUAGCCGAUCAGGAAACUUUCCGACUCAAGGUUCGGGCCGAGGCCACUCACAAGUGGCUAGAAUGAUGAAAAUGAAACAUCUCAGGGAUGUGAAUGAUGCAAAUGACUCCGGGUCGUGAGCUCAAGGCUCGGGGUGCUAUGAAUGACUCUGGGUCAAGAUGGAAAAUGACUCUGGGUCGAUGAAUAGCUCUAGGCUAUGAGCUCCGGGCUCUGUGACUGAUCGGCUAGAAGGAGAAUGCGAUACGCAAACUCCAGGUCAAACCACUCAUGGGCGACCAAGUGAUGAAAGCUCAGCUAAGAGCUGGAAAGACUCUGGGUCUAUAGGAAAUGAUAGCUCAGGGCUAGCGGGCUCAGGGCCUAAGGGAAAAAGGAUAGCUCAGGGCUAUAAGACUCAGGGUCUAGAAGGAAUGGAUAACUCAUGGUUACGAGGCUCAGGGCCUAAAAAAAGGAAAGAUAGCUCAAGGCUAGUGGGCUCAGGGCCUAAGGGAAGAAGAAUGCUCAAGGCUAUAAGACUCGGGGUCUAGAAGGAAUGAAUAACUCAGGGCUACGAGGCUCAGGGCCUAGAAGGGAAUAAUAGAGAAGACCAACUCGAAAGUGGACAUGAAAUAAAUUGGCUCAAAGCCACAUACUCAAAAUGUCAAGGGUCGGAUUACUGAAACCAAGAAGGGAAAUAUGCCCCAGUAUCCAGGGUGCUCACACUGCUGAAACAACCAGUAAAUCAAUCGUCCACUGAAAUCAAUAGGUCAAGAACCAAUACAUCAUGACAAACCUCUGAAAAGUCAAAACUGAAAGAGGCCUCUAUGUCUGAAAAACUGCUAUGUCAACGAACCUCAAAAGGCAAAUCUCAAAGUGUGUAUAUCAUGGCUCAUCUAAAAGUAAACCUCAAAGUGCGUAAAAUGAUGCUCAUCUAGAUAAUCCAAUCUGCAAGGUAACAAUGAAGAAAACAAAUCUGUCUCAUGAACAUCUGGCUAAAGGAUCCACCCACACUCCUCGGGUGAAACCUGAUGCGAUCCGUCUCUAUCUCAACAAAUCCAUGUAGGGAGGCCCUGAUACAAUCGAUCGUCGGAAGCUCUGGGCUAGUGUUCAAUCUAAAACCAAGCUGGCCACUGUCUCAAUCUCAAGGAUACUCAAAGAAAAUGGGGGAAAUAUGCCCCAGUAUAAGAUCUAACGUCCAAGUCAUAAGCUAAACAACCGACACCAAUCAUCCAACUUAAUACAAUUAGUCUUCAUUGAUUUAAAAAUUUGUUAAAUACCUCAUUUAUUUUAAAUUAAAAAGAAGAUGAGUGAAAAUAUUAAAUGAAAAGAAUAUGAAAGACAUAUAAUGAAAUUUCAAAUCAAUACGAAUUAGGUGUAUUUAACUAAAAUUUUAACCCAAAUGUGACUGUAGACCCCCUUUAGAGAGCAAGGGGGUUUAGUUUUUUUUUUUAAAAAAAGGAUUUUUUGAUGGCAUAAGGAGGGGGGGCCCCUUUUCUGCUGGAGGGAAGCCGGAUUGGACGUGCAAUCAUGGAUGGCCGGAUUGGUAGUUGAGGAGGCCAUGCUGCUGAUGGAGGAACAGGAAAGCAAGUAGAGACUUGCCAAGGAAGAUAGAAAAUAGAGGUUCUUUUGGUUGGAAAGGCAUCGGUGGGAAGGGGCAUAGCGGGCUGUGGGAGAAAGGAGAUUUUUUUUUUUUUUUUGAUAAGAAAAACAGAGUAACUCAGAGAGCCGGGUCGAUCUUGCUGGUGGGGAGGCAACUUGCAGGUUAGAACCCUAGACACUUCGUACUCCAUCACUUUCUCAUCAUUCUGGCUAUUAGAUGUUAAUCAUCGUUCAGUUAUUUCCGUUGAUUCCUGAAUAUUGAUUGUUAAGUGAUGUUUGAGGAGCUAAGUUUAACUCAUAUUUAAACUCCUCUUGACGUUUUGGUUCUAGUUUGAGUAUUAAUUUGUUAUUCUGGUGAAGGUAGGCAAGGUCCGUUAUUUAUUUUCGUUAAACUUAACCUUCUGUAUGCGUGCUCUAAACUUGAGUUUCUUCUAGUUUCGUUAGUCCCUCUCGCUUUGAACCCAUGGAUGUCACUUGAAAGAGAGGCAUGUACAGUCAUGCGUUUCAUAUCCUCAUGCCCGCAGCCCUACAUAUGAUUCCAUCCACCAUGUCUCACCUCUUUAAUCCAUGUGCAAGCCCAUCAUCUCUCAUGCACACCCCCACUCCUUCAUCCUCCACCUCACUCAUCCAUGAAUCCGCCACCACCUUUUCUCUCUCUACACCACGUUUCCAUUUUCUAACACCCACCUCAUCACCCAUGAUUCCUAUCCUUCUUCCCAUGCAAAUAUCUCACCACUAGUGAUCCUUGCUUUCAUCAUCAUGCAUGUAGCCACCUCCAUUGCAUACCCGACUUUCCCAUACCCGCGGACAUCUCUCACUCACCUUCUUUCCAUCCCUGUCAAACUCACAAAACCACCAUUCUUGGUGAAGAUGAACUCCCUGAAGCAUGGCGGUUUCUCCCUCAUGAGUCCCCUUUUGAAGCGGCCGCCGUGGAAGAGUGAAGAGAAAGGGGCUUGAAGGUUGUUGUCAAGGAGGUUGCUGGUGAAGAUGAUGAUGCCCAGCUGGAGGGGCGGGCUGUGAAGAAGAUGGAGUUUUGGGGCCUGCCCAUUGGUGAUGGAUUUUGGGGCUUGAGAAGAAGCCCAACCCAAGGCUUCUUUUAAUGAGUGGAUAUUGGGCUUCUUCUCCAAGGCUUCUUUUAAUGAAUGGAUAUUGGGUUUGAGAAGAAGCCCAGCCCAAGGCUUCUUUUAAUGAAUGGACUUGGGCUUGAUGGAAAGGGAGCCCAAGGCUUCUUUUAAUGAAUGGACGUGGGCUUGGGCUUAUGGACUUGGGUUUAUGAUAUUAUCAUUAUUAAUUAUUAUUAUUAUUAUUCUUAUUAACCAUUAUCACUAUUAUUAUUAUUAUUAUUAUUAUUAUUGUCAUUAUUAUUAUUAAUUCAAUUUUCUAAAUCUUAUUAUUGUUGUUAUUAUUAUUAUUAUUGCUAAUUCAACUUUCAAAAUAUUAUUAUUAUUAUUAUUAUUAUUAUUAUUAUUAUUAUUAUUAUUAUUAUUAUUUCAACUUUUAAAAAUAUUAUUAUUAUUAUUAUUAUUAUUAAUUCAACUUUUAAAAUAUUAUUCUUAUUGUUAUUAUUAAUUCAAUUUUCCAAAUCUUAUUAACCAUUAUUAUUAUUAUCAUUAUUAUUAUUAUUAUUAUUAUUAUUAUUAUUAUUGUCAUUAUUAUUAUUAAUUCAAUUUUCUAAAUCUUAUUAUUGUUAUUAUUCUUAUUAUCAUUAUUAAUUCAACUUUCAAAAUCUUAUUAUAAUUAAUUUAACUUUUAAAAUAUUAUUAUUAUUAUUUUUAUUAAUUCAACUUUUAAAAUAUUAUUCUUAUCAUUAUUAUUAAUUUGACUUCCAAAAUCUUGUUAUCACUAUUAUUAUUAUUAUUAUUUCAAAAUUUUAUUAUUAUCAUCAUCAUUAUUAUUAUUAUUAUUUCAAAAUCUUAUUAUUAUUAUUAUUAUUGUUAUUAUUAAUUCAACUUUUAAAAUAUUAUUAUUAUUAUUAUUAUUAAUUCAACUUUUAAAAUGUUAUUAUUAUUAUUGUUAUUAUUAAUUCAACUUUUAAAAUAUUCUUCUUAUUAUUAUUAUUAAUUCAACUUCGAAAAUCUUGUUAUCAUUAUUAUUAUUAUUAUUUCAAAAUUUUAUUAUUAUCAUUAUUAUUAUUAUUAUUAUUAUUAUUAUUAUUUCAAAAUCUUAUUAUUAUUAUUAUUAUUAUUAAUUCAACUUUUAAAAUAUUAUUAUUAUUAUUAUUAUUAUUAAUUCAACUUUCAAAAUCUAUAUUCUCGCAGUUUAAUUUCCUAAAGUUCAUUUCUCAUUUUCUUUGACAAAUUUCAUAUUAAUUACCGAAGCUCUAAUCUUUUAAAUUUAAUUCCCAAGACUCCAAUUUUCCAAUAAACUCCAAGAAUCCAAUUUUCACUCGAAUAGUUUUAAUUCCAUUUCGGUCCCUAAAUAAUCUUCUGAUCUUCUUGAUUUUACCUAAGUAAUAGUGAAUUCUUCAUAAUUCUAAAACACGAAAUUUGUGAGAUUAGCUCAUGAACAAUAAAUUGGGCUUUGUUGGGGGCCAGAUGUUUGAUCCCUUUUUGACUGUCAAUUGUCGUGCUUAAUGUGUUUUGCUUGAUCUUCAUUUUGCACUCCGAUAUGCAUGAGCUAUAUUUUGUAUUCAUUAAUUGUGCACUAAUCCCGUUUCUUGAUAGCGCAUUGUGGCUCGUGGCCGAGGUACGCAUCCACUCUCAUUCUAGUCAAUCUCUAUUGCGUGUUUUGAUUCUCAUAUAUGCAUGAUUGAUGUGAGUAUCCAUUGACUUUCUUAUUGAUUGCCACGUCAGCUUCAUUUUAUUAGUAGAGACCCGAUUUUAGGGACUUAAAGGGGUGCUAUGGUCUUUUACCGUACCUUCCCAAUAAGUAACCUGACCCCCGAGCCCGAUCCGGUUUCUCGUAGAUCACCUUUUCCAAAAUGAGGAGUCGCACUUAGGGUUUUCUUUCUUAUUUUGUUUACCCUUUUAAAAAUAAAACAAAAAUAAGUGGCGACUCCAAGUCAUUUUUUUAACCAAUUAAAUCAUUUUUCGAAAUCAAAAUCGAGCUCACCAUCGAAUGGGAAACGCAUGAACCGAAAUGCGGGGUCCAUAGUGACAUAUACUUACCUAAUUAUUAAAUAGGUAACAAUUCAUAUAACUCGCUUAAUAAUCAAAUAUUAGAUCGAGUUAGAUAUUAAUGGCGAACCGAAAAAUAUAAUUAAUCUUCCAUCUUAGCAUGUUUAGCAUUCAAUUGAUCUAUUUAUUUAAAAUCAAAUUUUAAAUGAGUCAAACACAUAUUAUAGCUAUGAUCAAGUUAAUCAACACAUUUAUUAAACAAAUCAAUUCCAAUCAAAUUCAUAUUAUAUAAGAUAACCCAAAAACAUGUUUAUCGAACAAGUUAUGCAUAUUCACACAAAAACAUAUGUAUUAAACAAAUUAUGCAUGCCAACACGAAUUAACCUAAAUACAAUUAUAUCCGAUCCGAACUUAUGAAAAUGUGUUAAAAUCAAAUUAUGUUAGUGAAUCGUAUCAAACUUUAUCACCUAUACUAGACUAGGUUCCUCGCUAGAUGCAGAAAUUAGAGUUGAAAGUAAUGAGAAAAAUAUUAGGACAAAACCGAAAAAGUAAUAGGAAAGAAGCAAGUUUCAGAGUGUGGAAUAACAAUUAUAUAUACAAUAGACCCGAGUCAAUUUCCAGAUAACCCUAUACACCAAGUCAAUUAUAUAUACAACAGACCCAAGUCAUUUUAAACAGCACUACUUCAGCUUUAUUUUUUUUGCAGGACGUGCAUUGUUCCCCCUUAUACACAGCUCCAACUUCAACUGUCCUGAAGAACCCAGGAAUGCGUUUGGAAUUAGAAGAAAUCCCAUUGAAAGAGAAGGAAGUUCAACAACUUCUCUAAUAUUCUCCGUGAAUGAUUGUAACAUGAUCGACCUGUCCCCUUUCCAUGCUGCAAGAUUGAAUGCAUGCCCUCUAGAUGAUCUAGGCCCAAUACGACAAACUGUGACUGCAUGCCCAAGCUGUUGAAUAGAGCUACUAACAAUGAAUAGGGCACCUUCUUUUGCUUCUAGAAUGCAGAACUUGUCCACUGCAUUAAAUUCCAAAUGAACAGGGAAGAAGCUGUUGUACUGGAAGCGUAUCACUGAAUUCAGAUGUUUACUUCUGAAGUGUUGAGCUAGCUGUUUGGAUGAUCCCCGGAAGUUGCAGUUGGAAUGAGGGCAUGAACAUGGUACGUAGUUGCAUGUCACCUCGUGGUCAUGUUUCUUACCGUAACUCACUGUUUCUUUGCAGCCAUAUGCUGUGUUUUGGCAUGAUACUUUGACUGAUUCAAGAACCUUUUCAAUAGCCCGGCAACGGUUAUAGCCAAUAGGCCAGGAGCAGGACGGGCAUCUGUUGCUGAGUUUGGUGCAGCAGGAAGAGCAUGCUAUAUGCCCAUUCUCACACUGAAUUGCCAAACAAGCAUACACAAAAAGGGAAGAAGAAGAGGAAAAAAAAACACACAUAUAUCAGACGUGUUACUAUGCAUUCAUGCUGGGAACAGGAACAGUUCUGAAAUUAAUUUGACAAACUAUCUGGUCUAGUAAUCUCUGUUGGGGGAAGCAAUGAAAACAUACUUUUGCUAGGCAAGAGAAACCAAUGGAAACAGACUUCUACAAUCAUUAUUAAAUCCUGUUCUUUCAAACUUCAAGCAGGAAUAUCAGAUACAAAGAAAUCCAUAGUAUACUUUACUCAAUAAAAAUUGAAAAAUAUUUCAAGAGAAAGCUGUGUCGAAAUUUGAUUGUCUCAUGUUGUCUGUGCUAACACGUUGACAUAGUUUCUAGCUCAAUGUGUACAAUCUAAUCCAUGCUUGCUAUCUAAAAAGACUUAAUAAUACAAAUUUCUGAUUUGCCUCCUCGAAUAAUUUAUAAACAAUCAGAAAAUGAGCACAUGACAACUUCCUCGCCACAAUGAAGAAAAGACCUCCCACCCAAGCCCCACUCCCCAAAACAAUAACAGAAACAGCAACAAGAAAUAAAGAAAGCCAGAAGAAAAACACUGGACAUUUAUGUCCAAUUUACCAAGGGGAGUACAAGAGCUUACAUCCAUUUGGUAAGGAAUUUUUAAACCAUAGAACAGUUUCCAACAUUUUUUUUUUUCAAUUUGCAAUUGGUGAACAGUUGAUUUAUAUUAAAAAAGAAAAAGAAAAAGAAAAAGAAAAGAACAAAAAGGGGGAAAAAAGACUGAGCAACCAGAUUUCUUUAAAUGAGUCAAAAGAUAAAUAAAUAAACACAACUGAUUAAUGAGCAUAGAUGCAUUUUCAAAAGCUAAAUACUAGUUGGAGAGAAUUAAAACUAACAUCAAUUAAAAUGAAAAUACAGCAGCAUAUUCAAAUUACUAAUAAGUAGGUAUUUGGAACUGACAACAGUGACUCAAAUUUACAUUACCUAGUUGCUGACCUCUUAUGAAACAAUAACACUGCUAAUUUUACUUCUUGAUAUUUGACCAUGUUAACACCAUGUGUGUCUGUCAGAUAGGCCACAGUAUUUAGGACUGUUCCUUCAAUGCUUCUACGGCAAUCUGAACAAUAGGAAUAAGAGGAACGCCCAACAACACUUAGUUUACAAUCAACUUUCUCCUUAUUUGAGCAGGAUCAGUCAUUCGGAGCUAGGCAAAUACACAUUUCAGAUUUUCCACCACUUCCUAAUAGUAGAAGUAACAUUAUAUGUCCUAGAAUUACUUGAGUUAAGAGUCAAGUCAAACUAAAUAUGGAUGGAUAUUCCUUGGGUAAACCAAGUCAACACAAAAUUGGAUUUCCAGAUAGAAAUUUAGAAGGUUUAAUAUUUAAGAUUUCUGAAACCAACUAGUUUGGAUGAUGUUGUAAACAUUGACCUUUUAGCUAACUCAAUGAAGGAGUGGUUCUGAUGUAAGCAAGCCUAACUUAAUCAAUUAUAAGGGCUCCACCAUUCAGUGAGACAUUAUCAGAGAUCAACCGAAGAUAUAUACGAAUCAUUAGAAACAAAUUCAAUGAUAAACUGAAGAGAAUAGGUGAAAACACGAGAAAUUCUCCUGGACUCUCUUUGUAAAUUGAAUAGUUGGUGCAGUAGCCCUAUUCCAACAAUUCUGUGGACAAUAAUAUUUUAGACUAAGGGAAUUUAUACACAUGGAUUUAGGACAACUGAUGGGAAGAGUGUGUUUAAGACACAUAUAAAUUCCUCUCUUUAUAAUAAUUUAAGAUACCAAGCCCACCCUCCUAUUAUGUCUCAUGAAUUUUGUCACAAAUGUAUCAUGCUUUUCAAUCCUAAAGCUAAUAUAAAAAUUAAAUCUAAAUUCAAAUUUUAACAUUUCAUAUAUAUAAAGAGAGAGAGAAAGAGAGAUACAUAGAUCCGCUUCAUCAAAAUGAAGCUCCUCACUAUCAGCGGGACUGGAAUGAGAGGCAGGCUGGUUUUAGAUCAGUGGCUAGCUUGAUCCUCAACCUCCAUGGGAGGCUGGAUUUCAGAGAUUUCAAGAGAGAGCCUAGCUUCUUCUUCAUUUGGAAUCAGGCUGGGGGAAAAGAAGUUGUCUCUGGAAGGGGAGUCGAGCAGAUCAUGUUCAAUAACCUUCUCAAGGAUUAUCUAGGGAUUUCCUCAUACAACAUCAACUUCAACUUGACCAACAAGCUUCAAAUUAGGCACAGUAGCUGAUAGUGUAGAAAGUGAGAUUCUAUAUUCUAUAGCCUAAGUGUCUACUUCUGAUGAGACAGAAGUAGGAGGUGUUGGAGUCUAAGGGUAUGAAAACAAAAGACUAGCCCAAAAGACACAAACAAAGAAUAAAAUGAAUUAAAAGAAAAACUUAUUGGCUGAGGCGUGACAAGUAUUGUUCUUGAAAUAGAUCCACCCUCCUCGAAGACGAACUCGAAGCACUAGGGUACCAGUGGUCUACCUCUAGGAUUCAACAGUCAGAUCUCUCUGUAAGCGAGAUGUGUACAACUCGGGUUUUGAAAAAAUUCCUCCAAAUAAAUGUAUGAAAAUACUCCCUGAAAAAUUCUCUGAAAAAUUGGUAUUGAUGUAUAGAGAGAGAGGUGACCUGCUUUUAUAGGCCACUAACACAGUCCCAAUGGGAAUCUACUUGUAAUUAGAAGAUGACACAAAGUGGAAAGUGAUUCUACUUAUAAAAGGAAUGAGACUCCACUAGCACAAUCCCAAUAGGAUUCUUCCCAAAAAUAUAACAUUAAUAGAAUAAAAUAAAAUAUAAUAAAAUAAAAAAUAAUUCUCAAUAGGACACUUCCCAAAAAUAUAAGACUCAUAGAAUAAAAUAAAAUAAAUUCCCAAAAAUAAAAAUAGAAAUUAUUUACACUCUUCCUACAGGAGGCGCGUCUUCCUUCAGUUGGCCUGUCAUCAAAGGAUGUUAGCAAAAGAAGUAGAGGCUCCAAGGCUUGGGUUGGUCAAGCAAACUGAUUCAUUUAAUUUUUGUAAGUGUAUUUGUGUAUUGGCAAUUCCGGGUCAAAAUUCCCAUUGUGUCUCAUAGCUCAUACUCUUCAAAUCCUUCCUUGGACACUUGCCUUUUCCAAAUUGUUUGUGUUUGAAGAUGGCUAGAGGAGUUGGUAAGUGCAUUUAAGGUAUCGGAUGACGGAAAACAUUGAUCAACCUUGUUUUAAACUCUUAUCAUUUUAUUAAAAAAUGGAGUGGUUGCAUAAGGAGUGUAAAAUAUAAUGUUUAAAUCAUUUGAAUCGAUUUUUGAUCAAUCAAACUUAAGGGUAACAGUUUCUGCUAUACCCAAUUCUUUUUAAUCUUCUCUGAUCAAUCAAACUUUGAUCACAUCUACAUUCCUUCAACUUUUUCUCAAGUCAUUCUCAACCGUUGGAUGGGUUUUAAAACCCUAAUACUUAAGCUUUCAGAAGAAGAGAGGCAGCUGUGAGAGUGAAAACCUAGUUCUGAGCUUCAAGUUUUUCUUACCAAAUUGGGGAGAGUUUGCCUUAAGAGAAAAUCACUUGUGUUUGAGUUGAAAAACAUUUUUGAGUGAGAAAUUUUUGUUUCAAAUGGGUUGAUUCAUGGUGUUAUUCAUCCUUGCUCUCAUAUUGCUCUCAUAUUCAACAUAUUUGGGGUAAAACCCAAGUUUCUUCUUGUGUGGACUCAAGAAGAGGCUGAGAUCAAAGCUUGGAGUGGAUUCCAAGUAUUUUCCAAAAGAAGAAAGGUGGUAUCUGAAGCUUAAAGGUUCUAGGCAAGUAAUUGGGGAGAGGAUAGAAGGCUUGGUCUAGGUAAAUCCUAGUACUCAACUAAUUUUUCUUCAUAGUGGAUCAUUUGAUUGCUUGAGGCCCUUGGUAUUUUUAUCUCUUCAGAGGUUUUCCACGUUAAAAAAUUGAUGUCAUUGUCUCUUUAUUCUAUCUCAUCUUUUGAUAAGUAUUUCAUUAGCUUAGGAUGUUUUUCAUUGAGUUAUGUUGAUUGUUUAAAUGGAGCAUAAGUUGAAAUUUGACUAUUGGAGCUUUGCAAGAACAAGAUAUAUUUCAUUUUUGUUGAUUGAUGUCAAGGGGCAUGUGAAAAUGAGUGUGUGGUGAUGCAAUGUCUUAUAUAUCAUGUUUGGGGAGUGCUGUUGCAUUUGCAUGUGACUUGCAUUGAAUAACUUGUUUGGGAGAGUGUUAUUGCAUCCAUUGUUGCUAGUGAUUUGCUUGUUUGUUCAUAGAAUUGAAAAAGAAGAUCAAUUCAUAGGAGAAAAACAAGGGAAUUGUAAGCAUUUGUAAGACACCUUCUCUAAUUGUUGCAAAAAGACCUAUUCACCCCACCUCUAGGUGUUAUCCAUAUGUGAGAUUCAUCUUCAAUUUUUAUAUUAAAUAAGGAUUUAAAAAAUACAAAAGAAGGAUGAGAAAUCCUCUCAAAAACAAAGAACUAAACAAUAGGAACCUCCAAAAAUACUAAGUAAAUGUAUACAGCCGGGGUGUAUCAUAAAGCAGGUGGAAAGUACACACAACUCUCCUUGCUAGCUCACACCAUUGGACCUACACAUGAUAAGUUAAUUUUUCACCUAGUCUUAUUACCCGCUUGUGUGAGUGCAUGUUAAAAAAUUGAGAAGCCGGUUGCCAUUGAUAUGGAGAGAGAAGACUGGCCUCCAGCUUGCAACUGAACCUAGAUCUACAAUUUCACCUCAUCUCUCCUCUAAAACUUUGUUUUGAUCUCGUUCCCUACCAUAGAUUGAUUGGCAGUCCAACUUUCUUUGAAUAAAAAAAUUUGACUAAUAGAUUCACCAUUUCCCUCUUCUUUAGUCACCAGUUCCCAAAAGGUUAUGGCAAUUUUCCAUUGGAGGAAAAAUUCACUAAAGUCCAAUCAAAUAACUGAUGCUAAUUUAUUUUUAUGAGUUCUGUUAGCUGCAAAUUGUAUCCAAUUUUAUCAACUAGCAAACCAACUUUUUCAAAAAUCAAUUUUCAAUUGCAUUUAUUAAUUAUUAUGAAUCAGAAUGUUAAGGAUCAUUCCAACUAUUAUAAAUGUAAAGUUCUUAGCUCACAACAGGUUGGAAAAGUUGCUUUUAGCACUCACAACACCUUUUUUUUUUUUCCUUCUUGAAUGGCAGAGAAAAACUCUAGAUGCAGUAUUCAUUGCAAUGGAUGUGUUCACUUACGAGGAAAGAAUAAUUAGCAACAGGUUAGAAAAGUUGCUUUUAGCACUCACAACACCUUUUUUUUCCUUCUUGAAUGGCAGAGAAAAACUUUAGAUGCAGUUUUCAUUGCAAUGCAUGUGCUCACAUACGAAGGAAGAAUAGGAGGCAGAAAUAUUUAAGCUUAAAAUUGAGAAUCCCUACAACAGUCUGAUUGGAAAUUCCUUCAAUGAUUAGUAAAUCGUUUGGCCUUCAAGACAGGUGUGGGAUGUAUAUCACCUGUAAAGUAAUGGUGAAUAGGUCACAAGCAGGAUUUUCCAGGAUUUCAAAGGGUGAAUGGAUCACAAACAGGAUUUUCCAGGAUCUCAAAGGGUCUCGAUGAGGCUCCUUUAUUUAUCAGCAUUCCUGUUCAUGAGUAUGAUAAAUACUUCAGGUGGAUUGGUAACCAGGGCAAUAGAAGUUUGCUUGGCUGAGGGGUUCUGGGUAUAGAGAAGACAGGAGAAAGAGUGUCUUACCCUUCCUAUAUGCUGAUGACACCAUCAUCUCUUGUGGGAAUAAUGUAGAGCAACUAAGAUGUCCCAGAUGCACCCUAUUAUGUUCUGAGGCAUAAUCAAUUUGGAAAUGAAUUUGAGAAAGAGAGAGUUUAUUCCCAUUAGGACAGCGGAUGAGAUUAGUAGCUGCAUUUGUUAAUAGGGCAGCAGUAGGAGAGAGGAGAUUGACCUUUGUCAAUAGCAUUUUUCUUCGCUUGCCAUCAUGUUUCAUGUCUCUUUAUCAUCCUAACUUCAGAGAAUAUAAAAAUUUACAAUCAUGAAAGUGUAAGAUGGGGCAUUUUAGUGCCCAUGAGGCAAGGUGUAAGCCCCAAGGCCUUGAGGCUUAAGUCUUUUGGAACUCUAAAAUUUAUCAUAAUUAUUAAGUGCAUAAACAUAAUUUAAAAUAACAAAAAAAAACAUAAAAUGAAAACAGAAACCAGCAGAAAAAGCUAAAUGAAAAAAAAAAAAAAAAAACACAAAAAACUAACAAAUAAUGUAAAAACUAACAGAUAAAUGAAAAUAGAAGUCACAGGACAAAACUAAAUGAAGAUAAAUAAAUCUGGGUAAAGAAGUAAAAUGAAAGUACUUUCAACAGGGUGAAAGUUGAAAGUGGAAGUUUAAGAUUGUGACAUUUGUGGAAGAUGGUGAAUUUGACAGAAGGGAAUGAUUUUCUUUUCCUCAAUUGACAGGUGAACAGUUCAAAUGGUGGGCAGGCUACUCUCUCUAGAAGUUGAUGGCUUUACCCUUAUUCUUUCUAUCAACUCCUUGAAAGGAAAAAACAGUUCAACCUUCAAGUAGAUGGAGCCAUUCCUGCACAAGAGCAAGUCCUUGGGGGACCCUGGUUGUAGAUGGGUGGAGAGUUUAUUUUCUUGUUUUCCCAUGUUUAUGUGCGACCUUUUUGGUGUCUCAAGAGAAUCUUUGCUUCCUUCAAAUAAUUAUCUUAACAGCAAUAGCUUCCUUGAUUAUGCUAUAUGGAUUCAGGUAACUAAAUUGUAUGCAGGUGUAUCAAACCUCUCCAAACCCUAAGGAUUUGGACACAAGGACAUAGCUGAAAUACAAAUGACCAAAAUUUCUUCAAUGCCCUGACAGAAAUGAGGCAUCCAUGAACAUAUCGUGUCCAAAAUGAGAAUAUAAUCAUUUUGAUAGAUGCUUAAAACUAAAAUAGAAAGAAAUCAAUAAAGUAUGGUACAAAACUCUUAGCAACCAGUGACAAGAUUUCUUUCUGUUCAAUUGGCACUCAUGCAAGCUCAGUCCAAAAUGGGAAUGUCUUUCAUGAGAUUAUAGAAGAGGGAGCCAAAAUUGGACUUAGAUUUGUCGUGUUUUCAUGUUGCCUUUCAAAAAUGUAAUAAUUAUUUUUCUCCAGAAAACACAUCAUCAACAGUAAGAAACCCAGAAUUUUGCAUGACUGCCCUCAAUUUCCUUAAACGCACACACCCACCCACCCAUUUCUGGGCUAUCUCAUAAACCAAAGGAGUCCAACCCGAAACUGACUCUACCCAUCUCUCCAAGGACAUUCAAAUCCUCCUGCCAACUGUCUACAAGUGCAAAAGCAAUAAAACAUCCCUACACUCAUCAGAAUUUCAAAAACCCACUCCAAUUCCCCAACUCUCUCAAACCAGGAGCUCCUACCUUCUACAAACAACACAAUUACGCCAUCAAUAGUAAACAAGAAAGAGAUUCAAAAAUUUCAUCAAAAACAGAAAACACACAAAAGGAGAAAUCGAGGGCACGGCAUGAAAAAUACUGACAAACCUGAAAUACGGGAACGCUCAAGGGUUCAAGGCAAAUGGAGCAAUCAAGCACUUCCGGGUCAGUCAGGAUCACAGAAACCGAAGCAUCUCUAUUAGCCUCGCUUCCCGAACUUGUUCCCUGACCUGGGUCUCGCACUGCCUCCACGAUUUCUUGUCCAUGUUCAUCAUCAACAAUUUCCACAUUCACGUCCGCGGAAUCAUCCGUAUCAUCAUCCGAUCCUUCAGAUGAGCAGGAGCCGUCAUGUUCUUCGUCAGAGGACAUCCCCGGUUGCCCUGCACCUCCAAUUCUAAAUCUGUAGGCUAUUCUCCGUUCUCUUGCGAGCACCACCUUCACUGGCAAAGCAUCGUCGCAUUCGUCUUCUGAAAAUCUUAACUUCGCCAUUUCUCUAUUGUGAGACCAUCAUAGAUAACACUCCGGGGCGAUUGAGAAUUGGAUCAGACACUUCUGGAUCAAAAAUUCAUCUUAUUCAUAAUUCUCAUUCAAUAUUUUUGAGAUUUGAGAUAUUUGAUUAUCACGCAACAACCACCGCUAUCAUUUGCGCGGUUUCCAGUCAUUUUUUAUUUUAUAAUUAUAUUCGGUGGGCGUUCCCAAAAAUUUAAUAUUUAUUAUUUAAACAAUAGAUUAAAUUGACUUUUAAGUUUGCGAUUAUUAUGCUUGUGGGUUUGAUAGGCCGCUAAUUAGUGCGAAGGGUUACACUUUGUAUAAUCAAGAAAGGAUAUUAUAAGGGACAAAAUUACCCUUUUAAAAUAGAGUUGGGACUCCGAGAAUAACUUAAAAUUUAUUACAAAUCAUCAAAUUUAUUAUAAAUUAUCAAAUUGAUAUAUUUUCCUUCAGUAAUUUUAAUUAAUAAUUAUUUUCGUUCAUUUUAACUCAUAUUUAUUUUUAUCAAUUUUAAAUAAUAAAUGUAUUUAUAAAAUAUUCAUAUUUAAAGUAUUAUAAAUAUAUAAAAUAAUUAUAAAAAAUGAGUCAUGUACUUGGAAUCAUUAUUUUUAAAUAUAUUCUCACUAUGAUGUCUAAAUGAAUAAAAUAUGUUUGAAAUUAAAAAUAAUUUAAUUAAAGGCAAUUGGGAAUCAAGUUAAUAUAUAUGGAAAUUUGAUUAAUUGAUAGUUAAGGUUCUAUUUUUAGUUCCCACUAAGCAAUAUAAUCCUAAAUACCAUUCUUGCAUAAGGUCUAUGCAUCCUAUCACUUUCCCAACUUAUCCUCUAAAGCAAGCAUUUUUUUUUCAUUAGACAAAUGGAUUUCAUAUUAAAUGCAUUAAACUAAAUGAGGGUGAAAGCUAGGUAUAUUCUCCUUCAAAAUUAAAUUUUUUUUUAGGACAUCUACCUUUUUAGGUUAUGUUUGAUUCCUAGAAAGUACUAAGAAAAAAAAAAUAUUAAGGAAAAUAAUUUUCUCAUGUUUAGUUGUCUUAUAGAAAAUAAUAAAGAAAAUAAUAUAUAAGUAAGAUUAACUAAAAUUUUAUAUAUUUUUUAAUUAUUUAAUAUUUAUAUUGGAAAGUGAAAAUAAGUAAAAUAAGUUUGAGGCAGUAUGUAAAAAUAAUUUAUUGAUUUUAAAUUCAUUUUUAUUUUCCCUCGUUUUUUCUUUUCUUCUAUUUUUUCUUUCUAUUUUCUUUCCCUCACAUUUUCCAAUAUAUUUUCUGGGAACCAAACAUAGCCUUAAGGAACUCAUUUAUGUUUUUUAUCAAUAUGUACAAAAUAAAAAAAGCUACCAUUUCAAAGACCAUGAAAUAAGAGAGUAAGAUAAUCAUCUAUAUCUCAAUGUCUUCUUUGUUUUCAUUAAUUAAGAUCCUUCAUCACAUCAUAAUGAGUGCAAUCAUCCUUGAAGACCACCCAUAAGCAUCUAGAAACAUGUUGAAUUGAUAAACCAAAAAGUGUGAAAAAAGUUCUUAUUGGAGAGGUGAGUUCAACUAAAUCUUGUAUAAACAUUGCAAAAAAUAAAUUUCAUUGAUAAAGGGACAAGUAAUUUCUACUAUAGAUUUUAGAUACCAACAAACUAUAAACACAUGCAAAAAAUAAUCAUAUGAAAAAAUGGUAAAAUUGUCUUCAAUUAAGAUAGAAAUUAAAUUAAAACACAAAUUAUAGUAAAACCACAUUUCAAAAUUGCUACCUUAGCCUUAGAAGUUAUAAUUCAGACUUGAGGUUGUUCUCGAGGUGGUGCAUGUUAUAAGUUUAUUUCAUAUUAUUGUUAAUUAUUAAUUAUAUGGUAUAUUAAUUAUAAAUAUUUUAUAAUGUUAAUUGAUAUUACAUUUUGAAAUUUUAUAAAAUCAUAUUUUGUAAGUUUAUUUCAUAGUAUUAUUAAUUAUAAAUUAUAUGAUUAUUAUUCAUAAAUAUUUCAUAACAUUAAUUGAAAUAUAGGUUGAUGUCAAAUAGAAUGAAUAGGUUGUAAGUAGUAUUUUUGAAAUGAAAAGUAAAGAUAUGAGGGCAUUUUUGGAAUAAAAGGAAAAAAUAUAUGAGACAUUUUUGGAAUGAAAAAUUUGACAAAUACGUCAUACUUUUAUUAAUAGUAGAGAUGUGUGGAAUAAAAAAAUAGUUUGUAAUUACAAUUAAUAUAAUUUUUAAUUUUAAUUGAUAUAGUAUACUUUCUUUUCCUAAAUGAAUUAACAUCUUAGCUCACUUAAGUUUACUCAAUUUUCAAGUUGUAUUGGUUUUGUUCUUAUACCUAUAAAAAUGAAUAAAUAUAUUUAAGUUGUAUUUGGCUUCCUAAAAGUACUCAGGAAAGGAAAAAAAAAUAAAAUUAAAAAAUAAUUAUUUUUUCAUAUUUGAUUUAAAGUAGAUCAAAAUAUCGGUAACUCUACCUUUGUAUAAUGUACAUGACACUAGUAUGAGGCUUAUCUAAUUGCAACAUAAUAAAUAUGAUUACAUCAAUACUAUCAUCAUAUCGCAAAAAGUGUUGACCCCUAUUACUUAUAAAAUACAACCCAAAUAUAAGAUGACUCACAUAUUACUAGCAUAAUGAUAAUUAUCCCACAUUAAUCACAUAAUAGUUGAAAUAAAAAAUAAUUCGAUAAUUAUUACAUAAUGGCUAAAGCCUUCAAGAUGGAUAUAAUGAAAAUCAUUUGAGGCAUAGCAUAAUUGAUACAUCCAUCUAUUAGCUUAAUAAUAGAUCCAUAGAAGGGAACUUAUAAAAAAAAGCCUCAACCUCAAAACAAGGUAUAAAAAACAAUUCAUUCUUUAUCUAUUAUUUUCUCACUUCACUCCAUAACUAACUUAAUCAUCAAAAAGGGAUUAAUUCAACAUAGUCAAACCCUUUUUAUUAUUCUAUCUCUUUGAUCCACUAAAGGAAGGGGACAUCUAAUUUGAGCCUAACUUAAAAGGGGCACAACAAGUUGGCAUCAUGGGAAAUAAACAUAAAAGCCAUCACUUAAUAAACUUAGUGAUGGUCAACACUCGAACUAAUAGUAGGUGGCCUUGUGACAAUCCCCCAUUAUUACGGAUCAAUAGUAAAUGGAGAAAAUAGAACAAAGGUUCCAAACAUAAAGGGAAGAUAUGAUGCACUAACUCAAGGAGUUGAAUAUGUGUAAUAAAGAACUCAACCAUGAAAACAUUCGACUGAGAGGAUAAAUGCAUGAGAUUAGUUGGCAUCUAAGCCUUCUCAGUCCAUAGUCAUCUCGUUAAAAGUAAGUUAGGGAAACAUGGCAUAAAAGGAGUCACUUGUUUGACUAAGAAUCCACUAACUCCAAAUGGGCAUGACAUAGUCCCACAUCGAAAGGGAAGGGAAGAGUGCCCACUAGGCUAUGGCUAACAAAUCUUGUAUGCUUGUUAUACCUUUUCAAGCCCUUCGCUUUGUAAGCAAUGCAUGGCAUCACCUCCACUUUGUUCAACAAGGCUACCAUCAAGGAAGAGGAACCUAAGGAAUUCGUAAUCAAUUUGUACUCCUUAAAUUUAAUAUGUUCAAUGGGAUUACCAACCCAUUGGAGCUUCUAUUAUAUGUUAAACAAAUGAUGAUUUUAACACAAAGAAAUGACUUGCUACUUUGAAGGUCUUCCCAUAAAGUUUUUAUGGAUUGACCUCAUGUGGUUCCCCCAAUCACCAUCUAACUCCAUCUUGAACUUUGAGUAGUUGUAAGCUACCUUUACCACUCAAUACAUCUACUUUGUAUGGUAAAAAAGAGGUUAGAAGCCCUAUUCCAAGUGCGGAAGACCACUAGAGAAUUGAUACAAGCAUAUAUACAACAUUUUAGUUGUAUGUAUGCUUGUAUAAAUUGAUACACACAUAACCAAAUGCGGAAGCUUAUUUAUGUGAAACCUUGCUUCUUUACCAAAAUGAGUUUCAAUAAAUUAAUUAACUCAAUUUAGAAAGACUAUUCAUAAAUCAUAUGAAACCUUGCAUUUUUACCAAAAUGCUCUUAUACAUACUUAUGAAUAAAAACCCCAUUUAUACCUUAAAUAAUGUGCCACUUAGGAAUAUGAGCUUGAACAAGGAUCAUUAGGACUUAUAGGAAAAUACUAGCUUUCUCUAAAUCUAAUUAUGAAGUUGACUCAAUAUUCCACUAAAGAGAGUCAAUUGCACUCUAGUGUUUUAUAUCAUUACAUCGAGAUAAGAAUUAAUUAAAUCUAAUUUUCCUUCAAUCUAUUACCUAUUAUCCAAUGCAUGCAGACUCCCUAUAAAACUAGUAUCAAUAAUCUAAUGAGGUAGAUGCCAUCAACCUUUCAGAAUUACUUUUACCAUCCCCAAGUCUCAGUUCCUCCUAUUAUUGUAAGAAACCCUAGAUUACUCUGUUCCCAAGCCUUAGAUCAUUAGAGUGCAUGCAAUUUAUUCCCAGGACUCUCUAGUUUAAGCACAAUAAAAACAUGGUAUUCAAAACCAAUAAGAGAACCUAAAUAUAAAGAUAUAUGAUUUGCAUGUUCCCAGAUCGAUUCUUGUUAGUGUAGAAAAUUUCAAAUCUGGAAAAGAUCUCAUAAACACAAUAAUCUUCCACCGAUCAUGCCUUCUUAAGUUUAGACACUGAGAUGGUGGAAAUCACUAAGGUAGAGGUUAGGGUUCUCUCUUUGGAUUGAAGGAAGAGAGUGACAAAAUUCUGAAACUUUAACUCAUAUAGGGAUAUUUACAAGUUUCCUAUUAGGCUUAAGUGACUUAAGUCUCCCUUGGACUUGAGUCACUUAAUCUAACUUAAAAAGGUUGUUAAUUGAUUAAUUAACCAAUUGAUUCAAAUUAAUUAAUUAGCCCAAUUCAGAGAUAUUGUUCACUAACACCGUGCAACCUUGCAUAUUUACCAAACGUCCUUAUGUACAUAAGCGAACUAAGAAUCAAUCUAACCUUCAUAAACCAUGUCAUCAAUGUAUAUGAGUUUAAGUGGGGACCACUAGGACAACAUUGGUUUCCUCAUUAUCCAAUUUUGAAACUAACUCAACAUCAUAUUAUAGAAAGUCAAUUGCGCUAUAGUACUGUAUAUAUUACAAUAAGACACUAAGUAUUUGAGUUCGUGACUUAUUAUCCAAUAUAUAUAAUCUCCCAUAACAAUGUUUAUAAUAUAACAAUGUGAAAGUUAUCAACAUUUCAACAUUACCUCUACCAUCCUAAAGUUAUGAACCUUUUAUUAUGUAAUUAAAUGACAUAUUCUAACAUGCCAACAUCAUAUGACAAAUUUCAUUAAAGGAAUUAGUGUGAUGCUAUAAAUUUUAUGAUUACACAUCCUUAAGAUUAUUGAAGGGGACACACCAUCUCAAUGUUCAUAAGAUAUUAUAGUGUUUCUAUUGAGAAUAUCUAUUGUUAUCAACUUUCAUUAAAAGUGACUCAAUCCAUAGGAAAUAUAUCUCCUAGGUCAAAAGCCACUAAAAACUGAGACACAAGAACUGUUAUUAACUUAUUUUUUAUGUUUUAAAUUAUAUUUUAAAAAUAACUUUUAUAUAUAUAUAUAUAUAUAUGUAUGUAUUUUUAAUCAUUUUUUAUAUUAGUAUAACUAUUUUCAAAAUGGUUAUAAAAAAAUAAGUGAAAACAACAUAUGUUUUUUUUGAAAACAUCCUACUUUCUAUUUUUAAAAAUAAAAGAUUAUUUUCUAUUUUUUGGUUAUUAAGCGUAUUUUUUAUUUUUUAUUAUUUUGUUAUUGUGAAUAAAAAACUAUUUAAAAAAAUUGUUAAAUAAAACCUUAUUUUCUGUUAAAAAAAUUGUCCAACAUGUUUUUGAAUAUACAAAACAAUUUUUUUAUUUUUAAAAACAUAAAAUAGUUUUCAAAAACAAUUUUGACCAUGCUUUAAUUUUUCGAAGUAAAAGAGAUUCAUGAAUAAUGCGUUGGAAAACAUAUUUUUGAAAUGGGUUCUUAACAAUAUAUUUUUUUUUUAUUAUAUUUAUCGUUUUUAAAUUUUACUUCACUUCUCCGAUUUACUAUAUUAAGUCUACUGGCGAUAUAGGUUUAUCGGCCCAAGAACGACACCGUUUUAACCCAACCAAUUACAGUCUUGUUUUCCAUUGCUUUCCCGCAGUUUCUGAGGAAAAAGGAGAAGGAAAAGAAAGAGAGAAGAACCAGAGAUGGAGAGGAGCUUAACUCUAACGUAUGCAGCGUCAGCCUCAAGACCACUAUGCUUCAAUCGCAGUCCUUCAUCAUCAUCGUUAUGGCUUCCAAGCACUAGCAGAAGCAGUAGAAAGGGAAGAGCCGUUUCAAUGGUUAAGGCAUCCUCUGCCUCGAGACCGACCCUCGCUUCGAAUUGGGAUCUCUCCAGUCUUCAGUCUGCUUCAGCCCCCACUUGGCUGCCCAGAUUCGAAGAUCUUGACACCACUAACAUGCUCCUACGCCAGCGAAUCGUGUUCUUGGGCUCUCAGGUUUGCCCCGCAGACUCUUUCUCUUUGAAAAUUGAGUUUUAAAAAGUGGAUUUUUGAGAUGGGUUUUGCGGACCCUUUUUUCCUUUGUCUUUGCAAUUCUUUUUCUGGGCUGAAAUGCCAAAAUAGAAUGAGAUUUGAGAUGGGUCUAUCUGGAACUUACAUUUAUUUAUUUAUUUAUUUAUUUUUCUGGCUUAAUAUUGAAUUCUUGAGGCGGGUUUUGCUGAUUUCUCAGUGAGAAAUUAAAGGAAGGGAGAAUGAAUUUGGGUUUCUUUCUAUGAAAUUUGAUUUUUCUGGAUUAAUAUUAUCUUUUGAGAUGGGGUUUUGUUUAUUUCCUAUGGGAAGUUUAAGGUAAGGUGACGCUUAAGAUGGUUUUUGCUUUUCCAUGCACCAGCUGGUUUUUCUAGCUUAAAGGUUGAACUUUUGAGAUGGGUUGUGCAGAUAAUUACUCUUUAGCAUUCUUUUGAGGAUUUUAGUAAUUGUUUGUGCUGAUUAAUCUUGUUUUAUAUAUGCUUUACAAUUUAAAGCUGGAACUUCUGAAGGCAGAUUUUCUGUGCUCCUUGUUUCUAUUAUCAAUUAAGUUUCGUAUGUAUUGAACCAUGAACAAAGCGGGUUUUCAAGUUUUGGUUUUUUUAUUGAUGAUGGUCAGGUGGAUGACAUGACUGCAGAUUUGGUCAUAAGUCAGCUCUUAUUUUUGGAUGCUGAAGACCAGGAAAAGGACAUCAAGUUAUUUAUCAAUUCACCUGGUGGCUCUGUUACUGCUGGUAUGUCUAAAGGGCCCAUUUAUUGAGCUUGAUGAUCAUUUUUUCUUCUUAUGUAUAACUCUAUAUGUUCAUGGUUAUCAGAGCUAAUAUUGAAAAGUGUUCUACAUGCGCACUUCAAAGCAUGUGAAGUACCUCUGAGACAUGACAUAACAAGAGUUUGGUGUAGGGUAUGCAUUCAACAUUCCUAUUGGUCAAAUAUGUAUUUGAUAGGUGUAGUAUUCAACUAAAAAGAGAAGAAUAAACUCUUAUUUCAUUGUAACAUAAGACUCACAUUGGACAUUCUAUCUUAACCAUACACUUCAAUUUGGACCAGGGGAUACUACAUAAAGAGAAAGCAAAUUAUUUAGUCAUAUCAUGUAUCCUAAAAUCUGGGGAUUAAAUGAAUUUGAGACUUAGACACACACUUGCACCCGACCCUUGUACCCAAGUCCAAGUAGAACAUACUAGAGUUGUUCAGUUGUUGAAUGAAAUAUGCUUGUGAACAGAUGGCUUUCAGCUUGUUCUCCAAUCAAAUAAUUGAAGCUUGAACUACACUCCCAGGAUUGUCUGGGAGUGUAGUGAACCCUUUGCAAAAAGCAGUAUGGAACUCCAGAAUGGGAUUAAUAAAUGCUAGGUAAUAUAAUAGAAAACAAUAAACAAUAUAUUAUCUUGUACAUGCAUCGACUAAUGAACUUGCAGCAGACCACAAACCUGAUUUUAAGGAUAGUAUCCUUCACUCACCAUUAUUAUGUCUUCAAUCCACAUGAAUUCACCAACUUUCUUGACCUAGGAGAACUUAGAUUCACUAAGUUGUAAUCAUCUGCUGCUGAUUAAGAUAUAAAACCACUUUCAAUAUCUUACCUAUCAAAAAAAAAAAAAUAAAAAUGAAAAGAGAAAAGAAAACCACUUUCAAUAUCUUCAUGACGAAUUAAUGUGCUCUAUCUUGUAGGCUUGCAUUUUCAUUUUGAUCAAGCAUUUCUUAGUCUCAUUUACUGCUAAGAGUGCCUCAAAACCGUUUUCUUGCACAAUUUCUGUUGAAGUUCUAGCAUUCCCUAUUACAGUAGCUCAAAAGUCUGCGCUUUCCAAGCUGAAUAAAAUGAUUAUCAAAGGCAUAGAGAGAUUAGAUUUAAGAAUGAAGGACUUGUUCCUCAAAUCAUUAUUUGCUUGGUAUAUGGUGUGGCAGGAGGAUGCAGAGAUUUCUUUGUUAAACUUCAUUAGAGGGUCUAGUCUAUGAGAUAGUCUUUUCUAUUUUUUAUAUUCCUUUUUCUUUUAUGUUUACCUUCUUUUCUGUCAAGUUACUUCAGUUUUCCCCCCAUUUAUUGGCUCUUUUAAUAACCUUCUCUCUUGUUGCCUAUGGAAAAACAGAUAUAGAAAGUAAAACCAAACAUCAGACAUAACCAAAUUUCCACUCAAAACUUCAACAAACAUAAUGGGGAAGAAAGUAAAACCAAGGAGAAAGAGAAGAAAAAAAUAGAAAAUCUUAAAGCUUUGUUAGGCUGUUGUAGAAAUCCCACUUUGAAAAGAAGAUAAUGGAAUCUCAAAAUUAGUAUGAAGAUAGAGAUAGAUAAAUCUUGGAUUCUCACUAAGGCCUUUGAGGAGUGUCAUUAAGGAGAUAACCGAGUCUCACUAUUAAAUAAUGCAAGGAUGCAAAGAUCAUGAUGAUUAAUUGUGCUCUUGUUUUGUGGCAAUUAACAUUAUUUGUAGGCUUUAGACAAUUCUAAAAACUUAGCAAGACAAUAAACUAGAAGUUUUACUAAUAAAUAACCUAUUGGGACUUUAAUUCUUUUUCUCACCUUCUCUUUGCGGAUGACACAAUAGUAUUUUGUGAGGCAAAGAAGGAAGACAUGACCUACUUGAGCUGGAUCUUAUGUUGGUUUGAAGCCGUUUCAGGGUUAAGGAUAAAUCUGGCUAAAAGUGAAAUUAUUCCAGUAGGGGAGGUGGAAGAGAUUCUUGAGAUGGCUGUGGCGCUGGGAUGCAAGGUAGGUCAGCUGCCAUCAACCCACCUGGGGCUGCCCUUGGGUGCGUCCAAUAAGGCCUCUUUCGUGUGGGAUGGGGUGGAAGAAAGAGUGAGGUGGAAACUGGCCCUUUGGAAACGGCAAUAUAUCUCCAAAGGCAGAAGAAUCACCCUCAUAAAGAGUACUUUGGCUAGUAUGCCUUUGUAUCAAUUGUCUCUCUUCCGUAUGCCUAAGAUAGUGGUAAGAAGGCUAGAAAAGUUGCAAAGAGACUUCUUGUGGGGGGGAGGAAGUAUGGAAAGAAAAGCCCACCUAGUCAAUUGGGAGAGGGUGUGUGCAGGUAAGAAGAAGGGGGGGCUUGGUUUGAGGAAGCUAGUCCCCUUGAACAAAGCUUUGCUUGGAAAAUGGGUGUGGAGAUUCGCUCGGGCCAAGAACGAGAUGUGGAAGCAAGUGCUUAUGGCGAAAUAUGGGCAAGAGGAAUUUGGGUGGAGGACUAAGAAGGCAAAUGGGGCGUUUGGAAGGAAAUUCUGAAGGAAUCUAAUUGGUGCUGGGAUAAUAUGACUUUUAAUGUAGGAAAAGGCACCAGAAUUAGGUGCUGGACUGAUCCUUGGUGUGGGGAUGUGGAGUUGUCCCUAAGGUUCCCUCAGCUCUUUGCCGUGGCUGCCCAAAGGAACGCCACAGUGGGAGAUAUGUGGGACCAGAAUUCUAGUCAAGGAGGCUGGAAUCUAAGGUUUAUUAGAGACUUCAACGAUUGGGAGUUGGACGUGGUAGGCGAAUUACUCCAAGUCUUAAGGAGCAAAGAAUCACCUUGGAGGAGGACUCGGUCUCUUGGAAGGGAGGAAAAAAUGGGAAGUUUGGUGUUAAGAAAGCGUAUAGCUUGCUGAUCAGCCCUAGUGUCUCCAUGUUUCCUAAAAAUGACAUUUGGGUGGAGAAUGUUCCAACUAAAUUAGCGUUCUUUGUGUGGGAAGCUGCUUGGGGGAAGGUUCUUACCUUUGAUAGGCUUCAAAAGAGAGGGUGGUAGCUUCCUAAUUGUUGUUAUUUAUGUGGUAGCAAAGAGGAAAAUGUAAAUCAUUUGCUCAUUCAUUGUACAGUGGCCAGAGUGCUGUGGGAGAUUGUCCUUGGUUUGUUUGGUGCCCAGUGGGUUUUUCCAGAAACUGUAAAGGAGGUGGUUCUUAGCUGGAAGGGCUUAUUUGUGGGUAAAAAGAGGAAAAAAAUUUGGAGAUCCAUUCCGUUAUUUAUUUUUUGGAUGGUUUGGAAGGAGAGGAAUAGAUUAGCAUUUAGGGGGGGGGAGUUAGCUAUUCAGAAAAUUAAGAAUUCUUUUGUUUGUAAUGUGUGGGGUUGGGCAAAAUUGUAUAGUGGAGCGGAGUCACGUUCCCUUGUAGGAUUCUUGGAGUGGUUAGCCUCCAUUUAAGGGCUGGUGGGUUUUUUGUCUCUUUUGUCUUUUGUUGAGAGGCCUUCGUCGCCUUGUAUACUCCUUUUAUUUAUUUAUUUAUUUUUUUGAUAGGAAACGACAAAGGCAUAUAUUAAUAUAAGGGAAAGUACAAGAGAAGGAUGAGGAAUCCUCCCCCCCAAGAAAACAGAACUACAAUGAAACAAGUACGAGAAAAUACAAAGUAGAUACAGACAACUACUAUGAGUUAGGCCAACCCAAUGGAGUUGCACGCCGCUAACCAAUCAAGGUGAAUCACAUUAAGGGGAAUCCCCUUAAAAACCUUAGAACAAGAAACCCAAAGAGAAGCAAGGAAAUGAAUCAUGUCCCAAAGGUUCUCUGAAUUCCUUGAUUUAUCCUCAAAAAUCCUUGCAUUUCUUUCCCGCCACACCAUCCAUAAUAUAGCAAUGCACGCAGCUUGCCAUAAUACAAUCCCUCUCUUAGAAGAUCCAAAACCAUUAAAAUUGAUAGAUAUCAUGUCAAAGACGCUCCUAGGAGGAACCCAAUCUAUCUUUGUUAACUGAAAUAAUCUGUGCCACAACCCCAUCGUCAUAGAGCAAUGAAGAAAAAGAUGAUCUACUGUUUCUCCCUGCUCCAUGCACAACAUGCAAAUGUCGGGACUAAGUGCUUUGUAUACUCCUUUUAUGCUAUGCGGUGUUUUUGCCUUUUGUUAAUAUAUGUGUUUACUUAUCCAAAAAAAAAAAAAACAUUCCUAAUAAUGAAAUUAAAAGAAAAUAGAAAGUCUUCAGAAAAUAGAACUUUUUAAAAAAUCUCACAUAAUCAACUAUUUCUAGUAUCAACUGCCAACAACCUAAUUGUGCAGAAGUGCCAAAGCUUCUUCCAUUUUGAAUAAACCUUAAGGGUCUCUCCUCAUCUCCCUCUUUCUCACAUGUGCACACUCCAUCUCUUCGAACCACUUCUAUGCAAUAUUAUAUUCUUAAUCAGAAGAUCUUAAAAAAACACACACACUCACACAUGAUCUCUACUCUGAUAUAAUUGGUAUGCUGUAGGACAGCCUGUCGUCUUACCACUAGGCCAUGCCCUUUUGGAUUUCUCUUCAACAUUAAUAAUAUUUAUCAAAUGUUUGUGAAAUGGAUUAGAUUGUUCCUGGUAUUUGGACAUGUGUGUAUGUAUGUUUGUGGUGUCUCAUGUUCAUCUCUCUCUAUGUGUGUGCAUCCCUCUCAGUAACAAAUGCACAGAAUGAGCAAUUUUGUUCAGGUGACACUGUCACCUUUUUUAAAUUGUAAUUGGGCAUUAAUAUUAUGUAAUGCUUUGAUCAGAAGUGGCUUUGUAAUAGAUAUUUUUUUAGCCUUUUUUUUUGUUUGCAAUCUAAAAUUAUUCAUUGUAGUCUUUUCCCUUAUUUAAUUUAGUACUCGGUUCUUCCUCCUAUUCUUUCUGAAAUGUAAGAUGCUUUAUACUCAUAAUUUGCUUAAUUUUUUAUUUGAUUUCUAAUUCUGUUUUCAUUUAAACAAGAUUUUCUGCUAAUUUCUUUGUAGCAUAUUUCUAGCAGAACAUCAUUUUAGUUUCGUUUCAUGUGCUUAGAGUCUAAUCUACUACUCACCGGUCCCAAAUUUGGAGGGAGGGUGGGAUUGGGUUUGACAGAGAGCUGAAACAUUUUGUGGACCUUGUGAUGAAGAAUCCUUUAGGUUUGUGAUUGAUAUGCCUUUAGAUAGAGCUGAGUUGCAGAAAAGUGUGCAUUUACACUUAUCCAAGUAGCUAGGGAUAAGGUUUUGUUGAGUUUAGUACAUUCAAAGAACUUUUUGGUUUGUUUUUGAUAUCAUUUUUCUUCUUGCACUUACUGCUGCAUGUAGGAUUGGGGAUAUAUGAUGCGAUGAAGUUGUGCAAAGCUGAUGUUUCUACUGUUUGCCUGGGGCUUGCUGCAUCUAUGGGUGCCUUUCUUCUUGCUUCUGGUUCAAAAGGAAAAAGGUUUUGCAUGCCAAAUUCAAGAGUGAUGAUCCAUCAACCUCUUGGAACGGCCGGGGGCAAGGUAUGCUUGGAUUCUUUUGUUUAUUUUCAUUGAUCAUGUUCAGAAAUAAGAAUUUUCUAUCCUUAGAUACAAGGCUCGCUGUACUUUUUCAUGAUCAUAUUAUUUGGAAUGAUGCUAGAUAUCGGUCUUAUACAUUAGAAUUUGAGUCAUGAUGCAGCACCUGCAUUGGCUUAGUAGCUGCAGGUCUAAUGGAUAAAUCAUAAUGAAUCCUGGAUGCAUUUUCUGUCUCCGCUUUAGAAAGUUGGAGAAGAAGAAUUAUGAGACUAGGAAUUGGAAAACAAAAGUACAUGGACUUGUUUCAUCACCAACCCUUCUUGAAACUGAGACCUAUGAGAUAUGGUACGGUUUCUUUAAUUCCAAGGGAAGUUACUGGAUAGCUUGAAGGAAAUUCAGUUAUAUGGAGAUGACUAUGGAAGACAAGGAUGAUUUUGGUUGUUUGGAGCUCAUUCAUGAAAGCUUAAAAGAAAUGGAGGCUUUGCAGCUAGAGAUGGUCUUAGCAGAACCUGAAUGUUUUCUCUCCUUUCUCUCAGCAUUUAAUGGCGAGUAUCCACUACAUGAUUGAAUUGCAUUAAAUCAAGCCUAAACAUGAGCCAUGAAUCAGCAGUAAUCCAACAAUGGUUCAUGGUCUUCACAGCUCCACAAAAUCCACUUAUUCUCUUAUCUGCUUCCUUUCGAAAUCGGCUAAUGUUAUUCUAGGUGUUGAUAACCCCUGUUUGUGAGCUAAAGUACAUGAACUGAUUAGCUAUUAGAAUAGUUGUAAUCUGGGCAGUGAUAGAUAUGAUGGAUGUGUAACUCUGAUUUUGAAUGGAUUCAUUGGUUGGGAGGAUUUCCUGGUCUUAGAGAAUUGUUAUUCAGGAAAAAAAUAUUAUCCUUGUCAGAUGGAGUCAGUUUCAUUGGUUGCUUGAUUUGUUUUUAGUUUGCCUCUUUUAUUUAUUUUUUUGCAUUCUUAUUGCUUCUAAUUUCAGAACUCAUGCACCAUUUUUUCUUUGUAUUUUCCUUGUCUUUCUAGUUUCUUUUUGUUUACAUCUUAAGAAAGGACUAUUAUAGAUUACACCAUAAUGAAACUUUCAUAGGAAGCAUUAGCAAAAGAACCUUUUUUUGUUGAAUAAUUUCUAUUUGUGUUUUCUGUGAUAAUAUAAAAGAUAUCAGUUAUCCCCACUUUUAGUUAUGAAGAUCCAUACAAAAAGCGUCAGUUGGGUAGAUUGCACCAGUACAUCCUACUCUUUUUCUUAUUCUAUCCUUGAUCUAUUUUUAUUAGAUCUGAACCAAAUGAUACUUGUAGGAGCACAGUUGUGAGGCACCAUAACAGAAUGAAUGUCAUACACUUGGUUUCAAAAGAUUCGGCACUAGGGCUGAAGGCGAGAUUGAAGGUGUGGAAUAAAGAAGUUUUUGGUAAUGCUGCUGUCCAAAAAGAGCUAGCAUUGAAGCAGGUGGGUUUUCGGGAUUCUAAAGAAAUGGAUUCUCCGCUACUAAUGGAGGAAGAGGCAGCCAGAAGGGCAGCAAAAGAAGAGUACUGUAAAUGGGCUCUUAUAGAGGAAAUCUCUUGGAGGCAAAAGUCUAGAUAGAUUUGGUUGGAGGAGGGGGAUAAGAGGACUAAAUUUUUUCCCAAAAUUGCAAAUGCCCAUAACUGGAGGAAUUUUUUUGGCUAAGAUUAAGGUGAAUGGGGAGUGGCUUUUAGAGGAUUUCAACAUUAAGCAAGGAGUGGCCCAGGCUUUUCAUAAUCUUUUGUUUGACAUGGGAGAAUGGUGAAAUUCCUUAAAUGACAUUUCUUUCACGACUUUGGAGUUUGGAUCAUCAUGAGGUGAUGAUGUAGGACAACCCUAGGAUGGUUGCCUACACUCAAGGGUAGGUGGGCUAGGGUUUUAUUUUUAAGGUGUAAGGAGAGGAACAAGGAAUAAAUUUUAUGGUAGAGAAAAUUAUAAGAUAAGAAAUAGAGAGAAAGAAGAAACAAUGAAGAAAAGAUGGAAAACCGUAGAGUCUCAUUAAGGCCUUAUACGAGUCUCACCUAGAAGAAAAUCAAUGGAGUCUCACCAUUAAGGGUUGCAACCUUACAAUGAAAGAAAGUAUAAUAUUAUUCAUCAAAUUCAUCCCUUUGAUUUACAUUGAUUAGCCUAUUUAUAGGCUUCUCUAAGAAAUCCAAAGUCUACUAGGACUCUAAUAACCUAUUAUGAUUCUAAUUCUAAUUAUAACAUCCAAAGUCUACUAGGACUCUAAUAACCUAUCAUGACUCAAAUUCUAAUUAUAUUAUAACUCACCUAGCUAAUCCUAAUUAGACUCCAAAAAAUACCAAUCCCAAUUCAAUUCUAAUUAAUAUUAAUCCUACUUAGGUCUUCACUUUCUUCCUUGAAUAAACUUUAAAAGGCUUUCCACCAUCAGGUGAUGGGCUUAGAGGGGUCCUUUUCAAAGGAGGAAGUGUUUAAAGCCUUGUCUGAACUAAAUGGGGACAAAGCUCUUGGUCCAGAUGGUUUUACUAUGACUUUUUGAUAAUUUAGUUGGGAUUUUGUGAAAGAUGAGGUGAUGGGGUUCUUUAGAGAUUUUUUUCGCUUGAGGCAAGUUUGAAAGAAGCUUAAUUGCCACCUUCUUGGCUUUAAUUCCAAAGAAAGGGGGUGUGAAGGACUUGAGAGAUUUCAAAUCAAUUAGUUUGGUAGGUGGUCUUUAUAAGCUCUUGGUAGAGGUGUUGACAAAUAGAUUAAAUAAAGUGAUGGGAAAAGUGGUGUCUAAGUUUUAGAAUGCUUUUGUAAAGGAAAGACAAAUUUUAGAUGUGACCCUUAUAGCAAAUGAAACAAUCAAUUCAUUAUUGGUGGACGGUUUUAGUGGUGUCAUUGGUAAGUUGGACAUUGGAAAAGCCUAUGAUAAUUUCAAUUAGGCUUUCUUGUUAGCGGUUAUGGAAAAAAUGGGUUUCGGCAAAAAAUAGAUUAGAUGGAUACACUGGUGUAUAUCCCUAGGAAAGUUUUCAGUGUUGGUCAAUGGGACACCUUUUGGUUUCUUUUAGAGUUUGAGGAGGUUGAGAUAAGGGGAUCCUCUUUCGCCUUUUUUGUUUGUUUUGACCAGGGGGGUGUUGAGUUACCUAUUAGAGAGAGUUGGGAGAGGGGAGGUCUCACAUCUUUUGUUUGUAGAUGAUACUUUGGUUUUGUGAUUCAUAAUAUCAAUUGGUUCACCUAAGUUGACUACACAUGGUUUAAAGCACUAUCAAGGCUUAAAAUUAAUCUAGAAAAAAGUGAAUUGAUUCCAAUUGGAGGGGUUACAAAUGUAGAUGUUUUGGCAAUGAAAUUGGGUUGCAAGGUGAGAAAAAUUCCUUCUUUUUACCCAAGAUUACCUCUGCGAGCCCCUUAUAGAUCUGAAGCAGGUUGGGAUGAAGUGGAUGAAAAGUUUCAUAGAAGACUAUCGAUGUAGAAAAGACUAUACAUCUCUUAAGGAGGGAGACUUACAUUGAUUAGAAGUACUUUGUUGAGUUUGUCAAUUUAUUUCAUGUCUUUGUUUGUAAUCCUAGAAAGGUUAGAAUGAGAUUAGAGAAGUUUUAAGGUUUGUUUUUUUUUUUUUUUUUUUGGGGAUGUGAGACUUCAGAGAAAAAGUCUCAUUUGGUUAGUUGGUCUAUUGUUUGUAUGGAUAAGAGAAAAGGGGGCUUGGGUAUUACAAGUCUCUCUCUAUUGAAUCAGGCCCUCCUUGUCAAAUGGAGCAAGAGAUACGUUUUUUAUGGGGGAUCUUUUCUAGAGCAGAUUAUAGAGGGGAAGUGUGGGAGGGAAGGAAUGGGUUGGCACCCUUGUGAAGUUAGAGUUGGUUAUGAGGGUUGGUGUUUGGAAGGAGUGAGGUCUUUUCUUUAGUAAAACCUCUUUUGAUGUGGAUAAUGGCAAAAAGGUUAAGUUUUGGACAGAUAGAUGGUGUGUGGAGUCGUCCUUGUGUAAUUCCUUUCUCUCUUUGUAUGCAUUCACUUUGUCAAAAGAAGUCUAGGUGGUGGAUAUGUGGAAAGACUUAGGAGGGAAAGGGACAUUGGAUCUGUGUUCACAAGGCAUUUUAAUUAUUGAGAGUUGGAAGUUGUUGAGACCUUUUUUUUUUCCAAUGUUGUGAGGAAAGAUGGUUAGAAGGGAAGAUAAUAACAAGGUGAUUUGCAGAAAAGCCAAAAAAGGAUUGUAUUCAGUCAAAUCUUUCUAUGCAACCUUGUAGGUGGGGAGGGCGGUCUUUUUUCCAAUGAACAUUAUCUAGAAUCCAUGGGUCCCGUCUAAGGUGAAAUUUUUUGCAUGGGAGGUGAGUUGGGGGAAAGUUUUGAUUUUAGACAAUCUCUAGAAGAGAGAGCGAUCACUAGUGAAUAAAUGUUAUUUGUGCAAAUUGGAGAGGGAAUCUAUUGAUCACAUUCUUCUUCACUGCUCUAAAGCAAGGAUUCUUUGGCUCCUAUUAAUCUUCUUAUUUAGUGUAAAUUGAGUGAUCUCUUCCUCAAUAAAAGAUACAUUUUUAAGUUGGCAUGGCAUCUUUGUAGGGAAGAAAAAGAAAAAAGGUGUGGAAAACCACCUCCCUUUGCAUUUUUUAGACAAUUUGGUGGGAGCGUAAUCAAAGAGCUUCUAAAGAUAAGGAACAAAAUGAUCAAAAUUUUUUUUGUUCCCAUAUAAUCUUUCUACUUGGGUUAGCAUGUACAUAAGUGAAAGCUCAAUGGCUUUGUUUGAUUUGCAAAGUGGGUUGGGUCUUCUUGAGUGUCUUGGGUGUUUUUUGUAUACUUUAGACGAGGCCUUCCUUUAGGUGCUACUUGUAUAUGUCCUGUGUACUUGGGUGUACUUUUUUCUGUUACUAAUUUAUAUUUAGCUAUCUUUACCUAUCCAAGAAAAAAAAAAGAAAAAUGAUUCAAGAAAAAAAAAAGAAAUAUGAUUAUGAUGAUGAUGAUGAUGAUGAUGGUGGUGAUGGUGAUGGUGAUGGUGCUGAUGGUGAUGGUGAUGGUGCUGGUGAUGGUGCUGGUGAUGGUGAUGGUGAUGGUGCUGGUGAUGGUGCUGAUGGUGGUGAUGGUGAUGGUAAUGGUCAUGGUCAUGGUCAUUAUUAUUAUUAUUAUUUGUGGGUGGUGUGAGGAAGCAUAAAAAGAUGUGCAAAAAAGAUGCAGAUGCAUAUCAAGUGCAACCUUCAAAAUUUGAAUAUAAAUCUACCAUUUUCAGUUUUUACAAUUGCAGGAAAGCUUUCAAUAUAAGUAGGGUAGUCAGGGAAGAUUUUUCUUAGGCAUUGACAUUAAGGGCUCAAAUUGAAUUACGAUUCUGAAGCACUAAAAUACAAUGUAUGCCAUUUGGUGGCCCUGCUAAGGGAGUUUUUUUUUUACCUUUAUUUUUUUUUCUUUUUGUGUUGAAAUGAUUACAUUAUCAAAAUUUAGUUUUUCUUUUAGAAAUUUUUUUGGAUAAGAAACAACAAUUUUAUUGCAUUGAAUUAUGAAGUACAAAGAAGAGUGAGAAAUCCUUUCAAUAAAUAUACAAUCCUCUAUACAAAGAAGGAUAAAAAAGGCGGAUAAGUGUAUGUUGGUUUAAAAGGUCAAAUCUAACUAUAACUCACAUAAUAUAGAAUCUUGUACAAAAGGAAUCAUGUCUUGCUCCAUGUUUUGCUAAUGCAUCUGUUGCAUUUUUGCUUAAGCGAUGAGUCCAGGAGAAGGAAUAUCAUAACUCAUCAAACUUUCAUCAUCAUCUUUCUUUCUAAGUCAACCAUGAUAUGACAAUAGCAUAAUCACCUUCUACUAGAAAAUUAGAGAAAUCUAAAGCUUUGGCCCAUACAAACCCUUCCCAAAGGGCUAGAAUUUCUAGCCUUAAUUUAUAAACCCUGGCCUACAGUUUUAGAGAAUGUUCUUAACACUCUGCCACAAUGAUCUCUAAUCAACCCUCCAAUCCCUAAUUGCCCUUGGUUGCCUGAAGAACAUCCACCAAAAUUCAGCUUAACAAAACCACUAUAGGUGGUAGCCAUUCAUUAGGUAUCUCCUUAGUUAAUUUGUGGUUCUGCAAAUGAAGUUCCAAUCUAGCAAAAGUUUCACUGUUGAAGUCCAUAGUGAAAAAGAGAAAUAAAACAGGUCCCAAAUUGCUCCUAGAGUCCUCUACCCAAUCCUCAAAAGUACUUGUGUUCCUUUCCCACCAAAUAAUCCAAAUCAAAGUGAGACUGACAAUAGGCUAAAGAGUCUUGUGUAUGAUCAUCCAAUAUUUUACCAUGUAGAUAGCUGGUGGGAGCACUAAUAUUUGGUGCUAAAGUUUUAUGCCUCUAUUCUUGAUGCCGUGAGUAGUGAGGAUCAAAUCAGAGAAAAUUCAAUGGAAUUUCCUUUGAGGAGCAGUAAUCUAAAAUCAUUCACUUGUCAAGUAGUGGAGUUUGGGAGUUUUUCUGUGCUUAUCACGGCUUUAUUAGGGAAGUAGCUUUGGAGAUUUUGGGCUGAGCAAGAUAAGUUGUGGAGGAUGAGUAUUUAGACUAAAUUUGGGAGGGAAACUGGCGUUGGGCCUCUACUUUAGUCUGACUAAAACGACUUCUUUUCCUGAAGGAAAAGCAAGCUGGGAAGGGAAAGUGGUUAAGGAGGGGGUGGGAGGGGUAUGGGGUUGGCUUGCGGAGAGCAACUAGGAAGAGGUGGAAGCUUGUUGAUGAAAUACAUGCAUUGUAGGGGUGGACAGUCAUGCAUUGAAGGAGAUUUUCUUAUGGUUUUGUUUGACAUUGCCUUGCACAAACAAGCUUGGGUGGUGGACAUUUGGGAGGCGCAUGGUGUUCUUAGUUAUUGGUCUCCUCCCUUUUGGAGAAGCUUUAAUGAUAGAGUUGGGAGUGGUAUAUAUUUUUCUUCAAUUUCUCCAGUCAGUUGUUUUGUGAGGAUGCAGCUAUAAUAUGGUUUGGAUGAUAAUGAUGAAUGGUGCUUUCUCUGUCAAAUCUUUCAAUAUAAACUUUUGUGUCUUAGGUGGUCAACAUCUUUUUUGGCUAGGGAGAAUUGGUCUCAUUUUGUGCCAUCUGAAGUGAUUUUUUUCACUUGGGAAGCUCCAAUGGAGAAAAAUCUUGCUAGUAAGUUUUAAAAACAAGUGCUCCUUUACCAUCUGAAGUGAAUUUUUUCACUGGGGAAGCUCCGUUGGAGAAAAAUCUUGCUAGUAAGUUUUGAAAUCCAGUGCUCCUUUACUAUCAAGUAUUGUCUCUAUAAGUAGGAUUAGGAAUUGGGUAUUCAUAUCCUAAUUCACUGUAGGUUAGCUAGAAGGUUGUGGAUGUGAUUUUCUUUAUUUGGUAUCUUCUGAGCACUUUCAAGGUCUUCAAGGGGCCUUUUGCUGUAGAAUUACUGAUGAGAUCUUUGUCUGGAGAAAGCAAAGAAGGUUAUGGAGGCUUGGUCCUUUGUGUAUGAUCUGGUCCACUUGGAAAGAUAGAAAUAGAACAAGCUUUGAGUGUGAUGAAAAUUCAGAAGGGUUGGUGAGAGCAUCUUUUUAAAUAUCUUGUUUUUUUGGUCUGCAAUUUCCAUGGAUUUGAAUGUUGAAUCCUUGUCAGACCUUAUUGACAGGUAGGAGUGAGGCUUUGUCUUUUUCCUCUCUUUGAAGUGCUCUGUAUACUUCCAGUGCACUUGUAUUGCACUGCCUUUUUGUUAGGAACCUUUUGUAAGUCUUAUUUUAUUUGCCUAUCCAUCAAAAUAUUAGAGAGGGGAAAAGCAAGCCCGGAUGGAAGGGCAUUGUAUCAAUUGCUUGUUGAAAAUCAAUCUGGAGAUUGAGAUAGAGCAACUGGCAAGCUGAGCAGUUGCAUGAAAAAACUGUAUAAAGUCUCAUGUUUUUGGUUUCCUGGGUUCAUGUAAGUUUGGGCUUUUGGGUUCAACUAAACCCCAAGUCAAGCCUAACCCAGAGGGUCUCUGGACACAGUUUGAUUGCCCUGUGUCUGGCACUUAAAACACUGAAUUCUUGCUGUUGAAUGUGGCACUGGAGUUGCUAAAUGUGGAGACUUUUGUCAAGAUUAUAAGGGUUUUGGAACAACUAAAUAUGGAUUAGGGUUAUUUAGUGGCUUUGGUCCAUGCAGUCUUGGAGUUAAGCUCUUCUACAAGUAUUGACCCAUAUAUUAAGCCAGAUUUCCAAACUAGAACUUUGUCUUCUUUGUCCUAAAGCAAUAUACCCCAAUCUUGCCCCUUUGACCUGUGAGCAUGUUUGCAGACUAGAAUUGAGGGCCAUUUGAAUUGUCCAACAUAUAUGCAGUAGAACUGCGUAUUAAACGGUUAUUACCAAGGAACCUGGUACCCAAGCAUGACUCCUAGUUCUUCCUGGGAUAUCAUAUUACACAAACAUUAAACUCAUUUUGGACAGAUAUCAACCCAGGAUGUUAAAUCUGGCACAAAUUCAACUGCUAUUAUCAUCAGUCAAGAUAAAUGCAACAUUUUCAAUCAAAUCUCAAUCGAGUACUUUUUUGCUGUUACUAUUUGAUCUUGAUUCUGAAUCAAAUUGGAUGUUAGUAUUCUAAGGCUUGGGUGUAACCAUGCAAAUGAAGCCUGCCUAUGGGAUAGGCUAGGUUGCAAUGCUGUGGUCUUUUUAAUUAGAUGUAAUCAGAUUGGAUAGGCUAGCGUGAGCAAUCUGAAGAUUAGUUCCCUGGAAAGUAAUUGUUUGAGGAAUUAGAGGAAUGAGAUUACUGGUGAAUAAACCCUAGUUCCUCUUAUCCAGUAGCCAUCCACUUUUCCAUGAAUUGCCUAAUAGUUGGUCACAACUGGCCAUGUGACCAUAAGAAAAUAAAUUAAGGUGAAAAACAAAUCUUGUUCAUACUGUCAGGUUUUUUGAACAGUGUAAAGUAUUUGAAAAAUUUGAAAAAUUGGUUUAAAUCAAAUGGUUAAUAGCCACCCCACCAGGCUGAUUUUUCGCUCGAUCUAGCAAAUGGGAUCAUGAAAUGUUAGUUCCUGAUUUCCUGUGAUGUUGACAUGCAAGUUGAAAUUGGUUACUAGGUGCACCAGACAGGGUACAAUUAGAGAAGAGCCAAGCUUUUUGGUUUUCCUUCUUCCAUGUAGUCACCUAGUUCCACAAGGGAAUUUAACCCAAGUGAAUAACUAUCUUCUAUGUCCUAAGUUUUCAUUCUCUAGUUUAAUCUUCUGUACAAUUUUUCAGAAAACAUUGUUGCACAUGAGAGGUGAACUUUGUUAGACCAUCAAGCUGGGAUAGCUGAUGAAACUGCCAUUUGGAAAGGUUGCAAAACUACAGCUGUGUUAACUAACUACUUGAUAUAAAGUGAUUUUACUUAAACAUUUAAAGCAGUGCCUUUGGAAUUUGGUUUCUUGUUGUGAGGUUGUAAAUGAUUGACCCUACGUCUUCAGGGUGACAAGAAAAAAAAAAAUGCAAAAGUAAAUGAACAAAAAUUUUUGCCUGAUAAUUUUAUGGAAAUGAUUUCCUUUAAAAUGAUGAGCUAUUUGAUGAAUUAUAUGAAGUUAGUUUAUUAAAUGAUUAUGCUAGAUCCCCUUUAAAUGGAAUUUGCAGCCGAGAGAUUUCCACUGCUGAAUAUGGAACUGUAGUAGAUAUUUUUCUUCAUUUUUUUUAAUCUUGUUAGGAAGUAUUUUGGCUUAUGUUUGUGUGAAGCAUUACAUGCUAAGAGCAUGUUUGGAAUGUUGGAAUAGAAAAUGGGAAUGAAAAACCAAUUCCAUUCUCAUUUAUUAAUGUGUUUGAAUUGUUCUUUAGAAUGAGAAUAGGAAUAAAAAAUUCAGUGUUAUGAAAACCAAAUCCCCCUCUCACUAGGAUUUUGAUUCUUCUCUUGUACAUGGGAUUAUGAUUCACUUCCAUGCCCAUCCUAUUUUUAUGUGUAUUCCUGCAUACCAAAUGCACCCUUAGUGUAUUAAUCAGUGUAGAAAGGAGGUUUAAUCCUCAUAUUUCUUGUAACCAGGUGGGACUCUGUUAUUUCUAACACAAGGUUUAUAUGUGAUUCCAGGCAACAGAGAUGGGGAUACGAAUCCGAGAAAUGAUGUACCACAAAAUUAAGCUGAAUAAGAUACUGUCAAGAAUCACAGGGAAACCUGAACAACAGGUUUUGGGCAUCAAAUAAUACUGUCUUCUAUUUCUCCUAGUGUCCUGUUUUGGUAGUUCAUUGUGAAAUUUCCCAUAUUUGUUUAGUUACUUUGUUGAUUAUUUGCAGAUAGAAGCAGAUACUGACCGUGAUAAUUUCAUGAAUGCUUGGGAGGCAAAAGAGUAUGGAUUGAUUGAUGCAGUUAUUGAUGAUGGAAAGCCAGGAUUAGUUGCACCCACCGCAGAUGCAGGACCUCCUCCAAAAACGCGGGUUUGGGGUCUGUGGAAAGUUGAAGGGAGUAGGAAAGCCAAAAAGAAUCUACCCUCAGAGCAUAAACUUUUGCAAAAUGGGCACCAAGGAGGUGAUGAUGAGAAAGGCACAGAACAAGAAAAGGAAGCAUCAUCACCAGUAUGAGGAUGAAGCCAGGAAUAUGGUUUGUUCACCUUGUAAUGUUUUACCGCUCACUGCAGUCAAGUUAGCUAAUUGUUUUGAGUGGCUUGAUCAAUGCAAAGCAUUUAGAGAAAUGGAACAAUUGUGAGGGAUCCUUCACACUUACUGAGUAGAAGUACUUAAGUCCCCUAUAACUUAAAAUUUUGCUUUUUACCCAAAAACAAAAUACACUAUUUGUAUUAGUGCAUGAAAAUUUUGUUGGCUCUAUGCUCUUGUAGUUUCAUUGUAACAACCACGGGGAUGCUGCGUGAGCUGCUUUUGAACUUGAUAAAUGGAGACCAGAAUCAGCCCUGAGGGCCAGGUUUUUUUCUCCUGUAAAAGGGGCGGGGCAAUUCUCAUCAACUUCUAGUUAAUGGGAUUAUGGGAGUGCUUAGGAUUGGACAUGCUCACCACCAUCUCCAUAGCUGGAAAAGAAACCAAGGAAAACAUAGACAUGAAAAUGACUGGGAACCAGAUUUGAUGAAAAGAGAAAUGCAUAAGUACUGUAGUUAAGGUUUUUAUUUUCAGGAAAUUUUCUUACCAUUAACCAGUUGACUUGGUUUUUGUUUCACUGAUUCAUUAGCCUACUUCCCCUUCGAAUGUAUAACCAAUACAGCAUCAGUAUUAGCGUUAUUUACAUGGCUGCAUUGGAUCGAAACAUCUACAAAUUAUAGACCAUUUCGGUAAGGUUCUCAAGGCCCUCUGUUAGCGAAGUCCUGGCUCCAUCAAUUCAGUUCCACUGCAGUGGAGUGUCUGAGAGCCAACUGGGCAAGGCAAAUCAACAUUGGACCAUCCGAUUACCUUCAAGUUUAAGAUCUGAUCCACCAAAAGAUGCUCAAGCUCAUUGAGCCUUACCCUGCUUCUAAGUCCAUUUUAGUAAAAGCUACAACGAUUCAUCACUCACGUCUGCUCAUUUACAGUUUACCUAAGUGAUGAAAUGAUGUCGCAAACUGCUCUGAAAAAUUUGUUCUACUUUUAUUAUUGAGAAUGCAGAAUACCCAGAAUAUGGUCCUUAAGGUCACCUGAGAAAGACGUGGUGACCAUGACAUGAAUUCCAGAGGGAGCCAACUAAUUCACAUGGAAAUUUGGGUUCCCUUCUGAUUAAUAAUUUUACAAACAAUUAGAUGUUACAUGAAAAGAAACAAAAGGGUGUUAAGAAAUGCAGCUCUUCAAAUCAAAUAUAAGCAAACCCAUAAAGUUGCUUGAUGUUGAUGCAUUAGCUUCAGCAAAGCAACACCAGAAUAUCACUUAAAAAUCAACCCCAUGCGACGGAAUCUCUCAAGCUUCUCCUUUUUCCUGCAAUAGCAUAUGCUCACCUGAUGCAGCAGGUGAUGAUGGACAACCAUAAUAUGUAAAAACCCAAAGUUGUUUGUCCAUUUUUGCACUGUUCAAACUUAAGCAGUCCACAUGGCUAAGUUUCAAUCCUUCAGAUGGAAUUGACAGAGUCAGCAUCGCUGGUUUCACUGUCACUGCUGCUGCUCCUCCUCCCACUCCCGCUUCCACUCCCACUCCCACUGCCACUGCCACUGCCACUGCCACUUCCACUCCCACUCCCACUACUUUCACUCCCACUGCUACCGCUUGAGCUAGAAGUCUUCUCCUCCCUGCCCUCUGCAUCCACCUGGGCUCUAAGGGCUUCUGCAGCAUUAGGACCCUUAUCUGCUUCAUCAUCACUGACAUCAACAUCAGCAAUCUCAUCAUCUAUGUCAUUUUGCUGCGGCAGGUUGAUAUCAAUGCCGGUGUGGAAUUCCCUUUCGGCGACAUUUUCUUUUUUAGCUGUUUGAAAAUUAUCAUUGUCAUCAUUAAUUAUAUCCAAGUGCUCCUCCAGUUCAUAAUUCUUAGAGUUUGGUGAUGUCACUGAUGGAUUUGGACGGGAAGGUGGGUAAUCGACAACCUUCCCAUUUUUAGCUUUUGUGCCUGGUCAGAGAGACAAAAAGGUUAUUACAUUGAACAGAAAAAGCAUGUAUACAUGUCAGUAUUCAUGAACAUAGCAAAUUAUUAAGAACUGAAUUCCAAAAUGAAAUCUGGAAAUAUUGAUUUAUUGUUCAUAGUUUCAUUUAAAUGCAGGAAAGUCUACAUAAGAAAACGGCAAAGUUGGUCAAACAACAUUCUUAUUUCUUCUUUUGUUCACCGGGGGAUGACAUGAUAAAAGAGUAUUGAUUCUUGUGAGGCAUUUUAUUACUGAAAAAAACUACAUGGUCAGAAGUGCACACACUCAUCUAAGUGCAGAUUACUCAUCAAGACACAGUUGAACACAAGAUAGCAAAAUUCAGACUCAGUCAAAUUUGAAUUAAAAUAGUAAUACGUUAAUUCAUUUCAAUAAUUUUUUCAUCUAAGUCGGAAAAUUUUGUAUAAGACUAGGUUAAAUUUGAAACCACUUAAAACAAUUAAGAGUGCAUGAAACAGAAGUGAAAUGUUUUCUUCCUCUUUGUGUUUUAUAAUUCCGUCAAAAAUCAGUAUCCUAAUCUUAAAUUGUUAAACUAAGAUGCGAGGGUUAUUCACCACGCUAAGCACAUGUGGGGAUGCACUCACUAAAUUGAUUCAUUCAACCCCAUGGGUUCAAAAGGAAUUACUAGUUACUCCUAGCCUAUACUUUUUUUUUUUGCCUAUGCUUGGCAUUUCCAUCUCUCACUGUGUAAUUAGGUGGAUCAGCUUCAUUCAGGUAAAUCCCUUCCCAAGCAGUUAGCCUAUGGAACUGUCAAAAAGCAAUUGGUUUAAAAUUCAAAAAAUGUCAGAGCAUGGUCACUUUCUCCAUUUUGUUUUGCUGAAUCAAGACAGUCCACUCUUUGUUUGAGCCUAACAGGGCUUAAGCCCAUAACAAUUUUAUUUUGUGUUUUCCAGGGGUUAAAGGGUAGUGUAUCAUUGUUCCAUCAGUGCCAGAAUAUUAAUCAAUAGGCACGCAUUUCUUUCCUUUCUAAAUCAAUUCCCAGCUUAAAAGACAAAAAGCUUACUGGUCAACCCGAGAAGCCAAAACUGUAGCUAUACAAUCACUAAUAAUAAUAAUAAAAAUAAUAAUAAUAAUAAUAAUAACAACAACAACAAUAGCAUCUACAAUAAUAAAGUUAAAAGCAACAUACCUAAGCUCUCUGAGUUGCCAAUAUCAAUACGUUCAACCUCAACCUGUAGAAUUACAAUAAGAAAAAGUCCCAACUUAUCAAAGUGGGGUGGGUCAUUCUUCACAGAAACAGAACAUAAUACGAGGCAAAAACAAUAAAAUUGUUUCCUAUCUUUGUUUUUUUCUCAAAUCUCAAAUUACACAGUACUAGAACAAUCAAAACUAGCAAAAAAUUAUUAACAGAAAUAGGAGAUAAGAUGUAAUUCAUGCAAUAUAUGGACAGGAAUUAACAGAAUAGCCAGACAGAAUUGCAUUAAACACAGAAAAAAAAUCUGGUAAGAGCACAAACAAAAACAAUCUCCCAUUGUCAGGAAUAUGUAUUCAACCCUUGGAUGGUGGUGUUGCUCUUUAUCAGAAUAAAAUAGAUGUCCUGCAACCUUAAAUCCUGCAUGCAAGUAAAUAACCGGAAGAGCAAGGAAUCAAAUUCAUAACGCUCUCACAAGAAUCCAAAUUUGCCCACCCACUGUUGACAAAUGCAGAGUAGACAAGGUACAUGUUUCAAACAUGGGCCUAACAAGAGCAGCAGCCACAAGCAGGGGUACAACUUGAUUCUAGUUAGAUUUUUUACAUAAACCUAAACUAGAGAGGUCUACCAUAUAGGUUGGUUUUCCUUUCUACUAACUUAGUGUGUCUUUUGGAUUUCUAAAACCUAAAAAUAAGGUUAUUUCAUGUAAAGGACAUAGCAUGAUGAAUGGUAAUAAGAAUCUAGAAGGCUUUAGCAACGCUCUAAGGUUUUUACAUCUCUUUCUCUCUAUUUUCUCGUUCUUUCUUCACUUCUUUUUUCCUUAUUUUUUUUAUAUGCAUCUUUCCUUUUUACACCCUUCCUUUUUUAGGCUCCCAUAACCUUGGUUUCUCAUUUCCUUCCUUAAAUAUUACAAAAAGUAUAUCACUGGACCACCCUUAUUUGAUUGUUGAAAACUACCUUAGGGUUUUCCCAACAUAGUGAAAUGUGUACCAUCCCACCCCACAAACUGGUGCCACUCAACCCAACACUGAUGUUCUAAAUCUUCAGUCAAAUGAAUUCAAGUUUCUAUUUUGACUUGAAUAGGAGGGUUUGAGUUAGAGUUAGAUAGCAACAUGGGAAAUAUUUACAUAAAAUGAGAAGGCAGCAAAUUAAUCUAUUUGAAGCAAAGAUUAACAAAUGACUGGAAUGAACAAAAUGGAAUACUUCGUUCUAACCUACUCAACAAGAUGCAACAUGAGCAUCAAAGUUUAAUAAGGACACAAGGUGUUUUACAUGGCAUCCUCUGUAAAACCAAAAUGUGAGAUAACCAUACACUCAUGCAUGUUGAUAUUGGUCAUCGGGUAAUCAAUAUGGUAAAGGGAAGAAUGCCUAAAAAAAAUGAAGAGAAGGAUUGGAAGAAUCUGUCGACAACUUAAAGGAGAAAAAACUUAGGCAUGUAGAGACUUGUCACUAGAUGCCCAAUAUGGUAAAAAGAAGAUGAGAAGAAGCUGUUGGCAUGCUAAAGAAAAGGAAUAAACAACAUAGGAGAGUACUUGUUGCAUAUUUUUCAAGACUGUUAACGCCUAAAUUAUCCUUGAUCCACUUGACUCUAAUCUCAAGACUGGUAACACCAAAUUGAUCCUUGCACCAAAUGACACAGGAAGUUACAGCCCACUAAGGGGAGAACAGAGUGCAUCUCACAACCUCCAAUACAAACAAGAACAAUCAGAGAGAGAGAGAGAGAGAGAGAGAGAGUACAUGCUCUGUUUUCCUAUCAAAAUCAAAUUUAAAACCAUAAAUGGCAGAUAGUACAAAGUCAAGACCAAAAUUUAGCUCACAAGCAUAAAUAGAACACGACCACCAGCUCAAUAGAAAGAGAUAUUCUAGUACUUAAAUUUUGAUUUGUCACUUAUGUGAUUGAUCUCAGAAAUGUGACCAAAAUCACAUGCAAUAGGCAAUAAAUAAAUCACAAGAAAGAGACACAGGAGGGGGUGGGGAGAACUAUGAGCAUGUCUGAUAUGCCACUAUCUGGACUGGAGUCAAAAUCAAAUUUAAAACCACAAAUGGCAGGUAGUACUAGCUCACAACCAAAUUUUUUUGCUCAUGAUCCCAAAUGAAACAAGAGGACAACCAAAAUAGAAAGAUAUGUUUUAACAGUUGUUUUAAUUGUUGUUAACGGGUGAUUGAUCUCAGAAAUGAGACUAAAAUAUUAUAUGACAGGCAACAUAUAGAUCACAACAAAAAAAUUUGUACACAAUCUCAAAAGGACCAGCUGGCACACCGUUUUUCAGACUGCUUGUAUCGAUCACCAAUAUUCUUUUUAAGUUAUUCAAUUCUUUAACAAGAAAUAUGCUUCACAUGGACUAAAUAAAUUGAAAUGCACCUUUUUUUUAGUAAGUAAAAAUGAAGCAAGUUGAGAUAAAUUUGUUGUGAAUAUGCUGAUCUUAUCCAUAUUAUUGCAUCAAAAAAAUCUGCUCAUGGAUUUACAAUAUCAAUCUCUAAAAUACCCAAGUCACCUUUUUAUUAAGGGAAAAAAGGCAAACAGAAAUUUUAAAAAUUGAAGCCUGCACAAACCAGCCCAUCACCCCAACCAAUAAAUCUGACCACUCUACUUACUCUCACGAGAGGUAAUUAGAUAAUAACUUCAGGUAAGAAAGGAUAUGUAAGGUGAGGAGCAGAGAGCAUGCUGGGCGUCUCUAGUUCUUGCUUAAUAAAGAUAAAAAAGAAUAAAACACUAGUUAAAGGCCGUAUCCCAGUUAUCAGGAAAAGCCACCUCAUGAAUGAAGAAAUGUGCAUGCGAGCUUAUGCACUAGGUGCAAAGAAUUUAUUGUUUCAAAUAUGUGUGUGUGUAUAUAUAUAUAUAGGCAAUAAGAGGGAAUGCCUUGAUAAAGCCUUGGAACAAAUACAAAAAAGUACACCCAAUGUAUACAAUAAGCGCCAAAAGGCAAAAAAAAAAAGAAAAAAAAAAAGGGAAAUUAUAUUGAGCAUAGCCACUCAACAAAUCCUAUCAUGGACAAUGAUUGAUUCUCUACAUACAGAUUAAUCCGUUCUAAAUAUAUAUGAAAAGACCUUCUUUUCUCUUGUAAUCUAAGUCCUAAUCCUAUCCUAUAACUAAGUAGCAAGACUUAAAGUUUAAGUAGAUUAAAUAGUGUUUAGUAAAAUAAUUUAAUACCUCAAUUUAAAGUUUAAAAUAACUUUUUAAGUAUUAAGUAAAAAUAGUUAAUUUAUUCUAAAUCUCCAAUCUUUUUUGUCCCAUUUGCCUACAUCUAGUGAGAAUAUAUUUUACAACCAUGACUUUACAUCGAUGACUCAUUUUUUAUAGUAAAUAUUUUGUGAUUAUCUUAUAUAUCUACAAUAAUUUAAAUAUGAAUAUUUAACAGACAAAUUUCUUGCUUAGAUUAGUAAAAUUAAAUAUUAGUUAAAAUUAAUGAAGGUAAAUAUAGUUAAAGUUAAUAAAAGUAAGUACGUAAAUUUAAAGGCUUAAAAUAAAUUUUAAGUUGACUUUAUCAAACAACCUUAAUACUUAUAAUAAAAAUCAAGUAAUAAGUUUUAAGUCAACAACUUUAGAAUAAUUCAACUUAAAGUCAACUUAAGUUAUUAAGUAAUAAGUAUUCAAUUUUCCAGGCACCCUCUCAAAUCACUUUCAUUCUUCUACUCAUAGGUAUGCAAUGCAACACCACUAAGCCACAAAAAUGAUAAUGCAUAUUGAAACAAAGGGAAAUACAGAUCUCACAUUAUAAGUUAAGACCGUAAUCAAUGAAUGCAAUUGAGUCAAAACUCCAAAAAGGCAGCUAUAUUAAUAGUUCUAUAAAAGAACAAUUUGAAAACUUACACACCCUUGGACUUCCAUUCCUACUCUUCUUUCAUUUAUUUUAUUGGAAUGGACAUAGCAAAAUCAAAAUCAACCUAACUUAUUCAGAUAAAAAGCUUACUGGGACUGGAUGAGCAAUGCUUUUAUUAAAUGACUGAAGUUUUGCUCCUUUCCCAAUUGGUGGUGAAUAAGACUCAACCGGGGGGACAACUGAAGUAGUAGCAGCAGUAGUGGCAGCUGCAGCUGCAGAUUCACCAGGUAGCCGUACAUGCCUUAACCGCUUAACUGCUCGGUGCAAUCGCUCCAACCGAAAAGUCUCACCAUCAAAGAACAAAACUGCAUCAUUUUCCUUAUAAUCCUCACUACUGCCCUCGAAUGUCACUUUGGGUUUCCCCGGUUGGUUGUUAUGAAAUUCUACCGUAACCCUAUUUUCUUUGUUCUUGUGUAGUGAUCCCGGUUGGUUCUUAUCAAUUGAAGCUGGUUUGAAUUCAUCUGAACAAGUUCAAAUAUAUAAUUAUCAUUCCAUACAGCUGAGAAACCAGAGGGGAAAAAAAAAAACAAAACAAAAAAAGAACAAAAAUUGAAACCUUUCUAUUUUCCACUGUUUUAGGUUCCAAAAAAAAACAGAACUUACAAUGCAAGGAUCAUCAAUACAUGUAACAACUCAAAAAUCUUUUUAUUUCUCAAUUUUCUGGACAAUCAAACAGAGCAAAGAAAAAUGCUCGAAAAUGACUCAAAAUAUGGAUUCAUCCACCCCUCUCCGAGAACCAAACCAAUCCCAAAUCUCAGAUGUUAUGGUGCAUAAUCGCAUCUUUUUUUAGAAUCCAAACAACAUAAAAACAGAAAAUUAAUAGCUUCAUUUUUCUUUCCCUCUUUCCCGACAAUUUUCUAGGCUUCCAAACAGAGACAAAUGAUAAUCGGAAAACAGAGACGAAAAUAGAGAAAUACGAUGACUUACAUCGCAAAGUGCAGAACUUGGUAGAGGAAUGGGGGUCCUUAAAGGAGGAACCUAGGGUUAGAUCAUACCAGCGAUCGGACUCAGGAGCAGUGCUGGGUUCGUCUUUGUUGUUGAUGCUUUUGUUCGCCAUUUGAAAAGCAAGAUUGAAACCCUAGAAAUCUAGGGUUUUGAAGGAGGCGUGGAUGGACAACCGUUGUGAUUUGCAGAGGGAGCGAGGUCGGCUUCGUCUUUUCGGUUGGCACAUACUGACGCAUGUCAGCGAGUGUCCGUACUUUCAUUUUGGGCCCCACUCUCCGCUGUGGUUGACCGCUGCCAACUCAGCAUCAGAGGUUUAUGCUGGGCCCAACUAGCUUCUUCGGAGUUGCAACGAAUUUUUACAACGCAAAAUUAUUUUUUAACGCAACAAAGGAACUUUAGGGCCCCCUUUGAAAAUGUCACUUAAAAAUAAUUUUCAAAAUGUAAUUUUUGAAAACAAGUUUUAAAAAUAUUUUUUGGUAACUAUUUUUAAAACAAUUCUGAAAAAUAUGUUUUGUAAAGUAAAAAUCUGUUUAAGAAUUUGAAAUGUUUUUAAGUUUUUUUUUUAAAUAUUUUAAAAAUAAUUGUUAUAUUUAAAACUUUAUUUUUAGUUAUUAUACAUAUUUAUAUAAUUAUUCUUUAAAAUAAUUCUAAAAAAAUAAAUAAAAACAGUUAAAAACAACUAAAAGAUGUUUUUUAAAAACGCUUUAUUUUUUGUUUUUGAAAAUGUGAAGGAAUAAAAUAAUUUUCUAAUUGUUUAACGUGUUUUUUUAUUUUUUUUAUUCUAAAAAAUAAAAAACUAUUUUUAAAAAUAGUUAUCAAAUGGACCUAAUAUUUCAUGUAACAAUAGUUUGUUAUGCAAUUAAAAAAUAUUUUUAAUCUUUUUUUUUUUUGUAUUUUCAAAUAUUUGUUAUAAAUAACUUUUAUUUGUAAUUUAUUAUUUUGAAUCAUUCUCCAUGUUUAUAUAAUUAUAUUUUAAAAUAUGAUAAAAAAUAAUUAAAAACAAUUAAAAUAUGCUACUAAAAAACGCCAUAUUUUCAUAACAAUUCUCAAAAUCCUAUUUUGGAAACAAUUGAGGGCCAAAAAAAAAAAAAAAAAACUUUUCUUACCAACACUUCUCACAUUUUAAUAGGGAAACUAUUUUUUUAAACUCAAAAACAUGUGUGAUAAUUUUUUCAUCAAAAAUGGUUUUCGAGAACUUGUUUUAAAAUUGAGAACAUAUUUUAAUUGUUUUGAUUGUUUGACUUGUUUUAAAAAAUAAAAAAUAAAUUACAAGUAUAAAAAAAAUAUUAAAAAUAAAAUAUUACAUGUAAAAAUCAUUUCAAAAAAAUAUGUGGAACAUAGAAACAUGUUGAGAGUAUUUCAAGUUCUCAAACUGACUUUUCUUCUAAAAACCAUUAUAAAAUUGUUUUUAAAAAUUGUUCUUAAAAAAUAUUUUUUGGAAAACAUUUCCAAACAGGUCCAAGUCUCUUCACAAAUUCAUUUAUAGGUUCAUUAUAUUCAUGGGCAGUGAGCCGCCAUCGCACUUCUCUCCAUGCAGUCACAGCUCCCCCACACCCUAUCAUUUUUUACAUUUGGAGCCAUCAUUGCCAUUUAUCAUUCUUGCUUAUGCUUGUGGUGGUAUCGAAAGGGAUUUGAGGCUAAUAGUGAACCAAGAAUAUUGCUUAUGCUUAUGCUUUUGACCUAAAGAUAAGUGAGAUACCAAGUAAUGAUGGAGAUGCUUUUGGCCGAAGGAUAAUUCCUAAACUACACCAAAAGUAUCUCAACUUAGUUAGAGUUGAAGCCUUCUCAAUAUACACCAACAUACUCUUAGAGAUAUUUGACUUUUGGCCCUCAUACUCCCACAAUGCAUUUGCUACAACAUUGGCACACUCAAACAUUUCAAAUCAUUGAACUCAUUGGAGGCCUAAACUAAGAUAUGAAUGAAUCUUGGUUUCAUUGACCUCUUUGAUGCUUCGAUACUUAUUGUUUUUUUUUACUUAAUUUUAAAUAUAAAUUUUAUGUUUAAUAGUAUUAAGUAUUAAGUUGUGUAGAGUUUGCCAAUUAUCAAGUGACAAGUGGCAAGGCUGCUGACUAAGCUCAACUAGCAAACAAUAAAGCUUGCUGGAAAAUAACGAUUGGGAGUAUUGUUAGUCAGUUAGAGGUUUUUGACUGAUAUAAAAGGUGCAGUCUCGGGAAAACAGAACAGGGGCAUUCAGUUGUAUAGAACAAAGAGCAAGAAAAGAAGAGAGCUUUGCAAAUCCAUAACCAUAGGUCUGUUUCGGUUAUCUUGUAUAGAAAGAAAUAGAGGUGAGGAGGGUUCUUGGGGAAAAGUUGUAAUUUCUUUGUUUUUUAUUCUUGUGUAAUCUCUGGUUGGUACAGUUGAAUAAAGGCUUCAGGAAAUCAGUGUGGAUGUAGAUCAAGUUGAUCGAACCACGAUAAUUCUCUUGUGUUCUUGAUCUUGGUUGAUUGCGUACCAACUGUUUGAUUUUAUUCCUAAGAGACAGUCUUUGUAAAUUGGUCAUCUAUUUUUGGUUUAGUUUAUGCUCUAAUAGUCCCUAGUUCAUGGUUGGUUCCUCCUCAAUAAGUUGUUUGUUUUUUUAAUAUUUUUUUCUAUUAAACAUUAAAAAGUAAAAAAAAAAUAACAUAUUAUUUUUUUCUAUUUAGAAAAAGUUAAAUAUUUUGGUUUUUUGUAUUUAGAAAAAAGUUUAUAAUAAGUUAUGAAAAAAAAUAAAAAAACAAAUAACCUAAAGUCUAAAAGCAAAUUGUUUUCAGUGAAAAGCUUAAAAAACAAACGGCCUCUUAGUUGACAUGGCUAUCGGCUUAAAAAAAGAAGACUAGAAACUUUAAAAAUAGGAAAUUUAGAAUUUUAGAAGUUAGACUAGCAUAAUUGAAAUUAAAAGAACACCAAAAACUAGAGAAAUAAAUUGGAAUGUAUUAAUGCAAAUACAAAUUUAAAAACAUGGAAAAGAAACCAUGUACUAAAAGAUUAUGGCAAAACAAAACUAAGCUAUGCCUAAUUAGUGAGAAAUCGUUAUGAUUACUAACUACUCACCAUAAGCCCAAGGGUUCCCAAUAAUAGUUUUUGAUGAUCACAAAUAAAAGAAUGGUUAUUUAAUUAUGUACUUAAUUGAUUUAAGCCUUAAAAAUUAUCAAGCCAUUAAUUUUUUCAAAAUUGAUGAAAGGAUGCAAGAGCAUGCACCAUGGUUGAUUUCCUAAGCCUAAAGAUUAUUUCCACAAACUUGUAAUUGUAAGGUUGAGAUCUACUAAAAUAGGAUUGCAUAAAACAUAUUCUUUUCAAAAAUUCAAGUGGAAUAUUUUUCAAAAUGAAAAGUGGUGUAGAUUCAUUGUGCUUUAUAUUAAAAGGUUUUCAAAAUCACAUAAAGAGUUUCUCACAACUAGUUCCUAGGCUUAAAAACUUGCAAAGCAAUAUAAUUUUAAUGGUUGGAACUAGCCGAUUGAUUACCUAACUUACUAAUUAAGAGUAAAUUUGGGUUGAUGGUUGGUAACGUCUAAUAAUAAGGGGUCACAGAGGUUUGGCCUUAAUAGGUUAAAGAUUAGUCGGCCGGAUUUCAAUUAGUCAAAGUGUUGUACCCUUGGAUCAUAUGUGCAUGCUCUCUAAGAAUCUAGAGACUCUAGAUCUAAUUGCAACAUAACAAAAAUAAAAACUUUCAAAUCCAAUGCUUAAAAUUUACUUUUGAUUUAGAUAUUUUCAUAUCAAAAUGCAAAUGUGGAAGAUGAUCACAAUUACCAUGAUGAUCUUCUACCCAAUCGCUCAUUUUCUAGCUCUUAGCACUUUUGUAGAGUGACUACACAAUCUUCUUCAAAGAGACAGAAAGAAAGAUGAAAGCUCUUUAGAAGACAACAAUCAAGUUUGUUUAAGGAGGUUUAUAUAGACAUCAUUAUGGACUUAAGUGACUUUAGUUCAUCUUGGACUUAGGGUCAUUUAAUUGAUCCCAUUAGGUUCUAAUUCUAUUAGGUUCUAAUAAAUUAAUUAGUCAAAUCCAAAAAAAAUAAAAAAUAAUUAAUCAUAAAAUCUUGUGCAAACCUUACAUUUUUUUUUUACCAAAAUGUCUUUAUAUACAAAAAUGAUUAGUUUUCUAUAAAAUCUCAGAACUUUGGGCCAACAAAAAUUAUAAGAUUGGAGACCAUUAGGAUCCAUAAAAAAAAUAUUGACUUCUUUGAUAUUUAAUUUUGAAGUUGAUUUAAUACUGUACUAAAGAGAGUUAACUGUAUUCCAGUGUUCUAUGAAAUUACAUUGAGAUAUUUCAUCAUAAAAAAAAAGAAAUUAAAUUGAGAUAUAGAUGGAUUGAAUCCAAUUUAAUCAAUUUAAAUUCACUAUAUUAGACUUACCAUGAAUUUGUGUUAGUAAUCUAACAAGGUAGAUGUUAUUAACCUCUCAAUAUUAUGUUUAUAGUCCUUGAGUUUCAAAUCUUUUUAUUAUGUGAUCAAUUAAUAUAUUUGAGCUAACAAAGAUUAUGUGUUAAAUUUUAUUAAACGAGUUACUAUGACCAUUAUUUACGUGAUUAUAAUUCCUUAGGAUCAUUUAAGGGAACACAUUGUUUCAUUUCCAUACAAUAUUAUGGUAUCUAUCAUAAGAAUAUCUAUUACCAUCUGCCUUAAUCAAUAAUGACCUAAUAUAUAGAGAAAAAAAAAAUGUUUUAAGAGUUUCAACUUUCACGUUUCAAGCCAAACUUACAAUGGAUCAAAUUAUUUGUAGGAUGUACAUUUCAUAUGACAAGUCAUAAUUGAAAGUCUACUCAUUGCCUAUCAUUUUUUUUCUUUUCCCCCUUCUUUUAUAACACCUUCUCCAUGCCUUUUAACACAUGACCUUUUAAUACUUUUGUUUUUUAAAAUGUAUAAUAUAUUUUUUUUCUCAUGAAACCUCCUUAAUUUCAUUUUUUUUUUCCACUUUUUCAUAUUUUCAUAUUUAUUGAUUUUAAUCAUUUUCAAAAGUAUUAAACACAAAAAGCCAACAUAUAAGAAAUAAUUACUGAGAAAAUUAAACAUACAAUGAUUAGAAAAAAAAUGAAAAUACCAUCCCAUAAACAAUAGACUUGAUAAUUUCAAAUACUAAUUAUGGUAAAACAUAUAAACAUAAAUAUACAAGGAACAAAAAAUAAAAGUAUUAUCUAACGAAUAAUACACUUGAUAAUUUUAGAUAUUAAUUAUAGUAAUACAUUUGAUAAUUUAGAAUUUAGAUUUAAAAAUAAUGUUUUAUUAUUUAGAGGUUUAGAAUAUAGGAUGUUUUGUAUUAAUGCUAAAUACAAAAUUUAUUUAUUUUAUAAAUCUUAUUACAUGUAAAUAAAAUAAAAUAUAUUUUUUCAUAUUAUUUUAAUAUUUAUAUUAUUAUUUAUUUUUAAUAUAAAUAAUUAGUGAUGAUGGUUUUAACUUAUUAUUUAUGAUUCUAAUUUGACUGUGAUUUCAUUUUUUUUUUUAUUAAAAAUUUCAAUUUUUAAUUUAAAUAAAAUAAAAACAAAUUUAGUUACAUCCUCAAGAUACAUAUGUAUAUCUUGGUCCAAAAUAAGUACAUGAAUUUCAUAAUAAAAUUCCAUUUUUCAUUCCCAACACAUGGCUAACAACCCUCAUUUGAUGUCAAUCAUUCAUUUUUCGUUAUGUAAUCAAGUAUGUAUGUUGGUUAUCCCCAACUGAUGUCGGAAGGAAUAAGUUACAUCUUUCAUAACUUUUGGUGCAUCCUAAAUAAAAAUCGAUAUGUCAACACUUAAGAAAAAUAUGAUACAUUCUACUAAAAAAUAGAUACACUACAUGUUUGAAUAUUACUAACCUCAAAUAGUUGGGCAAGGAAAAAUGAAUAUUUUUCAUUAGUUAAUGAAAAAUGAAUCUUGUACAUAAUGCUCAUAGAAUGUACCUCUAUUUCACCAUAAUGAACAAUGUUUUUUUUUUAUUUUAUUUUUUAUUUUAUAAAAGAUGUAUUAAUUUGUAUUCAAGAUGUACAAGAAAUUAUGAAGGAUAUGCAUAAUCUCUUUCUAUGUUAGUUGAGGUUAGUAACCCCCAAAUAUGUGUAAUCAAGGAAGGAAAAAUAGAUGAUUGUCAUUGAUUAAUGACAAAUGAAUCUUGUACAUAACUUUCAUACAAUGUACCUUUUUUUAAAAGUAGAAUGUAGCUUAUUUUUCUUAAAAUUGUAUGUAUUUUUUAUUGAGGAUGUGCCACAAGUUAUGAUAGAUGUACCUAGCCCCCUUCAACAUCAAUUGACAUUAGUAAUCCUUAAACAUGCAAGAUUAAGUAAGGAAAUGUGAAUUAUUAUCAUCAAUUAAUGACAAAUGACUAUCAUAUAUAGCGUUUAUAUAAUGUACAUUUUUUUCAGUAGAAUGCACUGUAUAUUCUUCAGGAUGUACUUAUUUUUCUUUAGGAUAUACUAGAAUUUAUAAAGGAUGUACAUAAUUUUUUUCGACAUUAGUUGAGGUUGGUAAUCCUUAGACUUGCAUGAUUGGGCAAGGAAAAAUGGAUGAUUGUCACCGAUUACUAGCGGUUGACUCUUGUAUAUAGUGUUCCUAUAAUGUACCUCUUUUUUAGCAUAUUAUACCAAUUUUUAUAUAACAUAUACUAGAAUUUAUGAAGGAUAUGCCUAAUUCCUUCCUAUAUUAGUUGAGAGUUACUAUUCCAAAAUAUUACCCUUUGCACAUGCUUGACAACACAAUGAAAAAUGGAUGAUUAACAUUAAAUGAAGGUUGUUAACUCCAAAUAUGCAUGUGUUAAGAAGGAAAAAUAGAAUUUGAUUAUAAAAUUACUUUAUGAAAAAUAUUUUGGAAUAGAAUGUACCUAUUUAUCUUGAGGAUGUAUUUAAUUUUUUUUGUUUUAUUUAAAUAAAAAAAUAAAAAAAUUUAAAUAAACCAAUUACAACCAUGGUAAAGUUAAAACCAUGAGUAAAAACUAAAAUCACACUAUCACUAACUAUAUAUAUGAGAUAAGAUUUAUAAAAUAAAUAAUUUUUUUACAAAGCAUUAAUGUAAAAAAAUAAACCUUAUAUUUACCCCUUCAAAUAAUAAGACAAUUUUUAAAUCCAAAUCCUAAAUUAUCAAAUGUAUUAUUAUAACUAAUAAUUGAAAUUAUCAAGUAUAUUAUUUGUGGGAUAAUAUUUUUAUUUUUUAUCCAUUAUAUAUUUAUACUUGUUAUUAAUGUGUUCAAAUAAUUAUUAAUGACCUCAUAGUUACUUAUGAAGACUUUUACGUUUCCUUGUAAAGAAUUAAUUAUUAUAUUUAAUUUUAGUUUUUCCUAGCUCCUAUAAAUAAGAGACCCGGAUCAAUGAAAAUUAUACUCUCAAAGUUCUUUCAUAACUCUGCUUUCUACUUCUCCUUCUUUCUUUUAUAUUCUAAUACAUUAUUAACACGAUGAGUCUUUGCAAAAAAAAAAAACUCUUUAAUAACAAGGAGUCUUUGUAAAACAAAACUCUUAUCUAAGAGUGUUUCUAGAAGACCAAAAUAUUGAGAAAAGUGUUUGGUAAAGAUAAAGUUGUUACCAAAACCUUCUUUCUCACGUGAAAGGUAUGUAAUCAACUUACACUUUUAUUUUCUAUUUUAUUUAUAUGUGAUAAAAUUAUACUUUGAUUUUGUAUCUCGUUUAUCUUAUUUAAAUACAUAAACAUGUAAAAUAUUAUUUAGAAAAUAUAUUUUCCUUUUCUAAUUAAAAAUUAUGAAAAAAAAUCAUCAUAACCAUAAAUUAUAGAGGAAAUUACAAAAUUACAAAUACAUAGCUAAAAGUUUUUCAUAUGAUUCUUAAUUCAUUUUUAAUUAUACUGUAUAAUUGGAAGCUAUGAAAAACAACAUUCUAUAGUCAGAAACUAUGGAAUGAAUAGUUCAUAGUUCGAAGUUAUGUACAAAUUUGCACAUUUUUUUGUUUUGAUAAAAUAAUCCAUUGUCUAAAGCUAUGAAAACUAUUAUUUUUUAAUUUCUAUUUCGUUAAUACUACCUAAUGUUCAUGCAUUUUUAAAAUAUUUAUAAUUGACAACAAAAUAUAGCAAAAUCUUAUAUUAUUAUAUUUUUAAAUGUUAUGUACUUGAUGAAUUAUUAAGUUAUUUAUAUUUUAUUUUGAUAAAUUGAAGUCUUCUAUGAUUAAAUUAUUAUAUAUAUAGUUUUCAAAUAAUGUCAAACCUUACAAAGCUUAAGUUUGUUGCUCUCGAUAUUUCAGGCAAAAAUUAUUUAUUUUAGGUUUUGCAAUCUGAAAUUCACCUAGAUGCAAUGAAUCUUAGAAAUACUAUUAAAGAAGGAAAUUGUGCAUCCCUAUAAGAUCACGUCAAAGCUUUAAUAUUCCUUUGUCAUCACAUUAAUGAAAAAUUAAAAGGUCAAUACCUCACGGUCAAAGAUCUUUUCAUCAUUUGAAAUAAUUUGAAGAAACAAUAUGACUGCCAAAAGACUGUAAUCUUUCUAAAAGCACACUAUAAUUGGAUGCACUUGAAAUUAUAAGAUUUCAAGUCUGUCAAUGACUACAACUCAAUUUUAUUCAAAAUUAUCUCAUAAUUAAAAUUGUGGAGAAAAAUUCAUUGAAGAAGAUAUGUUUGAAAAGACAUUUAUGAUUUUUCAUGCCUCAAAUGUGCUCUUACAAUAGCAAUAUUGAGAGCAUUGUUUCACCAAAUAUUCAUAAUUGAUUUCAUGUCUUUUUGUGGCUAAACAAAAUAAUGAGUUUUUACUGAAAAACUAUCAAUAUCAUCCUAUUAGGUCUGUGUCAUUGCUUGAAGUCAAUACCACAUACGUCUAAAAUCCUAGACAUGGACAAGGACAAAGACGUGGAUAUGGAUGAGGCCAAAUAGAGGAUGUGGUUGUGGUCACAAUCAUGGUAGACACAAUUCUUGGCACUAUUGUGAUUAUCAUCAUUCUCAGAGUAGAAAGAACAAUUCAAACCACCAAAAGUGGAAUAAUUUAAAGAGACGACUUGAAAAAGGGGUAAAACCAAAAAACAAACAUACUCAUUAGGAUAAAUGUUAUAGAUGUGGUAUGAAAGGACAAUGCUCAUGUACAUGCCAUACUUCAAAACAUUUGGUUGACCUAUAUCAAGCCUCGAUAAAAUUAAAAGGAAAUGAUGUUGAAAUGAACUUCAUUAAUGGUGAUGGCUUAGUGGAUUUAACCCAUUUAGAUGUUUUAGACCUCUUUGAGAAUACUAGUGGAAAAAUUGACCAUUUAGUUGGUGAUGGAAAUGUUUCUUAUGAUUAAAUGUUAUGUUCUUAUUUAGUUCUUUACAAAUGGUUUUAUCUUCGUUCAAAUAUGUUAUCUAUAAUAUACAUCUUUUAUAGUUUAUUUUACAUUUUAUUUUAACAAAUGAUAAUUUCUUAUCUAAAUUCUAUUUUUUUACUUGAAGAUAUAUGGAUCCCUCUCAUGCCUUGAUAAAUCAUACAACGUCCAAUGUAGAUGCAUGUCUUGUAGAUUGUGUCACAACACACAAUUCUUCAUGAUAAAAAAAAUAUUUUUUCAACUUAAAGUUAACUAAGUCUAAUGUUUAUACUAUAUUUGGUCUUGUCAAACUUGAUUUGAAGCUCCAAAAAAGCAACUAUUAUUUCACCUAGUGGAACUAAAAUCUACAUCAAUGAUGCUCUUUAUUAUGCUAAGUCUAAUCAAAAUCUUAUUAGUUUUAAAGAUAUUCAUUGAAAUGGAUAUCAUAUUGAAACUAUGAAUAAUGAUAUUAAUGAAUACCUUCUCACUACUUUAGUUAUUUCUAGAAAAAAAACAUUUAUUAGAAAAACUUCCUUCUUACUCAUGUGAGUUCUAACAAACAAUUAUUAGACCCAUUAAGUCAUAUGUUGUCAUGAAUUAGAAGUUCUGUGACUCAAAAACUUUUACGAUUUGACAAGAAUGCCUUGGUCAUUUGAGAUUCUUUAUGAUGCAUCGUAUAAUCAACAAUUCUUUUAGGCAUCCCUUAAAGAACCAAAAGAUUCUGAUGUCUAAUUAUUACAAUUGUGUUACUCAUAAGACAAAUAAAUUAUUAGACCAUUAUUUACCAAUGACGUAUUUGAAUCACCAACUUUUUUAGAAUGCAUUCAAGGAGAUGUUUGUGGGCUUAUUCAUCUAUCUAGUGGACCUUUUCAUUAUUUUAUGGUUUUAAUUGAUGCCUGAACUUGUUGGUCUCAUGUUUGUCUUAUUUCAACUAGAAAUGUUGCCUUUGCUAGGUUACUUGCUUAAAUAAUUCAACUUAAGACAAAAUUCCUUGAUCACCCUAUUAAGACAAUUUGUCUUGAUAAUGCUAGUGAAUUCUCCUUUCAAAUAUGCCUUAAUUAUUGCAUGUUAUUUGGUAUUGGUAUUGAGCAUCUUGUUGCUUAUACUCAAUACUCAAAAUGGAUUUAUUAAAUCUCUUGUUAAACAUUUGCAAUUGAUUGCAAGACUAUUAAUAUUGAGAACAAAAUUGUCUUUACCUGCUUGGGAACAUGCUAUUCUCCAUGUUCUUACUUUAAUUUGGAUACGUCCUAUAACUAAUCAUGAAUUCUCACAUUUACAACGUGUUUUAGGUUCUCAACCCAAUGUUUCACAUUUAUGUAUUUUUUGUUGUGUUGUCUAUGUUGCCAUAACUCCACUUCAACGUUCUAAGUUAGGUUCUUAAUGUCGACUUGGUAUAUAUAUUGGUUUUAAUUCUUCUUCCACUAUCCAUUAUCUUUAACCUUUAAUGGGUGAUGUUAUUAUUGUCUGCUUUGCGGAUUGUCAUUUUGAUGUAAAUGUUUUCUUGCCAUUAGGGGGAGGUAAUUUAAUUGCAGAAGAAUGUCGAGACAUUACAUGGGAUGUAUCCUCCUCCUCUCAUCUUAAUCUUGUACAAGGCAAUGUGAACUAAAAAUUCAAAUGAUUAUUCAUUUUCAAGGACUUGCAAAUCAGUUACCUGAUGUCUUCACAAAUACAAAGAAAGUAACAAAGUCACUGUGGACCCCGCAUUUCGGCUCAUGCGUUUCCCACUCGAAGGCGAGCUCGAUUUUAAUUUCGAAAAAUGAUUUUUGUUGAUUAAGAAAAUGACUUGGAGUCGCAACUUAUUUUUGUUUUAUUUUUAAAGGGUAAACAAAAUAAGAAAGAAAAACCCUAAGUGUGACUCCUUGUUUUGGAAAAGGUGGUCUGCGAAAAACCGGAUCGGGUUCAGGGGUCAGGUUACUUAUCGGGAAGGUACGGUAAAGAUCGUAGCACCCCUCUAAGUCCCUAAAGUCGGGUCUCUACUAAUAAAAUGAAGCUGACGUGGCAUUUGAUGAAUGAACCUGCGAAUACCUUAAAUGAUCAUGCACGUAUGAGAAUCCGAACAAGCAUAAGGAGUGACCAUGGGGCAAGUAAAUACGUACCUGGGUGGCGAACCAAUAUGCGCUAUCAAGAAGUGAGGUUAGUGCACAAUUAAUGAAAAAUUUCGAGCAUGUCAUAGAGCAAAAUAAAGUCAAUCAUGCAUGACAAUUAAAUCAAUCAAUCGAUCAAUCAAUCAUAAAGUCACCCAUGUUGGGCCCCCACCAAAGCCCGUUUUAUAUUGCAUGAAUUAAUCCCAUAAAUUCCAUUAUUCGGAAUUACAGAAAAAUUCAUUCAUGCCUACUAAAAUCAAGAGGAGCAGAAGAUUGUUUUGAAAAUCAGAGUAGAAUUAAAACUAUUUGAGAGAAGAUUGGGUUUUUGAAAUUUAUUUGAAAAUUGGAUGUGGAUUAUUUGAAAAUUGGAGUUUUAGAGAUUAAAUAUAAGAAUGAGAAUUUUAGAAAUUAGAUUUGAAAGGAAUUGGAAUUUCAGAGAGCUAAAUAUGGGAAUCUGAAUUUUGAAAAAUUAUUUAAGGACGGAAUUUUAAUAAACAAAUAAGUGGAUAAAUAAAGGAAUGGAAUAAUAAUAAUAAUGAUGAAAUAAUAAAGAUUAAAUAAAUAAUUGCGAAAAUAGAAAUUGAAUUUAUGAAUUUGGAAAUUAUGGAAAUUAAUUAAGGAUUGAAGUUUGAGUAAAUGAAUGAGUGAACAAAUAAAUAAAUUGGAUAAAAAAUAAUAAUGAUUAAGUUAAUAGAGGUGGAAAUUUAGAAAUUGAGAAUUGAAAAUUGAAUUUGGAAAUUGGGAAUUAUGUAAAUGAAUGUGGAAAUUUAGAAAUUAGAAAUUGAAUUUAGAAAUUGGGAAAUUGAAUAAUUAAUUAAGAAUGAAAUUUUAAAUAAAUGAAUAAGUGAAUAAACAAAUAAAUUGGAUAAAAAAAUAAUAAUGAUUGAGUAAAUAAAUGUGGAAAUUUAGAAAUUGAAAAUAGAAUUUGGCAAUUUGAAAAAUUAAAAUAGGAUUGAAUUUGAAAAAAAAACAUACGAGAAUAGGAUUUUUGAAGAACAAUAGUAAUAAUAAUGGUGAGAAUUAAUAAUAAUAACAAUAAUAACAAUUAUGAGAAAUAAUAACAAUAAUAAUAAUAAUAAGAAUUAAAAAUAAGGGCAACAAUAGUAACUAUGAGAAUUAAUAAUAACAAUAAUAAUAAUAAAUAAUAAUAAUAAUAAUAACAAUAAUAAUAAUAAUAAUAACAACAACAAUAAUAAUAAUAACAAUUAAAGGCUAAGAGGGUGAUGAGCUUAAGCCUAAUUUAAGCCCAAAAACCAAAGGUCAACAAAGAAUUGGGCCUAAUGGCCCAAUUCUAGCACCAAGAUGGGCCUAAAACUCCAAGGCCCAAAAACCCUUUUUUUUUUUUUCUUUCUUCUUCUUCUUUCCUUUUCUCCCUGUGCAGCGCCACCAGCCGCACUACCAAUGGCAGCCGCGCCAGCGCCGCCGGACAGCUCGCCCGUCGCCGCCGCCGCUCGCCGUCGCCGCCAGCCGCGCCGCCGGCCAGAGCAGCACCAGCCGACCAGCGCGCAGCCUGCUGGAGCUUCUCCGCCAUCAGCUCCUUCGCGCCGUCAGCUCGCGUCGCCGACGCCGCCAGCAUCGCGCCUCCAUCGCCAAGCAAUUGAUAGCAAAGGAAAAACAAAGUGAAAUGAACGAGAGAAAGAAAAGAAAGAAAGACCAUACCUGCGCGAAGAAGUCCUCCCACCAGCUCUUGCUUCUCUUCCUCUUCCUUCCUCGUGCUCCAUCUUUCCCUCCUCUAUCUCUUUUUUAGCUUUUUCUUUGGCUUCUCCCGUAAGCCUCCCUGCUGCCUCUCCCCCUAUCCUCUCUAGCUGCCCCUAGAGCAGCCUACUUGAGAGGUCCCCCCGAAAAACAACCAAGAAAAAUCAUCAAAAAAAUCUCUAGCUCCUCGGCGGGCGGGCGGGCGGGGGGGGGGGNNNNNNNNNNNNNNNNNNNNNNNNNNNNNNNNNNNNNNNNNNNNNNNNNNNNNNNNNNNNNNNNNNNNNNNNNNNNNNNNNNNNNNNNNNNNNNNNNNNNNNNNNNNNNNNNNNNNNNNNNNNNNNNNNNNNNNNNNNNNNNNNNNNNNNNNNNNNNNNNNNNNNNNNNNNNNNNNNNNNNNNNNNNNNNNNNNNNNNNNNNNNNNNNNNNNNNNNNNNNNNNNNNNNNNNNNNNNNNNNNNNNNNNNNNNNNNNNNNNNNNNNNNNNNNNNNNNNNNNNNACAAUUGGAGAAUGUCAUGGCAAGUGAAUCUAAGACAAGCCUGAAGUGUGGUAUAUAAACCUAUUGGCUCAAAUGAUAUAAUUCCUAAAAAAAAGAAAAACAAUAGGAACAAUGUAUGAAAAGCUUGGUACUUUUGAAGAGCUUAUAAAUAUGAAAGGGUCAACAAAAAUAAAUGAUGAGAUCCAACUUUAUAAAUAGUUAACCCUUGAAGAGGCACAAAUUAAUCAAUUGUCCUUUAAAGAAAUAUCGAUAUCUAGAAUUGAAGAGAUUUUAAUGACUCACAUGGGAGAAACAAGGAAUUGUAGUGACAUUAUUAUAGAUAACAUAUUUGCAUUCCAAGUUGCUAUGGAUAUCAUGAGAAAUGAUGAAGAUCAAGAACCACAAUUUGUGGAUGAAUGCUGAAAAAUAAAUAAUUGACCAAAAUGGAAAGAAUCAAUCUAAACAGAGCUAAACACGUUAGCAAAAUGAGAGAUAUUUAGACCUAUAGUUCAAACACCUAAAAACAUAACGCCUGUUGGAUAUAAAUGGGUCUUUGUAUGAAAAUAAUGAAAUCACAAGAUAUAAAGUACGACUUGUUGCUCAAGGUUUCUCGUAAAGACCUAGCAUAGAUUAUGAAGAAAAGUAUUCUCUUGUAAUAAAUGAAAUCACAUUUUAAUACUUGAUGAGUUUAAUAGUCUCUCUCUCUCUCUCUCUCUCUCUCUCUAUAUAUAUNNNNNNNNNNNNNNNNNNNNNNNNNNNNNNNNNNNNNNNNNNNNNNNNNNNNNNNNNNNNNNNNNNNNNNNNNNNNNNNNNNNNNNNNNNNNNNNNNNNNAAAAAAAUUGGAAAUUUUCUCUUGAAGAGAUGAUUCCCACCAAAAAAAUAAAAUAAAAAUAUUAAGCAAUUGGAAAUCGUCUCUUCAAGAGACCAUUUCCAUAAAAAAAAAAAAAAAAAAAAGCAAUUGGAAAUCGUCUAUUGAAGAAACAAUUUUCACCAAAAAUAAAAAAAAUAAAAAAAUCAAGCAAUUGGAAAUUGUCUUUUAAAGAGACGAUUUCCACAAUUUUUUUAAAAAAAUUAAUAGACAUUAUAAUACAAUUAAUUAUCUAUAUAUUAAAAAAAAAAUACAAUUUAAUAUAAAAAUAUAUUAUAAAUCCAAUUUGGAAUUAAAAAAUUAAUUAUACUCAUACAAUUAUUAUAAAUAUAUAUUAUAAAAUUAAUUAAUUUUAUUUGCUAAAUUUAAUAUAAGAUAAAUAAUAUUCAUCUUUUUUUUUCUUUCACUUUGCAAUUAAAAAAAAACUAUUAUCAAUUUAUAUGAAAAAAUGAGUUUAAAAAAACAAAUUUGUUAUUAAUUUAUUAAAUAAUUAUUUACAAAAUAAAUCAUUUUGUUUUUAAAAAUUUUUUAAAUUAAUUUUAUUAUAUCAAUUUUAAGAUUAAAAAUAUUAAUCUUUAAGUUAAAAUUUCAUUGUAAGAGAAUUUAACUUACCAUAAGGUCUCCACAACACGCUUCAUUUCCUCAAUUCCAAUAAUGCACUAGACUCAUAGCCCAUAGGAGAAUCUUACCUAUUACACUCCAUCACUUCACACAUUAUUACACUACAAUUACACUCCACCAAUUUGAAGACCAUUGCAUUUCCCUAAUUCCAAUAAUGCACUACACUCAUAGCCCAUAGGAGAAUCUUAUCUAUUGCACUCCAUUAUUUCACACAUUAUUACACUACAAUUGCACUCAACCAAUUUGAAGACAUGUUGUCAUUUCUUCUUCUGAAAUGCUGAAAUAUUUCACCAAUUUAAUACUUCACCAAUUUGACCGUUUCAUGUCAUUUCUUCUUAAACAUUCAAACGUUCAUCUCCUAUCCUACACACUACAUUCAUCCUACAUUUUCUCAACUUCUCUUACAAUAUAAAUCAGCUUCAAAUUUUUUCAUUCUCAUUUUCCACUUCUUCCCCAUUUGAAACUUAGUUUUUCACUUACUAGUUUUUUACUUUCCAUCACUUUUAUAUAUAUAUAUAUAUAUAUAUAUAUAUAUAUAUAUAUAUAUCCUUCAUUUCUCUUUGGGAAACUUCUUAGCAUAUCUCAUCUCUUUUCUUGGACACUCACGUUGCUUAUAAGGUAAUAUUUUUGCUUUAUUUUUAUUUCAAGUUAUUUUGUAAUGUAUGGUUUUUAUUAUUAUAUAAGUUUUUAAAUUUAUUUGUAUUAUGUAAUAUUUAUUUGAAUAAAAUUUAUUGGAAAUUAUUAUUUUAAAUAGAUUAAAUCAUUUAAAAAAAUAAAGGUUAUAUUAUUUUAUUCCUAGGUAAUAUUUUUGCCUUUGUUUCAUAUUUAUUGUGUAAUGCAUGAUAGAUAUUUGUUGUUAUAUGUAUUUUUUUUUAAUUUAUUGGAUUUAUGGUAAUUUAUUUAGAAUAUUAUUUGUUGUAAAUUAUCAUUAUAUAAAAAUAAAUGAAUUAAAUCAUUCAAAAAAAUAAAAGUGAUAUUAGUUUAUUUAAUGAAUAUGAAAUAAUAGAAUUAUUGCUUAUGUUUAUCAAUCAAAUAAUACAUUUUACAAAAUAUUAAAAUUUAAAAUAAAAUAAAAUAUUAGUAAAAUGAGAAUGAAAAAUAAUAAUAAUAGAAUAAAUAUAUAUCUAUAUAUUUUGCAUAAUAUAUGAUUUAAAAAUAUUAAAAUCUAAAAAUUAGAAAUACAACAUUAUCUGAAAUUAUGAAUUUAUCCUAUAUAUAUUUUUAAAUUAAUAUUAGUUUUAAAUCAUUGAAAAAAUUGUUAUAAAACAAUGAGAUGUAAAAAAUAAAAAUAUAAAUAAAAGUAGAAAUAAAACUAAAAUGUUAUUUGAUUUAUUUAAAUAAAAGUAGUAAUUGUGUAUAAUAUAAAAUAGUAAUCGUGAAUAUUAAAUGUAUAUAAUAUAUAUUUAAAUAUUAAAUAUAUAUAAUAUGUAAAUUUACAUUUAAAAUGUUAUAUUAUAUACAUUUAAAUAUCCAUUUUAAAAUUAAAAGAAAGAUACAGUUGUAAAAUGUUAAAAUAUAUAAUAAAAUAAAAUAAAUGAAUUUAGAAUGGUUGUUAGCAUUAAAUUAUUAUUUUUGCAUAUAAUAUUAUUUAAAAAAUAUUAAAAUAUAAUAAAUAUAAAUAGAACAUUAUCCGAAAUUAUGAAUUUAUCUUAUAUAUUUUUUUAAAAUUAAUAUUAGUCUUAAAUUGUUGAAAAGAAUUCUUGUAAGAUAUUGAGAGCUCAAAAUAAAAAUAUAAAUAAAAGUAGAAAUAAAACUAAAAUAUUAUUUGAUUUAUUUAAAUGGAUAUUUUAAUGUAUAUAAUAUAUAUAUAAAAAAAGUAAUUGUGCAUAAUAUAAAAUAGUAACCGGGAGUAUUAAAUGUAUAUAAUAUAUAUUUAAAUAUUAAAUGUAUAAAAUAUGUAAAUUUACAUUUAAAAUGUUAUAUUAUAUACAUUUAAAUAUCCAUUUUAAAAAGAAAAGAAAGAUAUAGUUGUAAAAUGUUAGAAUAUAUAAUAAAAUAAAAUAAAUGAAUUUAGUAAUGAUUGUUAGCAUUAAAUUAAUUUUUUUUGCAUAUAAUAUUAUUUAAAAAAUAAUAAAUAUAAUAAAUAUAAAUAGAACAUUAUCCAAAAUUAUGAAUUUAUCUUAUAUAUAUUUUUUAAAAUUAAUAUUAGUCUUAAAUUGUUAAAAAAAUUCUUGUAAGAUAUUGAGAGCUCAAAAUAAAAGUAUAAAUAAAAGUAAAAAUAAAACUAAAAUGUUAUUUGAUUUAUUUAAAUGGACAUUUUAAUGUAUAUAAUAUAACAAUAAAAAUAGUAGUUGUGUAUUCUUAUUUUUGAAAAUUUUGACUUUUAAAAAAUAAAUUUAGCAAUGGACUAUACACCAUAAUAUUUUGUAAAAUAGAUUUGCAAAAUACAUAUUGUAUAUAAAUCAUUAUCAUAAAGUUUAAUGAUGGUGAUACUUCUUUGUUAAUCUUUUGAAUAAGUUUGAUAAUAGAUGGUUACACCAUAGUGUUGUGUUAUACUAGUGGUGAAAUUAUUGAUUGUGAAUUUGGGGUAUGUUAUAAUUGUCCUCCUGAGAAAAGUGUUUCAAUCAAUAGUAUGAUAACAUUUGAUGAGUUAGACACAAAAUUGUGUCAUGCUCUGAAUAUUAAUCAUACUUACACCAAGUUAAAUAUGAUGUUUCGAUAUCCAGUUCCCUUUCCAAAUGGAAGGGAUACCGUUAAUUAUGUCCCUUUGCCUAUUUGAGAUGAUGGUGAUGUGAGCAUAAUGUUUAAUAUUGUCGCACAAUCUCCUUCUCCAAAUACUAUUGAAAUGUAUUGUCAAACUUCUUCAAUUGAUCAUCACCCCAUGCCAAGUAGCUUUAUUACCCCAAUGCAUAUUGAAAGUGUAGGUCCAAAUUAACAAAUGGUAAAAGAGAACACAUCUUCCCCUAUGUAUAUGCAAAGUUAUGAUAAUGACAUGGAACCUAUAGUUAGGGUAGAUUUGGCGGGGGUUACCAAUUCAAUUGUAAUGAAAAUUGAAAAUUAUGUUGAUAUUUUACCUGGAAAUGAUGAUGACAAUGUGGAGUUAUUUGAUGAAGAUGAUGGUAAUGAGGAUAUUAUGGACAUGGAGGAUAAUGAAAAUACAAAAAAUGAUGCAUCAUUGCUAAAUGGUGGUGAACAUGAUAUCCCUUCCCCAAUAUUUAGAGAAUUGAAUUGGGAUGUAAUUAACUCCAUGACUGACAAGGAUUUAACAACAAGCACUGACUUAUGGAAUGAAUCAAAUGAAUUGUUUAAGGGUUUGAGGUUUGAGAGUAAGGUAGACUUACAAUAUGUUGUUAAACGUUAUUCCAUAUAUAGGAAUCAACAUUUGAUUGUUAUUGAAUCUGAGCUAGAUAUGUGGCCUGUAAAGUGCAAAAAGUGGUUUGAGGGUUGUAAUUGGAGGCUUUGUGCAUGUCGUCGUAAUUCUCAUGGUUUGUUUGAGAUAACAAAGUACACAGGUCCUCACACUUGUGUUUACCCUAAACUAUCACAAGACCACUCACAAUUAGACUCCACAUUCAUUGCACGAGAAGUUCAAAGUGAUAACAUAAUUUCAAUUGUUGCAUUACAUUAAAUAAUGAAAGAUAAAUUUGGUUAUAAUGUUCAUUACAAGAAGAGUUGGGAAGCAAAGAGGAAAACAAUCAUAAGGAUAUUUAGUGAUUUGGAUGAAUCUUACCAAGCUUUACCUAGGUGGAUGAAUAUUGUUAAACUUACUAACCCUAGGACUAAGGUUGUUUGGAAGACAUCAGUACUAAUAGGUUGCAAUGGAAAUGUACGUUUUAUACGUGUGUUCUAGGCUUUUGGGGCAUGUGUUGAAGGAUUUAAGUAUUGUAAACCAAUAAUACAAAUAUAUGGUACUUUUUUAUAUGGAAAAUACAUAGGAAAAUUUUUUAUUGCAACAUCAAUCGAUGCUAAUGGUCAUAUCUUCCCUCUUGCAUUUGCAAUAGUUGAAGAGGAAUCAUCAGAUAGUUGGUCAUGGUUUCUUUAUACAUUAAGGAGUCAAGUCAUGCAAAGAGAAGGCAUAUGUCUCAUUUCUGAUCGUCAUGCAGGAAUACAAGUCGCUAUUAGGGAUCCUAGUAUUGGAUGGUACCCACCUUAUGCACACCAUUGAUAUUGUCUUGGGCAUGUGGCAAGCAAUUUCAAUGAUAAAUAUAGAAAUAAGAUGUUAAAAGACUUAGUGCAUAAAGCUGGGUCUCAACAUCAACCAUGACAGUAUGAGUCAUGUAUGAUUGAGUUAAAAUGAUUAGAUGAGAAAUGCUUAGAAUGGUUUAACAGGUUGGACACAAAGAAAUGGACUUUGGCAUAUGAUGGAGGACAUCGGUAUGGGUGGAUGACUACAAAUUUUGUUGAAUGCAUCAAUGGAGUGCUUAAAGGGGCUAGAAUGUUGUCUAUCACUGCUCUUGUUCGAUUAACUUUCUAUCAUUGUGUUUCAUAUUUCGAGACUCAUCGAACAAAGAUACAAACUUGAAUUGCAAAUGGAGAUUUGUAUACUUCCUAUGCCAUUAACAAAAUAACAAAAUGUGAAUCAAGGGCUAGUAGACACUGUCAAUAUCUUUCACCAUUGAAAUGAGAUAUUUGAAGUGACAACUGCUCCCCAUGGGUUUCAUAUGGAUAAAUGAAACAAUAUACAAAUUGUGAAGUUGAAAGAAAGAACAUGUACUUGUAAUAAAUGACAAUCAUUUUGUAUCCCAUGUUAACAUGUGCUAGUUGUAUGUGCACAUGCAAUGAUUGAUAGUUGGCAAUUUGUUGACAAAUAUUAUAGGAUGGAUGUAUAUGGUUGUUGUUAUACACCACAAUUCAAUCCAAUUCCACUUCAAGCCUAUUGGCCAAAACCUAAUUUUCCAAUUGUUCAUCCUAAUCCAACUCUAGUGCAUGAUAAAGGAAGACCAAGAUCUUCAAGGAUUAGGAAUGAAAUGGAUUAGAGAGAACCAAGUAUCAAAGUCCGAUGUGGGCUUUGUAAUAGGAGGGUCACAAUCGUCGAAAAUAUCCUAACAAUGGGGAGUCUUCAAACACAACCGCUCAAUGAUAUUGUAAGUUCAAGUUGAAAAUUUUACUAUUUAAAUGAAAGUUUUUUUUUAACAUUAAAGAUGAACAUUGAGUUAUUUCCAUAUAAUGUCAUUGGAAUGUCUUGUAAUAAACUAUUGAAAUUAUUUAAAUGAUGCAGGGAAUACAUUCUCAUAGAUCCUGGACCUAUAGAUCGUUAUGUUCUGUAUAACAAAGAAGUACAUCAAUAUUCACUUAUAUGGGAAGAAAAUGAUCCUGGAGAGCUCCAUUGUCGACGUCGUGAAGCCAAUUUCUAUCGUAAUAGUGUUUUAGAUGUAUGCAUCAUUCCAUAUUUGCAACAAUCUGGAUUCUACGGUGUUGCCCGAUUAGGUUUCAUUUCAUUGGAUUGACACCUUAUUACAACAUUUAUAGAGAGAUGGAACCUUGAGACUCACACUUUCCAUGUACCUCAGGGAGAGUGUACCAUCACACUUCAUGAUGUUAGCAUUAUUUUAAGCUUACCAAUUGAUGGUGUUGCAGUUAGCGGUAGCACAUGCUUGGAUUGGAGAGAAGUGUGUGCUACAUUGUUAGGAGUGGUGCCUGAAGAAAGAGAUAUAUUUGGACAAAGACUUCAUUUGACUUGGUUGAUAGAGCAUUUUCCUUCAUUAUCACUUGAUGCUAAUGUGGAAUUCGUGCGAUGCUAUGUUAGGGCAUUCAUCUUACAAUUGAUUAGAGGUUUUCUUUUUGCAGAUAAAUCGAACAAUAGGGUACAUUUAAUGUUUUUACCACUACUUGAGGAUCUUAGAGUUACUGGUACUUAUAGUUAGGGUAGUGCUUGCCUAGCUUGGCUAUAUCGAGAGAUGUGUCGAGCAUCCCAUAUCGAUGAACAUGAUGUAUUGGGUCCUCUUAUUUUUUUAUAGUUAUGGAUAUGAGAUGGAUUUCCCUUUAUAACACUUAUGCACUUACAUUCGACCCUAUAUGAUGGAGUACUGCCACAACCACCUUUAGGCAUGCAGUAUGUAUUCAACCUUAGUUAUAGCAUAUGUAAACACAUAUAUACAUAAAUAAAAAAUUACACAAACUUUUAAUAUAUAUAUUCUUUUUGUAGUUGGAGAGAUGAGUUUUGUACUACUUUGACGCUUAUGCAUGUGUUACCCCAAUAUAAGUAUCUACUUGAUCGACUUAUGCUAAAGCAGGUGAGAAAUUCAUUAUUUUGAAUAAUUUUUUUUAAACAAUUUGUAAUAAAAAUAUUAUUAAAUAAUGUGAGUCAUAUUUCAAAUUUAAUUGCAAAUUAUAUGGGAGCCAUAUACUGAUGAUGUCAUCUCUGGACUCCCAGAUUACUAUAUUAUUGCCUCUGACUUGUGGUUGACUAUUUCACCCCUUAUUUGUUUCCACAUAGUGGAGUGGCAUAAACUUGAUCAUGUUUUGAGGCAGUUUGGGCUACUACGUCGAAACAGAUUAGGUCCAAUCCUGAGUAGUGCAAUACAAAGUUAGGAUUACAUAAAUAUGAUUUGAGGGGUUGACAUGAUUUGGAUUGGAUGAGUAUUCAUCACCACUAUAUUCAAAGGUGGGAGGCUAGGUACGAUCAUAUUGCUAGAGCUAAGGCAACAUUUACUUCUUAUGGGUAUAACCACCCAUAUAUGGUGUGGUAUCGUUCUAUCACUCAUCUUUUUCUUACUCCACAUGAAUCUUCAUGGGAAAUAGUGGUAAUUACAAUGUCUUUUUAUUUAUUGUUCUAUUUUAUUCUAAUUAGAAAAGCAUCUAACUUUUUAUUCUUAAUUCUUACAGAAUCACAGUUUGCAACAGAUACAUCUAUGGACUGGUCCAGAUACUCUGAAUAUAGGUCAUUGUGAUGAAAUUCAUCAAUUAUGUGCAACCAUUUUAGAGGCUAUACACGAGGUUGAUAGGUUGCUUAUUCCCCCUAAUGUCGUUGAUACAGAGAGACAAUCAUCGGAUGAGGAGGUAGUGAUGAGAGAUGGUAGGGUACGAACUAGAGGUGGUGAGGUACGGACCAGAGGUGGUGGGGUAUGGACCAGAGGUGGUGGGGUAUGGACCAGAGGUGAUGGGGUACGGUCUAGAGGUGGAGGUGUUCGAACUAGAAGUGGAGGUGUACGAACACGUGGAGGCCAUAUUUAUGAUGAUCCACACUUCCCUAUCGAUGAUGCAUUGCUAGAUUUUCCAUCAUCAUCACGUGAAGGUGUUCAAGUUGCCCCCUCAUUUUGUAAGCAUGAGGACCCCAUUGUAUAAAAACUUUUGGCAAAAGCCCAUACUGGGUCAUGUCUUAAUAUGACAAAGGCCAUACCUACCCCAACCAUUGAGUGGGCUGAGUCUUGAGCCCACAAGAUGGGAUGAUGCCUUGGCCUUCAAUCAGGAUAGCUUUUAUAGGCAUCCUUUGCACCCUUAUUCCUCUCAGAAUCUGAUGAGGGAUUGCUAACUAAUAUCAAUGAAAAGAAAUUAACAAAUGCACCCAAGAGGAUUUGAACCUUAGACCUUAGGUUUUGUAACUAACCCAGGACACCACUCGGCUACACGCGAUUUGUUAUCUAACAUGCCAAACAAAACAAUAUAUAUUGGAUUUUAAAUUUUUUUAUAAUAUUAAAUAAAAAUAAUAUAAUAUUUUUAAAAAUUAUAAAAUUAGUUUAAAUUUUCAUUUUUAAUAUAUUCACAUUUAAAUAUUAUACAUAUUUCAUUUAAUAAAAUUUAAAAUAUUAAUAUGAUUUAAUUUGAUAAUAUCAAAUAUAUAAAAUAAUAUUAUUGAUUUUUAAUUUAUUCAUAUAUAUUUUUAAUUUUUUAUAAUUAUUUUUAAUUUUAAUAAUAUAUAAAUUACAAAUUUAUGACGUCACCGGUUUGACUGCGAUUCGACCACCAGUUCAACCAAUGAACUAGUAACUUUUCCGGUUCAAUGAUCAGUCUAGUUCUGAAAACAUUGGGUGAUACAAGAAAAUGUUGGGACAUCCUUCAUCCAGGAGCUAUUGCAUUCUUAUAUUGAUGGGCCUUCUUUUCAUAUACCUAUGUUGUCUAGUAUCAAGGUGUAACUUACUCCACCUACAACACCACUCAUUGCUUUGUCACCACAAUCAUUAGAACAUCCAUUUAGAGAUGAUGUGGCAACACAAAUGCAAUACUUUCCUACACCAAUUGUUGAACAAUAGGGAGAGGAUCAGGUUCAAGAUCAAGGACGUGAACGAGGACGAGGACGAGGAAAUGGAGCAACAUUAGAUGGUCCCUCAGAUCAAUCCAAGUUGGAAAGAUGUCACCAACGCCCACAACGAAGAAGGAAGCCUCCUUCAUGUGGUACACAUUGAUGACUUUUAUAUAUUUUAUCGAACAUAAAUUGAUGAUACAUGUUGCUUAUUUGUUGUUUGUUGGUUUAUUUGUAUUGAUGAUGCAUGCUAACUUUUAUUGAUUGUUAGUUUAUUAGUAACGUAUGUUAAUUUAUCAUCUGCUAAUAUUGAAGUUGUCGUCUAGUCAUGUUGAAUUUUAAUAUUUUAGCUUUGUUGGUAUUCAUCCUUAUUAUUUUGUUAGUUGUUAGGAUGUUUGUUGGUUUAUUAAUUUAUAUAUAUGGACAAAGUAUUAGUUUUUUUUAUUCAUAAUAGUAGUUGAUUUUUGAUCAUUUAGUAUUGAAUACAUUUUAUUGUUUAGAGAUUGAAUACAAGUUAUCGGUUGAUAUAUAUAUUUUCAUUGUUGAUGGUUCAUAUGAAUAAGGUUAUUGGUUUUUUUGCAUUCAUGAUAAUAAUUGAAUUUCUAUCAUGAUUGAUAUUUUAUUAAUUAUUGGGUUGUUUGUUGGUUUUUUAGCAUUUACAUAAAUAAUGUUAUUGGUUUUUUAUAAUCAUGACAUUUUUAUAUUUUUUUUAUAUUUUAUUCCUUUUAUAGUAAAAUUUGAAAUUAAAGAUUAAUUAAUUUAAUUUUAGAAUUUAUAGAAUAAAAUUAAUUUAAAAAUUAAAACAAAAUAAGAUUAUUUAUUUUAUAAAUAAUUAUUUAAUAAAUUAAUAACAAAUUUGGUUUUUAUAAAAUCAUUUUUCACAUAAACAAAAAAUAGAUAAAUGUUAUUUAUCUUAUAAAUAAAAAACAAUAUCAAACUAAAUUAAUUUUAUUAAUUGUAAUUAAUUGAAUUAAUUUAAAGAAAAAUUGAAGAUUAAGAACAAUUAAAAUUAUUUAACUUAUUUUUUUAUAUUUGAUUCAUUUUAUAGUGAAAUUUUAACUUAGAGAUUAAUAUUUUUAAUCUUAAAAUUUAUAUAAUAAAAUUAAUUUAAAAAUUAAACAUAAAAAAUUAUUUAUGUUGUAAAUAAUUAUUUAAUAAAUUAAUAACAAUUCAUUUUUUAAACUCAUUUUUCACAUAAAAUUGAUACUAUUUUUUUUUAAUUCCAAAGUGAAAGAAAAAAAUAAUAGAUAAAUAUUAUUUAUCUUAUAUUAAAUUUAGUAUACUAUUUAUAAAUUAAAUUUAGUAAAUAAAAUUAAUUAAUUUUAUAAUAUAUAUUUUUAAUAAUUGUAUUAUUGUAUAAGUAUAAUAGGGAAUGGAAAAAUGGAUGCAGACAAAAAAUUUGUCCAAAUUUUAUUUUUACAUUAAUUUUGAGCCUAAUUUUGUCAAUAAAUUUUAAAUCCCGAUUACAUGUGUUUUUUUUGUCUAUUCACCCUUUAAUUCUUAGUUUUUAUUAUUUUAUAAAUUGUUUUUUUUUUUUUUUUUUGCGGUGAUCGACUCCUCAUCUGGGGCUUUUCUCUUCAUCUUGCAUUACUCCACUCACAACCCAACUCCCUCACACGACAAUGGUUGACUGCCUCCAUCCCCCCAUUCUCUCAAUUUUCUCUUUUCCUCCACCCAUUUUCUCCAUACGAUCGGCUAGGAUCCCCACCCAGAUUUUUUCUUUCCCAUUUUUUUUUCUCGGUUUUUUUUUCUCCCUGAAGACCCACUGCCAUUUUCCUGAGUUUUCCCACUUUUUUCUUUCUUCAUUUUCUUUCAUUUUUCUCUCCAUAUUUUAUUUUAUUUUAUUAUUCUUUUCAGAUUUUUUCCUUCCAUUUUCUCUUUCUCAUAUUUUUCCUCGCUCUUUCCAUCCACCACCCUCACCGCCACUAUCGGUCGGCUAGCCACUCCCGCCAUUGCCAGCUAGCAAUCCGACCAUCCAUAGUUUUUUUUUUUUUUUUUAAAUGGGUAAAUUUCCUUUUUGCUUUAUUUUAUUUUUAUUCAUUUUAUUUUUUAUUUUUGGUUUGUAUAGAAAUUGAUGUGGAUUUGGGGCCUAUUACUUAUUGAUUAUUUGUUUGGGCUUAUUGGAUUGUGCUUGAUAUAUUGUUUCUUUUGGCUAUAUAUAUUAUUGAUGUGGGCUUGUUAAUUGGUUAUUUGUUUGGGCUUAAUAUAUUGUUUCUUUUGGCUAUAUAUGUUAUUAAUGUGGGCUUGUUAAUUGGUUAUUUGUUUGGGCUUAUUGGAUUGAGCUUGAAAUAUUAUUUCCUUUGACCAUGUGUAUUAUUAAUAUAGGCUUGUUAAUUGGUUAUUUUUUUGGGCUUAUUAGAUUGGGCUUGAUAUAUUAUUUCCUUUGGCUAUAUAUAUUAUUAAUGUGGGCUUGUUAAUUGGUUAUUUGUUUGGGCUUGAUAUAUUGUUUCUUUUGGCUAUAUAUAUUAUUAAUGUGGGCUUGUUAAUUGGUUAUUUGUUUGGGCUUAUUGGAUUGGGUUUGAAAUAUUAUUUCCUUUGACCAUGUGUAUUAUUAAUAUGAGUUUGUUAAUUGGUUAUUUGUUUGGACUUAUUGGAUUGUGCUUGAUGUAUUAUUUCCUUUGGCUAUAUAUAUUAUUAAUGUGAGUUUGUUAAUUGACUAUUGUUUAGGCUUAUUAGAUUGGGUUUGAGAUAUCAUUUCCUUUGGCUAUGUAUAUUAUUAAUGUGGGUUUGUUAAUUGAUAUGAAUUUUGGUUCCAUAAUGUGGGUGAGAUUUGUUGGAUGACUUGAAUAUUUGAUAUGGGCUUGGUCAAUUCGAAUUAUUUAAUUUGGACAUGGGACAAUUGUGGUGUAUAUUAAAUUAGGCUUGAAUUAUGGAAUAUUAAAUUCAGGCCUAAUGAGAUUUAUCUUAAUUUAUCAUGUUUUGGAUUUGAUUAAUUGAGCUUAUAUUUUGACUAUUUUGGAAAUUUUAGAUUAGGGUCUAUGAUAUGUGAGAUAUUUUUGUUGGGUUAUAUUUGUUAAUUUGGAACCAUUUUUAAUUGGUGAAAUUUAUUGGACUAAUUUGAAGUUUGAAUUUAGGCUUGGACAAUUAUUGUGGACUCUAUAUAUUUUUGGAUAUUUAUGUUUUUGCUAUUUUUGUUUUUGCAUGAGCCUAUUUUACAAUUCUAUUGGCUAAGUACGAAUUUAUGACACGUGGAACAUGGAAUUUCAUGGAAGAAAGUGAUAUUGAAAAAACUGUAGGAAGACAUUGAGCUUGUUGUAAGUUCAUUUGGGUACAUAUUUUAUUUCCCAUUUUUAUUUGGUUUUAUUUUUAUUAGUUCUAUAAAUAUUUGUUUAUAUAUAUUUAUUGAGUGUGUACAAAAUUGAAUAUCGAACAAACCAAAAAUUUUGUUUAAAUAAGAAGAAUAAUUCAGUAAAUAUGUUUUGAUAAAAUAAUAAUUUUAAAAUAUUCUUCUCAAUAAAAGAAAGUUUUUUUAUUAAUAAAAAUUCAAAAAAAAAUGUUUUUAGAAAAAUCCAAAAAAAAAAAUUGUUUUUAAUAUAAUUUGAAAAUUUUGUUUUAAUAAAAUUGUCCAAAAAUUUCUUUGUUAAAAAUUAUCCAAAAAUUGUUUUUGUAAAUAAAGUUGCCCCAAAAAUUAAUUUUUAAUAAAAUUUUCCAAAAACUAUUUCUUUUAAAUGAUUUUUUUUCCUUAAUUAAAAUGGGAUUAAAACUAUUUUUUAGAAAUAGAGGAUUUAAAUCUUUUUUUUCUUUUUAAUUAAAAUUUAUUUUGCAAAAAAAGUUAUGACUUUUUAAAUAAUUUGUAUAAAUUACUUUUUUUUUUCAAUGAAAAUGAAUCAAAAUACUUUUAUAAAUAAAAUUAUAAAAUUCAUUAUUUUCUAGUAAAAGCAAGUAAAAAUAAUUUUUGUGCCCAAAUUGAAAUUUUGUAAUAAAUUCUUUUGAUACAAUAAGUGUAAAUAACUUUUUUGAAAAUUGAAUACAAAUAAAAUUGAGAAAAUAAAUUGACUAUUUUUUUGUAAAUAAAUAAAUUGAAAUCAUUAAUUCAAAAUCGUUUUUGAUAAAAUCCUUUGAAGUUUCCUGAAAACUAUUUUUUUAAUAUCAUUUUUUAGUUCAAUAAAUCAUUUUGCAUAAUUAUUUUAUUAUUUAUUUUAUGUAUUUUUGUAAUUAGAUUUCAUAAUUAUUUUUGUGUAUAUUGAUUUUCAUUAUGACUUGUACAUACUCAUUUGUUUGAUUAUUUUUCUUGGUAUCCAUAAUUAAUUAAUUAAUUUUCACAAUUCCUUUAAUUUGUUUAGUAGAUACCUUAUAUAUACAGGCUUAGAGGGAUGCUACGGCUCACCACCGUAUCUUCCCAAUAGGUAACCUGACCCUUGGACCCAGACUCAAUUUUUUGCAGACCUGUUGUUUUCUUUCAAGAGUCACAUUUAGAGUUUUUAUUUCUUAUUUUGUUUUUUCCUUAAAAAAAUAAAUAAAUAAGUGACAACUCCAAGUUUUUUUCUAAAAAUCAAAUUUUCACCAAACAAAUAAAAAAUGAGUUGUGUAAUCGAAUGGGAACGCAUCGAGAAAAAUACGGGGUGCACAAAAUGGCGACUCUGUUGGGGAAAAAUUAGAGGGUCGAACUUGAACUCAAGUUGAGGGAAAUGUGGCGUUUGAUUGGUUGAUCAAUGGAUACCCCUCUCUACGUGUCUUUGUAUGAUUGGGUGUUGAUUACAUGUUGAGAUCUUUGAUAUGUUUAUUUGGGAUGCAUGUUUGGUUAUUAUUGUUCAUUAGAGAUGUUGACAUGUUGAUUACAUCGAUUGAUUCUCUUACCUACUUUAGCAUAGUGACUCUUCUUGUUGUAUGAUUAUCUUGCUUUCCUGGACAUGUAUAUUCUCAUUUUUGUAUAUCUCAUUCAUUUUGACAUGAUUGAUUCUAUUUGUUGUAUAUUAUCUUGUUUAUCUCAACAUAUUGUUUAUUCUUGUUAUAUACAUAUCUUGCUUAUCAUAUUUUUGCCUAGCUUGUGUGUAGAUAUGAGUGAUAUACCUGUUAUUUGCAUGACUGUUUGGUGCAUGACUGCUAUUCUUCUAUGUGAUGCAUGUAUUGCUUGUCUGUGUGGGACACACAUCUAUCCUCUUACCUCCAACUCUCUAAUCUCGGUCGACCUUGUUUCCUUUGAUAUCAUAUUUGAUAUGAGACUUGUUACUUUGUUUGCUCUUCGACCGACCUAAUGAUUAGGAGUAGGGUCUAGCGACGGGCUAUAUCGAUGUUUGGGAGCAUUCUGGAGAAGGUCGACACAUUGAUGCUGAUUGGAGUCCAAUAUUUGAAGACCUGUAUAGCCAAGAGCUAGGUUUCAUGGAUAUUUGUGUGAUCAGUGUGUUUCUUUUUCUACUUUAGCUUCAUAGGAUUUUCAGAUGCACCCACACCACUCACUGUGCACUUUAGUCGACUACUAAUUGUUGAGAGUUGCGAGAGCUUUCACUAUAGGAAACCCCCUGGGAUGUCGAGGUAGUGCAUGUGUGGAGGUGAUGACCACCUUGCAUGGAAGUGCCCCGUCUCUUCGGAGGUGUGCAAAGGGUUGCAUACCGCCAAAGGGUACGAUCGCUUCUGUUAGGGAUCCUUUAAAGUCCACUCAUAUUCUUUUUAGGGUCACUUUGACUUUGUAGGUUGAGCCUUAGAUAAUUCGAUCAGGAUUUUCUCUCCUACACGUGGGCGCAUUUGAGGGUCUUCAAAGCCUCGUUAGUUAUAGUUUGUAUCCAGUACUCCCUUUUUUGAUGUCCAAUAGAGAGUGCUCAGAGAUCAGUGCGAGCUUGAGUUUAAGUUAGACCACUUUUCUACAUUGUGUUGGCUUGUUUCUUCUAGUUUAGUAUAGCAUUUCUUCUGUGCUUUUCUCGCAUCAUGCCUUAUCUCAUUUCCCCAUGUUUUAUAGGAUUUGCUCUUCAUCUCAGUUUGAGUUUGCCACCUUGAGUCAGAGUUGACGAUAGGUUGUUUUGCAUCAUUGAUUAGACAGACAUGGAUCAAGAGAUUAUCACAGUUGACCAAUUCACAACUACCAUGGCUUCUAUUCAAGAGGCUUUAGCCGGUCUCAGACAGGAGAUAUACAAUCAGCAGAGUAGACAACCCGUAAUUCAGGAUGAGAUGCCUUAUGAUUCAUUGCCAACUCCACCACCACCACUUGGUCUGACAGUGCCACAGGCCCCACCCUGUCUAUUACAUGGUCAUUCUGAGGUUGCCUCACCUGUAGUAGUACAUACCACAGUCCUUGAGGAUACUCAUGCAUGCAUGGAUCAUAUUGAGCAACGUAUCAAGCAGUUGAGGAUAUCUGAUAGUUCAGCAACUUGGGAUGAUCUUGAGGGUCAUUAGAGGAUUGAUCAAAAAUCCUAAAGGGAAGUUCAAAUCCAAUUGGAGCGGACCUUAUUUCAUUAAGGAGCUGACCCUAGAGGGCGCUGCAUGGUUGAUGGAACUAGAUGGAAACUGAUUCUCAGAGCCAACUAACGUAGAUUAGUUGAAGAAGUAUUAUGUUUGAGACCAUGGUCGUAGGAUGGGUGGCCAUCAUUUCGGUUAGUCAUAUACCUUGUUAUUCCCUUUUGACAAACAAACCGUUGCUAGCCCAUUGAGCCUUGCAUGCGCAACAAAGCCUUUCUUUCUUAUUACCUUGCUUACACUUCUACACCAGCAUAGGGGCUCUUUAGUGUAUGCAUGCUUUAUUCAAGAGUUUCAUGAGCCUUAGGCCUACGGGUGUUUUUUUCUUUCGUUAUUUUUUCCUACCAUCACACUACUACAUUUCAUCACGUCUCAUUGGUUGUGUUCUUCAUCUCUUCUUCUUUAUUCUAUUUACCACUUGUGUUGCUUCAUAUUCUCUCCACCCUGAGUGGUGAUCCUCCUCAGUUCAUUACAUGGAGAAUAGUCACAUCAUUUUCACUAUCUAUCCCACGAACACUGAUUCAGAGAUCCUUAGUUUGAGAAGGUCAUCUCGUCAGAGAGAGUUUUUUUACCCUAGCACUUGAGAGUGUGUCUAUCCAUUAUGGAUAUAAUUUUUGGGGUUCAUUUGUUUAUGUUCAGGGUAUGUGCAUUUGUAUAUUUGUAUAUAUGUAAAAAAAAUAAAAAUAAAAAAAUCAUGAAAAGAAAAGAAAAAAAAGCACAUGUGUGUAUGUGCAUAGUAUUCUCCAUCAUAGAGCAUGUAUAUUGAUAUCUGAGGGUCAUUUUAUCGAGUAUGUUUGUUGUUGAGAGUUCGUAUGUGAGCUUUCUAAGAUCCUAUUUUCUUUGUAUUCACUUUGUCAUAUUUCUUUGAGAGUGAGACGAGUGACCUUCUCCUAGGGACUCUGGGUCAUUGUCAUUUCCAUCAUUACAUUCAUUAUUGAUGUGACUUCACUCCAUGUUUGACUUGAGUUGAUCAUCAUUUUUCUUCGUAUAUUCAUUGUUUCACUAUCAUUCUUGUCAUUGCUUAUGAUUCAUUCCAUUCGUUUUACCCCCUUGUUCUUUUCAUACACUAACCUAUUCUAGGUUUGAUAUUUCCCUUGCAUCAUUCUUGUGUAUCUCAUUAUCAGUUUGAUUUGCUUCAUCGUCUCAUUAUUGAUAUUAUAUUCACAUUGGGCAUCGUCAAGUCCAUGGCUCAUGAGCUUUUCUAUACAUAUUGCAUUUUAUACAUGAGAGCAAGAGUUUUUUAUCAUUGGGUAUUUUGGUUUAGUUUCCCUUCAUUUCUAUUACCUUAUCACCCUGGCCUACGUUAUGUCCCGUGUCUUAAGAUCACCCUGAGGCCAUGGGAUCAAAUGUCAUCUUCGACAGCCCCCACUUGGACAGGUAUUUGAUAUUUGGUUGAUAUUUAGAUAUCACCAUGCUUCUUCUUCUGGGAAACCCCUCUUUGAUGUUUGGACCCGAUUUAGUUGUGGAUACGGAUGACUGGGAUUGCACAUUUGAUGAUGGAUGAUUCGAUGUUGUCCGAUUUUUUGAUCUACCAUACAUCUGAUGCCAUACUAUGGCAUAUUUCUGUUUUGGUUGAGAUUUGUAGAUCUCGAUUGAUUUGUAUGAUCAUCUCCACUUACGAGAUACACACCGAGAUGAUGACCUGUUUGUUAUCUUAUCAUGAUCUCCUAGGGGAGCCUCUCUUAAGCUAUUCAGUCAGACCCACACUUUUCGGCAUUUGGAUGUCAUCAUGCUUCUCCUUCUAGGAUACGCCUCAUUGAUCGGUUGGACCAGAUUCAAUUGUGGAUAUGGAUGACUGGGAUUGCAUAUUUGAUGAUAGAUGAUAGAUGAUCCGAUGUUGUCUGAUUUUUCGAUCUACCAUACAUCUAAUGUCAUAUUGGGGCAUAUUUCACUUUCGAUUGAGAUUUAUGGAUCUUCAUGGAGUUGCAUGAUCAUCUCCACUUACGAGAUACACAUCAAGACGAUGACCUGUUUGUUAUAUUAUCAUGAUCCCUUAGUGGAGCCUCUCUUAGGCCAUUCAGUCAGAUCCACACUUUUGAUAUUUAGAUGUCCUCAUGCUUCUUCUUUUGAGAGACGCCUUUUGAUAUGUGGGUUCGAUUUAGCUGUGGAUUUGGAUGACUGGGAUUGCGCAUUUGCUGAUGAAUGAUUUGAGGUUGUCCAAUUUUCCAAUCUACCAUACAUUCAAUGCCAUACUAGGGCAUAUUUCCCUUUCAGUUGAGAUUUGUAGAUCUUCAUGAAGUCACAUGAUCCUUAUCACUCACGAGAUGUAUGUCGAGUUGAUAACCUAUUGUUAUCUUUUCAUGAUCCCCCAAUGGAGUCUUUCUUGGGCCAUUCAAUCAAGCUCACACUUUUCGGCAUUCAGAUAUCAUCAUGUUUUUUCUUCUGGGAGAUGUUUCUUUGAUCAGUUGAUCUGAUUCAACUGUGGACAUGGAUGAUUAGGAUUACACACUUGGUGAUGAAUGAUUUGGUGCCAUAUGAUUUUCUGACCUACCACACUUCUAAUGCCAUACUGGGGCAUAUUUUCGUUCUGGUGGAGAUUUGUAGAUUUCCAUUAAUUUGCAUGAUCAUCUCCAAUUACGAGAUACACAUCAAGCUGAUGAUUUGCUUUCAUUUUUUCUUGAUUCUCUAGUGGAGCCUUUCUUGAGUCAUUCAGUUAAGCUUGUGCUUUAUGAUAUUGUCGUGAUUCAUAGACGAAGUUAUCCCAGGUGCAUAGACUCUUAUAUCAUCAUUUUAGUGGAGUACAUGUUAGAUCUCUUAUACAUUCCAUGGAGCUAUUCUCGAGUCAUCAGGACAGACCGGAUGCCCUAGUUGCUAUACUGGGGCAUAUUUCCCUCUUUUAGUUGUGGAGAUGAUUGUUUUCUCACAGACCUGUCAUUUUCUAUAUUAUUCGACCGAGGGAUAUUUAUUUCCAUUAUUGGCCACAGUUUCGAUGAUUUUUGCCAAGAGAAGCCUUCAACAGAGCAUGACCUCAAGGGUUUGACUAUCUUACUAUCCAUGAUUCUUCAGUAGAUUGAGAUCAUGGUAGUUAUCCUGGCAGACUAUUCUCUUGAGACUUCCCAGUGAAUCAUUCAUUUGAGAUUACGAUGGAUUCUCCCAACAGAACAUCUUGAGUCAGAGACAUCCGGAUUAUUAUGACGCUUCAUCAGGCCUCGUGUUUUGGUCAAAUAGAUUGUGAGGCUAUAUUUAUAGUCGAUUUGACCAUUCCGACUCACUAGCGGAACGUCUUUUAGGACUCAUAGAGUCAUUUUCAGAUCAUUUCAGUAGAUUGAGAGUUGUGGCAGUAUGCUACACUAGGGCAUAUUUUUCCCUCAUCAUUUCCUUACAGAUUGGCAUUCAGAGCCACUGUUUCUUCUAAGUUAUGACGUUUAGAGUCCUCAUUCUUAGUUUGACAUUCAAAAAUGUCAGUCCAUAGUUUGGCAUUUAGAGCCACCUCAUUUCCUUAAUUAUGGAGUUUAGAGCCACCUCAUUUUCUUAGUUAUGGCGUUCAGAGCCACCAUCUCUUAUCAGUCUUAGCGUUCAGAGCCACCCAUCUCCUCUUAGUUUGGGCAUUCAGAGCCACCAUCUUCUUAUAGUUUGGCAUUUAAAGCCACCAUCCAUUCUUAAUAUGGCAUUCAGAGCCACCAUCUCUUUUCAGUUUGGCGUUUAGAGCCACUAUCUCCUUACCGUUCGGCGUUCAGAGCCAUGGUUUUUUCUCAAUUAUGACGUUCAGAGUCCUCCUUCUCGGUUUGACAUUCAGAGAUGUCAGUUCAGAGUUUGGCAUUCGAAGCCACCAUAUCUUUUUAGUUUGGCAUUCAAAGCCACCAUUCCUUUUUAGUUACAGUGUUCAGAGCCGCCAUAUCUUAUCAGUUAUGACGUUCAGAGUCGUCCUUCACAGUUUAGCGUUCAAAGCUAUCUCUUCUCAAUUUUAGGGUUCAGAGCCAACAUCUCUUUUCAGUUUGGCGUUCAAAGCCACCAUCCCUUCUUAGUUAUGGCAUUCAGACCUACUAUCGCUUCUUAAUUUCGACGUUCAGAGCCACCGUCUCUUCUCAAUUUGGGUGUUCAAAGCCACCAUCUCUUUUUAGUUUGGCGUCAGAGUCGCCAUCUCUUUAUAGCUCAACGUUCAGAGCCGCCAUAUCUUCUCAGUUACGAUGUUUAGAGUUGUCCUUCUCAAUUUAGUGUUCAGAGCCAUGUUUUCAGUUUGGUGUUCAGAAUUGAUCUCCAUUUUGGCAUUCAAAGUCACUAUCCUUUCACAAUUUGGCAUUUAGAGCCAUCAUCCUAUCACGAUGGGGCAUUCAUUGCUAUUUUUUCGGCGUUCAGAGCUACGUUCCUAGCGUUUAGAGCUAUCAGUUUAGUUUGGGCAUUCAGAGCUUCAUCUUUAGUAUUCAGUGUUAUCAGUUUUUUUAGUUUGGCGUUUAGAGCCAUGUCUUCAGUUCGUCAUUCAGAGUCAUUAUGUCUUUCUUUAGUUAGGUGUUCAGAUCCACCAUAUCUCUUUCAGUUCGGUGUUUAGAGCCGCAUCUCCAUUUUGGCGUUCAAAGCCAUUGUUUGUUUCAGUUUGACAUUUAGAGUCAUGUUUUUUGUUUGACAUUCAGAGCUUCAUCUUUAGUAUUCAAUGUUAUUAGGUUUUUUAGUUCGGCAUUCACAGCCAUGUCUUCAGUUCGCCAUUUAGAGUCAUCAUGUUCUUCCGAUUAGCGUUUAGAGCCACCAUCCCUUCUUAGUUAUGACAUUCAGAGCUACUACCUCUUCUCAGUUUUGGCGUUCAGAGCCACCAUCUCUUCUCAGUUUGGGCGUUCAAAGCCACCAUUUCUUUUCAAUUUGGCAUUCAGAGCCGCCAUCUCUUUACAACUCGGCGUUCAGAGCCGCCAUUUCUUCUCAGUUACGACAUUCAGAGUUGUCCUUCUCAGUUUGGCGUUCAGAGUUGAUCUCCACUUUGGCAUUCAAAGUCACUAUCCCUUCACAGUUUGGCAUUCAGAGCCAUCAUCCUAUCAUGAUCGAGCAUUCAUUGCAACUUUUUCGGCAUUCAAAGCUACAUUCCAAGUGUUCAGAGCUGUCAGUUCAGUUUGGGCAUUCAGAGCUUUGUCUUUAGUGUUCAGUGUUAUCAGUUCUUUUAGUUCGGCGUUCAGAGCCAUGUCUUCAGUUCGGGUUUCAGAGUCAUCAUGUCUUUCUUCAGUUAGGCGUUCAGAUCCACCAUAUCUCUUUCAGUUCGACGUUUAGAGUUGCAUCUCCAUUUUGGUGUUCAGAGCCGUUGUUUGUUUCAAUUUGACAUUUAGAGUUGUGUUUUUAGUUUGACAUUCAGAGCUUCAUCUUUAGUAUUUAGUGUCAUUAGGUUUUUUAGUUCGACAUUCAAAGCCACGUCUUCAGUUUGACAUUCAGAGUCAUCAUGUUCUUCCUAUUAGCCUUUAGAGCCUCCAUCCUUCCUCAAUUAUGGCAUUUAGAGUCGUCGUUCAUAGUCAAGCAUUCAGAGCCAUUGGUCAGCUUGGCAUUCACAUGCCACUGUAUUUCUUCAGUUCGACAUUUAGAGCCAUUAGUUAGAUUGGCAUUCAGAGCCAUCAUAUCUUCAUUUUGGCAUUCAGAGCCAUUGGUUAACUUGGCAUUCAAAUGCCACCAUAUUUCUUUAGUUUGGCAUUCGGAGACAUUAGUCAGCUUGGCAUUCAAAGCCACCAUUUUCCUUUAGUUCAGUGUUUAGAGCCAUAUUCCUAGCAUUUAGAGCUGUCAUUUUCUUUUAGUUUGAUGUUUAGAGCCACAUUGCUAGCAUUUAGAGUUAUCGUUUUCUUUUAGUUUAAUAUUUAGAGUCAUUCUCUCUAGUUAGAGCCUUGAGCUCACGACCCAGAGUCGUUCUUCUUAUUCAUGACCCAAAGUCAUUAUUUCCAUUUAGAGCCCUGGGCUCACAAUCCAAAGUCAUUUUUCUCACUUAAGACCUAGAGUUUUUUCAUCCUUGAGUUGAGCCUUCAUCAUUUGGCUGCCCAUGAGUGGUAUGACUUGGAGUUUGCGUAUCGUAUUCUCUUUCUAGCCGAUCAAUCAUAGAGCCUGUUCACAUAGCCUUGACCUAUUCAUUGUAAUCCUGAGUAACUCAUUACAUCAUGACCUAGAGUCAUUCAUUCCACCCAUAGCCCUAAGCAAUUCAUUGUAACCCUGAGUUACUCAUUGCAUCAUGACCCAUAGUCAUUCAUAGCAUCUUGAGCCCCAAGCUCAUGACCUAGAGUCAUUUGCAUCCUUCACAUCCCUGAGAUGUUUCGUUUUCAUCAUUCUGGCCACUUGCAAGUGGCCUCGAUUCAACACCAUGAGUCGGAAAGCAUCAUAAUCGGCUAUCCAUUUGGAGCCCUGAGCUCACAACCUAGAGUCAUUUUUCUCAUUCAUGACCCAAAGUCAUUCUUUCCAUUUAGAGCCCAGAGUCGUUUUUAUUAUCUAUGACCUAGAGUCAUUCUUUCUAGUUAGAGCCCUGAGCUCAUGACCCAGAGUCGUUCUUCUUAUUCAUGACUUAGAGUCAUUAUUUCCAUUUAGAGCCUUGAGCUCAUGAUCUAGAGUCAUUUUCCUCACUUAAGACCUAGAGUCUUUCCAGCCUUAAGCUGAGCCUUCAUCAUUUGGCCGCCCAUGAGUGGUAUGACCUAGAGUUUACGUAUCACAUUCUCUUUUUAACCGAUCAUUCAUAAAGCAUAUUCACAUAGCCUUGAGCUAUUCAUUGUAACCCUGAGUUACUGAUUGCAUCAUGACCUAGAGUCAUUCAUUCCACCCAUAGCCUUGAGCAAUUCAUUGUAACCCUGAGUUACUCAUUGCAUCAUGACCUAGAGUCAUUCAUAGCAUCCUAAGCCCUAAGCUCACAACCCAGAGCCGUUUGAAUCCUUCACAUCCCUGAGAUGUUUCGUUUUCAUCAUUCUAACCACUUACGAGUAGCCUCGACCCGACACCAUGAGUCGGAAAGCAUCCUGAUCAGCUAUCCAUUUAGAGCCUUGAGCUCACGACCUAGAGUCAUUUUUCUCAUUCAUGACCCAGAGUCAUUCUUUCCAUUUAGAGCCUAGAGUCGUUUUUCUUAUCUAUGACCCAGAGUCAUUCUUUCUAGUUAGAGCCCUGAGCUCACGACCUAGAGUCGUUCUUCUUAUUCAUGACCCAGAGUCAUUCUUUCCAUUUAGAGCCUUGAGCUCACGAUCCAGAGUCAUUUUUCUCACUUAAGACCUAGAGUCUUUCCAGCCCUGAGCCAAGCCUUCAUCAUUUGGGCGCCCAUGAGUGGUAUGACCUGGAGUUUGCGUAUCACAUUCUCUUUCUUGUUGAUCAGUCAUAGAGUCUAUUCACAUAGCCUUGAGCUAUUCAUUGUAACCCUGAGUUACUCAUUACAUCAUGACCUAGAGUCAUUCAUUCCAUUCAUAGCCCUGAGCUAUUCAUUGUAACCCUGAAUUACUCAUUACAUCAUGACCUAGAGUCAUUCAUUAGCAUCCCGAGCCCUGAGCUCAUGACCUAGAGUCGCUUACAUUCUUCACAUCCCUGAGAUGUUUCGUUUUCAUCAUUCUAGCCACUUGCAAGUGGCCUCAACCCAACACCAUGAGCCGAAAAGCAUCCUGAUCGGCUAUCCAUUUAGAGCCCUGAGCUCACGACCCAGAGUCAUUAUUCUCAUUUGUGACCCAAGUCAUUUUUAGCAUUCAAAGCCCUGAGCUCACGAUCUGGAGUUGUUCUUCUUAUUCAUGGCCUAGAGUCAUUCUUAGCAUUCAAAGCCCUAAGCUCAUGACCCAAAGCCAUUUUCACCUUUUAGGCGUUCAAAGCCACUACUUUCUUUCAUGGGUGUUUAGAAUCGUAGGCCUUCAAAUCUCCCAUUGGCAUUCAUAUCCACAAUUUUCCUUCAUAGGUGUUCAAAGCCAUCUUUUCUAGUUUUAGGUGUUCAGACCCAUUCAUUUCAUCAGUUUUAGGCAUUCAAAGCCACUCAUCUCUUCCAGUUUUAGGUGUCCAGAGCCACUAUCUCUCCAUAGUUUGGCGUUCAAAGCCAUCAUCAUAUGUUUUUAGUUUUAUGCGUUCAAAGCCAUGUAUUCAAUUUGGCAUUUAGAGCCAUCAUAUUUUCCAGUUUUAGGCGUUCAAAGCCAUUCAUUUCAUCAGUUUUAGGCAUUUAGAGCCACUAAUCUCUUCUAGUUUCAGGCGUUUAAAGCCACUAUCUCUCCAUAGUUUGGCGUUCAGAGCCAUCAUCAUAUGUCUUCAGUUUUAAGUGUUCAAAGCCAUAUCUUUAAUUUGGCAUUUAGAGCCAUCAUCUUCUUCAGUUUGGCAUUUAGAGUCAUUGUGCAUCCUCAUUUAGGCAUUUAGAGUCACCAUCUUUCUUUAUUUUGGCAUUCAGAGUCAUUUUUCCUCAGCCUUAUCAUUCAGAGUUAUAGCUCCUGGCAUUCAUAUUCAUUAGCAUUGCACAUCUUGCCUUGACGAUUUUACAUUCGUUCUCAGUUUCCUCACCUCGUUACCUUGUGCUUAUUGCUUGUUCAUCAUGCUCUUCUAGAGGCUUUGAGCUUAUAGCAUGUGUUUUGAUCUUAUCAUUAUAGCACAUGACAUAGUCCUCCAUAGUGUAUGUGUGGUUUUUCCAUUUGUACUCAUUUCUAUGCUCUUUGGUGGUUCAACUGCUACUCGGCUUUGAUAUUGAUUUUCGAGUCACUUUUGGAGACUUUUCGGGAGUUCUAGAUCCAUAGUGUAACUUUCGGGGCACCUUAGGAGUUUCCGUUCAUGCCAUUUCAUUUUUGUAAGGUUUUAGAGCCUCUUUGUUCUUGUUUUAGUUUAAGAGAACCCAUGUCAUCCUGGGACAAAUUUGGUGGUCUUUCUUGUUCUUCGAAAAAGUUCACUUCGUUUCGUUUGUGUAUACACUCACUUUACUCAUGAACUCUACCGAAGAGGGGCAUAUUUUUUGUGGAUCCCGCAUUUUUCUUUAUGCGUUCCCACUCGAUGGUGCAACUCGCUUUUUAUUUGUUUGGUGAAAAUUUGAUUUUUAGAAAAAGACUUGGAGUCACCACUUAUUUUUGUUUUAUUUUUUAAGGGAAAAACAAAAUAAGAAAUAAAAACUCUAAAUGUGACUCCUGAAGGAAAAAAACAGGUCUGCGAAAAAUCGAGUCUGGGUUCGGGGAUCAGGUUACCUAUUAGGAAGGUACGGUGGUGAGUCGUAGCACCCCUCUGAGCUCAUAACAUAGGGUAUUUACUAAACAAAUUGAAAGAAUUGUGGCAAUUAAUUAAUUAAUUAUGGAUAACAAGAAAAAUAAUCAAACAAAUGAGUAUGUACAAGUCAUAGUGAAAAUCAAUAUACACAAAAAUAAUGAUGAAAUCUAAAUACAAAAUAUGCAAAAUGAUUUAUUGAACUAAAAAAAGAUAUUAAAAAAAAUAGUUUUCAGGAAACUUCAAAUGAUUUUAUUAAAAAUGAUUUUGAAUUAAUGAUUUCAAUUUAUUUAUUUACAAAAAAAUAGUCAAUUUAUUUUCUCAAUUUUAUUUGUAUUCAAUUUUCAAAAAAGUUAUUUACACUUAUUGUAUCAAAAUAAUUUAUUACAAAAUUUCAAUUUGGGCACAAAAAUUAUUUUUACAAUUUUAUUUACAAAAGUAUUUUGAUUCACUUUCAUUCAAAAAAGUGAUUUAUACAAAUGAUUUAAAAAGACAUAACUUUAUUUACAAAAGAAAUUUUAAUUAAAAAGAAAAAAAAUUAAAUCCUCUAUUUCUAAAAAAUACUUUUAAUCCCAUUUUAAUUAAGGAAAAAAAAUCAUUUAAAAGAAACAUUUAUGGACAAUUUUAUUAAAAAUUAAUUUUUGGGGCAACUUUAUUUACAAAAAUUUUUUUUGGAUAAUUUUUAUUAAAACAAAAUUUUCAAAUUCUAUUAAAAGCAAUUUUUUUUAAAAAAAAAUUCUAAAAACAUUUUUCUGAAUUUUUAUUAAUAAAAAAAACUUUCUUUUAUUAAGAAGAAUAUUUUAAAAUUAUUAUUUUAUUAAAACAUAUUUACUGAAUUAUUCAUCUUAUUUAAACAAAAUUUUUGAUUUGUUCGAUAUUCAAUUCUAUACACACUCAAUAAAUAUAUACAAACAAAUAUUUACAUAACUAAUAAAAACAAAAUCAAAUAAAAAUGAGAAAUAAAAUAUGUACCAAAAUAAACUUACAACAAACUCAAUGUCUUCCUACAAUUUUUUCAAUAUCACUUUCUUCCAUUAAAUUCCAUGCUCCACGUGUCAUAAAUUCGUACUCAGCCAAUAAAAUUGCAGAAUAGGCUCAUGCAAAAACAAAAAUAUCACAAACGUAAAUAUCCAAAAAUAUGUAGAGUCCACAAUAAUUGUUCAAACCUAAAUUCAAACUUUAAAUUAGUCCAAUAAAUUUCACCAAUUAAAAAUGGGUCUAAAUUAACAAAUAUAACCCAACAAAAAUAUCCCACAUAUCAUAGACCCUAAUCUAAAAUUUUCAAAAUAGCCAAAAAAAUAAAUUCAAUUAAUCAAACCAAAAACAUGAUAAAUUUCAUUAGACCUAAAUUUAAUAUUCCAUAAUUCAAGUUUAAUUUAAUAUACACCACAAUUGUCUCAUGUCUAAAUUAAAUAGUUUGAAUUGGCCAAGCCCAUAUCAAAUAUUCAAGUCAUCCAACAAAUCUCACCCACAUUGUGGGCCCAAAAUUCAUAUAAAUUAACAAGCCCACAUUAAUAAUAUAUAUAGUCAAAGGAAAUAAUAUCUCAAGUUCAAACAAAUAACCAAUUAACAAGUCCACAUUAAUAAUAUAUAUAGCCAAAGGAAAUAAUAUAUCAAAGCACAAUCCAAUAAACCCAAACAAAUAACCAAUUAACAAGUCAACAUUAAUAAUACAUAUGGUUAAAUGAAAUAAUAUCUCAAGUCCAAUCCAAUAAGCCCAAACAAAUAACCAAUUAACAAGCUCACAUUAAUAAUAUAUAUAGUCAAAAGAAACAAUAAAUCAAGCCCAAUCCAAUAAGUCCAAACAAAUAACCAAUUAAUAAGCCCACAUUAAUAAUAUACAUAGUCAAAUGAAAUAAUAUUUCAAGCCCAAUCCAAUAAGCCCAAACAAAUAACCAAUUAACAAAUUCACAUUAAUAAUAUAUAUAGCCAAAAGAACCAAUAUAUCAAGUUUAAUCCAAUAAGCCCAAACAAAUAACCAAUUAAGAAGCUCACAUUAAUAAUACACAUGGUCAAAUGAAAUAAUAUUUCAAGCCCAAACAAAUAGCCAAUUAACAAGCCCACAUUAAUAAUAUAUAUAGCCAAAAGAAACAAUAUAUCAUGUUCAAUCCAAUAAGCCCAAACAAAUAAUCAAUAAGUAAUAGGCCCAAAUCCAAAUCAAUUUCUAUACAAACCAAAAAUAAAAAAUAAAAUGAAUAAAAAUAAAAUAAAGCAAAAAGGAAAUUUACCAAUUUUUUUUUAAAAACUAUAGAUGGUCGGAUUGCUAACCAGCAAUGAUGGGGGUAGUUGGCUAAUAGUGGUCGACUAGGAGUGGCGGUGAGUGUGACAGAUGGAGAGAGCGAGGAAAAAGAUGAGAAAGAGAAAAUGGAAGGAAAAAAUCCGAAAAGAAUAAUAAAAUAAAAUAAAAUGUGGAGAAAAAAAUGAAAGGAAAAAAAAGAGAGAAGAGAGUGGGAGAACUCGGGAAAAUGGCAGUGGGUCUUUAGGGAGAAAAAACCAAAAAAAAAAAAAAAAAAAAUGGGAAAGAAAAAAUUUGGGUGGGGAUCCCGGCUGACCGUAUGGAGAAAGUGGGAGGAGACGAAGAGAAAAUGGAGAGAAUAGGAGGAUGGGGGCAGCCGGCCACUGCUGUGUGAGGGGGAGUUGGGCUAUGAGUGGAGUGAUGCAAGAUGAAGAGAAAAGAUUUGGGAGCCGAUCACCGCAAAAAAAAAAAGAAAAAAGUGGGAACCCAAAAAUCCAAAAGCCAAAAGCCAACAUCAGAGGAAAAAGAAUUGAAGGGGGGGGGGGGGGGGGCGUCUAGUGGGAAGUGAUGCAAGGAGAAAAGAAAAGAAAAUUGGAAAAGCUAUGGGGGUCGCCAUCCACCUUGCCUUGGGAAUGGGGGAGAAAAAAAAUGAUGAAGAGUGGAGAUGGGGAGCCUUUGGACGUGGGAGGUAUGGGGGGUAGGUUAUAAGAAUGGCAACGGGGCAGGUUUGGGACGGGUCAUUCCCAUCCCAUUCCCGUACCCGAUUAUACAGUUAUUUCCCAUCCCUGACACAAACUCGUGCCAGGGUAGGUUGAUUGGAUCCCAUCCUUGUUAACAGAAGAAUUAAUAACCCCAUCCCCACCCUGUCCCAAAUGUCUAUUGGGCCCUAACCCUAACUGGUGAUGAGCAAAUCUCAUACUCAAAUGCACUUUCCUUUCACUGAUUAUGAUAAUAUACCAAAUAUGAAAAAAUAAUAUCAAAGUUGAAAUUAACACCACAACAAUCAAUAAUUUUAAGCCCAUAAUUAGCUUAAAUCAUUCAAAAUUAAUGUAAAACACAAAAAAAAAAAAAAAAACCAUCUAAACCAUUUACAAAAGAACAAAAUGAAAACUGAACCAAACGAGAAACUGGGUUAAUAUCAGCCAUGGAUGUGAAUCCCUCUUCAAGCCAAUCUUUGAACCAAGAAUUCAUCAAAUCCAUUACUUCAAAGGCUUUUGCAUUCCUUUUGUGUUGUGCUCUCGGACAAAGAUUUCAAGGUGAUGCUCUAGAUGAUCGUGUUGCACAUAUUUAGGGUAAGGAGAUCGAAGUCUGUGACUAGUUUGAUGUCGCGAAAGAGGAGUUUUGGGCUUUGAGGCUAAACCAAGAACAAGAUGAAAUUGAUUUCAGAGUAUUUUAGUUGGUAUGAGGGAGGAAGAAAAAGUAGUACUAAUCUUGGAGAUAGGGUUUCAAGCGGUGCAUCAGAGGAAGAAGAAAAAGAAGCGGCUGUUAGAAUUAGGGCAAAUGGGAAGAAUGAAAGACCAUUAUAUCAGAGGAAGAAGAAGAAGAAGGAGCGACCGUCAGAAUUAGGGCAAGAAUAAGGGCAAAUGGGAAAGAAUGAAGUAUAUAUAUGGGGAGUUUUUUUUUACAUUUAAGUAGUAGUUGAAGGGUAAUUUUGUAAAUGCAUAUUCGGGGCGGGGCGGGUUGGAACAAAAUCCAUACCCGUCCUAAACCCGAUUCAGGUUUUUAAAAUAUUCUCAUAUUUGACCUAUACUCGUUUAUUAUAUUUUACACCUGUCCCAAUAGGGGCGAGGCGGGGCAGGUUACCCGAUUAGCCCAGAAAAUUGUCAUCCCUAGUAGGUGAGGGUAGGUGGAGGAAGAGAAAGAAGAGAGGAAAGAGAAAAUAAAAAAUAAAAAAUAAAAUAAAAAAGAUACAAAUAUAAUAUAAUAUAAUAUAACAGAAUAAUAAUAAUAAUAAUAAUAACAAAUAAAAAUAAAAAUAAAACAAUUUACAAAAUAUAAAAACUAAGAAUUAAAGGGUGAGUGGGCAAAAAAAAAAAAAAAUGUAAUCGGGAUUUAAAAUUUAUUGACAAAUUUGUGCUCAAAAUUAAUGAAAAAAUAAAAUUGGGACAAUUUUUGGUGUCUGCAAUGGUUUUUAAAGUUUUUUUUUUCUUUUGAAAAUCGUCUCUUGAAGACAUAAUUUCUGAGUUUUGUUUUUUUAUUUAAUAAAUUAAUAAUUUUUUUAAACUCAAUUUUCACAUAAAAUUGAUAAUAUUUUUUUUUUAAAAAUUCCAAAGUGAAAGAAAAAUAAUAUAUAAAUAUUAUUUAUCUUAUAUUAAAUUUAGUAUAUUAUUUAUAUAUUAAAUUUAGUAAAUAAAAUUAAUUAAUUUUAUAAUAUAUAUUUAAAAUAAUUGUAAUAUUGUAUAAAUAGAAUAAAGAAUGAAAAAAGUGGAUUUUUUAAGGUUUUGCUUUUUUUUAGUGAGAAUUUUUUACUUUUGUGUUGUCCACUUGGUUGUUUUCUUUUUUUUUUUUAAGUGAGAAUUUCUCACAUAUAUAUUUUUUGUAUGUAAGUCGUCUCUUGAAAAGACGAUUUCUCACUUUUUAAUUUAGAAAUCAAGUCUUAGGAAAUCAAUUUUUUUUUUUUAUAAUUUUUUUAAAAGUUCAUAAAUCGUCGUUUGAAGAGACGAAUUUUCACUUCCAAUUUAUUUUCUCUUUCUUAUCUAGACAAAACUAUGGUAGAUUUAAAAUUAUUUUUCUAACUACACCAAUUUAGGAAUUAUUUUUAAAAACUGCCGCAAUUAUCAAAAUCCGUAAUUUAUCGGUUAAGUGCACGAAUACCCGAAUAAAUUGUAGCGAAUUUUCUAUUAGCUUAGGCAAUAAAAUCAAGGUACUGUAGAAUUUUCCUAAAAUCAAAUGGGUGAAACAAGGAUUUAAAUUUUAAAAGGAAAUCAAAUUCUACAAUUCAACUAUAUGGUUGAGAAUCUGCAAGCCUUGGUUGAAUGGCGUCUCUGCUGGCUGCUCCUUCCUUCAGUCCUCAACUCCGUAUCUUCCAGGGCCUGAGGACGAAGGCGAUUAAGACCCUUAAUUCUGUACAGCUCCCUGCAAUUCGAUGUUCUCUAAAUUCUAAUCAGACCCUCAAGACUUGCAAGAUCUGUAAAACUCAGUUCGACCCUUUGCUCAACCACCCUCGUGCUUGCCGCUUUCACACUGCUCAUUUUGGCGGUACCCCCUUCCUCCUCCUUCUUCAUUGUUUGUUUGCCGAGAAAAAUUGGAGAAAUCAUAACCAAAUAAGAUGCAGUUUUUUAUUUUUUUUAAACAUUCUUUUUUUUGUUCACUCGUUUUCUCAGCAGCCAAUCUCAGCGUUAGGGUUAUGUAUGUACACAAGACUCAAAUUUGGAUACUCUUUUUGCAAUUGCAAAUCUAGGAGAUCGUAUUGGGUACUGGAAAGAGACUGAUAAAAAUUUAUGGUGAAUGGUUUGAGAUCGACAUUAUUUAUUUAUAUUUCUUUUUCUUCUGAAUCUUAUUAUUUAUGGUUCCAGUGGCCUUGUGGUUUAUGGUGGGUGGGUUUGUGGUUUAGUGCCCAGAAAUUGAUAUAACGAGUGGGAGAAAAGGAAGGCGGAUAGUGUGGGUAAGUUGUGAGAUAGAGGUUUUGGGCAUUGUAGGGGGUUCAUGGAUGAGGAGGAACUUUCAGGAUAUGUUUUCUAUUCGGUGGGGGAUGGGAGGAAGACGAGGUUUUGGCAUGACAAAUUCUCGGAAUGUAUUUGUUGUCUGCUGGGGAUAGGCAGAGGCUGAGGUUUUUGCAUGUUGAGCUUGUGAUAGAGUGUUACUAGUAUAAUUUCUGGAACUUUUCAGAAUUGCUGUGAAUAGAGAAGCUACUGAGCUGAAUGUUGAUACCGUUCAGCUUCUAGGGGUACUGGAUCCCAUGGUUUGUAGAGAACUCUGUGACUGGAAGUUCAAGUUUGAAUUGUGGAUUCCUUCAUAAAGCUUAAUUAAGCAGUGAGGUCCUUAGAAUCUCAAUGUUUUGAGAUGGAAGAUCACUGGGAAUGGGUGGUGCUUUUCUUUAUAUUCCGUUUUAAAGGAUGAGUUGGGAUGGAGUGAAUGUGGAAUAUGGACUGUAUGGUUUCAAUUUCCAAAUUAGAGGGAAGGUGUGAGUGAUUGAAUAGUGAUGGUGAAGAAUAUAAAUGUCAAAGAUCAAGCCCAUGUUGCAUGGGUUUGGGUACGAGUGCCUGGUGCAGGUAUGCAUCUAAGCAUCUGAUCUUUCACAUCUCAAAUUUUAGAAUGUAGGGACUCGACUGAAAAAUGCUCUUGAAUGGUACAUAGAUAUGAUAUCAUAAGGGGAAAAAAUCAAUUGGAAGUCGAUCAAAGCAAAAAAGAAAAGAAAAAUAUCCUUGAAGAAAAAAACAAUUUCUUUUUUUUCUCUUUUAUCCUUUUUCUUGGAAAAGUAAAAAAUUAGUAAAUAUCCAAAGCAAAAGAAGAGCAUCUGAAAAGGAUCCCUACACCCAUAACCUUGUCAUAUCGUCUCAACAUGGGUACAUUAAGCAAAAUUGAAGAGUUUGGAUAUUACAGGGUCAAGCACCAAAUAAAGCCUUGAUUUUGAAUUUGAGGAUGAGUUUUCUGCAGCCAGGUAAACUGGUGCAACCUAAGCUUCCCUGUCUUCCAAAAGGAAUCAGACAAAAUAAAUCUUGGACUUGGAAAUGAUUUCAAUUUUAGGGGUAUUUCUUUUAUUGAGCUUGGUGGAUGUAACUAUAUAUCUGCUGGAGGGAAUUCUUGCUAUCAGUAGAGAAUAGCUUGUACAAUGGAAGCAAGAAGCUCAUUAAUGAUACACGUAAAUAUUACUUUGAAGUAUGGUUUUUAUUUUUCAGUUUUUAGAUUAUUUGGCCAAAAUUAACAAAAAGUUCCUGUGCUGACAUUCAUUUUGGAAAUAAUUCCCUUGGAUUUAAAAGAAUGGACAUAGUAAGCUGUGAAAGGGUGGUUUCUAAAUUUUUUAUUGUUGUGGUCUGAAGGCAUUGUGGGCAGAGACAAUCUUCCCUUCUAGCUUUUGUAGAUUGUUUGAGAUGUAAGCCGGAAGUGUGUUGUUUCUAUUUUCUUUUUGCUAUGUGCUUUUGCAUGGCUUGUAUACUUGCAUUGCACUAUUUUUUCUGGUUAGGUGCUUUCUAAUAUAAUUUCUCUUAUUUACCUAUUAAAAGAGGGGAUUACUUCCAUGGGAAAAUGAACAAAGACUAGCUUGGUAGAAGGCACAUAUGUGGCUAUGUAUACUAUAAAAUGGAAUGUAUCUGGAAAUUUGAAGAAUUCAUGAAUCAUCCUUUAGUCCUAUGUGGGUAUUUUGGUCUCACCGUCAUCUUGUCAGUUUUCUUAAAUCAAAUAGUUGAUAAAUUUGAGAAGUAAAAAGGACCAUAAUCCCAUUUUGUUGUUUAGUAAUCAAAUGGGGCUCUUGAAUACUAAUUCAAGUUGAAAAUGGUUUAGUUUGCAAAACUGAGACAUAGAAGAAUGCUGCCAGGUUGUGGCUAAAGUUGGACUAUAAAACCAAGGACAUCAUACGUAACCAAGAGUUUUAAACUUAAAAUUUACUGAACUCAAAAUGCAAUAGCAUUGGCUUUGCAAAGGUCAUUAACUUGUGCAAAUCAUAAAAAUUAAAGGGGAAAAAAACAUAACAGGAAGGGAUUCCAGCUGUCUAUUGAAUAUUACUAACUUCUGAAUCUCUAAUUUCUUGUAUUAGCAUUAUGCUUAUAUCAUGCUUCUACAUGAUGGAUAUUUUAAUGCCACUUCAUUCCCAAUGCUCUAUAUCACCUCAUCUCUUUUCCAUUCUCCAUACCCUCAGGAGAAACGAAGAGGAAGUUCGAGAGCGUCUACACAGGAGGCACCAUGAAUACACCUGACUCUGGUCAGGUUCUUCAAUACUGGCAUUGCUGUGGAUCUGAAGAUCCAUUUGAUCCUGGAUGCACUGCUGCCCCUCACUCUUCCUAUGAUGACUGAUGGAAUCAAUGCAAUUUCUCAAUCAAUGUUAGGUUCACAUGGAUGAUUCUUGAUUCUUGGUUGUUUCCUGUUAUUACUAGGUUGUUUAUGCUUUUUUAUAUGUAAUUGCAGAUGUUUCUAUUCCCUGUUCUAUUUUUUUUGACAAAAACAUGUCCUAACAGUUAAUUGUUUAGCUGAGAGAAUCCCAAUAAACAGAGAGUUGAGCUCUUGUUCUAUCUUGUUUUUCACGAGAGAUAAGUAGUAUUACAGUUUGUCCAAUCUUUUUUCUUGGACAUUUUGGUGACUAUCAAUGCUGAGGUUGUUCUUUUGGCAGGUUGGUGAUGCUCAGUGAACUCCAUCUUCAACAGGUAUGAAGGGCUACUCCUCUCUUCCACUUCUUCAUUGCAGUAAUCUCAGUCCAAGGGGCUAAGCUGAACCCACGGAAGAAAAAGGCAUGCCCAUAUUCUGUGAUUUGCAACUGCAGUUUUUAAUCGUUGUUUUGUUUGGAAGGUGGGUUUGUAACUCAGCUUUUGAUUGAUGGAAAUUUGGAAGUUUAGUAUCACUUGAGAAGGUUUUUAAUUACUGUUACAGUCACAAACUUUAAUUUGUGCAAAGGAGUAAAGGAUGCUUUGGGUAAAUGGGAAUAGGAAGGGAAAUGGUAUGGGUAUGGGAAUGGAGGUGAAUUACGAUGCUACGUAGAAGAGAGGAAUCAAAAUCAACUUAUUGAGUUAAUAUGGCUGAAUGAAUUAAUUUAAGUUAUUAAGCAUAUCAACUUAUGACUUAAUAACUUAAGUAUAAGUUAAAAUCACUUUUAAGUUACUAAGCAAUAUGUAUGAAGUUUUAUGAACACCAUCUUAAUUUUCAUAUUAAUGAUUCUUUUAUUCCUAUCCUAUUCUUUUCAUUCCCAAUAUCUAUUCCAGCAUUCCGAACGCUACCUGAAGGAUCAUUGUGGGGGCUUUGUAGUCAUUAUUGGUUUCAUUCCCAAUUUAUUAGUCACAUCAUCGUGAAACCUUGAUCUUAAUUAUUUAAGGUGAUUUUAAGUUAAAUUAUUAAUUUAAAAUAUUUAUUUAUUUUAGGUAUUAAGAUUGUUUGAUAAAUCUAAUUUAAAAUUUAUUUUAAAUUAUCAAAUUGAGAUAUUUAUCUCAUUAAUUUUAACUAAUAUAUUUAUCCUAAUUGAUUUUAACUCAUAUUUAUUUUCAUUAAUUUUAAGUACUAAAUUUAUUUAUAAAACAUCCUUAUUUAUGGAUCUAUAAGAUAAUCAUAAAGUAUUGAUUUGAGUCUGUGAAAUCAUAAUUUAAAAAAAAUACUAUUACUAGUUUAGGCAAAUGGGGAAAAAAAGAUUUGAGAUUAAUAAUAAAUUAAUUAUUCUGAUUUAAUACUUAAGGUUAAAAAUAAUUUUAAAUUGUAAUAUUAAGUUCUUUUACCAAAUAUGCUUAAUCCAUUAAGUGACUUAAAUUCAGUUCUUAAGUCAAACAUCCUUUUAAUGUAAUUCAUGGAGGAUUUUGAACACUAAAUAAUUAAAUGUUAAUUAUUUAAUUGCUUUGGGCUUGUCUUUGUUUUCUGAUUGGGGUUAUGGGCUUUGGUUUAUUAAUUUUGGUUAGGUAUAAUUCUAAGGCCACUAAUUUUUUAAUGUUAAUAUAGCCUUUGGAUAAAUGCUUGGACUUUGGGCUUUAAUAUUUAAUUUCUUUGGGCUUCAUUGAUUUUAAUUUGAUUUGGACUUGUAUUCUUUGAGCCUUUCAUCUGGAUUAUGGACAUGGACUUGGUUUGAUUUGGGUUUUGAAUUGGACUUUUUUAUUUUUUAUUUUUAUUUUGGAUUGGGCUUUGAUAUGAACAUGGGCUUGCUCUUGUUUCGUAUACCAUAUUGUAACUUCUAAGGGGUUGAAAGAAGCUGAGAAUAAAAGGGAAAAAAAAAAAAAAAAAAUCAAAGGAUACAUGGCACUCAUCAAGAAUGACAAGUGGAGUUUUAAUUUUUUUUUAAUAAUAAUAUUUAUUAAUUAAAAUCAAUAUUUAGGGGAUUUAGAAAAUCAUAUAUGGCUCGUUCUAUGUAACCCGUUCAAAUAUUAUUCUUUAAUUUAAAAUAAUAUUUGAGAAAAUUUAGAAUAUUUUAUUUAGUAAUCUUAAAUUUAUGUCUUAACAAGAAUUAAUAAUUAUAAUUACCUUUUUAAUUAUCAAAUUCAUUAUUUUUGUUCAUUUUAACAAUUGAUAGAGUAUAUAACACAUAUGAUAUAUUUUUGUUUUUAAAUUUUAUAAUUUGGCUAGCAUUUGAAUAAACUAUUGGAAUUAAAUUUAUAUGAAUAAAAAAUAAAUUUAUUUCUCAAAAAAUUAAAAUUUCCAUAACUCACUUUACUUCAAUUGCACUAAAAUUUAUACUUAAAAAAUUUAUUUUAUAAGAAAAAUGUUCGGGUCAUCACAAUAUUGCAAUCCUCCACCACUCCACUUUUCAUGAGGUGCAAUCUAUUUACCCCUUCAAAUCCAACAAAUUCGGACAUAUUCACUAAUUUGAGUUUAGAUCCAAUUCAAAUUCAAAUUUUAACAAAUAAUUUUGAAUUUAAUUAGAGUUAAGAGUUUGUUUGACAUUGUAUAAGGUGUUUCUUUAGAAAACAUUGCAAGUGAUUUUACAAUAUUACAAGUGAUUUUUUUAGAUUUUUAAAAGCAUUUUCUAAAUUUUGCUAAACAUCUAAUUUUUUUUUAUUUAAAUAUUAUUUAGGUCAAAAGUGUUUUUUAGAAUCACCAUAAAAAAGACUCUUAAAGUGUAUUCGAUAGUGAUUUUAAAAAGUGUUUUUAGUUUUUUUCUAAUACUUAAAAAAUAUAAAUUUUCAAGUGUUAGAAAUAUUAAAAACGCUUUCUAAAAUCAUUACCAAACAAACUCUUAGAGUAUGUUCGACAGUGAUUCUAAAAAUUUUUUUUAGCCCUUUUGAAAGAUAAAAUUUUUUAAGUAUUAAAAAUUGUAAAAACACUUCCUAUAAUUACUACUAAAUGUGUUGUUAGAGUAUAUUUAACAAUGAUUUUAGAAAGUAUUUAUAAUUUUUCUAAUAUUUGAAUUUUUUUACCUUUUAGGUAUUAAAGAUGCUAAAAACAUUUUCUAAAAUCAAUACCAAACACACUCUUAGAGUGCAUUUGGUAGCGAUUCUAUAAAACACUUUUAAUCUUUUUAACACUUGAAUGAUAACAUUUUUCAAGUAUUAAAAAUGUUAGAAGCGUUUCGUAAAAUCACUACCAAACUAACUCUUAGUACACAUUUGGUAGUGAUCGUAGGAAACGUUUCUAAUAUUUCUAACACUUGAAAUUUAUUAUCAUUUAAGUAUUAAAAAAAUUUAAAACGUUUUCUAAAAUCAUUACGAAAUACAUGUUGAGAUAUUAGGAAUGUUUUCCUUAUAUCAUUCUUUCCUUAUAUCAUUUAGUGUUGAGAUAUUAGGAAUGUUUAGAUAUUAGGAAAGUUGAGAUAUUAUGAAUAUUGAGAUAUUAGGAAUAUUGAGAUAUUAGGAAAGUUGAGAUAUUAGGAUAUUAGUUGUUAUUUCCAUAUAUCAUUCUUUCCCAUUCUUAGAAUGGUGAUUACCCUCUAUAUAUACUCUGUACAUGAACGAAUGAAAGUAUGAAUGAAAAAACUACCAUUUAUCAAUUUGAAGAUGGUAUCAGAGCCAUGGAACUGAAAUCCUGGAUAUUUUGUCGCUAUGGUAGUCCAACAACGAUCAACCAUCCUAAGACAAGCCCUAAUAUUGAUAAGUCAACCUUCAAAUGCACUCACUGCAAUAAGACUGGUCUCACCAGUCUGAAUAUCCCACAAUUUCAAAGCAAGGACUCUUGGUAUGACCAGGAAAACAAUGAGGAACGAGGGUUUGAACCAUAGACCUUUAGAUCAUGUUUAGGCUAUCAACACUUUGUUAUUAAUGAUAAUAAUCGUGAUCAACGGAAGAAGGAUUCCAAGAAAACCUUGACUGCAACUGUUGCCGAAAUAAAAACAGAGGCUAAUGUUGCUGAGAAAGCCUCUGCAUUGGUAGCCGCUACUGAUCAUGGUGAUAAGUUUUUAAAUACUUUUACACCUGGUAUUAAUAGUGUAUGGAUAAUUGAUUCUGGUGCUACAGAUCAUAUGACUUUUGAUUCUAGACAGGUUUCACCCCUUAGACCUCCCUCACAAAAAAUUGUUUCCACAGCCAAUGGUAACACAACCCCAAUCAUUGGGGAAGGAUCCUUAACUCUUACUGAUACUUUGAAUUUGGAUUCUAUUUUAGUUGUUCCAUCUUUAGAUUACAAUCUUUUGUCAGUUUCUCAAAUCACUGUAACCUUAUCUUGUAUUGUCAUUUUUUGGCCUAAAUUUUGUGUGAUUAAAGACAUCCAAACAAGACAGACGAUUGAUUGUGGUAUUAAGCGGGGAAAACUCUAUUACUUGGACUUAUAGUCAAAGGAUUCAAAUAAGUUGCAACAAGCCUUGAUGGUAGAUGGAUCUGAGGGAGAGAAGAAAAAGUCUGAAAUUUGGUUGUGGCAUCGACGUUUGGGACAUGCUUCCUUUGGUUAUUUAAAAAAAUUGUUUCCUAGUUUGUUUACAAAGAGUGAUAUUUCUGGUUUCCGUUGUGACAUUUGUGAAUUGGCUAAAGCCAUCGUGCUUCGUUUCCGUUAAUUUUGAAUAAAAGUCCGUUUCCUUUUAUGGUUAUACAUUCUGAUGUUUGGGGCCCAUCCAAAGUCCCAACUUUGAGUGGCUCACGUUGGUUUGUUACUUUUAUUGAUGAUUGUACCAGAAUGACAUGGUUAUGCUUGAUGAAGACCAAAGAUGAAGUGAACUUGUUGUUUCAAAAUUUUCAUAAAAUGAUUGAAACUCAGUACAAUGCAAAGGUUCGGGUUCUACGUAGUGAUAAUGGUGGAGAAUAUCAAAGUUCUGAUCUUCAAAAGUAUUUGGAAGAACAUGACAUCAUUCAUCAAACUACUUGUUCCAAUACACCCCAGCAAAAUGGAGUCGUUGAACGAAAAAAUCGGUACUUGUUAGAGGUUGUUCGUGUUUCCUUGAUAUCAGCAAAAACACCGAUAUCUUAUUGGGGAAAAGCAACCACAUCUGCCACAUACUUGAUCAAUCGGGUACCUUCUAGCUCAAUUAACUUUCAAACACCUCUCCAAGCUCUUACUGAUUCCGUAGGUGCCCCAACCGUCCCAAAUCUACCUCCUCGUGUUUUUGGUUGCGUGACAUUUGUGCAUCUACACAAGCACCAACGCACCAAGUUAACUUCCCAUGCAUUGCAAUGUGUGUUUGUUGGAUAUGCAUUGCACAAAAAGGGAUAUCGAUGUUACCAUCCUCCAACUCGACAAAUGUAUAUUACAAUGGAUGUGGUGUUUCAUGAAGAUUCGAUGUAUUUUUCAUCUGAGUCUGAACUUCAGGAAGAGUACCAUAAGGAAAUUCAGACUCUCGAUUAUGAUUAUCAUAUAUCUGAGAAAGAUGAAUUUGGACAAUCUGAACUAGUGAACUAGGAAGCGGGUGAGUUGGAUAUGAGUGGUCAACAAUUGGGGUCCGAUGAUGUCUUCAUUGAAAUACCAAACCAAUCGUCCUCUGUUGAGGGUGUUCUUAAUUUGGAACCUAAUCUAUUCAUGAAACGGUUACCACACCGUCAUAAUAGAGGUAUUCCUAAACCCACAUAUGAACAUGAAUUGUUUACCAAAGUCAAAUAUCCCAUGAGCAACUAUGUGUCUAACCAUCGUUUGUCUGAAUCAAAUAAGUCAUUUGUAAAUCAAUUAUCCACUGUAGCUAUUCCUAACAGUGUGCAGGCUUCUAGCUGAUCCAAUGUGGAAAGUAGCCAUGAAUGAAGAGAUGAAAUCAUUGCAGAAGAAUGAAACAUGGGAACUCGUAGAAUGUCCACCAGGAAAGAAGCCAGUUGGGUGUCGUUGGAUCUAUAUUGUGAAGUACAAGGUAGAUGGUAGUAUUGAACGAUUUAAAGCAAGACUGGUAGCAAAAGGGUACACUCAAACUUAUGGAAUUGACUACACAGAAACAUUUGCACCUGUAACUAAGAUCAACAUAGUUCGAGUAUUAUUGUCUUUAGCUGCAAACUUAGAUUGGCCAUUACAACAAUUCGAUGUGAAAAAUGCCUUUCUGCAUGGCGAGUUAUUUGAAGAAGUAUACAUGGAUCUUCCACCAGGAUGCAUGGUGCCAGAAAAGCAAUGUCAGAAGGUGUGCAAGUUGAAGAAGUCAUUGUAUGGGUUGAAGCAAUCCCUGAGAGCAUGGUUUGGAAGGUUCACAAAGUCAAUGAGAGCUUUUGGCUAUUGUUAAAGUAAUUCAGAUCACACUUUGUUCCUGAAAAAGCAACAUGGUAAGAUUACGACACUUAUCGUAUAUGUGGAUGACAUGGUAGUUACACGAAAUGAUCUUGAAGAAAGAAAAGCUCUGCAAAAUUAUUUAUCUAGAGAAUUCGAAAUGAAAGAUCUAGGUCCUCUGAUAUACUUUCUUGGGAUUGAAGUUUCUCGAUCAAGUGAAUGAAUUUUUCUGUCUCAAAGAAAGUAUGCCUUAGAUCUUUUACAGGAGACUGGAAUGUCGGGAUGUCAACCUGUUAAUACAUCAAUGAAGGAGGUCUGAAAUUGUGUGUUGAGCCUAAUCAAGUAUCAACCGAUAAGGGAAGAUACCAGAGACUUAUGGGGAUAUUAAUGUACUUAGCUCAUACAAGACCAGAUCUUACGUAUGCAUUGAGUGUAGUGAGUCAAUACAUGCAAAAUCCUGGAGAGCAACAUAUGAAUGCAGUCAUGCAUAUUUUAAGGUAUUUGAAGAAUGCUCCUGGGAAGGGAAUUUUGUUUGCUAAAAAUGUUGAUCAUCAGAGUAUAGAAGUAUAUACUGAUGCUGAUUGGGCCGGUGCAGUGGAUGAUAGGCGAUCUACAUCUGGUUACUUUACCUUUGUAGGUGGUAAUCUUGUGACAUGGAAAAGUAAGAAGCAGAAUGUCGUCGCUCUUCAAGUGCAGAAGCGGAAUUUAGAGGUAUGACUCUAGGACUUUGUGAGGCAUUAUGACUAAGACUCCUCUUACAGGAUUUAGGUUACCUAUCUAGGCAACCAAUCCGAUUGUUUUGUGACAAUAAAGCCGCAUGUGACAUUGCUCAUAAUCCAGUACAACAUGAUCGUACAAAGCAUGUUGAGGUGGAUAGAUUCUUCAUUAAGGAAAAGUUGGAUGAUAAGAUUGUGGAAUUGGCUAAGAUUCGAUCAGAAGAUCAAUUGGCCGAUAUCCUUACCAAAGCUGUCUCANNNNNNNNNNNNNNNNNNNNNNNNNNNNNNNNNNNNNNNNNNNNNNNNNNNNNNNNNNNNNNNNNNNNNNNNNNNNNNNNNNNNNNNNNNNNNNNNNNNNNNNNNNNNNNNNNNNNNNNNNNNNNNNNNNNNNNNNNNNNNNNNNNNNNNNNNNNNNNNNNNNNNNNNNNGAUAUCCUUACCAAAGCUGUCUCAAGUCAAGUGUUCUCAAAAUUUUUAGACAAGUUGGGCAUGUGUGACAUCUAUGCACCAACUUGAGGGGGAGCGUUGAAAUAUUAGGAAUGUUAUCCUUAUAUCAUUCUUUCCUUAUAUCAUUUAGUGUUGAGAUAUUAGGAAUGUUUAGAUAUUAGGAAAGUUGAGAUAUUAUGAAUAUUGAGAUAUUAGGAAUAUUGAGAUAUUAGGAAAGUUGAGAUAUUAGGAUAUUAGUUGUUAUUUCCAUAUAUCAUUCUUUCCUUGUAUUAUUCUUUCCCAUUCUUAGAAUGGUGAUUACCCUCUAUAUAUACUCUGUACAUGAACGAAUGAAAGUAUGAAUGAAAAAACUACCAUUUAUCAAUUUGAAGAACACACUCUUAAUUAUCUCAUAUUAGAAGUGACCACCUAAACUUGUUUAUACAAAAAAUUAAUUUUCAAAUUCACAUUACAUUUGGUGGCAUGUUUAUUUCAUUAAUGGAAGUGGUUAUGGUUCUUUGACUCAAUGCAUUUAUUUAUUGAAUAAACUUUUAUACAUUUAAAUCUUGCCGGAUCAGUGAGGUUUUAACCAAAUAGACGAUAAAUCAAUCAAAAAUAUUUUUAUAUUCUUUCUUAAAUAUUUAUGUAAAUAUUAUUAUAACUUAGUGAAAGGUUGUGAAGAAUAUGGAGAUGCACAUAUUUUAUUUUUUAAUAAUUAUUUUCAAUCUAUGAGAUAAGAAGUCUUACCUAAAUUUUAUUUUAAUUGUAUAAAUAUAAUAUUUUUGUAUGAAUAAUUCUACUAAAUCUAUUAUGUAACAUUGGAAUGACAAUUAUUUAAAUAAACAAUAUAAAUAUUUUUUUUAUCAGGUAUUUUAAUAAAUAAAACAUAAUGUUUGUUCCAUCACACCAACAAUAAUAACUUUCCUUUCCAUUUUAUUUUCUUGCUAUAUAGUUUCAUAGAACACUCGAAGAAAAAAAUUCCUAAUUUAUUAUAAAUAUUUAUAGUAGUUUGUGGAUAGUAGCACUAUUUCCAUAUUUGUACUAUUACCAUAUCGAUAUUAUCUUUGGCCUAUAAAUACGAGUUUAUGAUUUAAUAAAGUGAGAUUGAACAAUUAAGUUAUUUUCUUCUCUAAUUUUCUUCUCAUUUUUCUCUUUUAAUUUUUAUGUUUAUUUUAUAACAAGUUAUCAACAUGAUGCUCCUUGUAGAAAAAGAAAAUAACUUAUCUACAAAAGUUUUUAUAGUUAUGCAAUCUUAUUUCUUUCAAACAUUCUUAUUUCAAAAGAUAUAUGAAAAUUGGUAUAUAAUUUUUUUUUAUGUUUAAUAUUAUAAUUUUGAUUUACUUUAACUCAUAGCUAGAAAUUUUGUAUAUCACAUUUUAUAUGAUCAAGCUAGAAGUUAUAUAUAAAAAAAAAUUUCAUAACUAGAAACUAUGAAAAUAAUUUCUAUUGACAAUUACUUUAUAGCUGGUAAAAUUGCCAGUCAGCAACCUUGUACCAAGAAGCUAUAUAGAAAAUUUUUAAUUCUAUUAUAUAACCAAAAGUUAUAGCAUGAUAUAAUUUUUUUUUGUCUUUUUUUUGUAAUUAUUACACUUUGUCACUUGUUUUAUGUUAUUACCAUCACUCAAAUUUUAAUUAUUUAUAAUUCAAAGUUAUAUAUAAAAGGUUAGUAAAUCAAUAAAUAUUAAAACUCAUAUAACUAGAAGUUAUAUGGAAAAUAUUUUAUUAUAAACUUAAAUUACACAUAAUUAGAAAUUAUAUAAUUAUUAUUAUCCAUUACCAAAAGUUAUGAAAAUAAGAAAAUUAGUAUUCUUUGGAAUAGUCCGGUGUUAUACCAAGUUGUUAAUAUGCAUUUUCUUAUAAUCAAAAGUUAUGGAUAAUAAAAUUGUUAGUUAACAAUUUUGUACAACUUUUUAUUAGUUAACAAUUUUGUACAACUUUUUAAAAUUCAUGUAACGAGAAUUUAUGAAAAAAAAUAUUCUAUACCUAAGAAUCUUUCUAUGCUAUAUAACAACUAAGAUUAAUUUUAAUAUUUGUUUUCCAAUAUCUAAAAGUGAUAUGUGAUAUUAAAAUAUGCUUGUUAUGCAUAUAAAAAAUUGAAAGUUUUAGAUUGCAUAUAAACUCAUAUUAUGGGAAUUUUGGAUAAUAUUUUUUUAUUUAUUUGUAUAUAAUUUUGAUUUCUGAAUAUUCUAAGACUACAUAUAAAAAUUUCAUUUUUCUUAACAUGUCAUUCUAUUAUGAUUUGAUUUUCCAUUUUAUGUAUUAUUAAUAAUAUGAAAACAAAUAUUAUAUUUAUAAAGAGUGAUUUUAAAAUUUUGUAUGCUUUUAGAUACAUAUUAAUAAAUUUGUUUUUCCUUAUUUGAAUCUUGAAGAUACUUAUUAGAAUAUGAAAAUUAAUAUUUCAUUUUGAAUAUAUAAUUUUGAGAAUAUGAGUUGUUUUUAGUAUAUCUUAGUAAAUACAUGUGAUAUUUCAUAAGAUUUUGUACUUAAAUAUCCAUGUUGAAAUAUUUCAAAUUUUUUAGAGAUUUGAGAUUAAUAGAAUAAUAUUAUUUAAUUUUAUGAUAUGAAUGUAAGAAUUUUUUAUUUUUGUUUAUUUUUUAUUUGUAAAAUCUAGUGUGCAUAUUUUAAUACCAUGUUUGAUGAAAAAUGGAGAUUUUGUUUUGAUAUAUUUGAAAUAUAUGGAAACUUGUUCCAAUAUGUAUAAAAUAUAUAUUUGAUUUACGAUUGAAUUUUCUAGAGACAUUUUUGAAAAUCUUGAGUAUAUAUAUUUUUUACUUUAAAAAUGUAUAUGAAACAUAUGACUUAGUCAUGUAAUAACAUAUUUGAUUUUAUAUGUCACUUUUGUUUAAAAUAUUUUUUCUUUAGUUACAUAAAAAUAGUUAUUUUUAUUAAUAUUACAUAUUGCUACUCAUAGGGUAUAUUGUAUUUAUCCUCACGACUCUCUAAAUCCAACAUAAUAGAAAAGAAUGGUUUAAAAAACCAAAAUAUAUAUUAGAUUUAGAGAUAGAAACUCAAACCUUGAUUUGAAUGUUUCCAAAAUUUUUGCUUUUGGUUUUCUUCUAACUUAAAAAAAAAAAAAAAACCUAAUCCUUUUAUGUUUGCCGAAGAUGCAACCUUUACAUAAGCUAUGCUCAAUAGAUUUCAACCUCGAUAGUUUUCCCUUGGACAAAAGCAUUUUCAUUCCCUUCUCACUUAUAUGCCCAAGCCUGCAAUGCCAUAAAUCUGAAUUAACACUAGCAUUAGCAAUAACAAUUGUAUCCUUGCAACUAGAAGUCAUAAACAAUGUUCUAAUUUUAUUUCCUUGAAUGAAAACCAUGGCUCCUUGGUGAUUUUCCACACACUACUAGCAAAUGACCCUUAUCAUCAAGUUGUCCUAUAAAGAUCAAGUUAUACAUUAACUUUGGUACAUGCCUUACCUUCUAGAUUUUCCACACAAAUUUGUUUCACAUAUUCAAUAUAACAUGACCAACACCAACAAUGUCUAACGGUUCUCCAUCAGCCAUAUACACCUUUCCAUAGUUUCUAGUAACAUAAUUUUCCAUAAUUUCAAGGUGUGCAAUGGUAUGAAAAGAAGCUCUUGAUUUUAACACCCAAGAGUUAAUAGUAUAAUCAACAAUAAGAGUACUGCAUUUUAUACCUCCUUAGUCACAACAUUGGCAGUGUCAUUUUUAUUAUCAUCGUUCUUCAUUGCUUUGCAAUUUCUCUUUUUGCAACCAAACUUGCCACAAUUCUAGCAUUCUACAUUUCAUCAAGAUUUGGAUUUGUCUCUUCUUUUUCUUGAAUUCAAUCUACAAUGAACUCAGUUAAAAUUCCUUUCAUAACUCCUAUCUUUGGUCCCAAAAUUUAGGGCAAAGUUUGAUGUUGUUGUCUCACCUGAAAUCUUUCAUGUGAACUUUCUUAGGAAGAAUUAGCAUCAUUAAACUUCAAUUUUGAGUUCCCUAUAGAAUAGCUAACUACUACUCUCAUGGGCUCCCAACUACUUGGUAAUGAGGCUAGAAGAAUUAAGGCACAAACUUCAUAAUGGAAAUUAAUUUCAACUAAGGACAAUUGAUUAAUAAUCUUGUUAAAUUCAUUCAAAUUCUCUACCAUUGGAGCACCUUCUCUCAUCUUCAAAUUAAAUAAUGUUUUCAUGAGAUAUGCCUUGUUAUUUGUAGAGUGCUUCUCAUACAUGUUUGUUAGGAAUUUGAGGCUAAUCCAAACUAUGGUAAUCACCCUAGAGGUAGGGGGGGGGGGGUUUAAAUAGGGUGAUGGUCUCUUUUUCACAAAUUUAAACUAUGCAAAAAUAAGAGAUAAUUAUAUGCAAAUAUAUAAUAAACAAAAUAAACACAAUUGCAUAUAAUUUAAAAGAGUUAGGGAAGAGAGAGUGCAAACACGAGAGUUUAUAGUGGUUCGACACUUCCUUGCCUACGUCCACUCUCCUCAACCUCCUAACCGAGUGAGGGUUCCACUAUCUUGAAGCUUCAACCAAGCUUCCAAUCUCUUUACAAUUGGAUUAUGGUUCCAAUUCACCCUCUUGGAAUUUUGGCUCCAAGCACCCUUUACACUUCUUCAAGAGAUAUCCCUCUCUUGAACAACCUCUCAAGUGAUACCCCUCACUUGAGAAAAUUCCUCACAAAGAUAUACAAAUAAUGAUCUCUCAAAAUCUUAGUAAUAGAACUUUAGGUUCAAAGAUACAAGAAAAACUAGGAUUGAAUGGUGCACUAAAGAUAUGCAAGUUUUGGAAUAAUGAUGCACUAAAAAAUACUCUUCCAAGGCUCAAAUAUAAUCAAGAAAUAUUUGGGAAGGUUUUGCUUAUGAAACAAUGAAGUUUGGAGCCUUUUUAAAAAAGAAAAAAGUCAUACUAGCGGUUGGGGGUUCGACCGGUCGAGCUAGGGGUCGACUGGUUGACUAGCCGUUAGGGAAAGUGACCGUUGGGCCUCAACCGGACCUCAACCGGUCCUCGACCAGACCUCAACCGGUUGAGGUUCAACCUUGACCGGGAAGAGAAGGCCACUGGGAGAGAGAAACUUUUUUGCCUCCCUCAACCGGUCCUUGACCAGACAAGCACAACCGGUUGAACCGGUUGAGCCAUUUUUUUGGCUCAACACUCAACCUUUUUCAACUUAAAACCUUUUAACACAAGUUUGAAAAUCAUUUAACACAAGGUUUUAGUUGAAAACAUGAAAUCAUCCAAUUCUUAAGAUAUUUAAAACAAUAUUACUCUUGGAUGAUUUUGGUGCAUAAAUAAAGAAUGAAAUGCAUGAAAGUCCUAGUGCACCAACAACCUUACAAAGGGAUCUUAAGAAGCUUUGGUCUUGAAAAACUCUUCUCUUUGAGGUGGUCUUCUUCUUCAUGAUUUCUCAUUGGCUUGAUUUGUCUUUGGAUUGCCACUUUGGAAGUCGUCUUGCCUAAUCACACUUGAAAUAUGAUCAUUAGUUCUAAACCUUGUUUUAUUAUCAUCAAAAUCAAGAUUAACCAAACCUUGGUUUCACAAUGUCAAAUAGGAACUCCAUUAGUCCCUUUGCGAUUUUCUUCUUCACCAUGCUAUGUGUCAUGUUUUUUGACAAUGUUAAUCUCAUGACUCCUAACACUUGUUUAUCAAAGAGAUUCUAAUUGAUUUCUGAUAUUGAUUUUGAUUUCUGUUUGAGAAGAGCUAGAUGUAACUUUUUACCAUAGUGAUAACCUUCAAUUUGCAUUCUCUAAAAUGUAAAAUUUGUAUCAUCGAACUUGUCAUUUUCAAGCUCAAAUCUAUCUCUUUUAAUCAUUACUCUCACUCAAACCAAACUCUGAUACCACUUCUUAGGAUAUAUAUAUAUAUAUAAGAAACAAAAAAUAGAGAGAACACAUAAGAUUUAUUGUAAUUUAUUCUUAAUGUAAGAGUUACGUCUACUUUGCUACUCCAGAAUUUCUAGUAUGAUUAAAAAGAAAAAUAUAAGGUGAUCUUAUGCCUAAUAUCACUCUAUUUUCACACACUUACCCCUAAAAAAGGUCAUCCUAAUUAAUUCCUUAUAUAAUGAGAAAAUCAGGGCAAAUUAAUACAUAUAAAAAAUACAUAAAAUACCCCUUAAAUAAAAAAUUAGGCUCCAUACAACUCAAUAUGAUUUUCUCUUCUUUUCCUUUUUUUGUAGACCAUGGUUGGUUGUUUUCCAUUUUUGUAGACCAUGUUUGGUUGUUUUCCAUUUUUGUAGACCAUGUUUGAUUGUUAUAAAAUUUGAAGGAAAGAAAAUGAAAGAAGGGAAAGAAAAAUAUAAGGAAAACAAAUAUACUGUUUCCUCUUACUUUGUUGUUUAUUAAAAAGUUGAGAGAAAGAAAAUUAACUGUACCAAAUUUUUUUUUCUUCCUGGGUAUUUUUUAAAAUCCCCUAUUAAAUCAAUUCAAUUGCCCGGAGUUACCUGCACCAUGAAACGAUUGAAAUUAAUGUCUCUCCCAAAUAAAAAAUUCUCUAUUACUCUCAACAUUGAGAGGUACCUUAAUUUGUCAAUUGACCUAGUCAUCGUCUCAAUGAGUACAGGUGCUUUUGUUUUCAGGGUUUUGUUCAAAGUAUCUUCAGGAUUUGGACUUUAUUUAACGAAUCUUCAACGAUGGUGGGUGAGACAAUCUCACAUUAAAAGGCAGAGAUUUCUGUCCUGUCAAAGAUAUAUGACCCCUCCUUUGUCGAAAGUUAGAGCUCAAAAGUAAAAUAUUGAUUAUGAUGCGAAUUCUUAACUAGGCUCAAUGGGACUCAACCACACGGCGCCACAUGGCCAACUUCACAUGCCACACACGGUUUGGGACAUAAGCCUUCGCUCCUAAGAUACUCAGCCACUAUGUAAUGACCACAUUAUUGUGCCUUCUAUAAAUGGCCUCCAUCUUCUCCACAUUCUGUUGCACUGCUAAUUACUUCACCUAAUAGCAAUGGAAUCAACCUCUUUGUUCCCUUCUCCUACGCUAACCUCCUUGCCCUCUUCAUCAGCUAAGGCGUCUUACCGGAAAAAACCGGUUAGACGGGUUGUUGCUGCAAGUAGAGGACCGGGUGACAGAGACUAUAGGGGCAAGCUGGUGGAUGAAAACAUGAUUGUCCUCAGAAUGCGCAUUAGAGAAGUGAAGAUGUUGGAGACGAGUAAAUCACCCCCAUCAAAUUGGAUGGAAUGGGAGAAGCGGUAUUAUGAACAUUACAAUGAAGAUGUAUGUCAAGCAGUGGGGUUGCUGCAAUCUUACCUGAUGAAUAUUAGGCCUAGUCUUGCUCUAGGGUUUUUGGGACUUAUCUCAUUGAGUGUGCCCAUGUCAACUGUGAUGGGUAUGUUUCAGGCUAUAAAGAUGGCCAAGGGACUCUUAUCUGGGUUAAGCUGAUGGAUUUUUUGGCCCUUGAUACAUUUUGUCAAAUUUAAAAUGGUAGUUUGGAUAGAAAAACUUGAUCUCUAACUGUCCUCUUUGUAUUUUUAUUUUUUGGGUGUAUGGAGUAAUUAUUACUUACCUGUAUCCGGGUUGGAUAUGUAGAUCAUUGUUUUAUCUUGGUCACUAGUUUACUGGUUUCCAGCACAUGCAUCAAUGAUCAAAUUUCUACGGCAGUCUCUGUAAUAAAGCAGCACUGCUGCCAUAAUUUUAUUCAUUCGCUUGAAGGGAGGGCAAAUUCUUUCUUUUUCUUACCAUGCCUGCACUAAUUUAUAGAUACCAUGGAAAGCUUAACUUCUCUUACAUGUUCAGUGGUUGAAAGCCAGUAAAGAAGCAAAUUUAAUGGGUGCAUGCAUGGCAGGUGGAAGUUCUGUGUUCUUCUGGGUUCAAUGAAGGAAUAGCAGUAUAUUUAGAAUGAAAUAAAAAGAAAGAAAGAUCAAAGCUUGAAUGUUGAACUAGCUGAGCAUCGAGUGGAUUAAUGGAAAGGCCUUGCUUGAGUCCUUUGCUUAUUCAUAUUACUUGCUAUCGGCUUAUGUUAUUCAAGGAUGUAUCUGAGACAAAUAUGGUAAAUUCUGGGAGGCUAUUUGUAAUUUGAUCCUUUGUACUAUGAUUAUAUUUGGAUUUUAACGUGAUUUACAUUUCACAUUUGCAAGUUAUGGAAUAUCUUAACUAGGGUUAGUGGAGGUGACCUUUGCUGUAGGGUUCAUUCAAAGGGAGGAGGGGGGAAGAGAGAGAGAGAGAGAGAGAGAGGGAUCGGGCCUGGAGAUUUAGUUGGCAGCUUUCUAGUGCAUUAAUGUUCCGAUCCCAAAGAGAUAGGUAAAUUGAAAAGAAAUGUAUAUACAAUUAAAAUUGGCAAAAUAACUCGAUUGAUUCAUCGGAACAUAUAGUAUAGGUUCGUGUGAAUGGUAGUUAAAUACUAAAGAGGUAACAACAACAUGGCUUCUGAAUUAAUUCACACGCUACCAUGUUGCAGAAGACAUAUACUAACCUGUGAUUAACAUCCUAAACUAAGGAGUUUUUAUAUUUAAAAGCUGAGUUUUAUAGUGUAGAAUCAAUUUUGAUUUGAGAGAUCACGAAAUUUUGCUUUCAAAGGUGUUGGAACAGAUUUCAGAAUUUGAUGCAGAUGGGCAACAUAGUAGCUCAAAUCAGAAUCUCCGAUUUGGAGCCUAGAGAAAUCAAAUCUUUCGAUUUGGGAAAUACAAAGGAACUGAAAUCGGGUUUGAAAGAAGUUCCAAAUGGAUUUCAACCCAACAAAGUCGAGAAGUCCAAUUUCGAUUGUCUUUAUGAAAGCAGUUUUGGCUAGGAAGAAAAGUCCAAUGCUGAAUUUUCUUCAUAUUUCAAAUCAAAAUUUCGCAUCAGCAACCACUUGAAAUAGAAAAUUUUUUAUUUCAUGGCUAUUUUGAUUUCAUGACUUUUUAUUGAAGUUUGUAAUUUUUUUAGGACUUGGCUAUGUAGGAUUAAUUUUAUAUAUGUAUCAUUCUUAGAGAGGGACAAAUUUAUGGAUAGAUAUAUAGAGAAAAAUAGAGAGAAAGAGAUUUGGAUUUUGUUUGUUUUGGUGUCAUUUCAAUAAAAGUUUAGUUUUUCUUUACCCUUUUCUUAUUUAAUAAACCAAAUAUGGGCUGUGAAAAGAAAUCCUUCAUCAUAUUUGACUUAUCAUGACGAUCCAAAGAAAAGCAUAAGCAAGAUGGAAAAUUCCUCCUUUCUACCUAAAUUAUAUAUAUAAUAUUGCAAAUUGCAUUCUACAUUGUUCAUCACAAUUAAGUAAUAAUGAACGUCGGUAACUUUCUACCUAAAUUUUAUAUAUAUAUAUAUAUAAUAUUGCAAAUUGUAUUCUACAUUGUUAAUCACAAUUAAGUAAUAAUGAAUGUUUAAUUCAAUUUCAAUGAUGCUUGAUGAUAACUCGCCUUGAUUGAUUGUCAAUGAGAUUAAGAUAAAUCUCCCAUAUGAAUUUAGGGUUCCAUUGUUAAACCAGAAACAAAGAUUAGGGUUAAUUAAAAAUAUUUUUGAGGUCAAAACUUUAUUGCCAAAUUAGAAUUUCAUAUUUGAACAGGUUUAAGAUUAGGUUUAGUUUUACUUUGAGUCUUUGAUCAUCAAACGGAGAAAAAUUUAUACUUCAUUGAAAUCUAUCUUUUGAUCAAGUAAACACUUCCAUGUGGACAUCCAGAUACUAACUACCAUAGUUACCGUUUCUUUGAUUUUUCUUGAUGGUACAUAGGUCUGCCGGCAGUACUUAGUUGCUUCAAUAUCCAAAAAGAAAUUGAUAAAGGUCUCUCCUUCAUACACAUCUUGAUCAUAAGAAUAUGAAGUAAAUGUGGAACACCUAGAUGGAACAAAAUAGAACAAAAUUCCUGAGAAACCCACCGCCAUUGUAUUAGACAGGUUUUUCCCGACUGCUGACCGGUGAAAGAUGGUUAGAGUGAUUGUCACUUCUCUUUAAAGAUUAAGAAACAUCUUGAACAUAUGAAACAUGUGCAUACAAAUGAGUGCUGCAAAUAUUGAUCCUCCUCUCUCUCGUCUUCUAUUUUCGCAGUUUAUGUUGAAUUUUCAUUCCUUUUUUUUGGUAUAUUUGCAAUUAUUUGUUGACAGUGUUAGCACAAACUACUGUUGGAAGUAUCAAUUAUCGCUUAAUUUGAACUAAUAAUUUACGUGCACACCAAAUUAUCUCUGGCUUUUACUUUUUGUCCAACUGGCUAUCAUGAGAAAUAGCCUUCAUAGUAUCGUCUUUAUAAUCUGGGGCCAUCAGUUUUGUCGACAAGCAAUCAUAAAUUCUGAUUACUUCAUUGCAUGUGGAAAACGUUUAUGAGAGAGGAGGCGCAUCUGCCUUCAUUCUUUCUUGUCGAGUGGCUUUUUAUAACACCAAGGGAUUGUAUUGAGGUUGGACGAAAUUCCAAAUUUGUUCAAAGUUCACAACCGCCCAAAACCAAGCUUACCUUGGCGACUCUGCAAGUUGGUAAGAUCUCAGGUUUUUAAUACCGCUUUCAAAGCCGUUUGUUGGGUCAAAAAGGGUGAUAGAACAUAUCAACUCUGAAAAUGUCAAUUAACCUAAUUUCUUCGUGAUAUCUUAUAUCAUAUGGGGAGAAAGUUUCUGACCCUAUACAAGUAUAAGGUUAUUAUAAUUAUAUGGCCCGUUUUAAAAUUGUGAGAGUCCCUUUUGUCCCCGAGUGGACAAUAUUUUCACGAUUGAAUACAGGUUGCUACUUCUUUAACUGCAUAGAGAUUCUUUUAAUUUUAGGAAGUGUUUUGGAAGUAACUUCAGGCAGAGUGGGGGCUUUCAGUCUAUCAUUAGGGUUUCCUGAAGUUCUGAUUUUAUAGAAUAAACCAUAUAUCAGACAUCCAAGCAGUCACCAAGAAAGCUUAUGAGCAUUGUUCGCAAUAGACCUAAAUUCCAUUAGGUAUAAAGGGGUGGAAAGUAGAGCAACUCAACAUGGGUUGAUCGCCAUCAGAAGUGCGCAACUUGCUGCUACCUACUGCCAUCAAUGGAGAAACAAAUGGAAAACGUGGAGUUUGAACAGUAAAUCCAACCAUUCGUCUUUCAUGUUUGCACAUGGCACUUUUCUAUCAAAAAGCUCAAAGCUUUAAUAAUUGUGCAUCAAUAAUGGCUAUGUUUGGUUUUAAGUACCAAGCAAAGAAAAAAAAAGUUUAAAUAGAAAAUGAUUUACAAAAUUAAAUAUAACUAAAGCUAAUUAAAAACUUAUAUAUUUUAAAAUUAUUUAAUUUUUAUUUCAAUGAAUUAAAAUAAAUGAAAUAAGUUUGAAGUAACAAAUAAAAAUAAUUUAUUGAUUUUAAAUUUAUUUUUUUAUUUUCUUCUAUUUUUCUAUUUUAUUUUCUUUCUCUUACAUUUAGGCAACCAAACAUGGCCAAAGAGGUUUUUGGUACAUUGGUACAUGCAAUUGCAGGAGAUACCUCUUAUCUCUACUUAUAAUUAGUGGAGAGAAUUCUGAGAUGGAUCCAAAUGUAUAGCUAUUUCGUUGGAUGAAAAAAAAAGAGUUUGAAAUGGGAUCAAGUUAGGAGUACUGCAAGGUAGAAUGUAAGAAUUAAUGGUGGUAGGUAGCUAAUAUUUUGCAAUAUUGAAACUGGGGAUACAGUUAAUAUUCAAAUAACAGGCCUAACAUAUGUUACCCUUGAUAUUAUCUACAAGAUAAACCAGAAGAAAAUUUGGCCAUAGCUUAGAGCAACUUGCACCAUUCAUUGGUAACAAGUUAAGGGGGAAAAAUGAGGAAGGAAAUUCACUUAUUGUAUUAAACAAACAAAGAAUUCACAUGGCUGUUGGACUUUAACACGGAAAUUAACAUACAAUAAUCCAGAUCAUUAUGAUUCAAACUCGUCUCUGAUGAUAAAUAAUAAUAAAAUAAUAAAAACCAGUAAUUAACAAAUAGAUCACAUACCAUUUGAAGAAGACGCAGCCAUGAGAGAUUUCCCUUCAGCUUAUAGAUCUUGAAUCCUUGAUCUCUUCUUCUCCUUAUCAAACCUUAAUACACAGAGUUAUUUUCUGUAAUUGAUGGAAAAAGCACACACUCCACACAUGAAGGGUUUUCUGUAUAUGUCUUUUAUUGAUAGGAGAAGAGGGCCAAGAAUACACGUUCAAAAACCGUUCUGAACGUGUCAAUCAAAAUAACUGUUAAUUAUCUCAAAUAAUAAUAUUAAAAUUAUUAUAAUUUACCCACUCCAUCAAUGGUAAAUAUCUAUAAUAGUUUAAAGAUAGUGGAUAUUAUUUAAUUGGCUAAAUACUAGGUUAGUGGGCCACCUGUGGACCCGCAUUUUUCACGUGCGUCCCCACUCGAUCGGCGAGACUCGCUUUUCAUUUAUGAAAAAUUGAUUUUUGAAAAAAAAGUUGGAGUCGCCACUUAUUUUAUUUUUUUUUAAAAAGGGAAAAUAAAACAAGAAAUAAAACCCUAAAAAAAUGACUCCAUAAUUUUUGGAAAAGCGCGUCUUUGAAAAACCCGAGUCUAAGUCCGGGGAUCAGGUUACUUAUUGGGAAGGUACCUCUAAGAGGUAGCACCCCUCUAAGCCCUAAAGAGGUCUCUACUGACUAAGUUAAGGGGAAUAUGGCAAUUAAUCGGUUAAUUAUGGAUACCUAAGUAAGCUAGGUGAUUUCAAAAAAAUUUGCAUGUUAAACAAGAUCAAAUCAUAAUAAAGGAGAGUUAAGGUGCGUACCUGGACUGCCUCUCAAGCGCUAUCAUAAAACAUCAGAGUUAGUAUAGAAGUAUAACACACAACAUGUAUUUAAUCAUAGUGAAUCAAACAUACAUCUAAACACCUAAGGAUUAUCAAACAUAUGCAUACUUCACAGUGACAUGAUUGUUUACAAAAUUUAGAAAGUAGGUGAUAGGGGGGGCGUACCUGGAUAGCAUAGAUAACUUACAAUGCGCUUCCAUAAGACAUGAGGGAUUAGAUAAUAAUAAAAUAAAGAAACCCUAGCAUGCUUGCUAUCUAAUUAGCAUAACAAAAAUUAUCAAAGUAUAUGAAAACAUUAAUUAUCACACACAUCUUGUAUACAAUUUCUAAAAAAAAGAUAAGACAUGAUUUCAACAAGUGUCAAAUGUGGCAACAAAAAUAAAUUUUGAAAAGAUUUUCUUAUGUAGGGGUUUCACCAAUUCCCCAAAUUAAUAUACACGAAUUUAACUCAGAAUUAUCCCAUUUAUGUGGGACCAUAAGCUUUGAUUCGUGUUUUUGUUCAAAACCAAACCUUUUGUUGGAAACCGAGAAGGAUGCAAACCGAACAAAAUAUGGUUGCAUAUUAUUUUUUUAAAAUAAAAAAAAGAUUUCGAUCCUGAGGACUCUAAACGAGUUUUUGAAAUAGACUUUUAAAAUGAUUUUUUUGAGAAAAUUAUUUUAUUUUAAAAUAAAAGGAAUUAAUUUGGGAAAAAAUAAAAUAUAAGAAAUAAAAUACCAAACAAAACAAAAAUGAAACCUCAAAGUAAAAUUUUUUUUUAGUAAUUAACAAAAUGAUAAUGGUGAUGGUAGAGGCCAAUCUUCAUGAUUUUCCAAUGGCCUCUAAAAAUUGAUUUUGACAAAGGAUGAACAAAGUGAUAAACCGAAACCUUAGAUCUUACAAGCAUUGAAACUUUAAAAACAUUUAAUCUUAAGAUAAACUUAAUCAAGCGCUAAAUAUUAUGUGACCUUUAAAACAGUACAAGCGAUAUGUAUUAACUAAUAUUGACAAUUUUGAGUCAUAAAUCUAAUCGGCUAGCUAAACAAUUAAAUAAAAGAAAACAAACACAUAGAAUAAAUAAAAUUAGUCAAAAACUAAAAUGAAUUAUUUUUAAACACAAAAUGACAACAUGGGGAUGGAUUAAACUAAUAGCCUACAAUUUGAAAGCAUGGAACUAAUAGAAAAAUGGAAUUAAAAAAUCUUAGCAUAAACUAAUCAACAUGAAACCAAUCGAAUUAAUUAAAACUCUAAAAAAUAUCAACUAAAACAAGAUGAAUCAAGAGUAAAAUAAUUUUUUCUUUAUUUAUUUUAAAACAUGAAUAUAUCAACGCGGAAUGAAAUGAAUUAACCAACUUAAAUUCUAAAACUAAUAAACUAGAAAGAUGAAUCAUGAAUUAAAUUUAACAACCUUUAGAUAUGAAAAGAGUGACAUAGAAUCAAUUGAACUAAUAAACUGAAUUUUAAUAACAUUUAAACUAACAGAUAAAUUAAACUAAACUAAAAGAAAUUAUGAAUUUCCUAAUUGAGAAUCAAAAUAAUGCUAAUCAAUAUUCUAAAUUUUUAACUAUCAUAACAAAUUAUCUAAACUCUAAGAAAUCUCAACUUUUCCAUUAUUAACAAAAAUUGCCCAAACCAAUACUAAGAAACUAAUUUGUCAAACUAAGGAAAUAAAUUGUAACUACAGUGAACAAAACAUAAUUUUCAAGCUAGAAUAACAAAUCAAAAAUAAUUUAUUUAUAAUUGGAUAAAUAUGUAUAUGAUAAAGUAUUUUAAUGAACUAAAAUUUUAUAAAAGUGUUUAAACCUAAAGUAAAAUUAAAAACUAACAAAAAUGAUUUUUAAAACCAAAUCUCUAACCUAUAGAAUCAAUUUUAUUUAUAAUUAAAUAAAUUACAAAGCAUUAAUUUGGUAACAAAUAAAUAAAUAAAUAAAUAAAUCAGUAAUUAAAUGAAUCAAAACCACAUCAAAUGAAGAUUAAAAUAUAUAUGUUUUUAUUUUAUUUUAUGUAAAGCUAUCUAAAAUCAUAUUUUUUGAAUUUCAUAUAAUACAUUAAAACUAACCUUUAACGUGAUGAAUAAAAAAUAAAUAAAUAAACAAAUGUGAGAUUGCAUUACCAUAUUAAAGAAAACACGUGUUCAAGCAAAUAAACAAAUCAUCCCACUCACUCAAUACAAAAAUCCAAACUAAAAAUGGUACACCAAAACAUCACCGAAUAUAAUAACUAAACAAUUAAACCUAAAAAAUAGUAUUCUUGCUGCCAUAUUAAUGAGCACGUACUGGACCAAUAAAACAACCCAAUAUAAUAAUCCAAACAAACAUCAAACCAGACUUUUAUAUUUUUUCAAAGCAACCCCACAUAGAAACCAAACUUACCUGGCAGCUAGGUGCGUGGAUUGUCCUUCUCAAGGUGGCAGCCGUGUAAGUGGAUUUCCUUCAGGUGGAGAUGCGUGUUGAAUCUCCCGUCAAAGGAGUGAUGCGGCUGGUUCUCAAUGGAUGGUGCGGCUAUGGUGAGUUCCUCUUCAACUUGCAGCCGUGUGGGUACCCCUGGAGAGGCCAAAUCUCAGUGCAUGGUGCGGCUCCUUCAAUGCAUGGUGCGGUUCUCUGAUGCAGUAAUGCUUUCCGAAACUUUUCUGGUGCGACCCACCUCUGUUCUAAAACACGGAUUGAUCCUUGCCCAAACAACAACCUUUAAUCCCUCUGAAACAUGGACUGAUCUCUUCAAACAGCAACCCCCAAAAUCCUUUCAAAACACGGAUUGAUCUUUGCCCAAACAGUAGCCUCUAAUCCCUCUAAAACAUGGACUGAUCUCUCUCCCAUAGCAGCCCCUAAUCCCUCUAAAACAUGGACUGAUCUCCUUUGAAAACAGCAGCCCCGAAUCCCUCUAAAACGUGGACUGAUCUCCUUUGAAAACAGCAGCCCGCUCUUCUCCUCCCUCUGAAAAUCGCAACCUCACCUUUCCUCCACCGGAUUGAUCACUCCUCUUCUCUCUGAAAAUCACAACCUCACUCCUUCUCCCCUCCUGACUGAUCACUCCUCUUCCCUCUGAAAAUCACAGCCUCACUUCUUCUCUCUCUCAAUCGUCUGUCUUUUUUUCCUUUUCUUUUCUUUUCCUUCCUCUCUAGUACCCUGCCAACAUGGGAAGACAACUCACCAGCCCGGAAAAUGAUCUUUCUUCCCCUUAAUCACGUGGCUGCACUCUUCCUUUUCAGACCACUUUUUUUUUUUUUCUUUUCUUGAACACAACCUCACUUCCUGUCCACAUACAUGCUGCACCCUCUUUCCUUUCACUUGCCAAAACCUAGCCUUCUUAAUCUUCUUCCCAUAAUCAUCCUGUUGACUCCACCGACCACCUUCAUCAUGCUGAUCUUCUUCCCAUAAUCAUCCUUUCCCAUAAUCAUUCUUUUUAAUAAUCUUUUUUUCAAUAUGGAGUAUGUAAAAUCCCGGGCAACAAAACAAAAUAUAACAAAUAAAAAAAUAGAAAAAAUAAGGGUUAGAGUAAUAAUAAAAAAAAUGUGACUAAUAAUUAAAAAUUCAAACUAUGUCAUUUUAAAAGAAAUUUAAAAAAUAUAGAUCACAUGCAUAACUAAAAUGAAUUAUCGACUCAAGCAAUUCCCUAUCAAAAUAAAUUAAUAAAUAGAUAAAUAAAAAUGAAAUGAAUAUGAUUAUUAAGCUCAUGCAAUGUUCUAAAAAAUAAGUAAAUAAAUGAAUAAAACUAAUAAAUAGAGAAAGAUAAAAAAAACAAAAACAAAAUCAAGCACAUGCAAGCCAUACGAGCUAUGCAACCAUGCAAGCCAUGCAAAACAUGCAUCCAUGCAAAAAAAAUGAUCUAAAUGGGUCUAAUGGUAAUGACUAAUGGGCCAAGUGUGCCUAAAUGUGCCUAGAGUGCAUAAGUGGGCCAAGGGUGCCUAAAUUGGCCUAAGGUUACCUAAAUGGGCCUAGGGUGCCUAAGUGGGCCUAGGGUGCCUAAAAGCUAUCCUAAAAAAAAGCAAGAAAAGCCUAAAUCUAAGUUAGGGCUGCCAAGGAUCACAAUAAGGGGUCAGAUAAUCCCUCAACCAAAGUCUCUGAGAUGGCUUAGAAAAAAUAGGCUACACGAGUAUUAAUGGGCCACCAGGGAAUUGCUAUAAACGACAUGUGCGAGGAAGACAAAAUAGAGGGUCUACAAAUAUGCCCCUCUUCGGUAGAGAUCACGAGUGUAGGGAAUGUGAGUAAAAGUACGAAUAAUGAGCGGAACAAAGUGAACUAUACCGAAGAACUAAAAGAAAAGGACCUGAGAUUUUGUCCUAGCACAUGACGAGAAUAAGCUCUAAACACGGGGAUGCAAUCACAAAAAAGGAAUAACUUCAGGUCGUGAGCUCAAGGCUUUACAUAGAUAGAAUGACUCUAGGUCAUAGACGAGAGAAAUGAUUCUGGGUCAUAAGUGAAAGAUCGACUCUGGGUCGAGAGCUCUAGGCUCUAAAUGGAACAGAAAUGACUCUAGGCCGAGAGCUCUAGGCUCUAAAUGGAACAGAAAUGACUCUAGGCCGAAAGCUCUGGGCUCUAAAUGGAAAAUCGACUUCGGGUCAUAAAUGGAAAAUUGACUCUGGGUCGAGAGCUCUGGGCUCUAAAUGGAAAAUCGACUCUGGGUCGAGAGCUUUGGGCUCUAAAUGGAAAAUCGACUCUGGGUCAAGAGCUCUAGGCUCUAAAUGGAAAAGAAAUGACUCUGGGUCAUAAAUGAAAAACGACUCUGGGUCGAGAGCUCUAGGCUCUAAAUGGGAAUUCGACUCUAAGUCGAGAGCUCUGGGCUCUAAAUGGAAAAUCGACUCUGGGUUGAGAGCUCUGGGCUCUAAAUGGAAAAGAAAUGACUCUGGGUCAUAAACGAAAAAUGACUCUGGGUCGAGAGCUCUGGGCUCUAAAUGGAAAAUUGACUCUGGGUCGAGAGCUCUAGGCUCUAAAUGGAAAUUCGACUCUGGGUCGAGAGCUCUGGGCUCUAAAUGGAAAAUCGACUCUGGGUCGAGAGCUCUAGGCUCUGGGCUCUAAAUGGGAAAUCGACUCCGGGUCGAGAGCUCUGGGCUCUAAAUGGGAAAUCGACUCUGGGUCGAGAGCUCUAGGCUCUAAAUGGAAAAGAAAUGACUCUGGGUCAUAAAUGAAAAACGACUCUGGGUCGAGAGCUCUGGGCUCUAAAUGGAAAAUCGACUCUGGGUCGAGAGCUCUGGGCUCUAAAUGGAAAUUCGACUCUGGGUCGAGAGCUCUGGGCUCAAAAUGGAAAAUCGACUCUAGGUCCAGAGCUCUGGGCUCUAAAUGGGAAAUCGACUCUGGGUCGAGAGCUCUGGGCUCUAAAUGGGAAAUCGACUCUAGGUCGAGAGCUCUGGGCUCUAAAUGGAAAAUCGACUCUGGGUCGAGAGCUUUGGGCUCUAAAUGGAAAAUCGACUCUGGGUCGAGAGCUCUGGGCUCUAAAUGGAAAANNNNNNNNNNNNNNNNNNNNNNNNNNNNNNNNNNNNNNNNNNNNNNNNNNNNNNNNNNNNNNNNNNNNNNNNNNNNNNNNNNNNNNNNNNNNNNNNNNNNGGGUCGAGAGCUCUGGGCUCUAAAUGGAAAUCGACUCUGGGUCGAGAGCUCUGGGCUCUAAAUGGAAAAGAAAUGACUCUGGGUCAUAAACGAAGAAAACGACUCUGGGUCGAGAGCUCUGGGCUCUAAAUGGAAAAGAAAUGACUCUGGGUCAAGAACGGAAAACGACUCUAGGUCGAGAGCUCUGGGCUCUAAAUGGAAAAUCGACUCUGGGUCGAGAGCUCUGGGCUCUAAAUGGAAAAGAAAUGACUCUGGGUCAUAAACGAAGAAAACGACUCUGGGUCGAGAGCUCUAGGCUCUAAAUGGAAAAGAAAUGACUCUGGGUCAUAAAUGAAAAAUCGACUUUAGGUCGAGAGCUCUGGGCUCUAAAUGGAAAAGAAAUGGAGACUAACUCAAAAGGGGGUAGGAAGCAAAUGGAUCAAAGUCGUGUGAUCGAAAUGCUAAGGGUUAGACUUGUAAGCUUAGGAAAGAAAAUAUGCCCCGGUAUCCAAGGUGCUCGCAGUGCUGAAACAACCAAUAAAUCAAUCAUUCGCUAAAAUCAAGGUGUCUGUAACCGAUGCAUCGUGACAAACCUCUGAAAAAUCUGAACUAAAAGAGCCCUCUAUGUCUCACAAGCUGCUCUGGCAACAAACCUCAAGAGGUAAAUCUCGGAGUGUGUAUAUCAUGACUCAUCUAAAAGAAAAACUCAAGGUGCACGAAAAUACUGCUCACCUAGAUAACCCGAUCCACAAGAUAAUCAAUGAAGAAAACAAUCUAUUUCAUGAGCAUCUAGCUAAAGGAUCCAUCCAUGCUCCUCGAGCGAAACCUGAUGUGAUCUAUCUCUAUCUCGACAAAUCCAUAUAGGGGGGUCCUGAUACAGUCAAUCAUCGAAAGCUCAGGGCUAGUACUCAAUCUGAAACCAAACUGGCUACUGUCCCAAACUCAAGGAUACUCAAAGAAAAUGGGGAAAUAUGCCCCAGUAUGAGACCUGAUGUCAAAGUCAUAAGCUAAACAACCGACACCAAUCAUCCAUCCUCAUAUCACUGCCCAAAUAAAUCCCGUCAAGGAGAGGGGAAUAUGCCCCAGUGUGGAUAACCUAAUGUCGAAGUCGUGAGGUAAACAAACUAACAAUGAUCAUCCAUCCUCGUACCGUAUACAAUAACAAAUAAGAAUCUCGGAGGAAGGGGGAAUAUGCCCCAGUGUGAAUAUAUAAUGCACCACCAAAGGAUGAAUCCAACAUCAUUAAUCAACUGUCCUCAGCUCAAAAAUAAUCUGCUAGGAAGUCAGAAUAAAGUAUCGACCAAUGCCUCAAGGGAGACACUCUAAAUCCAACCUCAAAUGAAUAGCCAAAAUGAUGAGGGAUGUGGCAAUCUCGAGAUGGGGAAAUAUGCCCCAGUGUGGAUGUCUGGUGCACGACAAAAUGAUGAAUCCGAUAUCCUCAAUGAACUGUCUCCAAACCCAAAAAAUCCAUCAAAACAUCAAUAUGCCAAGCAAGAGAGAGACCAAAUGCUUCCCAAAAGUAUCUCCAUAAAAGAGAACAUAGUGACGACCAAACUUCAACCAAUCUACCAAAAAAAAACCUGUCCAAGUGAAGACUGUCAAAGAUAAUGUCUGAUCUCGUGGCCUCAGGGUGGUCUUAAGACACGGGACGUAACGUAGGCCAAGGUGAUAGGGUGAAGGAAAUGAAGGGAAACUAGACUCAAAUACCCAAUGAUCAAACCCGUACCCUCGUGUACAAGAUGUAAUGCAUAGAAAAAUAUCAUGAGUCAUGGACUUAGAAGUAACCAAAGGGAAUGUCGAUAACGAAAUGAGAGAAAGGAUGAAUGGUCAAACCAUCAAUGAAAUAUGUGAAGAUGUGAAGAAGGUAUCAAAUCAGUAAUGGGCAUCAAUAUGUAGGGAAUGAAUAAAAGGUGGAACAAAGAUAUGGAAAGAGGUAAUGAGAUACAAAAGAAAGCAAUGAGAAAGUGGAACGAGUGAUGGUCAACCCAUGUUAGUACUAUAAAGGAAAGUCAUAUCACCAAUGAUGGAAUGGUGGGUAAGGCAAUGAUCCGGAGACCCUAGUAAAAAAGAUCACUCAUCUCUCAUACCUAGUAUAUAUCAAACAUGAUCCAAAAAGCAUAGGAUCUCAUAGAACUCUCAUAUGAACCCUCGACACUCCAAAUGAAUAACAAGAGUGGCUCAAGGACUGAAAAACUCAUAAAAACUCACAAAAACCCACAAUGGCAGAUAUACCCAAUAAAUGAACCUCAAAAGGUAGCAUAAAUACCCAAUGGAACGAGAUACCAUACAUGAGCAUAUCAUUGCGCUUUUCUUUUCUUUUUUUUUUCUUUUUUUUUUUCUGAUCUUUUUUUUUUUUUUUUUUUUUUUUUUUUUUUUUGCGCAUGCUCUGAUCAUCAAUGAAUCCAACUCCAAUGAAAAAAAUAUAAGGAAUGAACAAACUCUCUCUGACCACUGAUGGAUACAUGAACCCCAACCCUUGAGACAACCUCUCAAACUAAAAUCUCCGAAUCAAUGUCAAAUGAUGGAAUGAAUAGAGUGAUAUGACUGCCCUCUUUGCACUAAGACGUGAAGAAUCAUCAACCCAAGGAAGAUAAUAGAUAAGAUGAAGCAAAUAAUGAUAGAGACAAAAAAGAGAAUGAAUAUAUGAUGAUAAUAAAAUAGAACAAAUAGGAUGAUAAAAGGAUGGUAACAAAAUGAGAAGAUAGACCUAUAAGUCUAAAGCUCAUGAGACUUUCCUAGCAAAGCAUGCGUAUACAUCAAAGGGCCCCAACCCGGGUAUAGAAAUGGUAAUCAAAGCUAUAAGAAAGAAAUAAGGCUAUAACAUACCACGCGAAGCUCAAUGGGCUAGCAACGGUCUAAUAUAUAGAGGUGAUAAAGUAUGAGGCUAACCGAAAUGAUGGCCACCCAUCCUGCGACCACGGUCUCAAACAUAAUACUUCUUCAGCUGAUCCACAUUGGUAGGCUCUGAAAAUUGGUUUCCAUCUAAGUCUGUCAACCAUGCAGCCCCUUCUGGAGUCAACUCUCGGAUAACAUAAGGCCCACUCCAACUAGGUCUAAACUUUCCUCUAGGGUCUCCAAUCAAACCUUUGAGAAUCCUCAAAACUAAAUCCCCUUUUUGCAAUGGUCUAGGCUUAACUCGUUUCUUGAAGGCACGAGCCAUCUUUCUUUGAUAGGCCUGAACAUGAUCUGCUGCUCUCAAUCUCCUCUCAUCUAAAAGGUUAAGCUGAUCAAAUCGAGCCUGAGCCCACUCUGUCUCAGAAAUCUGCUGCUCAAGGGCUACUCUCAAUGAGCCCAUUUCUGUCUCGACUGGCAAAACAGCCUCCAUGCCAUACAUUAGAGAGUAAGGCGUGGCUCCUGUAGAAGUACGAAAAGAUGUACGAUAUGCCCACAACGCAAAGGGAAGCUUCUCUUACCAGUCUCGAGAAGUCUCAACCAUUUUCCUCAAAAUCCUCUUAAUAUUCUUGUUUGCAGCCUCUACUGCCCCAUUGGUCUGUGGCCUAUAUGCAGAAGAUCUAUGAUGUCGGAUAGCAUACUUCUGCAACAAAGUAUCUACCUUAGCUCGGAAGUGCGCCCCUCUAUCGGAAAUCAGCUCAUGAGGAACCCCAUAGCGACAAAUGAUGUGUGAUAUGAUGAAACUGGCAACCCUAACAGAUGUCAACCUCGCAUAUGAUGCGGCUUCCACCCACUUGGUGAAAUAAUCUAUGGCAACCAAGAUGAACUCAUGACCAUUGGAAGAUUUUGGUGAAACCUUCCCAAUAAUAUCAAUGCCCCAUACUGAAAAUGGCCAUGGCGAUGUCAAAGCGUGUAAUUCUGAUGGCGGUGCAUGUAUGAGAUCACCAUGAAUCUGACACUCUGGACAUUUCUGAACAAGCUGACAACAAUCUGUCUCCAUAGUCAACCAGAAAUAACCCGUCCUCAUAAUCUUACGAGCCAGCAUGUGUCCUCCCAUGUGCGGACCACAAACUCCUGCAUGAACCUCUCUCAUCACUCGAUCUGCAGAGGCUCGAUCUAAACAUAAUAGAAGCAUACCAUCAGCUGAUCGCCUGUAUAAGGUAUCUCCACAAAUCACAAAUCUAGUGGCCAAAUUCCUCAGUGCUCUCCGAUCCUUGGUAGUGGCUACCUCAGGGUAUGUGCCAGAUCUAAGGAACUGAUAAAUGUCAUGAUACCAAGGUAGGUCAUCCUGGACCUCGGUCUCUCCAAUCAAACAACAAUAGGCGGGUGCAGACCUCAACUCGAUCAGCAAUGGACGUAUGACUACAUCAAUCGGAAUGUCUACGGAGGAAGCUAAGGUAGCUAAGGCAUCAGCAAAUCGGUUUUGCGCUCUAGGCAGAUGAACAUAUCUCAAGUCAUCAAAUCUCGAAACCAACAACUCUAAAUAAGCAUGAUAUGGCCUAAGCUUCACAUCCCUAGUCUUCCAAUCUCCCUGAAUCUGCCUAAGUACGAGAUUGGAGUCACCAAAUACCUCCAUCUGUCUAAUGUCAAGCUCCAGUGCAGUCUCUAAACCGAGGAUACAAGCCUCAUACUCAACUAUGUUAUUCGUGGCAGGAUGUCGAUCAGAGAAUGCCAAACGAACGGACCUCGGAAUAUGAUCACCCUGAGGGGAUACCAAUAGAACACCUAUCCCAUACCCUGACUGAUUGGCUGCACCAUCGAAGUACAUGCACCAUCCUGAUAAGCUGGUCAUAGCAACAAACCCCUCAUCUGGAAAAUCAUCAUCAACUGGUCUAUCCUCAGAUGUCGGCAAUGAAGCCAAAUGAUCGGCGACAAUACUUCCCUUAAUAGACUUCUGAGAAACGUACUGAAUAUCAAACUCUGUCAGGAGUACGAGCCAUCUCAUCAAUCUACCAGUCAAUGCAGGUCUAUCAAACAGAUACCUCAAAGGAUCUAACCGAGAAAUCAAGCAUACCGAAUACUCAGUCAUGUAGUGCCUCAAUCUCCUGGUGGCCCAAACUAACGCUAAACACAUGCGCUCAAUCAUAACAUAUCUCAUCUCAUACUCCAGCAUCCUCUUACUCAAAUAGUAAAUUGCUCGCUCUUUUCCGGAGUCAUCGAGUUGAGCUAGCAUGCAUCCCAAGGCCACGUCUGAAACUGACAAAUACAGAAGAAGUGGACAUCCUGGCAUAGGAGGCACUAAAAAAGGAGGAGAAAGCAAAUACUCCUUGAUCUUCUCAAAUGCAAUCUGGCAGUUGUCAUUCCAAACCGUUGGCUGAUUCUUCCUCAAAAGACGAAAGAUGGGUUCACAUACGUCUGUCAAUCUGGCUAUGAAACGACUAAUAUACUGUAACCGGCCUAGAAAACCCCUGAUCUCUUUCUCAGUCUUCGGCACAGGCAUGUCAAGUAUGGCUUUGAUUUUAUCUGGGUCGACCUCUAUGCCCCGAUCACUGACCAUAUGCCCCAACAGUUUCCCAGAAGUCACUCCAAAGGUGCACUUCUUGGGAUUCAACCUCAAUCUAAACUUCCGGAUCCUCUCAAAGAAUCUCUCUAAAACAUCUAGGUGAUCUGCUCUACCUCGGGAUUUCACAAUCAUAUCAUCCACGUAAACCUCGACAUCCCUAUGCAUCAUGUCAUGAAACAAAGUGGUAGCGGCUCUCUGAUAAGUGGCUCCUGCGUUUUUCAACCCAAAUGGCAUAACUCUGUAACAGUAGGUACCCCACUCGGUAAUGAAGGCCGUCUUCUCCAUAUCCUCUGGAGCCAUCAAAAUCUGAUUAUACCCCGAGAAUCCAUCCAUGAAAGACAACAUCGAAUGGCCUGCGGUGCCAUCAACCAACAAAUCAAUGUGUGGGAGGGGAAAAUCAUCCUUAGGGCUGGCUUUAUUAAGGUCUCUGAAAUCGACACAAACUCUAACCUUGCCAUCCUUUUUGGGAACUGGGACGACAUUAGCCAACCACUCUGGAUACUCAACUACUGAUAUAAACCCAACACUGAGCUGUUUCUGAAUUUCCUCUUUCACCUGUAGACUCCAACGUGGGUGUAAUCGCCUCAAUUUCUGCUUAACUGGUCUAACAUGUGGUAGAAUAGGCAGAUGGUGCUGGACUAUAGAGGGAUCCAGACCCGGCAUGUCCUCAUAAGACCAUGCAAAAACAUCCAAGUAUGACCUGAGUAAAUGAAUAAGUCUAUCUCUCUCCUCUGUAGAUAGGGGUGAACCAAUCUUCAGCUCUCUCGGCUGAUCCUUUGUGCCAAAAUCAACAGUCUCAACAUCCCUUGUAUCAGGUGAAACUCUCUCAUCCACGGGAUCAGAGUCAUGAUCAGAAAAGUCCCUAUCCGAAUCGGGCCAUGCAACUUCAUCAUUUAUAUCAAAUAUAUGUGAAGUGGGUGAGUGGGGUGCAGAUAUAGAGGUACUAUCACAAGAGACAGGCGAAUACUCAAAAAUACUCAAAUCUAUAAAUGAAGCAACAGAAACAUCGUCAGAGCGGGAGACAAAUCCCGAUAAAACAUCAAAAGAAAGAGGUGGGUCCACAAGGUCGGACGCUCCCUCAACUGGGCUAACAAUGCCCUCAAACAAGCUACUAUCAUCCUCUGGAAGCUUUGGAACAGGAAGAGUCUGAGUCCCCUCAAAAACCUCAAUGGUAGACACCCCGAACAUAUCAAAUGCUGAAACAGGCUGAAGCUGAACAAUGCUGGUAAUCUGGCUCAUGGUCAUCAUGUCCAUCUCAUCUCGGUACUCAUCAUGGGAAACAACUCCAUCAAUCAUCUCAGUAGAAUCAACCAUCACCCCAUCACCAGUGAUCUCCUCUGGAAAGCAUAGAGACAACAUGCUAGCUCGAUCUGGAGAAGUGGGAGUAAUCGUCAAAGGGAAAGGAGAGUCGGGGGCCCCAUCACUCAACUGUAGCUGGUGAAAUAGAUGCUGAAGAUCGGUCUCUCUAUCUGUAUGAACCACACUAUCAAUCUCCUCUAGACGAGGUCGAGUCUCUGAUCCUCUGACAAAGUAGUCAGCCAAACUCAUCCUAUAGGGUCGAAUAGGAUAAUCAAAUGGUGUGUGGGAUAAACGGGCUCUCACCCUCUCCUUGCGCAGCCGCGCCAUGUGACGGUAGUCGGCCUCAGUAGGGAUGAAUCCAAGUCCAAAUGUCGUAUCAUGGUCAAUGGCAGCUAUGAACUCGCUCGGUCCCUGCUGACGUCGUCCUAACCCCAUGCCAGGUAGAAAGGUCAUACCCCUCAUCAUAUCGAGGACCACUGUGCUGCUGUGCUGAUCAAAUGACAUAGCCACAAAAUCUCUACAAAAAUCCUCAAUCUCGAGAGUCUGUAUCUCAUCAAAAGUAAACCCAGUCAGAAGUAGGUCGUCCUCACUGUGACUGAUCUGAAGUACUGGCUCAGAAGCGACAAAUAUAUCCCUGGUAGAGCGAACUGUGACGACCUGCCCAUCAUGAACAAACUUCACCUUCUGAUGAAGGGAAGAUGGAAUAGCCCCGGCCCUGUGAAUCCAUGGUCGGCCCAGAAGCAGGUUGAAGGAUGUGGGAAUCCUCAAAACCUGAAAUAGGAUGGGAAAUGUAGUCGGACCAAUCAUCAACUCUAUCAUCAGAGUACCCAUGACCUCCCUCUUAGUACUAUCAUAUGCUCUGACCGUCUGUGUAGAGGUACCGAAGUCUGAAGGUGCAUAACCAAGAGCAAUAGCAGUAGCCAAUGGGCAAACGUUCAAGGCUGAGCCAUUGUCCAAUAGGACGGAUGGAACUCUGUGGCCUGAACAACCAACUGUAAUAUAUAAAGGGUGUGUGUGGUCUGAACCCUCUGGUGGUAAGUCAUCAUCUGAAAAUACAAUGCAAGUGGCCCUGCCAGCCGUCAUCAUAUGAAUCAGUCCCUCCGGGGUAGUGGUGGUCUCUACGCGGAUCUGGCUCAAAGCCCGAAUCAAUGCAUCUCUAUGAGUACUAGAAGAUGCCAACAAACUCCAGAUAGAUAUGCGGGCCUGUGUACUCUGUAACUGCCUCAAUAUCUCAUCAUCCUCUCUCCUGACCUCCUCAUGAGAAACCGCGCCAUCAAAUGGCCUAGCUACUAGAGGUGGGGGCUGAGCUACUCUCCCACUACGGGUCACAAUCUGUACAUCUCUCCCCUCUAAAUCAUCGUCAUCUAACCAUAGGAUAAAUUGGGCGGGCGGGCCCUGAUGUGCUGUAAUCAAUGGUGCAAUAGAAGUCAACUCAAAUGGUAUCCAAUCUGGAAUCAAACUGAACGGAGUAAAAGUCUGAGAACCCACUGUGUCAACCUCAUAACCAUCAUCCAAAACAAUCGGCUCUGGCACUCCAUCAUCCCAACUCAUCAUGUGUAUGCUGUCAUCCUCUACAAAAUCUAUAUGAUGUAUACCACCCGGGGGUGGUGGCACUGCAUGUGUAGAGUGAGCCGGUAGAGGGUUCGUGGUUACACUUGGCUGCCCCAAGUUAACCAGACCCUGAUCUAUCAAGUCCUGUAUAGCAUGUCUCAAGGCGGCGCAAUGAUCUGUGUCAUGCCCUGGGCCCUGAUGGUAGGAACAAUGUAGAUCCAUCCUGAAGCGUGGUGGCAUAGGCUGGGGUACAGGCCUAGGUGCCAACUGAGUCAACAAACCACCCUCCAUGAGCUUUUGGAAAGCUCGACUCAAAGGCAUACCUAGCUGGGAGAACUGUCGUGUCGGCCUCUGUACAAGAGGAAUAGUAGUCUGUGGAGCUCGAGGCCGAGGAUAUAAGGUAGGAGGCCUCUCCGAGACCUGUGCAGCAAAAACAGGCUCUGGGGUCUGGUGUAGGUAUGUAGGAAUCAUGGGCCUGGGUGGUCUAUACUGAGCAUAAUGCUGCGGGUAAUAGGCUCGUGAAGUCUGCCCGAAUGUCUGAUAGCGCCUGGGAGAUCUCGAUCCUACUGAACUGAUAGCACUCACAUCUCCUGGUCUCUGUCCUCCUAAGGGCUUCUUCCCCUUUGAAUCGUAAGGAGAAGACUCGGGCCACAACCCUCUAGCGAUGCCCUCCUCUAUGCCAUACAGGGCCUGUACCAAGGAUCCAAAAUUCGUAUGAGGAAAUCCCAUCAAAUGUCUAGCAAAUCUAGGUUGUAAACUCCUCAAAAUCAUACUAAUCUGGUCCUUCUCGGAAGGACGAUCAACAAUCUGGGCGAUCUUCUCCCUCCAUCGGGAGAUAAAUGAAGUAACCGACUCAUCUGGCCCCUGUCUCAAGGCCUCCAACUCUCUCCUCGAGACAUCAAUGACAGUGUUAAACGCGAACUGUCUCAAAAACUCUUGGGCCAAGUCAUCCCAAGUCCUACGGCGUGAAGCGUCUAAAGAAGCAAACCAACGUUGUGCUGCACCACUCAAGGACAUGGGAAAAAGCAUAAUCAAAUGGGCCUCAUCCAACCCGUGGGCCCUCAUCACACUACUGUAUAACCUCAAAUGAAUCUUAGGGCAACCUAUGCCCGUAUACCUCUCAAUCUCUGGCAUCCUGAACUGAGUCGGUAAACUGACUACCGGUGCUCCAUCAAAAUCAUCCCAACUGAUGUCUCCAUCCGAAACCCUCAUCUGUCUCAUCCUCUGCUCAAGUCUAUCCAUACGAGCAUGUGCAUCCUCUGAUGCCUGAAUGGGUGCUACAACAGGAAGUGGGGUAGCAUCAGUCUGACUAUGUAAAACAUACGGUGUCGGGUGUGGAACUGGCUGACUGAGUGGAGGGGGUGGUGGUGCCGUAGAGUCAUACUGUGCACCAUCCUGAGGUGGGGCCUGCUGCCCGUCUAUCCUCUGGCCAAGGCCGGCUAUAGCCUCCUGAAUCGAAGCCAUGGCCGCAGCAAACUGGUCAACUGUGACUACCUAGGAGUCCAUAUCUCUUUGAUCUACUCUCUGGUCUGGCUGAUCUGAUACUCUGGUCAACCUGCCUCUAACUCUAGUCCACGAAGGCGAAUCCAGACUGGGCGCCAAAAAAUACUCCUAUAAACACGGAAACACUAGAUGAGACGUUGUACAAGGGUAACUCUGUAGAAAUCGACUAAAAGGUAAUCAAGCAUAUAGCCCAUGUAUACUCAAACUGAUACCCGUAUCUGAUCAUACCAAAAUGGGACUAUGGAGAGGGUAAUCGAACCCAAUUGUAACCAAGGCAGCUCUGAAGGUCCACAGAUGCACCCACGUGUAAGAGUGAAAUCCUAAUUGGGUCUAGGCUAGCCUAUAAGGUUGUGGUGGUUCUAUAAGAUAAAAAAAAAAGGGUGGAUUAAAGAAUCCCUAGCAGAAGCGAUCGUACCCUCCGGCGGUACGCAACCCUCUGCACGCCUCCAAGGAGACGGGGUGCUUCCAUGCAAGGUGGUCAUCACCUCCACACAUGCACUUCCUCGCGUUCCCAGGGGGUUUCUUAAGGGUGAAGGCUCUCCCAUCUCUCAACACUCAAGGAUAAUCUAAAGUGCACGAUGAAGAAUGUGGGUGCAUCCGAAAAACCUAAGAUCUAAAGUGAGAUAGUGAACAAAGACAAGCAAUCAUACAAUCAUGCAAGAGAAAGGGUUGUCAUGCAACAAGCAGUCAUACCAAGCAAAUAAGUAUCAUACAAUCAAAGUCCUAUCUAGCAUACGUGAGAGUGAAUCAUGCUGAAGUGAGCAAGCAAUCAAGUGAUCAUCCAAGGCAAUCAAACAUGUUAAGAUAGCAAACCAAACAAGCAAGCAAAUCGAAUCACCUUGCCUAAAAAGGAGGUACCCACUAAUCGACCAAUUAAACGCCACAUUUUCCUCAACUAGUGUUCAAGCUUGAUCCUCAAAAUCCCCAGUGGAGUCGCCAAUUUGUGGACCCGCAUUUUUCACGUGCGUCCCCACUCGAUCGGCGAGACUCGCUUUUCAUUUAUGAAAAAUUGAUUUUUGAAAAAAAAGUUGGAGUCGCCACUUAUUUUAUUUUUUUUAAAAAGGGAAAAUAAAACAAGAAAUAAAACCCUAAAAAAAUGACUCCAUAAUUUUUGGAAAAGCGUGUCUUUGAAAAACCCGAGUCUAAGUCCGGGGAUCAGGUUACUUAUUGGGAAGGUACCUCUAAGAGGUAGCACCCCUCUAAGCCCUAAAGAGGUCUCUACUGACUAAGUUAAGGGGAAUAUGGCAAUUAAUCGGUUAAUUAUGGAUACCUAAGUAGGCUAGGUGAUUUCAAAAAAAUUUGCAUGCUAAACAAGAUCAAAUCACAAUAAAGGAGAGUUAGGGUGCGUACCUGGACUGCCUCUCAAGCGCUAUCAUAAAACAUCAGAGUUAGUAUAGAAGUAUAACACACAACAUGUAUUUAAUCAUAGUGAAUCAAACAUACAUCUAAACACCUAAGGAUUAUCAAACAUAUGCAUACUUCACAGUGACAUGAUUGUUUACAAAAUUUAGAAAGUAGGUGAUAGGGGGGGCGUACCUGGAUAGCAUAGAUAACUUACAAUGCGCUUCCAUAAGACAUGAGGGAUUAGAUAAUAAUAAAAUAAAGAAACCCUAGCAUGCUUGCUAUCUAAUUAGCAUAACAAAAAUUAUCAAAGUAUAUGAAAACAUUAAUUAUCACACACAUCUUGUAUACAAUUUCUAAAAAAAAGAUAAGACAUGAUUUCAACAAGUGUCAAAUGUGGCAACAAAAAUAAAUUUUGAAAAGAUUUUCUUAUGUAGGGGUUUCACCAAUUCCCCAAAUUAAUAUACACGAAUUUAACUCAGAAUUAUCCCAUUUANNNNNNNNNNNNNNNNNNNNNNNNNNNNNNNNNNNNNNNNNNNNNNNNNNNNNNNNNNNNNNNNNNNNNNNNNNNNNNNNNNNNNNNNNNNNNNNNNNNNNNNNNNNNNNNNNNNNNNNNNNNNNNNNNNNNNNNNNNNNNNNNNNNNNNNNNNNNNNNNNNNNNNNNNNNNNNNNNNNNNNNNNNNNNNNNNNNNNNNNNNNNNNNNNNNNNNNNNNNNNNNNNNNNNNNNNNNNNNNNNNNNNNNNNNNNNNNNNNNNNNNNNNNNNNNNNNNNNNNNNNNNNNNNNNNNNNNNNNNNNNNNNNNNNNNNNNNNNNNNNNNNNNNNNNNNNNNNNNNNNNNNNNNNNNNNNNNNNNNNNNNNNNNNNNNNNNNNNNNNNNNNNNNNNNNNNNNNNNNNNNNNNNNNNNNNNNNNNNNNNGGCUUGUUUUAAUGAUCCAAAAAGCUGUCAAAACACUAAAACUAGCCACAAAUAUGAUUAGAAGUCAUUGCUAGGUCCUUAACAUGCCAAUUGGGAUAAAGAUGGAGAACUACUACACAAAAGUGCUUAAAACAUAAUGAAUUAAAGGUGUAAAAUAGCACUUUUUGGGUAGUAAUCAGUCAACCUGUUAAUACACCAAUAGAAAAAUGUCUGAAAUUGUGUGUUGAGCCUAAUCAAGUAUCAACCGAUAAGGGAAGAUACAAGAGACUUGUGGGGAGAUUAAUGUACUUAGCUCAUACAAGACCAAAUCUUGCUUAUGCAUUGAGUGUAGUGAGUCAAUACAUGCAUAAUCCUGGAGAGCAACAUAUGAAUGCAGUCAUGCGUAUUUUGAGGUAUUUGAAGAAUGCUCCUGGGAAAGGAAUUUUGUUCGCUAAAAAUGUUGAUCAUCAGAGUAUAGAAGUAUAUACUGAUGUCGAUUGAGCCGGUGUAGUGGAUGAUAGGCGAUCUACAUCUGGUUACUUUACCUUUGUAGGUGGUAAUCUUGUGACAUGGAAAAGUAAGAAGCAGAAUGUCGUCGCCCGUUCAAGUGCAGAAGCGGAAUUUAGAGGUAUGGCUCUAGGACUUUGUGAGGCAUUAUGGCUAAGACUCCUCUUACAGGAUUUAGGUUACCUAUCUAGGCAACCAAUCCGAUUGUUUUGUGACAAUAAAGCCGCAUGUGACAUUGCUCNNNNNNNNNNNNNNNNNNNNNNNNNNNNNNNNNNNNNNNNNNNNNNNNNNNNNNNNNNNNNNNNNNNNNNNNNNNNNNNNNNNNNNNNNNNNNNNNNNNNCUUUAACGUGAUGAUUAAAAAAUAAAUAAUUAAACAAAUGUGAGAUUGCAUUACCAUAUUAAAGAAAACACGUGUUCAAGCAAAUAAACAAAUCAUCCCACUCACUCAAUACAAAAAUCCAAACUAAAAAUGGUACACCAAAACAUCACCGAAUAUAAUAACUAAACAAUUAAACCUAAAAAAUAGUAUUCUUGCUGCCAUAUUAAUGAGCACGUACUGGACCAAUAAAACAACCCAAUAUAAUAAUCCAAACAAACAUCAAACCAGACUUUUAUAUUUUUUCAAAGCAACCCCACAUAGAAACCAAACUUACCUGGCAGCUAGGUGCGUGGAUUGUCCUUCUCAAGGUGGCAGCCGUGUAAGUGGAUUUCCUUCAGGUGGAGAUGCGUGUUGAAUCUCCCGUCAAAGGAGUGAUGCGGCUGGUUCUCAAUGGAUGGUGCGGCUAUGGUGAGUUCCUCUUCAACUUGCAGCCGUGUGGGUACCCCUGGAGAGGCCAAAUCUCAGUGCAUGGUGCGGCUCCUUCAAUGCAUGGUGCGGUUCUCUGAUGCAGUAAUGCUUUCCGAAACUUUUCUGGUGCGGCCCACCUCUGUUCUAAAACACGGAUUGAUCCUUGCCCAAACAACAACCUUUAAUCCCUCUGAAACAUGGACUGAUCUCUUCAAACAGCAACCCCCAAAAUCCUUUCAAAACACGGAUUGAUCUUUGCCCAAACAGUAGCCUCUAAUCCCUCUAAAACAUGGACUGAUCUUUCUCCCAUAGCAGCCCCUAAUCCCUCUAAAACAUGGACUGAUCUCCUUUGAAAACAGCAACCCCGAAUCCCUCUAAAACGUGGACUGAUCUCCUUUGAAAACAGCAGCCCGCUCUUCUCCUCCCUCUGAAAAUCGCAGCCUCACCUUUCCUCCACCGGACUGAUCACUCCUCUUCUCUCUGAAAAUCACAACCUCACUCCUUCUCCCCUCCUGACUGAUCAUUCCUCUUCCCUCUGAAAAUCACAGCCUCACUCCUUCUCUCUCUCAAUCGUCUGUCUUUUUUUCCUUUUCUUUUCUUUUCCUUCCUCUUUAGUACCCUGCCAACAUGGGAAGACAACUCACCAGCCCGGAAAAUGAUCUUUCUUCCCCUUAAUCACGCGGCUGCACUCUUCCUUUUCAGACCACUUUUUUUUUCUUUUCUUGAACACAACCUCACUUCCUGUCCACAUACAUGCUGCACCCUCUUUCCUUUCACUUGCCAAAACCUAGCCUUCUUAAUCUUCUUCCCAUAAUCAUCCUGUUGACUCCACCGACCACCUUCAUCAUGCUGAUCUUCUUCCCAUAAUCAUCCUUUCCCAUAAUCAUUCUUUUUAAUAAUCUUUUUUUCAAUAUGGAGUAUGUAAAAUCCCGGGCAACAAAACAAAAUAUAACAAAUAAAAAAAUAGAAAAAAUAAGGGUUAGAGUAAUAAUAAAAAAAAUGUGACUAAUAAUUAAAAAUUCAAACUAUGUCAUUUUAAAAGAAAUUUUAAAAAUAUAGAUCACAUGCAUAACUAAAAUGAAUUAUCGACUCAAGCAAUUCCCUAUCAAAAUAAAUUAAUAAAUAGAUAAAUAAAAAUGAAAUGAAUAUGAUUAUUAAGCUCAUGCAAUGUUCUAAAAAAUAAGUAAAUAAAUGAAUAAAACUAAUAAAUAGAGAAAGAUAAAAAAAACAAAAACAAAAUCAAGCACAUGCAAGCCAUACGAGCUAUGCAACCAUGCAAGCCAUGCAAAACAUGCAUCCAUGCAAAAAAAAUGAUCUAAAUGGGUCUAAUGGUAAUGACUAAUGGGCCAAGUGUGCCUAAAUGUGCCUAGAGUGCAUAAGUGGGCCAAGGGUGCCUAAAUUGGCCUAAGGUUACCUAAAUGGGCCUAGGGUGCCUAAGUGGGCCUAGGGUGCCUAAAAACUAUCCUAAAAAAAAGCAAGAAAAGCCUAAGUCUAAGUUAGGGCUGCCAAGGGUCACAAUAAGGGGUCAGAUAAUCCCUCAACCAAAGUCUCCGAGAUGGCUUAGAAAAAAUAGGCUACACGAGUAUUAAUGGGCCACCAGGGAAUUGCUAUAAACGACAUGUGCGAGGAAGACAAAAUAGAGGGUCUACACCACCCACUUAAUUUUAAUGUGGAAAUAUCAUUCUCCCACUUAGCCCACUAAACUGAUUAUGAAAACUAUAAUAUAUUUAGUUUAUAUAUAAAAUAUAUACUGGAAAAUAAAUUUGACACGUGAUCACGAUUUCAAUAAACUUAGCCAAUACAUCCAAAAUCAUUUGCCAUAAUACUGAAUCAAUUUAGAUGAUAAAUGCGAGUCAUGGCGGUCACAUGACCAUAAUAUCAUGUUUCCUUCCAUGCACCACACAUUAAUAACCCUUACUAACCCAGUCCUUAAUGCCAAAUAGCCCCUGUAAUUUGUCUUGUCAGGACAAUUCUUGUUUAUCAAACAAUAAAAUGUGCACCCAUAAUUGAAAACAAGAAUAAACAGAAACAAUUUUAAUGCGCAAAUUGUCAAUUACAUAACCACCAUUCAUUAUCAUACACAUUAUGGAUUACUCAAAAGACCCAUCCUCAUAACAUGUUCCAAAUAUGCCUUUGGAGGUAAUCCUUUAGUUAAUGGAUCAGCAACCAUAAGUGUGGUCCUAAUAUUUUCAAUUGACACUUAUUGUUUCUGGACUCUUUCUUUAACAACUAAAUACUUUAAAUCCAUGUGUUUCGAUCCACUAGAAAAUUUGCCAUUCUUAGAGAAGAAAACAGCUGCAGUGUUAUCACAAUAUAUUCUCAAAGGUUUAGCAAUAGAGUCGACAACACCAAGCCCUGAGAUAAAAUUCCGCAACCAUAAAGCAUGACUUGAAGCUUCAAAACAAGCAACAAACUCGGCCUCCAUCGUGGAUGAAGCAGUAAUUGAUUGUUUUUCACUCUUCCACGAGAUUGCCCCAUUUGCUAGCAUAAAGACAAAUCCUGAAGUUGACUUUAAGCUAUCGAGACAACCACCAUAAUCAGAAUCCGAGUAACCGACAACCUCUAAUUGUUCUGAUCUUUUAUAUGUGAGCAUAUAAUCCUUUGUCCCUUGUAAAUACCUCAUCACCUUCUUUGCAGCUUUCCAGUGUUCGAAUCCUGGAUCACUUUGGUAUCUUCCUAACAUGCCUACAGCAAAGCUGAUAUCCGGUCUUGUACAUGUUUGAGUGUACAUCAAACUCCCCACAGCUGAUGCAUAAGGAAUUUUCUUCAUUUGCUCUCUUUCCAUGUUAUUCCUUGGGCACUGCAUUUUACUUAAUUUGUCACCUUUCAAUAUAGGUGCAAUACCCGAUGAACAUGACUGCAUAUUAAAUCUCUCUAAAACCCGAUCAAUAUAUCCUUUCUGAGAUAAACCUAGCACUCCUCGAGAUCGAUCCCUAAAGAUCUCAAUGCCAAUAACAUAGUUUGCCUCACCCAUAUCAACCAUAUGAAAGUUUUUAGAGAGAUAUUCCUUGGUUUCACGUAAUAAACCAAGAUCACUGCUGGCAAGCAAAAUAUCAUCCACAUACAGUAUCAGAAAUAUAAACUUGCUCCCACUAACUUUCAGAUAUAUACACUGAUCAACAAUGUUCUCUUUAAAUCCGAAAGAUGUAAUGGUAUUAUUGAACUUAAUAUACCAUUGUCCGGAAGCUUGUUUAAGACCGUAAAUGGAUUUCUUUAAUUUGCAAACUAGGUGUUCAUUUCCUUUCUUUGCGAACCCUUUAGGUUGUUCCAUAUAGAUAUCUUCAUCCAAAUUCCCAUUUAAGAAUGCAGUUUUCACAUCCAUUUGAUGUAACUCUAAAUCAAAAUGAGCUACAAGUGCCAUAAUGAUUCUAAGCGAAUCUUUCUUGGAAACUGGAGAGAAGUUAUCUUUGUAAUCGAUACCUUCCUUUUGAGUGAAACCUUUGGCCACAAGUCUGGCCUUAAAUCGUUCGAUAUUGCCUUUAGCGUCGCGCUUUGUCUUAAAGACCCAUUUACAGCCGACGGGUUUACAAUUAUUAGGCAAUUCGAUGAGAUCCCAGACACCAUUGUGGGCCAUAGAUUUCAACUCUUCAUUCAUAGCUUCCAUCCAUUUACUAGAAUCAUCACUUUCCAUGGCUUGUGAAAACGAAACCGGAUCCUUCCUUAUCCCAAUAUCAAAAUCAGAUUCCUGUAGAUACACCACAUAAUCAUCUGUAAUGGCAGGUCUCCUUUCUCUUUGAGAUCUCCUCAAAGGUGCCGGUUGUGGUGGCUCUACAGCAUUUUCAAUGGCAAUAUUUUCUAGUGGUAAUGAACCAUCUCUAUUAUUUUGCUCAUUAUCCUCAACUUGUUGAACAGGUUGAGGAACAAUAAUUUCUUGAGGUAAAAAAGGUGGUGGGAUAUCCACUCUUAUCUCCUCAAUAUCUACCUUUCUUGGUUCAUUACUCCCACUGAUUUCGCCAUUCUCUAGGAAUCUGGCAUUACCGGUUUCAACUAUUCUCACACUAUGGUUAGGACAAUAAAAUCUAUACCCUUUCAAUUUAUCCGGAUGGCUCAAUGAAAUAUCCAGAUACCGUUCUUGAAUCAAGCUUUUUCUCAUGUGGGUUAUAGAUUCUUGCCUCCGCUGGACAACCCCAUAUAUGUAUAUGUCUCAAGCUAGGUUUCCUACCAGUCCAUAACUCGAAAGGAGUUUUUGGGACUGCCUUACUAGGAACUCUGUUCAAGAUAUACAUUGCUGUUUUUAAGGCUUCACCCCACAAUGAAAUAGUUACAGAAGAGUAACUCAUCAUACUCCUAACCAUUUCCAUUAAUGUGCGAUUACACCUUUCAGCAACACCAUUAUGCUGUGGCGUACCAGGCAUUGUGUAUUGAGCACGAAUGCCAUGCUUUUCAAGGAAUUUGGCAAAAGGACCAGGAUUUUGUCCUGAUUCAUCAUAUCUGCCAUAAUAUUCACCGCCUUGAUCUGAUCUCACAAUUUUAAUCUUUUUAUCUAAUUGUCUCUCGACCUCUGUUAUGAACAUCUCAAAUAUGUCAAUGGCCUGAGACUUUUCAUGCAUUAGAUAAACAUAACCAUAACGAGAUAGAUCAUCUAUAAAGGUGAUAAAAUAUUUCUCUCCUGUGAAACAUGGAACAGAGAGUGGUCCACAAAUAUCUGUAUGAAUUAUCUCAAGGAGCUCAUUACUUCUUGUGGCACCUUUCUUUGUAUGUUUAGUUUGCUUUCCCUUUAUGCAAUCCACGCAUACAUGAAAAUCAGUGAAGUCAAGAUUUUGUAAAAUUCCUUCCUUCACUAAUCUUUCAAUUCUUUCCCUAGAGAUGUGCCCUAGUCUUCUGUGCCACAAGAUUGAAGAAUUUUCAUUAAUUAAGCCACGUUUUGAACCAACAUUUGAAUGCAGGGUUAUCAAAGCUUGUGCAAAUUCAUGAUUCAAGGAAAUUUUAUAUAAACCAUCACAUAAAAUACCAGAACCAACUAUAACAGAAUUCAACAUCAAACUUAAUUGUCCAGAACUGAAUAAAACAGAAUAUCCAGUAGCAUCUAAUUUAGACAAGGAAACUAAAUUCCUAGAGAUAGAAGGUACAUAAAAAGUGUUUAAAAGAUCCAUCCGAUGAUCCGUCUCUAAUAGUAAGCGAUAGGUACCAACAGCUACCACUUCAACCUUGAGACGGUUUCCCAUAUAGAGGAACUUUUCACUUUCCUUUGGUUUCCUGGUUGUAAGGAAUCCCUGCAUUAAAUUAGUCACAUGAGUUGUGGCUCCAGAAUCAAUCCACCAAGUAUUUGAAGGAACUUCAGCAAGAUUAGAUUUAUAACAUACAAAAGAAAGAUUUAUACCUCUAUUUUCGAACCAAGCCUUGCGCUUGAUACAGUCCUUCUUCACAUGCCCUUUCUUGCCACAAAAGUAGCAACUUACAGUGAAUUUUCGAUCAUGACUCUGGCUACCUUCCCCAGGUCCGCUUUUCUUAGGUGGAAAGUUCUUUCCCUUUUUGAAUUUUCCUUUCUUCUUCGUGACUCCAUGAGUUACAGCAAAAGCAAGAUUAUGUCCUUCUUGUCUUAAUCUCACUUCCUCUUGUAUACAUUUACUGGUGAGCUCAUUCAAGUUCCACUGAUCACUGUUAGUAUUAUAGUGGAUUUUGAAUGGAGCAAACUAUGAUGGAAGUGAGUUAAGGACAAACUGUACCAAGAAGGACUCAUCCAUACCCAUACCUAGUGCCUUAAGCUUUGUAGCCUUUUCAGUCAUGUUUAAAAUAUGUUGCUGAAUACCUUUCUGACCAUCAUAUUUCAUGGUGGUCAAUUCAGCCAUCAAUGUGCCUGCAAGGGACUUAUCAGCACGUUUGAAGCGCUCCUCAACAAAUUUCAGAAAUUCCAAGGCAAACUCGGUUUGAGGGAGAGAGGUCUUGAUAUUAUUGGCAAUAGUCAUUCUCAUAAACAUCAGACUAAGUCUGUUUGAUUUUGCCCAGGCUUUUGAUUGUUCCACCUGCUCCGGAGUACUGUCAUCCGUAGCUUCAGGAGGUUUAUCAGAUAUUAAAGCCAAGUCAAGAUCCAAUACACCCAGUGAGAAUUGAACCCUUUCAUACCAUUCAGAAAAGUUUGACCCAUCAAAAAUAGUCAUUCCAGAUGCAAGAGAGUGUAAUGAAGUGGGAACUGUACAAAAUAGAACAAUGCUCACAAUAAGCUUCAAGUAUAAAAUAAAAAACAAUGAACUAUUGAUAUCAUUAAAAUUCUCCUUUGGGUAAAUUUUAACAUAUCCAGUGUUCACUUGGAGGGAGCUUAAAACACUUUACUAUUUUGUGUCAUUUAUAUGUUACCUUUGGGUAUCCAUUUUACUUUUCUAAGCAACACAAAAUAAAAACAUUAAUUAAUAAUUAGCAGAAAUUGACUCUCCUUUGGGUUAGUCUCAUUCUCCUAAUUAUAAAGAAAAUUAUUAAGAAUUUUACAAGUCUCCCUUUAUUCUUUUAUGCAAUUCAAUAAAUACAAGGCUCACUAAUUUAGGUUACUUUGGCAACUAUCCAAAUUAGUUAACCUUAUAUUUAUAAAUUGUCUUUAGAUAAAAUAUUCACAAGAUGAAAUUAAUUCUUUUAUUUGAGUUAAAAAACAAGGAAAUAGUAUCUAUAAUAAUCAACAGAUUCAAUAAUCAAUCAUAAUAUAGUAUCUUUAAUAAUCAACAGAUUCAUUAAUCAAUCAUAUUAUAGUAUCUUUAAUAAUCAACAGAUUCAAUAAUUAAUCAUAAUAAAAUCAAAGAAAUCUGCAUUCAUUGAAUAUACUAAAGCUAAUACUUGCAUUCCUCAUAUAUAAUAAUAGUAAUUUCACAAAUGUACAGAUUCAAAUCAUAUAAUAAAUCAAUUAAGAUCUUUGGAUUAGUGCCUGAAAUGNNNNNNNNNNNNNNNNNNNNNNNNNNNNNNNNNNNNNNNNNNNNNNNNNNNNNNNNNNNNNNNNNNNNNNNNNNNNNNNNNNNNNNNNNNNNNNNNNNNNCGGAGUACUGUCAUCCGUAGCUUCAGGAGGUUUAUCAGAUAUUAAAGCCAAGUCAAGAUCCAAUACACCCAGUGAGAAUUGAACCCUUUCAUACCAUUCAGAAAAGUUUGACCCAUCAAAAAUAGUCAUUCCAGAUGCAAGAGAGUGUAAUGAAGUGGGAACUGUACAAAAUAGAACAAUGCUCACAAUAAGCUUCAAGUAUAAAAUAAAAAACAAUGAACUAUUGAUAUCAUUAAAAUUCUCCUUUGGGUAAAUUUUAACAUAUCCAGUGUUCACUUGGAGGGAGCUUAAAACACUUUACUAUUUUGUGUCAUUUAUAUGUUACCUUUGGGUAUCCAUUUUACUUUUCUAAGCAACACAAAAUAAAAACAUUAAUUAAUAAUUAGCAGAAAUUGACUCUCCUUUGGGUUAGUCUCAUUCUCCUAAUUAUAAAGAAAAUUAUUAAGAAUUUUACAAGUCUCCCUUUUUUCUUUUAUGCAAUUCAAUAAAUACAAGGCUCACUAAUUUAGGUUACUUUGACAACUAUCCAAAUUAGUUAACCUUAUAUUUAUAAAUUGUCUUUAGAUAAAAUAUUCACAAGAUGAAAUUAAUUCUUUUAUUUGAGUUAAAAAACAAGGAAAUAGUAUCUAUAAUAAUCAACAGAUUCAAUAAUCAAUCAUAAUAUAGUAUCUUUAAUAAUCAACAGAUUCAUUAAUCAAUCAUAAUAUAGUAUCUUUAAUAAUCAACAAAUUCAAUAAUUAAUCAUAAUAAAAUCAAAGAAAUCUGCAUUCAUUGAAUAUACUAAAGCUAAUACUUGCAUUCCGCAUAUAUAAUAAUAGUAAUUUCACAAAUGUAUAGAUUCAAAUCAUAUAAUAAAUCAAUUAAGAUCUUUGGAUUAGUGCCUGAAAUGGCACUUUUGAAGAGCCUGAAAGGUGGUGCCUGAAGCGCACACGGCACUGCAAACGGCAAGAAAACAGCGCCUGCAAAUAGCGCCUCUAAUGGCGCCUGCAACCAGGAGAUGGCGCCUGAAAACGGCGCCUUCAAUGGCACCGGCAAUGGUGCCUGCAACCAGCAGAUGGAGCCUGAAAAAUGGCGCCGACAAUGGCGCUUGAAAACAGCGCGAUGGCGCCGGAAAUCGCGCCUGAACUGGCGUCGAAAAUCGCGCCUGAACUGGCGCGUGAAAACUGUAAGAUGACGUCUUCAAUGGCGCCGGCAAUGGCACUUGGACUAGGGCCGGAAACCAGCGAGAUGGCGCCUGGACUGGCGCUGACAAUGGCGCCUGCAACUAGUGCGCAAACGGCGAGAUGGCGCUCUGGCAAUGGCGCCUGCAAUGGCGCCAGAAAACGGCCAGCAAUGGCGCCUGAAAGUGGCCAACAAUUGCGCCUAAAAAUGACCAGCAAUGACGCCUUCAAAUGGCCAGCAAAGGCGCCUGAAAAUGGCCAGCAAAGGCGCCUGAAAUGGUGCCUAAAAAUGGCCAGCAAAGGCACCUAAAAACGGCCAACAAUGGCGCCUGAAAACGGCGCCUGAAAAUGGCCAACGGACUGACGCCAAACCAGCGCCCCUCACUGGCAUAGAUCCAAUCAGCAUUGCAAGGAAAAAUAAAAAUCUUCCUUCUAUGCGUUAAGCUGGUCUUUUGUUUAUUUUAUUAAUUUUAGUGAGACGAAUUAAUGUAAGAUAAAUCUCAAAAAUCUAAUCUUUUAUAAAUCAAUGAUCUGAAUAUUUAAAUUCAAAACCUUGCUCUGAUACCAAUUGUUGGACUUUAACACGGAAAUUAACAUACAAUAAUCCAGAUCAUUAUGAUUCAAACUCGUCUUUGAUGAUAAAUAAUAAUAAAAUAAUAAAAACCAGUAAUUAACAAAUAGAUCACAUACCAUUUGAAGAAGACGCAGUCAUGAGAGAUUUCCCUUCAACUUAUAGAUCUUGAAUCCUUGAUCUCUUCUUCUCCUUAUCAAACCUUAAUACACAGAGUUAUUUUCUGUAAUUGAUGGAAAAAGCACACACUCCACACAUGAAGGGUUUUCUGUAUAUGUCUUUUAUUGAUAGGAAAAGAGGGCCAAGAAUACACGUUCAAAAACCGUUCUGAACGUGUCAAUCAAAAUAACUGUUAAUUAUCUCAAAUAAUAAUAUUAAAAUUAUUAUAAUUUACCCACUCCAUCAAUGGUAAAUAUCUAUAACAGUUUAAAGAUAGUGGAUAUUAUUUAAUUGGCUAAAUACUAGGUUAGUGGGCCACCCACUUAAUUUUAAUGUGGAAAUAACAAUGGCACCAAGAGAGGGAGGCGUAAAAUGAUAUGGAGAGGAAAAUAAAUAAUCAUAGACAAAAAUUAUCAUACUACUUUCUAUUAUUUUUAAAAUAUAGAGAAACAAUUAUAAAAAUUAAAAUUCCAAAUUUAAAAAAAUUUAACUCUUCAGAUAUUAAUAAAAUGAUUCUAAUAAACUAAACAAAUAGAUUAUCUUUGGUUUUAGAAAAUUUGAGGGGAAAUGUGAGAUAAAGAAAAUAAAGAGGAAGUGAAAGAAAAAAAAAUGUUAAGGAAAAUAAAAAAUAAAUUUAAAGUCAAUAAAUUAUUUGUAUAUAUUUUUUAAAAUUCAUUUUACUUAUUUUUCUUUAUGGUACAAGGAUUAGAUAAUUUUAAAAUAUGUAAAAUUUCAAUUAAUUUUAAUUAUAUUUGAUUUUCUUUUAUAUUUUUUAUAGUAAAACCAAACAAGAGAAAAUAAUUUAUUUUUAUCAUUUUUUCUCUUUCCUUUGCACUUUUCGGGAACCAAAUAUAGCCAUAGAGUUUUAGUCAAAAUUGUUUUCCUUAAGUCUUCAAAUUUUAUCUUACUCAUUAUCAUCGUCAAACAAUGUUUCUGUUGAACUUGCAACUAUGUCUAUAAUUUCAUUUUUAGAAGGAAAAUAAAAAUGCGAGUAUAAUUUUUUUCUUCCACCAACUUGCUAAUAUAGUGAAAUAUGACGUCAAUAUGUUUGCUUUUUCUAUGAAAAGUUGGAUUCUUGGUGAAUGCAAUUGUUGACUUAUUAUCACAAAAGAUUUGUACUAUAGGAACUUCUUUUGAGUAUUUCUUAAAUAAGAUCAAAACAUUCAAUACAACCAUAUUGCUACAUAUAUGAUUCCUACAACCUAUCUCCAAAAACCAAGUAUUUUUUGUUUUCUUCCUUUGCAACAUUGUUUGCUAAUAAUAACGUAUCUAAAUUUGCACCCUUAUCUUCUAUAAUAUUAGCAUGAAAAUUUAAUCCAUUCGAUCUUCUACCUUUACAUUUGGACUUGUAAUGACCUUUUUUUUUUUUUUUUUUUUGUAGUUUAAAUAUGAAAUUUAUUAUUAUUAUUAUUUUGAGUUGAAAUGUUUCACUAAAAUUUCUUACUCCUUUUUCUUCUAAUCUAAAAUUUCCUCAUCUUCUAUUUUGUGAACUCUAACAUUUUUUACUUGAUUUACAAUUAUUUUGAGACUUCUCUUUUUCUUUUUUAAGACUUAGUUGGCUUCGCCACUUCAAUAUGAGACCUGUGAUUUAAGCAUUAUUCAUGGGCUUGUAAGGAACCCAUCAACUCAUGUAAUAUUAUGACACUAAGAUCUUUAAUUUUUCAAUUGUUGUUACCUUCUACUCGAAUCAUAUGAUUAAAGUUCAAAGAAUUGAUUGAUAAGAGCUAAUAUCUAUGAAAAAUAAUUACAAACUCUUUCCAUUUUCUCCAUUUAAAAAGAUCAAAUUGCAUUCUUAAAGUUUAUAGUUGAACUUUCUUCACCUUUUCUACUCUUUGUAGUGUUUAUUAAGAUGUCUCAUGCAUGUACCUUUUGAUUCUAUUGAUUGAUAGAUGGAAAGAUAAGCCUUCAAUUCUUUUUCCUUGGAAUUUAUCAAAUAAUUCUUUUGUGCUUGUGUAAGUUUUGCUUGAUCUACUUGUAUGAAAACUAUGCUUGGAUUGUAUUAUUGUUGGUUGUUUGCAUCUUUAUUAGUCGAGCUUUGAUUACCAAGUCUAAGGGACCAAAAAAAAUACACACACACAUAAAAAUAAAAACUUCCAACACAAGACAUUAAUAAAAAUCUAAUUAUAAUAAAAACCAAGCUUAUUUUAAAUCAUAAAAAUAAAUUAAAUAAAUAUAAUUUUAAAUUUAAUUAGAACGCCUAUAAUUUUGCUAAAGUCUAAUUAGCUAGCCAAAGCAUGAUUGAUCUUUAUCUAAACACCCAUUGAACUUUAACAAUAUUUCAUAUAUAUGGGUUUGUUUGGUUACUGUUUUUAAAAAUGGUUUUUCAUUUUUUGGAACUGAAUAUUGUUUUCUAAUUUAGAGAACAUGUUUGAAUUUUUUUUGACAUCAAAUAGUGUUUUCUUUUCAAAAUUUCUUUAGAGUAUAAUAGUUUGUUUGGUUAUGUGAUUUAAAAAUAGAAAACUAUUUAAAUUUUUUUUAAUACAGUUUGAUUGUUGUUUUACAAUAAUUUUUAAAAACAAAGUAAAAUAAAAAACAAUUUUUAAAGAACAAGUAAACUUUAUUUUCACCGAUUUUUAAAAAUAAAAGGAAAACAUGACCCCGUUUGUCAUGUUUUCUUAAACUUGUUUUUAAAAUCAAUUUUAAAGUUAAAUAAUAAAAAAUAAUUUUUAAAAACAGGUUUUAGAAAAUAUGGCCAAACAGUCCCUAAGUUAUUUUUAAAACUAAAUCUAAAGUGUUUUUAAUUGUUUUUAUAAAGUUUUUGAAGUAAUAAUUAAAAAGAUAGUGAAUACUUUAAAAAUAUUUGUAUUAUACAUAAAUGCAUAAUAGAGAAUAAGUAUAGAAAACAGUUCUUUCAACCUAUUUUUUGAGAAUCAUAUUUAAAAACAUGGCCACGCGGGCCUAUUUCUCCCAUGGCAUAGCUUGAAUGAGUGUUCCUUUAAGCUCUUGCAUGAUGAAGCAUUGAUCGACCAAAGCAGACAUGCCAAAAUACUAUAACAAAGGAAUUUUAUGAUUUCAGAUAUUAUUUAAAAUUAAAUAAUAUUUGUAAAAGUUGAAAAUUUUAAAAACUUGUAAAAUUGACUUAAUUAUGGUUUGUGCAUGUUAUAUUUUUUUAAAAAUAAAAUAAAAUGUAGUGUUUUUUUUCUUAAUUCUAAAUAGAACUUAAAAUUAAAUAGUAAUUAAUGGUGUUAAGUAUUAAGUCGUUUGUUUUUAUAAUAUUUUAUUUUUAUUAAGCAUUAAAAAAAAAAUUCUCACAUGUUACUUUUUUCAUUUAGAGAAAGUCAAAUAUUUUGAUUUUUUUUAUUCAGUCAAAAAUUAAUUUAUAAUAAGUCAUGAAAAAAGUUAAAAAAAAAAAAACAAAUAACCUAAAUUUGAUAGCAAAUUUCUUACAAUAAAAAACUAAGAGGGCAUUUAUUUUUUCGGUUUUUCUUAUUAAAAAAAAUUUGUUUUCAAAAUUUAAGUUGUUUGUUUUUUUUUUACUUUUUUAUAACUUCUAAUAAACUUUUUGUUGAAUUGAAAAAACCAAAAUAUUUGAAUUUUUUUAAAUAAAAAAAUAAUAUGUUCAUUUUUCUUUAUUUUUUAAAUAUUUAAUAGAAAUAAAAUAUUUAAAAAAUAAACAACUUCAUAUUUAACAUUAUUAAGUAUUAAAAUUUUAUUUAGAAUUAAAUAAAAGAACAAACACUACCUAAGAAAACGAACACCCUCUAAAUUUGGAGACUCACAAUGUCCAUGCUUAUGAAGGAGUUUGGAGCUAGUCGGUUUCAUUAAAUUUAUGGAGGGUCAUGUACCUGAAGAAGUUUUAUUGCUUCAUUCAGUGUUACACGUGAUAAAUGACUGAGACAAAGCAUGGGUCUUUUCUCUGUUUUUUACACCUAUAUCCGUUGUAUCUCUUUUUUCAUUUUUUUAUCUUUAUACUUUUGUGUGUUGAGAUAUUAGGAAUGCUUUCCUUAUAUCAUUCUUUCCUUAUAUCAUUUAGUGUUGAGAUUUUAGGAAUAUUGAGAUACUAGGAAUAUUGAGAUAUUAGGAAUAUUGAGAUAUUAGGAUAUUAGUUGUUAUUUCCUUAUAUCAUUCUUUCCUUAUAUCAUUCUUUCCCAUUCUUAGAAUGGUGAUUACCCUCUAUAUAUACUCUGUACAUGAAUGAAAAAACUACCAUUUAUCAAUUUGAAGAUGGUAUCAGAGCCAUGGAACUAAAAUCCUGGAUAUUUUGUCGCUAUGGUAGUCCGACAGCGAUCAACCAUCCUAAGACAAGCCCUAAUAUUGAUAAGUCAACCUUCAAAUGCACUCACUUCAAUAAGACUGGUCCCACCAGUCUGGAUAUCCCACAAUUUCAAAACAACGACUCUUGGUAUGACCAAGAAAACAAUAAGGAACCGAAGGUUUGAACCAUGGACCUUUAGAUCAUGUUUAGGCUAUCAACACUUUGUUAUUAAUUAUAAUAAUCGUGAUCAACGGAAGAAGGAUUCCAAGAAAACCGCGACUGCAACUGUUGCCGAAAUAAAAACAGAGGCUAAUGUUGCUGAGAAAGCCUCUGCAUUGGUAGUCGCUACUGAUCAUGGUGGUAAGUUUUUAAAUACUUUUACACCUGUUAUUAAUAGUGCAUGGAUAAUUGAUUCUGGUGCUACAGAUCAUAUGACUUUUGAUUCUAGACAGGUUUUACCCCUUAGACCUUCCUCACAAAAAAUUGUUUCCACAGCCAAUGGUAACACAACCCCAGUCAUUGGGGAAGGAUCCUUAACUCUUACUGAUACUUUGAAUUUGGAUUCUGUUUUAGUUGUUCCAUCUUUAGAUUACAAUCUUUUGUCAGUUUCUCAAAUCACUGCAACCUUAUCUUGUAUUGUCAUUUUUUGGCUUGAAUUUUGUGUGAUUAAGGACAUCCAAACAAGACAGACGAUUGGUUGUGGUAUUAAACGGGGAAAACUCUAUUACUUGGACUUGCAGUCAAAGGAUUCAAAUAAGUUGCAACAAGCCUUGAUGGCAAAUGAAUCUGAGGGGGAGAAGAAAAAGUCUGAAAUUUGGUUGUGGCAUCGACGUUUGGGACAUGCUUCCUUUGGUUAUUUAAAAAAAUUGUUUCCUAGUUUGUUUGCAAAAAGUGAUAUUUCUGGUUUUCGUUGUGAUAUUUGUGAAUUGGCUAAAAGCCAUCGUGCUUCGUUUCCGUUAAUUUUGAAUAAAAGUCUGUUUCCUUUUAUGGUUAUACAUUCUGAUGUUUGGGGCCCAUCCAAAGUCCUAACUUUGAGUGGCUCACGUUGGUUUGUUACUUUUAUUGAUGAUUGUACCAGAAUGACAUGGUUAUGCUUGAUGAAGACCAAAGAUGAAGUGAACUUGUUGUUUCAAAAUUUUCAUAAAAUGAUUGAAACUCAGUACAAUGCAAAGGUUCGGGUUCUGCGUAGUGAUAAUGGUGGAGAAUAUCAAAGUUCUGAUCUUCAAAAGUAUUUGGAAGGACAUGACAUCAUUCAUCAGACUACUUGUUCCAAUACACCCCAGCAAAAUGGAGUCGCUGAACAAAAAAAUCGACACUUGUUAGAGGUUGUUCGUGCUUCCUUGAUAGCAGCAAAAACACCGAUAUCUUAUUGGGGAGAAGCAAUCACAUCUGCCGCAUAUUUGAUCAAUUGGGUACCUUCUAGCUCAAUUAACUUUUAAACACCUCUCCAAGCUCUUACUAAUGUCGUAGUUGCCCCAACUGUCCCAAAUCUACCUCCUCGUGUUUUUGGUUACGUGGCAUUUGUGCAUCUACACAAGCACCAACGCACCAAGUUAACUUCCCAUGCAUUGCAAUGUGUGUUUGUUGGAUAUGCAUUACACAAAAAGGGAUAUUGAUGUUACCAUCCUCCAACUCGACAAAUGUAUAUUACAAUGGAUGUGGUGUUUCAUGAAGAUUCAAUGUAUUUUUCAUCUAAGUCUGAACUUCAGGGGGAGUACCAUAAGGAAAUUCAGACUCUCGAUUAUGAUUAUCAUAUCUCUGAAGAAGAUGAAUCUGGACAAUCUGAACUAGUGAACCAGGAAGUGGGUGAGUUGGAUAUGAGUGGUCAACAAUUUGGGUCCGAAGAUGUCUUCACUAAAAUACCAAACCAAUCGUCGUCUGUUGAGGGUGUUCUUAAUUUAGAACCUGAUCCAUUCAUGAAACGGUUACCACAUCGUCAUAAUAGAGGUAUUCCUAAACCCACAUAUGAACCUGAAUUGUCUACUAAAGUCAAAUAUCCCAUGAGCAACUAUGUGUCUACCCAUCGUUUGUCUGAAUCAAAUAAGUCAUUUGUAAAUCAAUUAUCUACUGUAGCUAUUCCUAACAGUGUGCAGGAAGCCUUAGCUGAUCCAAGGUGGAAAGCAGCUAUGAAUGAAGAGAUGAAAUCAUUGCAGAAGAAUGAAACAUGGGAACUCGUAUAAUGUCCACCAGGAAAGAAGCCAGUUGGGUGUCGUUGGAUCUAUACUGUGAAGUACAAGGCAGAUGGUAGUAUUGAACGAUUUAAAGUAAGACUGGUAGCAAAAGGGUACACUCAAACUUAUGGAAUUGACUACAUAGAGACAUUUGCACCUGUAGCUAAGAUUAACACAAUUCGAGUAUUACUGUCUUUAGCUGUAAACCUAGAUUGACCAUUACAACAAUUCGAUGUGAAAAAUGCCUUUCUGCAUGGCGAGUUAUCUGAAGAAGUAUAUAUGGAUCUUCCACUAGGAUGCAUGGUGUCAGAAAAGCAAUGUCAGAAGGUGUGCAAAUUGAAGAAGUCAUUGUAUGGGUUGAAGCAAUCCCCGAGAGCAUGGUUUGGAAGGUUCACAAAGUCAAUGAGAGCUUUUGGCUAUCGUCAAAGUAAUUCAAAUCACACUUUGUUCCUAAAAAAGCAACAUGGUAAGAUUACGAGACUCAUCGUAUAUGUGGAUGACAUGGUAGUUACAGGAAAUGAUCCUGAAGAAAGAAAAGCUCUGCAAAAUUAUCUAUCUAGAGAAUUCGAAAUGAAAGAUCUAGGUCAUCUGAAAUACUUUCUUGGGAUUGAAGUUUCUCGAUCAAGUGAAGGAAUUUUUCUGUCUCAAAGAAAGUAUGCCUUAGAUCUUUUACAGGAGACUGGAAUGUUGGGAUGUCAACCUGUUAAUAUACCAAUAGAAGAAGGUCUGAAAUUGUGUGUUGAGCCUAAUCAAGUAUCAACAUAAGGGAAGAUACUAGAGACUUGUGGGGAGAUUAAUGUACUUAGCUCAUACAAAAACAGAUCUUGCUUAUGCAUUGAGUGUAGUGAGUCAAUAUAUGCAUAAUCCUGGAGAGCAACAUAUGAAUGCAGUCAUGCUUAUUUUGAGGUAUUUGAAGAAUGCUCCUGGGAAGAGAAUUUUGUUCACUAAAAAUGUUGAUUAUCAUAGUAUAGAAGUAUAUACUGAUGCUGAUUGGGCCGGUGCAAUGGAUGAUAGGCGAUCUACAUCUAGUUACUUUACCUUUGUAGGUGGUAAUCUUGUGACAUGGAAAAGUAAGAAGCAGAAUGUUGUCGCUCGUUCAAGUGCAGAAGCGGAGUUUAGAGGUAUGACUCUAGGACUUUGUGAGGCAUUAUGGCUAAGACUCCUCUUACAGGAUUUAGGUUACCUAUCUAGGUAACCGAUCCGAUUGUUUUAUGACAAUAAAGCCGCAUGUGACAUUGCUUAUAAUCCAGUACAACAUGAUCGUACAAAGCAUGUCGAGGUGGAUAGAUUCUUCAUUAAGGAAAAGUUAGAUGAUAAGAUUGUGGAAUUGCCUAAGAUUCAAUCAGAAGAUCAAUUGACCGAUAUCCUUAUCAAAGUUGUCUCAAGUCAAGUGUUCUCAAAAUUUUUAGACAAGUUGAGCAUGUGUGACAUCUAUGCACCAACUUGAGGGGGAGUGUUGAGAUAUUAGGAAUAUUGAGAUACUAGGAAUAUUGAGAUAUUAGGAAUAUUGAGAUAUUGGGAUAUUAGUUGUUAUUUCCUUAUAUCAUUCUUUCCUUGUAUCAUUCUUUCCCAUUCUUAGAAUGGUGAUUACCCUCUAUAUAUACUCUGUACAUGAAUGAAUGAAAGUAUGAAUGAAAAAACUACCAUUUAUCAAUUUGAAGAUUGUGUACACAUGAAUUAACCCUAUUCAUAAUAGCAGUUAGAUGGUGUUUGUUUUUUUGGCUUUUUGCUUAAAACAAUUUAGUUUUAGAAUUUAGGUUGUUUGUUUUUCUACUUUUUCAUGACUUAUUAUAAACUUUUUACUAAAUAGAAAAAGCCAAAAUAUGUAGCUUUUUCUAAAUAGAAAAAAUAACAUAUUGAUUUUUUUUACUUUUUAAUACUUAAUAGAAAUAAAAUACUACAAAAACAAACAACCUAAUAUUUAACACUAUUAAGUAUUAAGGUUCUAUUUAGAAUUAAGUAAAAAAACAAACACCACCUUAGUUUAUUAACUUGAAUGAUUGGUGGACGCUAUUCAACCAUGCUUGAUAAUAAUGCUUAUAACACGGCCCCACUUUUUAUAUGGACAAACUAAUUACCUUAAACUUCUCUUACCUUAUAUUGUAAGAGCAAAUAAAGUAAAUAAUGGAAGAAUCUCCUAUCAAAUGUAAUAAUAUAUAAGAGCAACCACCUACCUUUAUUAUGUCUUGUCAAAUGCUUAUUUUAUAUAAAUAACGGAGGAAUUUUCAGUCAAAUGUAAUAAAACACAAGAGCAACCACCUACCUUCAUUCUGUCUUGUCAAAUGCUUAUUUUAUAUAUUUGACAAGACAAGACAGAAUGAAGGCGGGUGAUUGCUCUUUUAUAUAUAUAUAUAUAUAUAUAUAUAUAUAUUCUUGUCAAGUAUUUGUUUUAAUAUCCAUUCUUAUUAAAACAUGAAAAGUUGAAUAUUAUGUAUAUAAUGAAGAAAUAUUGAGAAAAUUAUUAUAAAAAAUUAUUAAAAAAAACUUCAAAAAAAUGAUAAAAUAAAUAAUAGUAAAUAUUUUGAAAUUGUUUUAUUGAAAAAAAAUAUAUUAUAUGAUAUAAUUUAUAAUAUUCAAUAAUAAUAUAAAAAACUUGAAAAUAUAUUUUAUAUUAAUCCAUCUAUUUUGUAUCAAUCUAUCUAAUUUAUUUAGGAAUUUAGAUUUUUUUUUUUGGAUUCAACCAAUAUGCAAAAAAUAUAAAGAAAGACCUAAAAAAAAAAAUUAUAGUGAUAAUUUUUAUAUUUUUAAUAAUAAGUUAAAUGAAAUUCAAAAUAAAAUAAUUAACAUUAAUUGAAUUAAUUUCCUUAUUAAAGUUUUAUUUUAAUAUUUCACAUUUUUUUAAAAUAAAAUAUAAAAUACAACAUAUAAAAGUUUUCUUCCUAUAUAUAGCAUGAAUGACCAUAUGAUUUCAACAUCGUGGCUCCAUUCUGUCUUAUCAAAUACUUGGUAUUUUCCACUUUAACUUUAUAUAUAUAUAUAUAUAAAGUUUUAUUUAAAAUUAAAUAAAAAACAAACACCACAUAAGAAAACAAACACCCUCUAAAUUUAGAGACUCACAAUGUCCAUGCUUAUGAAGGAGUUUGGAGCUAGUGGGUCUCAUUAAAUUUAUGGAGGGUCAUGUACCUGAAGAAGUUUUAUUGCUUCCUUCAAUGUUACACGUGAUAAAUGACUGAGAUAAAGCAUGGGUCUUUUCUCUCUUUUUUACACCUCUAUCCGUUGUAUCUCUUUUUUCAUUUUUUAUCUUUUUAUUUUUGUGUACACAUGAAUUACCCUAUUCAUAAUAGCAGUUAGGUGGUGUUUGUUUUUUUGGUUUUUUGCUGAAAAUUAUUUAGUUUUAGAAUUUAAGUUGUUUGUUUUUUUACUUUUUCAUUACUUAUUAUAAACUUUUUACUAAAUAGAAAAAGCUCUGUAUAUGGCUUUUUUUAAAUAGAAAAAAUAACACAAUAAUUUUUUUUUACUUUUUAAUACUUAAUAGAAAUAAAAUACUAAAAAAACAAACAACCUAAUAUUUAAUACUAUUAAGCAUUAAAGUUCUAUUUAGAAUUAAGUAAAAAAACAAACGCCACCUUAAUUUAUUAACUUGAAUGACUGGUGGAUACUAUUCAACCAUGCUUAAUAAUAAUGCUUAUAACACGACCACUUUUAUAUAUGGACAAACUAAUUUCCUUAAACUUCUCUUACCUUUUUUUUUGUAAGAGCAACUAAAAUAAAUUACCGAGAAAUCUCUAGUCAAAUGUAAUAAUACAUAAGAACAAUCACCUACCUUCAUUCUGUCUUGUUAAAUAUCUAUUAUAUAUAUAUAUAUAUAUAUAUAUAUAUUGUCAAAAGUAUUCUGUCUUUAUCAACUUCUUAUUAAAACAUGAAAAGUUGAAUUUUAUGUAUAUAUAGAGUAAUAUUGAGAAAAUUACCAUAAAAAAUAUAAAUAGAUUAAAAUUUAUAAAAAUAUUUAAAAAAAAACUUUAAAAAAUGAUAAAAUAAAUAAUAAUAAAUAUUUUGAAAUUGUUUUGUUGAAAAAAAAAUUAUAUGACAUAAUUUAUAAUAUUCGAUAAUAAUAUAAAAAACUUGAAAAUAUAUUUUAUGUUAAUCCAUCUAUUUUGUAUCAAACUAUCUAGUUUAGAUAUAUUUAGAAUAUAUAAGAAAUGAUGAUAUAUUCAUUUUUUUUGUUUAUAAAUAUUUAUAAUUUUAUUUAGGAAUUUAGAUUUUUUUAUUCAACCAAUAUGCAAAAAAUAUAAAGAAAGACCUAAAAAAAAUUAUUGUGAUAAUUUUUAUAUUUUUGAUAAUAAGUUAAAUGAAAUUCAAAAUAAAAUAAUUAACAUUAAUUGAAUUAAUUUACUUAUUGAAGUUUUAUUUUAAUAUUUCAUUUUUUUUUAUAAAAUAUAAAAUACAAUAUAUAAAAGUUUCCUUCCUAUAUAUACCAUGAAUGCCCAUUCUGUCUUAUCAAAUGCUUGGUAUUUUCCACCUUAUCUUCUCUUUUCUCUUUGCUAAUGGUGUACGUUAAUGACAAGGAUAUAGAGGAUAAGGACAAGGCCAUCCUCCCACGCAAGACCAACCCGAAAAGUUGUGUAUUCAUGUGUACAUGGACUUGUUAAUUUUCCAUCGACUCAAACACAGAAAGCAAAUGACAAAACAAACUCCUUUGAUGAACAGGCUCAGGAAUGCUCUUCCCACAACUACACCAAGUCAUGAAAAAAUUUCAAUCUUUGUAGGAUGACCAGAUCGAAAAAUUAAGUAAUUAUGCACCGACUUAAAAAAUUGUUUUUUCGUUUCUAAGGACUUCUGAUGGUAGCUUCAAGCCGGGAUGUGUCUUUUAGUCAUGGGUUUCUAAUGGUUGGGUGGUUUUAGAGGUGUUUGAUAAAACUCAAUAUUUAUUAUUUAAUGACUUAAGUUAAACACUUUAAGUUAAACUAUAAUUAAAAAUAUUGAUUUGAAAUUUAUUAUUUAAUUUUUACUUUAAAAAUUAAGGUUGUUUGAUAAAAUUAACUUAAAAUUUAUUAUAAAUUAUCAAAUUGAUAUAUUUAUCAUCAUAAAUUAUAAUUAGAGCAAAGAUGUCAAGUAGCAGUGAAGGCCGUGAAGUAACAAAAAAGAUUAUGGAAGUAAUUAAGGUAAAUAAGAAUAAAAAUAUAAAUUUAAGAAUAAAUUAAUUAUUUUUAUUUAUUACUUUUUGACUUUAACACAUAUCAUUAAACUAUUUUAUCAAUCAUAUUUAAUUUAUUUAAUGAUUUAAAUUAUAUAAUUAAAUCACUUUAAGUUAUUAAAUUGAUUUAUCAAACACCUCCUUAGUAUUAAUAUCACCUAACAUUCUGACUUUAAAGGUUAGGUUUAGUUCAAUUGAGUUGAUAACAUGACUGAAUACCUAAAAUCGGAUUGGAUGGCUGGCAAUCCAAACCGGAAACAAACCCAUUUUGAGUUCAACCAGAUGAAGCUUACAAAAAUAUUAAAAUUAUAUUUGGGUUAGGAGAGGUGGGGCUAAUUCCAUGGCUGGCUACCAUGCUUGAAUGAUGAUUAUGAUCAUUAAUUAAUAUUAUUUCUACUAUAUGUGGUGAUGCUAUCGUCAGAAUUCUUGAUAAUUUUGGACUCUUACUUUUGGUAAUUGUUAGGGUCAAAAAUCAAGACUUGAGCAGUGCUGGAGCUUUGUUGGGCCAGGAUUUUUGUUUCAUCGUCUGCAUUCUAUGGCUUAACGCCAACUAAUAUAUAAAAUAAUAAUGAAAUUAUUGUAACUUGUACGGACGUUUACUUUUCUUUUUCAGAAUAAUAUUAGCACCUAGUAUGAAUCCUAUUGAUUUAAUCAACCUUUACAGUUUCUUCACAGAUGAUUGAAACUGGGCCAGAGCAAGACUUAUAUUGCCACAUAGAGAAAAAAAAGGGGCAAAGAAUAUCCCUCCCCUCAUCUCUGUCUUCUUUCUGCUUUAUUUUCUUUUGUUUCCUUUAACUAUUUUAUUCUCAUAUGGCAUCUUUAUUGAACUCUAUAGUAAAUUCCUCUUCCUCACUUUUUCCUUAUUAUUGCAAUUGUUAAGAAACAUGAUUUGUAUAUCGAGUUCAAAUACUAUUAACUUAAACUUUUAGAAAAAUUAAUAAUUCAAUAUGAUAUCGGAACUUGGUUUAACGGGAGAUUUCAGAUUUGAUAUUUUCUCUGCAAUUUACAUUCCUGAUUGAGCAAAGCUUUCUAAGGGUGGAGCAAAAUCUUUCAAAACAUGAAUUAAAAAAAAAAAAAAGAUGGAAAGAAAAAUAGGACUCUUCUUUGGCCAAAAAGGAACAUCAAAUACAGGUUCGCAUGAUGAUGAUUAGUUUAUGUUAUACAUGGUGAAAGUGUAAGUGGGAUGGGUGUUAUGCUUAAUACAACAGAAAGAUAACGGAGCCAGAUAAAAAAUGACAAGAUCGAGAAGGAACUCCAUGUACUUGGUUUACCAAUUGGCCAGCAGUUGAGAAAUAAGUUUUUGAUCUAUAUGUAAUAAAAAAGUGCUGAUUUUAAUAUUUGAUCAGCUUGGGAAGAGCCAAUCAGCUUAGAUGAACCCCAGAUAGAAUUCCCCUAGCCAUCUCUAUGGCAUGAAGAAUGACCACUGCAGUGGAUAUUGGCACACUUAAUGUGGUGAGUGCCAAAAACCCUAAAGCCAAACUGGGCCUAAUAUUCAUCAAGUAAGAUUGCAGCAACCCCACUGCUUCGCAUACAUCUCCAUUGUAACGUUCAUAAUAUCGCUUCUCCCACUCCAUCCAAUCCGAUGGGGGUGAUUCACUCGUCUCCAACAUCUUCAUUUCCCGAAUACGCAUUCUCAGCACAAUCAUGUUUUCAUCCACCAGCUUGCCUCCAUAAUCUCGUCCACUUGUUCCGUUACUCGCCGCAACGACCUUCCGCACAUGUUUUUUCCGGCAAGACCGCACAGGAGGAAAAGGCAAGGUGCCGAGGGUAGGAGAAGAGAGGGAGGUUGAUUCCAUUGCUGUAGUAGAACUGAUUUGCAGUGCAAUUGAUACGAUGUGAAGGAAGAUAGGGUCAUAGGAACACACUUAUAUAAGGGUCCAAAAUUGUGAUUAUUUCAUGAGUUGAAAUCUUAAGGGCUAAGGGUUGGAGCCAAAACCGUGUGGGGAGACACAUGGCAUCAUUAUGUAGUGCAACGCGGGCUGCUGCCGUGUGGUCUAGUCCAGUUGAGUAAGAUUGAAUUCAACUCUUGGGGCCAGACUUCAGAGCAAAAAAGGACGGCCUUGUAUUAUAUAGAAAAGACACAACGAUGAUUUGACAAUAAGAGUGGCUCACAUCUCACAUGUUGAGAUGCUCUCACAUCUCACAUAGUUGUAUUUGAAUAUAUUUUAUUUUAAAACGUUUAUAUAGAUUAAAUGACUAUAUUAAUAGGUUAAAUCAUGUCAAGAUAAAUAUUAAAUUUUACAUUUUUAAAAAAUAAUAUUUCAAAUUGUAAUUUAAUGAUGUACCAUCUAUAUUAAAAUUGGAAAUAAAUUUUAUAAUAAAUUAAUAAAAUCUUUAUUUAUUUUUCUAUAUUUUUUUAAUAGAAAAUUUCAAUAUUUAAAUAAAAAAUAAUUAAUUAUUUUUAAUUAAAUUAAUGAAUUAUAAUGAAUAAAUUAUAGUUAGUUUAAUUUAAUUUUUUUAUUAUUUGAUAAACAAACAUAUUUUAUUAUUUAUUGAAUUUUAAAAACUAAAAUGCUAAUCUUAUUCAAAUAACAUUUAUAUAUACUCUCCCUCAUGCCUUUUUUUGUUCAUAGUUUGAUAUUGGUAUGAAAGUGGGGAUAUUUAUAAAUAUUGAAAAAAAAAAGUAAGUCUUAAUAUUGUGACACUUGUUAUAAUUAGAAAAUAAGUAUGUUUUAAAUUUAAAAAGUUAAAAUUUAAAUUUGGUAAUUUUACUAUCACUAUUAUUUGUAUGUGACGAAUAUUUUUUUAUUAAAAAAAUGAAAAAGAAGGAUGUGAUUGAGAUUUCCGUUUAUCAAAAAUAUUUAUUUUAUUCAAAUAAGUGUAUUUAUUUUAUAUUUCCACUUUUCCAAUGUUAUUCUAACAAAAUUAAUUAAAAAUUGAUUUACAAGAAUGAUUAUAUAGGAAUUUUGUAAUCAACCUAUCUUUAUAAUUCUGCAUAAAUAAAGAAAUUAUUUAUUAAAAAAAAAAAGAGUUGGGUAGAAUUUUUGUAGUUUUGUUUUACUCAUGUGGGAAAUUGGAUAAGAAAACUAUAUAUAUAUAUAUAUAUAUAUAUAUAUAUAUAUAUAUAUUUGUAGACCCCCAUUUUGGGGCACUUUCUUUCUCACCUUUCAUGAAGGUUAUUUGGCCAGGUGGCACGAUCCCGGGAGACCAUGUGGCGUCUUUGGAGAGGUUGACAGAGAAUCAGGUUAGUGCUUUGAGGAGCUAUCAGAAUUCGACACCUGUAAAGGGGAUUUGGAAAGCUGCAGACUGUAGAGGUAGGGGACCCCGAGCUGAGAGCAGGAGGUCGUCUGCAUGAGGCGUGCAGCAGCGGGGAGAGUGGUUGGGCAAGCCAUGCUUGUUGACCGGUGAAUAGGAGGGCAGAAGAGUGGCUUGCAAGAGAGGACACCAAGAAAGAAAGGGAGAAGGAGAAAAGGGGAAGAUUUUUUUUAGAGAGCUUGGUUUUAGGGAGUGAGGGGAGGAGAGCAUUUGAGUUUUCCUGGUGUUUGGCUGGAGAUAUUUGAAAAGGAGGAGAACGAGAGGAGAAAAGAGGUCCUGAUCUGGGCAUCUUCAAGAAAAGGUCAUAAAAACAGGGGCUUGAAGUCAGGUGAGCUUCCAUCUGCGAGGAAGCUUUUCAGGUAUGGACCCUGUUCAUUACCUUCUCUAUUUUGUUUUUGGAUAUCGAUAAGAUUCUAUUUUGGUGUUUGGAUGCGAGCAUUGGAGAUUUUAUUAUGUUCUUAUGGAAUCUGAGUUCGUUUGCCCCCAUGUUGUGCUUGAUUUCUAACUUGGCUUUCAACUUGUUUACACCGACUAUUUUAAACUGCUCUCCUCUGUUUCUUGAUUGUUUGUGGGUUAUCCUCGAUGCCUGGAGUAUACUUACUCAUUCCCUCUGUUUUGGAAAAUUUUGAGGGAAGAUUCAUCACAUGCUUUUGAUUUGUGGGGUCGUGUCUGCAUUUCUUUUUAUUUAUUUAUUUAUUUAUCAUUGCAUCCGGAAUUCUGUCCGACUGACAUCCCACCUUCUACGGAUGUCUCACAUCCGGAAUUCUGUCCGCCUACGUCCCACCUUCUUUGGAUGUCUCACAUCAGGAAUUCUGUUCGCCAACAUCCCACCUUCUUCGGAUGUCUCACAUCCGGAAUUCUGUCCGGCCGCGUUCCACCUUCUCUAGAUAUCUCGCAUCCGACUCCUAACGUCGGAUGGGAGAGGAGGGCGAUUCAACUUCUCCGGUCAAACAUGUCUGGAUCCUCUAAUAGCGCUUACCCAGAGAGCAUCUAGUCGACAAUUCAGAUUCCCCGGACAGCUUGGCUCGUUAGACACUCGUGAUUCGCCGGAUCCAUUUCCGCCCGCAAUCUUCUGCUCCUCUUGUUUUUAAUAGGCAUGAAUGUUUUUUUUCAUAAUUCCGGAGUAAUGGAAUCUAUGAUAUUAAUUCAUGCAAAAUAAAAGGGUUUUGGUGGGAGCCCGACAUGUGUGACUUUAUAAUUGAUUGAUUGAUUUAGUUGCCAUGCCCGACUAUUUCUAUUCUGCCCUAUGACAUGCUUGAAAUUAUUCUUUAAUUGUGCACUGACCUCACUUCUUGAUAGCGCAUUGUGGCUCGUCACCCAGGUACGUUAUCUAUUCCUAUUCUGGUAUUUCUAUAUGCAUGUUUUGAUUUUCAUAUGUGCAUGAUAGUUCUGGGUAUUCACUGUUUUACUCGUCUAUUGCCAUGAUUGCUUCAUUUUAUUAGUAGAGACCCGACUUUAGGGACUUAAAGGGGUGCUACGGUCUAUACCAUACCUUCCCGAUAAGUAACCUGACCCCCGAACCCGAUCCGGUUUUUCGCAGACCGCCUUUUCCAAAAUAAGGAGUCACACUCAUAGAUGGUUGUAUACUUAUGUAGUACUCCCAUUGAUUCAUUAUUUUUUUUCAUCAAUUUUCAUCUUCUCAUUCAUUUGGUCAUCCAUAUUGUAGAACAUCUGUGAUGUCCAUGAUCUUUGAGUUUCUUUAUCUACUACAUUGUGGAUCUAGAGGCAUGAGGAUUAUAUUAUUAGGAUUAUUGAGCUUAGUUUCCCUUAAUUUCUUUCACCUUAUUAACUUAGCCUACGUUAUGUCCCAAGUCUUAAGACCAUCCUAAGGCUAUGACUUCAACAUUGUGAUUGAUAGCUCACACAUGGGCAACAUUUGAGAUUGGUUAAAGAUCACUCGGAGCAUGAUAGAUGAGGAGUUAUGAGAGAGUUUACAUUGGGGCAUAACUUUCUCAUUGAUGAUGGUUUUUUGAGAUGAUAAUCUAUAUUGGGGCAUAUCUACCUCAAAUAGUUUAUAAUGAUGCAUAGCCUUCUCAUUAAUGAUUGAUUUUCGAGAUGACAACUUAUACUAGGGCAUAGCCACUUCAUUCCCUCUCAUGAAGCAUGGUGGAUCAAGAGUUGUUCGGAUUAUAUUAACAUAUAUCCAUUUUUUGAGAUGUGGGAGUAGAGUUUGACCUUGAUUUGAUAGUGCAUACUAAGGCAUAACCACUCUGUUUGAUUCCCUACACUGGGGCAUAUUCGUCGUUUAUAGGUGAUUUGGUACCUUUCAUAUUGUAGUAUGAGAAGACUUUGGGGAGUAGAGGUCCAUCUUGAUCAGAUUGUAUCUAUUGUGAUAUAGCCAUUCCAGAUAUUACCUUACAUCGAGGUAUGAUCAUUUCAGAUAUCAUGUUGCAUAUCGGGGCAUGCUCUUCUCGUUAGUGCUUGGUUUUGAAGAAGAUUGCUUUGUUAAAGGUUUACCUAUUUUGGCUCAUUUUGACUUGACAUAUUCACACUAAGGCAUAGCCACUUGACAGAGCAUUAUUAUUGGAGCACAACCACUUUGUUAGAUUCCCUACACUAGGGCAUAGCCAUCAUUUGGAGAUGAUAAGAUAUUCCCUAUACUUGGGCAUAACCAUUCUCUUGGAGGUGAUCAUACAUUUUUUUCAUAUUGAGGUAUGAGAUAUGAUCGAGAAAUAUUAAUUUGAUGUCUUUUAUAUCAUGGCAUAGCCAUUUGAGGAAGUAUUCAAACUAGAGCAUAGCCACUAUAUUGAUUUUCUCUGACAUUGGGAUCUGACCAUUUUGCUUGAGGUUUUUCAUGGGUUGUGGAGAUGAUGACGCCUUGGAUUUAGUCUUCUCAGCAUACCUGGUUUGUUUCAGACACUCACUUUGCAUUUGUUUCCUACCUUGGAUUUCUUCACACUUAUAUCUUGUUUUGAGCCCACCCAUCUCAUUUCAUGAUAUAUGACCUUAUCCAACUCUCCUAAUCAGAGGAGAAUGUAGACUAAUCUCGAGUUCCCUUAGUUGGACUUCCAUGUGCCUUUUGGCCAUCGGGUUCAACAUCUCCCAUGAUUGUAGGGCCUGUUAGAUUGUCGAUGGGUUUGUGAAGAUGUUUUCAUUUUGGUAGUUGGCAUGUCAUGACUUGAUGUACAUUUAGACUCAAAGUUUUGAUUAGCUUUACUUUAAUCCAUUAGUUGGUUUGUUUUGAUAGCAUAGUCCCAAGACGCAUGAUUCUGCAGAUUUGUUCUAAUUGAGGAUUAGACGUGUUCAUCUUAUUGUUGAUAGUUGUAUCUUGGAGUGUGUUAGUUAUUUAUAACAUUUUGUACCUUUUGUCAUUUCCUUUUUCAGCCUUGUGUUAGUUGUCUUUUGGUUUUUGCGACCACAGUUUUGAUAUCUUCUUAGUUAUCUUUCGAACUUUGAGUUGCACCAUUAGUUCAUCUUUGUCUCAACCUCUAUCAGUCUCGAGCUAUACCUUUAGGUUUCCAUUCUACAUUGGUCGCACCUUUAGGUAUUUUUAGGUUUUCUCUCUUUUCACCAUGAAUUGGCUAAAGUUUUAAGGUUAGAUCAUCUUCUUGGCCUCAGGCUACGUCUUCAGAUCAUCAUUUGGCUUAGAGCCACAUUUUGAGCAUUAUCUUAAUCGUCUUUUCUAUCAAUGUGCUUAUGUUUUACUAUCACAGAUCUAACUCUUUUACCUUCCCUUGUUUUCUCUUAGUGUCGUGUCCCAACUAUCUGACAUUUCCUUUUUAGUUUCCUAUUCGUAUCACACCUAGAUUGUCUGGUAUUUCCUUUUUAGUUUCUUGUUAGUGUUGCGCCCUAACUAUCCUACAUUUUCUUUUUAGUUUCUUGUUAGUGUCGCGCCUUGACCGUCCGACAUUUAUUUUUUAGUUUACCAUUUGUGUCGCACCUUGAUUAUUCGACCUUUCCCUUUUAGUUUCCUGAUAGAACCACACACCGACUGUUUGACAUUUUCUUUUUAGUUUCUCGUUCGUGCCGCGCCUCGACUAUUCGACCUUUCCUUUUUAGUUUCCUAUUAGUGUCGUGUACUAACUAUCUGACAUUUCAUUUUUAGUUUCUCGUUUGUGUCGCACACUGACUGUCUAACAUUUCCUUUUCAGUUUCUUGUUAGUGCUGCGCCCUAACUGUCUAACAUUUAUUUUUUAAUUUCCUAUUUAUGUCGCUCCUCGACUGUCUGACCUUUCCAUUUUAGUUUCUUGUUAGAUUCGCAUCCCAACUGUAUGACAUAUUUUUUUUAGUUUCCCAUUCGUGUUGUGCCUCAACUGUUUAACAUUUCUUUUUUCGUUUCCUGUUAAUGCUGCACCCUGACUGUCUGACGUUUCCUUCUUAGUUUCUCGUUCAUGCCACGCCCCGACUAUCCGACCUUUCAUUUUUAGUUUCCUAUUAGUAUCGCGUCCUGAAUGUCCGACAUUUCAUUUUUAGUUUCCCAUUCAUGUUGCGCCCUGACUGUCCAACCUUUCCUUUUUAGUUUCCUAUUAGUGUUGCACCAUGACUGUCCAACAUUUCUUUUUUAGUUUCUCAUUUGUGUCUCGCCUUAACUGUUCAACCUUUUUCUUUUAGUUUCUCGUUCGUGUCGCGUCCCGACUAUUUGUCAUUUCCUUUUUAGUUUUCUGUUACUGUCGUGCCAUGACUGUCUGACAUUUCCUUUUUAGUUUCCCAUUCAUGUCGCACCUUGACUGUCCAACCUUUCCUUUUUAGUUUCCUAUUAGUGUCGUGCCUUGACUAUCCGACAUUUUUCUUUUAGUUUCUUGUUCAUACCGUGCCCCGACUGUCCGACCUUUCAUUUUUAGUUCCCUAUUAGUGUUGCACCUUAAUUGUUCAACAUUUCUUUUUUAGUUUCUUGUGUUCCUUUAGAGUGGUGCCUUGACUAUUCAGCCUAUUUAUGUCUCUUAGAGCCACACCCUGACUGUUUGGCCUUUCUAUGUUCCUUUAGAGCCGCACCCUAACUGUCCCACCUCUUUUAUGUUUCCUAGAGUUGCACUUUGGCUGUUCGACUUGUUUAUGUCAUUUAGAGUUGUGCCUUGAUUAUCCGACCUUCCCGUGCUCCUUUAGAGUGACACCCUGACUAUCUUACUUUCUUUAUGUUUCCUGGAGUCACACCUCGACUGUCUUUCUAUUUAUGUUUCUUAGAAUUGUGCCUUGACUAUUCGGCUUGUUUAUGUCAUUUAGAGUCGCGCAUUGAUUGUCUAACCUUCUCGUGCUCCUUUAGAGUCACUCCUCGACUAUCCGACCUUUCCUUUUUAGUUUCUUGUUAGUGUCACGCUCUGACUGUCCGACAUUUCCUUUAUGUUCCCUAGAGUUAUGUCUUGAUUGUUUGACUUAUUUAUGUAUUCUAGAGUCGUGCCUUGAUUGUCUGACCUUCUCGUGUUCCUUUAGAGUUGCGCCUUGACUGUUUGACUUUUCCUUUUCUUUUUAAAGUCAUGCCCUAACUGUACGGCCUCUUUAUGUUUCCUUUAGUAUCAUGUCAUGACUGUUUGACCUCUUUAUUUGACAUUAGGUCACUCCCCCAGUCAUUAGUUUCAUUUUCUUUCUUUAUCUCAUUUUUGCUCACCUAUUCACCUCUUUUGAUAGCUUGGUCCUUGGUGUUUUACAUAGAUAUUGUCACUAUCCUAUUUAGUCGAGCCCUCCUUAAGAUCCAUGUGGAUUUUUCAUGUUUCCCUACUGGUAGAUCGAUGAGCAUAUUUCGUGACCUUAGAAAGGUCACAUCGUGCUGGGACAAAUUUGGUGGUCUUUCUUGUUUUUUAGCAGAACCCACUUUGUUUUAGUUGUGUAUACACUUACUUUACUAGUGGACUCUACUGAAAAGGGAUAUAUUUGUAAACCCAAAAAUUUGUCCCAAUUUUAUUUUUAUAUUAGUUUUUGGUUUAAUUUUAUUCUAAAAUUUCAAAUUUGAUUAUAUUUAAAUUUUUUUUUUGGCCACUCACACCCUUUAAUUCUUAAUUUUUAUUAUUUUGUUUUAUUUUUAUUUUGUAUUUUAUUUAUUUAUUAAUUAUUAUUAUUAUUAUUUUCAUUUUCUUAUUUUCUUUUUCAUUUUUUCAUUUUUUUCACUUUCUCAUUUCUCCUUUCUCUUCCCACCAUUUUACCACCUACCCUACCCUCACCCACACUCUCUCACCUACCCAUUCUUCUUCCAAUUUCCCACAACCAAAGACGCUUUCUUCCCCUUCCCCUUCACUUUUUUUUUUUUUUUUCCACUUUUUCCUUGGUUUUUCUUUCUCCCUCCUACACUCACACGACGUCACCAUUAGACUAUCUUUUCCCACUUUAUUUCUUUUUUUUUUUUUUUCCCAUGAAACCCACAAUACCCAGACCCAAUGCAUCUUGCUACCCAACCUUCCAUUGCACUUAAGGCUUAAAACUUGUGAGGUAAAAAUUUUAUUUUUAUGUUGUUUUAUUUUGCUUUGUUUUUAUUAUUAUUAUUGUGGUUAUUUAUUGUGGGCUCAUUUUUUUGUUUUGCAUGAGCCCAUUCCACUACUAGUAUUAUGUUGGCUAAGCAUGGAUUUAUGACACGUGGAUAACCAAAUUUCAUGGAAGAAAAAAAUGCUCACAAAGACUAUAAAUGGGGCAUUGAGCUUGUUGUAAGUUUGUUUGGGUAUAUUUUAUUUCUCCACUUUUAUUUAAUUUCAUUUCUAUUGGUUCCUAUAAAUAUUUUUUUAUAUAUAUUUAUAUUUAUUGGACAUAUAACAGUUGAUAACUCAGAAAUUUUGUUUUAAUAAAAGAAAUAGUUCAAUAAUCAUGUUUUAAUAAAAACAAUAGUUUAUUUUUUUUAAAAGGGGUUUUAUUAAUAAAAAUUUUAAAAAUUAUUUUUAAGAAAAUACGAAAAACAGUUGUUAAUAAAAUUAAAAAAAAAAUUGUUUUUAAUAACUACUGUUGAGAAAUUUAUUUGUUUAAUAAAAAUUGUCCAUAAAAUUGACUUUUAAUAAAAUUGCCCAAAAAGUAAUUUUUUGAAUAAAUUCUCUUUUCUUAAUUAGAAUGAAAUUAAAAGUAAUUUUUUAUAAAUAGAGUUUUUUAAAUAAUUUUUUUUAAUAAGAAUAGGAUGAGAGUUUUUUUUUUUUAUAUUAAAUUUGUAGAAUCGUUUUCUUAAUGAAAUUGAAUUAAUUUUUAAAAUAAAUUUGUGAAAAAAAAUUAUUUCUUUUGUAAAUAAUCAAAUUGAAAUACUUUUGCAAAUAAAGUUGUAAAAUUUCAUUCUUUUUCUAAUAAAAGUCAAAAUCUUUUCAUUGCCAAAUUAAAAUUUUGUAAUAAAUUCUUUUGUUAUUUUCUUGGAAAUUGAACACCAAAUAAAAUUAAAUAAAAUAAUUUGUUGCAAAUAAAUAGAAACUUUUUAUUCAUAAAUAAAUAAAUUGAAAUCAUUUUUUUGGAAAUAAACUUCUUUGAAAUUUAUUGAAAAAGUAAUUUUUGAAACAUUUUUUUUAUGAGUUUAAAAAAUCAAUUUGCAUAUUUCUCUUAUCAUUUAUUUUGUACAUUAUUGUAAUUUGAUUUUAUGAUUAUUUUUCUGUUUAUUGAUUUGUGUUUGUAAUCUUGGUAUCUAGAUUAAUUAAUUUAUUGUUAUGAUUCUCUCAAUUCGUUUAGUAGAGACCAUAGGUAUAUGAGUUUAGACGGGUGUUACGGUUUUUCACCGUACCUUCCCAAUAGGUAACUUGACCCCCGAAACUAGACUUGGUUUUUAUAGACAUGUCUUUUUUUUUUUUUAUAAGUCAUGUAAAGUUUUCUUUUUUAUUUUAUUUUCCCUUUUAAAAAUAAACUAAAAUAAGUUACGAUUCCAACUUUUAAAAAAAAAANNNNNNNNNNNNNNNNNNNNNNNNNNNNNNNNNNNNNNNNNNNNNNNNNNNNNNNNNNNNNNNNNNNNNNNNNNNNNNNNNNNNNNNNNNNNNNNNNNNNUAAAUGAAUUCAAAAUAAAAUAAUUAACAUUAAUUGAAUUAAUUUACUUAUUAAAGUUUUAUUUUAAUAUUUCAUAUUUUUUUUUAUAAAAUAUAAAAUACAAUAUAUAAAAGUUUCCUUCCUAUAUAUAUAGCAUAAAUGACCAUAUGAUUUUAGUGUCUUUAUUUUGAGCACUUGGCUCCAUUCUAUCUUAUCAAAUGCUUGGUAUUUUCCUCCUUACUUAUCUUCUCUUUUCUCUUUGCUAAUGGUGCAUGUUAAUGACAAAGGAUGUAGAGGAUAAGGACAAGGCCAUUCUCCCACACAAGACCAACCCAAAAAGUUGUGUUUUCAUGUAUACAUGGACUUGUUAAUUUUACAUCAACUCAAAUACAGAAAGCAAAUGACCAAACGAACUCGAUCCCUUGAUGAACAGGCUCAGGAAUGAUUUUCCCACAACUACACCAUGUCAGGCAAAAUUUUCAAUCUUUGUAGGCUGAUCAGAACAAAAAAUUAAGUAAUUACUGCACCCACUUAGAAAUUGUUUUUUCAUUUCUAAGAACUUCUUAUGGUAGUUUCAAGCCAAGAUGUGUCUUAAGUCGUGGGUUUCUUUCAAAUUUAGAUUUGUUUUCCAUCCUCUACAUAGCAUAAAAGAUCAAAUAGUUGGGUGGUCAUGGUGUUUGUUUUUUUUUUUUAUUAAAUAUAAAAAAAAUUAAAAUAUUUGAUUUUUUUAUUUAAUCAAAAGUGAUAAAUUAGUAUCAACUAAUAUAAAUAAUUUAAAUUUAUUAAUAAUAAAUUUACUUUAAUUUUAUUGACUGAUAUUAAUAGAUUGUUUUCAAAUCGAAUAGAAAAAAUUAAAUAUUUUAAAAAAAUUUUAUUUAAUUAAAAAACAAACAAGAAAAUGUCACCUAGGGUUACUGCUUAAUAGGUUAGUUUAAGCUCGAUUGAGUUGAAAACAUAACUGAAUACCUCAAAUCUGAUUGGAUGGCAGGCAAUCCAAAUUGGAAAUAAACCCCAUUUGAUUUAAACCAGAUCAAGCUUACAAAAACAUUAAAAUUAUAUUGGAGUCAGGAGAGGUGGGGCUAAUUCCAUGGCUAGCUACGAUCAUUAAUUAAAUAUUAUUUCUACUAUUUGUGGUGAUGCUAUCGUCAGAAUUCUCGAUAAUUCUAGACUCUUACUUUUGUUAAGGUCUAAAAUCAAGAUUUGAGCAGUGCUGGAGGCGAAUCAUAAUGGGGAGCUUUGUUGGCAUCGUCUCCAUUCGAUGGCUUAAGGCCAACUAAUAUAUAAAAUAAUAAUGAAAUUAUUGUCACUUGUACGGACGUUUCCUUUCUUUUUGAGAAUAAUAUUAGCACCUAGUAUGAAUCCUAUUAAUUUAAUCAACCUUUACAGUUUCUUCACAAAUGAUUGAAACAGGGCCAGAGCAAGACUUAUAUUGCCACAAAGAGAAAAAAAANNNNNNNNNNNNNNNNNNNNNNNNNNNNNNNNNNNNNNNNNNNNNNNNNNNNNNNNNNNNNNNNNNNNNNNNNNNNNNNNNNNNNNNNNNNNNNNNNNNNUUUUUUUUAAAAAAAAUUUUACCCCCUAAAAAAAACCUUUUAAUUUUAAAAAACCUUCCCAUUUUUUUCCAAAAUUAUGAAACCAGGGCCAAAAAAAAAUUUAUUAGGCCAAAAAAAAAAAAAAAAAAAAAGGGGGGGGGGGGGGGGGGAAAGAAUACCCCUCCCUUCAUCUCUUUCUUCCUUGGGCUUUGUUUUCUUUUUGUUUUCGUUUUUAACUAUUUUAUUCCCGCAUCUUUGAACUCCAUAGCAAAUCCUUCCUCCUUUUUUUUUUUUUUUUUUCUCAUUAUUAUUACUAUCGUAAAAAAAACAUGAUAUAUAUAUAUUGAGUCCAAAUUCUAUAAACUUAAAUUUUUAAUAAAAUUGACAAUUCAAUAUAGAAGCUCUCGGGUUUGUCCUUCUUUCCAUAAUUUGCAUUUCCUUUAUUUAUUAAAAGCUUAAACUUUAAUUCAUAUGGGAUUGAAGCAAAACCAUUCAAAACAUGAGUUAAAAAAAAAUAAAUAAAUAAAUAAAAAAAAAAAAUAAAAGAAAAAUAGGACUCUUAGCCAGAAAAAAAAAAGUACAUCAAAUACGGGUUAGUGCGCAGGAUGAUGAUGAUUAGUUUAUGUUAUACAUGGUGAAAGUGUAAACGGGAUGGGUGUUAAAGAUAAGGACCCAGAUAAAAAAUGACAAGAAGGAACUCCAUGUACUUGGUUUACCAAUGCUCCAGCAGUUGCGAAAGAAGGUUUUGAUCUAUAUGUAAUCAAAAAGUACUGAUUUUAAUAUUUGAUCAACUUGUGAAGAGCCAAUCAGCUUAGAUGAACCCCAGAUAGAAUACCCCUAGCCAUCCCUAUGGCAUGAAGAAUGACCACUGCAGUGGAUAUUGGCACACUUAAUGCGAUAAGUGCCAAAAACCCUAAAGCCAAACUGGGCCUAAUAUUCAUCAAGUAAGAUUGCAGCAACCCCACUGCUUCGCAUACAUCUUCAUUGUAAUGAUCAUAAUAUCGCUUCUCCCACUCCAUCCAAUCCGAUGGGGGUGAUUCACUCGUCUCCAACAUCUUCAUUUCCCGAAUGCGCAUUCUCAGCACAAUCAUGUCUUCAUCCACCAGCUUGCCUCCAUAAUCUGGUCCACUUUUUCCCGUACUCGCCGCAACGACCUUCCUCACAUGUGUUUUCCGGCAAGACCGCACAGGAGGAAAAGGCAAGGUGCCGAGGGUAGGAGAAGAGAGGGAGGUUGAUUCCAUUACUAUAGUAGAACUGAUUUGCAGUGAAAUUGAUACGAUGUGAAGGAAGACAGGGUCAUAGGAACACACUUAUAUAAGGGUCCAAAAUCGUGAUUACUUCGUGAGUUGAAAUCUUAAGAGCUAAGGGUUGGAGCCAAAACCGUGUGGGGAGACACAUGGCAUCAUUAUGUAUUGCAACGCGGGGUGGUGCCGUGUGGUUCAGUCCAAUUGAGUAAGAUUGAAUUCAACUUUUGGGGCCAGGCUUCAGAGCAACAAAGAAAGGCCUUGUAUUAUAUAGAAAAGACACAAAGAUGAUUUGACACUGAAGUGAGCUCACCAUGAGGAGAUGCACCGAAAAAGCCUUGUGGUCCAGAAUCCAGAUGAAGCCCGGUUGGUUGUAGGUGUAUGUCAAAAGUUGAUACGACAAUUGUGCUUAGGGCCAAAAGUUGAUAUUGGAACAAACUUUACUUCAUACGAAGUAAAUUGGAUUCGUACAUUAAUUUGUUAAAAUACAAAAAAACCAAUGUGAUUAAUAUGAAUAAUGGUGGAGUCAAUACAAGGGGCAUAUACACUCAUUUAUUUAUUUAUUUAUUUAAACCAUUAGAUUAUUAAGAUUGUUUUAAAAAAUGAAAAAUAAAAUAGAAAUUUUGUCCAUGUAAAAAAUUAAAUUUUAAAAGACUAAAAAAAUACUUUGAAUUAAAUGAAUAACAUUUAUUCAACUACUAAUGGUAAUUAAUAUACUAGAAUUUCAAUAAAUUUUUUAAAAAUAAUAAUUUUUUUCUCUUACAACUAUUAUCUUAAUUUAUUUUUCAUUAAUUUAAGGUUGGUUAUUUUUUAUUUUGAUUUUAAAAAUUUUAGUAUUUUUUAAAAAUUUAAUUAAAUAAUAACUCAUAUAUAACUAAACUAUAUAAUUAUAUUAAAUUAUAUUCUAUUUAAUUUUGAAUAUGAUUUACCGUUACCUGAUGGUUCUCAUUAGGAAAUUUUUUAUUUAGUUUAAAUUAUAAAAGAUAACAUGAGUUAUUAGAAUAUUUUAAAUUACAAUAGUAACAAUUAAAUUCUAAUUAAUUAUUUUGUAUAUUUUACUUUAAAUUUUAAUGAUUAUAUGGUUCUUAUCUACCAUGUGAUAAAUAUUUUUUUUUUUUUUUUUAUAAAAUAUCAUUUUAAACUUAUUUAUAUUUAGUUAUUAGAAGUCCUAAAAUUUAUUAGAAAAAUUAUUGAAUUCUUUAAAAAAUUUUAAAAAUUCCUUUUACUAAAAAAAUAUAAUUAAUGAGACUACUUAACAAUAUAUCUGAUAAGAUUUCUUAAUAUUAUUUUAAUUCUUUUAAAAAAUUACUUUGAAUAUUUUUUUGUUAAUUUUAUUAUAAAGUCUAAACCUUUUUUUAUCUACCGAUGUUAUUUUGGUUUUUUUAAUAUGAUAUAUUGUGUACAUUCAUAACUAAUAUUUAAUAUCUAAAAUUACUUAAUUUAAUAAAUAAGAACAUCUUAUUGACUACAAAUAUUUCACAAUAGUUAUUAUAGUGCUUAAAAUUUUCGUGGUCGGCCACUUGAUUUUUAAGGCAUUUGUGCUUCUUAUUCAAAGCACUUGUACCAAUGGUAUAAGACGUGUACAAGAGACCUUAUUACGGAUAUUCUUCAAUCAUUUCUUCGCGAUAGCUCUUUAGAUACAAAUAAUAAAAUAAAGGGAAAUAUUAUUUGCACACUUACACAUAUGACACGCAUGCUACUUUCAUUUUUUUUUUUUUUUUUUUCACAUUUGCACAUUACGUAUGAGAUAUUUGUGCUAAUUAUACAAUAGAGUUGUGUCAUUGCAAUCAUGGAUUAAAAAGUUGGGAUAUUUUACCAAAAUAUCAGACUUGGAAGGUGGUCGAUAGGAAUCGGUUGUUGAUUACUGAUUGGAAUAAAUUUCAACAAAAAAUAAAAAAUUUUGGUGAAAUAUCGUCAAUAUAUCAUACUAAUGAAGGACCAAAAUUUCAAGAAAAAUUAGACUUGUAUACCCGCAUGGGAAGAAAUUUGGCAAAAAAAAUCGUCAAAAAAUUGGUCAUGUAUAGUUGAUAAAUCAAUGAUUUUUUUUAAUUACCAAUUUUUUUUUAAAUCCAUGUUUCUUGUUUUUCUAUUUUUUUUUUCUUUCUAAUUUAUCUUUUAUUUUAAAUUUACAUUAACCUUUUAUUUUAUAUUAUCAUUUUAUUUUUAAUUAUUUUUCAUAUUUAUCUCAUUUAUCCUAUUUUAAAAAAUUACUAUUACUUCACUUUUUCUUUUACAUAUAUAUAUCCUUUUAAUUUUAAAUGUUUUUUUAAAUAUAAAAAAUAUAAAUUUAUUCAAAACUUGUUAAAAUAUAAAAAAAAAGUUCUAAUAUUUUAUAAAUUAAAAUUAAUUUGAUAAGAUAAAUUAUUAAUAUAAUUAUUAAUAAUUUUAAUUAGUUAAAUAAAUUGAUGUUAAUGGUAAAAGUUUGUUAUCUUGUAAUAAAAUUUUAAAUUUUAAAUUUUAAAUAAAAUAUUUUAUAUAAAUCAAUUUAAUUUUUUUAUUUAAAAUAUAAUAAAACAUAUAUUUUUAAUAAAAAUAGUUUUUAAAUUUUAAAUAAAUGAAUAUCAAUAUAUUAAAGGAAUUUAAGCUAUGUUUUUUUUUAAAAAAAAAUUGAUAAACAUUAUUCUUAAUCAUACUUAUGUUAAGUAUAUUUAUAAAAUUACUUCAAUAUGUGUAUUCUUACUUAUUUAUAAUUUUUUUUAAAAUAUUUUUAUGAAUUUUGAACGAUUUCUAUUUUUUUCAGUACCAAUAUUUUAUUGAUAUUAUUUUGAUCAUAUCCGUAAAAUUCAAGUACAUCCGUAUUUACCGAAAUUUUCAUCAUUGAUUGCAAUAAGAGACAUCUUUUCGAUCCUUCUCUUCUUGGAAUUUGAUUAAGUUUUAUAAUAAAUUAAUGAAAAAUAUCAUUUAUACAAUUAGACAUGUGUAAUAUGUGUAAUAACCCAUAAUUCAUCUUAUUAAAUAUAUUUUGUAUGACAAGUCUAAUAAUAAUAAUAACAAUAUGAAAAUGGUCAUUUAUGUAGGAUCCUUCUCGAAUCUGCCACGUGGCUCCCUCUCGCUAAAUCACGCGGAUAGUCCCCUUUGUGGCCCAUGGCAUUACUCAUUCCACCCGGACAGAAGUCAUCGCUCAUUCCACCCGGACGGAAGUUCUCGCUCAUUACCACCCGGACAGAAGUUCUCGUUCAUUCCACCCGGACGGAAGAUAUCACUCAUCCCACCCGGAAGGGAAUUCUGCAUGGCCGACGUUCCACCUUCUUCGGAUAUUUCGCAUCCAGAGCCUCCGGUGGAUGGGAGAGGAGGACGAUUCAACUUUCCCGGACAAACAUGUCCGAAUCCUCUGGUAACGCUUACCCGGACAGCUUACCCGAACAGCUUGGCUCGUCAGACGCUCGUGAUUCGCCGGAUCCAUUUCCGCCCACAAUCAAAAAGCAACUCUGACAAUAUUGACGACCAAGUCUCCUGAACUGUCAUUCAUCUUCAAAUGCAAGAUACAUUCGACAAGACAUUCCCAAGUCUUUUCAAGUCUCCUGACACAUCCCUGAUAUUUAAAGUCAUAAAUUGAGGCGACAUCCACCGCCUGAAUACCUUCCUGACAACCGUCACCUUACACCAAAAACGUCAUGAUUACUUCGCCACCUUAUGAGCCGCAAUCAUGACGAUGGGACCUGCUAGCCCAGCAAGUACACCUUCUCUGCCUUAUAUAUAAGCUUGAAGGUAAUUCUCAAAGGGUAAGCAAUAGAAAAAUCGCUGAGGAACACUCCCGCAAUUGCUUUUAAACAACUUCCUAAAUACUAACUUAGGCAUCGGAGGAUAUGCCCGGAUAACCCGUCCAGACAUCUUUUUGCAGGAGGAAGGAGGAAUUACUACAACGUGUUGAUCGAGAUUCUGCUGCUGGUAAUUACUAUUAUGGCAGGGGAAUUUUGCCAUCAACAUUGGCGCCGUUUGUGGGAAACGUCUUUUCUUCUCAAUAAAUCCUAUACCUUCCAACUAUAAAGAUGACUUUACCCUCAAGAAGUCGUUCUUCUGCCAGAGGUGACAAAGGUUACUUCGAAUGGCAAAAUAGUAUGGAAAGACGACAGUGAGAAAACGAACGGUAGAUGCAAAUUCUACUCCAAGAAACAAAGAAGCUUAGGGAAGAAAACAAUGUCUUGAGGAUCCGAAGCUCUCCCCAACCUCAGCACUAUCAGCGGAGGUAGGACCCCUGUCGCAACCAAGGAGCUCCAUUCCCCCGAGAGGCGAGCCCAACCCUCGAGGCACAUGAAGCAUGGCCUAGCGAAACCUCGGUGCACACUCACCAUGUACGACGAGAUGAAAGUUCAGGCUCUACUUGAGUCUCGUCUAAGAGACAACACGACAAAAGGCCUCAAAUAUUUGACGCAAUGGGCGCGCGUCUGGGACCCCAAACACCCUGCAAAAACAGGCCUCACACCACCAUAUCGCUGGAUGCACACUCCGAGCCUUCAAGCUCGCCUACUUUACAAGGACAUGCCGCCCGCUCACCUGUGGCGCGGGUUGGUAAAAAUCCCUCGCACCUAGCCCCUCCGGGCUCUAUCAGCAGGCGCUUGGACGACAUGCUCUCCACGCCUUUCAGCUCUCGUAUCAUUAAAUAUGAACCCCCACGAGGGUUCAUCGUCCCGAAAUUCUCCACGUAUGAUGGAUCCAUCGAUCUCUUUGAUCACAUAAUGCAUUAUCGGCAGCUCAUGACCAUUGACAUAGGGAAUGAUAUGCUGUUGUGCAAAGUUUUCCCAGCCAGCCUACAAGGCCAGGCUCUUUCGUGGUUUCAUCGACUGCCCGCGAACUCGAUUGACAAUUUCCGGGAUCUAUCCGAGGUCUUCGUGGGGCAGUACUUAUGCUCAGUCAGGCAUAAGCAAAAUAUCAGCACCUUGCAGAACAUCAAAAUGCAAGAAAAUGAAACUUUGAGAGAGUUCGUGAAGCGUUUCGGACAAGCUGUCUUACAAGUAGAGUCAUAUAGCAUGGACGCAGUCUUCCAAAUUUUCAAACGGAGCAUAUGCCCAGGGACCCCCUUAUUCGAUUCCCUUGCCAAAAAACCUCCUACAACAAUGGACGAUUUAUUCCGACGAGCAAGUAAAUACUCCAUGGUAGAGGACGACGUCCGGGCCGCUACACAGCAGGUCCUAGUCGCUCGCCAAGCUGUGAGAAGCGAAGCCACCAGAAGCUUCAAAGCACCUAACCAUCCUAGGACAUCCAGCAAGGGGCAAGAUGAGUGACGCCUGCCGCUCAUUCGAACACUUCUGACCACGUCAUACGAAAAACUGCUUUCUAUGAUUUGCGAUCUGCCCGGAUUCAGAUGGCCGAGACCCAUAAGAUCGAGCCCCUCAGAGAGGGACCGCAAUAAAAGAUGUGCAUAUCAUAAAGAUCAUGGGUACUCCACUGAAGCAUGCAGAAGUCUCCAUUAUCUAGUGGAUGAUCUCCUAAAUGCAGGACACCUAAAGCAGUGUAUUCGCGCAAUGCCGAAAAAUGAAGAAUCCUCCCAUGGUCAAGGCUCACGCGCCCUAGCGGCUCGUGUUAGAGCCAUGAUCAACUACAUACACGGAGGACCCUUGGAUGACGAGUACAGUUCCAAAAGAAAAAGACAGAUUGUUGCGGGCAGCCACUGUUCGAGAACACAUAAGCUCCAUCCGGCCAGGAUUAGCCAGCGGAAGCACCCACCUCAUAAGACUCUGUGUUGUCCGGCCCACUCUGGUCCAUCCUCGGGUGGCAAACCCUGGGCACCAGAGGCCCUAUAAGACUUUGCGCUGUCCGGCCCAUUCCGGUUGUGAUGCCCCUGACUGACACAGUUCGGUGGUACGGCUGGGCACUAGAGCACAAAACGACUGUCCGGCCCAUUCCAGCUGUGAUGCCCCUGAUUGGCAUUCCCGGGUGGCAAACCCCGGGCACCAGAGCAAAAAAGGCAGAUGGUAUCAAGAGGGCAACAAUAAGGGGUAAGAGCCUUGUCGCCACCAUGAGUUCGAAUCUUGGGGACGUCACCCACAAGGGCCAAAUAAACAAAUGGCCCCAUAAGACUUUGCGCUGUUCGGCCCAUUCCGGCUGUGAUGCCUCUGACUGGCACAGUUCGGUGGUACGGUUAGGCACCAGAGCAUAAAACGAUUGUCCGGCCCAUUCCGGCUGUGAUGCCCCUGACUGGCAUAGUUCGGUGGUAUGGUUGGGCACUAGAGCACAAAAUGACUGUCUGGCCCAUUCCGGCUGUGAUGCCCCUGAUUGGCAUAGUUCGGUGGUACGGCUGGGCACCGGAGCACAAAAGGCACUUAGUUGGGCUAUCUCAUCCUUAGCCUCGUGCAGGCGGGCUGCUGUAAAUUCCUCCCGGCUCUUAGCCUCUUCUAGCUCAAUUAGGAGAGCCUCGUUGGCAUCCUGAGACCUCUUUAGAGCUUCGGCACUCUUCUCAGAGGCUCUCCGGGCAGCAGAUAAGUUUGCUUCGGCCUACUCUAGUCUCAAGCGCAAUUCCUCCUCGCCGUCCAUGUGAUAGGAGACAAAGGCCUUCAUGUGAUUAGCAAUCCGCAGUAGGUCUGAAAAUAACUCGCGUUGUUGAACCAUGCCGCAGAUACCGCUCACCAGUUGUAGAAAAACCCACAACGAGGAAGUGCCACGUGCCAUUGGUCUCCAUAUGAAAGAGAAAUUUUGUAAAGAUAGCAUUUUUUAUCCCACAUUUUCUGCACAUAUCAGAUAAGCGAGAUAAAAGGGGGCAUUGUAGGAUCCCUCCCGAAUCUGCCACGUGGCUCCCUCUCGCUAAAUCACGCAGAUAGUCCCCUUAACGGCCCGUGGCAUCGCUCAUUCCACCCGGACGGAAGUUCUCGCUCAUUUCCACCCGGACGGAAGUUCUCGCUCAUUCCACCCAGACGGAAGUUCUCACUCAUUCCACCCGGACGGAAGAUAUCACUCAUCCCACCCGAAAGGGAAUUCUACACGGUCGACGUUCCACCUUCUCCUGAUAUUUCGCAUCCGGAGCCUCUCGUCGGAUGGGAGAGGAGGAUGAUUCAACUUCCUUGGACAGACAUAUCCGGAUCCUCUGGUAACGCUUACCCGGACAGCUUACCCGAACAACUUGGCUCUUCAGAUGCUCGCGAUUCGCCGGAUCCAUUUUCGCCCACAAUCAAAAAGCAACUCUGACAAUACUGACGACCAAGUCUCCUGAACUGUCAUUCAUCUUUAAUGCAAGAUACAUUUGACAAGACAUUCCCAAGUCUUUUCAGGUCUCCUGACACAUCCCCGAUAUUUAAAGUCAUAAAUUGAGGCGACAUCCACCGCCUGAAUACCUUCCUGACAACCGUCACAUCGCACCAGAAACGUCAUGAUUACUUCGCCACCUUAUGAGCCGUAAUCAUGACGAUGGGACCCGCUAGCCUAGCAAGUACACCUUCUCUGCCUUAUAUAUAAGCUUGAAGGUAAUUCUUAAAGGGUAAGCAAUAGAAAAAUUGCAGAGAAACACUCCCGCAAUUGCUUUCAAACAACUUCCUAAAUACUAACUUAGGCAUCGGAGGAUAUGCCCGGACAACCCGUCCGGACAUCUUUUUGCAGGAGGAAGGAGGAAUUACUACAAUGCAUUGAUCGAGAUUCUGCUGCUGGUAAUUACUAUUGCGGCAGGGGAAUUUUGCCAUCAACAAUUUAGGCUUUUCCUAAUGAUUAAGUAGUAAAAGUGAAGUGUUUGUCAAUUUUGUUUUUUCCUAACUUGGUCUCAUCAUUUCGCUUAUAUGCGUUUCAGUGCUAUCACUUAAAUGAUUCACAUAAUAUUUUUUAAAUAUUUAAAUAAUAAAAAAUAUAUUAUUUUAAAUUAAAUUAUUUUUUAGAUUUAAAUAUUAUUACUUAAAUUUGUUGAUGAAAAACUUAUCAUAAUUUAGUUUUGUUCUUAAUUUAAUUUGUAACAUGAUUUAUUUAAUUUUAAAACAUGUUAAAUAUUUGUACCCAAACUUAUUUAGAUAAACAUUAUUUUUUUUAAAAAAACUUUUAAACAUAAAAAAUGUUUAAAAAAAUUUGAUUUAGAUAAUAUCUUUUUUUUAUAUAUAGAAAAAUUAUCAUAAUUUAAUUAAAAAUAAUAACAUUUCAUAAUGAUAUAAUUUUUGACUUCUUAAAAAACCUAUUUGGAAAAAUAUUAUUUUUUUAUUUCUUAAAAAUAAAAAAUACAAAUAGCCAUUGUUCUAAAUUAAUUUGUUUUUUCAUGUAUUUAUUAUUAUAUCAAUUUAAUAAUAUAUAAAUGUUUGAAUUGAUACCUACCUCUCCCUUAUAUCCUCAUUUAUGUCAUUAAUGUCUUUUGAGUUGAUACCUAUUGAAAAAGUUAAGAAUUCUAUUUUAUAUGUAGACUUGCUCUUAAGCGGUAGACUUAUAUUCACAAAGUUAAACAAAAAAAAAAAAUUCCUCUUUUUGACUCUCUAUUUUCGAUCUCCUUUUUUUUUUUCCCUCAUUUUGAGAUUUCUCUACUCUCUCUUAUUUUAAGUUUAUUUAUUUUUUCUCUAUUCCUUUUUUUUUUUUUUUGGUUAUUUUUCUCAUUUUGAGAUUUUAUUCAGUUUUAUGUGACUCAUUAUUUCCUCACUAUCUAUAUUUUUUUUAUUAUGAAAUAUUAUUUGGUUUUAUAGAGUUCACAAAUGAUAGAAGUUAGCAUCAUGAAAGGACUUAGGCUUCUCUUCACAAUUAUGAUCUUGUUUAUGAUUGUUACAAUAUACCAAUACUCUCUCCAACCUAUGAUUGGCUUUCCUUUCGGUAUGUAAUCUCCUCAAUGUCAUGAAACAUUAAGUUUCCAAACAUUGUGAUCAUUUUGAUUUUUCUCUUCUAAAUCUCAAGAAGCAUUGAGUUUAUGGAUUGAUUUGCAAAUUGAGAGUUUUAUUAUUAUUAUUAUUUUUAGAAUUGUAUUGAAUUGUUUAUUUUAUAAAUAAAUACAUUUCAAAGUUAUAAUAAAUAUUUACUUCUAAUAUCUUUAUUCUAGUUUAGUUAUAGUUAUUUUAUUCUAUCAAUUUGAAAAAAAAAUUUAAAUUUUUGACGAUUUAUGUAUAUGGUCUUAACAUUUUUCCUAUAUAGAAAGGUAUGUUUUAGAAACACUAAAUGAUAAAAAGAUAUGAUAGAGAUAUAAAGAGAAAAAGUUGGGAAGAUAAUGUGACAAAUAGUUAUUUAUGUAUUUUAUAUAUUUAUUUGUUAUUUUAUUUAAUUUUAAAAUAUUUAAAGGAAAUAAUUUUUUAUCAACUACCCUCUUUACUUUUUGAAUAAUGAAAUAUGGUUAAAAAUAAAAAUUUACAAAGGGAAACUUGUAUUUUGGGAGGCCCAUUUGAAAAUAAUAUGGAUUUCAAAACCCUAGAAUAGGAAAUAUGAUAUUCAACCAAUAAUAUAAAAAUUAAUAUGGUUCUUGUGCACUUUGUGCUGAGUGGACUUUUGAUACCCACUUUGCCUUUGCCCAAUCUCCAUGUUAGCAUCCAGGUUGAGAUAGCAGGCAAAAGGGUUAAAAAAAAAAAUUACAUAAAUUUCCUUAACAUCUUUCCUUUUACUUUCUUACCACCCGUACUGAAGCCAAAGACCCCUAAAAUUGAAACCAUAAACCCUCUUUGAUCUUCCUCUAAAUCCAAAUAACCUAAAUGUCGUGAAACCCUACCUAUGAUUUUCUCAUAUAUCCCCAAAAUCCCUAUAAUCC
rnacentral:lncRNA from 1 species